rnacentral:lncRNA from 1 species
UUUUUUAAAAAAAGUAGAUUAAUAAAGUAAUAAUUUUUUUUUAAUUAAAACAAUGAUUGAGGUGUAUAGAAAAUAAUUUUCGUUUUUUAAAAAUAUAUUAAGAAAAUAAUAGAAAAUAAUGGACCUUUUUUAAAAAUAUAUAUAUUAAGAAACUAAUAUUUUUUUUCAUUAAAAAUGGUAAAUUUAAAAAAAUUAUAGUCGAUUUUUUAUUUAAAAACAGAUUUAAUUUAAAGAUAAGAUUAUAUUUUAACUAAGAUUAUUAAAUUUUAACUAAAUUUAAUAUGAACUAAUAAUAACUAAACUUAAUUUGAACCAAGUUAAAGGCUAAUAUAGACUUUUUAAUGAGGGACAUGAUGAUAAUUAACCACCUCCAGAAUCAAUGAGAGAGCUGGAAAUCAAAAAUUUACUUCGCUUAUAAUAUAUAUGAUUUCCCAUAUAUCAAUGCGGUUAGUGUUUUUUUUUUAUUAAUCUAUUUUCAUUUUUGAAAGCAACAGCAUGCUGCAUGCAUAACAGUUUAUAUAUAAAAAAAAAAGAUGCAUAACCUUAAACAAAAAGAAAAACUUCUCUUUUAUUACGGAGUAGUGCUAAUUACAUUAGCCUCAAACAUCCUAAGCGCUUACAUAUUUUUUUAUAAAACACACACGAUAAAUAAGUAUGUAGUGUCAACAUACAUGCAUCAACAACCACACUCAUCAUCGUGGCAUAUACACUUAAGGAUUUGGUUUGGAAUCUAGUAGUAGCGAGGACGGGGGAUGUUGAAGGGACAAACGCUAACUUGCGGAACGUUGCAAACGUUAGGCAACUGCUUAGCGGUUUGGUAGAUACGUCUGAUCUCUUGGGGACGUGAUUGUCCCUGUUGUUCCUGUUGUUGUACCUGGGAUCUAACCGCUUUGGCCGCUUGUUUCAAGGUUGGGCAAACGCAUUCUCGAUCUUCCUGGUGAAGCUCAUUGCAGCACUGCUGGAGUAGCUGCGGUCUCUGCUCUGGGCCCUGUUGGUUGUCCAUGUCGAAAUCGAACUCAUCAUAGAGGGCCCAGCUUGAACCACCUUGUUGCAUUGCUUUCUGGCGCAUCCACUGCUGGCAAGCUUGUAAGUGCUGCGCCUGCUGAAACUCUUUUCGACAUUUUUGUUGUGGGCGGAAUGGGCGGAAUGGGCCUAUUUGGUUGUCAUCUUCGUCGAACUCGACAAUGGUGCGGUAGAUGGAAGCGUUGGUGAGGAGGAAGAAGAAGGCGAGAGUUGCGGAGACGAGGAAGAGCUUGUUGGCCAUUUUGAUGUAUAUUUGUGUAUGUUUUCUUAUGUUUUGGUUUGAGUGAAGAGUGAAGUGGAGACUUGGUUGGUAUUUAUAGGUGACAAAGAAGUUUUGCAUGUGCAUCACGUGUAACAUUGCAUGCAUGUGCUUGUUUGUUUGUGUGAGAGAGAGAUGCAAUAAGGUUGUUGUCGCCAUUAGGUGUUGGAAAUUCAAAAGUGGAGGUGUGAUGACAAGUCUCCGCGUCUAACUGCAAUGCAACCUUAGUAUGUAUGAUGUGUAGCUCAUAUUCUGACAUGUCAACUUUUUUAAUUAAAAUGCACUUUGUAAAAAAAAAAAAAAAAACUAUUGUGAAAUGAAGGUUAAAAAACAUGUGAAGUAAAUGAAGGUUUCUUUUCCGAAUAUAUCAUAACAAAGUAAUCAAGAACUCGAGAUUUCAUGAGUUCAAUCGUGAUUCGUGAGCUCAUACGUCUCCGCUAGAUUAAGUCUACAAUUUACUAUAUGGUUUUUCAUUUUCAGAGAGUUCGUAAUAUAUAAGAUCACAGAAUUUUAAUUACUAAUUAGAUGGUUUUAGAUCAUCUCUAUUACUAGUCUCUCAUCGAUUAUUUAGUAUAAAAAGAAAAAAGUAAGUAUUUCUUAAAAAGGAAUUAAUCAGAGCUGAUUUUUCAAAUGAGAAAGUAUGAGAACCUCAUGAGAAGCUCCUUAUACUAGACACAUAUCUUUAAUAUUAUGUGAGAUUUAGGAUUUUUGUGCUAAUUAAUUAUAAUCAUAGUUUAUGAUCUUAAUUAAAUAGUUUCUAUAUAGUGUUAGUGACAUAUAGUAAUUUUUGGGUGUAAAUCAGAAAGUAAAAUUAUCUAUUUAUCAAAUUCCAGUACUAUUAAUAAGUUUUUUUUCGAUAUUACUUAAGGUUAAUAGAAAAAUGUUAAACUAGUAUUGUUUUUAGUUAAUACAAUAAUUAUAUUUUAUAUAUUAAAAAUCUCAGAUAUGAAAAAUUAAAAAUUAUAUUUUAACUUUUGUGAAAAUCAUAUAUAAUCAUUAUUUCCUUUCCUUUUAUAUAGACUUCAUAUAUAUGUUCGUCUUCUCAUAAACCUUAUUUCUUUUCUUUUAUUACGUAAUUUUUAGUAUUAUUUAAUUUCUAUAUUGUUAAUGUACUUUGAUGAAAAAUGAAAGAAAUAUGGAUUGUUUUGAUGAGGUUCUCAGUAAUGGCGGUAAAAAUUUAUGAUGAGGUUCUCAAAAUAAAAUACAGUGAAAUGUAAUGAUAGAUAUAUAUACUUCCUAACUACGUUUAGGCUUUAGCCCAAACUAAGAAAAACUUUCUCCAAACCAGACCAACGGUUCCUUCUGAAAUCUUCAGGCACACCAGCUCUUUUAAUCAGAACCAAAUAUUUGAUUGGUAACGUUUAACACUCUUGACCACAAUGACUAUCCCUCUUUACUUAACGGUAAUGUAAAUUUAGAUUUUGUACGUCGCUUUUCCACUUAAUCAUAUGUAGUAAUUAAUGUAAAACGUACAUUUGGCUUGUCUCAUCCUGUUGAUCACGUGUUAUUUCUUGUGGCCAACAAAUAGCUAAUUUACAUACUGAGUUCAUGCACAAUGCUCUUUUACUAAGAUGGCAACCAUGGAGGGAAGUCAUACAGAGCAAUUUGAACGGUGCUUUUUGCAUGUAUUUAUCAGUGGCGGAGCCACAUGUUAUUAAUGGGGUCAUUUGCCCCCAACAAAAUUAGAAAAGCUGAAGUAUUUUAGUAAGCUCAAUGUUAAUGUCCCCACUUAUAAAAUUAUCCCCACUUAUAAAAUUAUGUAUACUCCUAUUUCCUCCCAAUGAAAAAAUUUUUUGCCUCCGCCUCAGCUACCGUAUGUAUAUACGAGUUAAGUUGAUCCAGCCCGCAAAUUUGGUUGGAAGAUUUGCUUGAAAACUAGUACCCCGAACCACCUAAAGAGCAUGUGCCACAUAAAACUUAAACAAACCUCUCUUUUAUUACGUAGUGCUAAUUACAUUAGCCUCAAACAUCUUAAACGCUUACAUUUUUUAUAAAACACACACGAUGACUAUGUAGUGCCAACAUACACCAACAACCACACUCAUCAUCGUGGUAUAUACACUUAGAAGUGGAAUCUAGUAGGAGCGGGGGAUGUUGAAGGGACAAACGCUAACUUGUGGAAUGUCGCAAACGUCAGGCAAGUGCUUAGCGGUCUGGAAGAUACGUCUGGUCACUUGGGGGCGGGAUUGUCCCUGUUGUCCCUGUUGUUGUACCUGGGAUCUAACCGCUCUGGCCGCUUGUUUCAAGGUUGGGCAAACGCAUUCUUCAUCUUCCCGGCGAAGCUCGUUGCAGCACUGCUGGAGUAGCUGCGGUCUCUGCUCUGGGCCCUGUUGGUUGUCAAAAUCGAACUCGUCGUCGAGGGCCCAGCUGGAACCACCACCUUGUUGGGUUGCUUUCUGGUGCAUCCAUUGCUGGCAAGCUUGUAGGUGCUGCGCUUGCUGAAACUCCUUACGACAUUUUUGUUGUUGUUGUGGGCGGAAUGGGCGGAAUGGGCCUGAUUGGUUGUCAUCUUCGUCGAACUCGACAAUGGUGCGGUAGAUGGAAGCGUUGGUGAGGAGGAAGAAGAAGGCGAGAGUUGCGGAGACGAGGAAGAGUUUGUUGGCCAUUUUGCUAUAUUUGUGUAUGUUUUCUUAUGUUUUGGUUUGAGUGAAGAGUGAAGUGGAGACUUGGUUGGUAUUUAUAGGUGACAAAGAAGGUUUGCAUGUACAUCACGUGUAACAUUGCAUGCAUGUGCUUGUUUGUUUGUGUGUGUGAGAGAGAGAAGCUAUUAGGUGUUGGAAACUCAGAUAAGUGUGAUGACAAGUCUCCGCGUCCACAUGCAAUGCAGCCUUAGCAUGUAUGAUGUGUAGCUCAUAUUCUGACAUGUCAACUUUUUAAAAAUGAAGAUUAAAAAACAUAUAAAGUAAUUGAAGGUUAAGGUUUAAACCCUUUUUUCGAAUAAAGCCAAGCCCUUUAUUACUUUGGUUUCAAUGGGAUCGGAUGAGAGACUGAGAGUCAAUAUUGAAAGAGUGCGCUCUAUAUAUGUUAAAGUUCUAAAAUUCAUUUAAUAAAUGAAUAAAAUGAAAAUUAAAAGUAACAUAUUAUACAAAAAAACACUAAUCCAGAAGUUAAAUAGAAGAGUAAAAUAAAAUCAUCCAAAAAUUAACUAUACAAUCUCUGCUUGUUUUAAUUGUUAGUCCACUUUAUCAAUGAGACUAAAGAAAAAUGAUAAAACAUUGGGUUAUUCUAAUUUCUUAAAAUAUCAUAAAAUUAGAUGUUUUUGACCAAUUCGUUGUAUUUUCAUAUGAAAGAUUAUAACCAUCAAACAAUAGCACCGAUAAAUCAAUUACAGGAUAAAACUGGCCUUAAACAAGAGAGAAGUAUAAAUUACAGUAUAAAAUACGCCAAAACUCCGAAGUGUGUGAAGCCCAAGUCUACAAAAGACGUGUAUGGGGCCCAAGCCCACUGAGAGGACAAGUAUGAAGCCCAAAGGCCCCAAAAACACCAAGAGACUGAACAUGAUUUCAGACCAAAAUAUCUCCCAUCUUCGGUUCUUCCUCUCAUUACUCUCUCUCCACCGAAACAGAAGUUGCAGACUUUAUCCGAAUUUAGGGUUUCUAUUCCUUCUUUCUUCUCCGAUAAUCAGAUCCUCGAAACCCCACUUUUCGAAUCAGGUAAAAUUUUCCUUCUUCUAUCUGCGUAUACUAUUAUCUCUUUAGCGGAUUACAAAUUGGUUCUUGUUCUUUCUUUGGUUUCGGUAAUUUCGAGGUGAAGUUUAUGUUCGUUGCCCGAUCCAUAAUCUGUGAUUUAUUGUUCUUUCACCACAUGGGUGGUGCGAUUUUGCAAUGACUAUUCGGUAUUUUGCCCUGAAGAUCGGACGCGAGAUUUUGUUUUUGAUAUAUCGGAUUUGCUGCUGGCUUUAAAUCUCCUGUGAAAGAACAAAAUUCAAAUUUUUAAGUUACUGGAUUUAUGUUUUUUCCUUACAUAUUUUUCGUAAUUUAACUGGAUCUGCAUAACUAGGUUCCUGGGAUAUGGUCAACAUAUAGAUGCAGAUUGAUAUGCUAUCUCAAAUCUUCCUUUGCAGAUGAUAAUCUAGAGUUGUUUCUUAGCCGAGUUGUAGUUUCCCAUCUAUUUUAUGCUUUUUAAAUCAAUAAUCUUUAAUUGAACGUGGCUUGACUAGAAUUAUAUGUUUUUGUUGUUUGUUAUCAUGUUAUUUGUAUCUCUCUACACGUUUCCUAUGUUUGCUUUAUGUCUUUAACUGUUAGCUAAGACCUAGUGAAUAAUCUUAGUGCCUAUUCGAUUGUGGUUUAAACACUUAAAUCUUAUUUGAUGUGUUCUUACUCUUCUGAGUGUUUUAAAUUCUUAUGCGACCUUGGUCUCUUUAUUCAGGUCUCAGCUUCUCUGUCGUUUGCCCAUCAGAUCAACAAAGUUUCAUGUCUGAACUUGAUUCCCAGGUCCCUACUGCCUUCGGUAAGUUCCAACGCUUAAAGCUUGAUCCAUAAUCCAUCAAAACACCUAUUUAUGCCUGCCUCCUAGUCUACUUAAACUUAUUUCGGAUGUUUGGUAACAGUUUUGAGAUUUGGACCAAGGGCUUUGGUAAAUGUUUCUCAUUUGGAUAUUGUUAGGAGCUAACCAGUUUCUUUUUGGAUUUUUUGCUGUCACGCAGACCCGUUUGCUGAUGCGAAUGCUGAGGACUCAGGUGCGGGAACAAAGGAGUACGUUCACAUCCGAGUCCAGCAGCGCAAUGGUAGGAAAAGCUUGACAACGGUCCAGGGGUUGAAGAAAGAGUACAGCUACAGCAAGAUACUAAAGGACCUCAAGAAAGAAUUUUGCUGCAACGGAACGGUGGUUCAAGACUCUGAACUAGGACAGGUGCGUGUUUUAUAUCUCCAAGGUGCAUCUUUAUAGUUGGCAUUCUAACAAUGGAUCAAACGGUUAAAGACUAAUUCCAAAGGCUAGCCGAGGGAUUUUCAGCUUUGUCCUUUAUGUAUGGUUUUUCUUUCUUAAUUGUGCUACUGUGUAAAUGUGUAGGUUAUUCAGCUUCAAGGUGACCAGAGGAAGAACGUCUCCACGUUCCUAGUCCAGGUAAAAAUCACACUCUCUCAGGAAUCAAUGAAGUAAAAGACUGUUGCUUGAUCUUAUUUAAUUUCCCUUGCUUCAGGCUGGCCUUGUGAAGAAGGAUAACAUCAAGAUCCAUGGUUUCUGAGCCGCUUCUGUUAAAAUUUCCCUAGGCUGUUUGCUUUUCUGCUCUAGUGGAUUAUUACUGUCAUCUUCCAGUUCCAAAACAUUUCUUCCCCUUCGUGUUUGAUCUCUUGUUACUGGUUUUAUUUUCGGAUUUGCUUUGGUAUGAUACUAAGAUACUAUCUUGUUCCUCUUAAUGCUUUUGUAAUAUGAGAUUUGUUAAGAUUCUCCAUUAACUUGGUCGCUUCUCUGAAUAUUUUUCUUUACAAAGACGGAUCCCAAGCCAUUUUAGAGUUUUACUAAUGACUCUGGUUACUUCGUUUCUUCUCGGCAAGCAAAGACCUCAAUGAUCAUUUUUCUUAAUCAGUUUAUGCAAAGUAUGAAACCGAAGUCAUUUUAUAAAACAUCUGAAAUUGGUGCAGGCUAAUCUGCCAAUGAAAGACUCUUAUAGGUCCAGAGGGUAUGAAUAAACAACGAAAUCAAACCCGUCGCUUGUCUUCUCUAUCGAGUCCAAGUUUGGAGCUCUGCAAUCCUCGAUCAAGUCGGUUUAGGUUUAAACAGAGAAGACAAACACUACAAAACGAAAUUUUAUUUGAAAAAUAAAAAAACGCAAUAAGGUUAGAUUGUGAAAAUAAUCUGAAUCGAUCGUGUUUCAAUCUCAUUAUCCUAGUUUGUGUUUUCUCUACAGUUCGCUCAAAACCCCUUUUUCGGCUGUAUUCGAUCGCAGGUAAGAGAUGGAGGAGAUUUUCGCUCUGAUAGUCUCCAUGAUUCUCAUAGCAGCGGUGAUUCCUCUGUUCUUGUGGAAACGUCGGGUAGAUGCUAGAUCACGGGAGGAAGAUGCAGAACCGCCACAGGUAAUUUCUCCUUUUUUUUUUUGCGAAAUGGAUUGGAAGUUUUUUGAUCGAUGAAUUAUGAUAAUGGCACUGACGGGGCUAUUCGUAUGAAAUUCAAAGGUUCGGCCGCGUGAAAACGUGGUACGUGCUACUGGUGGGCGUAGAAUGCGUCGGAGACCUGCAGCUUCUGGUGCUAGCUCCUCAUCAUCCAAUGUUCAAGGUUUGUGUUAAGCAGCUUCUGUGUCUCUUUUACGUUAUUUUGAAAAUGUCAAAUUCUCUCGAAAUCGUGUGUUUUAGCUGGAUCAACUGGAUUUAAAGGCUCCAGAUUUUCGGAAAAGUUUGGAGGAUUGAGUUUUGUUUUUCAAAGUAUAUACCGUAUCAAAUAAAAGACUUGGUUCUGCUACUUUCUAGUUGGAGACGACAACCUUAUGUAAAUGGGUGUUAUUGGUCAAGAGUUUACUUUUGCCUGCGAGAGAGAACGCUAAACCAGAAUAGUCAACUAGUUUUAGUUUGAUUUGUCAUCUAGCUUAGUUUAAGAAUAUGGAUGGGUUUAUAAAGUGAGCUACUGGUGGCCUUGGAAUCAUUAUUUGUGUAAAUGUGAUAACAGAAAACAUCAGUGGGAGUGAAGAUGAAGAUGAAGAUGAAGCCGGUGGAAAUCAAGCCAGAGCAUCAAAGAAGAAAGAGAAGAAGCGACAAGAACGAGAAGCACAAAGACAGGUGACUAACAAUCUCUAUCGCCAUUAAUUCUUCUAAUAUUAAAUUCUAGCAGGUUUUAGGAUGAGAAAUUCUAGGAAUAUCCGUUGACUCGUUACAGUCCUAACUGUGAAAGUUAGAGAUUGUAGAAGGAUAGAGCAUUGGUCCUGGGAUCAGAAUAGUACAUAAACUUUUGCCUGAUUAAAAUCUGUUUAUGUUGCUGGUAAAGGCUGAAGAAGCGACACGCGAGUCAAGGAGUACAAAACAAGAUUGGUAUGCAGAAAUGCGGAGGAAGAAGGAUGAAGAGCGCGAGGCAGAGGAGAGGAAGUUGGUGGGUCAACUAAUCUAUCUCAAAUUUCGUUAUGCCUAGGCUUCCUGGUUUAGAAAUGCUGAUAUUUGGCUAAUUGCGACAUUGUUUUUGUAGGAAGAAGAAGAAAAAGCACGACAAGCCAAGGAAGAAGAGGCAGCUGCGUUAGAGUUUGACAAAUGGAAAGGGGAAUUCUCAGUUGAUGCUGAAGGUACGACAGAGGAAGUGCAGGGUGGAAAUGAAGAUUUGCUUUCAGAAUUUGUUGAAUACAUUAAGGUAUAUCUUGAUAACCCUUUACCAAAAAUUUUCCGAUCUCCCAUUCUAAUUGUCAUUCUACGAAUUGGAACAAACUAACGAUGAAGUAUAGAUACAAUGUUGAACUUUCCUUUUGCUGUGUGAUGUGAUUGCAGAAACAGAAAUGUGUUCCACUUGAAGAUCUCGCCGCAGAAUUUAAUCUACGAACUCAGGUAUCAUCUGGCUACACCUUCUAAGUUGCAAAUAAAUGAAUACCUUUUAUCCUUGUUCUAAAAAGUCCUGUUUAUUUUUGUAGGAAUGCAUCAACAGGAUCGCCUCUUUGGAGAGCAUUGGUAUUUUUCUCUCUAUCUAAUCAUAUUAAAAUGAACAUUCCUCUGUCAAUAUUGUGAUUUAUGAUGGUUUAUAAAUAAUGAACCCGAAGCAAAGCAGAUGAGAUAUCGAUGACUCUGUGUGUAUACAUGUGAAAGACACACGUAGUGGAUCUCUUAAGAUGUGAACGCCUUGUCUUUUUUUAUUAAGGGCGGCUCUCGGGGGUUAUGGAUGAUAGAGGAAAAUACAUUUACAUAUCAAUGGAAGAGAUGAACGCCGUGGCGGAUUACAUCAAACGUCAAGGAAGAGUUAGUAUCUCACAUCUAGCUAGCAAGUCGAACCAGUUCAUCGACUUGGAGCCCAAAGUAGAGCAUCAUCUGACUGAAGAUAUCACUGGCAUGGAAGAGGUCUCUGUUUCUUAGUUGCUUAUUUGUUGUAUUAAGAAUAUCCCGGUUUGAAAUUUGACAUUGUAAACAAAAUAAUUAAUGAAAUCAAUCUUUGUUGGAUUUGGAUGGAUACAAUUUUUCACUUGCAGCAAAAAUCUAUAUCUUUAAUUUGAAAGAUUUUCAAACUUCAAACAAUUUUUUCAACUGUCGGUUUUUUGGUACAUUUUGUUCAGGUCCGGUUCUACCAAAUUUGACAUUCAUUUACAUUUUUUAUUUCCCUUUUAUUUUCAUUUGUGUUAUCUCUGUUUCUCCGGAGAAGCAGGGAAAAACUAGAGGAAGAGAAACCGUUAUGCUCUGCCUCCCUAAUUCGCUUAAGCUUUUUGAUCAUCUCUCUUCUUUCUUCUAUCUUCUUCUCUCUGUUCUCUUUCUUGCGUCCUAAGAAUCUUAGGAAAAAAAGAUAGAGAUGAAGAUACGUUACGUUCAUCUAAACCUACUUAUCCUCCUAUUACCUCUAAUCAAUCUUCUGUUUCCGACAUUAUCUCUGGCUCAAGACUACGGAGACGAUGCCCCGAAAAAGGACACUCCUCCACCAGGUCUGAUCCAUUGCAACGGAGUUUACAUGUCUUACAACUCCGGCGACCGCGAAAAGUUAUAUCCUCGGACCAACAACGUGACGGCUCAAGCCUGGUCGUUCAAAGCAACGGCCAUGAUCGUGAACACGGGGAUCGAAGAGGUCAAAGGUUGGCAAAUGUUCAUAGGGUUUCACCACAGAGAGAUCAUCGUUUCCGCAACGGGAGCUGUUUCAACGGACGGUGAGUUUCCUUACGACGCAAGCAACGGGACAACGUUCAUUGGUUCUCCGAAUACGGAUCUAAAGACCUCGAUCGAAACAGCUGGUGAUUACGAUAAGAUCUCAACCAAUAUCGAGAUAACCGGAACGCUUUUCGGCGGUAGAGGUACGGCUACGCCAUUGCCUAAAACGAUCAAGCUCACAAACGAUGGAUGGGAAUGCCCUGCUCCUACUUCUAAAGGUAAACGAAAUUCUCCACUUUUAGUUUCUUGUAACGGAAGAAAUUAUCGGUUAUGACCGGUUUAUGAUUCUUUCGGUCUGGUUUUUGUGUCAGGCGGUACGAUGGAAGUUUGCUGCAAGAGGAACCCAAAGUUCAAAGCUAAAGAUAAAGCGAAAACCAAGUUCAUGCCUAGAAAAAAAGGCGACCUGAAUAUAGUUUAUGAUGUUCUUCAAGCCUACACAAGCAACUACUUGGCGCAGGCAAGUCACCGAUUCCAUCAGUUCUAUCGAUAUAUAACCUCGAGAGAAUCAUAUAUAUACAUAAAAUGAUUUGAAACUGAUAUAUUUUUUUUUUUUUUUUUUUGGAGCAGGUAACUAUAGACAACAAUAGUCCAUUGGGACGGUUAGACCACUGGAACUUGACAUGGGAGUGGAUGCGAGGAGAGUUCAUCUACACGAUGCGUGGAGCCUACGCUGCCGAGGAGAAACCUUCAGAAUGCUUACACAGCAAGGCGGGACAGUUCUACACGGAUCUUGAUUUCUCUCAGGUCGCUACUUGCCAGAAGAAACCGAUUCUCAAAGAUUUACCAGCUGAGCGUAAAGAAGAUAAUAUCACCGGGAAAUUGCCUUUCUGCUGCAAGAAUGGCACUCUCUUGCCCACUAUCAUGGAUCCCUCUAAGUCCAGAGCCAUUUUCCAGUUACAGGUUUUGCCCCAAAACUAACCACUUCUAUAAUUACAAGACAUAACAAAAACCCUUAACCGGUUUUGAUGUGGUUGGUUUAGGUGUACAAGGUGCCACCUGAUCAGAACAGAACAGCUUUCUUUCCUCCACAGAACUGGAAAAUCGACGGUAUAGUGAAUCCGCAAUACAAAUGUGGACCACCUAUACGAGUAGAUGCGACUUCUUUCCCUGACCCGAGCGGUCUCCAAGCAACCACCUACGCAGUAGCCAGCUGGCAAGUCGUGUGCAACAUAACCAAGCCUAAACCAAAAGCUGCUCGUUGCUGCGUCUCUUACUCUGCUUUCUACAACGACUCAGCCAUUCCAUGCAACACUUGUGCUUGCGGUUGUGGAGACAUCGAUACCGACACUUGCAACGCCAAUGCUCGACCGCUUCUCCUCCCUCCCGACACGCUCUUGGUACCGUUUGAUAACAGGACUCUCAAGGCAAGAGUGUGGGCAAAGAGGAAACACAUGGCUGUUCCAAAGAAGCUUCCUUGUCCUGACAACUGUGGAAUUAGCUUGAACUGGCAUGUUAACUCGGAUUACACUGAUGGAUGGUCUGCGAGGGUAACGUUGUUUAACUGGGGAAACAAUGCAGUGGAGGAUUGGUUUGCGGCUGUGGAUUUGGGCAAAGCUGGUUUAGGGUAUGAGAAUGUUUACUCCUUUAAUGGGACAAGACUUCCACCUAAGAACCAGACCAUUUUCUUCCAAGGACUUCGUGGUAUGAACUACUUGAUCGGUCUCACAAAUGGGUCGAACCCUGCUAAAGACCCGCAAGUUCCAGGGAAAAUGCAGUCGGUUAUAUCGUUUAAGAAGCGGAAUUUGGGGAGUUUGAAUAUCCCUGGAGGAGAUGGAUUCCCUAAGAGAGUUUUCUUCAAUGGAGAAGAAUGUGAGCUUCCUAAGUAUUUCCCUAAAAAGAGUUAUGGGGAGAGAUUAUCCGGUAUCCGAUUCUUUCCCUCGAUUCUCCUCGUGAUCACAACGUUUCUUGCGAUCACGGAUCGGUUUUAAGUGGUGUUUAGGUGCCUUAGUUAUAUAUGUAAGUUGCUUUUCUUUUAGCAAUGAUCAAGGAACUUGAAGAGAACGUUUAUAUAUCUCUGUUUUUCACAGUUUUGUUUGAUCCAAGAAACUUGUAUCCAUAAUCAAAAGGAACUACUGCAGAUUGAUGGUUCUCAAUCUAAAACACUCUUGCCCUUUACUACAAAUUGUGCUUCGGUCUAGAAGAUCCGAUCCUGCAAUAUUCAGUUGGGCACAAAUUUUUUUGCAUUCAAAUAUUUACUCUGUUUUUUUGUUUGAUUCUGGUAAAAUAAACAAGAAACCAUAAAUUAUACGAAACACUUCUUACUCCAAAUUUCAAAUGUAUUUCGUCUUUGUAGAACAGAAGAUGAGCAUUGUGAACUUAAAUAAAUAAAUACAGUCUUUUUCCUUCUUUAGUUUCCCAUUUGGUAAAUUGAAAAAACACAUCAUGAUUGUUCAUAUAUAUAUGCAACAUCAACUUUUAUGAACAGCUUACAAAUUGUGUUUUUUUGUGUGUGUGUGUAUAUGUUAGAGAGUAAUUCAAGGCUCCAAGAUUCUUCCAGAGUACUUUACACCCAAGGAAUCGUUAGAAAAGACUAUAGAAAACUUCCAUGAUAUCACGGAUUUAAGCCGGAGAAUCAUUGGAUUGUUCGCCAAUGCUAUUUCUUAGCCUGCAAUAAGAGAGAAGACAACAGAAGAUAGACUUUCAUAUAAGCUUUCCAGAGAGAGAGUAAAUAUUUCUUGUCUGACAGAGAGAGAUGCAACCCAGAGAGAUGAAAGAAAUAGAGAAAUAACCUUUCUUAGGUAUUUCUUGUGAAUUUUGAUGGCUCCAGAACAUGUUUUCUUAGCAUCCAAGUUUCCAGUCAUGUCGUUAAGUAUCUAGGGACAUCAUAAGGAAAUGGGAUGAGAAAUGGAUUCACCAAAAUAAAAAAAAAGGUUAAAAAGAAGACGUAUGUUUAACCUUAACAACGUCGUCGAGUCCACGAGCUUCAGUCAUUAGCUUAGAACUCUUGUCUUUCAAGACACUGGCCACCAGGAAAACCGAUAUAGGCAAAGGACCUUCCGUGCUUUUUCCACCAUUCCUCAUGUUUUGCCUCUCAUACUUUCCGCAUUGUUUAAUUGACUUCCGUGUACCUUUGGACUCCUCGGUUUUCUCACUCCCGCAUUGUUGCGCCUCAUAUACGUAAAAGAGGUUGGGGUCGUACUCCAAGGCCCACAUCAUCUAAGGGAAUAGAAUUUGGCAUUUGAGAUCAAUCAAUCCAAGGAUGAUGAAGAAGAAGAAGACUAUAUGUAGAAGAGAGAGCGUGACACCAAGAAUCAUUACCUCCCAAAGGUACAAAGAGUCACAAAACGAGAAUUCUCUUCGGAAUUGAACCAUUAGCAUCCGAAUCGCAAAGAGAUAGUCACCUCCACCCAGUUUAUCUGCAUUUUUGAAAACCCCAAGCGAAGAUUAACCGAUGAAUAUAUAUAUAGAGAGUGAGGCAAAGAAACUGUAGUAGCAGUAGUAGUGAUACCUAAGUGUUGGUGAAGUUUGGGGUCAAUAAUCUGAGUAAUCGAAGACAAAUGAGUAAGUUGAGCUUCAACUCCAACAGAUCUCCCGGUGCUGCGGAAAUUUCCUCGCUUUUCAAUAUUCGAAAACACAAAACACAUUUAAUACAACCUGAUUGCACAGAAACAGAUGUAAACAAGUCCAUACAAAACACACACAAAUAGAUAUGACAUUAUGUGUAAAGUAAGUACCAAUCGACGCAUAAGCCUCUCAAAACACCAAAAGGAAUCAGCUUCAUCGUCAAGAAGAAUAAUCAUUGGGGAACAAAGAUCACUCAUUCCUGAUCAGAGCAGCAGUACAUAGAUCAGAAUUUUUUCAGGUACCAAACUUGUUUUCGAACAAAGGAUACAAUGAUAUAUAUAUCAUUGGGUUCUACCUUGGCAAUACCCAACAUCUUUGUCUAUCCAGGCGUAAACGGACAGAAUAUCCCAGAGCUUCGACAAAUUCUCCUUUCUCUCGUAAAAUACUAAGGCCCUGUCUGUACGGUUCACAUCAAGACCUGAAAUAUAUAUUAAGCAACUCGGUCAAGAGGCGGAUAUUCAGUUUAUUAUGAUAGCUGAAGAUAUAUGAAGCCAUAAACAAUGAGUCACUAACCUAUCUGGUGAAGUGUUAGCAGCCAUUGAAUAACUUUCUUAUCGAGAGGUCCACGACUUGUGAGCUCUUUGAAGAAAUCUGAACCAUUUGAGUUUGUACCUGAGAGACCCAAAUGAAUACUUUAAAUGCCUAUUACAAGUUUUUGUAAAAGAAAAUUCCGUUAUGGGAAAGCAAGAUUGUACCUAAAUUUAUUUCUUGAAGUACAAGAGGAUCAUGGUUGGGUUGACCAUUUUCAGCAAUCACAGGAGCAGUAAUAAAUCUUCCACUUCCAAUCACAGGAAACAUUUGCUUACACUCCUCCUUCCAAGAAGCAUACUGCAGCCUGAAGGAGAUAUCAACUCAUUAAUAAAGCGAUAGAGGAUCGACGAAACAGAACUUACUGUUCAUAUGGGAGAAAGAAUAGAGAAAACCAUGUAAACUAUGCCAAAUGCAAUAUAUACAGGAAAUAACGACAAAAAAAUCUAUACCUUCUGCGUUGUCGGAUUUGCUCUCUUUCCUCGAAAGUGCUCAUUGGGUCAUAACAGCCAAGUAGGAAUUCCCAUACUUCGCCUCUAAUUGAUGGAUGGAUUCCCUAAAGAUCGAUUGUAAGGGAGACAAAGUAGCAAGAAGUUCAGAGAUUCAGAACAAACCAAAUGGUAAAAAGACUUUUAUAAAGAAACAUACCCCUCUUCGGAUUCGUCUUAGAGUCUUGCCAAUAUCGAGGGACCCUUCUUGAACAAAUGCAGCCUGCCAUUUUCUUACACUUAGAGUUUUACCAGGCUGCACAAACAUAAUAGAGAUGACCAAAUGUUGUCAGCAAAAAAAAUUCCUGGCCUCAACAUGAUGCAAUUCAUUAUAAGUAGGACCGCAAGCAAUGGAAAUGAAACAGGCUUUUCUGGCCUGUAAUGUGUUAAGAUUCAUACGGAGAGAAACUACUAAUUCAAUCAACCGCAUAACGGAAGAGAGACAUAUGUCUUACGUAUCUUCCCAGAUACUAUUGUAUGCCAUGACAUUAACAGCUAAUGGACUCUGCAUCUUUAAAUAUUCAUCAGAGACUUGAAGUUUUCGGGUCAAGAGGUAACAUCCUCUGAAGCUUUUAACAUUCUUUCAGGAAAAAGAGACAAUCAAGCAUGUGAUGAUGCUACUUAGAAACUAUCAAUGAUGGAUGUGAGAACCUAAAACAGCUCCCAAGAUCAGUAAGUCUUCAUUGAAAAACAGAUAUAUCAACAUUAAUGCCUGAGCUUGGAAUCCAAUGAGGUAAUCGGAUCUUAAUAAAACCAUGAACCCGUACACGAAGAAUCUACAGAAUCAACAAGUCGACAAAAGAGACAAUGCAACAAAAUUAUGCAAAAUAACCGAAUCUGGAAUCACAUAUCGUGUCCGUAAUCAUCGUUUUGUCAACAGACACGACCCAAUGAAGAAGCCAUUCUAAGAAAAAGAAGCAAAAUUCAAGACAAUUAAGAUGAAGGGAAACGAAAGGCGUAACCUUGAUUUUGAAUCUGGUCUUGGGUACAUCGGUGCACUCGGGACGGACUUGGUAGUAAGAAUCUGCUGGCUCAGCUGCGGCUCCCCACAUCUAUGUAAUCCCAACCAAAAUUUCCCGGGAAAAAUAAAGAAAUCAAGGAAAAAUCCUGAGGAAAAAAAGAAGAGAAGAACAAAAUAAAAACAGAAACCAAUACACUGGAUCGGGACCCCCUCAAUACUCAAAAAGAUUGAUCGACGAUCAAUGAAGAAAAGUUUAUUUAAUUUGUCGAUAUUUAGGAAAAAAAGGUUGAGAAUUGAUGGGGGGGACCCAGCUUCCUGGAGGUAAGUGGAUUGGUCGUGUUUUUUUUGGUCGACGAGUAUGAAGUUUCUUCUCUCGUUCUUUUCCUGGUGACGACGAGCUGGUCACACAUUACACUAGUUGGUUUGGUCGCCGCAAAUAACGGAACUGCCUCGAUCAUUUGUCUUCUCUCACGUUUUUAGGGAACGUUGGAUUGUUCCUUCCCAAAAAAACUCACACUUUCAUUUUCAUCUUUAAUCUCUUUUCGAAUUUCGUUAGACUGUUGUCACUCAAAAGUCAUUAUAUUAAAAUUUACGAACAAUCAGUUGGCUUCUGUAAAUAUUGAGCAUUUUGUAACGAAAUCUUAACCAAUAACGGUGGUUGAGAAGAAGGCAAAGAGCAAGCGGCGAGGACGGUGGGCUCUUGACAGUUUACUCGUAUGGGCCCAUUCUGAUAUCGGUUUAUUGAACCAUCCAUAUAUGGGCCUUUUGGGUUCUUAUUUAAUAAGUUAAGGCCCACAACUGAAAAACCCUAAAAUGCUGACAUAUAUAUAGUCUCUUCAGCGAAAGCUAGACGCUUCAGCUGCUGCUCGUUCACGUUUUAUUUUUCACUCGGAGCUUCGACCUUCCACAGCAACCGGCGGCGAAAAUGGUAAGAUAUACAUUUCUGAUUCCCUUCUUCUGUAUACUAUUGGGGGGAAUUGGAGUUUAGAUGUUUGCAAUCAAGUGGCGUUUAUGUUUUUAACAUUGACCACGAUUUCAUGUUUGUUUGUGAUUGUUCAGGUUUUCAAGAGGUACGUGGAGAUAGGGAGAGUGGCACUUGUGAACUACGGAAAGGAUCAUGGAAAGCUCGUUGUAAUCGUCGACGUCGUUGACCAGAACAGGGUAAGUUGAUUUUAUUCAUACAUUAUGGAGAUCUUAUGUAUUUCUUGUGAACUUGGACUAGCUGCAAAUCUGGUUCUUUGAAUUUUUAAUUGCUUAAGAAUCUAUGAACGAGUUUCGAUCAAUAUGUGCAUGGAGCUAAUUGAUUUGCUGAUACAUACAAUAAAGCCAUUACCUUUCAUCGAUGAGUCUUAGUUUGUGCCAUAAGCUUGUCUAUGUUCUAAUUGUAUAGUGAGUUCUAGUUACACAAGGCUUCAUUUUUUUUGUUUAGUUGUCCUUAUAGAAUCCUGACUUUGUUCUUUGUCAUUUAGGCAUUAGUAGACGCCCCUGAUAUGGAGAGGAUCCAGAUGAAUUUCAAGAGGUUGUCUCUUACAGAUAUCGUGAUUGAGAUCAACCGUGUGCCAAAGAAGAAGGCUUUAAUCGAGGCAAUGGAAAAGGCUGGUGAGUGAUGCUGCUCUGUGUAAUGGUUGAACUUUGCAAGUGUUACCAUCUAAUCCGGGAUGUUUUUGCAGACGUGAAGAACAAGUGGGAGAAAAGCUCAUGGGGAAGGAAGCUUAUCGUGCAGAAGCGUAGGGCUAGCCUCAACGAUUUUGAUAGGUUCAAGAUCAUGUUGGCCAAAAUCAAGGUCAGUAUUUUAAAUUGUCAGACCUUGAAAUAUUCUAUGAUCAUUUUUGCGAAUAUUAAACUGAAAUGUUAAUUGGCUUGUUGGUUGUUUGCAGAAAGCUGGUCUUGUCAGGCAAGAGCUUGCAAAACUCAAAAAGGAGAUCACUGCCUGAUAAAAUUGAAUAUUAUCUGCAAGUCUGUUUUUUUUUAUUUUGGGUUGGUAAAUUAGUGUUUUUGCAAAUCUCAGCAUCAUUAUCUACUCAAUUAUCGGAUGUUACUUUUUAAGUUUGAAACCUUGUUUGGAAAACUCGAGUUGCUAUUUGAUCUUGCUCUCAUUUCUAGAGGUCCAUUGGCUUUCUUAUAACCUCUUCAUUUCUUUUUUUUUUUUUUUGGGUCAAACAUAACCUCUUCAUUUCAUUCUCAAGUUUGGAACUCGAAAGAUGAUGUUAUGGGUUGUAAAUUCCCUCGUUCCUUCCGGGAGCAUUCGAUUUUCUAGGAAAAAUGACAACUCUAUCCCAAUCUCACGGUAAAUAUUACAAAUAGUGAAACGUCAUGAACUAUUACGAUUUCAACAAAACGGUGUUGUCUAAACGUGUACUUAGGGAUCCUAAUUAUGUUCUUAUCAUUUAGGCUUUUGUGGAUCCAAAUACAUGAUCUCUUAACUGAUAUCGUGAUUGAAAUUAACCGAGUGCCGAAGAUGGCUGGUGAGUGUUGUGGCCGUAACGACAAAGGUAAAGACUUACAGAGAUACAUCAUCUAUCGGUAAUACUUGAACAUUCAAAAGGACAAUUUUCCGAAUAUAUAAUUUGGAUUAUUUGUCUCAUCUGGUUGAGUAAUUAUAACAAAAAUUCCGGACUCGUUACACAGAAACGAAAUAAACCCCUUACGAAAAGCUUCAAAAGUUUUUACCAAGUUCAAUCUUUUUCAUCAGUGUCAUCGUCUGGUGGAGAAUAGAAUCCAAGAUUCCGGCCACCUGAAAAGAAGGAAAUACUCAAGUCAUACUCAUACGGGAUGUGUUAAUGAAUUAUAAGAAAAAGAAGAGGCUUCUAAGUUGUCUCUCUAUACUAACCGUGAAGACACCACCGAUAAUGGCGCAUACGUUGGUGAUGAAGUGUGAGAAGGACUUGGAGGUUUCUGUUAUGAGAACCUGCAAACAAAAAGAAGAAGAAGAAGAUGAGCAGAGACUAGGGUUGUUGUCUAUCUACGCACGGUUCACCUGAAAAAAUACAAAGACGAAAUGGCCAGUAGGCAGCAGAAAGAAUGUUGACGCCUACCUGCAUUGGUGAGAGCUCGAAGUGAAACUUGGCGACUGGUAAAUAGUAACUUUGAGCGACGCUGCUAUGUGCUGUGUACUCAUACUCCUCAAUCAAUGCCUGUCCAUUGCUUUUGACAACCUCUGUCUUUACAAUUUGAAGAUAAUGCUCGAUCUGUCCAUGAAAACAACACCUUAACUCGUGCUAAUAAGCAUUAUUGGAUGAAGUUUUAGUAGUAAAUUUUUUCUGUGUAAUACAAACUUACGGUAACAUUAGGGCCGAGAUCACGUUGAUUUAUGAAGGGGCGGCCGUCUAAACGAUCAUGGCUUCGGCCGAGAUACGGUGACAAGCGCUUUAAAUCAGCAAAUGUCUGAGGCAAAAUCCUCCGCCCAAAUGAAAGAUGAUUAACAACAUGAGACAUAUUCAUCUGAGAAGAAUCAAAGGAAUGAGAUCCUGAGCGAGCUGAAACCAUUAGGUUGCCUGGAACCUGAAAAGAACAUACGAAAGUAAGUUUUUAACUUUUUAAGCGACUUAAGGGGCAAACAGACAAAGCAAGAGUCAUUUCUCCCAACAAUGCUUACCUUCUUUACACGCAUGUAUCCUUCAAUUCGACAUCCUCCUGUAGAAGGUGCCUUUUUUAGAAUUUUCGAUGCAUUGUCUGAUUUAUCCUCCAAUGCUAGUCUUUGGGGCUCUAGAUGGAUUGGUUCAACCAGACCUAUCACCAUCUAUAGGAGAACCUAAACUAUUCAGAAAUAAGCUACAAAUGCUUGUCCAACCUUUUUAAGGGGCACAGAAAAGAUGUUGAAACUACCUUCACCAAGCUUUCUGUAUCACGAUCUCCAUAGUACGAUUCAUGAUCGUGGUGUGCAUUGUCAUCCCUAUUAUGCAAGAGAAUCAAGGAGAGGAAAGUAAAGUAGAGAAAAAUUUAGGAGAAUCGAGCAAAAUGAUGGUCAUGCAUUAUAUUUAGGAGUUAUGUUCUCUUACCUAAGAUCACUGCCUUUGCGGAAAAUGCGAAUGGAUGGAUACCCUUGUAUGUGAUUCCUGGAGAUCAUUUGCAGAGGAAACUUGUGAGCAUAAAUUAUACCUUAAGCUGGUAUAAGAUUACAGAGAAUGCAUUCUGCUAUAGCAAAUGGAAUCCUAAAGGAAGUCCUUAAACCAUAACGUAUGUCUCUCUUUGGUUUAACCAUAACUUGCUUGUGAAUAGGUGCAUGUAAUAGUUUACAUAAGAAAAAAAAAAUCAUUUAUAAGAAGCCAAUACAAACUUAUAAAGUAACUGACUAUCCCUCCCUUUAGUUACGAACAGAAAAUGCAUAGACCUUAUUUACGGAAAAAUGAGUUAAAAACAUCUCGUAUAAUCCCACAUGAAUCUCCAAUACAGUACAGGCUCAAACUAGCCCAUGCUCCUGGAGACCUUUCAAUUUCAAUUCCACUUUUUGCAUAAAUUUAAAUGACGUAUGCAGUGGAAAGGAGUCUAAUAGCUUCUCUUGCAAAUAUUAUGCACACUGAAGAUGCUAUGGAUUUUACUUUUAGCAAUGUAGGCGAAAUUAAUAAGUUUCCUAAAUUAGGAAGUCAAAAUGGAAAAAUAGAUAGAUCAAUAAUGAUAGAAUAUACCUCCGACAGAGAUCACUUUCUACGGUGCAGUCAACUUUUGCUAAAAUGACACGUCCGUCCAUUUCUGGAUCAUAUCUAUCAAACACAAGAAACUUAUAAGGAAAGAUAGUAUCGCAAGAAUUUUCUCUAAAGAAAGAAUAGUGGCAUACCUCUCUUUUAUUUGUUUUGCUGCUUUCUCCCAUGAUGGUUUCUGAAAAAGGAGACUAAAGUUAUUGUCUUCGAGUAAGAACAGCAAAAUGACCACUUUACUGAGCAUAAAUUAUUCUACCUCAAAAUUACUCUACUAAGUUUGAUAUUCGACCUCAUGUUGAUCAUUAUAUAAGUCUAGUCUUCUAUGAGGAAAUUAUCACGACUACUGCUAAAGAGCAUUUUCAGGAAAGAUUGACUAGGUUGCAGUAAAUUGCACUCAAAGCGCGCCUUAGGCACCAAACAUGCAGGAUCUCCUCUAGUAAGAACGCUAAUAUGACCCUUUGCUAAGAGGCAGCAAAAUGUGGUUUUGGAUGGAAAAUAUGCUGUGGCAUCUAGAAUAUAUAACAGACGAAGACAAAAGAUACGUGAUUUACCAGGAGAUUACACCAAUAGCACCACGGUGCAUAGAAAUUAACAACUGAGAUUGGAAAUCUGCAAAAUGUAUGUUUCAUAUGUUGUCACCAGAAGCAAAAGAAACAAAUACGUACUAGGAAAUAUUCAUAGUAUUGUUGCAUCUAUGUACGAAAUGUGCAACACAGACUUAAACUCCUUACUGAUGUAAUAAUGUGUCAAAGUUGCGGCCAGUAAGUGAUACAGAAUCUUCAACUAAUUCUUCACCAGCUUCAUCUCCAUGAUUAAUGAGCGAUAAAACUUCCCCGGAGUGAAACUCAGUACCAGUGGGUCUCAAAUUCGAAUCAAUAGAAAACUUCCGAAUUGUCUUCGUUACAUUUAGCCUGUUCUGAAAACAAAAGCUAGCAAAAUCAGGAGAGAGAACAACCGAAAAUAUUGAGAGACCAAAUGGACAGAUGUUCAGAAAGAAUAACACUAUUUUAAACCCCUCAGAUACAAUAGACUAUCUUUCACAAUUAUGGUGGCAUUUACUCCAAGAAACUAUUGUGCCAUCCAAACUUUUCGACGCACAUAAUUGCCAUGAGUAAAAUAAAAUUAAAAAAAAUAGAGACUUGAAAUGAACUUAUGAUGAAACCAAACUUACAGUUCCUAAUACAUCACUGACGUCCACAGAUGCGAAUUCACAUGAAAGUGAUGGGAAGCUGCCAAAAAAUCCCGUUAGCAAUCAGAUAGUUGAUGAAUUUUGCAUGACUUUGAUUGAGCCACACAUAUGACAUUUCUGAAGAUAGAAGGUAUGCACUCAACAAAAAAUGGGUGCGCAAAAGACAAAUCAACGUUCUAGAAUAAAGUAGAAUAACGUUUAUACACUCUUCAACUUGUCGAAAAAUUUGAAACUAUAAGACGCUUGUGUUACAAAAACAAAAUCGAGUAUAAUGCACCUUAUGUUAAAAUCCAUGCGCAAGAAGUCUCCAUCGGAGCUCCUGUCAACAAUGAUGGACGUUGUAGUGCUGACAGCCAAAUAAUUAUUUAAUUCCUGUAAUAUGAAAAUUACGAAGUCAAGACUGAGCAUUAAUCGAAUAUAGCAACGAAAUGAUCCAGAUAAAAAUACCAGAAAGUCAAGUGAGCAUGAAACUUACCAUUCCAAAUAAAAAUAGCAUAGAGAGGGCUGCUACAAUGGACAAUCCAGCUCCAGAGAGAGUCGCCUCUGUCAAAUCCCUCGGGAUUUUCCUGCAGGCACGGCAACGCCAAAAGAACAACUAUGAAUUAUUCUCUAGCCUAGAAUCACAAAUCUCAGAUGCUAUCGGACUUUGAUACAAGUAUCCCAUAAUCUACACUUAGCAACAAAACCGAAACAGAAAUGCAUAAUGAUCAUCUUAAGCCCCAUUAAAACACUUCAACAGUCCAAUUUCACUAAGAUCAAAUGACAAUGCUCUUACACGGAGAGGCAAUACCUACAACUUCAGGAUCGCUUCUUCACAGCUAAACCCUAUCAGUAAUCAGCAUAAAAAUCCACAUAAUGUAGAUACUCCCCAGGAUCGUAUGCACACUAAACUAUCAAAACAAAUUCUGUCACUGCCUAGAUCGAGAAAUUCGAAGUCUAUAACAGGAGAAGCAAGCUGGAAGAAAUCUGCAGAACGAAUACAGAAGCAAACAGAAACAAACCUGUAGAAAUCAACGGAUUUGAUCUUGCUCGUGGAGACCAUCUUCUUCGGAUAAGGAGUCAACUGGAAAAACACGAGCUGCUUGGGGCUAAUUCUAAAAGCUUCGGGACGGGACGAAGCACACCUCCCUCCUUGCGAUUUAUCUUCAGCGUUCAGAUUUGAAACUCUCUCCCCCGAUCGCUACAAAAUUACAACACUAGUCCUCUCUGAUUUGAAACCUUUCCCAUUUGACCCAAAUGGUUUUAUCAAAAACAAUUUCAUACCUUAUCGUCUCAGAUGUUACAGUCAAAAAGUCAUUUAUGAUAUUCGGCGUAGGAUCAGCCUACUGAAAGCAAAAAACUAGCCUAUUCAAUUAUUCAUGUUUGUAAGUUUUAACCUUCUGCGCUUUGUAAUAGUAUAGUUAAAAUCUAAUGGUUGUUUUUGAGUUGUUUUUAAUUAGUUCCAAAUUCCAAAAAAUAAAAAAGCAGAUAUAGUAGUCUAUAAAUUAGAAAACGUAAAAUAAGCCCCUUACUGUUGUUCUCAGUCUCUGCUUUGGCUACCAACCUUGCGAGGAUCGUAGCAUUGAUAGAUCAUCGAUCGUGUAAGAUCAUUUAUCAUCAUUAGUUAUUCUUCUUGUUAUAGAUUCUGGUUCAGCGUUUUUAUCGAUCCUCUCUCGGUUGACUAGCUUUCUUUUAGGAUUCAAUAUGCAUGAAGGUUUUUAUGUUUUGGUCAAAUUAAGCUACGAAAGGAAAAAUCAGCUAAGUCAAGAACAGAACAGUUCGAAUUUCUUUCAAGAACAUCAAAAGUUCCAUAGAACAUUAUUAUUUAAGGGAUACAUUCUCUCGUUUUUGUUCUCUUCCUAAUCCUCUGUUCCGAUUUUUGGGUUCCCGAUCAGAAGCAAGAACUAACAAACUACGUAAAAGAAAAUGACAGAGUCUGAAAAUGAUAAUAUUCUUCUCUUUAAACUUCAAGAUACUUGAUAGCCGUCUGAACAUCCUUAUCGCCUCUCCCGCUAAAAUUCAACACCACUCUGGUUCCAUCGGGUAACGUCGGACAAAGCUUCUCGAGAUGGGCCAACGCAUGGGAUGUCUCCAAUGCCGGGAUUAUUCCCUCCAACCGAGACACUCUCUUGAACGCUACAAGCGAGAUAUCAAGAAAACACAAUCUCAUGAGAUGUGAACAAAAACAUAUAUAGAGAAAGAAAUUGAUGCGACAAGUAAAAUACCUUCUAAGGCUUCCUCAUCGGUAACACUGUAGUAUUCAGCCCGUCCUACAUCUUUAAGGAAACUAUGCUCAGGUCCUACUCCAGGGUAGUCCAAGCUGUUAACAUGAACAUUUACUCUUUAGAAUGGAUGUUAAGGAAGACAAAAAACUAGCGGAUCUGUCAGGGGGAGAAGAAUCUCUUACCCGGCACUGAUGGAGUGUGGUUCAAUGAUUUGGCCAUCAUCAUCUUGAAGCAAGUAACUCAUAGCUCCGUGGAGUACACCAACAUCUCCUUUUGUCAAUGUGGCAGCGUGUUUGCCACUGUCCAAUCCAAAUCCAGCGGCUUCCACACCAAUCAUUCGAACCUCUGAGUCAUCGACAAAUUCAUGGAAUAGUCCCAUAGCAUUCGAACCUCCACCAACACAAGCAACCAGAACAUCAGGCUUCCCUCCCCAUUUCUCCAUCGCUUGUCUCCUCGUUUCUUUACCAAUCACGGCGUGAAAGUCUCUGACCAUCAUAGGGUAAGGAUGAGGACCCGCAACAGAUCCCAAUAUGUAAUGUGUAGUCUCCACAUUUGUCACCCAAUCCCUUAUAGCUUCUGAUGUUGCAUCCUUUAAAGUCGCUGUUCCAGAGUGGACUCCCCUUACCUACCAAGCACCAUAUGUAAUUAGAUAAACGAUACGAAAGCAUCACGACUUUUUUACGAGGUUUAUUCACAGAAUUCACAUCACCUCAGCACCGAGAAGACGCAUCCUAAAUACAUUAAGAGCUUGUCUCUCCAUGUCUUGAGCUCCCAUGUAGAUAAUACAUUGCAAACCGAAACGGGCACACACGGUUGCUGUGGCUACACCGUGUUGACCAGCUCCUGUCUCUGCGAUAAUCCUCUUCUUUCCUAAACGCUUGGCGAGAAGAGCCUGAGCCACCGCGUUGUUGAUCUUGUGAGCCCCUGUGUGGUUCAGGUCUUCUCUUUUGAGGUAUAUGAGCGGUCCUUCACCGUUUUCUCGGCGGUAAUGCUCCGUGAGCCUCUCUGCGAAGUAAAGAGGACUUUCCCGACCCACAUAGUCUUUCAAGAUCUCUGCCAAUUCUUUCUACAGGUUCAUCAAACACUAAUUAGACCACUACAAACGAUAUAACCAAAAAGGCUUCCACAUUACAUCACGCAGAAGCAUGUUCCAUCUUGGUUCCAGACUUUUUUUGGCAAAUGACAAACAGAACCGAUUUCACCCACAUGCCCUAAAAGGCUAAACUUUUGUUUGUUCUAUGGAUUUUCAUUUCGCAUCCAAGAAAAGUUCAAAACUUUUCGCCAAUCAUUGCAGUGAUGACACUUAAAAUCACAAAGCCACCAAAGCAAAAGUUCAUUCGAGAGUUUCUGAAUAAGACAUUACAACAAAAGAACUAAGAAGCUUCCAUUUUGCAUUUCCAGAUUGCAUCACACAGAAGCUAGUAUUGCUGAAAGAUAUGAACCAGAUGCCCUUAGGCUGUUUUGCAUAAUUUCAUUAAGCAUUGGAAAGAAACAAAUCCGUUUUAAACAUUUUCCGACUCAUGCCAAUGACAACGCUUGAAUCAGAAAACCGCAAAGCAAAAAAAAAAACACCAUUUUUAAUGGAAACAAACAAGAUCAGAACAAAAGAAGUCGACUUGCCUGAAAAUCGUCGUCGGUGGCGAGCGAAUAGAAAGCCGUUUCGAGCUCGGAGAGGGCGUGCAUAAGGGUCUCAGGGACGUACUUCCCGCCAAACUUCCCGAACCGACCGAACGAAUCGGGUCGUUGCCACAGGGUCGAAUCAGAUCCAGCGACCUUUGUCUUCUCCGCCUCCGCCAUGCGAACAGCCGGGUCCUUGGCGAUGGUGCAGGAGACAGAGAACGACGAAGACGACCGCGAGCGAGACGAUGGCAGAGGCGUAAAUUGGGGGAGUUUGAAGGGCGAUCUCAGAUGGGUCGAUUCGGAAGAAGCUGAAAUGGACGGUCUGAACGUAGCAGCGGUGCCUGAGGUGGUCAUUACUGAAUCUUUAUCUAUUUCUCAAGACAAUUUUUGUUUUUUUUUUGGCUCACAAAACCUUUGAAAGUGAGGGGAUUUUUAUAGAUUCGUUUAAAAUCAAUGUGUCAGUUCUGUGACCAGAUAUUCAAUAAAAAUACAGAAAAGAAUCGGUAUCACAAUAAUUUAAUAACAAAAUUCAAGAGGAGGUUGGUAAGAAGAGGGCGGUGUACAUUUUUGGGGGUUGGAUGUGUUUAUCACAUGCUUUUUUUGGGCAAAAUGAUUUCUAUAAGUUUCUUUAGAGUUGCUAUUUUGCUAAUAAUCCAUUACUGCAUCUGCAGGAUUUAAUCAUUUUAUGUAAUAGUUUGUAAAUAUUUCCUUGUUUUCAGGCUUUCAGCUUCUGAUUAUCUGAUAGUUUUCGGAAGCUCACGGAAUAUGCAUCCAUAAUUAGAAUGGCAAUUAGCAAAUGAGACAAUACAUUUGGUAGGCCUAACAAUUGGCAUAAACCGCUCGUUACAAUAUAGUGACCACUUGACUUGACUAUCAUCAUUUGGUUGAUUUACUCCUUCGAUUGUUUUUUUUUUUCUUUCUAGUUUUGUAUUAAUAGAACAAUCAUUUUGGAUUUUUUCUAAGAAGUUUAAAUUAUUUAAAUUAAAAGUAAAAUGUGCUAUUUUAGACAGUUAUCCUUUUCGUAUGAUCAUUACACUAAUAACUUAAUAGAUACUUUAGAUACAACGCCGGAAACGUCAUAUGUGAUGACUUACUGGUAAGUGCGUCUAACCGGUUUGGUUGAUCAUUGAUGGAUUUGACCUCCCUUGAUAUUCGAUUUUUAAUAUUUUUAUGUUUCCUUGAGGCAGUAAGUCAGUAACACAUUACACAGUUAUGAUGGCUACAGGGAAAACAUAGUUGUUUGGUUUUAUAAAAAACAUAGUUAUGGAUUCAGUUUUGGGCCUGGUCAAAAUGUGAUCAUAGGCCAAAUCAGAUGUUUGGUUAGCUUAGAUAGAAUUGAAAGACCAUAGAACAUGAGACAUUGAGACGUAUCGUGAGUGAUUCUUCUCGAUCUCGCUUUUUUAUCCUUCCGUCUCUAUUGAAAACACUGCAGUUGAAGUGGUCCAAAACGUCCAAAACCAUACCGAAACACCGAUUUUCCGCGACAAAUGAAAAAUCCGGCACUGAAAAUAUAUUCAAAAUUAUUUAUUUAUCUUAAAUUUGAAAAAGAAAAAAAUUGGAAAAGCUAAAUUGAAAAAACAAGCGACUCAUUUCUGAUUCCAGUCUUAACCGUUACACUUUCCAGUGACAGAUCUCGUCUUUCUUCUUCAAUUCAUCUUUCUUCUUCUACGAUUCAGCACUCCUCUCGUCGGCGAUUCCGUAAUGAGCACACCUACCACGUCUGGUUCGGCGGCGAAGCCGACUAAACCAGCUAGGUCGUCGAGCGUGGCAGCUAGGUCAUCCUCCAAUUCCGGCUCCCUCACUUCUUUCCAAGCAAUGGUGGAGCUGAAGCAGAAGAUCCUCACCUCUAUCUCUAAGCUCGCCGAUCGAGACACAUACCAGAUCGCCGUUGAAGAUCUCGAGAAAACUAUCCAGUCCAUCUCUCCCGAAACCCUACCCAUGUUUCUCAACUGUCUCUACGAUUCCUGCUCCGAUCCCAAACCCGCCGUGAAAAAGGAGUGCCUCCACCUCCUCUCCUACGUCUGUAGCUUACAUUCCGAUUCCACGGCGGCGCAUCUCACUAGAAUCAUCGCUCAGAUUGUUAAACGGUUGAAGGAUUCCGAUUCCGGAGUUAGGGAUGCUUGCCGGGAUACGAUUGGUGCUUUGUCUGGGAUUUAUCUCAAGGGAAAAGAAGAAGGGAACAAUACCGGUGCAGCCUCGUCGGCGGUGGGUCUGUUCGUUAAGCCAUUGUUCGAAGCAAUGGGAGAGCAGAACAAAGUGGUACAAUCUGGAGCGGCAAUGUGUAUGGCUAGGAUGGUGGAAUCAGCCGCUAGUCCUCCUAUUGCUUCUUUCCAAAAGCUUUGCCCUAGAAUCUGCAAGCUGUUGAGCAAUUCCAGUUUCUUGGCUAAGGCUUCCCUUUUGCCCGUUGUUUCAAGUCUAUCUCAGGUUUGAGCCGAACCCUUAAUCUCUUUGUCAUGUGUAGACUAUGCGCUCUAUGCUUGCUGUGGUGAAAGGACGAAUAGGUUGAUUUUUGAACUUAAUGUUAGUCUUGAGAAGAAAAAAAAGCAUUAGUCAACAUGUUGGAAGCUUUAGUCAAUAGGUCAGUGUUUUCAUAUUGGGGGGCUCAACUGUAUGUUGCUGUUUUCUUAAAAAGAUGUUCUCUGGUAAAUAGGGAUAUAUAUACAUUUCAUCACCGGACCUCACUGCUUAAGGUUCAGUCUUGAUCCGACAAAUUUUUUCUUGGUGUUGCUGAAGUUUAUUGUUUUGUUUUGAUUUAAACUUGAUCUGGUGCAUUUUGGAGUUUAAGCACCUCUCUCUUUACUUCUGGUGAUUCAAUGCCAGAAGGUUUAGUGAUCUAACUUGUCUUUGGAACAUGAAGUAAAUAACAAUAACUCUGGUUCAGGUGGGAGCCAUUGCGCCUCAGAGCUUGGAGUCAUUGCUAGAAAGUAUUCAUGAUUGCCUUGGAAGUACAGAUUGGGUAACACGAAAGGCUGCAGCUGAGACCUUGACUGCAUUGGCAUCACAUUCAAGCAGUUUAAUUAAGGACAGAACAGAUUCGACUCUUGCCGUGCUUGAUACCUGUCGGUUUGAUAAGGUAGCUACGUUCUCUUUCUCUAAGUACUUUGAGGUUCAAUUCAGAACAAAGCCAAUUUCAGUACUACCGUGUUUGAAAGAUCAUAAGCUCACCAAUUCCUUGUGAAAUAUCGUAUGUCAUCAUCAGAUCAGUCAUUUUAAUUGGUUGUUGAUGGCGCUAGCGGGUCUUUCUCAUCAUUUGCUAUGCAAUUGAAACACACAAGCAAGUAGAUGAAAUUUCUCACAGAGCUCUUUCUUGUAAUUGUUUACUGUAAUCUGCAUAACUAAAGGACUUUUCAGUCAUUUUAUCACUUUGCUUACUAGUGAGCGUUUUAAUGGUGAACCUUUUGUGAAAUGCCCCAUAUAAACUUAGAUGGGAGUAUAUUUAUCGAAAAUAUAUUAGUUGGGUUAUGUAGUGUAUCUUCCCAAAACAGUUUAAUGAUGAUAUUUUCUUGGACAGAUUAAACCUGUCAGGGAAAGUGUGACAGAGGCGCUGCAGCUAUGGAAAAAGUGCUCUGGAAAAAGUGUAGAUGGUGCACCAGAUGAGUCAAAGAGUUCAUCUGGUGAGGAGCUUGGAUCAGAGAAGAACGGGGAGAAGAGGUCAAAUCUAGCUGAUCUAAUGAAAAAGGAGGCAUCCGAUGGUUCCAUACUCUCACCAGACACUGCUUCUAAAAGAAAAGGAGGUCUUCCUGAAAAAGCAGUAGUCAUGUUAAAGAAAAAAGCACCUGCCUUAAGUGACAAAGAGUUUAAUCCUGAAUUUUUCCAGAGACUAGAAAGAAGGCAAUCCGUCGAAGUAGUAGUCCCUCGUAGAUGUAAAAACAACGAUGAGGAAGAAUCAGGACUCGAUGAUCUCAAUGCCAGGGGAUCUUCCAAUCGCUCCAAGAACAUCCAAGCAGAUGAUCAUGGGUUUCCAGAUUCCAAGCUCCGCAACUUAGAGUCAGCGCGUGAUAAACAGGUAAAAAGUAGGUUUGAUGGGAACGGAUUACAGGCAGGGACAUCUGGUGAUGAUAAGACUGGUGUUGUAAACGGGAAAGAGACAGCUGGAAAUCACGCUGCUAUCUCCAAUACUGAUAACCAUUCUGAAGGAUCCUUCACAAGUAAUAGAGGAAAUUGGUCAGCCAUUCAGAGGCAGUUAUUGCAGCUAGAGAGACAACAGAGUAAUCUCAUGAACAUGCUCCAGGAGUUUAUUGGUGGCUCACAUGACAGUAUGGUGACUUUAGAGGGCAGGGUAAGGGGUUUAGAGAGGAUUGUUGAAGACAUGGCAAGAGAUCUUUCAAUAUCAUCAGGUCGUAGGACUAAUCUCACAGGUGGAUUUGGCAAAUAUAAUAGCUUUGCAAACUAUUCUAGUGGAAAGUAUAACGGCCGAGCUCCAGGAGACAGAGGCGCACAACCUGAUGGAGCUAUGAGGGGCAGGAUGUGGGGUUCUGACGUGGCGGAUGAGUGGUUUAUGCCUCCACAUGCUGCUUCCAGAAACGGACAAUCCGGGCCAAGAAGAUCACCCCGGUCAGAACAACACGAGAAUGAGCACAUGGGGAAUAGCAGGAGAGGUUGGGAUAAUAAAGCAGGUGGAACUAUUAGAUUUGGUGAAGGUCCUUCAGCAAGAAGCGUGUGGCAAGCUUCAAAGGAUGAGGCUACACUUGAAGCUAUUAGAGUAGCCGGCGAAGAUGGUGCAGUCACGCGACCAACCCGAGUGGCUGCUGUCCCUGAAGCUGAAGCCAUGGGAGAUGAAGAAAACGAAGGGCAGGAACGUGACCCGAUAUGGAGUUCAUGGAGUAAUGCAAUGCACUCACUGCGCGUUGGUGACAUUGACUCUGCUUACGCAGAAGUCCUUUGCGCCGGUGACCAGCACUUGAUCAUCAAGCUGAUGGACAGGACAGGACCUUCUCUUGACCAGAUGUCAAAUGAGAUUGCAAACGAAGCUCUUAAUUUCAUCGCUCAGUUCCUGUUGGAUCACAAUCUAUACGACAUCUGCUUAUCUUGGAUUCAACAGGUACCUCUUGUACAGGACAUUGGUUUCCAAGAAUCAUAUCGAUAUUUUGGUCUUAACCUAUCUCUUGUUUUUGCCAUAUGCAGCUGCUGGAAUUGGUUCUACAAGAUGGUGCAGACACAUUUGGAGUUCCAAUGGAACUGAAAACAGAGAUCUUGUUUAACUUACAAGACGCAUGUUCCACGAUGGAUCCACCUGAAGACUGGGAAGGUCCCGCGCCGGAACAGCUCAUGAUACAGUUGGCAUCAGUUUGGGAGAUCGAUCUCCAACAAUUUGACAAGUAAACAUGAGCUUGUGAUAGAUUCUUUUUAUGUUUGUUUCUUCCAUUUAAGAGUUUUCUUAAACGUGUAUGUCGUAUGUCUGCAAGGUACAGUAUUGUUGGAACAGACCUUGGCUUUAGUACCGUUGUUCAUAAUUUUCGUACACACAUGAUGUCGACUUCGAAAGGUUUUUCUUUUUUCUUUUUUGAGAUAAAUCGUAGUAGGUGACUUGAAUCGAUCAAUUAUCUUGUGGAUGUAAACCUGUUUAAAUGGCUCUGAUACUAAGUCAACUUUCUUCACGAUUAUGAGCUGCGACAUAUAUAAACAUAAUCCUUAAAAUGCAUGUUCUGUAUUUCGAUAUAUGUCAUAUUAUAGAUGAUCUUCUCGGUGGAAUAGAUAACAUAGCUGAGAUAAUGAGAACGGUCGGAGAUAAAAUUGGUAUAAGGAAGAGAACGAGGAGAGUGAAAGAAAUAGAAAAAAAAAGUUUAACUAUCAGAGCCAGGUUUCGAUCCUGGGACCUGUGGGUUAUGGGCCCACCACGCUUCCGCUGCGCCACUCUGAUUUGUUGAAAGCUAAUGAAAUAAAAUUAUUAAUAAAUAAAUAAAUUCUAUCUUCUCCUAUCUCUUUCGUGAAGAUGUAUAUUCAGUAUUCCCAACCGGAAGAGAAUUCCAAAAGAUCAAUAAAACAUUGAAAGAUGCGGCGACGACCAGGAAUCGGAGGAUUACAAACGGCCGCGGCUGCUCGGGUUUUGCUUCUAAACCAGAUUUGAUAUUCUCAUUCGUCGAAUCUAUUUGUUUCCAUUGUCACAUAUUUGUUGAUUUUCGCUAUAACUCUAUCCAUCAUCAAAAUCAGGAUCAGUACCGGUUAUUAGGAGAAAAUGUGGCCAAGCUACGGACUGAUAUGAUGAAAGAGCAGCUCGCCACGUUCAAAUCCCAGCUUGAAGAGUUCGCUCGUAAACACAAGGUCGAAUUUUUUUUUUUGAAAUUUAUAAUAUUGUUCAUUUGGUGGGUUUUCUGUUACAUCAUCCUCUCUUGAUUGCUUAUGAAGUACUAUGAUCACUCGGAUUAUGGAUUAGUGUGGUUAAUUUCACUAAAAAGGAAGCAUAUUUGCCUUUGGUUGCAGAAUGAUAUUCGUAAAAAUCCAGCCUUCAGGGCUCAAUUCCACGAAAUGUGUGCUAAAGUUGGUGUGGAUCCACUAGCUUCAAACAAGGGAUUCUGGGCUGAGCUCCUGGGAAUUGGUGAUUUCUACUAUGAACUUGGUAUGUUUGGUCUCUUUUCUGACAUGUUCUGUCCUAGUGCCAGAGAAGGAAUGCUUAUAUUGUUAGCUAUGAUUCUUAAGUCCAUGUUUGGAUAAGGGAACAUAAAGACAUGGAAUAUAUGUAGAUCUUUUUCUUACUUGGAUUCGCAUACGCCUUCUGUGAUAUGAGAACGUUGAAUGACAUUUCUCUGAAAAGUAGUAAAUUGAUCAAACAGGAGUUCAGAUUAUUGAGGUUUGCAUGCUGACAAGGUCACUCAAUGGAGGUUUGAUCAGCUUGCAAGAGCUCUGUAACCAUCUUCGCCAGAGAAGGAAAAAAGACCGUGAAGCUGUGACUGAAGAUGAUUGUCUUCGAGCUAUUAGCAAGCUAAAGGUAUUUGAAUUGUGUUUCUCUUUUUAGACUUUCAAAAAAGGAAAGUUUUUAACAGUUACUUCUCGCUGGUAUCUUUGGAUUUUUUUUCCUUAGGUAUUGGGUAGUGGAUUUGAGGUUAUCACCAUUGGCAAGAAGAAGCUUGUCCGUUCAGUCCCCACUGAGCUGAACAAAGACCAUAAUCAAAUCUUGGAGUUGGCUCAGGUUAUAAUCAUUUAUAUAACAAAAGAAAACAACUUUCACAUGUUUUGCAUUAUCUGAGAAGUUUUAACUGAACUUAACUUGAGAAUUAUGUUGCUUUGCCCACAGGGUCAAGGCUUUGUGACUGUGGAAGAGGUACAAAGACGGCUCACGUGGACAUCUGGUCGGGUCAUAGAUGCUCUCGAAACUUUGUUAGAAGUAUGCAUGUGCUAUUCAAUUGAUUUAUGUGAUUCAGUACAUAUGGUAUAUCCAGUGAAACUAAUAUGGUUCCUGAAAUUUGUGUAAUUUUAAAACUUGUUUUCAGGAGGGCCUUGCAAUGAUCGACAAUGGCAAUAAAGACGGAAAAUGUCAGUAUUGGUUCCCCUGUGUUUCUUCUGUUUAUUCAUUCGCUGGAUCUGAUACUUAAACUGCGACACUAUCUCUUUUGUUUUUGGUUUUACUUACACACUCACUCUUUAUUGCAUAUAAAGUAUGGAAAAAAAUUCUUAUCAGUAUAUUUCAUAAAUUUUCUUGUACAUGUAUAGAAUAAAUAAUUGUUUUUCAUACACGGCAUUCGGUUUGUAAAGAUUGGUUAUGCUUGGUUGUUGGAGAUCUCGGUUUCUUCCGUCCAGUCGGAGUUUGGCUCGCUCCAUGACCUUGGUCUCACCCCUAGCUGGAAAUACAACACCAUCUCCAAUGCCUCAAAGACCUUACUUUCAUCCAAAACCUUGUUCCAUGCACCACUCACUAUGCAGUAAUUGUUGUUAUACGGUGCUCGGUGAUGUUCCGCGUGCUGUCUCCGUGAAACAAGCAGCCCCAUGUCCUGCAACGCCACCACGAGAGGUGGAAGCUUGCUCUUGGUUCCAUGAGCCCAAGCAUGGAAUUGCUGGCUAAACAUUAUGCAAAAUGCAAAUGUGCUCACAAAGCCAUGAACCACAGGGUCAUUAAACGCAAGGUCUAUUGGGAGAACUGUGAAGGUUAUGACCCGAGCCAGAGCGUGUAGAUUGUUGGCAAAUUGCCGUCUGGUGAUUGUCCAAGGCAACUUGUGGUGACCCUGAAAUGCUUCGAUUUGGGUUCCUACUAGAGGCGUUGACUCAUCACCGUAGUUAUCGAUGGCCCAGUGGUACACACCAGAGCCUAGAUCAGCUAAGACAUACCCUGCAUAACCGGCUAAAACUGGUUCGAGCCAGAGAUGAGAAUUAAACCCUCCAAUGAUGGAUUUAGCUAAAGAGGCAAACACGGUGGUGCAGCCAGCUGCAACCCAUAAGCGGUGGGUCCAUGUGGAUUGCAGAGAUGGGUCGUUGACCAGAGGAGGAUUCACAAAGCGUUUCUCAACCACAAGCUUCUCAAGGUUAGGCUGAGGCUUGGUCGUGGUAGUAGCAGAGCACGUGACACGAACACGGAGAAGCGACGAACGGUGGCUUCUUGGAACGUUGGUGAUGGGUCUUAGAGGGUACUUGGUUUGAAGUGAUACAGCCAUUGAAAGAGAUUACAGGUGAUAAGCUAUCAAAUUUCCUUAGUUUUUGUCGAAGCUUAAACCAAUGAUAGAGGAAGAGAUUACGGCUCAAGUUAUGUUUGUGGUGUACGUCAGAGAUCGUGGGGCUAUUGUGAUCGCUCGUGAAAACUUAUAAUCGAAAAGUUGCAGAAUUUGGAUUCUUAUUUUGUAAAAGUUACCAACUAACACCCAACAUUUCAAAAGGUGUAUAAGCCCCCUGAAUACAUCAUUUGUACAAAAUCAUCACUCUGUUAACAAAUUACAAAUCACCUAACUAUCCAAUCUUAAUCAUUCAAUGGUUCCGUCGACGGAAAAAAAUAUUCAUUCAAUGGUUCCACAUGUUCAACACAGUUAUAAACAAAUAAGACUAGAAUGUUCUACUCCUAUUUAUUUAUUUAUUUUCCGUAGUCGUAGAUGUUUUGAGUAUUUUGUGCUGACAAGUGUGAGUUGUCAAAGUAAAUGAUAAACCAAUAAUUCAAUAAUUUAUGAGACUCAACAAGAAACCGAAAACCUCGGCACGUAAAAAUGAAGAACAAUAUCUCAUAGUAUCAGAAAUGAAUACCCAUUUUUCCAUUAAUAUCCACUUAGGCCAUUUUCCAUUAUUUGCCAACUUCUCCAUGUUCGCGUCACGUGCUCUACUACAAGUCUACAACCAUGAGCUAAACAUUUUAGUUUUUUUUUUUGUGGGUGUUAAAGUGAACAUUUUAGUUUUUGCAACCAACUAGUGGUAUUGAUAACUACUGUAAAUUAGAUAAAAAAAACUAUAUCUGUAAUUAAAUCAAACUCCAUUCUUGUUUUAUUUCUUUAUGAGGUUGCAAAUUUGCUUUCUGAUCGGAUCAAUCAAUUAGGGCGUAGGGAAUGUUUCAUUGGUUGGUUUUUUAUUUUUAUCUAUACUGUGGGAAGAGACUCUCAUGGAAAACGAAUACAAAAUCCGAAUUUGGGAAAAUAACACAUCUUUACAUAAGCCAAUUGAUCGGAAAUCGUUUUAUCUUCCAAGCUCCAUGAUAUACCCAUCUUGAGUUCUCCAUAUUGACACCAUACCCUCCUUCAUUGUUUCACUCAUAUUUGAUGGUGCGCCAGGAAUAAAAUAAUCUUGAUAUUUUUGUAUAUGGUGAUCUGGUUCCUUUGAUGGUGUCUGAUUUAGUUAUUUUUAUAUAUUCGUAAUUAAAUUAUUGGAUUUUUUUUUUGGUUAAACAAUUAUUGGAUUUUAUUCCGUAACUUCACGUUUUCUAUAAGUUUCACAGCUAUAAUAAUGCGCUAGCGUUCACAUUGCUCCAUGCUGAGGAGUGGACACGCAUCUCUAACGUACACGACCUAAUCUAUUCUUUUAACCAAAAAAAAUAAUUAAAUAAAUAAAGAAUAGAAGAAACAUGCAUGUUCCCUUAAUGAUUUUUUAACUAUGUCAUAAUCUCUUCCUGUACCGUUGUUUCUUAGCUUUGGAAAAGCCUACAAAUUUGAUAUCCUUCACAUUAUCACAUGUACUACUCUCUUUCAAAUUUCAAUGGCUGUAACUCUUCAAACCAAGUAUCCUAUAAGUCCCAUCACCAACAGCAUCCCAAGAACUCACCGUCCUCCAUCGCUUCUCCGCCUACGAGUCUCUUGCUCCGUUACUCCGGCCACCACCAAGACUCAGCCUAACCGUGAGAAGCUUGUGGCUGUGAAUCCUCAUCUUACCAACGACCCAACUCUGCAAUCUACAUGGACACACCGCUUAUGGGUUUCAGCUGGCUGCACCACCGUGUUUGCUUCUUUUGCCAAAUCCAUCAUUGGAGGGUUUCAUUCUCAUCUCUGGCUUGAACCAGCUUUAGCCGGUUUUGCCGGGUACGUUUUAGCAGAUCUAGGCUCUGGUGUGUACCACUGGGGCAUAGAUAACUACGGUGAUGAGUCAACGCCUCUAAUAGGAACCCAAAUCGAAGCUGCUCAAGGUCACCACAAGUGGCCUUGGACAAUCACCAGACGUCAAUUCGCCAACAAUUCACACGCUCUGGCUCGAGGCAUAACCAUAGCAGUUCUCCCACUUGUCCUUGCAUCUAAAGACCCUUUGGUUCAUGGUUUCGUGAGCACGUUUGCAUUUUGCGUAUUGUUUUGCCAGCAGUUUCAUGCUUGGGCUCAUGGAAGCAAGAGUAAGCUUCCACCUCUCGUAGUGGCCUUGCAGGACAUGGGGCUUCUCCUUUCACGUACACAGCACGUGAAUCAUCAUCGACCACCGUAUAACAGUUAUUGCAUAGUGAGUGGGGCGUGGAACAAGGUUUUGGAUGAAAGUAGGUUCUUUGAGUCAUUGGAAAAGUUGUUGUAUUUCAAGAUCGGAGUGAGACCGAGGUCAUGGAGCGACCCAAACUCCCAAUGGACAGAAGAAACCGAGACUUCCAACAACCUAGCAUAAAUCAGUCUUUCAAGAAAAAAUAAUUUCUUAAUACAUAUUUCAGCAUAAAUAAACACUCUUUUCCAUCUUUUGUUUAUUAUAUGUCAUGUUGUAAGAAUGUUCUUGCAUACCGUCUCAACUUAAUAAAAACACAUGCAAACACGAAAAUUUUCUUUUCUUCUUGUAAGCUCUCGAUUUUCUGAUUUGUUUCUCCAUGAGGAAACUCUUUUCCCACAAGCUUAAUUAAUGGGACAUAGUACGUUUUGCUGUAAAAAGAUCCAUAAAUCAAUAUUUGCAAGGUGCAUUGGUGAACAAAUUAAAUAAACUCUUAACGAUGAAUUAAGAAUUUAUUUGUUUAUGUACAAGAUAGCAGAUUUAAACCAAACAAGAAAUAAAUUCUUGAGAUAAAGCAGAUUUACAACAGCGUAAACACAUAAAUCAGCAUCUUCAACUCUCUUUUCCAUUUUUGCGUUAUUUUUAUAUUCCAUGUUGUAAAUUGCCUUGUUAAAAUGGUACGAACACAAGGUUCUCCUUUCUUUGUUGGAAUGAUUUUCGUAACUUUAGAUUCAAGUGUCCAUUUUUCUUAUUAAAAAAUCAUAGUUCUAUUUACUAAAAUAGAGAACAAAUCUAAGUUAUUCCAUCACAUCCAGAGUUUAAAUAGUUGUUAAUUACAAUCCAUACUGUGAAAAUAUAUUGUUUAAAUAAUAAAGUGAUCGAACAUUCUAAAUCAAAAUUAUAAGAAGAUAGAAAUACUAAAAUACUAAAAAGAGUGAGAAAUCGUCAAUAGUGAACAUAACUUAAUUAUAAUGCAUCACAUCGAUCAACUUUGGUUAUGUCCACGAGUCCAUCACUAUUUCCUUCAUUUUUUUUUUGGAAUGGCAUGGUGAAAUCUUCAUCAAAAUCUAAAAACAUAGUUAACUCAAUUUAUUAUAUUACAAUUAAAAGAAAAUUCACAAAGUUUAACAACAAAUAACAAUAACAUUGGGUCUUGACUAAAGUGUUAAACCAAAAAAAAGUUCUGUAAUUAAAUCGACACCAUUCUUGCUUAAUUCUACUUGUAUCAAUAAAUUAUCAUUAUUUUCUCAAAGCCGACAUUUCAAUUUGCAAUUAUUGAUUUAUGUUUGGUUGUUGUUGGAGAUGUUGGUUUCUUCUAUCCAUUGGGAGUUUGGGUCGCUCCAUGACCUCGGUCUCACCCCGAGCUUAAAAUACACCAUCAUCUCUAAUGCCUCAAAGAACUUACUUUCAUCCAAAACCUUGUUCCACGCCCCACUCACUACGCAGUAAUUGGUGUUAUACAUUAAUCGGUGAUGAUUCACGUGCUGUGUCCGUGACACGAGCAGCCCAACGUCCUGCAAGGCCACCACGAGAGGUGGAAGCUUGCUCUUGGUUCCAUGAGCCCAAGCAUGAAACUGCGGGCAAAACAAAACGCAAAAUGCAAACGUGCUCACAAAGCCAUGAACUACAUGGUCACUAAACGCAAGGUCUAGUGGGAGAACUGCCAAGGUUAUGCCUCGAGCAAGAAAGUGUAGAUUGUUUGCAAAUUGCCGUCUAGUGAUUGUCCAAGGCCACUUGUGGUGAUCUUGAGAAUCUUUGAUUUGGGUUCCAACUAGAGGCAUUGACUCUUCACCGUAGUUAUCGACGGCCCAGUGGUAGACACCAGAGCCUAGAUCUGCUAAGAUGUAUCCGGCAAAACCGGCUAAAGCUGGCUCGAACCAAAGAUGAGAACCAAACCCUCCAAUGAUAGAUUUGGCAAAAGAGGCAAACACGGUGGUGCAGCCUGCUGAAACCCAUAAGCGGUGGGUCCAUGUAGAUUGCAGAGUUGGGUCAUUGGACAGAGUAGGAUUGAUCACAACCACAAGCUUCUCACGGUUAGGCUGAGACUUGGUGGUGGUAGUAACCGAGCACGUGACGCGUAGACGGAGAAGUGACGGACGGUGAGUUCUUGGGAUGUUGUUGGUGAUGGGACUUAUAGGGUACUUUGUUUGAAGAGUUACAGCCAUUGAAAGAGAUGAUGUGAAAGAUAUCAAGUUUCUAGUCUUUUUCAAACGAUAAGGUGAAGAAGAAAUUACAUUAAAGUUAUGUUGUAGGGACUAUUGCGUUCGCUAGCCAAUUAUCUGCUGACAGCUAUGAAACUUAUAGAUUCAUUGUUUUUGAAGUUACUAACUAAACCCCAACAUUUAAAAGGUGCUAUGAGGCCCCCCAAAACCAAGACUACUCUUUUUUUUUUUUUUUUGAACAUUCCCAAGACUACUCUUCAGUCCAGAUUAUAUUCUGUUUUUCUUGUUUUUUUAAAAAAUAGAUUAUGUAUAAAUUGGUGUAAGUGCUUCUUAUGUAUGAGACUAUGAGAGGGUAAAUUUGAUCAAAAGUGGCCAAUGCUCUUAGUAAUUAGUAUAUAAGUCGAAAUAAUGGCCAAAUUGCCUAAUUGAUUUGAAGCUCGAAGGGGUAAUUACUUCGGGGCUUCAAACUCUAUCAGAAAAAGAGGAAUUACAUCCAAAAGAAAAAUUAAAUAAAUGAUAACAAGGUAGCAAGUGUCAGUAAGUCCACCAAAUGAUGGUUAAACGAGAGAUAGAUUGUAGAUACAUUUCAUCAAAAUAAAUCUUACGAGAUCGAAAAAUGAAAGUUUCUUGAUUACCUGUAUUUUUUUUUCUUAUGAUCUUUUGUUGUUUAAAGAUUUAUACGAUGGGGAAAGGCUAUUAUUUUCGGUGUGCAAUAUGUUUUUUUUUUACUAGUAAGACGAGAUUUAGUCCAAAGAAAUGAUGCAAGAUUUAUGAGGUUAAAGUUAAACAAUGAGUGUAAACAUUUCUUUCACGAAAGGAAAAAUUUGUCACUAUAUUUGGUAGAGUUUGGAAUGAUUAGAGUAGACUCUGGUAUAUUCGGAUUGUUUGUCUUAUUCAAUAUUUUUAGCGCGAAAUCGAAUAUUAUGUUAAAAAGACAUAAAUAUGAAAUUAAAAUAAGUUUCAUUAUGAAAAGGGAAAAAAAAAUGUCAUGACAUGUAUGAUAUCUGAAGAUUGAAGAAUAUACCGAAUAAAUACGCAAAGAAAGAAAAGACAAGUCAUGGACGAUUGGAAAAAUUCAAGAGUUACGAAUUCGACACGUAAAGGGAGACACCGCCUUAAGGCGUUAACAAUGGCGGCUUCAUCGUCUCCGCGCUUCUUCUUCGCCGUCACCUUACUGCUUCUUCUCACUGUUUCAUCUGUGAAACUUCCAUUUCACCCUCGGGACCUGCUCCCGCUUUUGCCCAGGCAAGUCUCGUGGCCGCUUCUCAACUCUCUCAACUCCGCCGUCGAUCUCCUCCCUUCUUACAUCGGCGCCGCCUCUCUUAAAAACGACGCCGUCGAGUGGAAAGGUGCUUGCUUUUACGAGAACAAGGCUUGGUUGGAGCUCAAUAACAAGUCCGGUUCCGAAUUCGGCGGCGGAACACUUCACAUUAAGGUAUAGAAAUGAUCAAUUGCAUCUUUCCAAGGUUUGAUUUUGAGGGAUUUUGAUGAGGUUCUUAGAAACUUGGGAUGUUAUGAUGAAAGCUCACAGAUUUUAGUUUAUUCCAUUGUUAAAGGAUGAAUUUUUUCUUUGUAAGCUUCGUCCUGCAUCAGUAGUUACUAAGUUCCUUUUGCUUAGCUUCUACUUUUCUAUAUGAUCCUGGGAAGCUGUAUUGAAUUGAUGAAUCUUAAAAUUGAUUCAAGCUAUUUCGUGUUUUAUGUAGGUCGAUAAGGCACAUAGUUGGACUUGCAUGGAUAUUUAUGUCUUUGUGACUCCAUAUCGUGUGACAUGGGAUUGGUACUUCGUUUCGAGGGAGCACACCAUGGAAUUCAAGGAGUGGGAGGGAAAAGCCGAGUAUGAAUAUGUAAGCUGCUGGUUUUUGUUUUCUUGUCUUUUGACGAUAUCUUUUUGUUUUGUCCAUUGUAGAAUUAACUUUUGUUGCCUUUCGUGCUCACAUUUGAUCAGGUUAGGCGGAAAGGAGUUUCGAUAUUUCUCAUGGAAGCAGGGAUGUUGGGAACUCUCCGAGCUCUGUGGGAUGUCUUCCCUCUCUUUACCAACACCGGUUGGGGGGAGAAUUCUAAUAUCGCAUUUCUUGAGAAGCAUAUGGGUGCUAACUUUUAUGCUCGUCCUGAACCUUGGGUUACAAACAUUACUACCGAUGAAAUCCACUCCGGAGACUUGCUAGCUAUCUCAAAAAUCCGUGGGCGUUGGGGUGGGUUUGAGACCCUUGAGAAGUGGGUAAGCGGAGCCUAUGCUGGUCACACUGCUGUCUGUUUGAGGGACUCUGAAGGGAAACUCUGGGUCGGUGAAUCCGGGAAUGAAAAUGAAAAGGUAACACUUUAAAUGCUGGAUGAAAUAGUUUUAACUUAUUGAGAAAAAUGAUAUAGCCAUUGAGUACUAAUUCUUGUUCUGGGUAUCAUUAUAUGAUCAUUUCUGCUAAGAACAAGCUAAACUGAUAUGUUUGAACAUCAUUGCAAUGGUUGAUGAGUAGCAUUUUAAUAGUUGAUCUGAGUUUGAUAAGUCUUGUAUAUAUUUUACUUUACAAGUGACUUCUUUUCAAGCCAAUAUUGUAAGACUGAUUUUUUUUUUUUUUUUUUUUGUGUGGAACUUCAUUUUCUUCCUGUAUAUUUUAUGCAUUGCAUGAAUUCCUACCUGUCUUCUUGUUUGAACUUGUGUGUCGUAGGGAGAAGAUGUAAUAGCGAUAUUGCCAUGGGAAGAGUGGUGGGAGUUUGAACAAACCAAGGAUGACUCAAAUCCCCAGAUUGCAUUGCUACCGUUGCAUCCUGAUUAUCGAGCCAGGUUUAAUAAUACAGCUGCAUGGGAAUAUGCUCGCAGCAUGGAUGGUAAACCAUAUGGCUAUCACAACUUGAUCUUUAGUUGGAUCGAUACCAUCAGCGGAAACUACCCACCCCCUCUGGAUGCUCAUCUUGUAGGUUUCCAUUUGCUUAAAACUUUGGCAUUGAUGAAAAUAUGAGCUUCAGUUUGUGUCUUUCUUGUUCUCUUUUUAAACGCCUUCUUUGAGGUUAUUGACUCCCUGCUCUGUAUUUUUUUUUUCUUUUGUUUAUAUGUUUCUAGGUUGCUUCUGUCAUGACAGUUUGGAGCAAAAUCCAGCCUGAUUAUGCUGCUAACAUGUGGAAUGAGGCCCUUAACAAGCGACUUGGAACAGAGGUAUUAGCAUUUUGCUCAUUCAAUUAACUUCUUCAAAAAUGCCUGAUCAAAUUUGUUUAUUACUUUUCUCUUUUGGGUUCUAUGGAUGAAUAAAAAAUAGAAGCCUUUAGAUUUGGUCAUUGGCUCUUGGCACAUAAAACCAUAUGCUUUUAGAUUUUUCUUUUCUUUUUCUUCAGUGAUCAUUAAUUUUUUUGGGUAAACAGAGUAAUCCUAGCUGAUAAGUAACGUAAUGGCAUGUAUUGUAUCCUUUUAUAUGUAGUAAGUGCAUGUACACCAGUUUCACAUGAAGGAUACAUUUGAAUAUUUGAUUCAUCUGUACUCAACUUAAAUGCAUAUAAGAGGAUACAUUUUCUUUAGUUCUUUCUCUGAAAUGUUCUAAAAUGGCAGGGUCUUGAUCUUCCUGAUGUACUGGUGGAAGUCGAAAAGCGUGGAUCCUCUUUUGACGAGUUGCUGGCAGUUCCUGAACAAGAUGAUUGGAUAUAUAGCGAUGGGAAAUCAACUUCUUGUAUCGCUUUCAUCCUCGAAAUGUACAAAGAAGCUGGCUUGUUUGAUCCAAUUUCUAGUUCCAUUCAAGUCACAGAAUUCACGGUGAGGACCAACCUAUGCAUAAUCUAGAAGAUACCCACCUACACACACACACUGAACAGUGGUAUCCAUUUUUGCAGAUCAAAGAUGCUUACAUACUCAAGUUUUUCGAGAACAAUGCAAGCCGUUUGCCCAAAUGGUGCAAUGACAAUGACGAUGUAAAGCUUCCGUACUGUCAAAUACUAGGGAAAUACAGAAUGGAACUUCCCGGAUACAACACUAUGGAGCCAUACCCGCAUAUGAACGAACACUGCCCGUCUCUGCCUCCAAAGUAUCACAGACCAUCGAACUGCUAGAACCAACAUAUUAAAUGUGUUCUGUUGGUUAGGAAUGUCUUCGUGUUAUGAUUCGCGAAUUAGGUGAAAAUAGUUCACUUUAAAACAUUUGAAAACAAAAAAAAUACCAUUGGUAAGAUUCUGUAUAUUUUUGUAUAUAAAGUAGCUCACAGACAUACAUCUUCCAUGGACUCAGAUUCAGAGCAAACUACUGAAAGUGGACAAGCUGGGAUCUUCUGAUUGCUAUACUCUCAUUUUUUAUGGAAACUCACUCGAUUACAUUUGUCAUUGAUACAACAAAACUUAACAUUGUUUCACAUGUAUAAUAAAAAGCAUCUUAUGUCAUUGAUAAAACAAAACUGAUUUGAUUUGGAUGAUACAAUACGAUGACUAAGUCUCAACUAAACCUCUUUCCCAUUCAAAUACAGUCGACAUGUCAAAACUUUUUUGAAGUAACACCUGUUGAGAGUCCCGUGGCGUUUCUCCAAGCAUAUCAGAGAUUAUCACAAAAAGGUGUUGGCACGCAUGGAGUUCAUCAAUCUUUUCAAGAUCCGUGGCCGAUUCCAGUGAAAGAUCCUUCCACGCCUGAUAAUAUGACCUGUAGAGAAGAUUCCGGUCAAGCUUUGGAACGAUGAAAAAGCUCAGGUGACUGAACAAUAGAGGGAUCGUUUACCAUCUCCAGGCUGGAGUAGCCUCAGGUGGACUACUUAUUCUAGAACACAGAGAUUUGAUGAGCUUGUAAUCGCCUUUGGACUCUGAACCUAUACAGAAGAAUAGCAAAAUUUCAACUUACAAUUGAUUGGCAGAAACACGAGAGCAUUGGGACAUACAGAUGUAAGUCAACACCUAGGAAAAAAUGUCUCUAAUACUGUUUCAGCAGAUAUUCUAUAACCAACGAAAAUUCAUGCAGCAAGCUUCAUUCCGAUAUCAAAACUCAAACAUAUUUCAUUCCGGAGGUCGUUUCUCAUUCAAAGCCAAGUAAUCCUUAGAAUAAGAGUUAUGUAAGUAGGUAAAAAGCAGAAUACCUGCAGUCCCGAGGCCAUUACGAAGAAGCAUGAGAGAAAGUGCACAUACAACAGAGGGAAGAACCCCAUAGUUUGUACACAUAAGUUGUUGGAGGUGUACGAUUACUUCCCCUAUUACGUGCUCUGACUUUGUCUCGCUGCCUUCGAGAUUCCUUGUCUUGAAGUAUUCUAACAAUGUCAGCAAAGUUUCUGGCUUUGUUCUACUUAAGACUGUCGGGUCCGAAUCAUUAGCUUUAGAAUAAAGCUUCCCAAGAAUUACCGAAGCCAACAGCCAGCGUAGAAACUUUGCUACCAUAGUCUCCGCUUGUGGUUCUUCAGUGAGUGUUUUGGCAUCUUGAUGAGACUCACUUGGCUUAGAUCCCUUUUUAAGGUCACUCUUCAAGGCUAUGGAGGUUCCCCACAAAAGAAAUCUUCUCAGCUUGUCCACAUCCUGAGUGAUAUCGUAUGAAAUAAAAAUGUUAACUCUUCAAAACAAAUCGGAGGGAUGGAAGUCAGAGAAAGAGAGCGAGAGAGAGAGAGAGAUACCAUGCAUAUAAUGUCAACAGGAGGGGUGCUCAUUAAUAUAGUAUUGAGCCCAGACUCUGCACUAGCUUCAACUUGAAGAGAACCACAAUUAGCAACAGCCUCAAAUAGUUGGAAUACCCCCUCGACUGUGAUGGUGAAAUGUGGCUGGUACAUUUUUCGUUUCUGUGAUAUCUUUAGAGUAGCAGAUAGUAUCUGCAAAAUUAAAUCAACCAAAGUACCAUUUUCUUGUACUGAAACCAAUCCACCACCUAAAAGUCUGUAUAAACGCGAUGAGAUUUCCAUUAGUUCUUCGAGGGCAAAUCGUUGCAACCACUCUGUAACGUUUCUGGAGGCGAGAACAUCAGUCAUGACCUGAUACAACAAUAUCACAAAUCAAUUCAAUUAACGAAUAAACUAUUCUACAUUAGGACCCUUGAUGCAGAACAGACAAUAAUCAUGGUUGACUUCAUCAUCAUAUUCUAUAGAUUUUUAUUUGCAAAUAUGUAUCCAAUCAUCCGUUGUACAUUUAAUGGAAUAAUACUAUACACACCUCCAAGACAACUACCAAGCGCAAAUCUUCGUCUCCAAUGGGCUUUGUAGUAAACGUUGAGAUUAAUGAUGACAACCAUGAAAACAGACCACAUUUUUCAACGAGAUGUCGGACCAUCUUAUGGAAUUUGACCGACUUCCUCACAACCUGAAGAGUGAAAGAAAGACGAUUUUUGUCGGGUUGGAUUAGGAGCUCAAGUAGAAAGACUAAAUAAAUAUAACUUUCAGAAUUAGGCUUAUAUUGAUAUAGAAGAAGGAACUGCAUAUACAGGUGCAAAAUAAACACGAAGCGACAUUAAGGAAAGAAAGUAUUACCUGAAGAAUUAGUCCUUUAGUUUCAUCAUCAGCAAGAGGAGAUGAGAAAACACUCAUCAGUUCCUCAAGGAUGGAGUUUCUAAUGUAAAUGUGAGCAUCAUCAUCUGACUUCAAGCCCACACACAGUAGGCGAAGUUCCCAAAGCCUCUGUGAUCUAGAGUUAAAAGCGCUGCUCCAGAAAAAAUCAAGGAACAAUGGUAUUCCCUAACAAAGACAAAAAAUCAAAACAGUUUGAAUGCUGGCGAAGUGUAAAGAAUAAAGACAAGAUUUUACAGUUUUCAGAGAAUAAUUACCCUCAGCUUCAUUGUAGAUGAGCUCUUCAAAAAUUUAACUAUGGGAACAUAAUGUUCGUGAGAAGAAUCCAACAAUAUCAGAGAUGUCUCAGAGGCAAAAACAGCAGAAACAGUUGGGAUUCUUUGCCAUUGUUCCUCAACUCCAUUUUGCACAUGCAAAAGUAGAAGCCUAAUCCCGUCCUUUACAUGCUUAUUCAUUUUACAACACUACAUCAAAAAAGAUUUAGUUAAACAAAGAAAUUCUUAACCGUGUUUUCAGAAGCAAUUUAACUUUGGCAUAAUCGAGAACAAAUCUGACAAAUGCCUUGGCAAAACCAAUUACGCACAAAAAAGAAAAGGAUUGGCAGCCUUAGGAUCCAAAACUCCAACAAAAUAAAUACUUCUGUUAGCUAGCAGUUGCAAAUACAAAUUCUCUGUGCAGAUAGCGUAAGCCAAAAUAUUUAUUUUCCCAUCUUUUGUAGCAUUGACGUCACUGAGAGAAACAUUUACGAAAGGAUAGAUAAUACCAAGACAUUCUUGAAGAAAACUUGUCAUAGCUUAAAAUAACUAUUACCUCAAGGGCGUCCAAAAAUAUCUCAAGAGUUUCAUAGCCCAAUUUUCUCAUCCCAAUAUCUGCUGAAGACAUGCUCACAAACGCAACUGCAAGCAAGCCUAAACUGGCGAAUUCAACAGGUUCAAUAUAUCUCAUGGACAACGAGUGUACUGAGAAUGGUAGGAUGAAAGCCGGAUCAUAUAGUUCAAUGUCUUCAAUAACGGUUGAGCAUUUCUACACAGGGAGGAGAAAUUAGUUUGAACGAUGUUUGUACAUGCAAGUAAUAGAACUUAUAACUGAAAAUUAAAAUUAAAGACGGGUACUACCUUGCUUAUUGGAUCAUAUAGGCAAGAGUUAUCCGAUACUUCUGGAGUUCGUUGAUUAGGAAAAUACAAAACAGUUAGAGCACAUCUUUUGGGAUCCACACAAAGAUUCUCUUUAAAAAGACUGUGCCGGAGAUUUUCCACUUUAUCAGCUUCACCACCGUCAGAUGCAUCCUGAGAGAAACGCAGCCCCUCUCUGAUUUUCAAGGCAGCUUUACCCCACAAAUGACCUGUUUCUGAAACAUUCAGCCUAUGUUCGUCAUCAAUCAACUCAAUAUCAUGCAUCAACUUGUAGAGUUCUAAGUCGAUUUCGCUCAGAGUUGCACCAUAAGAACACAAAAGAAGAAAGUGCAGUUCUUUCAGAUUGAUUCCUGAAUCAGUCCCACAUUUGGAGAGCAGAAUUCUGAGAAUUUUGACAAUUUCUAACUGCUUCACGUAGUCAGGUGCUUCGAGACAACAACUUCCAACUCCGACAGAAUUUGGACUUGGGAUGAUAAGAUACUUUAGAAUGCUGGAGGCAGGCCUAAAUAACUCACCAGUGUGUGAGGAUAAAAUGGAUAGAGAACUGAUAGUUGGUGUAAACUGCGAGUGAGAUAUUAGGAGUUGGAUAUAUGGUGCAUACGAGUACUUUCCUCUAGACAAUAAGGAGAAAACUUCCCUCAGUAUCUUUAGUGUCUUCGAGUCCUCAAAUCUAUACAGAAGAACUGAUUUCAUCAGUUUCUCCAGGAAAGGAAGGGAAUCCAAGUGAACAAGCACCUCGUACAUGUCUUCCAAAAACUGUAGAAGACUUCUCAGAAUGAAGUUUUCAAGGCUUUUGCACAGGAACCGACAUUUGUUUUGUUUCCCUUCGGAAUUCCCUUUAAAAGAACCAUCAGAUCUCUUGACAACACAUUGCCAACUAUUAACUAAAGCAUUUAGUAAUGGCUUUAAUAAUCUUUCUCUGUUGGAUCCCAUUUCUGGAGAACUUUCCUUCAUACAACUACCUGUUUGACGUUCAAAAUGACACAUACGUUUAUCCUCAGGAAACAAACAGAUCCUUGAAAGUUCUACUUUUGCAAUGACACGGAUAGCAACAUUAAACACGUACUCUACUGACUGAACGUCCACUUCUUUUAACUCGUAAUCCAACAUCUCUUUGCCAGCACUAAUGUGAGGAAACAUGGAAUGGAAUACCUUUAAUAGAUCGUCUGUUUUAGUUGGACUUUCAGUCAAGGCAAAGUGAUGCUGAAACAUACGAACUGCCUUCCCAAGAAGACUUGCAUCAAACAUAGUGUCGAUAUCCUCAGUCGACGACGACAGAAGAAUCUCUUCAUACUUUUCUUCAAAGAUGCACCCAGACAAAAACUUCGGCCACUGAAGAAAACCAUUGCAUAGUAUAUUUGAAUAAACUGAAGUUAUAUCUAAACAUCUACUACACGGCUUCUCGAGUUUUGCAAAAACUGAUGUCCAAUACGAUAGCACAGCAGGCAGAAGCAUGAUAAACUGAUCAUCUGUAAGCGCAGAGUCAUCCUGUUUCUUACUUAGCAUCCUACAGAAAAAGUGUCCAAAGACAGCCAGAUGCAAGGGACUGGACUCCACAAGAUAGAACAAUAUCUUGGUUCUGGUCAUGCUUGCCCGGAUAAUGCAAUGGCUAAUCAAGUCUUCAGGGGUUCUCCCAACAAUCUGUGAAAUAAUCAAGGUCAACGGGUGAACGGUAUAAUUCUGAUUGUGUUUCCCCCUGAAAACACCACUCCCAACUUUAAGCAAACAGAUAUCUGCCGAAUCCAAACUAAAAGAGGUAGAAAACUUGCAUGCCAUGCCAUAGACUUCCUCGAUGAGGUUACUGUCAUAAUUGUUUUCUUCUAAUUCCCACAGCAAAUCAUAUACCUUUCUCUUAGCAGCCGGCUGCUGUGAAUAUAAUAUAAGCAUUUCAAAAGCUCUGCCAGCAAUAUCCAAUCCCAAACUGACGAUCAUACUCAAAUUUGGGCUUGUCAAUUCUUCCACAUCAAUCAGCAUGGAACGAGCAAGAUUUAAAAGUUUAAAAGGUGAUAUAAAUCUCAGCAAAGCAUGAAUUAUUUGUGUUGUUUGGAGAAGAGGAGCGUAACUUUGAGAACCAACACAAAGCUUCAACUUGACCCUGAAUUCCAAGAGAAGCCUUUCGACCAAGUCCUUAAAAGCCUUAAUUGACUUGUUUUCCCUGAGGUCCCCUUUCUGCACAAUGUGUUUCUCAUCAAACAAAAAGUGCUCACAAGUAGAAGCCAAUAGAUCAAGGAUGUGUUCAUCUAUUUCACUAAUAACUAGCCUGCCCGUUGUCAGCGAAGUUUCUGAAAAAAUUUCAACAUUCUGCACUUGAGGUAAUGUGCUACAAUCCAAGGGACUAUCUAACAACGCCCUCACAACUGGAUGGCAGAGAACUGUCUGUGCCACUUGAUCUUUCCACAUUGCAGAAGACGCAAGCAGGUUAUCGGAAGAGGGUCCAGAAACAAGCUCCGGUUCUAAUAUUUGAGAGAACAAGUGCUUCAUGAGACGUAAGCAGAUCUCAGAGAGUUGACAGAGUACCGGUGCUGGUUGAAUCUUGCAAGUUGAUCGUAUUUGGAAGAGCCAGUACAAUAUCAAUUGGAUAUUUGACUCAAAGCUAUCACUUUUACUCUGCGAAACUUUUAGCAACAGUAGCUCUGAUAUUCUUGGAAACUCUGGUAAGGAAGAUAUAUCCAUGCUCAUAAUUGCGGCAAGUAAUACAUGAAAAGAAGCCUGCUCUGAAAACAUAGAGAAGGCAGAAGAUUCAAUAUCACGAUCCAUCUUACGUUUGAUUUCUUCGGUUAUCAAUGAGGGGUCAGAAAAAUCAAUCUCACUCUCUUCCGUUCCUUCUUGUAGAUUUCUUGAAUCAGUAAGUUCAGAACCUCGUGCGAAUAAGUCAGGCGAUAGCUUUGAAAGGUUUCCGAGGAAAUUUUCCUCUAGAUAGGUGAUGGACUGUAAAAAUGAGAAUGGUAUUCCGUAAAAAGCCGAAGAAACAGCCAUCACACGAGCAAAACUUUUCAAGACCGAUUCAGGUGGUGCACAUAUCAAUGCAUAAGAGAACGCUUUAACUAUUCCUGCAAUUUCAUCCGGAGAAAUGCUUCUCACUAGUCCUUUGAUCUCAUCAAGAGAAUCUGCAAAAGAGUUGUCAGCAAGUAGUUCCUUUGUCCUUCUGGAAUGCAAGAUAAAAGGUCUUUCGUCUGACAAAGAUUGUGAGAAAAGCAACAACAUUCUCAAUGGCCUCCAUUCACAUAAAGAAUCCUUAGAUCCAUCAACAACCUCAGACAAUAAUGACUGGACCAAAUAUGAGAGUGAUCUGGAAUCGACCUACAAUAUUCAAUUCAUAGAAAAGAUAUUGAUAUUUAAGUGGUAAAAGCUAUACAUAUCUCGAUAUACAUUUACCUGCAGAUGUAUAUUUACCUGAGUUUGCAAAAUAUAUUUUAAUGUGCUGCAAACGUACACAGAUAUUGCUGACUUCUCCGGUAAAGACCUUUUAGAUUCAGAAUUUAGCACCCUAACACACUUCUGCAGUAGACAAACAAUUAAGGGGCUGAAACCAAUUGAUACACCUGCAACCAACACAUAGAAGAUAUACCAGUCAAAUUUCCUGUAAAUUUAUCAAGUCCACAUGACAAGUAACCAGGCUUAAACUUGUAUGAAAUUAAAUGAUUCGUGUUCGAUAAGACGAUAACUAACACAUCAUUUUGUGCAGACAAUAAAUUUUAAAACUCAUAACGAAAAUAGUUACAGAAAAUAAGGUGAUGAGCAAACAGUUAUACAUCUCAGAUGCCAAACCUGAGCAAAAAGAGUAAAACACAUGAAACCUAUACCAAACCAUUGAUUUCGAGGGCACUAAUACCUAUACCUUUUAAUUGGGACAAGCUACUUCUGAUAAUAUCCCAGUACUUGAAUAAAUUAUUUCCAACAGUUGUAACUGCAUCACAUAAAAAGGAGACGACAGCUGAUGACAUGCUCUCGACAGCCUCCUUAACCUUAAAAGGUCGUUUAGUCUUUCCAUAACAUGGUAGAAACUGGAACCAUGCACCAAUUUCACUUGGAUUCUUUUCAAAUGCACCGGUGCUACUCAUAGCUACCAUUGCUAAAUUGUACGCUAGAUCCUUCACCUCGUUGUCUGGUGAGGAAAGUAACAAAUUCACGAAUAUAUCCAACUGCCUGAACAUAUGUGGAGGCAUUCUUGUAGGAACCCUCUCACUUUGGGACUUUGGCGUCCAACUGAUGUAGUCACUUAGCAAAGACAAGACACCUCUCUGCAAUUCAGCUGGCAAACUUGAAGGACUGCUCAGAAGUUUCAGGAAGACAUCAAACGAUCCUUCAAGCACAUUAGGCACAGAACGCUGCAAGAUGAAAAACAUGUAAAUUAUAAAACCAAAGCUUAUCAAAUACAAAUGAGGCAUGUCUAAGCUACUACGAAUGCAGUGAGAUCUUAACAAUAACAAAUAAACGAUAUAAAACUGAAAAUGCAACUAGAAGUUUGACCAGAUCUGACUAGAAAAAAGCAAGGCAAUUUCCUAUUUUAAGCUGUCAACUGGACAAGCCACCACAACUCAAAAAUAAUUUUCAGUCGUCAUGCUACGCUUGCAAGAACUUCAAAACUAUAAUUUGACACAGAAUUUAAAGGAGAGUGCAAAAUAACAAGACAUCCUGUUAAUAUUUAAAUAUCAUUACGCAAGAGUAAAACAAAUUUUGUGAAAAUGUGAGAAACCAACAUACCACAUAAAGCCUAAGAGUAUCCAGAAAUUUAAUGCGAAAGCACAUUUCUGCUUCUUCGAUAGAACCAAUAGGCUUAGAACAAAGCUCAGAAUCCCAAAUUUCUGAAACAAUCCCAAGAUAUUCCUUUUCAUCUGCUUGAACUGUCAUAUUAGCAUCCAGAGGAUUCUCUGCCAAAAAGAUGUCUUCACCAGAAACUACCCCACCAAUGACGAUAUCACCAGCCUCUUCAUCCAAAACAUCCUUCUUAGAUCUUUUAAAGCGUUUUUUUCUAUCUACUAAUCCACUAUCAGCUUUUCUUUUCGAAGACAGCCUUUGAGCUCCACUAGAACCGUCCACAGACUUCAGUAAAGGCAAUAACAACUGGAAAUCUGGAAAAAAGCUUCUCACCUCACCCAUGACAUCCCGCUCAAAUGAAGCCUGAAUUUGCUCAGAGCAGCUAUGAGAUGAACAAAGGUUCCAAGCAGUAACAAACGAAUCCAGCAGCCUACGCGUCUCCCAGAGAAAUCUCAAGGUCCCAUGUUUCACAAGAAAAUCAGGAUGCUGCAUUCCUCUAUUGAUCAACGACCGGCUAAAUGGUCGGGGGCAUAUACAUCUCAUGAUAGUCUGAACUUCUGAACCACUAGAAGAUGGUGUAGCACGUUGAUCUGGAUUGAGAAAGUCAAAAGAACAUGAAAUUCUUACUGACGAUACCAAAUUUGCUGCCAAGGAAAUAGAAGAAAACCUGCAAUGACUUCAGUUACUAUGCAGAAAGAACGAAAAAAAAAACAGCAAAAAUCUGACGGUACUGGCUGCACUCAAAAGAAAUAUAGAUACAUUCUGGUACUCUGAAGAAGACUAACCAGGAUGGUGAUGCAAAAUCGUCCACAUUGUAUGGAAAUUCUUCUAAAAAAGCUGACGAUAAAGACGGUCUACCCCUAACCAUGGCUAGAAGCAAAUCCCUGUGAUAACCAAUUUCUGUUGCGCUCAACAUCUUCAUGAGUUGUUGUAGUCUGUCUAUAUUGCCUUUCAAAUUUCUCUUUGCAUCUGGCAUCAACCCAUUACAGGGGUCUGUACAAACUUUAAGAAGAACAUCAUGGGCCAACUCAUUCACAAUCCCACCAUCCUCUCUUGCUGAAAUGUUGACUAGCUGCUUUAGUGUACGAGGUCCAAAAAGAACACUCCUUAGCCAAGGAGGAAUCAAUGAUUCUUUAACAAGGAUCUUGUCAUUCAACGUAGACAAGACAGAAGCCACAGUGUCUUCAUUGUCUUCCCCAAGACCUUGUAGGACUGGAGAGUACAUUUCCCUCUUCUGUAAAAUAGAGAUUAACAAUCCAGGGUUCCCAACUUCAAGGAAUGAUAUCGCAAACCCAACAAAAGCCCGCCUCGGUGAGUGUUUCCUUACCUUGUCAGCCCCUCGCGUUUUAUACUCUCCCAGUUUUGCGAAACCCUUAAAAUCAAAUACCUCAGCUAAUUGUGAUGCCAUGCCUGGACCACGUCUAACUAUGGAAGCCAACAGUGAAAGUGCAGCAGUCUGUUGUUUUCCCUCUUUGCUGUUCAAUUCUUUGUAAAUGUCAUCCACUCUUUCUCUUAUAAGUAAACUGCUAAACCCGUCAAUAGCUCUUCUAAUAUCAGUUGAUGGAUCUUUUCCCUCUGGAUGACUCAAAAUCGUCUGGAUAAGCAAGAAUAUAUAAGACAGUCCUUGUUUUCCAUGUCGAAGAUUCCAUGCCUCUAGAAGCUCAGCAAAUUUGGGUGAGUUCUGGUAAUAUAAACGCAACAAAUCGCCGCCAGUUUCUCCCUUUAGUAACUUAACAAACUCUUUUGCAGCAUCAGAGCAUAGCUUAAUCUCAUGUAAGCAAAUCUUAUGCAACAAUUCCCUGAGUUUAGCUUCAUGGGAUGGUCUGAAUGCCAUGGCUGGGAUUUUUUCCAUCUCAAGAUCUUUAUUCCCUCCGUCCACCACCAUUCCUGAGAUAGCAAACAGGUCAUCCAAUUAGAAAGUAAACUACUUCUCCACUAGCCCACACACUGUCACUCCAAGAGAACUAAAGUUUCCCAAAGACUAAAACUUUACAAUAUAAGAGAAACAAGUAGUAACGCUAACGAAGUACCAAGUUCAAAUAUUAGCUAGAAAAAGAUAUUAAUCGACUCCAAGAUAAAAGUAUUUUUUUUUAAAACUACUCCAAGAUAAAAGUUUUUAUUACUCUUCCGCAAUUUCCAAACAGAAAGAGCAAUCGAUGGGAUAAUUUUGUUUUUUGUUGACAAAAUCGAAAUAAAGAAAUCGCUCUGCACAGUUCAAGCUCUUAUCGUACCUUGUUCUUCCAAGUCUGAUGUUGAUUCCGCCAUUAGAAGGAAUACUAGAGAGUUUGCACAGAGAUCUCUCUCUCUCUGCACGUGGGGUUUAGGGUUUUUUACACGAGAAAAGAUGUCAAUUCCAAACCGAUCCCAACCGGUAAAAAACUUGAAUUAUCCUGCCUUCAAUCGGUUUGGCAUUAAACCGGGUUCAUCCAUUUCUCUACCUCAAAAUGGGCCAAGACAAGCCGAAACCUUUUUGCUUGGGCCAAGUGAGAUCCAAAUCAGAGACACUUUUCAUGCCUCUUCUUCUUCUAUAUAAGAAAAAACAACCGAGACAGCUCUGACUCGGAUCCCUCUUUUGUCCUUUCGUCCGAGAGAUAACCCUUUAGAACUGCAUCUGCGACAUCGUCCUCUUUUAGGUUUUCGUCGUCAUGAUGCAGCAGCCACCUCCAGCCACUAACGGUGUUGCCGCAGGGUCAGGUCAGAUUCCUUCGUCGGACCAGCAGGCUUACCAACAGCAGCAGGCUUACCUGAUGAUGCAGCAGCAGCAGCAACAACAACAGGGUCAGCCGCCGGCAGGAUGGAAUACUCAAUCGACGGCGUCUCCGGGUCAGAAUCCGGGAUCAGCUGGUGAGAUCCGGUCCUUGUGGAUCGGAGACCUCCAGCCAUGGAUGGACGAGAAUUAUCUCAUGAGCAUCUUCGCUCUCACUGGCGAGGUAAUAUGAAAUUUUUAGAUAUAGCUGUUUUAAUUGUUCCUUCUUAAGAAGCUUUCGUUUUUAAUUUGAAAUAUCAGUUUUUUCCUCCUUUGAAGAAAGAAAGUUUGUAGCUUGAUUGGAUUGACUUUUGGAAUUUGUUUUUUUAUGUUUGCACGUUUGUUUGUGGUUGCAGGCUCAAUCAGCUAAAGUCAUUCGCAAUAAGCAGAGCGGAUAUUCUGAAGGAUAUGGAUUUAUUGAGUUUGUGAGCCAUGCUGCAGCUGAGAGGAUUCUGCAGACAUACAAUGGUGCUCAAAUGCCUAGCAGUGAACAGACUUUCAGGCUGAACUGGGCUCAGCUUGGAGCUGGAGAGAGACGCCAGGCUGAAGGGCCUGAGCACACAGUUUUCGUUGGAGACUUGGCACCUGAUGUUACCGACUACAUUCUUACGGAAACGUUUAAGACUGUAUAUUCGUCUGUCAAGGGGGCAAAAGUUGUGACUGAUAGGACCACUGGACGGUCCAAGGGCUACGGAUUUGUCAGAUUUGGGGAUGAAAGUGAGCAGAUACGUGCCAUGACUGAAAUGAAUGGUCAAUACUGUUCAUCCAGGCCUAUGCGUACUGGUCCAGCUGCCAACAAGAAGCCUCUUACGAUGCAACCAGGUAUGUUUUGAUGGUUAGGAUCCGGAUUUCUGAUGACUUAUCCGUGUUUGUUGAGUAGUGAUAUGUUAGUUGUUUGUCUUUUCCUUGUGGUAUUUCUUUACCGCCUAUCAUUCUGACUGGUGAAGCUCGUUCUGCUUGUUGUUGCUCCAAGAUAAAGAGAAUGUGUCUGUCCUUUUCCUUCCGCUUCUUGCCUUCAAGCACUUCAAAGAAUUUAAUAUCGCAAAACAUUCUAAAACUUAUAAGUAAAAACUCAUGUUGUUUUAAAGCAGGAGAACAAGAGGCUCUCUUUGGGAGGGCCUGGAACUGAUUCAGCUGAUAAUGAUUCCACCUUAUUGCGUGGCCUCAUUUAGGUCAGUUGGUUAUGUUUUCAGAAGAAGUUAAUUACAAUUAGCAUUUAUUAGCUACACUCGCAAAUUAUUUUCCAGUUCCUUACUUAUCAAGCAUAAGUCUUUUCUUUUACUUUUAAGCCCUACCUUUAAGUUUUUUCUUUACAUAUUAAAUAGUUCAUUACAUUUCGCCUCUUUUCCAGUCUUAAAUCCUUUAAGAGUGUUUGUAAUCUUCUUCAUACCUCUCAGUUUAUCUUCUCUCAGUAGUUAGUGCUUCAAUUUUUGUUCCUUCUUUCUGUUACCAAUUUCCUCUACUCUACAUUUAUACUAUCAACUCUUCUUUAGUGCUACUUUUCAUCUUUCGGCAAGCUGAUUACUAAGGUAAAGAGAGUCAGACCAUGGAAGAUAUUUACGUCAUUUGUGAUGUCCUGGAGAAAUUUGGUCCCAUUUUCGAAUUUCUCAAAGUUGGAUCCAACUUUCCCCUUGAACAUCCGUGAUGAUAUCUGUAUUAAUCAUCAACUAACUUCAGAUACUCUUUACAUCUUCAAGCUGUAUCAUGUAUGCCAUUUCGGCAUUUACUCUAUCUGAUGAUAUUUUUUGGAUCUUGAUUUGGAUACAUUUUUGCAACUUCUGUUUGUUUGAGCGUGUUUGCUUUAGUGUCUGUUUCCUUGCACUGUCAACUGUAUUUAGUAUUCUCCCCUAAGUUCUCUUGUCUAUUAUUUGCAGGUGCAUAUCAGAACAGUCAAGGAAAUCCCGGAGAAAGUGACCCAACUAACACAACAGUACGUACUUUGCUUUGGUUUCCUUAAGCCUGUUCUAUGUAGGGUAUAUUGUGUGAAUUUCAGCGUCAUUUUUGCUAUGCCAGAUUUUUGUUGGAGCGUUGGAUCAAAGUGUAACAGAAGAUGUUUUGAAGUCAGUUUUUGGUCAAUUUGGUGAGCUUGUACAUGUGAAAAUACCUGCAGGAAAACGUUGCGGAUUUGUUCAAUAUGCUAAUAGGUAGUGUGACCGGAAAGACAUACUUCGUUUUUAUUUUGAGAAUGUGUUUCACAUUUUUUUCUCUGUCUGUGUGCUUCAGGGGAUCCGCAGAGCAAGCACUCUCCAUGUUGAAUGGAACACAACUUGGCGGACAAAGCAUUCGUCUCUCCUGGGGUCGCAGUCCCUCCAACAAGCAGGUUUGUAUCCGUUAUACAAUUCAAAAAGUUUGCUCGGCUCUCUACUCUGACGUCAUCUGAUAUGACUCGAUCCAUGUCACAGACUCAAUCUGAUCAAGCCCAGUAUGGUGGUGGUGGUGGUGGUGGUGGAUACUAUGGGUAUCCUCCUCAGGGAUAUGAAGCUUACGGAUAUGCACCUCCUCCUCAGGACCCUAACGCCUACUAUGGUGGCUACCCUGGUGCCGGCUAUGGAAACUACCAGCAGCCUGGUGGCUACCAGCAGCAACAGCAGGUAAUUGAAUCUUUGAAGUUUUUUGGUUUUUACCUGAGAAUCUUUGAACAAAUUGAAAAAGUAUCAAUAGCCCUCUAAAUAUCCUUUUGCGAGCUUACUGAUUCGUCUUUCCUCUGUUUCUUCUUCUUAAUUGCAGUGAAGCAUGAUAAGCAUGUCGUGAUCGAUUCUAUCUACAACUCUUCUUUUCUUUGGUUUAUCUAAAGGUGUUCCAUCUGGAUAUUUGUCUGAUUUUUUUCGGUUUUUGGUUAACAAAAAAUAGCUACCUUAUUAGAUCUAUAUCUACUUUGAUAUGGUUUUAUAUCGUAAACAUAAACUAUGUUCAAUUUAAUUUCAAAUUAUGUGAGUUUCGAUUAUUCUUCAUGAAAUCAUCCAAAUUGUAGUCGGAGUGACACCCUUUCCUUUAUAAGAAAGAAGCUGUUUUUUCCCCACAGACGGCAAUGAGUUGGCAAAAACAUGAGGUCUGCAACAAUUGCUAAUGCAACAAAUAUUGAUACUUGAUAUAACAAAAUACAAAACAGACAAAACAUAAAGGAGUGAGGUCAAACAAAGGUCACUAGAUAUACCAUUCAAUCAUACAGAGAUUGGUGAAAGCAUAUAGAUGAGGGAUUUCAAUUGAAGAAAGGUUUUCCAAAAUCACAUUCAUUAGAUAUCUGAGUAGGCUCUCCAACCCUUCUUCCAACGGCAGAUGAACACAGAAUCGAUAAGAGAACUAAACGUCCACAAUACAUAGCCACGGACUAUCUCAUCUAGGAUAUGUUGGUUUAGCCAGUUAAGGCAUAGCAGAGUUCAGAGCAGAAAAUUUAACUAGAGUAGACGUAUAUACAUACAAGUGGGCCGGGACUAUUAAGGGCCCAUGGAUCUUCUGAAAAAGAAUAAAAAUGAGGGAAAAGGAAAGAGUCGCUUUACUGGUUCCCUCGUGUAUCUCUCUAGAUCUAUAUUCUUUCUUCUUCUCUUCCACCUUCUUUUCUAGUACGACGAUUAUGUAUAUAAAUUAGCUUCGAAUAGACCGUGAUAGAUAGAUAGAAGCUUCUAGAGAUUUUCAAUAUUUUUCAUAGAGAGAAUCAAACUUGAAUUGUCCAAGGUCAAACCAAAAGGAUGGGAUACGCAAGGAAAAUGGAAGACGACGACUCUUCAUCAUCACUGAACGAAGCGCUUUUAGUAGCAACUGUGUGCAUAAUCGGAUUGCAGGUUCAUGUUCACGUCAACGAUGGUUCGGUGUUCUCUGGGAUAUUCUACACAGCCUCCCUCGAGAACGGCUUUGGUACGUUUCAUUUUUCGUUAAAUUGAUUGAUUUUCGUCGAUCAAUAUCUUUGGAUUGAUUUUGAAUUUGUUUUUGAGUGAUUUGGUUUUCGAGCUUCUCUCUCGUAAUUGGAUUUAAUGUGUUAGAGUAGAGAUCUGAAUGGGAUCUUCUGGUAUUGAAUCCAGUAUCCUAUCAAUUUGUCAAUUUGUUUGUCAAUCAUCACUUGAAUGUUUGUGAUGCGAAUUUUAAUGCAAUUAGAUGGGAGAGGCAAAUAGAAGGCGACAAUGAGAUUUCAUGUGUUUAUUAGACAGUUCAAGCAGUCUACAAUAAUGGAGUUAGGCUUGUCCAGAUGAUUCAAGAACAACUACUCUUUUGCUAUGGUUUCUUAUCAUGCCUGUCUAUUUCCUGAUGUGAUUUAUGAGAUGUGUUGUUUUUUUUUGUUUUGUCUAGCCAUCGUUUUGAAGAAUGCAAAAAUUACGAAGAAGGGGAAAAGUAAAGCGAAUGUAGCAAGCGGGAGUGUGGUCGAGACGCUUGUUAUUCUGUCUUCCAAUAUUGUUCAAAUGGUUGCAGAGGUUUGUCCUUUUGUCCUUUGUUAUCUUUCUUUUCUUAGAGCUUUAUUUAUGACAGUCUAUGUGCCAUGCUUUGAUAGGGAGUCUCGCUUCCAUCAAAUGUUACAGGCAAUAAAGAGGGUGAAUAUGUUGGAUCAGCCACAGAAGUUUUACCUUCUGAACCUCGUCUGUGUGCUGAAGGCAAGGGCAACUAUCACAGGAGGUAAAUUUCUAUUUGCUUUAAGUUCAUGUUAAAACAGAAAGUAAUGGUGAAGAGAUUAUGGUUGAAUCACCACUCUCUGCACUUUAACUCGCUAAAAACUUUGUUAUUGACACUUUAGCUUUGAUUCAAGAUGAUAAUUGCGAUAAUCUCUAAAACUGUCGAAAACAGUAAUUCUUCAGUACGUACUAUUUAACUGAAAAUUGAAGUAAAGGUCGCUUGAAAACCUCGACUUCCGUCUCAAUAUUGGCAUUCUGUAACAGUUUUUCCACUUCAUGCCAGUCUUAGCAAUCUAGUUUAGCAGCUGCAUCAAACAUAUCAGUGCUGGCACAGUCACUUUCUAUCUUGGACACACCAAUGUCUAAACUUUUCCUAAUUUUUUGUUUUUUUGGAUUCUUGUAUGCUCUUGUUGACAGACAGGCAGGAGCCAAGAUUUUGAAGCGUAGUGGACAAAUUCCUGACGUUCACCAGGAGGAUAAUGUCAGUAGUCUUGCACAAAGAUAGUUCAUUUGUUCGAUACUGUUAUUACUUAGCAGCUGCUUAGUUAUUCGCUUUCAUAUUGCAGGUUGAUAUUCAAAGCUCAAGUUCUAGCUGUAAGUUCUUUGUCCCCGAAAUUGUUUUCAUCUUUGUUACAGCUGUGGCAGAUAUGUUACUGCUUCUUUUUGACGGUAAAAUGUUCAUGACAUGCUUAUCUUCAAAUUUUGUUUAUGUGGAAUAAUGACCAUCCAGUGGAUAGCAUGUCCGAACGAGUUAAACCAAUAGAAGAAGAUAAGUUAAUGCUGGAACCUCUUAGCAACGGUUUUCACGAUGCUGCUGAAAGGCCCUCUUCAACUGGCAAUUUAUCGUCAAGUACAACUGCUGAUGAAACCUCAGAAUUGUGUCAGGAUUUAGUGGCAUCUUCAAAUGCAUCAGUACCCAUCCAGGCCGUUAAAAAGUCUAAGGUGAUUCCUAAAUACAUUUAUGCUAGAUUUAGUGCACGGGUCAUAAAGAUUUGUUAUCCAUUCCUUUUAUCUUAGAAUACACUCAGACUAGCGUUUUCAUUGGACACGCUGGUAUGUUCUCAAACUAAUCUGAGGUUCAUUUUACUUUCUCUGUUACUCGAUUACCAAGUUUCUAUUUCUAAAACUUAUCCACAUACAGGAGUUCAAGCUGAAUCCCGAAGCAAAGAUUUUUUCUCCAUCUUAUACAAAACGUCUUUCACCGUCCCCUGCUAGUAUGCCUGGUGUUGGAAAUAUUGCAUAUAUACCAAGCAACACUCCCAUGCCACCAGUUCCUGAAGCUCUUUACCCAGAAGUUGGAAACAACGCUUAUAUCCCUCAAGCAUCUCCACCCUCCAAGUUUGUGCCAUUUGGUAACUUGACUGCUGGAAAUGCUGUCAGUGGAUUUCACUAUCCUCAACACGUAAGUAUUAUAUUUCCAGUAUUGUAUUUGCCUCCCUUACUCUCUUCAGGCAUGCUAUAAAUUAUUAGUUGAGAAUAGAUCACUCCUUUCAGCACUAAGCGCCUGUAUGGUUAACACAUGUCAUUUUAUAAGACCAGGUCAAAGUUACUUUGAAUUGAUAUGACUUUAGCUUUAUAACUUGAAAAUUGUUCCAUCAAUGAAUCAUACUUCCACCGGCUUCCCUCUUUUCUGCAGAUGAUUGGGCCUACCGUUAACAGGGCACAGCCGCAGAGAUUCACCUCUCAGUACCAAUCUGUUCAAGCGUCACCGAUGUUUGUAACUCCAAAUCCUCAGGUUGUAUUUCAUGGAUGAUUGCUAAAAACGUAUUUAUUGUAAUGAAUUACUCUGUAAUGAGCUUCACUUGGUGUAUAUGUUUCUAAAGAAUCUUUCUAAUGUACUCCAGGUGGCGGUCACGAGAUCGGGGCAGCUUGUAUAUAUCCAACCAGUUUCUCAGGUUAGAACUUGGUCCUUGAUUGAUUGUUUGUAUUUUGAAAUAUAAGCAAUUUGGUGAACUUUAAUGAUGUUAGGUUGAUUAAUCUGUGACAUAUCGCAUCAAAUGUUAGACAAAUAUAUGUCCUGUAUCGCUGAGUGAAAGAGGAAAAUAGUAUUACCCAGUCAUUGGUUUACAGUUUGGUCGAAAUUCUCCUUUUAUUCAUAUCUUUAUAUAGUCAUUUCCAGUAACCACCAUUCUUCUUCUUUUUUCAGGAUCUGGUUCAAGGAACACCGCCUCUUCCACCUAUGCUCUCCCGUCCUCUACCAACCGCACAACAUGUCCAAUACCUGAAACAUCAAGGUAAACAUUUGAGUCUCUCUAACUAAAUAAAGAAGCAUCGAUGUUUUUUUCCCUUUUGGACCAAACCAAAAAAUGUUGGUCCUAACUAGAAUGAACACCCAUUUUGUAAAGCAGGUGUUGUUGCAGCUGGCCAGCCGCUGCAGCUAUGUGUUUCUCAGCCGUUCACGGCGGGUGGACUGCAACCUUACAGCGUUCCCACCCAAUUUCCGGUCAUGCAGACUCCUUUUCCCGCGAAUCAGCAAAUGCCAAUCGCAGUUCCCAAUGGUUUCUUUGGCACAAAGUUUCCAUAAAUAGAGUGUCCUUGUUUUGGUUUCAUACCUUUAUUCUUUGCGUCUCCAAAACCUAAUAAGGGUUUUUAUAAGAAGCCAUUCUGGUUUGGUUUAUUUUUUCAUUUUUCCUUUCGAUUUUGGGUUUUUUGUUCGGUUUUUGGCAUUAUAUUGGUUUUGAUUCAUUGGUUUAUCGAGUUGAAUUAUGGAGAAACUAUUAUAGACUGUGAAAGCAUUAUGAUUCUUUUGGUUGACAUAAACAUAAGUUGGGAAACUUAUUAUAGAUCCAUAUUGGUCAUCAGUGAUCUUAAUAAUGUAACAAGACUCAGUUCAGAUGGGUCAAAUUAUAUACAUUAAAGGCCCAUAAUCGUAUAAACAAAUAUUUGCCGGCAAAAUGACCUUUAUGUUGUAUUCUGUAAUCGUUUUUUAUUCUUCGGCUGCCCUGACCGCCUGACCGGAGAUUCUUAUAAUCCGCCGUCCACAAAUUUUCCUCCAUUCAAAUUUCCGGCGAUCAGAAAUUUCGCGGUGGAUUUUGAUGGAAAUUCGCAAUUCAGAACGAAAGCUACCAAUUUCCCUCGAGAACCUCGACUUGAAUACAAAUCGUGGACCAAAGAAGAAGAUUCCUAUUUCAGCUUAUCUAUCUUCCUCAGGUAAGCCUCGCUUUCGACAAUCUGUUUAUGCGACUCUCCGUAGUCUUGUAUGCUCGGUGAGGUUUAGGAGUUGGAUUCUGACGUGUGUCUCCUGGUUCUGCUUCAACGACAGGAAUUUCUGCAUUCAAAUCAGGACCACCAUCUCUUGUCAGCUUAUGUCUUGGGGUUGUUGGGAGGCAUUUGGAGGAAAUCAUUCCUUGUUUAGCUGAUAUCUCUGUCAUAUUUCCUGCCGAUAUCAAGGUUAGUUAGUGUUUUGAUCCUUCAAGCUUUAUUGGCUAUGCCCUUUUAGGUCUUUUUAGCCGGUUUGGUAAUGUAUACACUUGCUAAAUCGAAGGCGUAUUCAUGUGUCACAGAUGUCUAUUGCAGCCAUUGCUAAAAGAAGAAAGCUACUGGAUGAUGAUUUGAUUAUCUCUUUGGCUGACAGUUCCUGGGAGAUUCUAGACGUUAGCGGUUCUGAUGUUUCGAAUUCUGGCUUGGCUAAAGUGGCGGAAAUUUGCAAAUCUCUUCGAGCUGUUGACAUUAGGUAUUAUAGUUGCUUACUAAGAAAUAAGUAGACCUAUGAGUCUGUUUCCUGAUAUCUCUGCUCGUACCUCACGUCAUGGUUUCUUAAUUGUUUUUUAGGCUCUGAUAUCUUUCAUCUGUCCUAUGACCGAAUUUUCUGUACAAUUUUGUUCCUUUGAGAUGGGAAGAACAAAUGUACCAAACCUAAUCCUGAUUGUGUUGAGUUUCAGUGAAUUUUUGUAUGGUCUUGCUGGUACUUUAGCAAGGAGCUUCUGUAUGUUGGAUAAGUGGUGUUUUUUUUUGCACUGGAGUAUCAUAUAGUUGCAUUGAUUUGUUAUGCAGCCGGUGCAACAAAAUCACAUCCAUGGGCGUCUCAGAGCUUGUACAACACUGUCGAUCGUUGGAGACUCUUAGAUGCGGGUAAAACAAAUUCUUCCCUCCAGCAAAGUGCAGGAAACUAGCCUCUAAUGUGUUGUUGUUGGGGUAGCUUGUCUGUUUAUUUGUCAAUUAAGUGAUUUUAUGGGUAAAGUGAGAUAGAAUUGAACCCAUAGUGUGUGGGUGUGACUAGGGCUAACAAACUUCAUAAAACAGGCAAUGAGGAUAAAAUUAAUAUUGCAGAGGAUGCCCAAGCAGCGAGUCCACGGCACGCAGAUCUUUGAGUAUGUUUAAGCCAAACCUGAGUAAUGUUGAAGGAGAAACAUGGGAAGAACUAGACACUACCGAGAUUGGUCAUGGUGGUCAAUCAUUGCGUUGGCUUGUUUGGGUACGUAUUGUCCCUUUGAUUAAUAAGCUACCAGUCAAUCAGAAGACUUUACUUUCUAGUCUCUAGCCAUUCAGUGCUCGUUUUCUUUGGUGCAAGAGUUUCAUCACACUUUGUAGAUUUAAUUUGCUGUUGCUGCAGCCCCGAAUUGAUAAGGCUUCAUUGGAGAUGCUAUCCAUGGAGUGCCCAAGAAUAGUGGUAAAUCCCAAGCCCUCACUUCUCACUUACAGUCUAAACGAGGCUCCUCGAGAAGCAUUACCAGAUGUUGCAUUGGAUGAGCCAUUUGUGAAAGACAUUGAUCCUGAAACGUGGGUUGUUAGAGGAUUUGUGCAGAAUCCGACAUCCGCCUCAUUAUCCUUGAACUCCAAUGAGCUGCCAAUAGCAGAGAAGUUCAGACUAGCGUUUGCAGAGAGAGAUGCACGAUUGGCUCCUAAACGAGCAAAGAAUGCAAGGCAACAUCAACGUCGUGCUGAGAGAAAUUGGAUGAUGUCAAGUGACGAAGCCAAAGCAAUGGUUUUUGCAUCAAAGGCCACCAGAUCUUUGCACAAGAGUUAGUUUACUGAGGAAUGAGAAUUCUUUGCACAAGAUCAGUGGAUGUUCCAAGCAUGCAUGUCUCUUCUCUACUGUUGUUAUGUAAAAUUAGUUCACAUCGUUUUGUGGGAAGCAAAAAGUGAAUAGAGAGUGGCUGCUUUGUAUCUGUUUAUUGACUCUAAUUUGCAGAUGUUUUGUUAAUGCUACAAUUAAAGUGGUACAAAACGAAUUGAUAGAUAUAUAAAAAUGAGCUGCGUCUCUUGGCAUUUUCUUAUAAACAACUCUUUGCUGAAAAAGGAGGUUACAGAUGCUCACAAAACUUGCUUUAUUUGAAACUAUGGAAACUUUUAAAGGAGGAAGAAGACAAAAAGCGAGAAACAAUUUGAUCACUUGGUGCUCAAACUCCGGAUGACGUAGGGAAGAAUACCGCCGUGGUCAUAAUAUGCCAGUUCCACCUGCGCACGUUCCAGCAAAACCAAGUCUCAGACGAAUUGAAAGUUUGAUUCUUAGAGAUCGAGAUUUUAAAUUUGUUAGCUACAUAGUUUACCUCUGUAUCAAACCGUAAAGUGCAGACAAAGGAUUUGCCAGUGUCAGUGGUUACAGUGACGUCUUGACCGGGUCUAAUGUCACUGACUUUGGUAGGAAGGUGGACUGUAUAGCGUUCAUGACCAGUAAGUCCAAGGGUAUCUGCGUCCUCCCCGGCCUUGAAACACAGAGGAAUGAUCCCCAUGCCAGCCAAGUUGCUGCGGUGGAUUCUCUCAAAGCUCUUGGCAAUUACAGCUUUCACUCCCUAAUUUGUGGUUACCUCAGUUACAAUACAGGGUUUCACAUGAUAUAAUCAUAAAUCUGAUGACCGUUGUAAUUAUUGUGAACUUACCAAAAGCAAGGGACCCUUUGCAGCCCAAUCCCGAGAGCUACCACUUCCAUAUUCAGCACCAGCCAGGAUGACCGUAUCCUGUCCAGCGGUCUUGUAUCUCUGAAAGUAAAGCGUUUGAGUGAACGGUUAAGCACUAAAUGAAGGAUAUAGUUGAACAUUUAAGGACUAACUGACGCUGUGUGAUGAUUCUACUUACACUUGCUGCGUCAAAAACACUAAGUUUCUCCCCAGUCGGAAUGUGAACAGUCUUCGGACCAACUUCUCCGUCCACGAGCUUGUUAACUAUACGGAUGUUGGCAAAGGUACCACGAGCCAUCACCUCAUCGUUGCCCCUUCGACUUCCAUAUGAGUUGAAGUCCUCUUGGCUCACACCAUGGUCUAUGAGAAACUUUGCAGCAGGACUAUCUUUUUGAAUAUUCCCCGCUGGAGAGAUGUGGUCUGUUGUUAUGCUAUCUCCAAAGUUCAGUAAGCAGUAAGCAUCUUUCACCUCACGUGGGCCAGGUGGAUUUGCGGUCAUAUUCUUGAAGUACGGAGGUUCAUGGAUAUACGUGGAGUUGGAAUCCCAAGAAUAUAAUGUCGAACUCGGUGCAGAAAGCUCAUUCCACAGGGGAUUUCCCUCUGUUAUUGUCUUGUACGUGCUCUUGAACAUGUUUGAUAAUACGCUACUUUGAACAACCUUAUGCAGAAAGUUAACAAGGAACGUUAAAAGGGUCAGAGACAUAACUGUAAAUGACUCAUCCUCUUAGCAUAUGGUCAAUGUACCUGAGCAAUCUCCUCAUUGCUUGGCCAUAUGUCCCUCAAGUACACACUUUUUCCAUCUCUUCCGGUUCCUAUCGGUUCUUUCUCAAAGUCAAUGUCAACCUGUGGUUAAAGGAGUUUAUGUUAAUAAAACAACCCUCGGAUAACUAAAGAAGGCAGAUAGCAGUCAGUGAGGCUAGUUAGCGAAUCUAAAUCACUUAAGUAUAUAAAUUUUCAAUGUAGCGAUAUGAUCCAUGCCAUCCAAAUUAAGUAUAUCCAAAACACAUAAACACAAACAUCUACGUUUGGCACAACAGAGAUCCCACAGGUCAUUGAUUGAAAAGAUGAAAAAGUACUAACCGUUCCAGCAAGAGCAUAAGCAACAACUAGUGGCGGUGAAGCAAGAUAAUUUGCUCUUGUUAGUGGAUGAACACGGCCUUCAAAGUUUCGGUUCCCAGAAAGCACAGAAGCCACUACAACAUCUGUGACAGGAAGCAGGGAAAAGGCAAGCAAAGGUGAGGUUCAAAGCGCACUUAUUGAUCUAUGGGAAAACACAAUUUGUUGAGGAAAACACAAUAUGGCUGAAGGAGAUUCCAGAGACGAGGGAAUACAGUGCAAACUCUUAAAUAAAAUGCUGGUGGCAAUUUCAAAGAAAGUUCAUGAACAAAAGAACACUGUUACCAUUAUUUUUAAUAGCAGAUUCAACCGACUUUUUAAGGUUGCCAGAGUUCCCGAUGCAUGUUGUGCAACCAUAGCCGACAAUUUGAAAUCCUUGCUUGUCCAAGUACUCUUGAAGCCCACUGCAGAGAAGGUAAAAGUUGAGUUAAGAUCGGAUGAAGUAUCUAGAUGGGAAAUAUAAUUGGCUCCAACAGACCUUUGAUCCAAAUAUUUGGUGACAACCCCAGAACCUGGAGCAAGACUUGUCUUAACCCAUGGCUUUACCUGAAUUAAAAUAUCGGUGACAGUCAUUAUAGAAUUUAUACAGCAGGUGGCCUCAGGGCUAAACUAGGGAAGGAAAGAUGGAAACUUACCAUUAGACCAAGAUCAUAAGCUUUUUUAGCAACAAGUGCAGCCCCAAGCAUGACACUAGGGUUUGAUGUGUUUGUACAGCUCGUAAUUGCCGCAAUCACAACACUACCAUUUUUGAGCUCAGCAGGUAUUUUUUCUUCGAACAAGAACUUAACAGUAUCCUCUUGUUUUUCCUUUGGUAUUGCAAAACCCUUUAGGAAAAAGAUACAAUGUCUUACAGGCUAUCCAAAUGAAAAGAAAUAAACUUCCUAGGUCCUUAAAGGUUGAAUUUUCAAACCACAAGUUGCAUCUCACCUUGAAUCCAACAGGAUUGUCAAGGCAUGCAUGCCAGUCAGCCUUCAUAUCUUUCAGAAGCACUCGGUCGUGAGGCCUGUUUUACAGAAAGUAUAAGAAAUGGGAAACCAUGAUUUUCCAAAAAAAUUAUGAUUUAUAGAAGUGAAAGUAACCUUUUAGGCCCAGAAAUACAAGGUUCAACAUGUCCCAGAUCCAACUGCAGAUAAGAUGUAUAAGCUCUUUCUUGCUGGGGCUGAAAGAUAAACCAUUUGGGUUUGAGAAUCUUUCAUGAUAGAAAAAAUACUACCAUAAACUGAUCCAAGAAUGUCCAUACCUCAUUGUAGUCCACAAACAUGUUGUUUGCACGCAAGUAAGAUUCUAUCAUUGCCACCUAAAUAACCACCAACUUGUUGAUCAAGUGAGCCUCAUAAAUCAUAAAAAGGAACAUAAUAAAGCAUGCUGAAAAACAAAGCCACUUGAGUAAAAAGGAACUACUAAAAACAUUUUGUUAGAAUGUUUAGGAAAUUAGAGUAUUGCAACCAGGGUAAGCAUCAGCACACAAACCACAAGAAAGCAGAUCUUCAAACUUAAAUCAUAUCUUCUUCAUGAUGAUUCAAUUUUACCCAAACGAAAAAAAAAGUGAGAACACUCACAGUUUCAUCGCUUCUUCCUGUCAACUUAAGGUACUCCAAGGUAACAUGGUCCACUGGGAAGAAACCCAUAGUUGCUCCAUACUCGGGAGACAUAUUUGCAAUCGUGGCUCUAUCAGCCAAUGACAGUUCACUCAUUCCCUCACCUUCAUAUGGAGACAACGACGAUAGCAUAAGUUUUCUGAACAAGAAAUUAUCCACAACUGAACGAAAGUCAUAGUUAGGCAUCCAUGAAUCUCACCAUAAAAUUCAACAAACUUGCUGACAACGCCAUGCUUCCUUAAUAUUUGAGUCACCGUGAGAACCAAGUCAGUGGCAGUAACCCCUUCCUUCAACUUUCCAUCCAACUUAAAUCCAACCACACCAGGUAAUACCAUGCUCAUGGGCUAUAAAAUUUUUGAAGAACCAAAUCAACGGCAGAAAAAAUUUGUCAUAUGCAUGUAACCAAAACAAGACACGCCAAUAAUAAACUGUGAAUGUACAAGUACAGAGCAAACGGAGCUCACCUGUCCAAGCAUUGCUGCCUCUGCCUCGAUUCCUCCAACACCCCACCCAGCGACUCCUAGUCCAUCAAUCAUAGUGGUGUGAGAAUCGGUGCCAACAACGCUAUCAGGGUAGAGGAAUCCAUUGGAGUUGAAAACAACACGUCCAAGGUAUUCGAGGUUGACCUGCAGUCAGGAGUAGUAUAAAAAGGAAACAUCACAAGAGAAAUAGUAGUUUAACAGGCUAAUAAUAUAGUCAUAUUUAUGUUCCAGUAAAACUGUUGAUAUUUGCAACAAGGAAAACGGACCAUCACACGAUAUACAUUCCUUGAUUUGAAUUACAGUAGCAUCUUGUACCUGAUGAACAAUCCCAGAUCCAGGAGGAACCACCAGCAUAUUGUCGAAGGCUGAUGAACCCCACUUAAGGAAGGCAAAUCUUUCUUUGUUCCUCUUGAAUUCAAGCUCCUCAUUUAUCCGCCGGGCCUUAUCUGUCCCCGCUGCGUCAACUUGGACUGAGUGAUCAAUGACAAGAUCAACAGGAACCUGUAUACAGAUAUGUGCAGGAAAUUGUGGGACCAGUUCGCAAAUGAGCAAAGUGUUCUCUUUCAUAAUAAUAACAUACGAGCAACAGCUACUUCAACAUAUCAUAACCGAAAGGCAUAAGAGAGUUAACUAACCAAUGGAUUAAUCUUGUUAGGAUCACUACCAAGAUUCUUCAUUGCGUCUCUCAUAGAAGCAAGAUCAACUAGAGCUGGCACUCCAGUAAAGUCCUGGGAAAGAAAAGCAAAAGACACUGUCAAGUAGGUAAAGCAAGAAUACAAGUUAGCAUUUAGACUAAAGUGAAAUACUAAGCUAGACACCUGUAAAAUAACACGGGCUGGCUUGAAUGCAAUUUCAACUUGUUUAGUGGAUGUAUUCUCCCAGUCAAUGAUCUUCUCAACGUCAUCCUUUGUGACUUGAUAGUUGUCACAAUUACGAAUUGCCGACUCCAAUAGUAUCCUAACAGAGUAUGGCAAUCUAUCUGCAAUAUUCCAAUUAAAAAGUGUUACCUUCAUUAGAAUCCAUUACAACGGAACAGAUAGAGGACAUUACAGCAAAGCAGUUUUCGAGGAACCAUACCGAUUCUUGGAUCGUUCAAAGCAGGUAAGGAGUAGUACUUUCCAUACUCUCCACCAUCAGGCUUAGGAAGACUUGUCAAAAUAUCCUUGUAUGCAUGUUCAGAAGCUGUGUUUUCGAAAUCAAAACUAUUAGAAAUGUAUAAACACACGUCAAAUAACCCAGGCCAUACAACAUGCAUGAGUUUGCUUUUCCAUGAUCUAAAUAAAACCCUUUUUAUAAAUAACAAAGCUGCAUCUAGUAGAAUACUCUCUCUGUUUCAGAAUAGACGAUGUUUUAGAAAUUUCCCUCUUAUUAAGAAACAAUAAAUAUGUGUUGCUUUUAGUUAGUUUUUUGUCUUUUCACUUUCUAAAAUUUGUUUUUCACACACUUAUUAAAUGCUCUAUAAUCAUUAUGAAUGAACUUUAGCUCCAUCACUUGAUACUAUUGGUUUGUUUACAAAUAAAAAUUUAUUACUUCAAAAUAAUUAAAUAAAAUAUGUUAUUAAAUCAUUCUUGUAAAGUGUAAUAGCAUUAAAUAUUUCCAAAACAUCAUCUAUUUUGGAACCAAAAAAAAUCCUAAAACAUUAUCUAUUCUGGAGGGAGUAGAUAAAGAACAAAAACUUGCAAGAGCAAAUCAAAUGUGCCUCUAGUUUUUGCAUCAGAAUUCAGAACAUUUCAUCAAACCGCUCAGAAUUCAGAAAAUUCGAAGACAUUUGAAGGGGUGAUUCUCGAGUUCAACUGAUUUAGCCGAAAUCGAGCUAAGCAAGCACGGAAUCUUGUAAUACAAGUUAAGAGGAAACAGGCAUACCCAUGGUAGCGUAUUUCCGCUCAAAUCUCUCCAUCACCGGAGCAGAGUUCCUAGUUUGAGCACGAAGGCUAGCAGGCGAUCGCCAGUUCCCACCAUAGCUCCACCUCGUAGAGGCAGAGCCCACUCGAAACGAGCGGAGAGCCGACGAGAAGCUCUUAGAUCGGUUCGUCUGAUUGAGAACCGACGCGGAAGGAGCCGAAGCCGGAGCUGCAGGAGUCGAGGCGAUCUUCGAGAGGGAAGAAGAAGAAAGCCUCGUGAGCGAAGCGGAGGCAGAACGAACGCCGGAAGUGGCGCGUCGAUACAUGGCGGAAAAUCAAAACAGUUUGGAGAGAUUGGGAAAAAAACUCGCCAGAGGAAGAAGGAUCAAUUGAAACCCCACGAAAAUGGGACCUUUAUUGGAAGAGAUCGUGGAAAGAACGAAGGAGGUCGAGCGAGAGAGAGAGAGAUUGAUUUCGUCAAGCUUCUGAAAUUGCCGAUUAAGAAUUAACAGAACCUCUAAGAGACAGACACUCACUAAUUAUACAAUGCCAAGGCCAAAGAACGGCUACGAUUCUUCUUUAGUCGUUGACUAAUAAACUAAUAAAAAUAUUUGUUCUUGCAUAUUAUAGAAAGAGUUACGAUUAAUUUAAAAGCUCAGAGCUAAAGACCAACGUGGGAACAUUCGAAUAAUUGGCUUUUCGUCGAAAGAUGGGAAUAUUUAUUUUCCCAGAAUUUUUCCCGCAAAAGAAAAGAAAAUAACUUUGUUUUCGAACUUUGCAUUAUAUAAAGUCAUAACUGGUAAAUAAUUGUAUUUUAUUACACUUUUUUAAGGUAUUACCACGUUAUUUGAUUGGCUCGUUUCUGGCACAAGCCAAGUAGGAUUCAUAUUUCUCCUCUGAAUAGUAAAAGUAUAUCAUACUACUUAUUUUUCUUCUAUCCUAUGACAUGAAACCAUUCAACCAUGAUGUUACUCAAGAAAUAAAUCGUUUCAAUCCUAAUAAAUAAAAGUCAACGAGGAAAAACUUAGGGUAGGUAGGCUCUUCUUAAGCUAUGAAAGACAAAGCAAUUCAAGUCUCCAGCACAAUACCAAGAGACAAAACCCCCCAAAGAGGAAAAAAUUUAUAAGUUGGCUUCUCAUUUUGACUCUUCUUAGUCCUCAAUGACAACGCGAAAGGCCACAAAUUUAGGGUCCUGAAAAGCUCUCUCGUCUCUGAUUCAUCUGUAAGACUCGAAAACUAUUCGGUUUCUGUAGACUACAUCAAACAAAUAAUUGGACGCACACAUGAGAUGUGUUUAGGAUGGUGGCUGCCAUGUCCCGGGCCUAAAUGAUGAUCCAGACCCCGAUGGCUCUGUUGUCCUGUAUUAUCAUCAUCACCACCAUUAGUUUGGAUUUUAUCAUACCAUUUUCAUAGAGAACAGAUUCAGAUUACUAGCGGUUGGUAACAAUCAGAAAGAACGUUUCACGUUUCAUAUCCGUGAGUUUAAGAUUAAAAAGGUUAAAACCAGCUACACUUACUUUGGUUCAGGUGGUUCUGCAGUUACUACCUCGGGUUCAUGUUCCUUGGUCCUGUAAAAGCAAUGUGGAGUACAUUUUGGUUAUGGUGGUCUUGUGAAAGAUGCUGUGUUUUGCAUUCGGCAAAAGAUAUAGUGUAAUAAGAUUUAACACAAGAUAUGAUUGGUGCGGAGAUAAAUAUGAAUCAUGAUGAUUCACCUUGAUUUAUCUGCUUCUUCACUAGCUUCCCCUGGUUUAUCACCUUAACGCGUUGACAAAAGAAAAAGACUAACACUGUCAGUCUUACUUCCAUGAAACAAUUAUCUCAUUUAUGGUUGUGAGAAAACUAGCUACUGUAGUAACCUCAUCACUUAAAUCAACAAAUGGCAUAAAGGAUAUGUAAUGGUGAAUGUGAGCAGUUCUUAUUGCCUUCUAAGCAACCGUAAUCAAAAUGGCAUACAUUGAAGAUUUUACUAUCAGAACUUCAUCACAAUCACUUACUUCACAAGGCAAAUUCCCAAGAUGUUUCUGGUUCAAUUUCACAAAACUACUAUAACCAUCAGUGCAACAGCCACACAAAAUGCUGAACAAAACAUCAACAAGUUCCCUCAGAAGCAUUUCGUAUCACACAAAUGGACACCAUUCCAAAGACAGAUACAACAAAGGGUAAAUGCAUAGCCAUAACAAUAUUUAGUAAUUUUACAAUGAAAUUUCAGAAAGGAGAACACUAAAGACUUCAUCACUCUAUGGUGACUCCCUUAGUCAAUUGAUACAGGGAAAAUGUAUACCUUUUGAAUCCGCUGGAAAGUGGCGAACAAAGCUUGUCAAAUCCGGACCCUCAACUUUACCUUCAUACAAAGACAGCAAACAUUGAGCGUCCAAUUCAUAGAUGUAAAAACAAUUCGAACAAAUUUUUGAGGCACUAAAUGUUAAGUACCGAUGCUCAUGAUUUUGCGACCAGUGCCUUCUCUGGCUUUCUUCUCCUCCUCUUCUUUCUUGAGAACUUGACAAUGAAUUAAAGACAAAAGAAAAGAAAAAAUAAACAUUUGCGUAGAACUUGAAGCGGCAUUAACAAGAAUUUCCUGACUUGCUAAUACACAGAGACGCAAAAAUAACAAAUUUGUUGAUUCAGAACGUCUAGAUUCUAAAAUUCAAGUCGUCAAAGUCAUAAAACUGUUUGCAGCAAGGAUCAACGGAGGUGAGGAAACAUAUGUUGUGACAUUUAAUAGGAUAAAUAAGUUCUACAAAAAAUGUAUUAACAAUCUGGAACACCUACGAGCAACAUUAAGCUUCACACGCUCACGCCUUGCUUCAAGUUCAGCCAUUUCCUGGACCAGUAAAAAACAUUAACAUCAAAGGCCAGACACUAAAUCCAUAUAACCAAUGCCAAAUCUGACCAGAAAUAGUUCUGGUUUAUCUUACCUCAGGGGUAGGAGCCCUUUUUCGCUGCCCAUUCAGCCAACAUAUCCAUUCAACUACAACAUUGAUCAAACAAUCCCAAGAGAAAUGACUAUAAAUGAAACCAUGAAACAAGCCGAUUAAAAAAAGCUUUUAAAGAAGAGUUACCAGGAAUAGAGGUUGGGUCCUCUUCUCGUCUAAAGACAACCCAUCUUUUCUCUUUCGCUGGAAAGUAGAAAGAGAAGCAAGUCAGAACAUCUUACUACUGCACAAAUGGAUUUUACAAGAGUUAUACAAUAAAACAAAAGAAGCCUUUUGAAACAGAAUCUAAUUUCAUCCCACGAACCAAAACAAUUUCUAAUUUCAUUUACACACAACAGGCAAAGACAGCUGAUUCAUCUAAUAGAACGGACAAAAAAACAAAGAAAUUCAGCAAUUUUCACAAAAGACCAGAAAUUUGUACGUCUUUGAUCUCAUAUAAAUGACAGAACUCCGACGAAACAAUAACAAAAAGUGAAUUUGAGGUAAGAGGUGCGAAGAACAAUACUUGCCCAGUCCGUCAAUCUCCUCGACUCUGGAAAAGUACUUGUUACCAGUCUUGUCAACUCCGAUGAAACUCUUGCUACUGAAAAAUCCGGCAACUCUCGCCCAUAGCCUCGACAUAGCUUCUCCCGCCGAUUUCUUCUUUGUAUGAUCCAAAAAAACUAAAGACAACACGUCCAAAAUUGUUCCCCGAUCGAGUCUGCUCCGUCUGGAUCAAAAAAUCCGAAUUCGGAUUCUGGAUCCGGAUCCACGAUCCACCCCUGUUUCGUUACAUGGUUUGGGAGAAAUGAUCCGGCCCGGUUACGGAUAUGUAAUGAAAAAGAUCCGAAACUAUGAAUCAGAGGGUCUCGGUUUUUUUUUUUUUUUUUCCCAUAGGGUCUCGGUUUAGAGUCGAGAAUUUGAUUAAAUGAAUCAGGGAUGGAAGACCGGUUCAAGUUUCGUUAAUAGUAUUGAAGUGCAUGUAUUGAAUAAUUUUUAAACAAGGACUCUUUUAUAAAAAGAGAGGGGAAAAAAAAACAGAUUUGAUAGCCAUAACUCAUAAGCAUAGUUUACCAAAAAAAAAAAACUCAUAAGCAUAUAAUCAUUACUUAAAAAAAAAAAAAAAACAGAAAUGGCCUUCAAAAUAUUUAAAAAACCUUGGUGAUACAAAUAUUUUGCUUAGCUUGUUUAUUGACAUGUAUAUGUUUUUGUAUUUUGGUGAUUCUCAACGCAUCUUCUUACUCAUCAGUGCCGAUUCUUAGACGAAUCACAUGAGAGCUUGUCGAUUUUGAUUUUGGACCACAAAAAUUGUAUAGUUGAUUAUUUUUAAAGGCCGUCAUAUACAAACCCUCGCUUUCGCAAAUCAUGGCUAAAAUUGAUUAGGUCAGCUUAGAUAAGUUAAAAAAUUUGAAGUGAGUGAUAUUGUUUUUUCUUUGUAAGUAUAAGAGUACAACAAAGUUCGAUGAAUGACGGCUACGCAAAGGGCCCAAGCGCUCGUCAUCUAUUGAAGAAUCUUCCUUUCAAGCUAAAACGUUUUGUUUCUAAAGCAAAGCACAUAAUUUUUAAAAAAAACUUUUUAUACUCUUUCACGCCUAGAUUAACUGCAAUUGCAAUUAUGAUAUGCACAUGAAUUAGCCGCCAUGGACAUUUUUUCCUCUGUUUCUCUAAGAGACUUCAUGUAAUUUUUAAUUUAAGUAUUCUAUCCAGGUUAAUUUUGAGAUCUUUAAGUGUCUUGUACAUGUAUAAAUGUAUGGCUACAUUAAAACUAAGCUUUGGUCGCAUUACCAACUGAGGAAUAUGCAUGCAUGGCAGUGGCGGAGCUACUUGUAAGGUGGGGUGAUCAAUUGACCCAAGUCAAAUUACAAAAUUUAAAACUUAAGCUUACUAAUACAUGUUAUUUCUGAAAGAAUUUGUUGAAAAUUAUUUGAUUGACCCCCGUAAUUUCAUGUUGGAUGCCUUACUUGACCUCGAUUAAAAAAAUUUCUGGCUCUGCAUGGUCGGUAGGUAUCACUAAAAACGCUGAUGUCUUGUAGCUUUGUCUUGUCAACAAAAAAGAACACUAAUACUAAGUCAGCAAAUGGGACCUUUGUCAAGCCAAACGCUCCAAAUUAUCGCGAGCUUUUAGGGGGAUGAAUCUGUGAGAAUUUUUUGUCUUACUUAAGAGCAAAAGGUGGGAUAUCGACAUUAAUAAACAACAUAUUGCAUGUGUGGUACCCAUUUUAUAAUAAAAAACUUGUAGCCUACAAGUUGUAGAGGGUGAAUUCAAAUCAUGAUUGAAUUACUUUCCGUGAUGAAAGAAACUAAAGGGAAAAUUGGCUACAUAUGCUUUAGUGUAUGAGUGUAGUGUACUUUGUUUGACCGUUAAACUCAUAACAAACCAAAUAUUAAUGAUCGUAAAUAAUGUGCGGACGUAUAUUGAAUAUAGAUUCCCACGUCUUUGAAACAUAUCUAUAAAGACAAAACAAGAACCAAUCUAUGUAUUUGUUCUUCAAUCCCACACCUCUUGUGUCACUUUCUUCCUCUCUCUUCUCAAACUCUGAACUAUUUUGCAUCUCUUGACACAGUUUCCACUCUAUAAAUCUCAUUAUAUUAUUAUAUUCUAUAAGCUUGCUUCAAUAAAUCAAACGUAAGGUACAAUAUAGAUUCUUACAUCAAUCUUGUCUCUUUUGCGAUUUUGUGGCUACUACCUAAGAGUUUUUGUCCAGUUGAAGAUCUUUCUUGGCCGUCUUUUAUGUUUUGCAGAAGCAGCUGGUGAUUAGCAUGGAGAGGAAACAUGAUGUAUGGAGUUCUUUGAGAGACGGAGAUUUUCAAGAAGAUGAUGUGUGGGAUGUUCUUGAUGGAUAUCAUUCAUCGUUCAUGAUUAGUAACCAUGCCAGUAAAACUUCUUUCUCAAACCAAACUUUACUUCAAAGCGAACCUAGAAUGAUUCCUGAGAGGCAGAGCAUAGAAGGAAUGGCACCUAUGAGACAACACUCGGCUCCUGUCAAUGUCCCUGAUUGGUCAAUGGUUCACAAAAAGAAAGCUGAUGAUGAUGAUGAUGAUGAGAAUGUGUCACCGGAAGAAUAUUUUAUGCGGCGGAGUCGAUCAUCGUCCUCGUCGGUUAUGGAAGGAGUUGGAAGGAAAUUGAAAGGAAGAGAUUUGAGCAAAGUUAGGAAUGCAGUAUUGAAGCAAACUGGAUUUCUUGAGUAGACCAUGAUAUAUUGUAUUAUUGUAUAAAUGUUUAGAUAUGUAUGAACCGAAUAUGUCUAGAUAAUUUACAUUGUUAUUAGGAAAAAAAUCUUUUAUGAAACAAAAAAUUGUUAGGUGAUUCAUUUAAAAAAUUCUAGUUUGCUAAAAUGUAUACAAAUUAAAUAGGUGAUUUCAUUUGGCAUAAUAAUACAAAUGUCUAUUAUUGUUGAAAACGGUUGAUUUAAGCUUUUUAAAGAGUUCACCUAAAGGUAGGUUACUAAAAAGACUUUCAAGUAAAGAUUGUAUGAGCUUAAGAUUCAUUGAAUUACACGAUUCGAACCAUCGAUGACAACGAAAACUAAGGCUCUUUCUUUUUUUCUUUUUUUUUUUAAGUAGAAGUGAGUUGUAAGGGGAAAUCCUUGAUUGAGGAUCAUGUGCUGCACACGUGGUCAAUGUUGAUUCCUUUUGUCGUAAUUCUUAGACAGCUUGGGAACAUGUGAAUGGGGAAAUUCAUUAUCGUUCUUUUUUUUUUUCUGGUUAAGAGUUAAGACAUUAUUGGGAAUUCCUUUUUAUAACUAGUAUAACUUCUACAGAAAACACACAUUUAUGUAUAACAUAUUGGCUUAGGAUACUAAUGAAAUAUUGACAGUGAUGAGUUUUGAUGUAGAAAAACUUCAUAUUGCCAAAGUUGCUAUUUUUACUUACCUGGUUACUUUCUUUUAAAAUCAGAAAGAACAAGAAUCACCUAACUAUUUGACCAAAAACAAAAAGAACCACCUAAUUUAUUUCCUGAAAAGCUAAUUAAAUCGAGUUGAGUAAUUAAAUUGUGUUGUUUAUUGUUUAGAGUUUUGACUAGUUCGUUGGUCAAUUCAUUCGGAGUGGUCCUGUCGGUAGCUGCAGGUUUAAUUAGUUUUUUUUUUCCUAAUCCAAUCUCAUUGAUAUUAUUACUGUAAAGUGAAAACUUAACUAAUAAAGCGAAUAAUAUUAGUAAUUAAACUAGGCACAAAAUCGGCACUACUAGAUUCCAUUCAUCUUCCUCCAGCUUCGAAUUCCACGCACAAUUGCACAAAGCAAGAACAAAAGCCACGGCUUCUCUUGUCGUUUUCUCCUACAUUCGUCUUUUCAAAAGAUCAAUCUAAAAUUUCACAAUCUAAACUUUCUCUGUUUAUAGUUUCGUUUCCGAGGAGAAAAGGCUCGAUCUAUUGGAUCUGAAAACUGGAGAUUUGAGGUUGACUCUGUUGACUCGGGCCGAGUCGUGCGUGAGAUGAAUGUCUCAUGUUUCGUAGCUCAUUGAGAGUCUUUCUGGUUUUUUUUGUUUGCUUAGGAUUCGUUAGAUUCUUGUAGUUUUGCUUUAGAGCACGCACACACAAAAAUGUCGAAGCAUCACAGAGGAUUAGAGCUCUCUGCUUCAAAGAGUUUUGUCUCCAAGAAAUGGACUUUCUUUCUCUGUAUCGGAUUCUUCUGCGCAGGAAUUCUCUUCUCCGAUAGGUAACAAAACCAAUGCUCUGUAAUUAACUCACAAAUUCCUGUCACUCUUCUGUGUCGACUUUUCCGGUAAAGUUUGCAAAUUUCUUUUGGGGCUGUCGGUGGAUAAAAUUCAUUAAUUUCCUCACACCCAGAUUUGUAAAUCCAACAAAAUUAAGUUUUGGAUUAUCUGGUUAAGUUUUCGUUUUUGGAUGACAAAGAUUGCAAUGAGUGUAAUCUCAUUCUUUAUCUUCUCUUUUGGUAAAGUUGUAUUUCUUCAUAAAUUAAAAUAAGAAAAGACUUUUAGGUACCUAGAGAUGCAUUUAUCGACAAAAGUAUAGUCUCUCUAUAGACAAAAUGAUUGAGAUCCAUUUGUAGUUCAUGGAAGAUCCAAAAUCAAGCAUUGUCCAGAUGAGCUCCUAGUUGUGCCCUAAUCUGAUUGUGUAUGUUAAUAGAAUGUGGCCAGAGCCUGAAGCCAAUGUCGUAUCAAGGGAAGCUUCAGAUGAAGGGCUGCGAUUAGUGUCAGACGACUGUGAUUCUUCAAAAGUAAGUUUUCUAAUUUAGGUGAAAUGAACUCUAGAGGAAUUCUUGAUUCCGAGUUGUUCAUAGCAUUCUUCAUGUUUUAUCAGAAGGGUUUGAAGCAUGAAUCAAAAGAUAUCCUUGGAGAAGUUUACAAGAGUCCAGAUGCAAUUCAGUAAGUGAAAAAAAGGAUAUGAAAUGAAACUUCAGUUCUUUUUCUAUUUUGAUCGCGGUUUUGCAGUAAACGUAUUGGUUUUGCUUAAAUGGUGUUAUGCAGAAGACUCGACAAAACGAUUUCAAAUCUGGAAACAGAAUUGGCGGCUGCAAGAGCCGCGCAAGAAUCCAUCAUGAAUGGUUCACCUGUUUCUGAUGACUUUAAGCUCCCUGAAACUGUCACCAAAAGAAAGUAUCUGAUGGUUGUUGGAGUAAAUACUGCGUUUAGCAGCAGAAAGCGCAGGGAUUCAGUCCGUGCUACUUGGAUGCCUCCCGGUAUGUUGAUCUAAGAAGCGAUUUCAGCCUUGGCUAUAUUGUUAGGGGACUAAACAUAAGUCUUCUUUAGGUGCGGAGAGAAAGAAGCUCGAGGAAGAGAAAGGGAUCGUCAUGCGAUUUGUAAUAGGCCAUAGGUAAAACUUGAACCAUAGAGUGGCACAAAUCUUUAUUUGAGAGAGUGAUUUACGAUUGAGUGUUCUUCCUGUGCAGUGCUACUCCGGGUGGAAUUCUUGAUAGAGCGAUUCAGGCUGAAGAAAGUAAACAUGGAGACUUCUUGAGGCUGGUAAGAGUUUUUCUUGUCAUGUUUUCUUAUGGAAUUCUACUUAAUGUGGAGAGCUUCACGGCAGUCAUAUAUUUCCUACAUCCCGGCUUUCUGUUUUAUAAAUCUUAAGUUUGAUUGAGCAGGAUCACGUUGAAGGUUAUCUCGAGCUGUCAGCAAAGACUAAAUCUUACUUUACCACGGCUUUCCAAUUGUGGGAUGCAGACUUCUACGUGAAAGUCGAUGAUGAUGUGCAUGUAAACAUAGGUGAAAAUUAACCCUUUUACUUCAUCUGAAUUGUUAUGUUCCUUAUUAUCUCAAAGUUUGCGCCUUUGCUCACUUCUGUUACGGAUAUUUUUGCAGCCACACUCGGAGCAGAAUUAUCAAGAUACCGGAUGAAGCCCCGAGUCUACAUUGGUUGCAUGAAAUCUGGACCCGUUCUUGCUCAGAAGUAAGUUUUUUUUCACCUUCAAGAGACCACUUCUCUCAUUUUCAAUGUUUGUCUUACUUUCAUUUCUCUCUGAAAUUUCCUUUGUUAGAGGAGUGAGAUAUCAUGAACCCGAGUACUGGAAAUUUGGGGAAGAGGGUAACAAAUACUUCCGCCAUGCCACGGGUCAGCUCUAUGCAAUUUCCAGGGAAUUGGCGUCCUAUAUAUCGAUAAACCAGUGAGUUCCUCCCCACAGCAUUGACAAAUCCAAAAACUUAUCUGCUUUAUGCUUGAUUAUACGUUGAUUGCGUGUUAACUAAGGACAAAUUGUGUGUAUAGAAACGUACUUCACAAGUACGUGAAUGAGGAUGUCUCUUUAGGAUCAUGGUUUCUUGGAUUGGAUGUGGAGCAUGUAGAUGACCGUAGGCUAUGUUGUGGUACAACAGGUAAAAAAAUCAACUUGUCAUGUAUCUAUUUCCAAGUGUGGAACUUUGACCAAUUCCAAUGUUGCUCAAUGGAAAACUGCAGAUUGUGAGUGGAAGGCACAGGCGGGCAACAUCUGUGUUGCCUCGUUCGAUUGGAGCUGCAGUGGGAUUUGUAGAUCAGCGGAUCGGAUGAAGGAUGUUCAUCGGAGGUGUGGAGAAGGCCCAAAGGCUCUCUUGGCUGCAUCUUUCUGAACAAAGUAACGGAAGAAACACAAUAAGAAAGAAGAAUACAGAGACAAAUCCGCUCAACACGUUGUAGUAUAGACACACAUUCAGAACUGCUCCACACUCUCUCUAUAUAUGUAUGUAUGUAUCUUGUGAACUGAGAUGAGAAGGGUGCUUUUUGCCCUCCUUUCUUGUUUCUUUAUGAUUUUUUUUUUAGUUCUCUGAAGGUCUGGAGUUCUUUGCACACAGAAAUGCAGAUUUUAGCUGCAAAAGGCAGACUCCAUGAGCACACCUUCAGAGUCAUUUGUUUGAGGCGCUCUGUGUUUGGUGCUUAAAACAUUCAAUUUUAGGCUUCUUCUUCAUUUCUUUUUGGAUUUUGCUUCUUUUUGUUCAUUUCGUCUUUUGCUUGUAGUGACGCAAUGUCUGUACUUGUGUGUGUCCUAAAGACACAAAACUAUCUAAUAAAGAUUAAACAGUAUGAGAAGAAAAUCAGAAGCGUGGAAGAAAACUUUCCUUGGUUAAGAGGAAUGUAAACCCAAUGACUUCUGACAGGUUGCAGGUAGAUCCCAUUGACAAGAAGUGCGUACUUCAGCAAAUGACCGUUGUGCUAAGUUAGGUAAAUGUCGUAAAUUUUGGAAUAAUUCAUUAGCAUGUAAGUGAUGAACAAAGCAAGAUCUCUAUACUUGUUAUUUCACAAACAUACGGAUCAAAUAGCUUUAGCAACAACAUAUUUGACAGGGAUUAUAAUUCAGGAUCUUAAUUGUACAAUCAGGAACAUGCUUUCACUAGUUACCCUUUCUCUAGCAGAUCUCUGGCAAGUUGUCCCAUGAGCAGGACACUCUGGGGUUCUUGUUAGUGUUGUUGUUGUUGUCCUCAUCAGCUGGAAACAGCAAAGCAAACUGGUGACUGUCAAGGACGAGGUUUUCCUCUGUUGUUAUCACAGAGGAUUGCCCGUUUGAGAUCUCACCGCUUUCGCUUCCCCAGUCAAGAAGUUUUGCUAUGUCCUCAUCUUGCAUCGUGUUCAUCUGGAGAGAAUCUUCUUCCUUCGGUUUUAAACCUGUAUUAAUAGACAACACAAAACAUUAUUAAAAUAUUUUCACAGAUGUGUACUAGGAGUUAAAGAUUAAAUCACUUUGAGGUGUGUGAUUAUUACCUUGCAGGGAACAUUGACUGUUAGAAGAACCACAAUGUCGGAAACUACCCGAAAAGAAGUUGUUGUUAGUGUCAUUGUCCUCGGGGGUAGCCUCAAGAUGUCUCCGCUUAGGAGCUCGAUAGCUAUCGGCUAAGGCCUCGGCCUCUUCCAUCAAAUCCUCCAAAAGCUGGCAGGUACUUAUCUGCAAACCAGAGUCGAGAUUGUGGUUGCCAUUGUCUGAGAAGUUGCUUACUUGAGAGACUCCUAAAGAGGCAGAGUAGGGAAUUUGGUUUGAAGGGAGCUCCGGUUUCACAGAGUAAACCGGAUUGGUACACUGAUAAGAGGAAGGAGGAUAUGAAUUGGUGUGAAGAAAGGUCGGGGAAGAGACAAGGAAAUUGGUUGGAGAAGAAGCAUAAGAGGGCUUGGUAGAGAGGCAACUGAAAGCAGUUUCGUAACAUCGCUUGGGACGCAGAGUAGGAGGUUGGAGAAGAGGUGGUGGGGGUUGAGGGAAGGCGAAGACAGGGAGAUCGGAGGAGGGCGUGUAGGGCUGUUGAUGAUGGUAGUUUUGGGUAAUAUCUGGAGGGUAGAGAGGAAGGCCUUGGCGUUGGAAUCGUUUCAACCUCGUGUUCCAGAAGUUCUUGAUCUCGUUAUCAGUUCUUCCCGGUAACUAUUGAAAACAAACAUAAGAACAGAGCAUUAACAGUACACAACAACAUGAUGCAGAAUUGUAACAAGACAAAGAGUAGAUGAGAUUAAAAGGGAAAAAAUUUACUGACAGAAGAUUGUUAUCAGUUAAAAAGAUGAGAUUUUUUGAACAGGAGGAGGCUGAUUGAUAUUUUACCUGAGCAGCCAUGCGAGCCCAUUUGUUGCCGAGCUGAGAAUGGAGUUGGAUGAUGAGACGUUCCUCGUCGGCGGUGAAGGAGCCUUUCCUGAGAUUAGGUCGGAGAUGGUUAGCCCAUCGGAGACGGCAGCUCUUGCCGCACCGAGCCAGCCAAGUCUUCUUCUGAACGGCGUUCCAGUUGCCUUCUCCGUAUUCCCUCACGUAAGCCGCCAGUGUCUCGUCCUCCGCCGCCGUCCACGGCCCCUUUUUUAGAACCACCCCUCCCUCUCCUCCGUCUGGUACACCGUCAUUGGGUGCUCCCCCGCCGUACAGGAUCAUAGCCCCCUCCUCUCUGCGUCCCCCUUGAUCCGAAAAUUCAGGGGACCAAAAAUGUGAUUUUUAUGUAGUUUCUUUGAUUUUGUUGUGAUUGGUUGUUCGUUGGGAUGUGGAGCCCAGUGAUUUCUAGACGGUGAUUGGUUGAACGUCGGGGGUUUUUGAAAAGGUAGGACCUACAAAACGAUAUUCAACCCCCGAGUUCUUCCCAUAGUAGUUUUUUAACCUCUCUUCUCUGACAAAUGACAAAGAGGAAAAAGGCCCCCAAACAAAAAUUGAGAGAAAGAAAGAAAUGGUAAUUUACGAGGUAAAAUUACAACUGAAAAACAAAAGAGCGGAUAUGAUAUAAAUAUUUCUAUAAAUAAAGGAUGCCAGAGUUUGCUUAUCUGUUGACAGACAACACAAAAUCAUUUGAAGGAUCAUCUUUUGACUUUACUUUUGUUUUGUAUAAAACCAAUUUAUCAGAUGUAAUCUCAAGAUCUUCUUUCAACUUUUUUCUUAUCUGACUUUACCGGUUAGUUCUAGCUUCUUAAUAUUUAUGCUCUUGUUUUUGUUUUUUUUUUCAUCCCACUUUCAGAGAACUCGGGCUGCUCGAGUUUAGCAAGCUCAGUUUCCUCUACCAUGCAAAGUUGGGUCAAGCCUUUUUCAUCUAAAAGUGGUAAUGAUUCAGGGACCUAUGAUUGCUUAGAAGAAAUUCAGGGUUUUCCAUUCUGUUGGAGAUUAAUUCUGGUUUUGCAAUCUGCUUUCUCUGUAGCUUGAAUUGGAUUUGUAUGCUGUUGUGCCUCAUAUGGGGGAAUCUAUCACCGAUGGCACCUUAGCUACCUUUCUCAAGAGUAUGUUUCUCUUUUGCAUUAUCUUUCCUCGUUUUUUUAUUCUUCCUGAUGCGUGAAUAUAUAUAUAUAUAUAUAUAUCUGAAAGUUCUUUUGUUGGCGCAUUUGAUGUUAUCCUCUCAGAACCUGGUGAGAGUGUCGAGGCUGAUGAGGCUAUUGCACAAAUUGAAACUGAUAAGGUAUCAGUUUUUAUUUAUUUUUUCUUUUUCGUUUGUCUAAAGACAUUUGGAAGAGUUUGGGUUAAGUUUUCCAAAUAGUAUUAUUUGAUUCAUCUUUCUGCAUUAGGUGACGAUAGAUAUUUCUAGCCCAGCAAGUGGCGUGAUCCAAGAGGUAAAUGUGUUUUGUUAUUUGUGUUAUUUUCUGUUCACUCGUUACUUGUUGUUAUCUUUCUGGUUACAUUGAGUAGACUUGUUUGGUUUGGUCUUCUACUUCAGUAUUUAGUCAAGGAAGGAGAUACUGUAGAACCAGGAACCAAGGUCGCUAUAAUUUCGAAGUCUGAGGGUGCUGCAUCUCAUAUUGCCGCCUCUCAGAAGACACCUGAUUCCAAGCCUCCUCCUCAAACUGAUGAUAAGCAGAAGCCCAAAGUGGAAAGUUCUCCUGUAGCAGAAAAACCCAAAGCACCAUCCUCGCCACCACCACCACCUAAACAAUCUGCUAUAGAACCGUAGCUUCCUCCUAAGGAAAGAGAAAGACGGGUACGCAAAAUGCUCUCAUUUAUUCUUACAGCUGCAUGUAUUGAACUCUUAAAAUGACUGUGGUCAGAUUUAAAUAUAAUGUUCGGUUUGUUUGUUCACAUGAUUGGUGAUAUGACAUCUAAGAACAUUGCAGGUUCCGAUGACAAGACUUCGGAAACGGGUUGCAACGAGGUUGAAAGACUCUCAAAAUACUUUUGCAUUGCUGACAACUUUUAACGAAGUUGAUAUGUGAGUAACAGCUAAAACCCCAAGUUGAUAUGUCUAUAUCAGUUAUGUGAGUCCUCUUGGUGCACUGCAUUUCACUAGCCAGUUUGAUGUUUUUGGCUAAUUAUGGAGCUCUUUUCUUCGUGUAGGACUAAUCUGAUGAAGCUCCGAUCCCAAUACAAAGAUGCAUUUCAUGAAAAACAUGGAGUGAAGUUGGGGCUUAUGUCUGGAUUCAUUAAAGUAUGCAACAUUCUACCUUUAUUCUAGGUAACAGUAAACUGUCUGGUAAUGUACAUGUAGUAAUAUUCUUCGUUAUCUGUCUCAGGCUGCUGUUAGCGCCCUCCAGCAUCAACCAGUUGUAAAUGCAGUUAUCGACAGGGAUGAUAUCAUAUACAGAGACUAUGUUGAUAUCAGUAUCGCUGUUGGUACCUCCAAGGUUAGUUCACAUUCUCUAGCUCUCACUUGUUUGUGCACAUGAGUUGCAUCCUUAUUGCGAUCAUGUAUGUGAGGAUGAAACUUUCUUCUUGUGGUCUCUUUCCCAGGGACUUGUAGUGCCAGUCAUAAGAGAUGCUGAUAAAAUGAACUUUGCGGAGAUAGAGAAGACGAUAAACAAUCUUGCCAAGAAGGCAAAUGAAGGAACCAUAUCAAUAGACGAGAUGGCUGGAGGAUCAUUCACCAUUUCAAAUGGUGGUGUCUAUGGAAGUCUCAUAAGCACUCCAAUCAUUAACCCUCCUCAGGUUUAAGUUCAAUUCCUCUCUCACCGUCUCUCCAUUAAAUACAAGUUUUGUUUUACUCAAAAGGAAGGUGUGGUUAUUUGCAGUCUGCUAUACUCGGUAUGCACUCGAUUGUGUCACGUCCAAUGGUGGUUGGAGGAAGCGUAGUGCCAAGACCAAUGAUGUACGUUGCACUCACGUAUGAUCAUAGGCAGAUUGAUGGGAGAGAGGCUGUGUAUUUCUUGCGCCGUGUCAAGGAUGUUGUGGAGGAUCCGCAAAGGCUUCUUCUGGACAUAUGAAAGAAUCGGAUUCAAGGAGUCAAAAAAAACAGUGUCUGGCUUUUUGCCAGUUAUAGACCUGGAAUGUCUUUCAAAUUUCUUUACAGUUUCCGGAGAAUUGCCGGGCGGGAGUAUUUAUGUUCUUACUUGUUAGUUGUUAGUUACACAGUGUGAUAAAUAAAUAUAGGAUUCAAUUUUGACUGAAUAAAAGACUAUUUUGAGGUUGGUUCUUCCACUUGAAUGAUUUUCCAUGAAUGUCUUCUGUUACUCAGGCCUCGUCAAGAUCAUCAUAAAAACAUCUAGACGAGAAAAAGUUCAUCAUUCUUGAAAGUUAAGUAUUUUCUUAUAUUAAUGAAGAUGAAAAUUUUUGAAUGAGAGAAUAAAGAAGUCAAAAAAAUAUGCUUUUUUAUUGCCAAGGAAAAAAAAAUUGACAAAAAUUCAUCUACUUUCGUCAUGCAAAGGAAUUAUCAUGGUCUCUACAAAAGGAAAUCAGGAAUCAUUCAGAGAUCUGUAAGAGCAGCUCCGAUGGUUCCAACUUAUGAUAACUUACUGAAGAUCGUGACAUGUAUUAUGGUAACACUUGAACCGAAUUGGUAAUAAUCCUUAAACCGGAAAUGAUCAGAUCCUCACUUCUAUGCCCUUCUCUAGUAAGUGCUCUUUCACAGAUUGGAUUGGUACCUUCAAACAAAAUGGUAUUACAAUAAUUACAAAACGAGGUAUAGUUUUUACCAAAGGUUUCGAAGAGAACAAAAAAGGUUACCUCUUUCCGAUGGAAAAUGCCGGCAGCAAGCCCUGCAGAUGCGUUUGUCUUCUCAAACACCUCGGAGAAAUGUUCUGGGAUGCCUGCUCCACUGCUUGCUAUCACCGGUAUGCCUACUGAGUCAGAGAUGAGCUUUACUAAGUCUAUGUCAAAUCCUUUUCCUUGACCUGAGAUUCGCAGAUAAGAAAGCCAUAUCAUAAGGAGAGCAAAUUUUAGCAGACAAAUGAUCUUAAAAUCUGAAAGACUUAAAGGCCUUUUUCAGUGUACUCACCAUCACAGUCUAUGCAGUUCAAUAGUAUUUCACCAGCACCUAAUUCUUCAACCGCUUUUGCAAGCUCAUACGCUCCAAUAGGCCGACCUUCUCGUCCUCCACUGACCUUUUAGUUGAGAAACCAGUAAUUAAGGAAUGUGGCAAAUCAAUAAAAAAUAAUCUGCAAAGAGUGGCUGGAAUUUUACCGUGCACUGAUACCACGCAUACUCUUCCCCAUUUGGGCCUAACAACAGUAGAUUAAGUCCGGGUUAUUACAUUUGUAUGCAGAUUUUUGGAGAGAUUCUAUUUAAUGUGACUACUUUCUUUGUAUGGUACAAAGAACUCAGGUACGAGGAAAAGAUUUACACAAAACGAACCAUAACAUCUCCUUAGGAAAUUAGAAUUCUGAUGAUUAUCUUAGCAAUAAAUGUCUGAGAUGUAGCCAGCUUCCGUAAUGUUCAUUUAGACCAUGACAAAGGAAAUAUAAAGAGAGGUGUAAAGACCGGCAUACCUGGGUUAGUUAAUCUGAUGACCUUAUAUGGCACAUCAUCAGGAUGGUUCACAAACACUCUACGAGGAUCAAUACUUACAACCACUGCCUGUGAAGAGAAAGACUCUGUCAAUCAAGAGAAAAUCUGCUUCCGAUUUCACACAAAAAUAAGGGAAUAUAACAAACAAGUAUCUAAAAGCAGUCCAACAAAUAUUCACUAUUACUCCAUCUGUAACUAAGCUAUUUAUAUCAUUAUGUAAAGGGACUACCAUCCUAUAUUUCUGCAAUUCUGAGGUUUAAAUAAAACGAAGGCCAAUUGUUCUGGACUCGGUAAAGAAUUAUACCUGGUUUCCAUAAACUCUGGAUAUCUGUUCUAAACUACUUUUUCCGGUCUUCACCUACAAGAAAAACAAGAAAAGUGGAUUAACUAAUCCGUCCUUUAUUAGAUAUUAGCAUGAACAACAAAUACGAUCAAUUGGACGGCAACUACAAGCUUACCCCUGAUUUUAUAAACUCUUCUGCAGCAUAAACAGCGUCACUUCCAAUGGAGAUCUUAUCAGCACCGGAUCUGAAAUACUCAGCAGCAACUUCCAAGCUAGAAUAGUACCUGAUCCAAAGUAAGUUGAUAUUAAAUUGUUGUGGAGAAUAAAAGUGCAAUGUCCUCGCUGAAAAAAGGAAAGAAAGAAAGAGAAAACUCUGAAUAUGUACCUGCCGCUAGCAUCUGUAAAAUCUCUGAUACCACCUCCGACAGUUAGUGGUACAAAGACAUUCUCUGAUGUGUACCUCAAAACCUAUAAAGCAUGUAAAGUGAUCUAAAUACAGGUAAGUACCGAAGUAAAAAUUAAAUUCUAAUGAGAAAAAAUAACAAAUGUUGGUACCUGAAUCAUCGGCAAAUCCCCUAAAGGAAAAUCGCGGAAUCCAGUUAUGUUUAAAAAGCUAAUCUGAAAACCCCAAGGCAGCAUGGUUAAGAGCCAAACCAAAUCUAAAUUAAGAAAUCAUUGAUCCACUAACAUGAUAUUGCAACAAAAGCAUACCUCAUCUGCACCAUCUUUGUAAUACUGCCUAGCCAAAUCCACAGGUUUGCCAAGGUUUCGAACCUGCACAAGAAAUUUUAAUAAGUUCAGAGCGAUAAUGAUUACUCAACCUCAACACCUCUCAGGUGAGAUAUAUCCGCAUCAUAAAAACAUCUAAACACCAAAAAUGUUUCACAUUUUCACAAAGAACAUACGAGAAUGAAGCAAUAAUUUCAAUAGACCUCGUUUUCGUUAGAUUGCUCUCUCACAUCAUAUUGGUCCCCUUUGGUUACUACAAGAUCUCCUUUAUCAUUAGUCCUCACAUCAAGACAAGCAAUCACCUUAACACAAAAGAAAAUCAUUAGGAAAAACAAUGCUGUGGAGGAGACAGGCUUCCGAUGAUAACAGGGACAAACUUAUUACCCUCUUUGCAAGUUUUGAAGCCUUCCCUUCCAUUGGCUUCUGUCUUCAAGUGAGAUGUGGUUUCCAUUAGACCAAAAAAUCAGGAAGAUUACAUUAUACAUGUAAAGCUAGAGAGAAAGCUACCUGUGUUGAGAUUUUGGAUCCAAGAACCUUCUCAAGACGGAAAGCCCCACCUCUGAAUAUUUCCAGAUUCUAAAUUAGUACGAUAUUCCAAUAUGUGAAUAGACUUUGAAUAAGAGAUGAAGGUAUCAACCAAAAGAAUGAGUAGACUAAAAUUUCAUACCCCCGCUCUUCUCUGGAUGGAAUUGCACUGCAUGCACGUUUCCCCUUCUUAUAGAAGAUAUAAAGGAUUCACCAUAGUUGCAGGUAGACGAAAUCCAUUCCUUGUUUUCAUUUGACUACACAAUAAUAACAGAACAAAAAUUUUAAAAUGCACGUGGAAGAAGAGAAAGACAAUGGCACAUAUACAAAUUUGAGAGAAAAAGAAAAGAUGAACAUACCGGAAUAGCUCGGUAGGAAUGAACGAAAUAUACAUGAUGGCUUCCAACAUCAUCCAGAAUUUCGGAAUCCUUUCUCACUUGCAAAGCAUUCCAGCCAAUGUGGGGAACUCUUAUAUCAGCUGAAGAAUCAAAGCGUCCAACUAUUCCCGGUAUCACACCAAGACCUUUGACUGACACAAAUAGAACAGAUGUAUAAGUAGAAAAUACACCAUGAAAAUAUAAUGUAGAUUGUGAUGAAUGUAUUGAAGGAAAGCUUCUAGAAGACAUGACAUGAAGAGUGGCAAUAGAGCUAAACCUGGUCCGUUCUCCUCACUAGACUCGAAUAGUAGUUGUAGCCCAAGACAAAUACCUAGAAACGGACGGUCAUUCUCGAUAUAUUUGCACAAGGCUUCAGCCAUCCUACAAACACCAAAGACACGAAAAUCCGAUAUGAAGAACUAUAUAAGACACUGUUCACUGUAAGUUAAAUAUGCUUAAGCAUGAGAUGUGAUUCCAAAUUUGCUGGAUUUGAAGAACUCUCUGAGCUCGGACAGUGAAAAGAAAGCGAAUUCGUGCUAAUAGAUAUACUGUCAAUCAAAAGGGAAAUCCACAGAGCUUAGUCAUAUUUACCCGGUUUUGUUAAGCACAUCCAUGGCGGGUGAAAACGCUCCAACGCCAGGAAAGAUGAGGCGAUCAGCAUUCAGAAUAUCUCCCGGCGUUUGAACCUAACAUUUCAAGUUCUCAAGUGUAAGAGAUCACUACAUUUUCCCAGGAAUCAAAAUGCGAAAAAAAUGAGGAAAAAUCUUACGUCUUUGAUGCUGAACCCGAGAUGACGAAGAGCAUUGCGGAUGCUCCGCACAUUCCCGGCUCCGUAGUCAAGCAAAGUCACAACUACUCAGCCGAGAGACAAGAGGUAAAAAAGAAAGCUUUAUGCCCCAAUAAAAAAAAAUACAAAAUUGGAUUAAGUAGAACACGAAAACCAAUAGAAAUUACCAGAGUCGGAGGUAGAAGAUGCGCGAACGGAGAUGCUUCUCGGAGAUUUAUAUUUGAGAUUAGCAUUGCCAGGAUUCUUCCUGGAGAGGAACAAAGAAGUCGGGGAAGAAGCGAAAAUCGAAAAAGAAGAAGAAGAGAGAUUUUGUCUCGAAGGGACGAUGGACGAAAAUGGCGCCGCCGUAACCUCCAUUGAUAGCAAUUCACUGACUGCUUCGAUUGCUAAUUCAAAAGGUAGUCACUGGCACUUGUCAAGAGUCAAGAAGGACUAAACCACUCUGCUAACGACGUCGUUUUACUCGUGUAAGUAAGGUAGUCGGAAAAAAAAAGAGUGGGCCUCGAAUUGGAACUAUGAACUUCAAUGGUGGGCCUAGGUUUCAAUCUACACAUAUAAUGUCUUCUAGCUUUCUCUUCCUUAACUUGAAGCCUUGAAGGUACCAAGCAACUUUUUUUUUUGUAACAAGGAUACCAAGCAACUUCGUUGAACCAAACUAAGAGUAAGUUUUGGUGUUAGAUUUUAAAUACGAUUACAACAGAUUAAUGAUUACAUAAAUACAGACUACAUAACAUCAAAAUCUACAAGUUCGAUAACACAUACAUAUUACGACAUAUGUCCCGGGCCAUUUUAAUACCAUUUGUAGGAAGAAGAAAAAAAAUCCUACCAUUUUAAUAUUGGACUAGAUAAAGGGUUAGGCUGGAUCUAUAUAAUAAUACCCGGGCCAUCCAAUGGAAGGCAUUAAAAAUGAGCAAAACGCAAGGGGACAAAAUAAGGUUUAUGGAGUGUUACCUAAACAUGUUACAUUUUUACAAGACGUUAUUUUAGUUUACAGAACGUCUGUAUAUUCAAUUUUUUGUUAUAGCCAAUGUAGACUACGAUCGAUCGGUAUUGGAUUGCAUAGCAUAUGCUUAUAUUGGUAACCUGAGAAAACAAACAGCUAGAAAAACUUAAUAGACAGCUUCACCAAAUAAUUUGAUAUGCAACGCGUUACCUAACUGGCUAUCUUACCGCGAUUAAUGUGGAAAAUUGUGUAUCAGAAUUUUUUGAUAAAGUUUAAGUUUAUACAUUUCUCCUCAAAAAAAAUUUUUUUAAAAAAAUCAUUAUUGAAUGAGGCAGUCAAAUUUGGACAUUCACCACUUACGACUAUUACAACUCCUUACUGAAACUAAAGGAAAAACAAAAAAAAAACAAAUGAUAUGACAAGUAAUAUUGGUCGUGCUUGAUGAAGUCAUUACUACGUCAGCAUUGAGUCCUCAGCUAUUAUCAUCGACCCUUCACCGUGUCCCUCUUUGCAUUAGAGAUGAGAAUCUUUUUACAUAAUAUAUAUAAACAAACUUCUUCUACUUAUCUUCAUGUGAUAAUUUUUAUUUUAGAGGUAAAUUAUAUGUUAGAGCAUUUCUAUCGGGGUCUCUCGUAUAGUUAUUUACAAUUGGAAACAAAUAAUUAAUAUUGAAUCGUUUGAGUUUCUAGUAAAAAACCCCAAACAAUUUAUAAAAAAAAAAAUUCCAGCCGUAGAAUCUUUUUGAGAGAUCCUCAACAGAAUUGUUUUUAAACGGUUAGAAAAAAAUUCAUAAUAACAGUAUCGUAGUGAAGUAGAAGUUUAAAGAAAAAAAAAAAGAAGAUAUCAUUGUUUUGUUUUAUUUUAUUCAGUUUGUUACAUUAUUCAGAUAAAUGUUUUAACGCUUUUAAAAGAGAAAAGUAUAAAUAUAAAAUAAUCAGUAAGAAAACAAUUGCACAAUACAUAAUACAUUUAUACUAAGUGAAAGUAAUUAGAGUUUUUGUCGACCAAAUAUUUUCUUUUAUGCUAAGUGGUAUUUUUAAAUUGUUGUUUUUUGGAUAAGUACGGGAGGAAAACAAUACAAUGUUUAGAAAGAAACGGUACCUAAUAAAUUGUACGACAUUGACUUUAAAAUAUCAAUUGAUUUGUUAGGUAUCGCCGUAUAGGUGUCAAAGUGGGAAUGUCCAAAUGUUUUUUUAGGUAAAACACAAAAGUUGUAUUAAACUGACUUUCGUCGGUACAAUUUUUUUGGACCAGUUACAUAUUGAAUUCGUCUAUAGUCAAUCUCAUCUUGUAGAGUGGUUCUCUUCCUUAACCUCCAUCAAGAGCACAAAGACUUCUGUUUCCAACUUUGAAAAUGUAAUGAUCACAGAUGUUACAAGAAAUAUGCACUGAAUAUCUAUAGACCAUAAUAGUUUGAUUUGUCGUUUCAUCUAUAUGCAGUUAUGCACAAUAGUUCCUAAAACUAGUUAAAGCAACGCAAUUCUACCGCAGAUAUAUUCUAUAACAAUUAAAAUAACAGCCUAAAAUGAUAUAAGAACGCAAUUAUACGAAAUUUAUUUUGGCUACGAACCACCUAUAUAUGCCGGUUGUUUAUUAAGUAUCCUUAAAAAUUUAUUGAGCAACCAUAUUGAUCACAACAAAUUGAUUGUUAGGAACUUGGUCAAUGAAUAAAAGAAUGAGCUCGCAAUUUGACAGAAAAUGUUUUUCUUUAGUCACAUUAUCAUUACGAAACAUUUUCUUCGUGGAUACAUUUCCAUCUUCAACACUAUAAUAAUAAAAUGCAACUAAAUUUCCAUUAGUAGCAACAUUAUAGUAGAAAUCAUUAAUGAUGUCGUCAGAGGAAUAUUCCGAGAACAAUCCGUCUUGAUCCGAUAUCCAAUCUUCAGCUCCUUCAUUCGCUUGCGACGACGUCGUUUCUUCAUCCCAAAUCGCAUUUUCGUAGCCGUCACCGACGCGUUUCUCGGUUUCUCCAAGUUCGUCGCCUCUCACUUGAAUCCACUCUCCGUCGUCUACCAUAUUCCAAUCGGGAACGCUUGAGAAUUCCUUUCCGGCGAGUUUCUCGAUUCGACCUGCCGGUGAAUCCCGACAAUCCGUGUAACCAGCCAAAAUCUCUUCUUGAUCCAUCGAAAUUGAUUGACUUUUCGAGACUUCGCGUGAAUCCCAGAAUCGCUGAUCCAGUACAGUGCUCGGAGAAGAAAUCUUGUUCAGACAAUCGCUAGAUUGAGAUUCUUCUUCGUCGUCGUCGUUGAGAAAAGGAUGUUUAAGCAAUUCUUCCACCGUCAACCUCUGUUUCGGAUCUUUCUUAAAACAGUUAAUCAGAAAGUCCUUACCUUUCUCCGAUACCCACCCUGGAAUCUCAGGCGACUCACCGGAGAACCCAAUCGUAUACAUUGCAGCAACGACGUCGUUUAGCUCCGGCCAAGGGUUUGAUCCAGUCAUCAUCUCGAUCACCGUACACCCCAAAGUCCACACAUCAGCUGGAAACCUCUGUUCCUCACCACGAGCAACCUCCGGCGCCAUAAACGCCGGUGUACCUGAAAACUCCGACUCACCAACAGAUUUAGCACAGCCCAUGUCGGCGAUUUUCAAAACGGCGCCGGUUUCUUCAACAAGCACAUUCCGGCUUUUCAAGUCGCAGUGAACAAUCCCUCUCUCGUGAAGAUACAUAAGACCCUUGAGAAUCUGACUUGUGUAUGACCUGAUCGCCGGUUCCGGCAACUUCCCGCCGGAAUUUUUGAUCAAAUCGUAAAGACUCCCGCCGGAAACGUACUCCAUCAGAAUAUUGUAAACCAAUCCGCCGUUCUCGCGCGUUAAACCAGAGCCUAUGUACUUGACUAUGUGAGGAGAGCUCAAUGUAGACAAGAUGGAUUGCUCUUUCUGCAGGAACGCUGAGGAAGAUGCGUUAGCGGAUUUGACGGCGAAGAUCUCACCGGAGCUUGAAAUUGCUGUUGAGACGGUGGCUGUGGUGGAGCCUCGACCGAUGAUUGGUCCUCUUGUCCAAUUGAUCUCCAUUGGAACAGAGCAAAUAAAAAAACAGAGGAAAUGUGAAUCAAGAGGGAUAAAUGUGAAUGAUGAGGGAUAAAUGAUCUGAGAGGUUUUAAAUUGUCUAAGCAAAUGGCUUAUAGGAAGGUUAUAUAUAUAAUGUAUACAGAUUUAUUUAGGUGUGUGUGUGUGUUUUGGGUAUGUAGAAGUGUGUGUAUAUGACUUUGGCAUGGGGUUUUUGUUCAGAGUUCGGAGACGACAUUCUUUAUUUUUUUUUUUUUCUUGAUUUCUUUUUCUCCGAUUAUUAAGUACCAAUACUUUUAGCUUAUCUUUCACUUUAUCUAUGUUUAGCAGUUGAUUUCUGUUUACAACAGUUAAAAUUUUAUAUUCAAAAGUCCAAGAUAAUUGAAAAUUAUGAUAGACGUCACUUGGUCUGAGUUUUUGAGAAUAUUUAGCAUGAUUCACACCUCAAUGACAACCAAACUUAUUAGACUAGUCCAACUGGUAACUUAAGUAUAUUGCCUAUAUAUACAUGGAUUUGUUGUGUCUCUUUAUAUUUAUUUGUUGAUUUUAUUCAGUAUUAUAUGAGUAUUUUUUUAGUCUAUACUAUCCUAAUGAGGAUGGUAUUGCGUUCACUGCAACAUAAUUGUGUGAUUGAAAACUUGUCAAACAGCUGCAUGUUGUUGAGUCAUUCGUAUUAAUUAAAUUUAUAAUGAAUAAUUUAUUUUGUGAGUUAAUUGCAUUUAACACACUAACCUCACAAGAUGCAUACAUAUUUGGCAACGCACAGGUUCUGGCAGCAUUUUCCAUUUUGUGGGGCUAUAAAUCAAACGAGAGCGUGAAACAAGCCACGUGGCGGGAGAUGAAUGGGUAAAGACAGCUUUGACGGCAUGAAGCCAGAGUGGACGGCGCCGUUACUUCUAUUUGCCGAUAACAAAAUUUUAACGGAAAAAAAUUAGUUAAUUACUCGCGCGGAAUAAUCACGUGACGGUAGCGCUUGGAUCAAAUCAAAUACAGACCAAUUAACGUGGGAACGGCAUUAAUCCACCCUACUUAAAAAAGGAUUUAUUAACUCAUCCACAGUUUAAAAUGGGGUUAAUUAUUUGUUUUUGAGGCUGUAAAGUGAAAAAAUGUGUGGACGAAUCCAAAUGUGAAUGCGUAUGAUAAUGUCUUUAAUUAGAAUGCAAGCUGGGAAUAUUUAUUCGUCUUCGCUUUUGCUCCGAGAGGAUACAGUUGGAGUUCAGAGUUUACUUUUCUUUUUUUCCGGUUAUGUAACGAGUUAAAUAUAGAAGUAUAGAACGCGGAUUCAUGCAUGUGAUUUGGACAAAGGUGUGUCAAGUUUGGGUAUACAUAUAUUUUUAACCUCAAAGAUAUUAAUUAUGAACACAACGCGUAUUGCUUACUAUUUACUAUUUCAUGUGAGGGCAGGUUUACAUUAAUUUUUUGAUUUGACUCAUUUUUAUCAUUAAGACCCUUUUACGAAACAAUACUUGCUGAUUUAUACUACUUUGGUUUAUAAGUAGCAUGUGAAGAUGGCUCCUAUCAAUUGAAUCAUGAAAUAGAAUAUAUAAACUCAUCAAAGCUAAUUUGAAUCGUCUCUUGGAUCAUUAAUUAGAUAUAUGAUCAUCCAUUGAAUUAAUGGCAAUGUGGGUUCAAAACCAAAGUAGAUGGUGAACUGAAGGGACAAGCUACGAACGAACCUCUAAACGUUCUAUCUUAAGUUAAAAUAGAACAUACAAAAAAAGGAGAUUUUGUGGUAAAUCAUACUCAGAAGUUCAAAACCAAUACUAAAAGCAAAAAAGAAAGCAAAAAAAAAAAAAACGCAAUACUAGAAUAUAAAUCAAUAAGAAAAACACUAAAACAAAUCGCAAAUCAUGCGGAAAUUGACCAAGAUGAACAAUUGCAAAAUACUCAAAUAGAAGAUUAGUUAUGGUUGAGUUUCGUCAAUCAGCAAAGCUUAACAGCAACAAAUAGCCCAUUAUAAAUAUAAUUAUGAAAAUAUUUGAGCUUUGAUUUAUAAAUCAGAUUUUAACGAUUGGGGCAUCGAUAUGGGCCUUCAUAGAAGUAACAAAAAGGGCUCCUCUUCACUCUCGUAAUGAGAGAGACACAGCAAACCAAAAAAAUUGUUUUUGGCACAACGUUUAAAUUAAUCUAAUAUAUUAAGGCUGGAUGUCUGUAUAUCGUAUUCAAUUAUGAAGAAAUUUACAGAUCUCGUAUAAGCGUACGCGUGGUUUGAUAAUAACCAUGAAAUAGAAAAUAUGUGGAUACGGUAUAAUUCGUAGAUGUCAAAAUACGGCCAAAAGAAGAAUGAUGUUGACUUUUUGUAACUGUAUUCUUUGGUACUCUGUUUCAGCAUGCGUUAGCAAAUUAAAAGAGAGAAGAAUGAUGUUGACUUUUGUGACGUAAAGUUGAGUCUGUGUAACAAAUGCGAGAAAAGAGUUGACUACUUGACUUCCUGGGCUCUCGGAAUCAUCCUUUUCAAAAGAUUGCGAUUACAUCCGGAAAUGUAGAUAUAAUGUAAAUUUCAAAAUUGCAAUAACAUGUAAGAAAAUAACUUUAAAUUUCAAUGAUGUAUAUAUUUCGUAUUCAUCACUAAAAUAUAUUCUAAAACGUGAAUGAUGAAAUUGAGUCAAAAACUAACAAUCAUGUCGUGUCAAGAAGAGGGUAUGUUAACUUCCUCUCUUCAAAUCUUCUACAAUACUUAACGUAAAACUGCAUGCAUACUCUUUUUUAUUCUUAAUCUUCAUUGAACUUUCAUCUUUCCCAUUUGUAUAAUGCUGGCUGAUUAGAUUACAAGGAGUAACGAGUUUUGGUACAGAAGUUACAGCUGGCUUGUGGAAUAAUUUUUGCCUAUAUUAGAACUAUGAGAUCAAUGUUUCUUGGUUCUCACAUCUAACAAAAUCAAUUUAAAAUAAAAUAAAAUGAAAUAACAAAAAUAAGUUAAAAGAAUGGACGCCUUUGCUUCUCCUUUCAAAUUGCCUGAAUUGCCUCUAGUUCUGGUCCCAUGGGGCGAUGAAUUCAUGAACUAUGUAGUUUAUUAUUCAUUUGCAUUAAUUAUCAGUUGCGGUAAUAAACCAUUUAGCUUUUGGUCUAAAUGCUUAUAGUUGAUCUUAAGUAUAAUUAUGCCUAAUGCCUUAGGCCGACUAAAGAAAUUUGUUGAACCUAACAAAGAUCAUGCAACUUCUUAUGAUUUCCUCAAUAUAUUUCCAAAUGGUUUGAGAUAAUAAUAAACUACUAGUAGUCAGCUGUCAUGUCUGAUGAAGGAUACGUGUGAAUGGAUUUUUAUGAGAUAUAUUCAUAAAAUAGAUCCCAUUUAAGUUGAUUAGAUAAUUUUGUAGAAUCAAGAUGAUAAUAUAUAGUAGUAGGCUACUAGUCUUUCUGACACAAGUUUGUGUGAUGUUAAGUCAUUUCAAAAUUAUAAUGGAGAUCGAAUGCAUGAAUAUGGCUUUGAAUAGUGUUUGCAUAUGUUUAGUUUGUGUUUGCGUUUAUAUCUGUUAUACUUGUGUAUAUAUGUAUAUAUGUAUAUAUUUUUUUGUAUCUCUUCCUUUUUUUAUUGGUAAAAGCCUACCCGCACGCAACAUAACAAUGUACAUGCACAUAGUUUGUAUUCCUACAUACUUCCUUUCUUCUUCAAUUAUGUGUAUCUAUCUCAAAAGAAAUAUAUACUCAUAAAAAUAACUAAACUCAAACGGGAAAGGAAAAUCUAAUCAACUUUUUCACCGCAUUUUCUGCGUCAACUCUACUCGACGACAACUAUAAAAUCCUAAAUCCACCCUCUUCUUCCUUCUUAUCAAUUUCAACAAUCUAUCUCUCUCUGUGUGUCUCUAAGAAGAAAAAAGGAAAAAAAUAUCUCUCUUUCCCUCAAACAAACCCAAAGAUCAAAAGAAAAUGGCCAUCGUAAAGCUACUCGUGACCAUCGCAAUAACAACCGCAAUCACAAUCGCAAUCAUCACCACCAGAACCAGCACCACCACCGUGGAGUACACGAGCUUUGGUGCACCAGCUGCGCCAACUUUAAGGCCGAGUCGUUUCUUGGCUCAGAAGGAAGUAGGCGAGCGAAACCCUAACGCGGCGGACCAUUGCCACAAGAACCCUGAGAUAUGUAGCCUAUACGGAGGCGGAGGAAGCAACUCGACAGUGACAUGCUGCAACAACAAGUGCAUAGACGUGGCCAGUGACGACAAGAACUGUGGUGCGUGUAAGAACAAAUGCAAGUUCUCACAGACGUGUUGUCGUGGCCAAUGCGUUUACUUGGCUUACGACAAACGCCAUUGUGGACAAUGUAACCAUGCGUGUGAGCUCGGCGAGUUCUGCGUCUAUGGACUCUGUAACUACGCGUGAUCGAUCCAUCACGCCAGAGGGGCGUUUACUAUACUAAGUACUAACAACGAAUUAAUCCAAAGUCUAUUAUAUACAAGGGUGCACAAUUAUUAUUUACAUUGUGUCCAAUUAAUUAAAUAAGUGGGUGAAUCCCAUUAUGUUUUUGAAGAAGUACAUACACUGAUACAAGAAACGGUUUUGAGGAACAUCCAAUUAUGUCGUGAAAUAGGUCUGUAUGUAUACAUAUAAACACAAUUAUAUCUGCAAAUUUUGAUUUUAACAUGAACGUCUUUUAAUUAGGAAAAGAAAAACAAAUGGUGUAUAUAGUCGGUUUAAAAUAAAUGUCUCUCCGUUGUGGAUGGUCAAGUGAAAAAAAUGAUAUAUGCAGUGAGGUAAUCGAAUUCUGUCAUCAUUCACAAAACAUCACUUAUCUGUUUUAUGAAAAAAAUGGUGUACAUCUUUCUCGAUAUUUACUAUAACUCAUCAUCUCAUAGGAGAGUCACUAAUGCAAAGAAACAUAUCAAACAAGAAAGUAAAACAGAUUUACAUACGACAAUCUAAAACACAGAUACGACCGGCCGGUGAAGAAUAUCCCAAACAACGACCGACACUACAGAAAUUUAUAAGAGAUUUAUAAAGACAAUAAAGAACUUUGAAGCCUCAAUAUCGAUUUUGUGGAAGGGAGGCAAAUCUAAGUGAUGACCUUAUUAUUUGAUCUUCAUUAUCCGGUUUCUUUCACCAUAGUAUUAUCUAUAUAAAGGUUCAUUGACUUCAUUUUUAGUAUAUUGAUUCUGAGUAACAUUUAUUAACCGAUAAAGAUUAAGAAAUUGUUUUGGAAAUUACCUCUCCGCAGUAUUACAGGGUUUACACAUAAACUGUUGAAGUUUUGGCGGUAAAAAAAAAUCCAAUAGUAGACGUUUAAAAGAUGAAUUUAUAAUCUUCAUUUUUUCCAAUUUAUUUACUUAUUCUUACCGUGACUGACCCAAAAAAGAAAAUUAUUAUUAACGUGAAAAAUAUUGCAACGUCAUGUGGAGUGUGUGGACCGUGAGUUAUGAAUUUAUUUCCCCACAAAUAAAUCACGUGAGAAAAUAAGUGACCGGACAAAAACUUUAAUCCCGGGGGACAAAAAAACGAUUUGCCUGUAAAGCGAUUGGCGAUGGCAGCUCCUGCGGUGGAGGCAACCGCCGCAACUGCGUUACGGUCUGUCAUUCGAAGGGCUCGAAAGGCGGCGGAGCAUGUAGGAAGAGACCCGGAGCGGGUAAGGGUCGUUGCUGUCUCCAAGACUAAACCCGUCUCUCUUAUCCGCCAAAUCUACGACGCUGGUCACCGUUGCUUCGGCGAGAAUUACGUUCAAGAAUUCAUCGACAAAGCUCCACAGGUUCUUCACUCUCUCCAAUCCUCGCUCACGAAAUCAUCUACGAUUCUCAGUGUUGUGAAUCUUUUAUAGUUACUCAUUUCAAAAUCCGAAUCCAAAUAGUUUAGUUCUUGGAAGGAAAAUCUCGUGCUCAUUGUUUUUGGUUUUGUGCUUUGAUGCUAACGAGCUUCUCGUUAAUCUUUUGUUGAUAUUCAGCUCCCCGAAGAUAUAGAGUGGCAUUUCGUGGGACAUUUACAGAGCAACAAAGCCAAAACGCUACUGGGUGUGACUUAGUUCCCAAUUCUUGAAUUAUUGAAUCUCCAGGUUUUCUCGAGUGCAUUGAUUCUAUUGAUUUAGGGGUUAAGCGAAAGUGAAAGUCUUUUGAUUGAAUAUUUGCAGCUAAAGUCCCAAACUUGGCAAUGGUUGAAGGUGUAGAUGGCGAAAAGGUGACUUAACUUUCGCUCACUACGCACUUGUUUGAUUAGAUUCUUCAAGGACUUACAAGAAAACUUGGAUAUGUAGAUGUUCUGUAUAUUAGUUCGUGAAAUUUUCUUUGCAUAGAUUUUCAGAUUAAGAAAACAGCAGAUUAGAAUGAUGAGAAAUCAAUAACUGGUCACAGAUUUGUCGUGUGUAGCCUCCCAAAUUCAUUUCUUUUGGGAUGAAUGUUAUUUUGGUGAAAUCACUUGGGAUUUGUCUUUCUCGAUUCACAGGUAGCAAAUCAUCUAGAUCGAGCAGUUUCAAGUCUUGGGAGACAUCCACUAAAGGUUUUGGUCCAAGUGAACACAAGCGGAGAAGCUUGUGAGUAUAUUACCACCGAGUUCUCGUCCCGUAAAUUGAUUUCUUUCUCCGGCUUCAUCCAAUGGCUAUCUGUUUGUUUGUUCCUGAAAACUGAUGCAGCUAAAUCUGGAAUCGAACCUUCUAGUGUUGUAGAGCUAGCAAGACAUGUGAAAAUGCACUGUCCGAAUCUUGUAUUCUCCGGAUUAAUGACUAUUGGAAUGCCUGACUAUACGUCUACUCCACAGAACUUCAGAGUAUGUUACUGGAUCUACUCUAUUGUUACACAACCACAACAUACAAAGGCUUAUUCUGUUUAUUCUUUUCCCCUCCAUACGACUGGGCCAGACACUUACAAACUGUAGAGCUGAUGUCUGCAAGGCACUUGGAAUGUCUGAGGAUCAAUUUGAACUGUCUAUGGGCAUGUCAGGUGACUUCGAGCAAGCGGUAAUAUCUUUGUCUCUCUCUCUCUCUCUCUCUUUUAUAACAAUACUGAAAAUGCAACCAUUCUGAACAUUGAAUCAUUUAAAUGUGUUCUCACCUUCUUCUGAGGGACUGACUAUAAAUGUGGAAGAUGAUCUUUGACUGGGCUUUUCUUUAAACUUAUGGAGCUGCAGAUUGAGAUGGGAAGCACCAAUGUGAGGGUUGGUUCCACCAUUUUCGGACCAAGAGAUUACCCCAAAAAACCAACUUAGCUACUGUUGCUCAAAUCACUUAUUGUAAGAAUUUAUGUAUAAUGUUUCUUUUGUCGAUUGUCAGAAAUAUAAUAAGUAAUUCUUUUGUGAUUAAAUAAUGUGUAUUCACAAGUUACUCCAUAGAAAUCAACACAUUUUGGCUAAGUUAUUCUAUUUUGUUGAUUUUUCCGUAAAAUGGUUUUUUGUUUUCCAUUGAUAUUAAUGUGCAGUAACGAUAUCUUUUUUUUUUUUUUUUAAUUUCUCAGUGCGAUAGAAAUUCAGAGUUAUAUAUGAAAUAAUUGAGAUCUUUGGAAUAUGGUGAAAAAAAAGGAAAAAGAUUGAAACAAUCAAACAAAGUAACAAACGGCAGUGGAAGGCGGGCGUCGAAUGGUAGAGAUAAUGGACCACUGAAUUAUGUGGUUCAAGAGCAAUAUCCCAUUCCUUAGAUUCCGAAUCUUGUACUCUGGUUUUCCCUUGUUUCUUUUUCUUUUGCUCAUUUGUAAUAUUGUGUGACAUAAAAAAACAAAAGCCCUCCAAAAAGCUAUGGUCAAAAACUAUUCCCUAUUAAUUUUUUAAUAUCUUGACUUUGGCAAAACAUCGACCCAACGAUGGUCCUCAUUGUACUGGGCCUUGCCGUAAUUGCUACGACCACACAGCAUCCCAUGAAAAAAAUGUGACCAUAAAAUGUUAAAAUGUAUUAUCUAGAAAGACAAUUUAAAAUAACAGUAUCUUCAUUGGUUCAAACAAAAUCAUAAUAAUGUUCUCUGAUUUUUCUUUUGGGUUAAAAUGUUCUCUGACUUAUUGUAUUGAUAAACAUUUCUUUUUGUAAAGUGGCAUAACAUAUGAAAUGAGAUGACUGAUGACGACAUAAGAAACCCAUGCCGCAUGAACUCUAUACCUUAGUAGAUUUGAUUCUACAUAUCCUCUAUAUCUUAAUGGGUUUGCUUGCCACCUCGUAUUUACAUGCAGCAAACUACUGUUUUAACAAGUUUUAAUUGUACAUUUAUCGAGUUUUUUUUUCUUCUAUUUUGAUUUGUCAUGGUUUCUAAUAUUGAAUAUUUAUGUUCGUCUCGGAUGGUGAAUUGGUGAUUUAAACCAUUAAAAUUAUAUACCAGUUAUACUCCCUCCGUUUCAUAAUAAGUGUCGUUUUAAAUUUCAUUUUUUGUUUCAAAAAGAAUAUUAUUCUGUAUUUUCAAUGUAACUUUUUACUCUUAUUUCCUUUUUUGUCCUUUAUUUAAAGAUAAUAAUCUUUGUAAUUAAAUGUUAUAAAAGCAUAUCAAUUAGGGGUAUAUUUGUAUAUUUUAUUAAUUUCUUAAUUUGUGUGAAAUGUGUCAAUGACACUUAUUAUGAAACGGAGGAAGUAAUUAUCUUUUUGUUGUUCAAAAUUUUUUUGUUGUUUUGUUUAACUCAUAUAUCUUCCAUUGUGUAAACUUUUUCGUAACCGUAAAAUUUGUAGACGACUAAACUGAAACUUUGAAAUAAAACCAAUUUGGUCACGUUUAGUGUUUUACAUCAAGCUGCAAACUAUUACAUAUUCAUGGAUGAACAUUAACCAAAAAUCUUUUAUAUUUAUAUGUAUAAUGCUUGUACAACCGAUCAUCAUGAUUCUGUGAAUAAAAACAAUUAUCUUUCAUAAAUAUGGUAUAAAAUACAAAAAAAUUUGUAUCGUUAAUUUUUAUAGUGCAUAUAACAGUGUUUUCUGUGGAUUUAUUUUUUGUGUUUUCAUGAUCUGCAUAAAGUUAUAGUUAAGAUUAUAUUUUUUUGAAAAAAUCAUAGUAAAAUAUAUUUUAGUGAUAAUAUAAAGAAACAUAGGAUAAUAAAACUAAUACUUUGGUAACUAGUUAGGAAAAAUAAUUAAGCUAAGAUUAUAAUUUUAAAUAGAUUUCCCAAAAUACAAAUAUAUUUUAGUGAUAAUAUAACAUAGAGGACAAUAUUUUGGUAACCAAUUAGACAUGGUAAUUUAGAAAAAAACCAAAAGAAAGACCUAAAGAACUUCACGUCCGAACUCCGAAUCACAACCACAAAAAAAAAGAGAGAGAAAGGAAAAAAGUCAUAUAAAUACAUUUUGUGUCGUUUCUCUUCUCUGGUUCACUCAUCUUCUAUCUAUUUAAAGCCAUUCAAUUUCCCAAAACACACUAUCAGCACCAAAACACCUCAAACCCCAAAAAAAAAAAAAAGGAAACUCUAAUUGAAACCCACAUCUAAAGAUCUCUCCUUCUCCGUUUUCUAUUUCGUUUUCUCCGUAGAUUCUGCUGUUUUGAGUGUCGGGUUCGUUUUCACUUCCAUCUUCUCCGGCUUCCGAUUUCCAAAAAAACUCCGGGGAAUAGGUGGUCGGCAUCACGGCUAUACACGGGAUAUCUCGGGGUGUUAGCUCUCAUGUCCAUAUAGUCCGACGCAAGGGUUGCUUAAUCGAGACUAAUCCUUUGCCGCACGGAGGACGUGGAGCUCUGCCGUCUGAAGGCGGCAGCCCUUCCGAUCUCCUCUUUCUAGCCGGAGGCGGUCUUUUCUUUUCCAUUAGUUUUUAGGAUUUAGGGUCGUAGAGCCUUUUUAUUUCUUUUUCCUUUUUUGUUGUUAAAUCGCGCUUGGGGGAGAGAAAAAUUUGGUCUUUUGCUAUUCGAAUUCUUCUUUUGAGAAUGUUAUCAAUCAAGAGGGUUCCGACCGUCGUGUCGAAUUACCAGAAGGAUGAGGCGGCGGAUGAAUCCGUCGGCUGUGGCCGGAAUUGCCUCGGAGCUUGUUGCAUUAACGGUACGUGUUGAAGCUGAUUCGUCUAUUUUCUCCUUCUUCUUAAAGUUGUCUGUUUGAUUCAUCUUCUGUCGAUGUGUUUGUUCAGGGGCAAGGCUUCCGUUGUAUGCCUGCAAAAAACUGGAAAAAUCCGGCGCCGGAGAGAAGCUGGUCAUCAGCCAUGAAGCUAGAGAGCCUCCGGUGGCUUUUCUCGAGUCCCUCGUUCUCGGAGAGGUACAUCAUAUAUCCAUAGAGAACUGAUUUGCUAUUCUGAUUGUGAAUUGAGUCUGAACAUUAUACUAUCAAUUCUUAUGUUUCAGUGGGAGGAUAGGUUCCAAAGAGGACUCUUUCGCUAUGAUGUCACCGCUUGUGAAACCAAAGUAAUUCUCUAUAUACCUUGUUUGAUCUCUAAAGCAAUCUAAUGAUGUUUGGUUGCUGCUGAGGAAUCCGAAAUCUGUUUCACAUUGUUCUGAAGUUUGCUUCUUUUGUUUGUUGUAGGUCAUCCCGGGGAAGUAUGGUUUCGUUGCUCAGCUAAACGAGGGUCGUCACCUUAAGAAGAGGCCAACCGAGUUCCGUGUAGAUAAGGUUUUGCAGUCCUUUGAUGGCAACAAAUUCAACUUCACUAAAGUUGGCCAAGAAGAGCUCCUCUUCCAGUUUGAAGCUGGCGAAGAUGGCGAGGUUCAGUUCUUCCCAUGCAUGCCUCUUGACGCUGAGAAUUCUCCCAGUGUUGUUGCCAUCAAUGUAAAGAAUCUGCGCAGAGACCUUGGCUUGUGUUUUCUUUCUUGGUAAUCGAUAGUACAUGUUUAUCGAGCAAAAGAUUGAUUCUUUAUUGUGUUUAACAGGUUAGUCCGAUCGAGUACGGGCAUGUGCUGCUGAUACCUCGUGUUCUUGACUGCUUGCCUCAGAGGAUCGAUCACAAAAGCCUUUUGCUUGCAGUUCACAUGGCUGCUGAGGCCGCUAAUCCUUACUUCAGACUCGGUUACAACAGCUUGGGUGCUUUUGCCACUAUCAACCAUCUUCACUUUCAGGUAUACUCGAUUGUUGCCUGAGCAUAACUCCUUCUUCACUGGCUCUUAUCUAACAAGAUGACUUGUUCUGAUCGUUUUGGUGGUGAUUUAUUUUUGGAAACAGGCAUAUUACUUGGCCAUGCCUUUCCCAUUAGAGAAAGCUCUUUCCAAGAAGAUGAUUACCACUGUUAGUGGUGUGAAAAUCUCCGAGCUUCUGAAUUACCCUGUCAGAAGUCUUCUCUUUGAAGGUGGAAACUCUAUGCAAGACCUAUCGGAUACUGUAUCAGAUGCCUGCGUCUGCCUCCAGAACAACAACAUUCCUUUCAACAUUCUCAUCUCUGAUUGUGGAAGGCAGAUCUUCUUGAUGCCACAGGUAUAACUUUAGCUGACAAACCAUUGGCAUCAUAACGGAUUUUGAAUCCAUGGAAUAAAAGUAAAUAACAGCUUGAACGUGUAAAAUUGCAGUGUUACGCAGAGAAACAGGCUCUAGGUGAAGUAAGCCCGGAGGUGUUGGAAACGCAAGUGAACCCAGCUGUGUGGGAGAUAAGUGGUCACAUGGUGCUGAAGAGGAAAGAGGAUUACGAAGGAGCUUCAGAGGAGAACGCAUGGAGGCUCCUUGCAGAAGCUUCUCUGUCAGAGGAAAGGUUUAAGGAGGUUAAUGAUCUCAUCUUUGAAGCCAUAGGUUGUAGUAACCAAGAGGAGGAGCUUGAAGGAACCAUAGUCCACCAGCAAAGCCCAAGUGGUAGUGUUAACCAGAAAAGCAACCGAACCCAUGGAGGUCCCAUCACGAACGGGACUGCCUCUGAGUGCCUUGUCCUUCAGUGAACAACCGUGGCUAGGUGGCUUUUAUGUAUAAUUAGAGUCUCUAUUGCAUAAAUAAGCAAACUCUACUGGUAGUUGCAUUUGAAGUUUCUUGGUCUUCUUUUAUGAUGGUUGUGGGUAUUUUGUGCCCUAGACUUGCUGGCUCUUUUUCUUUUAUUAUAAGCGUUUGUGAUGAAGAUAUUUAUGUUCUUCACGAUGAUGAUUAUGUUUAUAUAAAUUUGAACAAUUUGUAGUAUGUCUUCUUUCUCUUUUUUUUUUUUUGGACUUCCGAUAGAUAUGUCCAAGCUGUACCAGCUGAUUACUUGCCAUAAAAGAAAGCUCGAGAUAGUUGGUAGUUUAUCUUCAGCUCAAGAUAAUACGACACAAAACUUGUCGUACCGAACUACGAGAAAAGCAAUGUCAAAAACCUUCGAUUAUCUUGAGCUGAAUUAUUGGCUUGAGAUUCUCUGAAUUUGCCAGAGGGAUGUUUGAGCGGGAGAGAGACAAUCUUAUAGUGACGAGAGGGACGAACAUUGAGUAGUAAAUAUGGUUCCUUCUCUUCACUUUAUUGCUGAUUCUUGAAUCCGUUUAACGGAUCCUGUCAUGAAGCCAGUACAUAGGUAAAGAUAUACUGGAUCAUUGGAUCAUGAAUGGGAAAGCCAAAGCGGUGCUAUAGGUGGAUCCAGAUUCCGACAACGAUGUUUGAAAACUUACAAUGCGGAUUCUUGCUGAAAUUUCAUCAAGAAGAAGCAUUUGCCCAGGGAGUGUAUCAUAAACUAAGUAACUUUUGAGUCUUUUUAUGUGCUGCUUUGAUAUCAUAUCGUAUAUAUCUAAAAAUGUUAGUGAUCAUGUACGGUUUGGAUUUGGAAAUGUAUCAUGCUAAUUAUCUCGGUUAUAUUAGACUAAUUUUUUUAACUGACAGAACAAAUAUUCCAUGUCAGGAUUUUUAAAAUUGUUCAACAAUUAUCUCAUUCUCAGUGUAGUGUACACAUUUUAUGGGUCACCUAGAGAAAGGAUAUGAACUAAAAUAAUAAAAACUAAAACAAAAGACAAUCGGGUUAAUAACGCCUUUUAAGCCCAAAUAGUAUCAUCAUAAGAUCCAAUAUCAAACGAACACGACCAAAAGAUCAAUUCCUUAACAACCAUCAUCGACCAUACUUAAUAGUUUCUAAAGACAAUGGUGACGAUAAAAACAAGCCUGCAAAUCCUAAUAACCAUUCAUAUCACACAAUCUUAUCAUAAUUCAUGAUUCCUAAUCCCGGAAAAGUGUCAGGCCAUAGCACCGCCGCAGCCACCGCCACCGGUCUGAUGGAGCAUGGCGUCGAUCUCAUCACCAUCCUCCAUUUCAAGCUGUAGUAUCAGAGAUUUAAGCAUCAGAAAGUCGAAAGUUCAAAGGUGGGUUUAAAAAAAUAGAAGCUUUAUAUAAGUCGAAUGUUUUACCUCAUCGGGAGUUUGCUCAGCACGCAGACGACGCCCAUCAAACAAGAACGCAAUGGAGUUCAUAUCCACAGAUUGACGGUCACAGUAAGCAUUCAUCAGCUUCUUCAGCUGUGUGCUUCUCUUGAUCCUAAAGAACACCUCAUUGCCAUCCUAUGCGCAUAUAGCACGAUUCAAGGGAAAAAAACAUCAAGACACAAAUGUCAGAGACAAUAUAGGCAACAACAAGUGAGUCUAGAGUCUCUCUAUCUUUUUACUGGUAACCUGAAAAGUCUAAGAGCAAGGAAAAAAACACAUAACACCAACCAAAACCACUUGAAAUCUAACCAUAGAGAGACUCUACAAAAUCAUCAGCAGGUAUCUGGCCAGACAGUUUAUUCGCUAAGAAUGUUGCCAUAUAUACUUUAAAUGGGUUUAGAGUAAAGUUCGCAAUUCUAAGAACAUUCAAAUACUAUUUCAAUUUUCUGCUUUUGAAUUCGUAAAAGCCUUCGAACAACAACCGCAAUCAACAGCUAUAUACAGCUUAGACCUAAAACUAGAGCUAUAGUUUGAGAAAAUCGAAAAACAAAUAGCAAAAGUUAACAAACGAGGAGACAAAAGCAAAAUACUCCGCUCAGUUCUCAUAAAAAUCAAAGGGUUUCGAAUCCCAGAAAAAAAAGCAAGACCCACUAAGACUGAAACCCUAGAAUUGCGAAAACAGAAAGCAGCCAAAUCGGGAAACACAACCCUAAUCGAACCUACACCUUGAAAUCGGAAACCUAAAUCUUAACACAAAACGCAUGCAACAAAAGAAAAGGAAUAGAGAUUUACCUGUCCCUUGACCUUCAGAUUGAUGUGAGCUCCUCCGUCUCCGGGCUUCUUAUCUUCGUCCUGGGUUGCAGACAUCGCUUCUUUUCAAAGAUUCACCGUCCGAUGAGCAAAAAUACGAUUUGAGAGAGGGAACGAAACAGCAGCAGAAGUGAGAGAUUCAAGCGAUCAAAGAGUGAUGGCUGGAAGAGAAGAUGAGAGCUAAAUAAAUAAAUAAACGAAAAUUACUUCGCCGCGCUUUUGUACUUAGACGCAUCGGAUUCCUCUUUAUCAUAAAGUGAGGAAACGUAGGGCAUCUAUCGGAGGGUUGAUAUUUUCUAUGUUGACUUCUAAUCCAACGGCUGAGAGUUCAUUAAAAUCCUUGUCCAACGAUAUCGUUUUCAAUUUUUACCCCCAUUGUAAUGGGCUUAUAUUCUUGAUUGGGCCAAAUAUCGAUUUGAUUUUGGAUCAAAACAUUUGGUUCAAUUUUUUUAAUUACGUAUUUUUGUUUGGUUACCACUCAUGAUUUUGUAUCCACUCUCUAAUCCAUGAUUCAAACUGUUGAAGAAUUAAAUGAGCUUAAUGCCUCCUUAUUGAAUUGGGAAAAAAAAAGGAUUAGCUGAAGAAGAUAAAGUUAGUCACACGUUCUUUACUAAAGAAAGUAUAAUGAAUUAAGGAGAGAUGUUCAAGGCACAUACAAAGAAUCAAGUUUUAACGAAACAAGAAUUGUCAAAAAGUUUAGUUUCUUCAUAAAUCAAUUAUUAUCAAGGAAAAGAAUCAGUUUAACAUUCUUCUUUUGUACAGAUUAUAAAAUUUUGAGAAAGUUUACUUACCUGAUUUUUUUUUUUAAUUUAUUUAUUUAUCUGAGUUUUUAGCUAUAAUUAGAGAUUUAGAAAAAUACUUUCAGUUUAACUUAUUUUUGUUCUGCUAUUCUUCCGUGUAAUUUGUUAUCCCACAUUCCCACUUCUUUUCACCUGAAUCCUAUAAAAACAACACCGGAGAAAAAGACUCUCUUCAUACCCAUCAAACGACACUAGUUUAUGUGUUUCAUGCUCUGUUUCUGAGAAAAAAACAGAGAAUAUCAUGGCCGUUUCCUUCUUACCUUAUUUUCUCAUUCCUUCCUUCUUCUCAGCCAUUUCCCUCACACAAGCAGGUUCGUUUCUAUUCACACGAGUUUUAACAUUUGUAUUUGCCUCUCUGCAUUCUCAUGAUAUCUACUACGUUUUUUCCUUAUUUUUUUCCCCACAGACUCUGGAAUGAUCGGAGUCAAUUACGGCCGCAUAGCUAACAACCUCCCGUCGCCGGAGAAUGUAGUGAACCUCCUGAAAUCGCAAGGAAUCAACCGUAUCAAAAUCUUCGACACCGAUCAUACCGUGCUAGCCUCGCUUGCCAAUUCCGGAAUCAAAGUAGUCGUCGCUCUCCCCAACGAGCUUCUCUCCUCCGCCGCCUCCGAUCAAUCAUUCGCCGACAACUGGGUUCAAGCCAACAUUACGAAACACUUCCCAGCAACAGAGAUCGAGGCUAUCGCCGUCGGUAACGAGGUGUUCGUCGAUCCGAGCAACACCACGCCGUAUCUCGUCCCCGCGAUGAAGAACAUUCAUAGCUCUCUCGUCAAGUUUAACCUCGACGAAUCCAUCAAGAUCUCCUCUCCGAUUGCUCUUAGCUCGCUGGCUAAUUCUUACCCGCCAUCUUCCGGGAGAUUUAAACCGGAUUUGGUGGAACCGGUUAUUAAACCGAUGCUUGAUCUGUUACGUCAAACGUCGUCGUAUCUCAUGGUAAAUGCUUACCCGUUCUUCGCUUACUCAGCAAACGCCGACAAAAUCUCCUUAGACUACGCUCUGUUCAGAGAAAACGCCGGAAAUGUAGAUCCCGGAACUGGGCUGAGAUACAACAGUCUCUUUGACGCCCAAAUCGACGCCGUUUUCGCCGCCAUGUCCGCCGUCGGAUUUGGCGGCGUUAAGGUGAUGGUGACGGAAACAGGCUGGCCUUCUGCCGGAGACGAGAACGAGAUUGGUGCCAGCGAAUCCAACGCGGCGGCGUAUAACGGUGGGCUUGUGAAGAGAGUGUUGACGGGUAAUGGAACGCCGUUGAGACCGAGGGACCCACUCAACGUUUAUUUGUUCGCUUUGUUUAACGAAAACCAGAAACCGGGGCCCACGUCCGAGAGAAACUACGGGCUGUUUUACCCGAGCGAAGGAAAAGUGUACGACGUUCCGUUCGUCGCCGGGGAAGUGAGGUCAACGCCGGUCAACGGUGACGGAGCUCAGUUUCCGGUGGCUCACGAGGGACAGUCGUGGUGCGUGUCGAACGGAAAUGCGGGGAAGGAGAAGCUCCAGGCGGCACUUGAUUACGCUUGCGGAGAAGGAGGAGCUGAUUGCCGUCCGAUUCAGCCGGGUGCCACGUGUUACCAUCCUGAGUCGUUAGAAGCACACGCUUCGUUCGCCUUCAACAGUUACUACCAGAAAAACGCGCGUCGUGUUGGCACGUGCUACUUUGGUGGGGCUGCUCACGUGGUCACGCAACCUCCUCGUACGUUCUUUGAUCACUACUCGAUUUAAUUUUGCUUCUUUUUUUUUUUUCUUUAGGGAAAUAAUAGUGGUCAUAUACAGAUGUUUACGUAUCUAUAUAUAACUGUAAGAUAUGGUGACAUUUAAUAUUUUUUGUUGGUUGCAGGAUACGGGGAAUGCGAGUUUCCCACAGGGUUUAGUUAGCGGCAUUUUUACUGAUUUAUUUGCUUAUCGGGAGUAUAUUUUAGUCGACUGUAUAAAAUUAUUAUCUUUGUUUCACUCUUUUUAACAUUUUGGCUGCCAUAUCGUCUUUUAAUUUGAAAGUUUACUUAUCUCAAAUAUUGUGUAGCAACAAACAAGAAUUCGAUCCUUGUUAUCCGUCCAUACAUUUUUAUUUUUACAUUAAAUCCUCAAAAGGAAAAAAAAAAUUAGAAUGAAACUCUUAACUACAUUAUUGCAUAAUUGAGUUGAAAUGAGUGUUAAACUCUAAAACCAACAUUUCAGAUGAUUUUAUUACCCUUAUUAUAUAAAAAAUAGAAAAUAAAAAAGGAUUUACGGUAUGAGUAAUAUAGUAUAUUCGACAUGUAUUAGUCUUUUAUCAGAAUAAAUAGUAUUUUAGGAAUGAAAUCUUUACAAUGAUAUUGGAUAAGAUAAAUAAUAAUAUUUUAUCCUUUCUAACUCAAAUUACCUGAUGCUGACUAAUUAUAACCAUGUAAACAUUAUCAACACUUAUCACCAACAUGGAUGAACAAAGCAUCGCUGAAGAGAUGAAACAACCACUUCUACUAACAGUGACAGAAACCGAAGAAGUUCCGGAGCUCCGGUCGAUAUCAUAUAACGACCAAGGAUCCGAAUCAGCUAACAAAAUCUCACGUUGGUCAUUUCUCUUCAAACUCUUUCUCGCCAUCACGACCAUCGGUUUUUUCACGGCAUGUCUCUCAUUUAUCAUAUCGAUCACUCCAACUCCACCAACCGUUCACGUAAACUCUUUGCACAUAUCAUUCAACGACCGCCAUCUCCCGAUUUGGUCAUCAACGUUCUCUAUCAAAAAUCCUAACGAGAAACUCAGUGUCACGUACGAGAAUCCCUCGGUGUGGGUGUUUCACCGGAAAAGACUCGUCCUCGGGACUGUAAGAAUCCAGUCGUUCGGGCAGAGAGGCAUGGAGGAGAGUGAGUUGGUCGUGAAGGGAGAUGAAAGCGGAGUUAUCGAUGAAGAGGCGGCUCGGGAGAUGGAGGAGGAAGUGGAGGUGACGGGAAGCGUGGUGGGUCUUGAUAUGGUGUUUAUAGGGAGUGUAGGGUUUUAUCCAGGUACUUCUGCUUUAUGGGGAGAACAGAACAUGACGGCUGUUUGUAAGAAUGUGAGAGCUAACUUGUCUACUGAUGCUAACAAAGUCUAUAGGACAAAGAAAUGGGCUUUGUCAUCGUUUGAUGGUCGAGGAGAUUGUUGUGUACGUCUCCCUAGGUUUCCUUAGGUUUAAGGUCGAUCAAUCGUUGAACUUUAGAAAUACAAUAUUGGUAGGCCUUUUUGUUUUGCAUUUGUUAGUGUUGUAUGAUGAUCGAUGAGUUAUGAUAUGUGUCAUAUGGCUAAGUAAUGAUGUUUGGUGAUGAUGAUGAUUCGACGACCUUGUAUAUUUGAGUUUUAAUGAUCAUAUCCAUAGGCUUGGGUUAGAGCAUCUCCAUCCAUUGUUUUCAUGAAUUUUGAGAACAAAUCGGAAGAGUUGAGAUUUUGAAGAUAUGAAUUUAUUUUCGGCGAAGAUAUUAAUGUUAACAUAAGAUUUGAAGAAACUAAAUGAAUUAGAUAUGCAAAGAAAAUGUUGUUUAAAAAAAAAAUUAAGAUCUACCAUUAUCCAAAAUCAAUCAAAUUAGCGAGAAUAUACCUCGAUAAAAACCUCGCUUGGACAUGAGUUUAGUCAAUCCCUAAAGGGGCCCAACACACACGUGUACGAUAAAAAAACCUCGCUUGUCAAUAAAAGGAAAAAACGAAAAGAAAAAAGAAAAAAAAAGAAGGUACCUUUUAUACUUUAGGAAUUUCCUCUGGUCUCGAACUUUCUUCUAUCACAGCUUCUACGUUUUGAACGCGAGAGUAAGCGUUAGAAUUGCCACUGUUACGGGUUAAAAGCUUCAUUUGGUUUACACUUUACACUGACUUAUUGCUUUCAGUUUGCAUUACCAUCUCCAUGGGUUCAUUUUCUAUCAUAAGCACGCCAUGUGCUCGAUGAAAUUCCCCACAGGGAUUGAUUGAUGAAUUUUAUUUUAUUUUUUUCUCACAACGGAAGUCGAAUUUAUACUGUUGAUUGGAUAUUAACGUACCCGUUGGAUUUUUCCCUGCUCAGAACCAAGAUGCUGCCACAGAGGUUGAAGAAGGCAGUAACCGAUAAUCCUAAGAAGCUUGGGAAUUUGAUUGACCUCGUGAAUCUUCCAUCUACUCUACGUGAGUUCGUUGGUCAAUCUCAAAUUUCUCGCUUGGGUUGUUUCAUGCGUGUCUGGUCGUAUAUCAAGACCAAUAAUCUUCAGGUAAGAAUAUGGGAUUAUCCAGUUAUUUGCUAAAGACAGUUUUUUUUUUGUAUCAUUGACUGAUUGGUUUUUGUUUCUUAAAGGAUCCUAAAAACAAGAAUGUGGUGAACUGUGAUGAUAAGCUCAAGAGCAUUUUGCUUGGGAAGCAGCGAGUGGAGCUAGUCGAGCUUCCUUCUCUUAUCAAGUUGCAUUUCCCCAAAGAACCAAAGUAGAUUUGUCACAAAAACUAAUACACUUUCAACAUGAUGCUAUUUUGGGGUCUUUUGUUUGUUUUCUUCUCUGUUCUGGAGUGCAUAGAGAGAUAUGUUACUUGUUUAGUACUUGAAUUACGUUGAAAUACAAAUACAAAUUGUCUCAGCGUUAUUGGUUUCUGAAUCCAAUUCCAUUUAUGCAUUCUUCUAUAAACAGUUUUCUCCCUGUCGGUCGGUGUUCUGAUCUGUCUUUAUAACAUCAACAAAAUAGCAUCUUUAACUAGCAACACAAAACAUUUAGUGAGAAAAAUGGUUAUGUUACAACAUUCUGGAAGCUUGAUUAAAAAAAGGCCAAGCAACCUGACUAAUCAUUGGUAUAACAACUGUACAAGGAAUUGUAAGAUAACAACACAGAAAAAUAAUUAGUACAACGAAAGAAUGUAGGAUGUAAAGCAAUCUGUCUGAGCUAUGGCUUGAAUGAUGAAUGAUAAGUCCCAAAAUACAUAUUUUGCUUCCAUCUGAACAUGUGAAAGGCUUCAUUUCUAUCAGCCAAGGAGCUGAUCUCCUCAUAUCCCAUUGCACUUUGGAAACCUGUAAGAGGAUUAAGAACACAAUCAGGAAAUUUCUUGAUAUAAGAGUAGUUGAAACACUCAUAGAGUACAAGACUUACAUAACUAACCAAAUGCUUCAGGAAUCUUUUUGAUUUCAAAGACCAUGCUGCAUGGACUUGAAAACACCAGCUGGAUUCUGUUCAGCUAGGUUUUUGAAUUCUCUGGCCACAUUGUUGUAUUCUUUAAUACAGUAUUGCUCUUUCCAGGAGCAGGCAUCCCAUAAGAGGGAGCGUGGAGAGAGAUAUCAUAGGAGCUCCGAGUCCGUAAAUGUCUCUCAUUAGAAAUCUGCUAAGAUACUUCAUCUGUUACGCUUGUUUCCCGAAAGAUCGCAUCACGGCAUUCGCUCUAGCCCGCAUGCCGCUCCUGGUCAAUCCAGAGAUCAUUGCCGUGUAUGCUCUAUGAUCAAGCUCCACUCCGUUGGGGGUGAGGCUACAGAACAAAUCAUACGCUUCAUCCACCAUACAAGCCUUGCACAUCCCAUGAAUCAUGAUAGUAUAGGUAAUAAUAUCAAGAUCAUUUCUAGUCUCUUGCAUAUCCUUAAAUAUAAACAAUGCUUUCUCUACCUCCCCAUUAACAAAUAGACCAGCUAACAAAAUGUUGUAGCUCCUAAUAUUGGGAGGAGAAGGCAUCUUUGUGAAAAAACACUCUAGGGCAAGAUCGAUAUUGCCUGCUUGAAGAUACCCCUGGAUAAGAGUGUUGCAAGAGACUGUGUUUGCAGCCACUUUUUCUUGAGACAUCUCGUGCAAAAGGUUAAUCCCUUCCUGAACCCUGUUGGCCUUGAAAAAUCCAUUUGCAAGAGUACAGUAAGUCACAACAUUUGGGUCGCACCCCACUCUUCUCAUCUUCUCAAGAAUAUUUCUGGCCGUAUCUACACGAUUGUACAUGCAAUUCCCAUUGAUGAGUGAAGUGUAAGUGUAAACAUUAGGAUUUAUAGACAUUUCGACCAUCUCACUGUACACAACUUGAGCUUCUUUAAACUUCCCAACUUUCACAUACGCAUGGAUUAGUGCGGUGAAAGCGACUACGUUCGGGUUGAUUUGCUUGGAGGUCAUUUCUCGCAGUAGGUGAGAGGCUUCACUCAGUUUACCUGAGCUACAAAGGCCGCUUAUGAGAGAGCUGUAGGUAACAACAUUCGGUGUAAUCCCGUUGUUUCCCAUACGCUCCAAAAGCUGCAGAGCGGCAACAAGAUGUCUUUUUUUGCAAAGACUAUCAAUGAGUAUGGUGUAGACUACAACAUUAGCAGUGAUUCCCAUUUUCUCCAUUUGUUCAACCACAUAAAGGGCAUCUUCAAUUCUAUUCAUGUCGCAGAAUCCAUUGACCAGCGAGCUAUCUGUUACCACGUCAGGCUCAAUCCCAAGUUUCAUCAUUUUCCCAAGAUAAGACAAAGCCAAAAAGGGCUGAGAGCAGCGGCAGUAACAAUUCACCAAAAUAUUGCAGGUAUAGAGAUCAGGUGAAAGUUCCAAAUCUUCCUCAAAUUCCACAAAAUUCCAGAGAUAAAUCACAGCAUUAUACUUCUUCAUCUUGGCAAUAGCAGUCAAUACUUUAUUGAAUUCGACAAUGGAAGGGAGGGGACGAGACCGAACCAUGUCAACGAACAAACUAUAUGCAUCUUCACACUUAAUAUCAUGAAGCCCACUUCUCAAUAUCUCUCGGUAAUGACUAGCACUAGAAAAGGCUCGAACCCAGAAACGGAAACCGCAAAGUCUAAAGGAAGGAGCAGUACCGUUCUUCAGGAAAUGGCGAUGAAGAAACCCCUUAGCCGUCGACGAAAUCGCAGUCGCAAUCGACCACCGCAUCCAAUCGACUUUCCUUCAGAUUGAUUUGGGUUCGUUCCCAAAUUCCGUCUCAGGAAUUGUUGGACCAUAAACCCUAAACCCUACUAGGAUACAUUGUUUAAGUGUUUGACAACUGAGAGAAUUUACUUCACACAGAGAAGGCGCUACAGAGAAAAACACAUAAACCUCUAACCGGUUAAAGAAAAAAUCAAGUUUUUAGGUUUUCGGUUUAUUAGUCGAACCGAACAGAUUAAGAACCAGUCGCCUAAAACGGUUCUGCCGCAACCGAACCGGUUUGCACAAAUUUGAUUCGAUCUCGUCUCUCCUGCUUCUCUAAAUGGCAUCCUCUUCUCUCGUCCGAAUCGUCUGUGUUGAAAAAUGUCGUAUUUUUCUUCUCUCCCUCCUCCUUUUUUCUUCUCACUCCUCUAUCUCUCUGUUUGAUUUCGUCUUCUUGUUCCUUUGGGUUUGAACAUCGAAAGCAUGGCUUCUGGAAUCUAGAUGAAGAUCAAAAUUCAAAAGGCUCUUCUGCUACUUCAAAUCCUUCGACGUGUGGAUCAGUUUUACAAAACUCAGUAUGAUGUAUUUUGUAUUUAUAGGCUAUAGCUUUUCCCAAUAUUCUUUGGAUCAUGGCCAUUCCUCAGGUGAUUUUUUGUGAGGAAAUAUUUUGAUUCCAAAGUACAAACUUUCUUCUAGUGUUUGUUUAUCUCUCUGCCUACUUCACCUUGUUAUGUACUUGUCACGAAAAUGUUGAACCAAUUGAGAAAUGUUACUCCUGAUAGUGGAAUACAUUGAGGCACAUCUCUCAACGGUUUUGGUUUCUGGCUUCAGAAUUCAGUUUCUUUCUGCAAUAUCUUUUAACAUUUUGAUCUGAUCCAUCUUGAUAACAUCACUGUAGCAUUAUUAACUAGUUUAAUGACCUUAAAAGUUAGGAAAAAAUGUUUCUUUUAGAACACUCUGGAAGCUUAGAGACAUCAAGAAACUUGACUAAACAGUGGUUACAGAAAUAUGGUAAGCAAAUACUGAAAAGGUAGAAGAAAGAAUGUAGUAUGUAAAAAUAUACUGCUUGUUGUUAUUACACUUCUUAGUAAUCACUGAAACCGAGAUAAGUCGUACUUCAGAACAUGGUCUGCUACGAUGGCGUUUGUUUUCUCUGUUGGGUGAAAUGAGUCCCAAAAUACGUAUUUGCUUGCAUCAGAGCAUGUGAAAGGGUUCAUUUUAUCACACAAGUAGCUCAUCUCAUAGUAUCCCGUCCCGCAGCAUGCACUUCUUACAUUUUGGAAACCUGUGAUGCAAUUAACAAGUCUUGAUUUUAAGAACACUUGGUUACUCACUAGAUACUAGCCUGUCUUUAGACAGUGGCUAGGAAAAGCUUUUGUGAGAACUUUGUACUAACCGAAUGCUUCAGGAUAGUUUAUGAUAUCUGAAACCAGGUCAUACGGAUUUGAAAACACCAGCUGGAGUCCGUUCAGCUCUCUGUUCAACUUGGAGACUUUUUCUUCCAUCUUGGUGUUGAAAUCUCUAGCUACGUUGUUGUAUUCUUCGAUACAUUUGCUUCCAUAAAAGAUCUGAGUUGUUCUUUCCAGGGGCAAGCAUCCAAAAGGCGAGAGUCCUGACAGAGACAUCUUACGAGCUCCGAGUCUGUAAAUAUCUGUCAAGAAAUCUCCUGCGAUUCCUAUCAGGAAAUCUUGGUACUCAUUCACAGAGUACUUCCGUAACCUGCGGGGAACAAGAUAGUAAUUCUCCAGGAAAUCGUUUGUUCCGAUACUAAUCAGGUAAAGUGCUUCCCCAAUAACCUCAUUAGCUUUCUCUUCACCUAAGUAGCUUCUUAGCCUUGUCUGGUAUUCUUUGUAAUACUCCACUUCCUUCCAAAGCGGCAUCACAGACUUUUCACAUUUCAAAGAAACCAUUUCAGUUUUAGCUUUUCUUGAAGUAUAAAAAGUCAAAAUUCAUCAUUACAAGAAAGCAUAUAUAUAUGACUAGGCUUGACUUACUAACACAGCAGAGGUUGCAUUGUCUAAGCCAGUUCCAGCUGAAGCGAAACAGACACCAGUGGCAAAGUCUGCGAUGUUGUAUGCAGGAUCUAGGUACGCAGGGACUGCGUUCUUGAGUCCCAAACCUUCUGAAAUGAAAUCUGGUGCUAUCCGACCAUUUGAGAAUCUCCCUGUCGCUUUGCCGUCAAAGUAAUCCCGGCCAUACGGCUGGAAAUUGCUCUUUAGAACCGUAGAAAUCUGGUUGUUGUUUCCUGAAUCCACAGUUGAGUCUCCAAAUACGAUAAGUGCAGGAACUUUCGCUCUAGUUUCAGGUAUCUGCACCAAGAGCUGAGCUGAGAGCAACAAGAACGCAAGAACUCUUUUUCCCAUCAUGCUUUUACACAAGUUUCCAACUUUUUUUUUGUUGCUUCUGCAGAAAAGACACUCAUAGGUGAUUGGGUAGAACAACCUGAGAAAACAUAUAAUUAGGAGAAAGAUAGGUAUUGUUAUCGAACCUGUCUCAAACAGUCGCUCUUGUAGUUAUUAGCUUGGCCCUUUGUUAGAUGAUGCUUAUUAAAUAUUGUUAAUCUGUUUUGCCUCUGAGUGAUUGUGGCCGCAGAGAUUGGCCUGGAGUUAGUUGACGUGAGUAAUGAGCCGAAAUUGACUAGACUCAUUAAUAGUUUUCUGCAAAGAGCCAAAAUUAAUAGUUACUAGAAAAGAGAGACAUGUCAGAAUUACUUGAAGUAUAAGGAUUCAUACUCUUGCAAGCUUCAGAUAUGUAACGCAUCCUCCUUUUACCGGUUUCACGCACAAAGCUCUACUCUCUGUUCUUAUCACUUUUUUUUUUUUUUUUUUUUGGCGUAGAUGAUCCUUCAAUGUAAGGAUUGUGUUGUGUGCAGUCGACAAGAAAGCUUAGGUAUCCGAUGGAGUUUGAAUCAUUUAACGUUCGAAUGCUUUGUAAUCUACGUUGCACGUUUUGGGGCUUUUUGGUUCAACCAUAGUGUUUGGUUGUUGCAACGACAAUAACAAGUAACGGCAAGAAAGUGUCUCUCAUGCGUCAAAUGUGACAUUGCCGAUAAAGUGACUUUGUUUUUUUUGUUCGACUGAAGUUCACAUUCUUGAUUUUGUAUAACCUCUUUUUUUUUUUUUGAUGAAACUAGAUGUGGUUAGGUUCUGAUUAGUAACCGGCUGAUUGGUGAUUUCUAAUGCGAUUUCAUAGAUUUUUGUACCAAUAACUUGUUUCCAUGAGAAUGCUAAAAGAAAUCUAAAGAAAACACACGUUUGGGUUUUGAAUGUUUUUUUUAAAAAAACGAGUAAGGGUGUACAGAAAUUAAGUGGUCAUCUAGUUGUUGAAUUAUAGAUAAGUUGCUGAACAUUAUCAAUUUUCACAUUCUCCCAUGCAGAAGAAGUCUGAAGAAGUCAGACCUACACAACCACUAGGAUUAAUACAAUAAUUUUAAAUUAAUUAACAAAAUUUGUUACUAUUGCAAGUUGCAACAAAAAGUGAUUCUACUUUAUACGGUUUUAUGUUAAUUAUCUAGCAAAGGCAAAUCCGGUCUACAAAUAACUAUCUAGCAAAGCCAAGAUAGGUCCAAAUCCGGUCUUAAUCUAGCUCUGAGGCUGGCUGAGGACAACUUAACAUCAGCAUAUAGAAUAAGAGGCCCGGACAUUCGUACUUGCUGCAUGUUUAAUCACUAUAACCCGAUGUUACAAGUCUAAUCAUAAUACCACCUUUAUUAUUAAUUUCUAUUUGUAUAAUUAAUUAAAACGUACACGGUACAGCUUAUGAUGUUUGGUCCGUAGAGGUGGACUCUUGUCUGUCCUAAAAAAACACAAGGACGAGAGACUUCUCAAAUCUAGAGGUUUCUCAAAUCUCCGAGCUGCUAUAUUGACGAUAAUACCCUCACAGCCUCAGUCACCCGUCGUGCAUCGAUGAGGGUGUUUUCGUAAAAAAAGAAUACGAAGAGAGAACUCUUCUUCACCUUUCACACUACGCACGUCUGUAUGCCUCUGGAAAUAAGCAAUUCUCUCAGACAAUAACUCUCAAUUCGAUUCGAUUUGAUUCGAUUCUCGUCUUGAUCUCUGCUUGUUUCUCUGUGCAUUCCCUGAUGUUGGUUUCGAGAGUUUUGUCGCGACUUUCCCGCAGCGCGGGCUUACGCUCCUCACUCUCAGCCGUCGCUCUCCGGCGAGGAACCAGUCUCCUGUCUUUUCGAUCCGGUUUCACUCCCUUCGUUCACGACUUCUCAACACAAGGUAGAUUUAUCAUAUUCGGUGCCGAAUUUCAUCAGGGUUUGAUAGGGUUAAGGGUUUCUCAAUUUGACCUCAAUUCAGUGUUUUUACUUCUGGAAAAUCCGACCUUUUUUAUAGAAAUGAUAGCUGGGUCCCUUGUUGAAUCUUCCAAUGGAUGUAUAAAUGACUAGAUACUCUCUGUCGCUCUUGCCUUUGAUUAUCUAUUGGUUUUUUGCUCUGUGUUUAUAAACUGAAAUUUACACAUUUUGUAUCCUUUUAGGGGCAGCUUGUCGCAGCUCAGGUGUCUCUUGAUUCGUUUUCACUUCAAAGGUUCUCUUUUUCUUCCCCUACCUCGCCUGAAUCAAAUGAAAAGGAAAGCAAUACUGAGGCCUCAAAGACAAAUGAAGAGAAAGCUGCAGCUGAGGCAAAUGAAUCAGUUCCUGACGCGGAAUCUAAAGAUUCUAUGACCGAUUCUGCGAAGAGAAGGCGGAAAGGCGCUAAACGAGCUGCAGUUUCUGAAUCAGAUUCCGAGAGUGACGAUGAUGAUGAGGAGUUGUCAAAGGAUGAUUUGGUGAAGCUCGUAGUUGAGAAGGAAGAGCUAUUGUCUGAAAAGGAGAAAGAGAUUAAGAUGAUGAAAGAUAAAGUUCUUCGCACUUACGCAGAGAUGGAGAAUGUCAUGGACAGAACAAGACGUGAUGCUGAAAACACCAAAAAGUAUGCCGUACAGGUUAGUCUUCAAUAACUUGGUUUUGCAGCGUUUGCAUCAUUAUGAUGGUUCGCUGAGAAACAUACAUGUCUCUGCAGAAUUUUGCAAAGAGCCUUUUGGAUGUGGCGGAUAAUCUUGGUAGAGCUUCUUCGGUUGUCAAAGAAAGCUUCUCAAAGCUUGACACUUCGAAAGAUUCUGCUGGAGCUGCUCCACUUUUGAAGACCCUUUUAGAAGGUGUGGAAAUGACUGAGAAGCAGCUAGCUGAGGUAAAUACGUUAACCAUGUUUCCGUCGAGAAAUGUAGUUAUUAUAGACAUGAGACCGACUAAAUCUGUGUGCUGCUGCAGGUAUUUAAGAAAUUUGGUAUGGAGAAGUAUGAUCCUAUAAACGAGCCGUUUGAUCCAAACAGACACAACGCAGUGUUCCAAGUCCCGGAUGCUUCUAAGCCAGAAGGCACAGUUGCUCAUGUCUUGAAGGUAAAUAAAUAAAACUUGCUCCUCGAAAUGUCUCUCUUUUUUUCCGUAUUCCGUAGUCUUCACACCAAUUAGUAACGAUUGUGUCGAUAUCUACAGUCUGGAUACACGUUGUAUGAUCGAGUUAUAAGACCAGCUGAGGUUGGUGUUACUCAAGGGGGAGAGAGCGAAGAAGUCAAGAAAGAGUCUGAAGAUUAAAAAUAAGUCAGCUGGUUUCCAUAAAUUUUGCUACCGUUCUUUGUUUCGAGUAACUUAGUUAGCAUCUUCCUGAGUCUUUGAGUUAUAGUUUUCUCUUUUCGUUUGGUUAUUCAUUGGAUGAACAAGAUCUCCCAUAAGUUGCUGGACAUGGCACUUGCAGAAAAAGUCCUGCUUCUGUAUCUGUUUUCUCUAUCUUCAUAAAGCUUUAAUUGAAGCUUCUCCAAACUUUACUUGCAGAAGCGAAAGUUACAAUUCUUCUACACACACUCUACCAAGUCUCUUUUGAUAAGUUAAUCAGAUACAUUAAAGGUUUCCCAUGGUCUGAUACAACCAUAAACUAACCAAAAGGACAUAAACUGAAAACAGUCACAAAAACCUAUACUCAUCACUUUCGUCUUCUUAAAACCCGGCCUUCAAUUUGUGUCGAAGAAUAUCUCCGAGCUUUACAUAAAGCAUUUUCUGCUCCUCAUGUCCUAGACUCCUCGAUAUCUGCAGGUACAAUACAAUCAAAGAUUCUGUAGAUACGUACAAUGAAAUUACAUGAUCUUGACUCUUGAGUGAGUGAUGAUGACUCUUACCUGGUCUAGGAUCAUCUCGACACUGUAGUCCUGAUGAACAAUGAACGAUUGGAUGUAGAUGUAUGCGAAAACCGCCAUAACCAUCUGAAUUUAGGCAACAAGAUUCGGUUUAAACAAUGAAGAGAUCAUAUUGCAACUUUCGAUAAACCAUUCUACGUUAGUUAGUAGCUCUUACUUGGCAAUCCAUUCUGUCAGUAAAUCCUCCAUGUCCCGGUAUGCUGUCUCCGAAAUCCUGUCAACGCGACAAAACCAUAUGUAAAGAUUCGUUCUUGGAUCUGUGGAUACAAAAAACUUUUUAGUGUUUGAAAAAUGUAUAACCUUGAUCUUGAAAGCUCUUUUGAAACCGCUUGCAAAGAAACCACCAAAAGGUGCUAUAACGGAUGCGAAUAGGCCGAGAGAGAAAGCGUGCCAUUGCACGGGUAGAAUUGAGAUCUCUUUCCAUGGAGACUGUUAAAGAAAAUGUUCAUGACUCAUGAGCUCAGUUUCAAAAACCAAGACAUAUACAAGACACCAUCACUGGCUAAAAUAAUUGCUUACAAAUGGAGCAAUCCAAGAAGGCAAUGGGUAAUACUCUGGCCUGAACAGAGGGCCUGGAUCACAGUGAAGCCAACCGGUCGAUAAAUCCUGCAAAAUGAUGCAACAUAAGAAUGGUCUGGAACAAAAGAUCGUGAUAAAGAAUUUCAUUUUUUGUUACCUUCCUUGGACAUGUGAACCAUUGGAAUUGGCCGAUGACAUUUGCAAACUGUUGUAAGAAGCCCAGAAUCUAUCAGUCUUUGAGUCCAAAAGAAAGGAUUAUGCAUUGAUUGAAGAUUUGGUUCUUACAAAAAACGCAGAGAUUAUGGUUGCCACCGAUGCUCCGAUGAAACCUUCCCAUGUUUUCUUUGGAGACAACUUGAUGAGAGGAGUUUUCCCGAAAUAGAAACCGAAGAAAUAAGCUGCUACAUCGUUCAUAGCAAUAAGAGCAGCUGGAAGAAGAAACCUGCAUAAUUAUCCCAUUUUAGAAAAAGAAGUUGGAACCAUGGAAAAAACGACAUGUUUCAUUGGAUAUAAUUAAUAUAAACUCAUUUUACCAGAAGAUCCCUUCGAAAAUAUUGGCGACGGUGAAAGAAGACUGAAUAAACACAAUGAUAAGGAUCAUAUGCGUCCAAGCGUAUUGCCCAAACUGAUACUUGUACAUUUUCUUCUUCAAUGUAACGAUAAACCACAUGAAACCUGAAUCCACAAAAAGUUCAACUAUUAAAUGAAGAUUAAGCUUUAUCAAGAAAUCCGGGAAAAUAGUGAAGGAGAAGAAGAGAAAACACACACACACAGAGACACAAACCUGCAAUGUACAAGAAGUAGCAAAUAACCAUCUGGUACUUGAUAAGACCACUAACAAGCUUGUAGAUGAAUCUAUCAGAAGAAACAGUGUUGACUAGCUGCUGUUGAAGUAUGCGUCCAUAGACGAACAACAUAGCAGUGAAGAAGAAGUGCCAAUUCAAGAGCCUGAAACCGGGUAAUCGACGCUCUUCGUGAGCUCUUCUGAGAAGAAAGAAAAGCUCUCUGGUCAUGAAUAUCUGUAUAACCACAACCAUAGCCCAGAUGUAGAGAUGACCCAUGUAGAUUAUAAACACGACUCCUCCGAGCAUCCAGAGAGACGAGCAUGUCCUUAUCCACAUUGAUCUGUACUUGUUCUUAUCACCAAGUAACAGAUUGCUUACAUUGCUUCUGUUCACCUCAGCUGGGAUCUGGAUCAAAACACACCCCAGAUGUUGAAAAAGACAAAUCAAGAAUCUUAGGACAUUUAAACGGAAAAGACUAUAUUUUUAAUACCUCGUUGGAUCGCCUACGGUGGCGAAUGCGAGCUGUUGGAGAGCUAGGAGUAUAAUUGUAAUCCCUUGGUGAAUUGGGAACGUUGUGAUAAUGGUUAUCUCUCUGGUUAUUACUCAUUCUAGAGGUUGGUGUAUUAGGAUAACUAUUAUCCUUUAGCUUUCUAAUUCUUGGAGAAUUCGGAUUGAGAUCUUUCUCCAUUGCCAUCGAUAUCCCUAGGAAAUGCUAUUCUCCUCUAAUGCUAUCAGUUCCUGGAUUAGGUUCAUCAAACUUAGUGAAUCAUGAUGAUGAUCUGCGUUUCUUAUCUUUCUGAGGAACAAAAAAAUUGAAAAAGAUUCUCCCUUUUUUUGUGUCUUUUCCUGGGUUUGAUCUAGAGUAUCAAAACUUCAACCUUAAACUACACGUCUUAACGAGCAUACACAUAUCAUCCGAGGUUUCUUGGGUCACAAGCAUCACCAGAGGAUUUAAAUUGAAUGUGUAAGCUUAGUAAUCAAAAUUAUUCAUCAAACCACAGCGAGCUGAGCAUAUCAAGAAACCAUAAUUUCAGAUAGAAUCAAAGGUUGACAAAUCGGAUCAAGAGAAUCAACUUACAGAAUAUCAGGCUUCUGGAUCAAUGAGAGGAUGAUGGAGAUUUAAGAAAAUAUACCCUAAUUAAGAGGAAAAUGAUAAAAAUCUCAAAAGGUGGAAGAAGAAGAGGAAGAGGAUGAGGAAGGUGGUGGAUGAGCACUUACCGGUGAGAUUUCAUUUCAUCGCUUGGCCGAAUCAGAAGACAGGAACCAAAAUUAAACUAUUCAUGCCGCGACUCCGUUUACACCCGGAAUGAAGGACACGUGUCUUAAUACUGUUUGGGCUGGAUCGGAUAUCUAAGCCCAUAAGGCUUUAUGUACCUGCUCUCUCAAAUUUUUUCUGCCGAGGACGUAUAGACAUCAGACAUGCAUGAACAUGAGUCAAUGAGUGAGCUCUGUGGUCAGUGGUCACAUCAGUAAAUAACGCCAAAAUAAAGGGUCACUUUUGCUGUUGGUUGUGUUUUUUUUUUCUGAUUAAUUAUUGAGUUCCGUGUCGCUAUUAAGUGGGUCCCGCUUUUUCUCAUUUCCCAACCUCCAUGACCAUAGUUAGAAUUUUCUCUGUUUCCUAUGCUAUUGAGCGCUCUCUCUCUCUCUUCUAUCUCUCUCUCUCAACAGUAACUACUAGUCAGAGAGCUUCAGAUCUAGAAGAGGGAAAACCCCAGAUAAAAUUUAGGAUCCAAUACUGAUAUCGGUAAUGAAAUCCAUCUUCUACUUUUGGAUUCGAUUAGUUUCUGUACAAUGACUAUUUACUUCUUUAUUGUUGGCUUCUUUCUUUGUUUUUAUCACCAAUGCUGUUCGAUUCCUGUGUAGUUCCGUGUUCUUAUCUGUGACAGAUACAGAGCUCUACUUGCGCUUCAUCUUAUUUUAGCUAGUUUCACAUUCUUAGCUUCACCAUACUUGCUUUUGGGUCUUGCUGAAAAAAAAGAGUUUUGUUCACAAGUUCAAUAUGUUGUUUCUGAAUCAGUUUGGUUUCCGGAAAAGAUUGCAACUUUGGUUUUCGUUAACUGUAGUCUUAGUUAAGUUCUUCACCAAUAAAUGUUCUGUGGUUCUCUUUCUGCAGGAAACCUUGUGAUUUCACAAGAAUGGCAGUGACAGAAGCAGAAAAUCCUCUUCUUGGAGAAAUCACUUGUGGCACUUUACUGCAGAAGUUGCAGGUAAUUUCGCACAACACACUUAACCUUUAAACUAUGGUUUCACGAACUCAUUGGACAAACUUUUUACAGGAAAUCUGGGAUGAAGUUGGUGAGAGUGAUGAGGAACGAGACAAACUGCUUCUUCAGAUAGAGGAAGAGUGUCUUAAUGUUUACAAGAAGAAGGUUGAGCUGGCCGCAAAAUCUCGUGCAGAGCUUCUUCAGACCUUGUCGGAUGCCAACGUUGAACUUUCCAAUCUCAUAACUUCUCUUGGAGACAAAAGCUAUCUCGGCAUUGUAAGUGCUCUCACGUCUAAAUGCUGAAAAUAUGAGAUGACUUUAGACUGAUUUGAUGUAGCUGUCUCGAUUGCAGCCAGAUAAGACUUCAGGAACCAUCAAAGAACAACUUUCUGCAAUAGCACCUGCGCUUGAACAACUUUGGCAACAGAAAGAGGAAAGGGUCCGGGAUUUUUCUGAUGUACAAUCACAGAUUCAGAAGAUAUGUGAAGAGAUCUCUGGCGGUUUGAACAAUGGGCCUCAUGUGGUCGACGAGUCUGACUUGUCCUUGAAGAGAUUAGAUGACUACAAGAGCAAACUACAAGAGCUACAAAAAGAAAAGGUAAUUAGUAGUUGGGAGAUGGUUAUUUGUGGCCUAUAAGUUUGUUCAGGCCAGAACUAAAACUGCUUUGUGUUUUGACAGAGUGACAGGUUGAACAAGGUGCUCGAGUUUGUGAGCACGGUGCAUGAUCUAUGUGCCGUUCUUGGUUUAGAUUUCUUAAGCACUGUCACUGAAGUUCAUCCGAGCUUAGAUGAGGCAAACUGUGUUCAAACCAAGAGCAUUAGCAAUGAGACACUUGCAAGGUUGGCUAAGACUGUCCUGACUCUUAAAGAGGACAAGAUGCAAAGACUUAUAAAGGUAAGUUAAAAUCAUGGUCUUUGAGAUCCUUAACAUGAGCUUGGAUAGUUUAGGCUGGACGUAUGUUGAAAUCCUUAUUGAUUAAAUUGCAAUUAUCGAAUAUCAAAUUGGUGGAGAAAUUUGAAGUUUGAUCAUUUGUGCCGAAAGUUCUGAAACUGAGUUCAAUAAUACAAUCUUUGUUUUCUACAGCUUCAAGAGCUAGCUACUCAGCUAACUGAUUUGUGGAACCUGAUGGAUACUCCUGAUGAGGAAAGAGAGCUUUUUGACCAUGUAACAUGUAACAUUUCAGCUUCAGUUCAUGAAGUGACGGUCUCUGGUGCUCUCGCACUUGAUCUGAUCGAGCAGGUAUUGUAAAUUUAGAAAGUAUUGAUCAGUGCAUAUGAUAAGUAACUGCUUUUUAAAAACUCCUGUAAAUCUUUGAAGGCUGAGGUGGAAGUGGAUAGGCUUGACCAACUGAAAGCUAGCAGAAUGAAGGAAAUUGCAUUCAAGAAGCAAUCAGAGCUUGAGGAGAUAUAUGCUCGUGCUCACAUAGAGAUAAAACCAGAGGUUGUUCGUGAGAGGAUCAUGUCGUUGAUUGAUGCUGGAAAUACCGAACCUGCUGAGCUACUGGCUGACAUGGAUAGUCAGAUCGCAAAGGCCAAAGAAGAAGCCUUUAGUAGAAAAGAAAUAUUGGACCGAGUCGAGAAAUGGAUGUCAGCCUGUGAGGAAGAGAGUUGGCUCGAAGACUACAAUCGGGUAAAUGCAUGAAAGGACCAUUUCCAUGUCAAACACGUUACCUUCACGACAUACAUUUUAAUGUGAUGGUUUUUUGCUACUUUGUUCUUGGAAACAGGACCAGAACAGGUAUAGUGCAAGCCGAGGUGCGCAUUUGAAUCUCAAGAGAGCUGAGAAAGCCCGGAUUCUGGUCAGCAAGAUUACCGGUAACUUCCAAGAGUCUUGAUUAUCUUUUCACAUUGAAUCAAACUGAGACUGAAAGAAUUUAUGAUCUUGUUGAUUGUACAAGCAAUGGUUGACACAUUGGUUGCUAAAACCCGGACAUGGGAAGAGGAUAACAAUAUGUCCUUUGAGUAUGAUGGUGUUCCUCUGCUCGCCAUGCUAGAUGAAUACACUAUGCUUAGGCAAGAACGAGAAGAAGAGAAGCGGAGGCUGAAGGUGAGUGUCUCAUACUAUAGUCAUCUGGUCGUGGAACAUAACUAUUAAACUAAUCUGGCCUUAUUUCUUUCUAACUUACAGGAACAGAAGAAGCAGCAAGAGCAGCCACACACAGAUCAAGACUCCGCCUUUGGGUCUAAACCGAGUCCUGCAAGACCCGUCAGUGCAAAGAAACCGGUGGGAACACGAGUAAACGGAGGAGGGCUCAACGAAACUCCUAUGAGGCGUUUAUCUAUGAACUCAAGCCAGAACGGAAGCAAGUCCAAAAGAGACAGUCUCAGCAAGCUAGCUUCGCCUUCUAACCUUGUAGCCAAUUCGAAAGAGGAUGCUGCAUCUCCAGUUCCUUGUGCUGACUCAGUUUUGGUUUCACCAUGAGAAUAUCAAAGAAGAAAGAAAGAGCUGAAUGUUGCUAUUAGGGAAUGAGUAGUGUCUAUGAAACAAACAUUUUAGAAUCAAGACAAUACACUAAGAGUCGAAUGUUACUUAUUUUAGAUAUUUAUGUCUGUUUCAUUGACUCACAUUGCUCUUUUCUAAGCCUUAAUGACUAUCUGAAAUGACCAGUUUAAUGAAGAAAAGUUAGGUUCUAACUGGAGAUAUGUAUUUAUAUCUGGGCAAAAAUCGUAAUAUGCUUGAAGAUGUUUGGAUGUAAUUUUGUAAUUUGAAAAGGUUAAGGAGAUGUGCAAAUAUUAGGGCAUGUCCAAUGGGGGAAUGAGGGGAGUCUCUAAUGGCUUUUUUAAUUAAAAAGAAAAUUUUUAAUCAUGUUUUUAACCAGGAUCGAUCUUAAUUUAGUAGUUUUUGGAGACCCAUUAAUUACUCCGACGUGUCGCGUUGUGGUUGGUUAGAUGAUUUUAUUUUAUUUUUGAUUUUAUUUAUUCAAACACUCUGUUUUGAUUAGAGGGUUUGAAGUUGGGUUGGUUUUUAUUUUUUGUCUAACCUUCUUCGUCUUCUUCGGAGGAGACUUCGGUGAUAUCAGAGAGAGGCGAGAGAGAGGCGAUUAAACGGACAACUGAUCAGCGAUGCUUAUUUGAUCGGUGGAUGGAUCAAAUAAGAUCGGUGGAUGCAGAUGCAAAGAUCGGCGCUGCAGAUGCGAAGAUCGGUGGAUGGAUGGAUGAUGAUCGGCGAUGCUUAUUUGAUCGGUCGAGGUACAGACAACUGAUCGGCGAUGGCUUAUUUGAUGUAAAUCAAAACACAGUCAAAGCAAAUUCAGAGAUGGGUAUAUUACAAGUAAGAUUUUUACUCAGUUUAUUGAUUUCCCGAAAAUAUAGUGAGUUAAUGAAUUAGGAAGGCUUUGAUGUGGUUGAUGAUUGAUGGUUUGGAUGGAUUGGAUUACUGAUUGAAUCAAUGCUCUGUAGUGGUUAGGUUUGCAUUAGAUAUUGUAGUCAAUGCUUUGUUGAAUUAGGAUGUGAUUUGUAGUUGCUCUAUGUCACGGUUGAUAAAUGUGAGAGUGGAAUCAAUGCAUUUGUGUCACAAUGAAUGCUUCGGUUAAAACUCUAAUAAAUAGUUUCUUUUGCUCAUGUCUUCAGAAACUACAAACUCUUAACUACAAACUCUAACUUAACUCUAACUUAACUUGAACUUUAAAUCUAUCUUCAAUGCUAACUCCAUCUUGAAUAAGCUUCUAUAUAUUGAAGCUCACUUUGUUUUUUUUAAAAGACACACACCCAAACUUCUUUCCACACUUUUUAAAAGACACACCGAAAUCACACACCCAAACACACACCCUAAACACAUUCACUAAACCUUCCAAUGGAUUCAACUAAUCCUUUUUCUGACACAUCAGGCUUCAUGGACCUGCUAACUAGCCAACAAAGAACCCAAACCCAUAGCCUUGAACCCAUGGAAACAACCAUAGCACUCGGUGAUUCACAAGUUCCAGUGUUUGGAACACAAUGGAGUGAUGCUCCAAGUCCAACUGAUGCACAAGAGAAGGAGCGUAAGACCAGGAAGCCAUGGACUCCUGCUGAAGAUCUUGCGCUUAUAAGCGCCUGGCUUAAUACCAGCAAGGAUCCAAUCAUCAGCAAUGGGCAAAGGGCAGAUGCAUUCUGGAAAAGAAUAGCCAUCUACUAUGCGGCGAGUCCUGACGUGUCUGCUGAAGAUAAGAGAGGGCCAACUAACUGUAAGCAGAGAUGGGCCAAGAUAAAUGAGUUUGUCUGCAAGUUUGUUGGGUCGUAUGAGGCAGCUUCAUCUCAAAAAACAUCAGGUCAAAAUGAAAAUGAUGUAAUGAAGCUGGCUUUGGAGAUAUUCCACAAUGAUUACAAACACAAAUUCACCAUGGAGCACUGCUGGAGAGAACUGCGUCAUGAUCAGAAGUGGGCAGGAAAUGGAAGCUCAAAAAAAAGAAGAACCGAUGGUGCUAGAGUUGAAGGAACCGAUGCUCCUUUGAAGGCAUGGAGAUGAUGAAGGAAUUCCUCGGCCUGCUGGUGUAAAAGCUUCCAAGGGCAAAAAAAAAACAACAAAGACCAAUGGUGGUCGUUUGGAAGAAGAUGGUAAGGAUUUAGUGGACUUUAGAAGCAUCUUUGAGCUAAGGGAAAGGGAGUUAGCAUUGAAAGAUAAGACUAACAAGCAAAAGAUACUCGAAAAUCUGCUUGCAAAAACCGAACCUCUUACUGAGGUAGAAUUCGAGCUUAAGAACAAGCUCAUUAAGGAAAUGUUGUCAAAUAUGUGAGAGUUUGUAUGAGUGAGUUAAGGGUGAGGUCUGUUUUUCUUUGGUAUGAGUUAGUUUUUGGGUAUGUCAUAUUGUUAAGUCUUUUGGGUAUGUCAUAUUGUUAAGUCUUUUUGGGUAUGUCAUAUUAUUAAGUCUCGGGUAUAACUUCUAUGUCUUGUAAUGUUUGUUCUAUGUAUUUUUAUAAAGCCUUUCAGUUGUUUGUCUUUUGGUUUAGGUUCUAUGUAUUGUAUUCAAGACUCCAUAUAUAUAUAUGAUUUUGUUUCCUUUAUCAUUUGUAUGACUUAUAUUCACUUGUUCAUGAUCUCUUUUUUCUUAUUGCAGGCAACAAAGUCAUGGACAAACGGCUACAAAGGAGGCUUUGAAGAAAUGGCUACAAUUUGUAUAUUCAUAUAGGUUUGGGCCACCAUUAUUAUUUUGGCCGAUGUUUUGUGCAAUAUAAGGUUUGGAACUGGUACUUAGCUAUAUUUUGGGCCUGCUAUUUUGUAUUGGCCGUUAAAAACUUUUAGCCGAUGUUUUUAAGUCCCACUUCUUUUUCUGUCCCAAUUUGUUAUGUCCCACUUCUUUUUAUCCGAUGUUUUUGGCCAAGUCUUUAGCAAGUGGUGGUUCUGUAUUCAUAUGUACACACCACACAAUUUAUUACACAAUUUAUGGCACAAUUUAUUACACACCACACAACUCAUCCCACCACAUAUUCAAUGAAUGGUGUAAACUCAAGCGUAUUGUCUAUAUAUUAGAAGAUUGCAAAUGCUCACAAACAAAUCAUCUUCUUCAACAUCAUCUUUAUUUCUUACAACUCUCUUCUUCCUACAUCGUUUUCUAACUCUCUUCAUCAUCUUUCUUUCUCAUAACAAAAAACCAUCUUCUAUGGCAUCUUCAUCCAAUAAUAAUUUUGAGAAAAUUAUUGAAGACAAAUUCGAGGAAGCUUUUGAAAAUGCAUAUGAAAAUGCAUUUGAAAAUCUACUUGUUAAUCAGAGCAAUCGUCAAAGAUCAACCAAAAAAAAAAGAGCAUAUAUUGAGAGAGAUCGGGAACAAGGCCAUAUCCGUUUAUGGAACGACUAUUUCCGGGAAGAUUCAACAUAUCCACCCUAUAUGUUUCGUCGUCGUUUCAGAAUGAACAAACCUUUGUUCAUGCGUAUUGUUGAUGGCCUCUCUACUCAUCUUCCAUUCUUUCAACAAAGACGAGAUGCUACCGGAAGAUCCGGUCUCUCUGCACUACAAAAAUCUACGGCAGCCAUUCGUAUGAUGGCAUAUGGUUGUGCGGUUGAUGCGGUUGAUGAAUACCUCCGGCUUGGUGAAAGCACCGCCCUUUCUUGCUUGGAAAAUUUUGUAGAAGGAAUCAUAUAUCUUUUUGGAGAUGAGUAUCUACGAAGACCCACACCAGAAGAUCUUCAACGCCUACUAGAUAGUGGAGAAUCUCGCGGAUUUCCCGGGAUGAUAGGAAGCAUCGAUUGUAUGCAUUGGGAGUGGAAAAAUUGUCUCACUGCUUGGGCCGGACAAUUCACACGAGGAUCUGGCAAACCGACAAUCGUUUUAGAGGCUGUAGCUUCAGAAGAUCUUUGGAUAUGGCACGCAUUUUUUGGCCCGCCAGGUACUUUAAAUGAUAUUAAUGUGCUCGAUCGUUCUCCGGUAUUUGAUGAUAUAUUACAAGGUAAAGCUCCGAAAGUGAAUUACUUUGUCAACGGACGACAGUAUCACUUAGCUUACUAUCUCAACGAUGGAAUUUAUCCAAAAUGGGCUACAUUUAUCCAAUCUAUAAGCCGACCACAAGGUGACAAAGCAUGUUUUUUUGCAAAACGUCAAGAAGCUACCCGUAAAGAUGUCGAGCGUGCUUUUGGAGUCUUGCAAGCUCGGUUUGCCAUUGUCAAAAAUCCAGCUCUGAUGUGGGAUAAGGUGAAGAUAGAAAAAAUUAUGCGAGCUUGUAUAAUACUUCAUAACAUGAUUGUAGAAGACGAACGAGAUGGGUACAGUUUGUCUAAUAUUGAAGAAUUCACACAAGGAGAAUCAAACAGAACUUCACAUGUGGAUAUGACGUAUUCUACCAAUAUGCCUUCAAAUCUCACUAAUAUUAUGGUCAUCCGGAAUUCACUGCAUCUCGAACUACGCAUGAACAAUUAAAAGAAGAUUUAGUUGAGCAUUUGUGGAAUAACUUUGGUUCAAUUCAAGAUUACAACUAAUCUUAUUAUUUCCGGGUUAUGAUUUGCAUCUCUCUUUUGUUUUGUUUUUCUGUAUUCUAUGUCUAAGUUUGUAUUAAUUAAAUAUUUGUAUUAAUAAAAUGUGUGUAUUAAUAAAAUAUUUGUAUUAAUAUAAUGUUUGUAUUCAUAAAAAUGUUUGUAUUUGAAAAAUUGCAAAAAAAAAAAAACAAUUAGAGUCUCCUUUUAAGAGACUACCAUUGGACACUAAUCUAAUGAAAAAAUUAUAAUGGAGUUCUAAUACAUUAAAAAGAAUAAAAAACUAUUAAAAUUAGGAUUAGAUCCGCUUCUUUGUAUACUAUGGAUGGAGGUGGUCUUAAAGAACUUCCAGGGGUUUUCCAAAGGAAGUUUGGGAUUGGGACUUUAAAGGUUCGUUUUACGACAUCGUUUUUGUACGCACUAUCAGAAGCGGGCGUCAAAUAGAAAAAAUUUCCUUAAUUGUCUGUCUUUUACAAUCGGAGAAAAGCUACGAAGCUAGCGAAGAGAGAAUCCAUGUCGAACCCAAACGAACCAGCUAAGACUCUUCUUCCUUACCUGCAACGUGCCGAUGAGUUGCAGAAGCAUGAACCUCUUGUUGCUUAUUACUGUAAGUUUGAGCUGUCUUCUCUCCCUCUCUGAAGACAACCUAGUUGAUUGUUUUUUUUUCCCCGAUGAACUGAUACGAUCGCGUCCUGCGAUUGAGUACUACAUGGAUUUGUGAUUUAUCUGUUUAAUUAAUAUUUUUUUUGCAAAUUUAUGGUUGUGGCGAUGAUUGAUUAGGUCGGCUAUACGCCAUGGAACGAGGAUUGAAGAUUCCGCAAAGCGAGAGAACUAAGACCACCAAUUCGAUUCUCAUGUCCCUCAUCAAUCAACUGGAAAAGGUAUUCCCUUCUAAGUUCUUAAUUAUGAGCUUGUCUGAUUUAUUUUAUCUGAUUUUGCUAGUUUGGGAUUAAGUGGACUUGUUCUUAUUAAUUCUCAGGUUCUUUUUGACUUUGAUUAAUAUAUGUUUUGUAUAUGGUAAGGAUAGGCUUAAUUUUAUACUUAGCUUAGGUUGUUUCAUGUGAUUGGGAGAACAUACAUUCCUGUGGCCUAUUCUCUACGCUCUUGUAGUUUUUUGCAUGUUGAUGGUGAACUAGUUCAGCCUUUAAUUAAUUGUAUGCCAUGGCUGUCAUGUGCGUUCUUAUCCAUAUGUAACAUCCAUGAACCAUAUUGUGACAAACGUCAUGCGGAAAUUUCUUGACUAGUUUCAGUUUCUUAACGCGAUAUAUUUGUGUAACUCCAGGAUAAGAAAUCAUUGAAUCCGUCCCCAGAUGACAAUAUGCAUGUGGAGGGGUUUGCAUUAAAUGUCUUCGCAAAGGCAGACAAGCAGGAUCGUGCAGGAAGAGCAGACUUGUAAGAAUACCUUUUCUUUGUCUUAUGUCUAAUUAUCAUAUUGAAUGACAUUCGACACAAGUAAGUUUCUAUUACUGUUAGGACACCGUCAGCACUAGCUCGAUGAGUCGAAUUAUCCUGUUUCUGCAGAUUCAUUCUCUGUCUAGUAUUGUAAUUGGCAAUUGCUAAUACUGAAAAGAGCAUAUAAGUGCAUACAUUUACAAUAAGCUCAUAGGUCGGCAGACAUGUUGUUCCUCCAGCAUCUUUUAAUGAUAACUUUCGAGUUGUAGUAAUAUAUAUGUAUAUAUACACACGCACACAUACAUAGAAUGUAAGAUAACCGGUCAAGGAAUAAGUUGGAUGCAUCCAAUUUUAAGCCUUAUCCUGACCUGUUUUCCUCUGACCAUUCUGCUUUUGCGGAGUGUCUGUGUCUAUCGCCUUGAUACUGAUAUGCAUGGUUUGAUACUGAUAGUAGUUCGCUUAAUGUCCAUUAAUUUAGAAGUGUUAACACCUGCAUUCAUGUACAGAAGCUUUUAAUGUAAUAUCCAAAACUGAUUUUGUUGAGCUUGUAACAGAGGCACUGCCAAAACAUUUUAUGCUGCAAGCAUCUUCUUUGAGAUUCUGAGCCAGUUUGGCCCGGUUCCUCCUGAUGUGAGUUCCUACUUUUUCAUUCACUUAAUAGUUUACAUCUUAAACAGAAACGUCGGACCUUAAGAGGCAGCCGUGUUAGGUGAUUGAUAUAUUUACAUGUAAUGGCUCCCAUUGACAGAUUGAACAGAAACAAAAGUAUGCUGCGUGGAAGGCUGCUGACAUAAGGAAAGCCAUUAAAGAAGGAAGGAAGCCUACUCCAGGUGAUCCUGUUGAUGAUGAUAGUGAUUUAUCCAUCCCGUCAAGCGGUCCUAGUGGCUCUUAUGUAAGCUUCUCUUCUUAGUUAUUUGGGAAUAUCUAGAUAUUGGCCUAGCAUGUAUUCUGUUUAAUAAUAUCGAAGAGUAUGUCAAGGGUGUAAAUAUUAGUUGAAUUUGCAUCUUACUGAUAAAAACUAUCUAGGUAGAGACACACAAAUUUGCAUCCACCUGUCUAGGAUAUGAACGUACUUUCCGUAGAUAACUUCUAAGAUGUGAAUAUCUUCAUCAACUUAAUCGUUUCAUCGUUUGUGCAUUUCAAUCAUCUACAGGAUCUUGGUGCAAGUGAUACGAACAUAACAAGUCAUCAUAGAACAGAGCCUGAUCCACCCCAUGACUCGAAUGAUGACUCUAGCCACCACCAUUUCCCUGAAGUACCGCAACAUCGUCCACCUCCCAGGUUUCAUGACAAUCCUAACAACGAUUACCCCACGGAUGUCCCACCUCCACCACCGUCUUCUUACUCUUCCAACGAUCUCCGUCCUCCUCCCACUGGACCAUCAGACUCCCCUUACCCGCAACCUUACAACCAUCAACCAUACCACCAAGACCCGCCACAACACAUGCCGCCACCACAAAACUACCCAACACAUGAGCCUUCUCCAAAUUCUCUCCCUAAUUUCCAAUCUUACCCUAGCUUUAGUGAGACCAGCCUCCCAGCCACUCCUUCCAACUACCCUUCUCACUACCAAAACCCUGAACCUUAUUAUUCUUCUCCACAUUCCGCACCUCCUCCUUCCACAAGCUUCGCCUCUGCUCCUCCUCCUCCUCCUCCUCCUUAUUCACCAUCAAACGGGCGUGUCAAUAUUGCUCCCGUGCUAGAUCCUGCACCGAGCCAAGCUCAGAAGUAUCAUUACGACAGUAGCUACCAGCCAGGGCCUGAGAAGAUUGCAGAGGCACAAAAGGCUGCUAGAUUCGCUGUGGGAGCUUUGGCUUUCGAUGAAGUCUCGACUGCCGUAGAACAUCUGAAGAAGUCACUCGAGUUGUUAACAAAUCCAUCGGCCGGUCACUGAAUUUUAUGUUUAAUUUUAUGACACUUGGUUGAUGUAUGAAUGUUUUGUGAUUUAACUUUUGAGGCUCAUACUUGGUGUACAAAUCAAACGUAUUUGUGUGAAGUCUGCUAAUUAUUUCAAUUAUAUUUUUCAAUCUAAUGUGUCUCAAAAGCUUCCUGAAUGGUUAUAUGAUAGAUAUAGCCACAAAAGUAGAACUACAUACGUAAAUAAAAACUCAUAAUAAAAAAAAUGGUUACUUUUAUGUUUAGCUUAUACAUCGUGUGACAUUUACAGAUUUAAGAAAGAAAAAAAAAAGUGACGAGGCAAGGAAACAAACGUGUCGUGAGAGUCAUGUCAAGUGUAAAAAAGAGGAAGAGAGAGAGGAGAGGCGCGUCAAAGAAAAGGAAAGAGAUGUCAACCGCUGCAUUCGUCGGCGCGUGCAUGUCCGCCACGCACACCAAUCAUCAUUAUUACUAGAUCAUUCUCACUUUGCUCUAAAACACACGCACACAUUGCACUCUCACUCAAUUAGUUUUAUUAAAAAAAAACACAUUGCACUCAAUCUAGAGAGAGAGAGAGAGAUAAAGAGAGAUGAGUACGACGACAGAGAUGAUGGAGAGAGACGCAAUGGCUACGGUGGCUCCCUUUGCUCCGGUCACUUUUCAUCGCCGUGCUCGUGUUGACAUGGAUGAUAGACUUCCUAAACCUUGUAACGCCUUAUUCUCUUUAUCAUUACAUCCUAAUUAAUUGUUGUCAAGUGUCAACAUAUAUAUAUAUAUAUAUAUGUAUAUACAUAUGCAUAUAUCUAUAUCUAUUUAUAUAGUAGCUAACUCAAUAAUAUAGAUAGCUGUAGGUGUAAUUGGUACAUAUGUAUUUGUAACAUCCAUUUGUUGUAUCACACUUUUCGAAAAAAAAAACAUCCAUUUCUAUUAUGCACGAUUAUGAUAGUAAUGUUUUUACACAUGGACAUGCAUGCAUAAUUCUAUUCACAAUAACACGCAUUCAACGAAAAUAAGUAUGAUUAUCUUUAUAGAUAUACAUAUAAAAUAGUUGCCCAAACAUUAUAUAUAUGCAUAUUUUCCUAGAUAAUUAAUGUAUCAUAUAUAUAUAUAUAUGUGAUUGUUGAUGCCUUGAUGGAUAUGAUAUAGCAUAUGUGUAAAUGUAUAUAUGAUUUUAUGACAUAUAAUGAAAUGCAUAGAUAUGCCAAGAGCACUGCAAGCACCAGACAGAGAACAUCCGUACGGAACCCCGGGACAUAAGAAUUACGGACUUAGUGUUCUUCAGCAACAUGUCGCCUUCUUUGACUUAGAUGAUAAUGGCAUCAUCUACCCUUGGGAGACCUACUCUGGUAUACAUCUAUACAUAUAUAGAUUGUAUUAUAUAUACAUCUUUCAGUUUCAUGUUUUUUAUUAGUAUAUGUAUGACAGUUUGAUUCCAACACCUGUGAAUAGGACUGCGAAUGCUUGGUUUUAAUAUCAUUGGGUCGCUUAUCAUAGCCGCUAUAAUCAACCUGGCCCUGAGCUAUGCUACUCUUCCGGUAGCAACUCUCAUCCUCCUCCAACAUAUUAUCUCGUAUAAAUUUGAUUAAUGAUUGUACUCUAGACUCGUGCAUUAUUGAGACCGAUCGGCCUAGAUUGAUGAUGUUCAUUUUUUUGGUCUUUGGCUCUGAUAAAUUAGGGAUGGUUACCUUCGCCGUUCUUCCCUAUAUACAUACACAACAUUCACAAGUCAAAGCAUGGAAGUGACUCAAGAACAUAUGACAAUGAAGGGAGGUCGGUGACCACUAUAUAUUGAAAAAUAGGGUCAUAAAUCACGAUGCAUAUUGCUCUAUAACACCCUUACGUUUCGCAGGUUUAUGCCGGUGAAUCUUGAGUUGAUAUUUAGCAAAUAUGCGAAAACCUUGCCAGACAAACUGAGUCUUGGAGAACUAUGGGACAUGACAGAAGGACAACGUGAUGCAUGGGACAUUUUCGGAUGGUACAAUAUAUUAUUGCCACAUGAUGAGCCCUACCUUAUUAACUUAACUAACCUUAGUUUCUUUGAAUGAAUGUACAUUGAUCUAGAGUAUUGAUGUGGUUUGUAUAUGUAACUUAUUAGGGUCGCAUGCAAAAUAGAGUGGGGAUUGUUGUACUUGCUAGCGAGGGAUGAAGAAGGGUUUUUGUCAAAAGAAGCGAUUAGGCGGUGUUUUGAUGGCAGCUUGUUUGAGUACUGCGCCAAGAUCUAUGCCGGUAUCAAUGAAGAUAAGACUGCUUACUACUAAAGGUAUCCUACAGUGAAGUAAAUGAUCUUAGCCGCUUUAGGCUGAUAAUAGAUCUAUGCGAAGCUUCUGCCUAAAGUAGCCGUUUUAGAGAAUUUACCAGUACAAUGAGAUAUAUGUUUUCUUUGUUUGUCAAAAUCUGUAAGGUAUAAGUAUAAGUUGCAGCUCUAUAGAAAAGCUUCUAUGUGGAGUAGUAUAUGUUUUGUUCGUUUCUGUUUGUACCAGCCUUUUUCAGUUAUUUUCAUUUCAAAAUGCAAUUUUACAGUGUUAGUUAUCAUUGCUAAAUCAAUUGCUGAGUUGCUUUAUAUAUGUAUGAACUUUGAUAACAACAUUUAGAUUUUUAUUUUGGUUAGUUAAUGUAUUAAAUUAAUAGUGUAACAAAAUAUAUGUUCAAAUAAUCUUUAGUAAGAGCCUUAAACAAAAAGAAUUAAUUUUUAUUCAACAAAUAAUACAUUCGAGUGAACGAAGAAUCGUCACUCCUAAAAUAGAACUCUCAGACACAGAUGCAGCACACUCUUGAAUUUUUUUAAAAAUUUCUUUACUUCUCUCAAAAGCGAUCAAGGUUCCUAAAUGUUUAGAUCAGAGUCAAGAGCCCAAUUUCAACGCUAAAGAUAUCCACAUCUAGAAAACUUUUGUUGAGGAUCUUGAAUUCGCAACAAACAUUGCAGCUUCCAUUAACGUUGCUCUAGCAAGUCAAAUGAAGUAUGUAUGGCCUUUGAACAAAUGUCCACUCCUAAUCUAUGGAUCCUCCUGCAUACAAAGACAUAUAUCAUCAAGCUACUCUUGUUUUACCAAACUGGAAGCAAAACCCAACAGACAAAUCUCACAACUCAAAUUUGACAUGAAAGAGAAGUAACAAAGUUGAGAUUUUUAGCUCCAUAACCAUCCUCAACAACAAGAACAUGUGAAAUGAUAGAGAUAUAAUGCAGUCUCUAAGACUCCAAUCAACGGAAUCGAAAGAGAAGAAGACAAAGCACCUCAUGUCGGAGAGUCUCGAACUUUCAAUAGUAAACUAGUCCUUUUGGAUCCUUCCAAGGUAACAUUAGCAACUUCAACGAGCUUCGAAUUAUGGAAAAGCCUAGAAAUGUCCCUAACAUCGUCUCCACCACAUUCAUCAACCGCAACUACGCAAAACCCACCACGGCGCACCGUCCUCUCCAUCUCCUCCACGAAUCUCCACGGAAACAGAGCUUCAGCUAAAUGUGCGGUGAAGGCAAAAUCGAAGACACCGUCGAAAAAGGGAAGGUUAUGAGGAUCAGCUCUUCUGACAAGAGGAAGCGAAUCGACCAAUUCGACGGCGGUAAUGUCAGCUAAUCCGAUCUGGGACAGAGCCAUCGGAGCGUGUCCAGCGCCGGCGGAGAGGCAGAGAGCUUUGGUGUGAUUGUGGAGGAAACCUAGAUCGCGAAAUCGGAGGAAAUAGGUGGAGAAGGAGGAGAGACGCGAUUUCCAGGCCUUAGAGGACCAGAUUCUAGCGUUCUUCUUGGAGAGAGGAACAUGCUGGCGAGGCGAGGAAUCGCAGGUGGAUCUCGGAAAAUGCGUAUGUGGUUUCGAUGGAGCUUCUGGUGGGAUACAUGUUUUCGGCGUCUGGAGAAUCAUAAUCACCAUUAUCGCUGUUCCGAUGCUUAUGAAGACCAUCGAAACUCUGUUCAGCAUCUUCUCGACGUUUCUCUCCAUCGUCGCCGAUCAAUCCAGUCGGAUCGAGUUUUGAAUUGGCCGAUCAAUCUCCAUUUCCCGAUCACUGAUGUGGCGCGCGUGCGAACUCUACCCGCGCGUGAUGCACGUGGAGUUUUACGAAGGCUUCAUUUGUACGCGGGGCGGGCCUUAUAAAGUUAAAUAAAUCAGAAUUUGGGUCCAUGUUCGUGAGCUGGAAGCUGGUUUGGAAUGUAAUCUUUAAAACAUUCAGGCCUAAAUGCACAAUUUUAGAAAAGAAGUGGGGCGGAUUUGAAUAUAAUCUAAAAACAUUGUGAAAGGAGAGAGAAACCUUUACCCCCUGCGGAGAGAGGAGAAAAGCUCUCCCGGGAAGAAGACGAAACUAAAACUACAUUUCGAGAAGCGAAUUUCGCAGUAUUUUUGGCGGGCGAUUUGGUUGAUUUCUUCUGAUUUGUAAGAUUAAGGAUCGUCUCAGGAUUCUUUGGUCGCCGAAGAGUAGCAAGAGGAAGAAGAAGAGGGUGUUUAGAAAUGUCAGACCUAGACCGGCAAAUAGAACAGCUGAAGCGCUGCGAACCAUUGAGCGAAUCGGAGGUGAAAGCUCUUUGCCUCAAAGCCAUGGAAAUCCUCGUUGAAGAGAGUAAUGUUCAAAGAGUCGAUGCCCCUGUCACUGUAAGUUCUUGCUCACCCUACUUCUCGAUCUGGGAUUCGAUAUUCAUCUCCAGUUUUCUAUAAAGAAUGGUUUUUAUUUUAUCCUAAGAGUAGAAUUAUGAGCUCAUAACUCAAGAAAUCUUAAGAAACUCGGCGCGGGGAUUUCGGGCAUCUUAAUUUUGAUAGUUCAGCAGAUCUUUGCCUUUGAUAUUUUGUGCAAGUCCAAAGAUUUCUAGGGCAGUGAAGUUGCAGCAUGUUAAGUGCCACUAGAUAGUAGAUACCAUUUCUAUUCUUAUGAUUAACUCGAAUUGCUAAUCCUUUGAAUUUUGUUUUUCUUUCCUCUGGAAUAGUUAUGUGGUGACAUCCAUGGGCAGUUCUAUGACAUGAUGGAGCUUUUUAAAGUUGGGGGUGAUUGCCCUAAGACCAACUAUUUGUUUCUUGGAGAUUUUGUUGACCGUGGAUAUUACUCGGUUGAGACAUUUCUACUUCUACUCGCUCUCAAGGUAUCACUCAAUCUGGCGUUUACUUUGUUCUGGUUCCUGUUUGCUUUUAUAAUCUCUUCUCCUAAAUGGGUUUUAGAAUCACUUAAGUGGGUUGCUUUGAUAUUCUCAGGUUAGAUAUCCAGACCGUAUAACUCUCAUCAGAGGAAACCACGAAAGCAGGCAAAUCACACAGGUGAAUGCAGUCUCAUCGAAAACAUUCGAUUUUGUGUACAUAUAUUCAGACUAUUUACACAGUCUGCUUGUAGUAGGUUUAUGGAUUUUAUGAUGAGUGUGUGCGUAAAUAUGGCUCUGUGAAUGUCUGGAGAUACUGUACUGACAUUUUUGACUACAUGAGGUACUCACAGAAUAUCUUUAUCGGUUUUUGGGUUCUCUUACUUUGGAAUGAUGCGGCUUCUUUAAACCAUAUUUUAUAUGUACAAAAGUCUUUCAGCUGUUGUUGAGAACAAGAUAUUCUGUGUUCAUGGCGGUCUCUCUCCAGCUAUUAUGACUCUUGAUCAGGUUGAUAAAAGAGCUCUCUCUACUGAUAUAAAUCUAAAGUUUUAACUAGAAUGUGUUAACUGACGAACCCAUACGUUAAUGGCAGAUCAGGACGAUUGACCGGAAGCAAGAAGUACCACAUGAUGGUGCCAUGUGUGACCUCCUAUGGUCUGAUCCUGAAGAUAUUGUUGAUGGCUGGGGAUUGAGUCCACGUGGUGCUGGAUUUCUUUUUGGCGGCAGUGUUGUCUCGUCUUUUAACCACACAAACAACAUAGACUACAUAGGCCGAGCGCAUCAACUAGUUAUGGAGGGUUAUAAAUGGAUGUUCGAUAGCCAGAUUGUGACAGUGUGGUCAGCCCCAAAUUACUGUUAUAGGUAAAUAAGAUACUCAUAACCGUCUAUUUCAGUCUAUAUAUCCUUUUCCCUUAUAGCUUGGUUUUUGAAUUUUCUCCUAUUUCGAUUGUGCUCCAGAUGCGGUAAUGUGGCUUCGAUUCUAGAGCUCGACGAAAAUCUCAAUAAAGAAUUCCGUGUAUUCGAUGCAGCACAGCAGGUAAUGACCCUUUAAGUAAUAUCUUAAUUCUCGUUCUGAUUCAUGAUGAGCAGUUCAAUAGACUGACGUAUACUCUACAUGCAGGACUCGAGAGGGCCUCCCGCCAAAAAGCCUGCCCCUGAUUACUUCCUAUAACAGGCAAGACCUCGAAAACACUACUCCCAGCUUAGAACUAGCAUCGAUUCAGCCCCCUUAAAGAGCAAGAGAAUUGCAAUUUGUUACGGUGUUUAGGUUGCAAUGCAGAAGAAUUCUAUACAGCACAAUUGUUUUAGGCGAGAUCUACCAAGGCUACAAGUACUGAUGGAAUUGGGGUUGUCUUAAAAAAUAUUGUUGUUUCCUGUUCUUGUGUAAUGGUAGUUAAGAGUGUUUUUGUGUGGUAGUUAAAAUGUGUAUUUUUUCCGUCAAAACUCAAGUUAAUACAUUUUGUAGGAGAUCAGACCUCAGGCAUUUUUGGAGCUCACAAUUAUUUCAAUAGAAUUACACAAGAACUUGGAUUAUUGCCAUUUGAUAGAAAGUUGCCAAGAAUAUCAAAAAAAAUCCCAAAAUACCUGGUAGACGAUGAAGAUAGAUAAGUGGCGGAGUAUUCUCGCAAAGAUUUAUUUCAUCAACAAUACACUCACUCUCUGGUAAAGUCUUUGAGUAUUAUGAAGACUGUUUAAGAAAAGAAUGAGAGACAAGAGAUUCAACAGUAAAGAGGGGAAAAGUUUUGUUGUUCCACACCGAGAUUAGAAUUACAAACGGUAAAACCGAUAUGUUUAAAAAAGAUACAGAAACAGCACCCGGGAGGUUCUUACUCAAAUUUGUGCAUUGGUUUCCUAAUUUGAGAACAUGGGUUCUUGUGUUGAGUAGACAGUUUCUACUCUACCUCGCUUAGGAUAGGGACAAUGAGAGGCUUCAUCUGCGCAAUGUAUACAAUUGCCCACCUGCCAAAAUGAAGAAACAAAAGUGAUGCGAAGAUAUAAGAUAACGAAUCAAUCAUAUUAAAUGACAUUUCCGAAAUGGCUAAGCACACUAAAAUGUGACAAAGAGCCAUAGGAUGACAACACAUAGGAAAACGUGGGACACUGGUCAGACACAAACAAUGUUCAUGUUGUGGAGCUUUCUCUGACAUGAAUGCUAAUUCAUCGACUUCAGAUAAGUUUACCAAAGAUAUGACUCAUCUCCAAGACUCCAACUAUAAACUGUUGAGAUAUUACAUCCUUCCAUCCACAAGACAAUCGGAAGUAGUAAAGUCUAGAAGGAUCUCUCUCUUGAUGGUUUGAUGGUUGAAGUAGAACGAGAUGAGGAAAUAAUCAAACAGGAAAGGGUUGGCUAAAGGUGAGAAACAAUUAAUUGGCCGGGAUACAAAACAAAAGAUGAACCAUGGCUGGCUAUAAAUGCAAACCUGUGGCAAGCAUGCAAAGGAAAGAUAAGUGUGCAUCAGAAUUCAGACAUAAACUUACAUCAUCCAACAGCAGACAGUCGCUGUAAUGACCAAGGUAAGAUGUAGCCUGUUUCAUAGAAGACAAAAAAAAAACACGAAGAAUGGUUGUCAAAAUGUGUGUCAAAGCAAAGAAGAAGGCAGAAACAAGGCAGUCACUUUAACACCACAAGAGUUGGAAUUGGGAAACUUCUUGUUUACAAUGAAGAAACUAUCACAGGAAAGAGCAAAUUCAAAAAGUAAAAUUAGUAUGGAGAUUCCCCAAAAGUCAAUGAGGAGAUUAUUUCGUCUAAAAAUUCUCGAUUCUAAGCGCAAGGAGAUAAUAAUAAUGAUUUGAGCUACUCAGUUGAAACCGGAGAACCAAACUUCCUACAUUAACCUUGACGAAGCAAUCGAUCAAACACAUACCGAAGUCGAAUGAUUGGUUAAGAUUGCGGAGAAGAAGCCAAAAAAAAAGAGAGGAAUCAAACAUACAGAUUCGUGGAGGGGCCUUUGUUGAAGCAGAUUCUAGUGCAUAUUGAAGCAAUGAUUCCGACUAAAGCGAAAAUUAGGGAUGUAACAAGAAAAGCCAUUGUCUGGUCCUGAUCCCAAUGAGAUUAUCCUGUGACAAUCAAUUACGCGUGAAUAUAUGUUGCAAAAUCAAUGCGAUCGGGGCAAUCCGAUUGAAGAAGAGAGAAAGGCUAAUCCCAAGAGAGGAGGAAAAAGUAUCAGAGAUCUCUCACAGAUUUGAAAAUGAAGCUCCUUUGGCGUCGAGGAAGAAGAUGAUUGAUUGACGAUCGUGUUCGUGUCCCAGUGAUCUGUUUCGGAUCCGUGCGAGGCCCAGAUUUUGUGAGGGGUAAAUUUGUCUUUUCGCUAAUCAAAUAUCAUUUUUUUUAGCGAAUUUGCUAGAAAAUCUAAAAUUUGGUCAAAAUUUGCUAAAUGGGAAAAACAGUAAAUUGGUGAGACAUUGCUCUGACAUUUUGAAGGUGUUAUUACUCUUUACUCUCUUCUUCCUUUGUUACGAGUCUUCAUUCCCUGUAUGAAGUUUCUCUCUAAUCAUCUUUCUUUUGUUAGCAUAUAAAUUAUACAACUACAUAACUUGUUAUUAUACUACAUAUUUUGUUAUCUUGCUAAUACUUAGCUUACAUCAAUUAUACAUAUAAAUUAACGUCUAACAUUAUAAUUAACUAGGUACAAAAUAUGGAAAAUCGAUAAUAAUAAUGAGUUAUAUAGAUGAUCAAAGAUGUUAUUGGUAUACUUAGCAUAAUACAUAUAAAAUUAACGUCUAACAUUAUAAUUAACAAGGUAAAAAAUAUGUUAGAUUGAUAACAAUAAUGAAUUAUCUAGAUUAUUAUAGGUGUUAUUUUUGUAGUUAGUGUGCUACAAAAACAUAUAACACUCUAUAUGUAUUGUUAGUAAUCUAGUAAUAAAAUUAUAGGAGUAAUUCAAAUAGAUACACACUUUAUAUAUACGUUAGCUCGGCGUAUUUUUUGGCGGAGAUGCCAAUAUUAUCGCUGGAGGCGGCGGUGCUAUUGUUGUUUUUGGUGUAGAUGGAAGCGGUGCGGUGGUUGUAUCCGAAUCCGGCAGAGAAGGUGAAAAUUGCGGUUGAGGAUUCGAAUUAAGCGUAGAAGGAGGCGGAGGCAGAGGUGGUUCGGGUUUACGAUCGGCGCCGGUGGAUUUGAGAGAAUUUGAACAGAUGGAUUUGGUGAUGAUGAAUCGGGUGGAGCGGGUGUGGAAGAUCCAAGAACAGGAGGUUAUAAAAGGGAAAGUGGAGGAAGAAGAGGAUAAAUAGUAGUCGCCGGAAGAAAAAGAAUAAAAAGAAUCAGCGAAAGUGUUCGAAAUUUUAUAAAAUAUUAAAUUAAUAUCUCUGAUAUAAUAUCGUGCAUGAUCAUUUAGAAAUUAUAGAGACGUAGGGGUAACGUUGGUAUAUUGUAAAUUAUACAGUACUGCAAAAGUGUUUUUUCCCAUAUAUGAACAGCACUUAGGUUAUCUAGUGCAUUUACUUUUUUUUUUGUUGUAAAGGAUUACUUCAUGUCAAUUUUGUUAACAAAAAACGAAGAUUACGGAUAUUACACAAUUGAGAGUUAGAUUAGUACAAUGGAAAUGGAUUGCAUUGAAGGAAUGCUAAAACUCCAAGAAUUAACAUAUAAAGACCUUCAUAAAUUUAUUUAUUCUUCUAAAUGGGGAAAAAAAAUUCCAAGAAUUUACACUGUUGCAUGAAUUUACACCGGUAAAACCGUAAAAGAGAACCAAAGAGGUCGUAGCUAUACCUACUCUCAACACUUGAACUUGUAUGUCUUAUGCAAUUAAGGCCCAUUCUAAUUGGUGUUUUUACUUUUUUUUUUUCCUAACAUCAUAAUGAUUGGUGUUUUACAUACUAGUAGUUUCAUAAAACGUUUUUUUUUAAAGCAGGGUUAAUUUUAGAAACAAGAAAAAACAAAUCCAGUAAUACAAAAACUAAUGAAAACUCUUAUUAUAUAAAGUUCAAAUAAAAAAAAAUUGGUCCUAUCAAUCACGUUCGUACUUUUGUUGCGAUGUUUUCUGGUUUCUUUAAAUGAAAAUUUUAGUUUUCUCCAAUCUAACACCUUGUUAAAGUUUCUUCUUUGUAUAUAUUUUAUGAUAUAUACCAUUUAGCUAAAAAAAAGUCCAAAAUUUUCUUUUCGUUGGAGACGUGUGGUACUAACUCUCUGCCUGUAGCCGGGAAUCUAUUCUAUAGACAUCUCUCUAAGGAGGUAGAAUGCGCAAGAUGCCAGACAUGUGUUGAGACGCACAUACAGAUUACAAGAGUAUGUUAACAAAAGCUCCUUUGCUCUCUCAAAAGAUAUUCGUCUCCUCUCUCUCUCUCUCUCUCUCUCUCUCUCUCUCUAUCCGUUGGGUGUGUCCUCUGAGGCAGUGGGGAUGUCUGAAACCACAUCAGCCUCGUUUUCUUCAACGGCCAAGCUCGAGACUUCGCCGCUCAAUGAGGAAACUUCGUCCUCUGCCGUGACAGAUGGAGCAGGGGACGCGUCUGUGCUGGUGCACGUCGUGGUUGUGCUCUGAUCAGUUGACGACGAAUCCGAACUCUCCGAUGAGUGUGAGCGUUUCUGAAGACUCCAGUACAUUAUACUCGCCGUUAAAAUUAGGAUCAUCUUCUGAUUCACCUGUCACAACAUCCCAAUUAGCAUCUCAUCAUUAACUCUACUAAGUAACUGCUGUUUCAGGUAAAAUCACCAAUAAAUCUCGGUUCUUACCUCCAUGAUAUCUUCAGGCAACAAGAAAACCGAACAACCGAGCUUUCUUGCGACGCUUACUAUGUACGUAGCAUUCAGCCUCUUCUCGUCAUCUGUAUGUUUCAACGACCAUACACACACAAAACAAAAAAAAGCUUGAUUGAGUUAAGACUGAGAAAGUAACUAGAGUGAGUCUAGUAAAGAAAGUAGUGAACCUGUUUCACCCUUGGUGACAAGAUUCCAGUUUACAACUCUUGGCUCAACAGCCCAUAGAAGGUCGAGGAAGAAUAACCCGUUCGAUAGACUCUUGUCCUGAAGAAACUCAAUUUGAUUCACAUUCACUAGAAAGUGAUGGUGGACAUAUUUUAUAAGAUAAGUGCUUGAAGUUGAUAUGAAGAAACGAACCUUGAAGCUCUCGAUCUGCGAUUUUCGCCCCAUAGUUCUUACUUUCCGGUUGGCCCAGCUGAGGAUAUCUGCAUCAGUCAUUUCUUUACCUCGUGUCCGCGAUCUCAGACUCUUGAGAAGUUGGAGCAUAUGAAAUCUCAUCAACUGCCACAACAGACCUGAGACCAGAAAAAAAAACAUAUGUCUCUGUCUUGUAAGACGAUCAUCUUCUUGCAUCAAGCAACAAAGAAACUGCAGUAAUGAUUACCAAGAAUGAGCUUCUUAUUCCCUUGAACUAUGUCAUUUCCAGCUACAUUUACGAGUGAGAAUUUGAGCUCUUUCCCAAUCUUUACGACUUGAUUGCAGUUCUCUACUUUUCUAAAUGGCAUCUUAAUGGGCGGUUUGGAAGCAUGCUUCCAAUUCACUGACCCAGGAGAGACCUUGUCAAGAACUUCCAGGAGAAUCCAUCUGCAGCAAAUUAGUAAAUAGAACCAACGAAAACGCUUCAGCACCAAAACCGUUUUCAGUUCUUUUUCUUUUUUGGUUGCUUUACUAAAACGACAAAAUAAAGCUUACCCAUUUCUAACAUCUUCAAACACAUUAUUGACAUAACUUUCAAUCCCGAGGCUGUUGAUCCAUAGCCGGUAGCAUCGUUCAUCUCUACAAGUCUGUACAUCUUCGGUCAUCAUCUCCGCAAAUGAAUACUUACCAUUCGUACUUAGACCAUUCCUGCAACAGGUACAGACAGGUAGAGUAAAACUCAGUGCAUAGAGAACGUAAAACGCUUAAAAUCAAAACUGGCAAAAUAUCUCCAAGUAAAGGGAUUUCAUGUAAAAAGCAUAUGAAAUCAUUGAUAAUAGCAUUGUAUGAAGACUGUGUCCGUUCUUUUACCAUUAACACUCCCAAUUUUCUUUGUCCCGAAUAACUUAAAACAACAGGUUUUUUUUUGAGUAAACUGUCACCAGCCUAAUCAAAUAGGACUAUGAACAUUUUGACAGAUGAAAGUCUAUCACAAACCUUUCAUGGAAUAUUUGUGCCACAAAUGCGAGGUUCAAAGUUGGAGAUCCUUCAACAAUCUCUUGAGCAUUCAAGUAUCGUUUGCAGUUCAUUCUCUCUGCAUGAUUGAGAACCAGUUCAGCCCUCUCAAGAGACUCCUUUGAAUCUAGUGUAGCCGGGUCACAGUGUUCAGGUGCGAGAACAUUGAGCAGGUAAGCAUAGGCUUGUGCAUCCUGCAUAUUUACCCGAACACGCUUUACCAUUGAAAAAAACUUGAUGCGGUUCAAAAAAAUCUUUUUCUUUUAUGACUUAUAUGAUCGUUCACAUUAUUUCUCUUAUCCAAGAACUGAUAUUACUUCUGCAUGCUGGAAGAAACAGUAGCACGUAAAUACAAUCAUUAAUCCGCCUAGGUAAAGAGAUAAAUAAGCAAAAGAUGAAGGUUUCCUCUAAGUUAAACUCUGAGAAGGUAGAUACCUUCAAGUCCGAAGAAAAGUUUGAGACGGUUUUCUUGAAACCCCCUUUCUUAAGAUGGAAGUUCAUCCAUUUCAGUAAAACUUUCUCAGGGGGUAAUCUCAGCAACUCCUCAACAUCCUGUAACAGAGAGAAACUUGUUACAAUUAUAAUUUACAAGACGAUAUACUUGAGUGACAAUGUGAUUGGUAGCUCAAUUACAUCGUUGUCCUCUACCAACUCAACAAGCUGAGGCGUCUUCUUUAAAUUGAGAUCAGCGAGCAGUUGAAUCUGCAGUAACCAACACUAUCUAGUCAAAUAAAUUCAGAACAAAAAGAAUAGUCCGAUACACACAGAGGACAAGUGGAUGAGUACAGACCUUUAUGAGUUGUGAAAUCAAUCCGAGCACCAGGUGAGGCUGCAAAAACAUCAUUAAACCUCCAUGCAGGUCAGAACAAUGCAUAUCAAAUGUACACUGAACAAUGAUCAGACCAAGCAUACCCGUCCUUCUGCCAGGUCCUGUGUCCCAAUAUUAACAACAGUGCAUCCAACAGCUUUCGCAGAGUUGAGACAAAGCGUAUGAUUCUCAUUUCUCUCCCACGGGUUAAGUACCCUCUUCGUGUUGAUCGCUCGUUCAUCUAUAGUCCCGGGAACUGCUACGUUUAUGAGCUUACUGCGCCGGAAAGAAAGGAAUAGAAAUGAGUGAAAUCCAUAAUCAAAUUCACUCUGUGUGUUGAUGGACUCUAAAUGUAAGAAUGUGCACCUUACCAAAGAAGCACACCAUCUUUCACAAGCUCAUACAACUCAUUGGAAUCUGGGUCAAGUGGAAGGAACUGCUUCAGAAAAGGGUCAUCACCAAGAUAUCUGUUGAUGUGUUGAACAAAAGAACCCUUCUCCGACUGGUGUAUAGUGUGGAGAAGUGUCGUUGUACUAGCUUUAAGAAACGAGGAUGCGUUCUUAUGACCACCAGAGAUCUCAGCUGCUUUACCUUGUAAGCUGAGAUAUAUCUGCACAUUAGGGAUCAAUCCAAAACCACAAUGUAUUUCAUAUACUCAAUCCAAAACCCGAAUUCACCAAGAAACACCAAAAGAUCCAACAUACCUUGAGAAACUCUUCAAAACCCACAUCACUGCUUGAAUCAAAACUCAAUUCACACAGAAUAUCCCUGAUUUCGUCCUCCUUGAAUGUUGAAUUAAGUGCCUUGAGCUUCACCAAUAGAGGAGGGAGGUCUUGUAUGGUGAUCUUUCCACUCUGAUUCUUCAACGAUACAAACUAUACAACACACAAAACCAAUUGAACAAAGAUCAAACGGUGUAUACAAAAAACCAACAAUGAAAGAGAGAAAGGACAAACCUUGGAAUUGAGAUUUCGAAGUUCGAGUUGUGUGAACUGGCUCUGCAGCCAUGGAUCCGAAACGACAACACCCACGAACCCAGACAUCUCCUCGUUUACCAUUCACCCAGAAGCCUCUGUUCGAUUCUCCCUGAAAACGGAUCACUCUAAGCUUCAGGUAACUAUUGACGAACUAAUUCUGUGGCCAAGAAAAAACCCAAAAUAAUAUCACCGAGUCGAAAAAUUUGUCCUUUACAUAGCAAGAGAAAGCGAUCAAUAACAAUAGGACAAAACUGGGUAACCGACCCAUUAUCACGAUAAUGUACGACUCCAUCACGCAAACUAUUGUAUUAUCCAACACUAAUCUCGAAAGAUCAAAGAUAGUCCCAAUGUACGGAAAUUCGCCACUAACCUCGAGUGAAGGAAAUUCGGCGUUGAAUUCCUCGCUACAACAUCGAUAUCGGUGUGGAAGUGACCGAGACUGAGGAACUAAACAGCAACGUGCAAAAGAUAAACUAGGUCACGUGAAGCAAACUCAACGAGACGAAGAAGAUGAUGAAGGGGAAAAAAGAUGAAUUUUGUGCUUCGUGUGAGCAAAUAACAAAGCCGUGAAUAGAGAGCGAGGGAAACAACAAAAAAGGACGAGUUUUUAUGUUUCGUGUGAAUGACAAAAAGGGCUCAUUGGCAUUGAAUGCUUAAUUUUUGAGGAUCAACGUCACGCGCGAAAGUAUACCAUUAGGUUCUGGAAACUCGCUCUGUGAUGGAUACACGUGGAAGGGAUGUGUAUCCACCUCGACAUAGGACGCUGACCUCACGGUGUAACGACUUGUCUACGUGUCACUUCUCUUGACAUCUCACAUUUGUAGCCGUCUGCAUUUACACCAUAGUUAGAUUGUAUUCAACAUUUUUAAUUUUUAAUUUGUAUAGGUAACGAUUCUAGGUUCACAAUUUACAACAUUAUGCUAGAAAGGUUGUAUGGUUGAUGUUGAAAAUUGGAGUGGUAAAAUAUUGAAAGGUAGUAUAAAUUAGGACAUCAAAUCUCUACUAACGACAUGUCUUAACGGGUUCAUUGACGUCAACGCUGACUCUCAGCCCAUUUCAAAAGACUUCAAAAGACUCCAAAUUUUUAGGCCAAUACUAUUUAGAAAUAAUGUGUGUAAAUUACCUUAUGACAAUUGACAAGAGUUCAUUACUUCCUUCCUUCCCAUCACAAGGCCAAACCCAUAAUUAACAUGCUUGGAUGCUCCACUAUUUUGGGCUUUAUGAAUUAGGAUGCACAUGUAUUCAAUGGUCACCAAUUUUCAAGCAGCAUGGUUUAGUAUCGAAACCUUUUUUUUUUGUUUUUAAUAUCGAGAGGUUGUAUAUAUUGGCGUCAAAAACAUAAUCUUGUAUUGUAAUACUGUAUCAAUUAAUUUAUAUUGGUUUCUGGAUUAUUUAUUUAUAUUUUGUUUACAUUAACUCAGAACUUAAGAUGGAUAAAUAAUCAACCAAAUCCUGUCACGCCUGAUGGAACCAACUCGAAUAAAGCUUGGUUAUGUAUAAUCUUCUUUUUAAAAUGUCACAAAUCGACAUAACCAAAGGUCCAGAAGUAAUUGAACAAUCUGAAUGCCCACAAGUAUCUAAAGAUUAUCAUGGAAACUUUUAACAAAAUCGAAGAACAAAGUGUAUGUAAUGUAACAUGUUGCAAAUCUCACUCUUUUAGCUUCUAUAAGUAUACAUGAUGACAACAAAAAAAAAAAAGAAUAAAUGUCCUGCACAUGUAGAACUACAUGCACAGUGAUGCACAUGCCCAACUUCUGUAUGGUUUUCAUUUUUUUUUUUCUUUUGGAUUUUAGUGGCUAUUUACCAACUUGUGUUUGUUUCCAAGCAAUCUUGAAAAUUAUAUCAAUUUUUAUUGGAUAUCUUCGUUAUUGUUAUACGAAAACAGGUAAAAUUAUUAGUUAGUGUCAUUUGAUUGGUUGUGACAUGUUAUUAGCUACAAGUUUUUUUUUUUUUGGAAAAAGCUAAUUAGGUACAAGUUAGUGGAGUGAAUCUAUGCUUUAUAGUGUCAUAGCAUCAUAUACGUGAAUCUAAUUUGAAGAUUUAUUUGCCGUGUUUAUGUGAAGAUUGAACAAUCUAUAUAAGACGACGAUGCAUUGAAUAUUUGACGUUGAUACCUUGAUGGUAUUAAGGGUUCUAAAUGAUUUACUUUAUAUUUAAACUUGUAUAGGAUUUGACUCCUUAUUCUGAAGAAUCCAUGUUGCAAAAUUGAGCAUUAAGUCAAGAAAACUCUUGAAAUUCGUUUAUAUCAGUGGUAUAGUGUUUAUUGUUUCUACUAGAUCUGUUUCUGAAUGUAGUUCUAAAUUGCAAAUUGGAAGAACUGAACCUUGUUAAGGAUGAUGUGUUUUAAUCUAUUCGUGCAUUCGAUUAGUUUUACUUUUAUUUUUAUAACCAAAAAUAUCGUUCUGUGUAAAUAAAUCAUGUGUGUUCGUAAGAGUCCGUGCCAAUAUUUGAUAUAUGUUUUGUAAGGUCCAAUCAUUUUAGGAGGGGGAAACAAUUUAAGUUUUUCAUAAUCUUGAAGACAGCCAGGUAUGUUGGUCGUCUAUUCAACCGUCCUACACCAGAUAAAUAUUUUACUCGGAAAAUGAUAUAAAAAUGUGUUACUCAGAAACGUAUAAUUACAAGAUUGAGGUCAACAUCAUUGGAGAGCCUUUUCUUUAUUUUUCGAGCCUAAUUAAUUAAUUAAUCUUGGAAGUUGGCAGAGUAAUAAUAGUAAAUAUUUUUGAAAGUCAAUUAAAACAAUUAUUCUAAAAUGUAUACAACAAUCACAUCAACAUCCUAAUGAGAAACUUUCCUACAUGAAAUUUUUGUUUAGAAUCAUUAAAAAGAUUUUCGAAAGCUGCGGUUUAUUUUACAGCAAACAACGGCCCCACGUUUAACGUGACAGGUUUGCGCGUCUUUGCUGAUCUCAUAAGUGACCAACAAAUUGCUCUUCGCCACGUGUACGAUUACAGAUAAGUCAUGACGGCCAUGUUGUGGGACCCGACUUAGCUGUUGAUUCUUCAUUCACCACUUUUAUUCAGUUUUUUGCUCGCGCCGAGCCGCCGACCAAAGCUUCGUCUCUUUCUACUUAUUUGUCUUUAAUGUUGUGAUUACCAAAUAAAUAAAUCCUAAAAGAGACUCAGAUCAUAAUCCGAAUUAUCUGACAAAAAUACUUUAAGUUAUAAAUAAUUGAUAUUGAACUUUUAAAAACCUGUCUAUAGUAUAGCAUCAACUUUAGUUCUUUCAAUUUUCUUACUUUUUUCAAACUUAAAAGGUUAAAAUUUCUUACAUUGUUUACAAUAGUUGGUUUAAAAGCAUGUUUUGUUGUUUUCAAAUUAUAUUUUUCUUCUAAUUUUAAUAUAGCCUACUUGUGUAUACAAAAGCAAACAUGAAUUAUAGUAACUGAUAAAUGUCAAUGCAUGCAAAUGUACAAUUCAUCAUAUUUAUUAGUUAAGGGACCCAAUUGUCCAUAUUAAUUAAUGAUCUUUACAAGUUACUUAAUAUUGAACUUUUAAAAACCUGUCUAUAGUAUAGUAUCAACUUUAGUACUUUCAAUUUACUUGUUUCAAAAAUAAUGCAAACGUUAAUUUAAUUAUAUUUGUUACAAUAUCAUAAACAUUAUUUGUAAAUGGAAUUAGUAAAAUCCAGAAAAAUCGAUAUAUUUCUAUAUGGUGUUCUAUAUAUUUAUGAUAAUAUAUUAUAUUUUAUCAUUGUUAAAUUAUAAUUGAGCUCUAGAGCUAAUUUUUAACCAUGUCAGAUUUUUGGUCUUGUUUUGCAAUAGAUUCAAGUAAACAAAGACAACAUGCUACUACAAUUACUAUUUUUGAUAUCUCCAUUCUAAUUAUAACAGUAAAAAAAUACUCUUUUUUUACUAAAAAAAUGUAUAAUAUUGUCAAAGUCCGAGGAACAAAGAGCUCAGCAACACCAGCUGAGAGCUGAAGCCGACCAACCAAAAUCUCGGCUCCUCGACGGUCCAAAAAAUACGUGAUUACGCGUAAUUGUGGUAGACUAUUGGAAAAUCAUUUCAUGAUAAGUACUUAAAGAAUUAAAUACACUUGUAAGAAGAAAUAAAUCAUCAGAAGCUUUUCUAAUGUUAAUUUAAUUAUUUUAGUUUUAAUCAACGAUCAUAUAAAUGAGAAAGAAUCCCACAAACGAAAUAGCCAGAACUAGAAGACCUCUCUCAUCCACCUCUCUCUCAAAUCUCGCCUCGCUCUCCGAGAAGAAAUAAGCCGGUCAAGUCGCCGGCGGGAGUAUAAAAGCAGGUUACGACGAAUUCCCGGCAAGGUAAUCCGACAAUGCGAGGGUUACGAGCUUCCUCGCUUUUACUCUGUGGUGUUGUUUUAAUUCAGCUGCUUGCUGCUCAAAUCGAUGCUCAGAAAUCUAAAAGUCCAUGGCUGACGCUCACUGGUGAGUUCUCUCACUGCCUCUCUUUCUUUGCUCUUUGUUUUCCGAGAAAACGAUAGAAAUUAGUCACCCAAAUUUGUAGUACAACUUGGGAUAAUCAAACAUAGUAUUUUUAGCCAGUUUAGGACAGUCACAUAGUAUUUUUAGCCAGUUUAGGACAGUCUCUGAAUAUAGAAGUGUCCUUCUCAAAAUUAUUUUUAGUCUCUUGUAUUAAAUCACUUCUUGAUUACCAUUUUUUUUGGGGUUGUCAGGUGAUUUUCCUCGUGUGAUUGCUCGUGGUGGAUUUUCUGGACUGUUUCCAGAUUCGAGCCUCGAUGCUUACAAGUUCGCAAUGAUUACAAGUGUACCAGAUGUUGUUCUGUGGUGUGAUCUUCAGCUAACCAAAGAUGGAGCUGGGAUUUGCUUCCCUGGCUUAACAAUGAGCAAUGCUUCAUCUAUUAAUGGUGUUUACCCAAAUCGACAAAAGUCAUACCUCGUCAAUGGAGUCCCUACUCAGGGUUGGUUCACCAUUGAUUUCUCCUUGAGAGACCUCAAGGAUGUUACCUGUAAGUGUUCAUGACUCGAUCACUGCUUUUGUAGAAAAACCAAUUUGGUUGUUUUUCUCCCUGCAAUUUCUCACAUUUGUUCUCACCUGUUGCAGUGAUCCGAGGUAUACUCUCUCGGUCGGAAAAAUUCGAUGGAAAUGGAUACUCGAUUCAGACGGUUCAAGAUGUAGACGCGCUGAAACCACAAGGUUUCUGGUUAAAUGUUCAGCACGACGCGUUCUAUGCUGAGCAUAAUCUGAGCAUGAGCAGUUUUCUGGUAUCAGCUUCGAAAACUGUAAUCAUUGACUUCAUCUCUUCCCCUGAAGUCAACUUCUUUAGGAAAAUUGCUGGACGUUUCGGGCGUAACGGACCGAGUUUUGUGUUCCGGUUUCUCGAGAAAGAGGAGUUCGAGCCAACAACAAACCGAACAUACGGUUCUAUCUUGAGUAACCUAACUUUUGUCAAGACGUUUGCUUCAGGGAUUCUUGUUCCCAAGUCUUACAUAUUGCCGCUCAAUGACGAGCAGUACUUGCUUCCUCAGACAUCAUCCUUAGUGCAAGAUGCUCACAAAGCUGGAUUGGAAGUUUUUGCGUCAGGUUUUGCAAAUGAUGUCGAUAUUGCACACGACUACAGUUACGAUCCAGUGUCUGAGUAUCUAUCUUUUGUGGACAAUGGAAAUUUCUCUGUCGAUGGUGUGCUCUCUGAUUUUCCCAUCACAGCAUCUGCAUCCGUCGGUAAGCAAAAUCUCCUCUACUUGCAAGCACUUUGUCCUUAAAAUACUGAUGAAAAUACUCCUAAAAGAUCUUUUUUCAUAUUUCCCUCAGAUUGCUUCUCCCACAUGGGCAGAAACGCUACAAAACAAGGUAUGAGAGUAAUAAUAACUUUGCUUUGUUUCUUGCUAUGACUUACCAGUUACCCUUACCUCAAUAACGAAACCUGUGAUUGACUUAUCAUUUUCUAAAUGGUUCAUGUUUCAGUGGAUUUUCUUGUUAUGUCAAAAAAUGGUGCGAGUGGAGACUAUCCAGCGUGUACAAACUUGGCAUAUCAGAAGGCAAUCAAAGAUGGUGCUGAUGUUAUCGACUGCUCGGUCCAAAUGUCCAGCGACGGCAAACCCUUUUGCUCAAGUUCGAUCGAUCUCGGGAACACCACAAUGGUCACCCAGACUCCUUUCAGAAAUCGUUCAGAAACUGUCCCUGAGAUUAGCUCAGUCGGUGGAAUAUACACUUUUAGUCUCACAUGGCCUGAGAUUCAGACCUUGACUCGUAAGUUUCUCUUCAAAAUUUCUAAAUUUUUCAGAUAAAUGCUGGUCUGCUUUGUACACUCUUCUUCCUACUAUUUAUAGUCACUAGUUUGAGAGCUUCUAUGUCCACUCCUACUUGACUUAAAAGAGGUUGAUAUAAAUUACAGGCUACUUUAGAGGUUACAUAACAGUUUUAAUAACUAUUCUCCAAUCGUUUUAUGCAGCUGCUAUAUCAAACCCCUACAGAGGAGGAUACCGUUUGUCUAGGAAUCCAAAAGAGAGAAAUUCUGGGAAGCUUCUUUCGCUUUCUGAAUUCCUUAACUUGGCAAAGGACUCGACCUCUCUCUCCGGUGUUUUGAUCAGUGUAGAGGUGAGUUCUCGUGUACCUCUUAGUCUUUUAAUCAAUCUGACCAUGACGUCUUCACAUGGCCAUGACACUAUGUUCUUUUUGUCCCUCAGAAUGCAGCAUACCUUAGAGAGAAGCAAGGGCUCGACGUGGUUAAAGCGGUUCUUGAUACACUCACAGAGACUGGCUAUAACAAUAUUACAACCACAAAGGUCAUGAUUCAGUCAACAAACAGUUCGGUUCUAGUUGACUUCAAGAAACAGAGCAAGUACGAGACUGUGUACAAAGUUGAGGAAACCAUCCGUGAUAUUCUCGACUCUGCUAUCGAAGACAUAAAGGAAUUCGCUAGCGCUGUUGUCAUUGGAAAAUCAUCAGUCUUUGAAGUCACUGAUGGAUUAGUCAUUGGACAAACCAAAGUUGUAGAGAGGCUACAGAAGUCUCAGCUCCCGGUUUAUGUGGAGCUGUUUCAGAACGAGUUUGUAUCUCAACCAUAUGACUUCUUCUCUGACGCAACUGUUGAGAUAAACUCGUAUGUCACUGGAGUCGGUAUAAAUGGAACCAUCACCGAGUUCCCUUUCACAGCUGCAAGAUACAAAAGUAAGUGGUGGCCCAAAAACUGCACCAAAGCUCUCACAUCAGAAAGUUGUUAACAUCAAUGCCUAACUUAUUUCUCUUCUGCAGGAAAUCCAUGUUUGGGCAGCAAAGAAAUUCCAUUUUACAUGGCACCUGUCCCACCCGGUGGCCUCUUAGAAGUAGUGAGUCCUGGGUCCCUACCUCCAGCCGAAGCUCCUAAACCGGUUUUCACAGAUGCUGAUGUCACUGAACCACCACUACCUCCGGUUACAGCAAAAGCCCCAGCCUCAACCCCUGGAACCCCAUCAACCAAUGCACAAGCACCUAGUGGACAAACCCGACUCACUCUAUCUCUUCUCCUUUCUGUAUUUGCAAUGGUUCUUGCCUCUCUUCUACUUCUGUGAUCAACCCUUGAUCACGUCUCCUCUCUGUUGAUAAUGUUAAGGUUAUCCUGUGUGUGACUCAGUCAAAUCUUAACAGCCGGAAACAUCAUUUUUUUUCCUGUUUAUAUUCUAGUUCUGUCCAAAAGAGCAGGAAAUUCUUGGAGUGUAACUUUCCCUCAGAUUCAUUUGAGAUAUUCGUUUGUUGUUGUAACAUAUAUUCUUAUACUCUUGCCUUGUGCCUUGUAAUAUUUAUGAGAUUGUAUCCUUUCUUAAACACGUAACCAAUUUCUUCUUCCAUUAAACGAAAAGAAAUUGGAAUUUUUGGUUAAUAACUUGUUACUUCUCAGAUACCUAAAGGCUCUUGUAGAAUGCUUUUUGCUUCCAUCUCCUGUAACAACUCUGUCGCAAGUUGGUCUUUCCCUUGAUGCUUUAGUCCAUUGCAGACCUGAUGAACAGUCCUUGAAUCAAGCGGGAUUGAUCUUCUGACCAUUUCCCUCAACACUUGAGCUGCUCCAUCAAAAUCGUCAUUCUUACAGAAGGCAGAAACCAACAUAUUAAAUGUUUGUUCAUUCGGAUGGCAACCACUCCUAAUCAUGCUCCUGUACAGUUCAAAACCACGGUCUGCGUUUCUCCUCACGCACUGUCCCAUUAUUAACGCAGAGAAGGUGGAAGAGUUUGGCACCAAAUUCUCUUUGUCGAGUUCUUUAACAAAGUGUGCAGCUUUCUUCGUCUUAGCUUGUUUGCACAGUCCCAAGAUCAACGCGUUGUACGUCAAAAUGUCACGCUUAAUCCCGUUGAAGACCAUAUCUUCAUAAAACCGGUAGGCCAUCUCGUGAUCACCCUGUUGGCUGUACCCAUUAAUCAAAGUGUUAUACGUGACAGUGUUGGGAGCCACCUUUACCGCUUUCAUCUCACCGAAAACCUUACUAGCUUCUUGUAACUUCACACUUCUGCAAAACCCGUGAAUGAGAGUGUUGAAAGUAACCACAUUAGGCUGCAAGCCGUUCUUCCCCAUCAUGUUCUUAAGCCUCCAAGCCGAGCUCAAAAGACCCUUCUCGCAGUGCCCGGCUAUCAAUGUAUUAUACGACACUUCCGUGGCCUGAAAACCCAAUCUUUCCAUGUCUUGCAGCAACUCAACGCCCUUGUCAAGUUUCCCUGAUCUGCAAUAACACGAGAUAACCAUGUUGAGAGUGUACGUGUUUGGGGAUAUCUUACAUCUCCUCAUUUCUCUGUAAAACCCAAGAGCAAUAUCCACCCUCCCUUGACCAAGCAGUGAGCUCAUGUAAGCAUUGCAAGACUCGACAUUUGGAAGAAACCCGUAAUCCUUCAUCUGCGUAAAAGCGUCUGUGGCAUUUCUGAAUUUCUUCAGAUGAGCAAAAGUCUUGAACAGCGAAUCAAACACUCGAGGCGUAGAGUCACAUUCCCUGUACGAAUACAACAAGGCAUCAAACAGCUUGGCAGGCAAAUCCAAGCCGCCAGUUACGAGGAUGUCUCUUAGAAUGGACUCUGCGGAUUUGAAUUUCCGGUUUUUGGUGAGAGUGUGAAGAACAAUGGCAUGGGUUUCAAGAGAGUGGGAGCCUGGGUUUCGGGUUUUCGCCCAGUUGAAGAACUCAAGGGAGAGAAGAUAGUCUUUCUGGAUUCUCAGUAGUAUGUUCUUGACCCUAAACGAAUCCAAAUGUUUGGAUAGCUUAUCAAGCUGAUCCCAAUCAGAUUGAAUCAGGUGGCUGUGAGCGACAUUGACGAAAUCAAGAUCUUGGCCUUUAGGUUCAGGAUUACUCCUGUGAGGAAUCGGGAUUGCGUUCCUGUUUCCAGAGACGAGACUUUUAGAAAACCUAGGGCUUUCAGAUCCCGGAACUAGCCCACCAUAGCCAGCGAAACUUGAGAAUUGGUAACACAGAUAGCGAUGAACACCGGUGCUUAUGCGGAUCAUCAUACUGUAAGCUAUUGGAGCGUAACGGCAAAAUCAGGUUUCAGUACCAGAGAUACAGAUUCAGCAAAAAAUGAAUCCGCAAGCCAAAAUAAAUACCAGUAAGGUUGCUAGCACUUCAUCAGUACAAGUAUAUAUCAUCUCAUGACGGAGAAUCUGAGAAAUCUACAAACAUCAUUAAGUAAGCAGACUUUGAAAUUGAGGCCGAUCUUGUCUAACUGCGAGAGCUACUUCGGAAACGGAGUCGCGCAGAUUGCCGCCGGAGAAGGAGGUGUGGAAAUGUGUUCAGUGAAAGUGUAAAAUAUAUUUUUUUAGUCGGCCUUAUGUGAAGCCCAUUGGAAAAAUAAUGAGAUGUUCAUUAGAAAUUUGGAAAAAAAAAAUCAGAAAUGGAGAUGCGGGGUAUCGAUCCCCGUACCUCUCGCAUGCUAAGCGAGCGCUCUACCAUCUGAGCUACAUCCCCUUUGUGAUUCAGAUAUAGGUUAUUCAGAUUUAGUUCACAGAUAGUCUUUUUCUCAAGUUGAUCGGAAGUUCGGAUCAGUGUCUGUUGGAGGUGGCUUAGCACCCCCAAUUAGCUAGGCCCAUCUUGGACAAUAAAGCCCACAGACUAAGUUAACAGAAACCCAGCCAAAGUCAACGAGCCCGAUCAGCAUGGUCCCGCCAAAUCAUUAUCAUUGCGACGCCGAUCUACAGUGCGCGGAGCCGAGCAGAACCUGGCACGUGUAAGGGCAGUUCGUCUACAGUGACCUAAGCACGCAAGUAGCUCGGCGAAGGACCAUCAUCACACGCCGCGGAGUGGUUCGGACGUGCGGCUCCAGACGCCAUACCCGCGAGAUGCGCUGAAGCUGCCACGUCGCCCCGAUUUGGAGUAAACUCGUCUCCCAACUCCCGCUAUAAAUACUCCUCGUAGAUAAUUUAUGAGGGGAUCCAAAAAAUUAUUACUCUCUCUCUACUUUAAUACAUUUGUCUCUCUACCGAGCUCGCUGUAACAAAAUAAAAAGCACCGAACUGGAUCUGCUCCAGACUUGGUUCGAAACAUCAGUUGUUAUCUCAUUGCAAACAUCCUUUACGUUUCCGAGCUGACACUUUCUUUUUCCCCUUAACUAAAUCACUCUUAUUAUACGAAAAUCUCACCCCGAAAUCAUCUCUAAUCAUUCUCAUAAUCUAUUAAACAUACUUAAUGAUCUCCAGGAUCAACAGUGUCAACGAUGAUCAUCGCUGUCUCAAGAUUUUCUGAUCUUCGUAUUGUAUUUGUCUGAAGCUGUGUGCUUCCACUUUUAUGGUAAUAUCUAGAAUCCCUUGUACCAAUUUACUUCCAUUUCGGUUCUGGAAUUUAUACAACACCGCAACAUCUGGAGCUUAGUUUGGUCAUUACGAACCAACUUGUUUCAAGAAGCGUGCGAUUUUGGCAUUGAGUUUUUGUGUUUGACGAAAAAAUAGACAGAGAGCACACAAAGUGUUCGAUGAAAUGUCUCUAAGAAAGUUUCGCCUCUUUUACCCUUGUGUCUAUUUUCUCUUCCUACACGAUCAUUUAAUCUCGUUCGUGUUUAUAAAUAUUCAUUGACUAACACAGAAACUUUAUAUAUAUACUGUAUAUAUAUGUUGUAGCAAACGAAGAGUUGAUUCCAUCUGGGAUUUAGCAUUGAGAAUGUCGUUUUGCUAUCCAUCAUCACCCAGAAAAGUGGCGAUGACGGUGGCGUUUUUUGCCUCUGGGGCUGCUCUUUUCGCCAUUGGAAUCCAUCUCUCGUAUCUCAACGUCGCUCCUCAGCAAGCUCGCACUAAAGCCCGUAAUGAUUUUGUCAAAGAACGUCUCAGGCAGAAACAAGGAAAGUGAUUUUCAGGUUCAGAUCAUGUCCCAAAACAGAACCAUUUCUUCUUGAUGGUUUUUGUUUUUUGUUUUUUGGUUCCGACUUCACCAUUUCACCUCUGUACGCUCAACUCAGUUCUUUGCUCUGUAGAGAAUAGAGAUAACGUAAAUUGCAAUUGAGAAAACAAAUCUCACUUUUGUCUGGAAAAUUUUGACUUUUACUACUAUAUAAAAUCGAAAUAAGCAUUCGUCAUAAAAGUAGUGAAAUUCUAAAAAGAAAUCGUAUUAAUAGAGCAAAAGGUACACAAGUCUUUUUUUCUUCUUCAAAUUGACUCUUGCAAAAAGCCUUUAAUAAAACAUUCUCUCACAAAGUACAGCAAAAGCGGGAAAUUUAAACAUCUACAGAGAGCCUAAGGCACAAGAAAAGGAGAUUCAUGGAACAUUAGAUCUUCUUGGGUUUUGCUAAUGACUUGCAGAAAGAAGAGAAGGCUCCUUUGAUUUCUUCAUGGAUCGGGAGAGCGAGAGAGAGUGGUAAAGGACGGUGAUGAUCUUGAAAGUUUCCGGUUUGGUGUCUCAAGGAGACCGAGUGAGCCAAAGCUGUUUGUCUUUUGUUGAGUCCCUCAAGGAUAAAAGAGAAAGCCCCAAAAGUAAGACAACUCUGUAGCAUAGCCUGUGGAGCACCUGCAACACAGACCAUAUAUAAGGAUUGGUUACCUCUUCUCUAUGUUAGGAACCAAGUAUUUUACUUAUAUGAUUCAGAAAACCAAUAACUGUCUUUACGAUACCCAGCAAAGUAGAAAAAAGAAAACGAGCAUAAUGGGUUUGGAUUACCAGGGAAACUAAGAGCAAGACCGGUGCAGCACCCAGCAACUCCAACAUUAAUGGCUGCAAAAUAACAACAAAUGAAUUCUAAGUAAGAGAUACAUUUAUAUAAGUUGAUGUAAAAUUAGGCAUAUGUAAUCAUAAAAACUUAGGAGUAAGAGAUAUGAAGAUUCUCACCGUCAUCUUUCCCACGCAGUUGCUUCAGAAGGCAAACAACCAAACUGUGUACUCCAGAUAAAACAGCGAAAGUCUGAAACAAGAAAUUGCAAAUCACUCUCAGUCUUCUGUAACAAUAAGCAACAUCUAUAAAAAAUUCUGAUACAGUUCCAAUGCUAGGAAAGAUUCGUUUAUAAGAUGAAGUACCUUUGCAGAUUGCCCUGCAUCCGCAAAUGAUCCUUUAAAGCCUUUCUUCUUGAACAAUCCUGAACCUGAACGUGAACGUGAACGUAUAUAGUGAGAGAAUGCUUAAAAUUCAAUAAUCUCAAUCAAAAGUUGCAGCAAUCAAUCUUAUCACAGCCACUCUAUAACGAAAAACUAAGCUAACUCUCUUCUACAGAUUCCCAGCAGCAAAACAAAAUCAAACUUGAGGAAUGUUCAAUCAUCUUAAUCUGAAAUUAAUACAGUAAUUCUGAAAAUAACUCAUAGGGUUAGUCUCCUAGAACACCUAAUAAUUACUCAAUCCUUAAUCCAAGAAACAUGUUCUGAAAUCAAAUAAAAGAGUACAAACUCUGGUUUUCCCCAAUAAAUCUAAUCUCACUCUCAGAUAAAAACGAGAAAUUCCCACACCGAGUAAAGCAACCGCAGAUAAAACCAGGCAUAGAGAUAUAAGAAAGAAAUGAAGAGAAAGAAGAAUCGAACCAUAUCCGAAGAUAGAGCCCAUGACGGCGCCACCAGCUGCAUCUCCGGCGAACCGGACAAGACAAACGGCGGGAGCAGGGAUUGCCAAUGCCUUUGAGGAAUCAUUAGUGUUCGUAUCUCCACCGUCAGAGUGAAGGUUUGAAUCAGAGUCGAGAUUCCCGUCGAUGUCUAUAGCAUUUGAAGAAUCGGCCGCCAUAUUUAAGAACUUGAAGCCUGAAGUUUUCGGUCUCUACCUAAUCUGGAAAUAUCCUUUUUCCCAGUUUGAUAGAGUAAAAAAAAAAAGAUAUCUUUUCCCAGAAGACGACGACGCUUGCUUAGUUUCUUUGCUUGCACAAUAAACGACGACGUUUUAAAAUUCAGCUUUUGAGAAUUGGGCUCGUUUAUAUACGGAUCCAAUAAGCGCCCACUUACGGAAUUACAAAAGGAGCUAUUGUAUUUUCUUUCGACGAUUUCUUUCCAAAUUGUUUUACUGGACGCUAAUCCUUUACAGUAUUUGAAGCACUCAAAAUUAAAGCCGAAGAGUAAUCAAUACUACAUGAUAUUAAUGUUUCCAAGGUUACAAAUCAUAAGAAUGUUUCCAAUAUUACAAAUCAUUAUUUCUGUUUAACAAUGGCAGAUACUUUGACAAAAUAAAAACAAUGGCAGAUACAAGAGAACAACAAUGAUAAAAACGGGAGACAAGUAAGAGUUACUUAGGAUAUGUAAAUGACCGAGAAGGUCUUUUGUGUUUCAGUAAUGGUGGUCUUGAUAUAUGGCUCCGAACUCUGCUCUCCAAGCCUGAUCAUCCUCUUCAUAAUCAUCAAAACUGACAGCUCCGGUUCGAUGGUCUGAUACUUGUUCUUCAUCGUCCUGCUCAUCCUUGUACCAUGGCUGCAACAAUGCUGAUCCUGGUAAUUUACUCUCUGCUAAGUAUUGCUUCAUUGUCCCAAUUUCUGUCUUGUGUUUGCUCUUAAGUUGUUCCAUUUGCUUCUUCAGCCUCUCUUUCUCUUCUUCCACCACACUGAAUCGUUCCUGCAAUGAUGGUUUCAAUUCAAGUUUAGCCAUUUAAGAAAACCAAGAUUUUAUGACCACACAAAUAAAGGUUCUUGUUUUACCUCAGAGACUUGCAAGGCUUGUUCAGAUUCCCUUAGCCUGACAAGUAGUUCACCAGCAGCUUGAACAGCUUCAGCAGUAUCACGCAGCUGAGUUCUUAGGCUCUUGUUCUCCUUCUUCAACAGCUCUCUUUCUUUCUCCUUCUCUGCUCUGAUAGCAGAAAGUUCAGCUGAGAAGGCUUUGGCAAAACGCUUUCCAUGGCGACCGUUCAUAGCGGCCUUGGAUGCUGCCUUCUUCACAUCUGUUAUUCCAGCCAUCAUCACACUGUGCUUCUCUCCUAGUUCAUUGUACUUCUCCUGCAGCUCUGUAUACUGCUCUAUGAAUCUACUGUGGCCAAGCACAGCUCGAGUUAGCGCGUCAUUCAACUCCUCUGUUGCUAACUUCUCUUGUUUGAGCUCAAUCUCUAGAUUCUCUGCACGCCUGCGAUGGUUAUCGAUAUCCAUCCUGAGAUCAUCUGUUAAAGAUAUCCACUCACUCUCCAUUUCUGUCCACAUUUCCCUUUCUUUCUCUAGGAUAUCACUGUUCUCAGCGUUCUUGGUAACAUCAAUGCUUUUGCGCAUUUGAAUGGAUCUUAGUAGCAAAGAGGAUCUCAGAUUGUCUGCAGAUUUAGUAGGUUGCAGCUUGCUCUUUAGCUCUGCAAUCUCCUUGAGAAGAGCUUCCUUUUCGCUUAUAUCAAAGUUUUUCUUUCCAGAUUCUUCGCUAACUUCUUUUGUCUCAUAUGUUUCUUUGAUUAACUCUGUUCCAUCUUCUCCAUCACCAGGUUUCCUAAGCUGCAAACAAAGGCCAUAACGCAGCCUCUUCAGUUUCGAUUGCCAUUCUUGGCAAAAAUCAUUAAUGAAAAGCAACCGGUUGCUUCACAGCUUUGUAGUAAUAUUAGUCUAAGUUAAGAACUAUCAAAAACUCAUUUUCUGAAAAACCAGAUUCAAACUUUUAACACCAAAUUUUCUCGUAAGCCUACAAGAUAUUUACCAGGCGUGUUAGCUCGUCGAUUUUGGUUGCUUGCUCCAUGCACAUGUUCUUGAGAUGUUUUUCGUUCGAACAAGCAUCUCCUGUAGCCUGAUAUAGAACAGAAUGUAAGAUAAAUUGCCAAAUCGAAUUACCAAAACUAAAUUUAUAGUGAAUGUAGGCAAAUCUCCCGGUUUUGUUAGACAUACUUCAGCUUCCUGGUCAAGUUUCUUUCUGCAUGAAAGACAUAAGAGAAUCGACGAUGAUCCACCUUCUGGAGGCUUAUCUUUUCUUAACGAUUGAACUGAAGCAUCAAGGUUAUCAGCUUCUGCGCAAGGUUUCAGUGCCAGAUGGCCAAAAGAGAAGGAAACAGAAGAACUUUUUGAUAGUGAGCUACGCUGAUGAUAGUCUAUAACUUGCAGUCCUCUCUGAAGACUUGCAGCUAGUGAAUCCGUAGGACCUGAAAGCUUCUUUGACACAGAAGGGCUAACUUGAUCUACUUUCAUGUUUCCAAUGUUGGAGCUCUCGGACACAUUCCUAGGACUUGAUAGAAACUUUGUUGAUGCAGACACGCUUUUCUGGAAAUUCCUAAUUUUAGGAGAUUCCGAGAAAACUGGCUCUUCUAGAAUGCAUGUAGGAAGCUUUGAGCUGAUUGAGAUGCCAGUACUCGAUGUAUCCAAUCCAACAUUGUCGAGCUGGCUUGGAUCAUCAUCUACAAAGUCAACAUCUUGAUGCUUUGGUUUGUCCAAGUCUUCUGAGCAGAUAUCGUCUUCACUCAUCGAGUCUGCUUCAUCGCAUGAGGCACUUGCAAAUGAGGAGUGGAGAGAAUCAUAAGAACCAUGAAACUUUUCAAUAUGUUUAUUCAGUUCCAGCACAUCUUCACCACGAUCCACGUUCAUCUCUUGUCCUUGAGAUGCAUCUUCCUUUGACAUAAGUAAAGAUUUGUUGAUACUGGCUCUCAAUUGACUCAAACUGUCCCGCGCAAAGUGACCACUCUUACUUCCAUACCCAUCAGAUUUUGUUCUAAUGAGUUCGUCCUGUAACCAAAAAUACGCAGUUGAUACCUCAAUGUUAGUAUGCAAUAGAUGAUACUUUCAUGUAAGAGCAACAAAGAAGACCUUUAGUUCUCGAAUCUGGUCACUCAAUGGGUCAUGUUCCUCUGUAAUUUCACUUGGCACUGAAUUGGUUCUUCUAGAGAGUACAGUCCUGGCCUCAACCUAUCCCAAAUUAAACAAUAAAGUCAGAGAGUGUAAAAAAACUUCAAAGGACAAUUCACUUUAUGGAUCACACUGUUUACCUUCUUCAAUGGUGAAUCCGCAAGACUUUGCUUGUCUUGAGCAAAAGUGUUUGGUACCAUUUUCUUUUUCUGUUACAAGUUCCAAAGGAUCUCUCUCCUUAAUAGAUACAAAUUAUGAUACUACCAGAUAUCAAUCACGCUAAAUAAACUACAAAGCAAAAAUCUAGAAUCUAAAAGGCAAGAAACAGAAAUCUGAGAACUAAUUUAGAAAGUUUACCUCAAUACGCUCUCCGAAAUUUGCAGAGGAGAGCAAUUUCUUCGGAGACUGAUUUGUGAACUGAAGAUCAGUGUGAUGAUCAUCAGCCUGUAUAUUUGGAUCUACAGGAAUCGUGUUCUCGUCGUCAGAUCUGGGAAUCUUAGUUUCUGGAUUUUGGAUCGGUUUCUGCUUGGCAGAGAUGGAUCUGGGAAGCAAAUUUCUGAUCGAAGAACUUGUUAUGCCUCCUAAGAACCUGUUCUCGCUUAUCUUCGCCGGAGAUUUCAUGGUUUUCGAGGAGAGAGAGACUGAGAGAGAUUAGAAGGUCUUGUGAGCGGGAUAAAGUGGAAAACGAGCGUUUUUGAAAUGUCGGGAUGCUUUUCUGUCUUUUCGGAAAAGAAAAUGGAAAAAUACAAAAUACAGAAAAUCAUUAUUGGAGUAAAACUUAGAUAGUGGGCCUCUUAAAAGCCCAUUACCUUCGAAUAGGAGAAGUAAAGAAGAUCGUGAUCACAAGGCAGACCUUUCUUCGGAGGAUUUUGUUUACUAGUUCAUAGAAACUUCUUAUGCUAAUGCUAAUGAUGUAAUCUCAUACUGGAUGUUGUGGCUCUUAAUCACAAUGUCUAUGUCUUAAUUAUUUGUGUAGUGACGCUGUGUUAUUGUCACUUACUGGACCCACUUUGUCUUUGCUGAGGCUAAAGAUUCAAUUAUUCGAACUUUUCAAUUCUUGAUAACAAAUCCAAUGUCUUCUUUUACCAAAAAAAAAAUCCAAUGUCUUCAUCACAGGAUUUUUUUUGUUUUUCCUGUUAUAUGUCCUAAUCAAAUUUUAAUUUUUUUAACCUUCAAAAACCAUGAAUCAAACUACAUAAACUCUACACUUGGGUUAUAAACAAAAGAGAAAAUAAUAAAAGACGAAAAUAUCAAAUGCAACAAAAUAAUCAUUUUGGAGCCUUUUGCACAAUGUUUUCUCACACGCUAAUAGAAAAAUCAAAAGUUCUCAUGAACAAUUCGAAUUGAAAGUUUAAACCAAACAAAAAAUCUGUAAGAAACAAAAAAAAUUUAACAAUUAGAAUUACAAACAGAGCACACAACAUCAAGAAUCUUGGGGGAAGAAGAGAAAGCCUAAAGAAUGAUGAUCGAGAAUCAACGAUCUCUGGUUAUUGCUAUGGAGACGAACGCAGAAAACCAAAUCUUUUAUCAUCCAUGUUGUAUCUUUGCAGCUACCAAUCUGAUCUUAUCUUAUGUAAGAAUUAAAAAGAAGAAAACCCUUUUUUGUGUUUGUGAUGCUAACGAAGAAGAAGAAGAAAAACCAAAAAAAAAACAUAAACUCACUGUGAUGAAGAAAGUUGGUUUUCUUUCUCUACUUUUGAUGAUAUCCAAUAAACAACUCUUCAAACUCUGCAACGGAAAUGGCUUGUUCUUGAUCUACAAAUCUCACUUUUCUUCGUCGAAUUUUGUUUUUUCUAUGCUUCAAUACCUGAAAACGUUGAAUCAAUCCAAAUUAAUAAUUAUCCUCAACUGGAAAUCAAAUGUAUCAAAUGAGAUCAACAAAGCUAAAGUCUUUAAUAUGCUGAUAAGUAUACGUACGUACCUCUAUUUGUUUGUCUGUUCCCAACACUGUAACUUCCAGGGUAACCUUCAGAGGCAUUACCAGAUGGGUCUGAGCCUACAUUGUCAAUACCAAAGCCAUAAGAGCGAGACAAGCCGUCUAACUCAUUAGAAGACUGAUGAGGCAUUGACUGCUGCCACGUUGAGUCGCUAUAAACCGAGUUGUUGCUUCUGUACAAUUCCCCUAAAGAGCCAUCAAAACCGUUUGUAUUACCCGAGAAUGACAAACCAGGAAGUCCAGAACCCGUCCCAAAGUUUCUUCCAUAGCCAUUGGUAUCGCUCGCCACAGAAGAAAGUCCCCAGUUUCCUCUGUUGUUACCAACAGAUACUCCCAAGUUCCACCCUGGACCAGAAGAAUCAGUUCUGUUUCCCCACAAGUCUCUGUUGCUUGGAUUGUAAGCAGAGUCUCCUCUAUUGUAUCCGAUAGGAGAGUUGUAACGGUUUGGAGAAGCACUGUUGAAGUAUUGGUUGCCUGGGAUCCGGCUAUAACCAAGAGUGUUUCCAUCAAAGCUUGAAUUCAAACUUAGUUCUUGAUUCAAACCGAGCCCAAAGCUAGAGAAAGCAUUUCUUCCGCUACCAAUAGGACUAAACCGGCCAGCAGAGCCUAAGUUAUUGUUGUUAUUAUAACCAGGAGCAAAACUAUUGAAGUAGCUAUUAGCAGAUGACCUAUUAGAGACUACUCCAUAGUUAUUACCAUACCCAAGAAGCGGGCUUCGGUUAGCAGGAGCUGAAGCGGGCUCCUUUGGCACAGCUCUUUUAACCUCAACCAUUUUGCCGUUUAGCUCGUGGAAGGUCUUGUGAAGAACCAUAUCAACAGACUCUUCAGAAUCAAAAGUGAUGAAGCCAAAGCCUCUUGGCCUCUGUGUAUUAUGAUCAUACAUUACCACAACAUCAGCAAUUGUACCGAACUGAUCAAAGUAGUUCUUGAACUCGGCCUCGGUAAUGCUAGACGGUAAACCUCCAACGAAGAUCUUCUUUGUCCUCCCGCUGCCACCAUUACCACCAUGGCUAGGUGAGAUGAGGUGCAUUGGACUUGCGUGUCGUUUUAGCACUUGCUGAUCAUCCCGUGGUACAGCUUUCUUCGCCUCGACCUGCAACAACAUAAGACAUCAAUGGAUCUAAGCACUAACAUUGCGUCUCCUUCACACAAAAAGCAAUAAAAUUUACUCAAAAGUUAUAACGGCAACAGAUGAUCCAGAAACUAAUGACACCAAAAGAUUUCUAAGAGAGUGUUAACACAGAAAGAUCUCAACUUUAGAACAAUCUGCUGCUCAAGACUCAUCAAUGGACACCAGAUAGAUCUUUUAAGAGAGCAUGACUAAAGAAAGAUUGAAACUUUUGAAUCCGUUGCACAGGAUUACUAACCGUGCGGCCAUCGAUGAUGUGUUUCUCCAUGAUCACUCUCUCUGCAACAGAAGGAUCUGCAAAGACGAUGAACCCAAAGCCACGGGCACGUCCUGUAGUACGGUCUCUCAUGAUCACAGCUUCAACCAAAUCUCCAUACUUGCUAAAAUACUCUCGCAGUCGUUCCUCGUCUGUGUCCCAUGAAAUCCCGCCAAUGAAGAGCUUGCCCAGAUCCGAUACAGAUUCCAUCUUUUGCUCCUGCAAAACCAAACGCGAUCCAUGAAUCCGAUCUUACAAACACGGAUCAGUUGAAGAUUGCUAACACCAACACCGAAUAGAUUUCGGGCGAAUCUCAAAUGAAGCUUUCAUUUUUUGUUUUCUACGAUCGUGUCUAAGAUUUAAAGAGCUCAAGCUCUGAGAUUUAUGAUGACUUGUUCAAAUUUUGAUUAUCGAGAUUCAUCUAAUCUACUUUUGAUAUCCAGAUGAGUUUUAUCAAGAUUCAAAUAUGAUGCGUAAUGAAAAUCAAACGGAAAAGAAACAUGGAAAUCUACUUUUGUCUGAAACAGAAUCCAAAUCCCAGUCCCGAUCAAAUCGGAAUUGAGUAUCUUCAAAUCUGACAAUGGAUCAACAAAGCAUCCAAUCAAAAAAAUAAGAAAAAAACCCAGAAUGAAAUAAAUAAUCUCCCAAACAAAAGAAAAACUACAAAGGAAUGAAACAGAAAAUCAAUGGGAUGAAAAAACGGCAAAUGGACAAAGAGAGGAAAAAAAACGCUAGAUUUGAAAGAAAAUAUCAAACUUGUGGAGAAGGAAAUUCACCAUUGUGGAGAGGACCCAGAUGAUAAAAUGUGGAAAACCUUAAGAUCUGGAAAAAGGGACAAGGACAAGAGAAACAGAGGAUGUUUUGUUCAUUCUAUAAGACAUCCACUCUAUCUCUCUGUCUCUCUCUCUCUAUAGGGUUCUCUCUUACUCUUAUCACGAUGGCCUCCCUCUCUCUCAAGCUUAUUAAAAAUCUUUCCUUUUCCUUUAUUUUUUUUUUUUUGUAAUGCUUUCUUAAUUGAUUUACUUAAAAUCCAUUUAGAAGGAUUCCAUUUUUCCUCAGGCCAAAGAUGGUAAAAGAGAGGAGAACAGCAGUCACGUAUAAUAAUAGGGGGAAAGAUUUGAGAUUUGCAUCUCUCUUUUGGUGUAAGAAUCUUAUUUUAGGGUUGUUAGAGGGAGGCCCUAAAGACAGAUAAUUGGAAGAUGAUAGCUCUUGAAUUAUUUAAAAUUUUUAUUUUCCCACAACUAUAUUGAUCUCAAUAAUUUAUUUGUGAGAAACAAUCAACUGUAACAGUUUUACAUUUCUAAUGGGAUUUAAUGCAAGUAUGGGGAGUCGCUCAGAAAAAUUCAAGAGUAUUGUAAUUGACAAAUCUUACAAAAGAAGGCAAUUAUAAAAAACAAAGAAAUUACAUCAACAACUAUUUCUUGAACCCAAAAAAAACUCCUUGAAUUACAUAAUAUAAGUAGAAACGAUGUGAACAUAGAAUCAGCAUGUUUAUCAAAACCUCUACACAUUAUUCUUUGCUUUAGAAACAAACUAAGCUUAUAUGCAUAUAUAUAUAUAUAAUUCAUUUUAGAACUGAAAAUUUGUUUAGAGAAGAAAUUGUAGUCUAAUGAUUUGUUUCUUACUAUUAUCGUUGUGUUUAUACGGACGAACAAAAUGAUAUAACUUUUUACACAUACAUAUUGAUAUAUAUAUAUAUAUAUUUAUAGACACAUACAUAUUAAUAUAUAUAUAUAUGUAUAUGUAUUGAAUCACUACCUAGGACCUACCAAAAUGUAAGCAUCAUAAAAAAUUAAUAUCUUUAAUUAUCAAAUUACAUAUGUAAGAAACAUAUACAAAUGGAAGAAACAUUUGAAAAUUAGAAACUUAUACAUAUUAUUUUGACUAAAGUCGUCUUUAAGAUUAGUGUAAUUACUUAGUGUCACGUUAAGUUUAAUUUAGGAGGAUUUUUCAAAUUACAUAAAAUUAAGGUUAGUAAAAUCAUUUUACGUUAAGUUGUAUUUUAAUUUUUCUUUGACCGGUUUUAAAAGCAGUGGCGAACGUCCAAUUAGAAUUGGGAGUGAAAUUGUCACCCAUAUAUUAUUCCACUUGUCCUUAUCAUAAAAUGUUUAUAAACUUUUCUUUGAUUCGUUUUAACUAUUCAAUAGUUUAUGAGCAUUUAUAUCCUUUUAUAAUACUCCUUCUGUUUUAUAGUAAGUGUCGUUUUAGAUUUCAUUUUUUGUUUCAAAAAAAGUGUUAUUAUGUAACUUUUUAUUCUUAUUUCCUGUUUUAUCCCUCAUUUAAAGAUAAUAAUUUUUGUAAUUAAAUGUUAUAAAAAUCUAUUAAUUAGAUAUAUAUUUAUAUAUUUUAUUAAUUUUUUAAUCUGUGUGAAAUGUGUCAGAAUGAUACUUAUUAUGAAACGGAAGAAGUACUCUUUUUGUUGGUUAAAUUGUUUUUAACUGAGGUUUUGUGUAAACAGAAAAACGUUAAUAAUUUGUGUGGCUAUAAUAAGACCUUUGCGCUUUAAAGUUUUAGUAAAAGUCAUGUAAUGUAAUGAAACCUGUUUCCGAAAUAUUCUUCAUCUACGUUUUUUUUACACAUCUGAUAUGUAUGUCUUUUUUUUAAAGGAUUUGCAUACAUCUAUGUAUGUCUUACGUUGACAUAUUAUUAAUAUAUAUACAAGACAGUGAAUAAAAAUAUUAAGGUACUUGAUGAUAUCUUUAAAUAUUGCAGUCUGCAGAGAUAGAAUCAUAUGCCCUACAACUAGAAGAAAGUAAAAUACUUUUUUUGCAUCAUUUUUACUCAUUUUAGUAUUCUGUUCUAUUGAACAUUGGAAAAUGCACAUAUUCUGUUAUGUGGGUAUAUAUGAGAUAAUUAUACUAAAAUAAGAAAAAAAUAAGUUUUCUAUAAAACUAUCAAGCAGGAAAGAUAGGAUCUAUAGACUGUAGACAGCUUGUCUUGUGUGGAGGCAAAAGUCUACCCAAAUGUUCUUUUUGGGCAUAAUGAUGUUUAUGAGUAUCCAAGGGUUGCAUUUAUAUUUUAUAUCAAAUAAUUAAUUAUAUAUAGACGGCCAAAACACAACUAAUACUAUUUAGCAUUCGAUGAUCUUAUAUUCUCAUCUCAUUGAUAUAUAUUACAUUUGUUUUAGUUUUAGUAUUCCCCCUUUGACAAGUUUAUUUAAUACCCAUCCUAAGAAGUUAAUUACUGUAUGAGUCUAUACUUAAGUUUCUCUCAUGACAAUUUUUUGUAUGAUCAGAUAUGUAAAAUAUUUGUUUGUGUUAUUCAUCCAAGCCGUCGGAUAUUCUUUAAUAUUUAAAAUGUUUAUGGUCAUCAAACAGAAAACCACAAAAUAAAAUUUCCUCGCUUAUUUUCGAAAGAAUUCAGUCCUUAAAAGGUCUCCAGCACUUGAUAACAAGAUCACUAUUCCUCAAAAUAUAUGCCUAUAUUAUGAACUAAAAUAAUUCAAACUUUAAGUACACCAAACUAAAAAAUCGAAACCAUCCUUUUUCUUGGUAAAAUGUUUGAUCAAAAUUAUGAUGAUGGUGUGGCUCUGCGAAGGACACCACCUUUUUGAACUUUAAAAAAUGUCCAUGCAAAGUUGCAAACUUUACCGUUUCUAGAUUUUUGUAAAAUAAUAUUUUUUCCUUUCUUUUGUUAAAGUAUAUAAUUUGUUUUCUUCUUGUUAAUCUAUAGAUUAAAACAAAAUAUGUAAACAUACAUAGAUUAAUUAACAAGAAAAAGAAAAAAACGACAUAGAAAUAUUCUAAUAUAUUGUAAAAAUAAAAAAAUUAGAAAAAUACUCGAAGUGUCUAUUAGAACGAUUUUUUUCAAACGCAGAUAUCAUCUGAUUAGUAAUCGAGUAGGCAAUUCGCCCCUAAUCACCUCCAAACCCGUUAUAUGGUUAAUCAACCGUGGUAUCUAACACAUUGUAAAAAAUUUACAAAAAAAAGGUUUUGAUGACUAUUAUAUGUAGUCUGAUAAUUUAUGUUAGCAUCGUCAAAAUAUGUAUCCGACUUUAAACAGUACAUGUUAUUGAUUAAAAAAUAUAAUUUUAUGUUUUAAAAAAUUCUCUAAUAAUAUCUGAGUGGACCAACUUGGAUCCAGAAUGUCACCAUUAUAUAUCCUAAAUGGUAUCCACGCAAAUCGAUCGAAUACAAUCACCCCACAAUCCAUUAAUAGCUUAAAUCUAACGGUAAAAAAAAAUAUUAGCUUAUAAUAUUGGUUAAUAAUGGUAAAAUUAGGUUAGUACCACGAAACAAUAAUAUUAUUUUUAAUGAAAAAAAAAAAACGUAAACAAUAAGCUGAUUCUUCCCAAUCAACUAACACCUUCGUGUCUUCGAUUCCAAGUCUUGCGAAAGUCAAGACAAAUGGGCCAAGUAAUUUGACUCAAGGGCUUGGCUGAAGCCCAUAUAAACUGACAAAUUAAAUAGGGAAUGGCCCAAUAUCACCUAAACCCACUUGUUGUAUUUCACUCUACGGUUCCGAUCAAGCUAGGGGUUUUUUUUUUUUUUUCGAUUUCAGAGGUUUUUCUGUUGAUGAUUCUACACUUGGUGACUGUGAUGUCGUCAUCAUAUUCUCCUAGUUGUUGUCACCUCGUCGAGAUUACAAAUGAGCCACGAAGCUAUGAAGUUUACAAUUCGUCUUACUAAGCUACUCUCUCGUCUCUUUAAAAAACCCAAAAGAAGAAACAAACUCGCCUCCUGUCCCAACGAAGAGAAGAAUAAGCUUCACCUAGUUCUUGACUUGGACCACACGCUUGUCCACACGGUUUUUGUUUCACAGCUCUCUCAAAAAGAAAAGUAUAUAAUCGAAGAAGCUGAUUCAAGGGUAGAUCUGGAAGGUCGACAAAGGCCACCCAAACGAGUUAAUCAUAAAGCUACGGCCUUUUGUUCGUGAGUUUCUACAAGAAGCCAACAAGCUUUUCUCCAUGCACGUUUACACAAUGGGCUCUUCAGAUUACGCUCAGACCGUGUUGACUUUGAUUGAUCCUAAGAAAGAGUAUUUUGGAGAUCGAGUGAUAACUAAUAAAGAAAGCCCUUUUGAGAAGACACUUGAUCUCGUUGAGGCUGAUAAGCGUCGUAGAGUGGUCAUUGUGGAUGAUACGAGUGAGGUUUGGCCUGAUCACAAGAGAAACUUGUUCAAGAUUAGCAAGUAUAUAUAUUUUAGAGACGACUACGAUCGGAAAUCUUACGCGGAGGAGAAGAGAGAUGAGAGCCGAAGCAACGGAGCAUUGGUAAAUGUUCUGAAAUUCCUUAAAGAUGUUCACAAAAGAUUCGAAGACCAAGAGUUAGGUCCAAGAGACUUGAGGCUGCUGAUACAUUAGCAUACAACGAAUUUUUGAGUUUCAAUUCAGCAAAUCUGAUGCUAUGUUUGUUUUGCAAUUUCUCAAGAGAUCCUGAAUUGUAAAGUAGGUUCAAUCCACAAUGUUAUUUCACUCUUCACUUUUUCAGAAGCUACUUAGAGAUUCGGAUGUUUCUGGUUCCUUUCGACAACUCUAGCGUACGUACAAGCUCAUACAACUCUCUACCAGACAAAAUAAAACCUUUUUAUGUCUCUUGAUGGAUAGAAGAUCCCAUAGCAAAGAGAUCUUCUACUAAACCUUUUUUCUUCUUCAUUGUUGUAUCAAUAGGAUAUUCGUAUUUUAUAAACAUAAAAUGGUGUGAUUUAAUUACCAUAAACAAAUCAAAUAGUAGUUACUAGAAAUUCAGCUCCAUGAAUCUAUGAUCUGAAAUAUUGUGACGAACGGUCCAUCAGAAUAUGUUAAAACAUAAAUUAGUGGCCAAUUUUUCUGUGAAAAUAGUGAAAUGUUUUUUUUUUAAAACAAAGCUCUGUUACUUAUUUUUCUUGUUGCCAUGCUAAUGGAAAAAUAAAUAUUAAAAAAAAGGGGCAAAAACAAUGAAAUGAAAACGCGGUCGCAAGUCAAUUUCUUUCUUCCUUCACUGACACACACAAGAGCGAGAAAGCGAAGAGCAAAAAAGCUCUCAAUCCGCCAUAGCUGAGCUUCCCUUUUCCUUCCGUCAUUCCUUCUACCAUUGGAAAAUCACCUUUAGAUUUCCCUGAAAUGAGCUCUGAAGCUAAUGACCGGAAGAAGUUUCAAGUCGAUUGCCCGGCGACGAUAGAUCCCACGGCAAGGCACGAUUCAGCUGGAGGAGGAGGAGGAGGAGGCAGUGUUGCUGGAGGUGCGAGGUACAAGCUGAUGUCACCGGCGAAGCUUCCGAUCUCGAGGUCGACUGACAUCACGGUUCCUCCUGGGAUGAGUCCGACGUCGUUUUUGGAAUCUCCUGUUUUCAUAACCAACAUCAAGGUUACUUAUGCAGCAGCUUCUCUCUCUCUCUCACUCUUGCUCUUCUUCUCUUGUGGAAAAUUUCACCUCAUUUUGUGGUGUCAAUUGAGAAAUUAGGUUUUCUGAUUGCAUUUUUUUAGACCCAAAGGGAUUUGUUUCUUCCGUGAUUUUGGUCUGUGCCAUGUUGCACUGUGUUCAAAAUUGGAUUUUGAAGUGGAUUCAGCAAAAAACAGAUUAUUUUUAUUGAGAAUUCGUCCCACUUGUGUUUGCUUCAAUUCCGAUUCGGAUCACUGUUCAUAUUGUGGUUUAAGUGGAGCUACGAUUCUUCUAGUAGUGUCGUGCUUAGUGUGGGAGAAUUUCUAGGGUUUUUUUAAUUGGGUUCUGUAGUUUGGUGAAGAUGCUUUCUGUUUGCCCACAAGGAAAAAACAUUGGACUUAGGUUUUCAUGUUUGCUUCUUAAAUUCAACUACAAGUGCUUUAAAAAACUAUGAUAUCUUUGCUUACGUUAAGGGACUUUGGCCCAGAUUCUGAUUCUUCACGUUACUAUACUCUGCAUUUGUGUCCGUUCAGAUUGUUCUCUGGAAUAAACCCCUUUCCUUUAUAUUGUUGAUGAUUAGUUUUUUUAUUUAAAAGUCAUCUUUCUCUUCAUGCUUCUUUUCUUCACAUUUUCGAUCUUCCCUGUGUUUGGUGCUGCUCUUGUCUUUUUUCCACUCUUUAUUAAUUUUUCUUUUGGUAGCUUAUAUUAAAAUUGAAUGAUUCCGUUGGUGAGAAAAAGUACCAUUUUUAUCAUGUUCACCAUCUAGAGCUAUAGAGUAAUCAUUUCGUGAGCAUUAGCUUAAAUUAUGUUUAAAUAUCUAAGUGACGAAUACUAGGUUAAGUGAUGCUCUGCUCAAUUAUCAUAUCCCUUGAUUGAACAAUUAAUAAUUUGUCCGUUUUGUUUUAGACAAGUGGUCAUUUCAUUCAGUUCACAAACCAUCAUCUCUAUUGAUAAUGGAUCAGGUUCAGGUUUCACAAAAUCCUUGUCAUCAUCAUCUUUCAGCAUAAAAUAUUUUUGUUUAUGUAUGAUAUUUUAUUCAUGUUUCUGAUAAAAUUUGGGUAUGUGAACUUUCUUUACUUCCAGCCAGAACCUUCACCUACUACUGGCUCUUUGUUCAAGCCCCGAGCAGUGCACAUUAGCUCAAGUUCUUAUACAGGAAGGGCAUUCCAUCAGAACACCUUCACCGAGCAAAAGUCCAGUGAAUUUGAGUUCAGACCACCUGCAUCCAAUAUGGUAUUGUCUAAAGAAGUGCUUUUUGUAAUGCUUUCGAUGUUAUGUACUGUUCAGAGAACGGAAAAAAUCCGUACUCUAAACACUGGGUGAAAUAUCUUUUAUGUCCACAACUUGUAGUAAUUAACUUUCUUGUACACAGUUGAGGGUGGUGUUAACUAAAUAUCUUUAUUGAAUUCAAGGUUUAUGCAGAGCUUGACAAGCAUAAAAGUGAGCCACCAGUACAAUUUCAAGGCCAGGGCCAUGGAUCCGCACACUCACCUUCUUCAAUCAGUGAGGCUACAGCUUCCCCAAGUGAUCUAAGCCGGCCAACUCCUCCUCGUCAGACUACACCAACGAACUCUGAUAUUCCUGCUGGAUCUGAGCAAGAUGAAUCAGUCCAGACAUCGCAAAAUGACUCCAGAGGAAGUACGCCAUCAAUCUUGGCUGAUGAUGGUUACAAUUGGAGAAAGUAUGGGCAAAAGCAUGUCAAAGGGAGUGAAUUUCCCCGGAGCUAUUACAAAUGUACACAUCCUAAUUGUGAAGUGAAAAAGUUAUUUGAAAGGUCUCAUGAUGGCCAAAUCACUGAUAUUAGCUACAAGGGUACACAUGACCAUCCUAAACCUCAACCUGGUCGCCGAAACUCUGGUGGUCUUGGUAUGCCUUCGCAAGAAGAAAAGCUAGACAAGUAUCCUCCUUUGACUGGCCGAGAUGGUAACCAUAUCUAUAACUUGAGACAAGAUUGCACUUACAACCCAUGACAAUAUCUAUAACUUCAUCUGUUUCUUCUUCUCUUUAUUUCUGCAUACAGAAAAGGGCGUCUACAACUUGUCUCAAGCGAUUGAGCAAACUGGUACCCCUGAAGUACCUCCUAUGUCAGCAACUGACGAUGGUGCGGAAGUUGCAAUGUCUAAUAAGAACAAAGAUGAUCCGGAUGACGAUGAUCCAUUUACGAAACGGAGGUAUUAGAAUUUAACAAAGGAUUUAGGUGCUUGCUCUGAAACUAUAUGAGACUUUUAACUUUGUGCAGGAGGUUGGAUGGGACCAUGGAAAUAACUCCACUUGUGAAACCUAUCCGGGAGCCUCGGGUUGUUGUUCAAACUCUGAGUGAGGUUGACAUACUGGAUGAUGGCUAUAGGUGGCGUAAAUAUGGGCAGAAAGUCGUAAGGGGAAACCCAAAUCCCAGGUCCGUACAACCACAAAACUUUUUACCCCAGCAUAACUUGCAGUUCAAGAUGGUAGCUAGAACAGUGUAGUAUUUGCAUUCAGGGGCUAGUUCUUUUGAUUUGUGCAUAGAGUUUUGAUUCUCUUGGGAAUGGAGUUUGGGAUAUGGAAGAUAGUGAUCUUAACAGGCUCAACGUAAUGGAGAUAUUAUGUUUCGUAAUGUUCCUCGGGCUUUUGUAGGAGCUACUACAAAUGCACAGCUGCUGGAUGCCCAGUGAGAAAACACGUGGAGAGGGCAUCACAUGAUCCAAAAGCUGUAAUAACAACAUACGAAGGCAAACACAACCACGAUGUUCCUACUUCAAAGUCUAGCAGCAAUCAUGACAUCCAGCCUCGGUUCAGACCAGAGGAAACAGACACCAUCAGCCUCAAUCUUGGUGUUGGAAUCUCAUCUGAUGGACCUGACCACACUUCCAACGAGCGUCAGCACCAGAAUCAACAACUCGUAAGCCAAACUCACCCAAAUGGUGUCGGUUUCAGGUUUGCUCAUGCAACUCCCAUGUCAUCCUACUAUGCGAGCUUAAACGGUGGUAUAAAUCAUUAUGGCCCGAGAGAAACUCAGAACGAGACUCAAAAUGGUGACAUCUCGUCUUUGAACCAUUCGUCUUACCCAUAUCCACACAACAUAGGGAGAAUACAAUCGGGUCCUUAGAAGACAAUGGAAGCAACAAUAUUGGAUUCUUCUUAGGUUAGGAAUGGAAUGAGACCUUGUUCUAUAUUAUUCCUAUUUCUUUGUAGAGAGCUGAUAUUUGAUUUAAACUAUCUCCACCAUACAUAUUUGUACGUGUCACCUGUUUUGAGUCCCAAAAAUGUGUUGUAAAAAAACACAUGAAGAUGGUAAUGCUUUUUUUUUUUUUAACAAGAAACAUUAAUAUAUUACGACUACAAACUAUUUCUUCUUAUGAUUCCCUUUAACUAGCACAAAGCCACGGAUUAUAAUCAUGCAUAUGUGUUUUUGACUCGCUUCAUGCAAUUUUAGAAAAUCGCAAAGUUUUUUUUAGUACUAGAAGAAGACCAGCGUGUACACUCGGGUUUGUAUAUUAAAUAUAUUUUGUAACUCAUAUAAACAGUCUAAAAUAUUUAUUUUAUUAAAACAAAAACACAUUUAGUGCUUGCAUCCAAACAUUCCUAAAGUUUUUUUAUAAUAUUUUAUUUUAUUUUUAUAUUUAAUUUCCGAAAAUUAGUUAUUAAUUUAAAUAUUUUUAAAUUUUCUAAAAUUUAGGUCAUCUUUAAUUUAAAUUUCAAAUUAUUAAAAAUUUAAUUAAAUUUAGUUACAAAAAUUUGCAUUCAAUUUAAUUUAAAUUCAAAAAAUUCAAAAAAAUUAUAAUUAAAUUUUACUACGAAAAUUUAGAUAAUAAUUUUAAUACUUUAAAAUUUCUUAAAUACAGGAGAGAUUUAAUUUCAAAUUUUAAAUUUAAAUAAUAUUUUUAUAAAAUUCUUUCAUCCGAUGCCAUCUAAAACAUGAAAAUCUGAAAAAUAUGUGCUCCUCAUCAGCUUUUCGAUUUGUGGAUUUAAUUACUGCAGCUAGAUCCGAUUAGAAAUUUUGCCUUAUUUGCCAUCACCAUCAUAUCUAAUCUCUAUAAAGCCUAAUCUUUCCUAAAGUAAGGUUAUAUGUUGAUUAAAUAUAUUUUCUGAAAUAUAAGAAAGUAGUUAAUCGUUUUGUAUUCAAUAUUUUAGUUCACUUAGAUCUCCUAAAUGAAUUUAUGUUUUUAGGAAUUUGAUCAAAGAUCGAUGGAGUUUGACCAUUUUUUUCUAUUUCAAAACUGAUGUGUCAAAAUAAUAGGAGCUGAUGUGUCAAACUUGUGAGACACAACCCACUCUUUAUAUAAUAGAUUUGUCAAUGUCAUUCCACUUUAGAUUUCACCUAUUUUGAUCACUCUUGUUUUAAAUCAAACUUAAAGCUAAGGUUAAUAAAUUUUCAUUUAACUUUCUUAAUUGGAACUUUCAUUUACUUAAUUUUCUUAAAUGUUACCCUUGUUUAGAUAUAGUUUUUUUUAAUCAAUUUGGUCAAUCAUAUUAACUUCACUUCCAUAUAGGAAAGAACCAGAGAAGUAAAACAGACACAAGUAAAAAUACAGUUCAUUCAUUAAAACGGGUAUCACACGAUUAUUACUGGAUAGUUUUUUAUCGGCUAUUAUGUAACAUUAUUUUUAACACCUAUUUUAUUUAUCAAACAAUAUCAUAUCCUAGAAAAAUUACCAAAACACAAUGGAUUUUAUCAAAAGUAACAUUUUAAAACUAAUACAAAAAAUAAGAUUUCAGUAAUAGCUGACCAAAUUUUAACAUAUAAGCUUUUGGUAUGGCAGAAACAUGAAAGCUUUUGGUCCUUUUUUCUGUAGUUUAUAUCUUCUUUUUUUUUGUCGCCUCUGUAGUUUAUAUCUUUAAAUAUUUGAAAGUUUAAUUCUUAAUAAUAUAUAAAGGAGAGAAUGCAAAAGAUGAAAAAAAAAGGUGUAUGGUUCGGCUCGCCACGUGUUUCGGAAGUUGGGCUAGUUCUAGUUCUACCGUCAUCGAUCCACGAGAUGCAUCAAACAUGAAAUCUGAACCGUUCAUUAAGUCUCUUUAGACAUCGGAAAUGGACCGCGGAUGCUUACUCCGACAUCCGACGUGGCAUUUAAUUGUAUUUAAAAUCUGGUUUUGCGUCCGAAUCCAUUAAUUUCUCUCUCCCAAAAACGCUACCAAAGAAAAAGCUAUUUGUUCUGUUUCGGAAGGAAGAAAGGCAAAAAAAAAAAAAAGAGAAAAGUAAACAGAGGAGAGAAAAAACUCAGUCCCGAGUCUUGGGGAUAGUGAGGUAAGAUUCCAAAGUCUUGAGCUUUCGAACGCUGUAGAUACUUAAAAUCUUUGUGAGCUGUAUCUUUCGAGCUUUGUUUGAAUUCGCAUGUUAAUUUGGUUGGGUGUUUCUGUGUUUGUUAAAGCUGUGAUGAGAAGUUAGGGUUUCUUAUGCGCUUCUUUGAUUUGCCAAUUUCGAUACUUUGAAAAUUUAUUGUCUUUUUCCUAUCUGGUGCUGUUAAUUUAGCGGAACAAUGCACGAUUUUGACGUUGAUUGACUAAUUUCGAGAGAUUCAAGUGAAAAACAGAUGUGUUUUGUCUGAAUUUGUUUGGUGUAAUCUUAAGACAUUUCUCUGAGCUGCAGCGUUGUUUUUGGUUUGAGUUAUCCAUCUAGAUCUUUGUUUUUCCAGAAUGUAUAGGAAGUUGACAAAUUAAUGAUGAACCCUUUAGAUUUGAUGCCUUCCUUAAAUAUUUUUUAUUUAUUUAUUUUGUUUGUAUACUUUUAAAUUCUCCACUUCCAUAUUCCAUUUAACUCUUCUUCUUGUUCAGAUCUAAAUUUGGAUUAAGAUAUAAUUAUGGAAUACGCAUGAGAUCAAAAUUGAAUUUCGCGCACGGUUUCUUGGUGGAUCUAUUGUUGACCAGCCUCUUGUUUUGGUUAAAGUUUUAAAUUUUGUUUACCUGAAGUUCAGUUUUUUUUUUUUGUUUUGCAUACUUCAUGCAAAUGUUUCUUUGUGAGAUUGAAUUCCUUUUAUGGUUACUUUCUGGGUCUGGCUUUAGUUCCGCAGGUGUUGAAUUUGCUGAUAGGCCUGAACAUUAAUUUGUGCUAUCGCAGCGAUUUUAAUCCUCUUUACUGAUUUCUUAUGUAGCCUUUGAUAACAACGAGAGGUGUUUUCAGUGGAAAAGAUCUACUGAACUGUUUUGACAAAUGGGGGAAGACGAUUCAAAGGCAACCGUUGAGCCAACAGCAAGCAAGACUACUUCUCUUGAGAAGCCCUCAGAGGAUUUGGCUGGAAAAAAGGAGGAGGAGAACGCUGGAAGUAAGGAAACACAAAAGCUUAAGGAGAAGGCUGAACCAGAGAAAAUGGAGAUAGAUGCUGAGGUAAAGAAAGAUGAAGAAAAAGGUGAGACGGAAGCUAAAGAGUUAGGGGGUAAGAAAAAUGAAGACAAUACCGAGACUGAGAAAAUGGAAGAAGACCUUACGGUCACCAAAGACGAGGGACCAGCAGAGGCUACCAACAUGGAUGACGAUGCAGAUGGAAAGAAAGAGCAAACUGAUGAUGGUGUUUCUGGAGAUGGUACAGUGGAAGAUACUGUAAUGAAGGAAAACAAUGCCAAAGAUGAUGAAAAGCAAGAGACUAAAGAGACAAUUGUUACUGAAGCAGACCACAAGAAAGCCGGGAAAGAAUCUGAGGAGGAUGUAAAACAUGAAGGUGAAAAAGCAAAUGGAACAAAAGAUGGGGACCAAGGGACAGAAAGGGUUGAAAAUGUGGAGAAUGUGGAUGAAAAUAAAAAGGAGGAGAAUGGGAAGGAGCAGAGUGAAGAGGAUUUGGUUGAAGAAGGAAAAGAAGAGGGAGAUAAGGAAGAAAAUAAAACAGAGAACGUUGAUGCGGCAAAGGCAAAGGUGGAAGAUGUAGAAGAAGGAAGUGAGGAUGAGAAUGACAAUGAAAAUGUGGGGAGCAAACAUGCAAAGGAAGAUGAGAAAGAAGAGAGUAAUGUUGAUAAGGAAGAUGAAAAAGCCGAGAGCGGUGCUGAUAAGGAGAUUGAAAAAGAAGAGAGCAAGAGUUCUAAAAAGCGUGGGAAAGGAAAGAGUUCUGGGGAAAAGGUUCGCGAGAAGACAAAAACUGAGGAAGAAAAAAAGGAUGCAGAACCUAGGACUCCUUUCUCUGAUCGCCCUGUGCGUGAGCGGAAAUCUGUUGAGAGGCUUGUCGCAUUGAUUGAUAGAGACUCUUCCAAAGAAUUCCAUAUUGAAAAGGUUUGCCUAUACUCUCCUGAGUUGAGUAGAACGUCGUCACUAUAUGUUUUCCUAAUGAUCUUUUGGAUACUACAGGGGCAAGGUGUAUAUCUCAGAGAUAUUCCCAGUGGUAUGUUUAUGCUAUUUGAAUUAAAACUUAAAAAUUCACGAGCAACAAUUUUUUAUUUUUUUUGGCUCCUUUUUGUUCAUCUAAUUUGCAGUUGAAAUGAAAUAGAUAACUUGAAUAUUUCUCUGCAGUUGCUUCCAAAAUUAUGAGGAAAAAGUCUGAUGAAACUUUGAAGCUGCUGCACCCAAUUCUAUUUGGUGGGAGGAGAGGGAAGGUGAGUGCUAAUAGUCAUAAUUUUAGAUUGUCAGUCACGGGCAUACUUCUUGUGGUUUUUUUACCAGUGGUGUGGACUCAGGUGCUGCUACUCUUAUGUUAGCAGCAAGUCUGCUAAUCAUGUUUAUAUGUAACUCAUUCGUCUUGCUUUAACAGGCUACUCAGAUCAAGACAAACAUAUUGGGCUUCUCUGGUUUCGUUUGGCAUGGAAAUGAGGUGUGCAACAUCACCGAUGAAGAUUCUUUUACUUAUGCUUUGGAUUCGUAUAUAAUUGUGUCUAUUGUCUUUGCAGGAAAAGGCAAAGGAGAAAAUAAAAGAAAAGCUUGAGAAGUGUAUCAAAGACAAACUGUGGGAGUUUUGCGAUGUGUUUGACAUACAUAUUAGCAAGGCUACAACAAAGAAGGUCAUCCAUUAAUUUCUAAGUUUGUUUAUAAGGUUUUUUUUUUUUUUGCGUGAAUAGAUGGGCAUCAUGUGAUAGUCAAAUACGGCAACUUAUUGUUGCAUGUUUCAUCAACACAGGAAGACAUUAUUACAAAACUGAUUGAGUUUUUGGAGAAACCACAUGUGAAAGGCGACGUUCCAGUUAGUGAGAAAGAGAAGGUAUUUGAUGUUGAGAACGUUGUUUAUUUUAAAAACUAAUUGUGCAUCUUGCAAUUCUCUUAAAGUAUUUCGUUGAAAACAGUCAAGUAAGGGAGCAAAACGCAAGAGAACUCCCAAGCAAAGCUCACCUGCAGCUGGGAGUUCAUCCUCCAAACGAUCAGCAAAGGUAUCCAUGCAUAACUAGAGCUGGAGGCUUGCUUGUUCAUUACUCAUAACUUUGAAGAGAAUGUGUGUCUCAAUGUUAACUGUCCAACACUGGUCCAUAUCUCUGGUCCUAGUACCCAAUUUGAUUAUAAUAUUUGCAUUGCCUUUGCAGAGCCAAAGAAAGUCUGAAGAAGGAACAAAGGCUGUCAAAAAGAUUUUAUCUCAUUCUGAUGAUGAGUCUGAAGAUGAGAAAGAGGAGGAAGAAGAAAAACAAGAGAAGGAGCAGAAAGCAGAAGAUGAAGAGAUUAAAGAGGAGGAGAAUGACAAUGGUAUUCCUGAUAAAUCUGAGGAUGAGGCACCUCAGCCUUCUGAAAGCGAGGAGAAGGAUGAAUCUGAGGAGCAUUCUGAAGAAGAAACGAAAAAGAAGAAAGAUGGUUCUAGCUUGUCAGCUGGGAAGAAAGAAUCAGCAGGGAGAGCCAGAAACAAGAAAGCAGCGGUUGCAAAAUCCAGUCCGCCAGAAAAAGUUACACAGAAGCGAUCAUCAGCAAAGCGAAAGAAAACAGAUGAUGACGAUGAUACAAGUCCAAAGGCGUCCUCUAAGAGGAAGAAGUCUGAAAAAGCUACCAAGGCCUCCUCGGCCCCUUCAAAGUCUGCAUCAAAAGAGAAGCCAGGUUUGGUCAUUAUCCUGUUUUUGUUUAUAUUCCACUAAGAUGAUCGCUUAGGGUAGAAUAAAGCAUCUGUGACUGAGCGUAGGGUUUGUCAGAUGCUUUCAACAAUCUUAUUUCUUGACGAUUUUGGUUGCUGAAGCUUACCAAUAUUGCAGCCACUUAUGUUUUCUGACACCAUGUUUAUUUGUGUUUGUGCCUAUGCUAAAAGUAAAAAGGGCUGGAAGUGGGAAAGAAAAAACCAAAGGGCCUAGCGAUAAAGUGCUGAAGAAUGCAAUCGUUAAGAUCUUGAAAGGAGUGGACUUUAAUACGGUGAGUAAUUUCUCAACCUUUAAUAUUGGACACAUGUAACUUAUUUGCGGUGUGUGGAUUAAAGCAAAAGUGGGUUUCUCCCGAACAAAUUAAUUGUUUGCUUGAAAUAUCUAUUCAAACUACGAAUCGUCUUCUAUAUCUAGAUAACCUAAUAAGAGCUAUGUUGGUCUUCUGCAGGCUACAUUCACGGACAUCCUCAAACAACUUGGUAUGAACAUAUUGCUUUCAGUCAUAUCUCUCUUCAGUGAUUUCUGGUUUCAUUCUGGUUAUAUAUGUAAUAAAAACACAAUGUUUCACCCGUAUUUCAGCUAAGGAGUUCGAAGAAGAUCUCACCCCAAGAAAGUCAUCUAUAAAGGUGAUGAUCCAAACUGAGCUCACCAAAUUAGCAGAAGAGGCUGAUGAAGAAGAGGAAGAGGAGGAGAAGAAAGAAGAAGAUGCAGAGAAGGAGAAAGCAGAAGGAGGGUCUGCUAGUGGUGCGGAGGUGAAAGCUUAAACUCCUCUCUGAUCACAUCGCACAUACUGAGUUGCCUAAUGCCUAGUAGUCAUCUGGCAAAUGUAUAAGUUAAAUCUGUGGAUGUAAUCUUUUGUUGUGUUGAGUCUGAGUUGCGCAAAGCAGCUUUACUUUUGGUAGAGACAAGAGAAAGAAGCUGCAUAGCCAAAGGGUAGGUUGCUUGUAUGUCUAUACCAUUUAACAUAAAAGCCUCCUUGGAUUGUCUUUUGAUUUGUGAGGCUCCCUUUUCAGACAUUGUCCAGCUUUCUUUAGUUUCCUUGUUCUGUUUGAAGAAGGCCUAUGGUAAUAAUGAAUAACUUGAUUUAUCUUUAUUCCCUUUCUGCUUUGAAUUUGUUAUAUUCAUAUAACAGAAAGAUCUUAUGCUCAUUACGUACCCUUGGUCUUAUAAUUCUGGAAACAUACGAAGGCAAAUCCAAUCUAAGAAAUGCAGGAAUUGGCUAGCCCUCAGUGAAGCAUCAACACCAAUAAAAACCAAUAAAGAGAAUGUGUUUUUACAGGACCAAAAUCUACAGACCAAAAAUAAAAAGAAUCUGUUCUCUUCUACAUCCCUUUUUGGAAUACACAAAAAAAAAACAGAAUCCAAAAGGAUGUAAAUGUUGCUGUUACACUCAGAAUAAAGUGGAAUUUCGGUUUAAGGACUAAACCGAAGUUAGUGUAACUGUAACGUUUAGCACGGAAUAUACUUUAGAGUUUAGACCUCUCAGUAAGUAGAGAAGCACUGAAACUUUCACUUCUUCUUCUUCUUCUUCUUCUCUCUCCUCUCCAGAGUUUCAGUUUCGAUCUACAAAAAGUUUCCAACUUGCCGUCGAAUUUAAAUGGGAAGUGGAAGAGAUAGAGACGACCCUUUAUCAUUCACUAGCAAUCCAUCUUCGGCUUCGUCUCCGGUCACUGUAUCUGAUUACCUCGACAACUUUCUCGGCGAACCCACUUCUCGCUCCGGGAGUUUUCAGAGCGAGAGUUUGCUCGGCGGAGGCGGUGGAGAGAGCAUUAGCGACGCUGAUUUCGGGUUCGCUCGUCCCGAUUUCCGAUCGGAGCAACUCGUUGGAACCGUACAGUUUUACGAGAGGCAUGUUUUCUUGUGCUACAAAAAGCCAUCCGUUUGGCCCGCGAGGAUCGAGGCGGCUGAGUUCGAUCGAUUGCCUAGGCUACUCUCUGCGGCUGUUUCGGCAAGGAAGGGUAGUAUGAAGAAGGAAGUGAGUUUCUAAUCUAUUGAUUUCUGAUCCCAUCUUCAGCUUGUUUGCUGUUAACUUGAAUCUCGAUUCCAAGAGUAUUGCUUGAUUCUCAUGGAUUUAGCUCGGAGAGUUUUAUGAUCUGGUUCUUCUAGUCUCCCAAAAUGAGCAAAAGCCACUUGCUUUCACUUGUUUUGGCUUAGUUGAAGUAUCUGUUUAAUGGAUCAUAAAAUCAUUUCUAUCUCGGGAGUGUUGGGAUUUCGGUUUUGGUAAGAUACGGGAAAGUUGCUAUUUUCGGCAAUUGGUAACAACACACAACUCCGCUUUUGAGCUUAAAGUUCCAGUGGUUUUACUCUUUUUUUCAUGUGCUUAUGUAAAUGAUGAAUUUGAUUUGAAAUGGUGUCUCUGGCGUAUAUUAAUGGAUUACUUUGUCUUAUGAUGAGGCUUAACGGUGUGGCUUCUUAUUCUUUCCUUACCUUUGUGCCUAAUGUGUUUUAUCGCCAUUGCUCUGUAGACUCGACUCACAAUAUGUGAGGGCCAUGAUGGAACAGAGACAUCCAAUGGCGAUGUACUUAUCUUCCCUGAUAUGAUCAGAUACAGGUAAGAGUCGAAGUAUUUCUUAUACUUGCUUUUAUUCCUCAACAGCCGAAACUUAUUUCUGACAGUUUUAUUACAACAAAUUUGCAGAAGGUUGACUCAUUUUGAUGUGGACACAUUUGUGGAAGAGGUGCUUGUGAAGGAUGGGGAGUGGCUGCCUGGAAAUCCUGAAUUGCUAAAAGGCUCAUAUGUCUUUGUAUGUUCCCAUGGAUCCAGAGACCGACGAUGUGGGGUUUGUGGACCGUCGCUGGUUAGUAGAUUCAGAGAAGAACUUGAGUUUCAUGGUCUUCAGGGUAAAGUGUCAGUUAGCCCAUGUUCUCACAUCGGUGGUCACAAAUACGCUGGGAAUGUUAUUAUCUACCAAUCAAAGAUCCACAGGAAAGUCACAGGACACUGGUGAGUAAGGAGUUACAUAUUUAUUGCUACAUACAUCUGGUUUUGCUGUAAGUUUGGAUAAAGAGAUCAAGAAUGCAUUUUAAAAGAAUUGGUUUCAUGGAAGGUUGUGAUUUUUUUAUUGGUAUCUUCAAAACUAAAAUGGAAUUAGAAUAUUGGAAGUUCUCUGCAAUGUCCGAAUCAAUCAUACCCUAUUUUUUACUUGAUGAUUGAUAUUUUUUGUGUCUCAAGGUAUGGGUAUGUGCAACCAGAUGAUGUACCUGUUCUCUUGGAGCAGCACAUCAACAAAGGCGAGAUUGUAGACCGGUUAUGGAGGUAAGUUCCAUGUUUCUUGGUCUCGCGGUUUCGGAAUCACUUGGGAAUUAGUAACACAUUCUGGUUAUUUCUGAUUUUAGGGGUGAAAUGGGUCUGUCAGAAGAAGAUCAGAAGAAAAGUCAAGAACGACGAUUUCAGCUAAACGGUGCAGUUCAUACAGUAAAGAGCAAUGGGAAAGUGACUCAGGAAUCAUCAGUUCACAGCGCCGAUGGUUUCUGUUGCCAAUCACGAGCAUCAGAAACUAAUGGUUGUUGCCAACAAAAUGGGAACAGCUCCUCGUGUUGUCAAGACACAACUUUGAUGUUGUCUCUGGAGACCUUAGAAGAUAAUCAACUUGAAAGUGAAAACAAUACUGAAAAGCUUACACCGGGAAGAAAAAUUGCAGAGAAGACUUUCUUUAGGAUAAAUUCUGAGAAAGGAUCCUCAACACGUAAAGUCUGUGGAAUACCAACAUGGUUAGAGAGCUGGGAGCGAGAAGAUACAUAUGCUGCUCUCGCUGUUGUUUGCGCUGCUGCUUCAGUGGUUGUGGCCUAUACUUGCUACAAACAGUUGUAAAAUGAAGUAAUGUGUAUUCUGUGUAUUGUGCUGUUCUUACUAGACAUUGUGUCUUUGUUUCAGCUUUCGAACUCCCCUUUGUUUCAAGAGGGGUUCAUGUUAGAACUGUUUGAUAAUAUGCGUCCAAGUUCUCUAUGAUUCUACUUUCUUUCUGAGAUUCUACUUUGUAAGAUUCUUUGAAACUGUCAUUUAUGUAUAAAGAGUUCAGUUUGGGGCAAUUAUGAUUCUAACAAAGCUAAGAACUUCCAGCUUCUUUGCGUUCUAGGUAAAGACACGACUGUCUCAGAAUGAUAAAAACAUUCAGAACUUUCCAAGUAUGGCAUUGACAAAGAAUCAAAUAUUCUCACAAUUUCAAAAUACUAAACGGAUUUGCACAUUGGUGAUAACAAUUUGAUCAUCUAUUGGCAGAUUUCUUGCGGAAAGAAAAUCUCAAAAGAAAUCAAAGUCCAGAUAAUUAUUACUCUGAUCAGACUUGACACUGGUAGAUGUGGCUGCUGCUGGAGUAGCAGGAGAACUCUCAAGAUCAACCGGCUUCGGUAUCUCUGGUGGGCUUGCGCAUCGAACCAAUGCCCAAUUCACUCCUUCGAAGAAAGGGUGUUGCUUUAUCUCGGUUGCACCACGCUUAUAAGCUAAUCUAUGCUGAGGCUCCUUCACAAGCAGGCUCCUAAUCAAAUCCCUAGCAGCAAAACUGACAACUGGAGAUUCAGGGAAACGCAGAGGCUGACCCACAACGUUGAAGAGUGUUGCUCUGUUUCCAGACCCUUUGAACGGGGUUUUACCAAACAGUAGCUCGUACAGAAAGAUCCCAAAAGUCCACCAGUCAACCGCACUCCCAUGCCCUUCACCUUUGAUGAUCUCGGGAGCUAAGUAUUCAUGUGUGCCAACAAAUGACAUUGAGCGAGCGCUUGUGGGCUCAGCAAUGAGCUCAGGCAACGGACUAACCUGGUUUCCAGUUUCGUUUUUCAUUUUCUUGUCUUUCUUGGAUUUACUCGAGAAAAACCGCGGAGAAAAGCAUGUUGUAGGAGCGGAAAUGCAAGACGGUUGUUGGAUGCAAGCAGGUUGAGCACAGUAGCCUGAGUUCCUUUGCAAGGUUUCAGACACGAGAGAAGUUGAUCUGACCACUGUGGGGCUAACAGUACACCUCAAGGAGAGGUCGAAGUCAGAGAGCAUCACAUGUCCAUCAUCUCUCACAAGAACAUUCUCUGGCUUAAGAUCGCGGUAUAUGAUCCCGAGCAUAUGAAGAUAUUCCAUUGCGAGAAGUACCUCCGCUACAUAAAACCUGGAAAAGCAGAAAGUCAAGAAGAUUUAAGGCAAAAAGUGGUAUCUAGGAUGAACAACAAUGCAUUGAUUAAAAAAUUUCUACUUUGCUGCUUGUUCUGAGAAUCGCUUCCCGGGCUGUUUUUGUUUUAGGGUAUGCAAGUCACCUCCAGGGCAGAACUCCAUAACCAAACAUGAGAACUUCUCGGUCUCGAAAUGACUAUACAAAGUUGGGAGGAAAGGAUGGUCAAGACACUGCAAUAUCUCCCUCUCGGUCUGAGAUCUAAGAAGCUUUUUACGGCUAGCCAAAGCCCCUUUAUCCAUAACCUUCAUUGCAAAAUAACACCUUGUUCCGUGCAAUUCAGCAAGAUGGACAGUUCCGAUAUCCCCACACCCUAGCCUCUUCAAGAGCCUAAAAUGGUUCAAACCCAAAACACCAUGUUUCGUUCGAAUAACUUGUAUUGCUUCCCAUCUCACGUCAUUCGCCUUGUGAGGCUUGUUAUUGCUACUUAAGCUACUACAUGUGCUCUCAUCACUGAUAUCACUGCUUGUGCUUGGUCUAAAUGUGUUACUCUUUCCGCUCUCAGCAUGAUCAGACUGUUCACUAAGUUUAACUUCUCCGCUGGUUUUACUGUCACCGCUUGGAGCAAAAGACAAAGUUGAAGAUAUUUGAUCUGCCAAAGUGCUAACAGAGAUACUAUGACUGGAAUUGGAAACCGAUGCUUCCGGGGUUUUCUUAUCGCCCUUUUCCUUUCUAUAUUCUGGGAAAACUCCAGAACCAGACUUUGAGGCCAUGAACGUAUAACUAUCGACUUAGCAGCCAAGACUCAAACUGCUCUUGACUCCAGUUAUCACUGUUUUCACCGAUCCACUCAGAUAGUGACCUGAAUCUGCAUUGGGCAAUACAUAGCGCCUGUAACAGUUGUACAAGAGAAAAUUCAAAAAUGGUGACCUGAGCUCUGCAUUGUCUCAAGAGAAUAUUAUAAAGAAAAACACUUGUAACAUUGGGUCUUUAUAAAUUAUUAGAACAACCACCUUCAGAUUCUGAUAACAUAAAAUUGGGAUCGCUUAUAUAAAAAGAUCAAACAUCAAGAGGAUAAACACAUAACACUACAAAGUUGCUAUUUUUAAACAGAGGAUAAACUCAGAGCUGAGUACAUGGCUCAAUUAUUUAAGGAAUUCCAGUUGGAAUCACAAGAUGAAGCGUUAUCCAACAAAAUAAGAAAUAGCAUUGCGUCCUAAAAAUGAUGAUUUCCAUAUAGAAAGAAGGAAAUUUUAGCUUAUGGAUCUCGAGCUCAAAAUCACUGUGACAAUCACUUGAGAAAUUUACUCAUACUCAAUUCACCAUUUCCACAUCAAGAAACAAAACUCUCUGAUUCUCCAACUAACUGAACUAGCAUAAACCCUAGUGAGACAUUUCAUGCAAAGUAGAUUUAAUCCUAGGCUUGAACAGAUCUCAGAAAAGUAAGAACAAUCAAGCAAAGGUCUUGCCGAUCUAGGCAGAAACAGCCGCUAAAACCCACACAAGCAAAAGAAAAGAAAGUACGAAAUUAAGAAGAAAUACCCACAAAUCGUUACCUUAAGAGAGCUUUGGAGCAGAAGAUCUCAACACAAUUUUUGUUUUUUAAGGGAAUUAGGAAUAGAAAGAAGAAAAUGGAUAUUACAAAGGAAGAAGAGAACUUUAAUCAUGCAUCACUGAAAGGAUACUGAAGAGAACGAGGAACUAAUCAACCAACCUUCCUUCCAUGGAGAGAGAGACUCUCCCAUGAAAAGAGGGGAGAGGUGGUCAAAGCGACUUUUUUUUUUUUGGGGAUUUUAAAUUUUUUGUUUCCUUUAUGUAUUUUCUCAAAACUGGAAGACAAAGGUUCGAAGAGUGAUGCUUAUGCCCUGUAAUUUGCGAUAGUCAAAUUAUGAGCAGAAAUGUAUACUACAAAGCAUUAGAUCGUAAAGGUAAUAGAAUUUAGAAAAUCACACGUAUAUCCCGUGGAUAUUCGACUUCCAGAUUUUAACAUAAUUGCAUUUUGAAUAUCCGAUCCGUGCUCAGUCUUUAUUGUUGUCAAAAACUAGUUGAAUAACCAUCAGUAAAUACUAAUCCAUAGUCCACAAAUAUGUUGUGGCUCGUUUUUUUAUUUUUGUUUGUUUUCUUUAGUGUUUCUCUCUCGCUUGGGUUUCCCACUGGCAGCAGAAGGCCGUUUCUUCAACUCCUCAAUGGCCUCAGCCUCAUCAUCGUCAUCACUAGACACCUGAGCUCGCUCCAUUGUUUCAACCGGCUCAUCACCUUCUGAAGCCUGCUUUGCAUUGCUCAUCUUCUUUAGCUGCAAAUCGAAGAAACCAGAGAGAAAUAUCUUAUUGGUUUUGAUAUUUCAUGAAACAUUCUUCCAUCCACAUUUGAUCAUUCGCAGAUAAAAGCUACUCACAGGCUAAUAUAACCCAAGUGUAUACCUUUGCCACAAAGAAUCCGUCCAUAUUGUGUCGGUGAGGAUAGAAACGUCUAGUCUUCUCUAAAGUAUGGUGGAACCGGUGUUCUCUAAAUCUAACGAAUCUAAUGACAUGACGUAACACAUUUGUGUCAGACGAAGUCUCAAGACAUGUUCCUUUGGAGAGAUGAGAGAAUGUAUAUUACCCUGCUUGCCCAAAAUCAUGUCCACAUGGAACGAGUUUGACAUCCCUCUUUUUCAGGGCAUAGUCGAUUACAGCUUCGUUCUGCAUAAUUUUUGAUAGUAUAAAUCAAAAUAGCGACAAAGCAAGACGAUGCCAGAGAAAAAGAAAAAAAAAAAGUGGAACGAAAAAACUAUGUUAACCAACCUCGAGAAUCAUAAUUGAGCAUGUUGAGUAAACAAUAUAUCCACCGGUUUUGGAAUCGGCGUCCACCAAAUCAAUUGCAGCAAGUAUAAGUUGCUAUGUGCAACAAAAAAAAAAAGUAUGGUUAGCAAUAACAGGGUAUAAAAGGUGUUCAAGCGAUUUAAAGCCAUACCUUUUGCAAAUGAGCAAAUUUCUUUAUGUCAUCAACACUUUUAGAAGUUUUAACUGAUUCAUCUUUCGAUAUAACCUGCAUUGUGUACAAGAAGACGUUAAAUUACGAAAGGGAGCAAAAUUAAAGAGACUAUAAGAGGGCCGAAACAAAAAGAUUUCUUACUCCGGUUCCACUGCAAGGAGCAUCCAGCAAUACUCUAUCUACUGCGUUCUGACCUAAAACCUUGGGUAGCUGAAAUGAAAAGAAAAUGAGUUCAACAAAAAAUGAAAUGGGAUUAAUAGAGUUCCUUAAUACAAGUAUAGUCUUGCCAGUAACUUGAGCUCAUGGUCUACAAUCAGUUUGCAGUAUUUAUAAUCCUCAAGCAUCGAUAGAAUAAUGAACGUUCAAGAAGCUAACCUCUCUUCCAUCAUAGUUACAAACUAUGGUAUUUGUCACCCCCAUGCGAUGAAGAUUAGCAGAGAGUGACUUGAGCCUAGGUACUUUCAUCUCGUUUGCAUAUAUUAUGCCUGGUUGUAUCAUCAUUAUAACAUUAGGAUAGCCAACUAUAAAUAACAAUAUGGGGUUACGAGGAAGAAGAAACCAAUGCAAGCAUACCAGUAUUUUUCAUUAGGGCAGCGACAUAAGUUGUUUUACCACCAGGAGCAGCACUGUAAGCAGAGAGUAUAAAACCUUGUUAUAACUAUUACGUUAUACUAGCUGCGCUCUAAAGGUAAUGGAGCAUUCAAAUUUGGCUUUUCAGUUUUACUAGCAAAGAUACAACAUGAUACAACUCACAACAUGCAUUUGAAAAUCAACUUCAGAGACAACUUGGGUUCCUUUAUGAAAGAUAAUAAUAACUUACGCCAUGUCCACAACCCGCUCGUUCUCUCGAGGAGCAAGAGCCAUCACUGGCAAGAAAGAACUAGCACUUUGCAACUGCAAAUACACCAAGAACAGAUUUAAGAAAACAAUUGAAAAUACCCAUAAAGUGUAAACCGGAUUUAAAGAGAUUAAGAAGUCACGUACCAUGUAGAAACCAGCCAAAUAUUCAGGAGUUGCACCAAUUGGAACUUGUGAAUCAUAAACGACAAGUCCAACCUACGAUUUUUAUGACAUGGUUAGCUACAUAUGGUCCACAAAAAAGACUUGCCAAUCGAAAUGAAGUCAAUCUGCCAACACUACUUACUUUUGACCACUUGCCUAAUGGGUCUAGAUUAACUCCUCUAUUCAAAAGUACAUCAGCCAGGUCCCGUCUUCGAGUCUACCAAAGCAAACAUCACCAUAAUAAUGCAUAUCACAACAGCUGAGAAAUACAUAUUUCUAGACACUCCAUAGUAUAACUAACUUCACCUUAAGAGUGUUGGUACGUAUAGAUGUAGGCCUUUGCUUUUCAAAAGCUUCGAUUAGUUCCAUGAGUUCAACAGGAGGAAACAUCUGCCAAAAGAUGUGAGUGAAAGAAUUAGCUAUCUCCUACGCAUAGCUUUAGAUCAAAGAGACGAAAGUGAACGUAUAAAAGUUAAGUCAGAGACUAAACCUCAACCAGAGUUCCAAUAAGAAACUCAUUAUAGCCAUAGUAAGAAGCAAGAUCAGCUUUAAGCUGUUCAACAUAAUCCUUCCUCUCGGCUCCUUCUGGCCUCAAAUCCUUAAAAUUGGACAGCACUCUAACAACUGAAACAUAUAUUGUACCAUUAAACUAAGAACCGAGAGGGUGAUUCCUUAGGUGAUCCAAAAAGGAUCCAAAUAAUAACAUUACACCAAAAUUCUUAAUAGGAAUAAAAUUUGAAAAUGUUGCUCACUCUCUUUUAUCCUCGUCUGCAAGCUAGGAAGAUCUGGUGGCCUACGUGCCUCUUCUUCAAGUUCCUGAACAAUGUAUAAUAACAGCAAAGGUAAGAUAACUAAACUCGAAAUGCUCCACUGAUCUUCCAAAACAUACCAACCACCAAUAGCAAAUUUAAAAAAAUGUAAAAGGAAACGAAUAUUUGGCUAACGCUUACAACCCAAAUGAGCUUGAUUUGUGUCAUUUCAAAAGAGAAGCAGAAAAAGAACAAAUUCAAAAUCAAGCGUAAUCAAAUUAGUACCUUUUUGGUUGGUAGCUGAAACUCAUCAGGUUGUUCCUUAAUGUUCAUCUGGAGUUCAUCUUUUGCUUCUUGUUGCUGCCUUUUGCGAUCGUCAUCAAUAGCUUUAGAUUUCUUCACGAGAUCGGAUCCAUCAGAGUCAGAACCCAAAGGUGCAUCAUCGCUGCCAUCAAGAAAGUCGUCGGUCAAGGGCUCUGUUUUAUCAUCAUCAUCAUCACCUUCUUCUCCAUCACCAUCUGAGGAAAGCUCAGAACCUGAUUCGUCUCCUUCUUCAGACUGUUGAUUCUCUUCUUCUUCUUCCUCCUCGUCCGUAGAAGCUUGAGGCUUCUGGAGGGGCUUCUCCUCCGAAAUACCUUUCCUCUGCUUCUUCAAUGGAGGCUGCUGUGAUUUCGCCGUCUUCUUCAAUGUAGAAUGCGAAUUCUUCCGCUUAUUUAGUGGCGGAGUCUGCGACUUUGCCUGCUUCUUCUUGCUACGCGUAAGAGCAGCCAUAGCAACGGUUUACAGUUUAGGGUUUAGGUUUAUCGCGGCAAAUGUUUAGCAGAAGAAGAACUUGGUAAUGACGAAGAGGGAGACAACGUUGUUUAGUGGGCUUAUCCGUACUAACUAACUAAACUAACUAUUAACUAUUAAUGGGCCUUCGUUAAAGUUAUAAUUUGUAAGCCCACUAGAUUAUGAUCCAUCCAUUGAAGCACAUACUGUCACAUGCGCAUGGCGAUUGGCGAAUAGAAAAUUUCUGAUUAUUGUAUUGUUAGAAAAGUUCUUAUCCCAUCUAACAUAAUAUGUUGACGUAACGUGACCGAAUAGUUCAACCCGACUAUACAUCAAACGGUAAAAGAAUAUGAGUUUAAUUUAGACCUAAUGUGAAGAAUGAACACCGGUUUUACCCGAGCAUUUGACUCUUUCUCAUUAGACACUUGUCACUCAAUUUCUAUCAUUCUUCUCACACCAGAAUCAUUCUAAGCAUCUGGAAAUCUCCAUUUUUGUUUAUUUUGUCUUAUCUCACAGCUAAUAGAUUACACUCCAGAUAACCAGCUAACAAUGAUGCGAGCAAAGCAAAGAAGAUAAAUCUAGUAAACGGGACUAAGCCUUUAGAGCUACUUGGAAUGACUAGAACUUCAAUAAGAACUUCAAUACAAAGUAAAAUUGUAUUCUGACCGACUCUUUUUUUUUUCUUUUUUGGUAAAUAUAUAUUGAAAAUAAAAAACCACAAAACCAAUCAAGAGUAUUCAUCAAUAUAGAUCACGCUUAAUUCUUGAUCCGAAAUCCACCACUAAGAUAUAUACUCUGGCUGAUUAAAAGUGACUAAAAUGCUAGCUAUAUUGACCUAAACGUCGUUGAGACUCAACAUGUUUAAUGGAGAGCGUAAUGGCGUUUAAUAAUGUCAAUGUGGUUUUAAUUUCGGCCACUUAUAAGCACUUCGCAUAUGUGUAUUAGUAUAUCCUGGUUAUAGCUAAGUUAAUUUAUGUAGUAUUCGUGUAGAGGUUGCCAUAUUUCUUGCAUUUAUAAUUGAGUCUCUGUCCCCCUCGAGUAGACUUCACAACAAAUUAUUUAUGCAUGCUGCGUCGUUACAAAUGCAUGCAUGAGUAAGUUGAUAAAAGCCUUCUAAAACUGAAUUCACGUAAUUUUCUAAAAUAAGUUUUCUAAUGACUUUCUUUGUUCAAAUUAAGUUUUAACUAGCUAAUGCGAUUUCUCCUGGUGAAUUCAAAUUUUUAAUUAAGAUCUUUAUAUGCACUUUCUUCUUUAAAAACAUGAAUUAACACGAAUUGUCUUUUGAUGAAUUCAAAUCUCGAUUGUAAUUAAUAGUGAGUAAUUUGUCAGGCUGGAAAAAGUUGUAAAAUUGUUGUAUUAGAAAUUAUCAUUUUGCAGGAUAUCUAUUACAAAUUAACUAAAUAUCAUAGACGUUGACAUGGAACGGAUUGAAUAAGACAGUGGUUACAUAGAAACAGAAAAUGGUGAGUAAAACUGGAAGGGGAAACAUGUGUUUCAAAUCGUAUAACGGACAGAUUAUGGAACGAUGAUGCAUAUUGGUAAUACAAACAAUGAUACAAUUGUGACUAGCUAUGAAAGUUAAACAUCUAAACCGCCAACUAAACUAAAGCUUAAAAAUCACUGAAAUGAAUAGAAAACAACUUAAAUAGAAUUAAUACAUAUUAACUGUAUAAUUUUAGUAUUUUCUAUGUAAAUCUGCUGCCACGUUUAUCAAAAUAAUUAAUUACAACUUUAUUUAUCUUUUUAUACGGUAUUAAUUGCAGUUUUAUUUAUCUAUAUAGUUUGAUGAAAUAAAAUAAAACAGGUCGAACCGAAACAACUCCGAUUAUGACGCGCGUCAUACAUACAAAAUAAUCCGAGUCAAAUUCGGGGGAUGGAUGAAGCGGUGCCAGCAAGUAUUCCCACCGAACCCGAACCGAGUUUUAUGAUACAUUCGUCAGUCUACAAUACGUAGCUAACUUCCAAAACAUUCUCUCUACUCCAUUUAAUUAUAUAUAUAUAUAUAUAUAUAUGUAGAGAUAACUUUGUAAAUUGUAACUAUCGCUAAAAUUUUGUAUCAGCUGCUGGAAGUGGUCGCCAAUUGAAUUGCAACUCUUACCUCACAAAUUGUCAGUUCCAGUUACUUUUUAUUUUUAUUUUUUGUCUCAAACAUCGGUUACUUUAUUAAUUCAUUAUUGGAAUGCUCAAUUUCAUUUUGUAUUUUACUGUCUAUCCCAAUAGUUUACUUAAUUUGAAUGAAAGUAAAUAGGGAGAAUAGUAUAUAUGUAAUCAAAUAAUACUAUCUUUGAAUUUUUUCUUUUUGUUCUGUAAUUCCCAUAAUUAUAUAGUAUAACGUUCUCUUCUACAGAACUGAUUUUUGUUUUCUUUUUAAUCAAAGCUAUAGAACGAAAACAAAAAUCACAGCUAUAGACUGUUGAUCAAUCAGUGCUAUAGUUACUAUAUUUAGUAUCUGUUUAUUCUUUUGGCUAAAGUAGCUGUUUGACUAAGUUACUAAAUGUAGAAAUCCAGCUACCUUUAUGCUCCAACUCGAAAAUUAAAGAUUUCACGACUUUCGACCCCGAAGUUAAGACAUUUUUUUUUCUUUUACCGAAACAGGCUACAGCCUUUAGUUUCAAUGAAUCAAGAUAUUUGUAGAUUUUUAAAGGGUAUAUAAAUAAUUUCAUAUAUAUAGAAAUAAAACAACGUACGUCUUCACUCUGCAUAUUAGAGAAUAGACAAAUCUCAAAAGUGUUUUCUAUAAUAUUACUCCAUCCUUUCUCAAAAAUAUCUUACCAAAAAUAGAAGUUUAAGUUUUUCUUCAUCUACCGAGUUUUCCUGGAGAAUCCGAAGAGAAAAUUUCUUCUAAUGCCAAGUCAUUAACACAGGUCGGUUUGCAAGAAAAUAGUCUCGUUUUUUUCAUUUCCGGUCAUCCUCACCGGAGCCGACGUAAAAUUCCGAUAAUUUUUCGUGGAGGAAGAUAGAAAAUGGUUAGCUCUCUCGAAGUCACAGGACCUGUGUCCAAGCUCCCGGAGCAGAAGUUUGAGUCCAACAUCGACAUAGCCGGUAAAUCAAACUCUGUUCUGUUUCCGUCAAUUUUGGUUCGGUUCGGUUUGAUCCUUAUUUCUACGGCUAUGGCAGAAUAUUACUGAUAUUUGACUUGCAUAAAUUCUGGAUUAAUUAAUAUAAAGCACACAAGUCUGUAUUAGUUAAUAGUUAUUAAACAAUUUCGAAUGGUUAUAAUUAAACCGAAUUUUACCAGGUGAAGAUGAAGUAGGCGAGGAGGAAAACGACAAUCCAAUAGAAGAAGUCCGGUUAACCGUACCGAUAACCGAUGAUCCGUCUCAACCGGUCUUAACAUUCCGAACAUGGUUCUUAGGAACGGUAUCGUGCGUGGUACUCGCGUUCGUGAACCAAUUCUUCGGUUACCGGUCGAACCAGCUCAUGGUGUCUUCAGUCCUGGCACAGAUCGUCACUCUCCCACUAGGUAAGCUCAUGGCCACGACUCUCCCCACGACGCAAUUCCGGUUACCGGGUACAAAUUGGUCCGGUUCGUUGAAUCCCGGACCAUUCAACAUGAAAGAACAUGUGUUGAUCACUAUAUUCGCUAGUACCGGAGCCGGAGGAGCUUAUGCGACCAGCAUCAUAACCAUCGUUAAAGUAUUUUAUCACCGGAAUCUCAAUCCCACCGCCGCCAUGUUGCUGCUGCAAACCACUCAGGUAUGUAUAUAUAUAAUAAUUCCAAAAUUAAAUCUUUAGAUUAACUGGUUUUUAAUCUAUACACGUUACAAAGUUUAUUUUAUAUUUAUUAUUUUAUUUAUCUUGUUAUAUACAUUAGUUGUUGGGUUACGGAUGGGCGGGAAUGUUCAGGAAAUUCUUGGUGGACUCUCCAUACAUGUGGUGGCCUUCAAAUCUUGUUCAAGUCUCUCUCUUUAGGUUCGUUUAUCUUCUUCAAUUAAAGAUUUACAUAUUUUAGUGCCCAAAUCUUGGAAUGGCAUAAUACCAUUUUCUCUUCUUGAACUCUAAUCAUUUGGUUACAUUUUGACUGUGAAAUUGUGUGGAAUAUAGAGCAUUACAUGAGAAGGAGGAGAAGCGUGAAGGCAAACAAACGAGGCUUAGAUUCUUCCUAAUAGUCUUCUUCGUGAGCUUUGCUUACUACAUAAUCCCUGGCUAUAUUUUCCCUUCAAUCUCAUCACUCUCCUUCGUCUGCUGGAUAUGGACUCGCUCCGUGACAGCUCAACAGAUCGGUUCAGGCCUGCAAGGUCUCGGGGUUGGCUCCAUCGGUCUUGACUGGUCCACCGUCGCAGGUUUCUUAGGCAGUCCUUUAGCAGUACCGUUCUUCGCUAUAGCUAACUUUUUUGGCGGAUUCUUCAUCUACUUCUAUAUCAUUCUUCCUAUCUUCUACUGGAGCAACGCUUACGAGGCAAAGAAGUUUCCUUUCUUUACCUCUCACACAUUUGAUCACACCGGUCAACUUUUCAACACCACUCGUAUCCUCAACCAUAAAACUUUUGAUAUCAAUCUUCCCGCUUACGAAAGCUAUAGCAAGCUUUACGUUAGCGUUAUGUUUGCUCUCAUCUAUGGACUCAGCUUUGGUACUCUUACCUCAACCAUUUCUCACGUCGCCCUCUUUGACGGAAAGUAAGAAUCUUUCUACUCUGUGUCUCAAAAUAUUGAAUCUUUUUACCUCUACCAUUUCUUGUUGUUUCCUUGAAGGUUUAUCUGGGGGAUGUGGAAGAAGUCGACAUUAGCGACAAAGGACAAGUUAGGAGAUGUGCAUACAAGACUGAUGAAGAAGAACUAUAAGGAAGUACCUCAAUGGUGGUUCAUUGCGGUUCUCAUUGUUUCCUUUGUGCUAGCUCUUUACGCAUGUGAAGGAUUUGGCAAACAGCUUCAGCUUCCAUGGUGGGGACUUGUACUCGCAUGUGCCAUUGCCUUUACCUUCACUUUGCCUAUCGGAGUCAUCCAAGCGACUACAAACCAGCAAAUGGGUCUUAACGUUAUAACGGAACUCAUCAUUGGGUACUUAUACCCGGGAAAGCCACUUGCCAAUGUGUCUUUCAAGACUUACGGCUACAUGAGUAUGUCCCAAGCCUUGUACUUUGUUGGAGACUUCAAACUUGGCCACUACAUGAAGAUUCCUCCGAGAUCUAUGUUCCUUGUUCAGCUUGUUGCGACUAUGGUUGCGUCAACUGUCUGCUUUGGUACCACAUGGUGGCUUCUUUCUUCAAUCGAGAACAUCUGUAACACAGAUAAGCUCCCAAAGAGUAGCCCUUGGACUUGCCCUGGUGACGAAGUGUUCUACAAUGCAUCGAUCAUUUGGGGAGUCAUUGGUCCUGGAAGGAUGUUCACAAGCAGAGGUAUAUACCCAGGGAUGAACUGGUUCUUCCUCAUUGGCUUACUUGCUCCUGUCCCGGUCUGGUUCUUUGCAAGGAAAUUCCCGGAGAAGAAGUGGAUAAAGCAGGUUCAUAUUCCCUUGAUCUUCUCAGCGGCUGGCGCAAUGCCAAAGGCCAAGGCUGUGCAUUACUGGUCGUGGGUCAUUGUUGGGGUCAUCUUCAACUACUAUAUCUUCAAGAGGUACAAAGCAUGGUGGGCAAGACAUAACUACAUUCUCUCUGCAGCUCUUGAUGCAGGCACUGCGAUCAUGGGAGUGUUGAUCUACUUUGUGUUACAGAACAACAACAUAAGUUUUCCAAACUGGUGGGGGAGUGAGAACACAGACCAUUGCCCUUUGGCGCAUUGCCCGACAGAGAGAGGGAUUGUUGUUCAGGGCUGCCCGGUGUUCUGAAGAGACUUUGCUCUGGAGUUUCUCUGACGUGAAGGUGAGUGACGGUUUCUGCCAAAUGUUUUGGUGAUCAUAAUAAUAUUGUGGAAAGACUGUAUUUGUGAGCGUUAGAAGAAAGGAACUCAAACAAUGUAAGAAAUGAUUUAGAAUAUGUUUGAAAUAAGCUUGACUCCGGAUUGUUUAAGCAUGCAUCUUGCAAGUUAAGAACAGCCAAAAAUCAUAGCUUUUAACUCAAAGUUCAUCAACUGAACUUGAACUUGGUAUUGAGAGAGAGAUAGAAGAAAAUGGAUCACAAGAUAUUAUUUCACUUAUCAAAAGUACACAGUGUAUGAAGACAAAUUAAAGUUGAGUACUUUGAGCGCUUUUGCUCUGUUUCUACUUUCUAGAGCCGGAAAAACUCUUAAACAAGAUUCUAUAACUUCCAAAAAAGAGUCUCCAAGAGGUUACCAAUGGAGAAUGAUGAUGAAGAGCAGAAGUAUGUUUAGCUAUCAUCAAUUGGAGAUAGUGAAAGUUUGAGGCAGUCCCUGCAAUUAAAUUAGAGGACUGUGAUUAGAAAUGAUACACUACAAUCUUGUACAUUAAAGGUGUUGCUUUAACAAUUUAUGCAACUCGCUUACUUGCUUGGUAACAUAACCAACGAGAUGAUCAUGUAAAUCUUAAAUAAUAAUUACCUCUAAAUGGCAGAAUUGAAUUUUUUUUUUCAUGAUUAUAGCACAAGUAUUAAUAAUAUUUUAAAAAUUUAUCUAAUCCAAAAAAAUAUUUGCGUUUGCGUAGAGGAGAGAGGGAGAGAGGGAGAGAGGGAGAGAGGGAGUUUUCUCUAAAAAAGGAGAAACGGUUAAAAACAGCGGUUGCUGUCGGAGGAUUGCUUGCUUACAAGGCAAAAACUCAAGGUUGUUGUUAGGUUUAUAGGCCAACGGUUAUCUUCUUCUUCUCUGCUUCUGAUUCUUCACAUCUAAGCAAAAAUCCAUUUCUGGUUGAUUCUUCGUCGCCAUCCCAACUCCACCAACUUCACCUUCUCUGAAAAUUAUCUCUACACCAUCCUUUCUUUUUAUUAUUCUCAUCUGUUGCAUGCUUUAAUCGUUUCCUCACCACAUCAAAACGUGCUAGCUCCAUCUGGGUUUUCAAUUUCAUAACAACACAAAACCUUUUUCUGAGAUCUUAUCGUUUGUUCAUAGCUUUUGGGUAAUUUCCUCUGUUUCCUCCCUCUCUUCGAGGUUGAGAAUUUCUUUACACUGUACAUUUUAAUUGCAGUUUCAAGAGUUUUCGUUACUUUAUAGCUCCAGCUUAAGCCAGUACUGUUUAGAGUCUAGGUGUGUAAUCCUUUACUCUGUUCUUCUCAGGUCCUAAGAGAGAUCAAAUCAAACUCUCUGAUUCUUUUGGCCUGAAACUUCCGAUAUGUGUACCCGUUAUUCCACUCAGUUGCAAUCAUCAGCCAUAACAUCCAUCACCGUCUCAUCAUCUUCUUCCUUAGAUUCCACGACACGGGAUGAUAACAAUCACAUGGCUACAGUUUCCAACACUCGAGAUAACUCCCCAUUGUCGUUCUUGACGAGACUAGCCAUGAGAGUAUCUAGAGCAAGGUGGUUCAUUUUCUUGAGAAGAGUGUUUCAUUACCAGAACGGCUCAAGAUCCGAUCUUGGCACCAACCCUUUCGAUUCAGUCACUUGGAUGAUAUCAGAGCUCAUCGCUUUACUUGUACAGAUCACUGUGAUAACAAUCACACUAGCUUUGUCCAAAAACGAGCGCCCUAUUUGGCCUGUGAGGCUCUGGAUCACCGGCUACAACGUUGGAUGUCUGCUUAAUCUUAUGCUAUUAUAUGGUCGAUAUCAUCAGCAAGACCACAGAAAUGGGUUUAGCUUCGGAGAUAUUGAGCAGCAACAGAGAAGCAGAGAAGAGACAAGGUUACUAGCAAAGAUUUCUUUUUUUACGGUUCCAAGAUAGAUCAUAGAACAUUGACAGAUUCUUUAUGUGUGUGUUUCAGGUGCUCACAUUUAAUGAACAGAUGCCGAACAUCGCUGGAGCUUUUCUUUGCGAUAUGGUUUGUGGUAGGUAACGUAUGGGUGUUUGAUUCUCGGUUUGGUUCUUUCCACUAUGCUCCAAACCUCCAUGUCCUCUGCAUCUCCUUGCUCGCUUGGAACGCUCUCUGCUACUCGUUCCCAUUUCUUCUCUUCCUCCUGCUUUGUUGUGUUGUGCCUCUCAUUAGUAGCUUCCUCGGCUACAACAUGAACAUUGGAUCUUCAGAAAAAGGAGCUUCAGACGACCAAAUCUCCAGUCUCCCCAGUUGGAAGUACAAACUCAUUGAUGAAACCUCUGGUUCUGAUUCUGCUCAAGCAAGCAAUGAUCCGGUAAAGCUCUUAUCUGAAUUCUGAAAUAGUCAAAAUAGUCAUUUGAUAAAGUUACAGAUUACACAAAACGGGAAUGGAAUUGAGUUUUUGAAUGUGUUGGAACUUUUUGCAGGAAUGUUGCAUAUGUUUGGCAAAGUACAAAGAGAAAGAAGAAGUGAGAAAGCUUCCAUGUUCGCAUAGGUUUCACCUGAAAUGCGUAGAUCAAUGGCUUCGUAUUAUCUCGUCUUGUCCUCUCUGCAAACAAGAUCUCCCCAACUAAACGAGACACGAGUCACAAAGAUUGAAUACCUGACCAAGUUUCCAUACUAUUGUUGUUCUUUUCUUACGUUUUUGAUUUUUUUUUCCUGUUGUCGUCGAUACACGGUUACUUGUGUGAGUAGUCAUUUUUUUUCUUUCCAUGUACAAAAGAGCUCACCAGUAACCGUAACUAUACAUAAAAAACAACAUAAAAAUUUACUAAAUCAAAAAACAUGAUCUAUGUGUUGCUUACCGAUAUAGUUUGUUCCUUAUUUACAGUCAAAUAAAACGUAUAUUUAAAGCAGUUUUGGUGGCUUUAUACUGUAAUUUGUUAGAAUAUUUGCAAGAAUUUCGUGUUUUCAGAUUCCUUUUUGGAUGUUAAGUUGAUCUUCUUAAACCGAUUUCAUGAUCAAACUAUGCAACAGUCAAGAGGAGACGGAUCAAUGUCGUAUAGAAGGAUGAAACGGCGACGUUGGAGACAGCGCAUAAAUGGUCUUAGACGACGUGUGAAAGUGAAUGUAACAAGCUGUUUUAUGAUUUUUAUCAGUCCUUGUAUCAACCAUCCAGUAAAUUAAAAAAAAAUUAAAAUAAAAGAUAUAGCUCAUUGGCCAACAAACAAAUAUUCUUGUUUUCCUUUUUUUCUUUUAUUUCGGAAACAUUUUGGUCUCUUUUUUUUUUUGAUUUUUGCAUUCUUCUAUCGUCGGGCUUUUCUCUCACUUACCAAUAGAGCUCUUUUGUUUGUUUGUUUGUUUGGCGUCUUCACCGCAACCACCGCCAGCUUCAACCGCCGGAGCCGCCGUAAGGAAGGCUCUUCAUCGGCCGUUGCGUAAGGCUUUUUUCUCUUCUCCCUUGUCUACGAUUUCGCGGUCGGUCGCUUUCUCGUAAUCUCGUGUGUUUCCCGGGAAAAUCGUGAUGGGGGAAUUUUAUUUUUUUUAUUAUAAAGUUUGAGAUUGAGAAUCAAGCAACUGAUUAAUCAAUUCGUAUUCGCAAGCGGAUAGAUCCUUUUGAUGAUUUCAAGUUAUAUAAGGAGAUUCGUCCCUUCCCUCUAAGUUGUUGUAUCUGAAUCGGAAAAUUUGGAAUCUAACUAGCUGGAUCGCGCUUUUCUCAUUUCUCCGUAGUUUAAUCACUUCUAUGUUCCAUUUCACGUCUUGAUUCAGGUCUCGAUCCUCAGGAUUAUAUUUUUGUAAGAUUGAAUCGUUUGGGUAGCUUUGUCCGUUCCUCACGAUGCAUUUCUGACGUGAAAAUUGGGUGUUUUUGAUUCCUCAAUUUAAUCCUAGCUAAUGUAUUUUUUUGGGCUGUUUCUUAAUUUUGGGUGUGGUUUUCUUGCUUAAACUAUGCUUGUUCCAUGAGUAUGAUGUUUUAACAAGAGAAGAAUACAUUGGUUAAUCUGGAAAUGGUUCUUGGACAUUAGAUUACUCAAAAAGGUUAAGAUUUUUUAGGAUGUGUAUCUGAUGGCCUUAGUUUACUUCAGAUCUGAAAAUGAGGGAUCUUGUUUGCUCCUGUCAAUCUUCUUAAACUGUUUUGGAAUUUUGUUGGUUUUGAUGAGCUAAAGAUAAAUGACUACAUUCCAUUUUAUUCCUUUUCCAUGGCAGAUACUUUUAAGGUCUUCAAAGCGUUGUCUUUCUUACGAACCAGGAAAUGGUUAAAAGGUACAUAUCUUGUUCAUAUGCGUAUUGUAUUGUCUUUAGUUUCUUUCAAGUUGUUCGACAGUUCUUACAUUUUUUUGUUUGGGGUUAUAUAACAGGCAUGGAGGGUUUUGAUUUACUAGAGAUAUCAUGUCGCAGUGCGUAGACGGUUUCAAGCAUGCGUGCACUUCUCUUUUACAGUGUUUUGAUAUUGAUAUAUACAAACAAUCUGGAGGCCUUGGAGACCCUGAACUACUUGCGAGAGAGACAGUUUGUAUGCUCUCAGCUUCUUUUCCAUCUUCUUUCAGCUUCCAUGCACUUGUUUUUGUUCAGUUAUAUGAUUCAAAGGCACGCUAUUCCUCUAGUUGAUGCUCUCUGUUAAGAGGAGUGCGAAUCUUUCUUCUGGCUUUUUUGAUGAUUGAGUCGUUUGGAUGCAGUUAGCGUGAGUGAAAUAGAGGCUCUCUAUGAGCUGUUUAAGAAAAUCAGCAGUGCUGUGAUUGAUGAUGGGCUGAUAAACAAGGUCUGCAGGAUUUAUUUGUCCUUUUCUUUUGCCACAAACUUAUACUCCUCACGCAUAUUGCUACUUCUUUUGGACAGUCUUUCUGAUUUUCGUUCUCUUAUCAGGAAGAGUUUCAACUAGCCUUAUUCAAGACAAAUAAAAAAGAGAGCUUGUUCGCAGACCGGGUAUGUUUCUUUUUCACCAAAAAGUCUUUGUAAUCCAUUUGCUAAGGAUAUGCUGACAUCCCAAGUCACAGGUAUUCGAUUUGUUCGACACAAAGCAUAAUGGAAUAUUGGGGUUUGAGGAGUUUGCGCGUGCUCUCUCCGUCUUUCAUCCAAAUGCUCCCAUAGAAGACAAGAUUGACUGUACGUAUCUGAUCUAUCACAAUUAUCGGAUGUUCACAUGAUAUGUGUGUAUAAUCCAUGAUAGCUCAUUCAUCUCUGCCUGGAAUAUUAUUUUACAGUUUCGUUUCAGCUAUAUGAUCUUAAGCAGCAAGGUUUUAUAGAGAGGCAGGAGGUAAAGCUCCUAUAAUAUCUCUUCAAUAGCCUCACUCAAACUGUAAAGAUCAUGUAUGCCUAAAUUUCUUAUCACUAUUCAGGUGAAGCAAAUGGUGGUGGCUACUCUUGCUGAGUCCGGCAUGAACCUGUCAGACGAAAUCAUAGAGAGUAUAAUCGACAAGGUGUGCUUUCCUUUAUCCGCUCGAGUCUAUUCUCUGGUUCCACUGUACUAUUUUACAACUCAUGUAAGUAGUUGAGAGUGAAGUAAAGAGUUAAUUCUGAGUUUCUGUGGCAGACAUUUGAGGAAGCUGACACAAAACAUGACGGAAGGAUCGAUAAGGAAGAGUGGAGGACCCUUGUUCUUAGGCAUCCUUCGCUUCUGAAGAACAUGACUCUCCAAUAUCUCAAGUGAGUUCCUAAACCAAGACCAAACCGAGAGGUUUUAGCCAAUUUUUCUGAAUCGCAUAUUAUUAAAACCGAUCUCUCAUAUUGCGUGCAGGGAUAUCACGACUACGUUUCCGAGCUUUGUGUUUCACUCGCAGGUGGAAGAUACCUGAGAAAAGCAUGGUAGAGCAGACAAUUUGGCAAUUGUGUUUGUUUUCUGAGUUAUGUAUCAUGUUUAUUUGUUUCGAUCUCUCUAAACUCCAAUUUUCAAGAUUUUGUUGUUUGCUCUGUGAAAAAAAUAAUAAUUAUAAGUUUAUAACAAAGCUGUAUUUUUGAUUUUUGACUGUUCCUGAUUUGAAUUUAUGUUUUCUCCUCCUCGCAUCUGUCUACUGUUACUCUGAUGUGCUCUGAUGUUAUUGCCAACAUCAUGGGUAUAUGAUCGGUUACUACUUUAUAGGGUAAGACUUUCAGCAAACAAAUACAAUUCACUCUACAUCCCAUCAGCAAUCAAAACGAAAACCAAUGAAGAUGAUUUCUUCUUCAAUUAAGAGUGACACAGAAGAAAACUAAAUGUGGGAAAAUGUUACCCAAGAAACACAUGAUUGAUUGGCAGAUUUAUAUGAUUCCGGUUGUACACAUCUUAGCGACAAUUAUUAGUUUAGAUCAAUUAGCUAGUCCCAAAGAUAUCAGAAACCGAUCAAGGCAAAUUAUAAGCCACAUUUAACUAUAUUUAAGCCGCUUAUACGGUCAUAUGAACCAAAACAAGGACAAAAACUAGUAGAAUUCCACAGGAAUCUAGUUCGUUGCAGAUAUGAUAAAAGUCAUUAAAAAAAAAACGAGUUCAAGAGGCCGAGAAGAAAACACCCACAAAAUACUAGUUCAAUAAACAAAAAGAAAAAAACUGAUGAUAGAGAAAAAAGAGAGAGAGUCGCUCGGGCCUGCUUCAACUACUACUUCUGGAUUGGUGGCUUAGUCGACUUCCUCCAUCUUGCUUCCUUCAGCCUCAGCGUCAUCUUCAAGCGGUGGCAUGUCAGCAUCAGCUUCGCCUUCACCUGCAUCAUCGUCAAUGCUCAGUCCGAGCUUAAGCAUCCUGUGGAUUCUGUUUCCGAAGGUGUUCGGCUCGUCAAGGCUGAAUCCAGAGGUGAGCAGAGCAGUCUCGAAGAGGAGGAGGACAAGAUCCUUGACGGACUUGUCGUUCUUGUCUGCAUCAGCUCUCUUCCUCAACUCAUCCAUAAUCGAGUUCUCUGGGUUGAUUUCCAUCGUCUUCUUGCUUGACAUGUAACCAGCCAUGCUGCUAUCUCUCAACGCCUGAGCCUUCAUGAUUCUCUCCAUGUUAGCAGUCCAACCAUACUCUCCGGUGACGAGACAACACGGUGAGUCAACAACACGGUCAGAGACAAUGACCUUCUCGACCUUGUCUCCCAAAACAUCCUUGAUCACCUUGCAAAGACCCUCGAACUUCUCCUUGAGUUCUUCCUUCUUUUUCUUCUCGUCUUCAGUCUCCUCGAGCUUCAAACCUUCCUUGGUGGCAGAGACCAGCUUCUUUCCCUCAAACUCCUUAAGCUGACCAAUGGCAUACUCAUCAAUGGCGUCGACCAUGUAAAGGACUUCAUAACCCUUCUUCUUGAGCUUCUCAAGGAAAGGAGAGUUCUCUACAGCCUUCUUGCUCUCACCAGUGAUGUAGUAGAUGUCGUUUUGUCCUUCCUUCAUCCUGGUCACGUAAUCCUUAAGACUGGUCAACUCAUCUCCGCUCUUGGUGGAGUGGUAACGGAGCAACUCUGCAAUCUUGGUCCUGUUCUGAGAGUCCUCGUGGAUUCCGAGCUUCAGGUUCUUGGAGAAAGCCUCGUAGAACUUGUUGUAGUCUUCCUUGUUCUCGGCAAUCUCAAAGAAGAGCUCAAUACACUUCUUCACAAGGUUCUUGCGGAUCACCUUCAGGAUCUUGUUCUGCUGGAGAGUUUCUCUUGAGAUGUUGAGAGGAAGGUCCUCAGAGUCGACAAUACCCUUCACAAAUCCAAGGUAUUCAGGAAUGAUCUCUUCACAGUUGUCCAUGAUGAAGACACGGCGAACGUACAGCUUGAUGUUGUUGGGCUUCUUCUUUGUGUCAAACAGGUCGAAUGGAGCUCUCUUGGGGACAAACAGAACUGCCUUGAACUCAAGCUGACCUUCCACAGAGAAGUGCUUGACUGCCAAAUGCUCCUCCCAAUCAUUGCUGAGGCUCUUGUAGAAGGCAGCGUAUUCCUCCUUGUUGAUCUCCUCGGGUUUCCUCAUCCAGAUUGGCUUCUGCUUGUUGACAAGAUCAAACUCGUGAGAUACUUCCUUGAUCUUCUUCUUUUUCUUCUCCUCCUUUUCUUUCUCUUCGUCUACUUCCUCAACCUUGCCUUCCUCAUCUUUCUUCUCUUCCUCCUCUUCAUCAUCUGAGAUCUCCUUCUCAAUGGUCUUCUCAACCCAAAGAGAGAUCGGGUAGCUGAUGAACUCGGAGUGCUUUUUGACCAAAUCCUUAAGACGGCGCUCUUCAAGGUAUUCCAAUUGGUCUUCCUUGAGGUAAAGAGUCAUCUUGGUACCCCUACCAAGGACCUCACCAGAGGUAUCCCUGGUCACAGUGAAGGAACCUCCGGCCUGGGACUCCCACACAUACUGCUCGUCAUCGUUGUGCUUUGUGACGACAACAACCUUCUCGGCCACCAAGUAAGCUGAGUAGAAACCAACACCGAAUUGUCCAAUCAUACUGACAUCGGCACCAGCAGCCAAUGCCUCCAUGAAUUCCUUGGUGCCAGACCUGGCAAUUGUACCGAGGUUGUUGACCAAAUCUGUAAAAAAGAACAAUGAAGCAUCAGCAAAUACAGUAUAAGCUUAGAUCAAACAGUAGAAACAGCGAAGCAAAGUUAACAUCUCAUCUCCAUAAUAAUACUUACCAGCCUUGGUCAUUCCAAUACCACUGUCGAUAAUGGUCAAGGUGUUGUUGCUCUUGUCCGGGAUGAUGUGAAUGAAGAGUUCUGGCUGGCCAUCGAGCUUGCUCUUGUCUGUCAAAGACUCGAAUCUAAUCUUGUCCAAAGCCUAUUCAACAGAAAAGAUAAAAAUAUCAGAUACUCUUGCUUGACGUUAAGCUUACAAGAUUAAAGCAACAAACUCAUAUAAUGCACUCUUAUGACAGCAACACGCUGAAAAACAAACCCCAAAUUACGAUGCAACAGGUCUCAAACUUAUCUAGAUUCGAAAAAUCUCAAUCGGCCAAAAAAUAAACCAACCAAACAAAUAAAAAGAUAGAUGACAAUAAACGAAAGAACACACAAUGCCCGAUAAAUCAUAAUCCCAAGUUCCGAACAUUCAACAAUCAAACUUGCUACAGAUUAGUAAGUGGCAUGUCCAAUCAAAACUCAUCUACUUCACUAAGUGCCAUUCCCAAUCAAAAUUCAUCAAUGGAUCUACUCGUGAAACAAAACAGAACAACUAACACGAAACAAAGAAACGCCUAAUAGCAAUAGAGAAAGAGAAAGGGAGAGAGAGACGCACAUCGGAGGAGUUACUGAUGAGCUCACGAAGGAAGAUCUCCUUGUUGCUGUAGAAGGUGUUGAUGAUAAGGGAGAGAAGCUGGUUGAUCUCAGCCUGGAAGGCAAACGUCUCGGUGUCCGACAUCACGAUCCCGGAGCUAGUUAGGAUUGUUACGCUUCGGAAGGCGAAGAAACAGACGGAGGAAAACGAAAACUAGGGUUUAUACUCGAUUGGAAAAAGAGCGAGGCUGCUCAGUGAAGGAGGAACAAUGUUUAUAUAGUGGGUAUUGUAGGGUUUCUAGAUCCUUCCACCAAAACUGGAAAUGAAAAACAAGAAAAAAAAAAUGUAAGUUCUUUUUUUUUGGGUCGAAAAAAGUAAAAGCCUUCAAGCGCGUGAUAUUAUUUCACAACGAAAAUUCCUGAUUUAUGGCAGUGCGGGUCCCACAAGCCCGCAAGUUUUAACGGUGGAUUGCUCCGUAGAUAAUCUCUCUCUCACUCUGUGUGCUGCUCAAAGACCCCCAAAAAAUCUGGCGCCUCUUCUUAUCCAGAAUCUAGAGAAGAAGAAAACGAUUGACGACGACGCCGAUGGCUUUGGAGAUUGCUCAACUUUUCGUCGGAUCAUCCAUUAAAUUAAGGUUGGAUUCUCAAUUUCGGUAAACGCAUUUUUUACCCUUGAUCCGAGUGAAAAAAUGUCGCUUGAGAUUGAAUUUCCAUUAGCAGCGUGGCGGGAAAAUCUAGGAGCGGCGUUUCUGGGAUCACUCGUGGUGGAUUAUCGUCGAUUUCGGCCGUACAUCUGCCCAGAAGGAUGUUUAUGCAGCUCGCUGGUUUGGGUUCGGUCUUGACGCUUCUGGAUUUUCCUGGUUUAGCGGCGCCAGUUCCUGAUAUGAAGGAACCUGAAGUGAUCAGGUAAAAAUGUUCUUCUCUGAGCUAUUUAGUUUCUCUUUGAUCUGGAUUUUGAAUGUUGAAAAGCGUUCGUACCUCAAUGGAAACUGUAGACGCUCGCAUUGACGAAUUUGUCAUCUUGGGUGAAUGUUCGUAUGAUUAUGGCAUAUUUCAUGGUGUUGAGCUCACAAGCAACUAUAGUCUAUACAUUACCAGGAAAUUUCAAUUAGACCAUGAAUUGCAAUACUUUAUGGCUUACUGCUCAAUGUGUGUCAUCAUUGCUUGAGAACCAAUGUGUGUAAUAAGGAAGAUGAGAAGAUUUAAUUUUCCAAUAUGAUUGCUCCCUGGAGUCAGUUCCUCAUUCUAGGUUUUUUUUCCUUUUGGUUGGUGAUCGAAGUGUCCAGGACGUUGAAGCUCCCGAGUGGUGUGAGGAUUCAAGGUAUACAUGCUUUCCCAAGAAUCCUGUUUGUUCUUGUUUAGUUGAUAAUAAUUAUGAACAGCUUAGAAACAUCCAGAGACUUGGUUACAUUAUGUGAGUUAGUUUUAAUUUGUUACUCAUUGAAGUUCUUUCUCAAUUCUUAGAGAUUCUUGAAGGGGAAGGACGAGAAGCUCAUGAAGGGGACCUUGUUGAACUAAACUAUGUAUGUCGACGUGCAAAUGGAUAUUUCGUUCAUAGGUGAGAUUUCAUGCCAAACUUCAAAUGCCUUGAUAGUUUCUUUCACUCAAUUUUGGAUGCCUUUUUUUCCUCUCUGACUCUCAUUGUUUCUUGAUUCAGCACUGUGGAUCAAUUCAGCGGCGAAAGUGCUCCUGUCAAACUUUUUCUUGACGACAAUGACGUAAUUAUAUCUCGCACUCAACACUACAUGUAGCAUAGCGAUCCAAUCAUGGCCCGUACUAACGAACUUCUUGGCACAACAACAGGUCAUUGAGGGUUUGAAGGAAGUCUUGUUGGGCAUGAAAGCUGGAGGUAAAAAUAAAAAUGGAACAACAACAAGAUUCUGGUCUUUCGAUGAAUAUCCUGUUUCUACUUGACUCACACAUAGCGGUAUUAUCUGGAUCCAGGGAAGCGUAGAGCACUGAUACCUCCAUCGGUUGGGUACAUAAACGAGACAUUGAAGCCAAUCCCCGAGGAGGUACCCAGAUCUUUACUCUUCAUUUAUUGCCUCCUUAAGAACAAAUGAAGUUGAAACAUAUGUAUGUCUCGAAAGAUCUGUCAUAUGUGUUUGUGGAUGCAGUUUGGACCAAGACGUAGCCUUCUAUCGCACGCGAAUGAGCCUCUGGUCUUUGAAGUCCAGCUCUUGAAAGUAUUAUGAUCUUCUUCUUGGGACAAUGUCAAUGAAGUAUUUGGCUGUAUUUGUUUAUUUUCUCCUGUAAAUCUGUAAAACAAUCUGCGUAGAUCUAUCUCAUGAGUUCUCUUUUUCUGCUAAAGCUUUUAUUUAAGCUGUUUUUUAGACUUGAGUUGUUGGUGAAUUACUUAGGAGUAAUGUAUAGUUGUGAUUUGUGAACCUAUAAAUAGAGCAAAAGAACCAGUUAACUCGUAUGAAAAAAAAAAAAAAAAAUCACCUAAAUUAGCUACAAACGACACCGUUCAAGACAAACUCAUACCGAUCAACGUUACAUCAUCGGUUCUCUUCUUCUUCCUGAAAAUUUCUUCAGCUGCGGCGUUUACCGAAACCUUAACGUCCACGAAAAAACUCCGAUCGCCGGCGUUCUGGUCUUUCCCAGUUUGCUUCCAUUAAAAAAUAUUGAAGCAAGUUAAAUAGGAAAUGGAGAAAAUGGCACAAGGAUGGUUUUCGAUGAGCGGGAGUAGCAGCGGAGAUCAGCAGCAGGACAAGCAGCAAGCAGGCUCGUCUUUGCUCGCGGAUUGGAAUUCUUACGCAGCAUCGAGAGAUGUCGAGGAAGGUGGCGGAAGCGGAAGCUUCGGGUUCGAUAUCGAAUCUGCCGUUAGAUCUGCCAACGACACUGUUUCAGGCACCUUCAGUGUGUAAGUCACUCGAUCUCUUUCCCAAAUUCGGGGUUGUAUAAUGCAAUUAUUCACGUUUUAUUUCGUGAUUGAAUAUGACGAUAUGAGUAUUUCGGUGGUUUUUAGUGAAUCUGAGCAAUUGAGUUUUACUUUGUUGAUCGUAGAGAUGCGUUUAUGAGCAUUGCACACCAAUGGAAUUAUAGCUAGUGAAAUGAUAAGUAGUUUUUAUGCAAUUGCAUGGAUCCAGCUGUGUAGUUUUGUGUUCAUCAGGCUUCAAAGCAAUUUGGUUGUAGUUGUGAGUUAUUCAACAUAAACAGAUCUCUUCUGGAGAAUGUUCAUACUGUUUUGCGGAAUACCUUCUUUCUCUGUCAAUUUUCAGAUUCUUAUUUCGCUUUAGACCUUUAGGUUGAUAUAUUUGCUUGAUGCAGAUUCGUAGCUGAUAUGUGCUUGCAUUUUGUUGAGCCUAAUUAAGCUUCCAUUUUGGACUGACCUGUGAAUUUUAUGUCUGUUAUGCUACGUGCUAUACUCUGUGAAGGUUUGUGUUUAGCUUUGGAUAAGCAGUUUUUGGGAUUGUGUGUUAACCAUAGAACAUAUCCAUCGCUCCAAUGAGAAUAUUAUCUGUAAAUCUCUAGUGCAGAUUUUACACGUCUGUGCAUCUUGUCUUUUGUUAUCAAUAAUCUUGCUUUUGUUUCGCUUAUGAAAUUAUUGUUCUUUUGAUGAUUUUGCAACUUGUACCUGAAAAUGAUGACUACAGGGUUUCAAAGGGCGUUAGAGAUAUUCCGGGGAACCUGCAAUCAGCAACCAGCAAUAUGCCUUCAGGGAAAGCGCUGAUGUAUUUCGGUUUACUUCUCGCAAGUGGUGUUUUCUUCAUCUUCAUUGCCUUCACAAUGUUUCUCCCAGUCAUGGUGCUUAUGCCACAGAAAUUUGCCAUUUGUUUCACCCUUGGAUGUGGAUUUAUCAUCGGAUCAUUCUUUGCACUUCGUGGCCCACAAAACCAGCUCGCACACAUGUCAUCCAUGGAGGUAUGCUACACUAUUAUCAUUCUAAAUGUGUCUUGCCCACAAAAGAGUGAAUUCCUUCCUCUCUUUCUAAAUUUCUUGUCACCUUCUCCAGAGGCUUCCUUUAACCCUAGGUUUCAUUGCCACCAUGGUUGGUACCAUAUACGUAUCGAUGGUUCUCCACAGCUACAUUCUCUCGGUGCUCUUCUCUGUGUUACAGGUACUACAUUUCAUCUUCCAACCCAACCCGUAAGAGAUUCCAAUUUUAGUCUACAUUGAAGCUUUUCAAAAUGAGUAUGUUGAAAACAAAGAUUGGACCUCAUCAAUGUGUUUAAAUUUUAUAGUAACCCCCCUUACUAGUAACCAAGAUUAGGCUCUCUUGAACGAGUGGCGUUUGCUUAUCUGGUUCUUCAACCGGUUAUCGAUUUGAACUUAAGAAAAAGAUACCCGUAUCGGGUUUUGAACUUGUGCUUGCAAAAACCGCACUAUCUACUGAAACUCAUAAAUUCCGGUAUCUGUUUUUUUUCUUUGUGGUAAUGGACAGGUUCUUGCGUUGGUUUACUACUGUAUAUCCUACUUCCCUGGUGGAUCAUCUGGCAUGAAGUUCCUCAGUUCUGCUCUUACCUCAUCUGUGCUAAGAGUUUUCGGGAGAUGAUCGUUCCCGCCCAAUCUGGGAGAAAGAGCAAAACCUUAAUUCCGUGGUGUGUAAAGAAAGAUGUCAGAGCCUUUUUCGUUUUCUCUUUAACAUAUAGAUUUGAUGAAAAUGUUCGAAAAGACAAAUGAUCUUGAAAGAGAUGUUCAAUGAAGAACCCAAAGUGAUCUUCUUUCUCUCAGUAAUUUUCUUUUUCUGAAUUGCAGACAAUUCUCCAAAGCAAAACGAGAAUUCCAUAAAACCAAGAAAAAUGGCUAACCGAAUUUCCCAAUUCACAAGAAGAAUGGUGUUGAACUCUUGAUUGCUUAGUUUACCAGCACCUUUUAGCUAAGUUUCUGAUAGGUAACAAUGUGAACAGACUAGAAACUGAAACGAAUAAAUCAGUUUUUAAUAGUCAGACUUAUUAAAGGAAACUUUCAUUGCUGCUGAGCAAUCAAGUUUAAAUCAAUUAAUCACACUUUUAACGACACUUCAGUGUACUUUGUUGUUUAUUGAGCAAAUGUAUGCAAGUAACAUAAAAAUUUAAUUGGGCUCAAUAAAGCCCAAUAAAAUAUUGUUUGGAAGCAGUUGGAUAAAGGUUUACCAAAGAUGCAUAGUCUUUUUCCUUUCUUCUUUGAGAAAACGAAGAUGCUUAGUUAUGUCUUGCCGUCUUGGUAUUUGAUUUUUAUUUCAAAGGUUUGUAUUUACAUUUACCUUUACUUGUUAAAUUGAUUUACCUAUGUGAAAAUGAAACUAAAAUAAACUAUAAUUUUUCUUUUUUCAUUUUGCGAACUUUCUUUCAUAAAUUCUAAAUACGUUUUCCAAAAAUAUUAAGGAAUGUUAAAAAUAUCAGAAUGUCGACAAGAUAUUUUUGCAUAUAUAUUUAAGCACAAAAACAAUACUUAUGUUUGAAACAAUAAUUUUAUCGUCCACAAAAAAAAAAAAAUUGAUAUAAGUUUUGUUCACAUCAAUCAUAAUCAUAGUGGAAAGAAAAUAAUAUUUUUAUUGGUCUAUCUGUUUAUUUGGUGCUAAUGUUUAGUGAGCGGGAAACCCAAUUCCCGAAAAUACGGAAACAAUGGAGCAAGAACAUUUGACGUCUCUAAUCUACACCUUACACUACACGUAUUGUUUGCAUUACUUAUUAGCUUGCUGUAUUAUUUUAUCAUUAUUAUUUUGAUAUUUGUAACUUAAACACCAAUGACUCCUUAAUUCAUUAAACUAAAGCUUCCGAGAGAGGGAUAUUAGCUGAAAGCAAAAGCCCAUCUUCUCCACUAAGCAAUGUUACUUUGAAAAGACUAUGAUUAUUGUUUGAAUCUGUACUAAUUGUGGUACUAAAACAUAUUGUUUUAGCUUUCUCUAUCUACUAAAACCAUGGUCAUAGAACAUUUUUGAAAAAGAGUCUUUUAUAAGGCUGUAAUCUCUAACGAAAUUUUCAUGGUUAGGCAGAAAUAUAAAAGCAGGGAAGAAAAGAGAAAUUUCAAACGGAAAGUUGGAAAAAGCUGAAAAAUUAACUAAAACAUUGUAAAAGUCUUGUAAUAUGAUAUGUAACGAGCUGUUUUCAAAAAAUAUCUCCAUUUGAUUAUUGCAGAAUGCAUAUAUGAUAUGUAAUUUCCACAGUUGAUACCAAAUUACAGUUGUAAAAUAUGAACCGGGAGAAAAAGAGAAGAAAAAUCAGGCAAAGCAAAAGCUAAAUUUCCUCUAUAUAUUAUUAAAAAAAUCUAUCAUAUAGAUUAAACUAAAUGCAUUUUAUGAACGAACAAAUAUUUGAUGUAUAUUGGAAAUAACUUUUGUUUUCAUUGGUUUUUGCUAUUAUUAAAAGAGGUUUUGUACUGUAUGAUAUCAUCUUAAUUGUUUUAUAAAAUAAAUACUCUUCCAUAUUAUAAAAUGGUAUCAAAUCUAGAGUGACUUUAGUCUAUAUAACAUCUUAAAUUUGUUAUAUUCACUGGAUCAUGAUAUAUAUAUACAUAUAUUAUGUAUAUACAGUAUAACCUCUAUAAAUUAAUACUCGAUAAAUUAAUAAUCACUAUAAAUUAAUAAAUUUUACUGAUUCCAAGUCGGGGCAAUUUAAAAUUCCAUCAAAUUCGAUAAAAUAAAAAGAUAAUAAUUUUUUUGAAAUCUCUAUGUAAAUAUAUGAUCCCAACAAAAACAUAAAUUAAUAAUUAUAUAUAUAUUUAUGCAAAUAUAUGUAAAUAUAAUAUUCUAAAAUAUGGCUAAUAUGUUUGCUUUUACUUUAAGGGUGAAAUUUCAUUGGAUAUUAUCUCUCUAAUUAUUAUAUCAAUAGUUUUUAUUGGUGUUUUAAAAUAUACAUUCAAAAUUUAUGAUGAUUUUUUGAUGUGAUAAUUGAUUUUUUUACCUGUAAAUAUUUUUUUAAUGUGUUGUAGUGUUAUUUUUAAUUUUAUCAUCAAUAAUACGGAUAAUAGCUAUGAUUUUUUAAAAAACUUUAAACUAAUGAACAUGUAUAUUUUUACAUGGACAAUCCGUUAUGGUAUUAAAAACUAUUUUAUUGCGAUAGUUAUAAUUGUUAAUCAUAAUUUACAUUACGAUAUUUGUUAAAUUUUAAAAUAUAACAUUAUUCCAAUAAAAGUUUUAGAAAAUUAUAGAUAGAAAGCUGAUUUUUUCUAUAAAUUAAUAAUUAUUAAUUUAUAGAUAAAUUAAUAUCACGAUAAAUUAAUAAAAUAUCAUAGUCUCGACAUUAUUAAUUUAUAGAGGUUUUACUGUAUGUAUGUUUUGGAUGAUUUGUCCACUUCUUUUACACUUCUACAGUACUGCCACUACAUUCUUGGACUGCUUCUGCCGCUGAUACUGAUACACCCCACCCCCCCCCACACACACGGGACCAUUGUUUAUUAGAAAAAAAAGAGCUAAAUAAAUUUGAGAAGUGUACAGACAAGACCUUAUAUAAUAUAACUAAAUUAACCCAUCAUAUUCUUUGUUAGAUCCAACACCCUCUAUGAUCAGUUUCUCAAUCACUUAGAUCUGAUCAAGCCACUUAAAAGAGCUUAAACUAUCUUUUAUGUAUAUAUGUGUACAUUUGCCGCUCUCUCUCAUGUGAUGAGAUCUGAUCUGACCUAAUUGGAUCGUGAUUAGAUGUAGAUCUUUGUUACAAUAUUGUCUUCAUAUCCGCAUUGAAGCGUUUCUCAUUUAUUAUUAUUCACUAUUUGUCUCGUGAUUCUCAUCAUCAAAUUUACAUACUUGAUAACACAUUAACACAUAUUUCAUACUAAUAAAGAGUACACACAAACUACUUCAUCAACAGAUGUCUUAACGUUAAAUUUUGUAUUGAAUCAAUGUUUGAAGUGUGUUUCUUUUAAGUCAUAUGGCGCUUAAUUAAUGCUGGAUAAACAAAUCGGAUAUGCAUCUAAUUACGAAAUUCCUGUAGGCUCAUUUAGGUGUUACGAAAUCCUUGAAAUGAAUAGUGAGAGAUACUUAAUUGUCUUGCUAAGCUUGGAUUGCUCGGAGAAUGAAUAUUUUAAGGGAAGUAGAAUAGUAUACUUAGGGAUUUUUGAUAACUUUGAAUGGAAGCACACGUCAAAAACCUAAAGAAAAAAGAGAAUCAGAUGUAUGAUAUGUAUUCUGCGAAAAUCUAUAUCAGAAAAAAAAGAGAGAAUAUCAUAGCAUGUUGUGUCUAUGUAUGAGUUCAUAAUGGUCAAUAAGUACAUAAUAUAUAUAUAUAUAUAAUAAAAACAUAAAAAGCAUUGAAUCAGUAAAGUGGAGAAGCGUUCUUGGUUGACCUAAUUUUUAUUUUCUUUCAUUUUAUUUUAUUUUAUAGAAACAAAACAUAAAAAGCAUUGAAUCAAUGCCUUACACUAAUCGAAACCGAAUUUUCUUAGAAUUACUGUUGAAACUGAAAUGAUACGUGCUGGCUAAAUUGGAUCCGAUAAACUAAAACAAAACAAAAAAAACCAUACCUAGCAGAAAUAAAUGUAAUAUAACAUCAUGUGUUUAUUAUGAGGCUGUAUAUAUGUAAUUGGUGUAGAGAAUAUAGGAAAAAUGUUUGGGAUGCAAGGGUCCUGUCACCCAACAAACAGGGACCAUUUAAUAACGAUAAUCAUAAGAUUUGUGAAAGAAAUGUUUCACUCAUUUGGCAGAAGUACAGUUGGAUUGCUUUGUCUUUUCUUUCGCACACCUUUUGUUCUCUUUACUUCCUUCUUGUUUGUUGGUUUUUGUUCUUUUAUUAAUUAUUUUUUCGCUUUUUUUUUCAAUUUCUUUAAGGGACCAUUUAUUUAUUUCUUUAUCAAAUGAUUUUGCUAGUUCUUUUUGUUUUUAAAGAUUUUACUCAAGUCCAAUCACACACUGAUAUAAGUAUAUAAAACUUAUAUCAUGAGGUAAUUUGUUUUUGGAUAAAAUUCAGUUUUACUGGAACGGCUCGAAUUUUUAAAACAAAACAAAAAAGGACCGACAAGAUGAGCAAGGGACAGGGUUAUAAAUUAAUUAAUUAUUUCUUUAAUCUUUCACAAAAGUUCGAAGCUUGCAUGUGCAAUUUUACUCUUGGAGAUUCCAUGUAUUACUUCAACUUGAUUAGUGUAUACAUCAGAGACACCAAAGUAGAUGAUCUAUACUAUAUUCUUUCUUUUAUCUUUUACGUUAAUAAUAUUAUCAUGGUUUAAAAUACCACUAUUUACCCACUUCUAAUUUCUCUCAAAAUAAAAACAGAAUCCACUCUAAUAUAGUAAAUUUUAUAAACCAAGUACACGUGGUUUGUUAUUUCUAAUUACACAGCAUAGUGUCGACAUUUGGUGGUUCAAAGAUUUUGGAUACUUCAGUUCUUAAUAUGAGAAUUAACACUUUAUAGAUGUUACUACUAUCGUGGAUUUUGAAAAUGUACGGUGCUUUACUGCGUUUAAUGUAAAUACACGUUGAACACUUUAUCACAUUACUAAACAAACAAGAAAAGCAUUCGACUCAAUCAUGCCGCUUCUAAGAUCCACGAGAGUGUUUUCCUUCGCGGUGAACGGUGCAGCCGUACUAUUGCUCAUAAUAUUUUUGUAAGACCACCUCCAAUGGUGAGAAACUUUUAAGAGUAUCUCAUCUAAUAUAAUACUAUUAUUUUUAUGUAAUUUAAUUAAUUAGUUAAAUUUUAAAUUAUAAAAACAAAUUACACCAAUUUUGGUGACACAUUUUAUGAGAUUCUCUCAACUUUUUUUUAGAGGUUUUCAAAUGAGAGACUUUAGAUACCAUGUUCUCAUUCUCUCUCAUCUUUUUUGAUUUUUUCUAUUUUUUUAAUUAUGAGAACUCAUAUGAGAGAUUACCAGGAUGCUCUAAUAUAACUGAUUAAAAUAACUUUUUUUUACAAUUUUUUUGUUUGUCUCACUCGGUCUAACGCUUUGAAAAAUGAUCUGUUCAAAUAUGAAAAACUUUUUACAUCGGUCUAAUUUGCCAUUGAACAAGAAACUAUGCAUCACAACAAAUUUAAAUCCAUAUAUGCGUUUACAUUUCUAAAGUCAUUAAUCUUGUCUCACCAUAAACACAUUCUUCACGUCAAUUUAUACAUUUCAUCAUUGUUUACAUUUUUUUGCCUCUAUAGGUUCUUUUAGAUUUUUUUUUAUAUAAAAAUGUAAGAUUAAAAUAAUAGUAAGGGUAGAGAUAGAAAGUACUUUCUGGGAUCCAAAUCUUCCUCUCUGCUCCUUCUCUCUCUCUACUCUCUGUGUUUUAUUUAUAUUUUCCAUAAAGAAAGAAAAACCAAAAUCCAUGGGGUUCUUCGCUUUACAAUCCCAACGCACUUCUCUCCUCUUUCCUCAUCUUCGUCUUCUCCGAUGCCAUCAUAUUUCCAUAGACCCUCCUUCUUCCCGUUCAUUCUCUGUUUCUUCUUCAUCCCCUGUUUCUCUCUCGACGAACAAGGUCAAGCUCUCUUCUCAUGGAAGUCCCAACUCAACAUAUCCGGCGACGCUCUCGCCUCCUGGAAAGCCUCCGACGCAUCUCCCUGCAAUUGGCAAGGCGUAAAAUGCAACCACAAAGGAGAAGUUUCCGAGAUACAACUCAAAGGCUUCGACUUGCAAGGUUCUCCGCCUGUGACCAUUCUCCGGAACCUCAAGUCUCUUACUUCCCUCACUUUAUCUUCACUCAAUCUCACCGGAGUAAUCCCCAAGGAGAUCGGAGACUUCACAGAGCUCAAGCUACUCGAUUUAUCGGAUAAUUCUCUCUCCGGCGAUAUCCCCGUGGAAAUCUUCAGGCUCAAGAAACUCGAGACUCUGUCUCUGAACACGAACAAUCUCGAAGGUGUGAUUCCGGCGGAGAUUGGAAAUCUUUCUGGCCUCGUCGAGCUCAUGCUCUUCGACAACAAGCUCUCCGGAGAGAUCCCGAGGAGUAUCGGAGAGCUCAAGAAUCUAGAAAUCUUCCGUGCUGGUGGGAACAAGAAUCUCAGAGGUGAGCUUCCUUGGGAGAUAGGCAAUUGCGAGAAUCUGCUUAUGCUUGGUCUCGCCGAGACUAGUCUCUCCGGAAAACUCCCGGCGUCGAUUGGAAACCUGAAACGCGUUCAGACAAUAGCAAUUUACACGUCACUGUUGUCUGGUCCGAUUCCGGAUGAGAUUGGAUAUUGUACUGAGCUCCAAAAUCUGUACUUGUACCAGAAUUCAAUCUCUGGAUCGAUCCCAAGCACCAUUGGUGGUCUAAAGAAACUGCAGAGCUUACUCUUAUGGCAGAAUAAUCUCGUCGGAAAAAUCCCGACCGAGCUCGGGAACUGCCCUGAGCUCUGGCUUAUCGAUUUGUCUGAAAAUCUCAUCACCGGAAGCAUACCAAGGAGCUUCGGGAAUCUUAUGAACCUGGAGGAGCUUCAGCUGAGUGUAAACCAGAUCUCAGGAACGAUCCCUGAAGAGCUAGCCAACUGCACGAAGCUCACGCAUUUAGAGAUUGACAAUAACCUUAUCACCGGCGAGAUUCCGUCAUUGAUGGGUAACCUUAGAAGCUUAACGAUGUUCUUCGCGUGGCAGAACAAGUUAACCGGUAAAAUCCCCGAAAGUCUCUCGCAGUGUGGAGAGCUUCAAGCCAUUGACCUCUCUUACAACGAUCUCUCUGGUUCCAUCCCCAAAGAGAUUUUUGGAUUACGAAACCUCACGAAGCUUCUUCUUCUCUCCAAUGAUUUGUCCGGAUUCAUACCGCCGGAUAUCGGAAACUGUACGAAUCUCUACCGGUUGAGACUCAACGCAAAUAGACUUUCCGGGAGUAUUCCGGCGGAAAUCGGGAACCUGAAAAAUCUCAACUUUAUCGAUUUAAGUGAAAACCGGCUCGUCGGGACAAUCUCUCCGGCGAUUUCUGGUUGUGAAAGCCUCGAGUUUCUCGAUCUUCACUCGAACAGUCUCUCCGGUUCGUUGCUCGGUACGCUCCCAAAGAGCUUGAAGUUCAUUGAUUUCUCCGAUAAUUCUCUGUCUGGUCCUCUGCCUCCGGGAAUCGGGUUGCUGACCGAGCUUACGAAGCUUAAUCUCGCGAAGAAUCGAUUCUCCGGCGAAAUCCCUAAAGGAAUCUCCACUUGUCGGAGUCUACAGCUCCUCAACCUCGGCGACAAUGCCUUCUCCGGAGGAAUCCCAGACGAAUUGGGUCGAAUCUCGACUCUAGCAAUCUCUCUUAAUCUCAGCUGCAAUGGGUUCGUCGGAGAAAUCCCGUCGAGAUUCUCCGAUUUGAAAAGCCUUGGAGUGCUCGACGUCUCUCACAACCGACUCACUGGAAACUUAAUCGUCUUACAGGAUAUGCAGAACCUCGUCUCCCUCAACGUCUCAUUCAACGAAUUCUCCGGCGAAUUACCCAACACGCCCUUCUUCCGGAGACUCCCACUCUCCGAUCUCGCCUCAAACAAUGGGCUUUACAUCUCCGACGGAAUUUCGACCCGACCCGACGGGUUAGGAUCCUCAACCCGGAACAGUCGCGCUGUUAAAUUAGGCAUUUCAAUCCUCGUCGCCGUCACCGCCGUCCUCGUGCUCCUGGCGGUUUACACUCUGGUCCGGGCACGAGUCGCCGGAAAACGAUUCCUCGAGGAAGAAAUUGAUUCGUGGGAUGUGACACUAUACCAAAAACUCGAUUUCUCGAUCGACGACGUCGUUGAGAAUCUGACGUCGGCAAACGUGAUCGGAACCGGAAGCUCCGGCGUAGUUUACCGAAUAAUGAUUCCGUCCGGCGAGACUCUGGCAGUGAAGAAGAUGUGGGCAAGGGAACAAAGCGGUGCGUUUAACUCAGAGAUCAACACUCUGGGAUCGAUUCGUCACAGGAACAUCGUUCGUCUUCUGGGAUGGUGCUCGAAUCGUAACGUGAAACUCCUGUUUUACGAUUAUCUCCCCAACGGCAGCCUGAGCUCUCGGCUUCACGGCGCCGGAAAAGGAGGAGGAGUUGAUUGGGAAGCUCGAUACGACGUCGUUCUAGGUGUGGCCCAUGCGCUUGCUUAUCUCCAUCACGAUUGUCUCCCAGCAAUAAUACACGGUGACGUUAAAGCUAUGAACGUCUUGUUGGGCCCCCAAUUCGAACCCUACUUAGCCGACUUCGGUUUAGCUAGAACCGUCUCCGGUAAUCCAAAUACCGGAAUUGAUUUAUCAAAACAGAGCAAUCGGCCUCCUUUAGCUGGUUCUUAUGGUUACAUGGCUCCGGGUAAGCUUGUACUCUUAUCGAAUUUCGGAAUUUGGUUUACUAUCGAUUUAUAAUUUGUUUUGUUUGUUGUCUUCUUGUAGAACAUGCUUCGAUGCAGCAUAUAACCGAGAAGAGCGAUGUUUAUAGUUACGGAGUGGUAUUAUUAGAGGUUUUAACCGGAAAGCAUCCGUUAGAUCCGGAUCUACCCGGUGGUGCACAUUUGGUUAAAUGGGUGAGAGACCAUUUAGCCCAGAAAAAAGAUCCGAGUAAGCUUCUUGACCCGAGACUCCAUGGACGGACUGACCCGGUUAUGCAUGAGAUGCUUCAAACUCUUGCGGUGGCGUUCCUAUGUGUAAGCAACAAGGCAAGUGAAAGACCUCUGAUGAAAGAUGUUGUGGCAAUGCUCACGGAGAUUAGGCAAAUUGAUGUCGGACGAUCGGAGACUGAUAAGAUCAAAAGUGGUUGUUGCGGAGGCAAAGAGCCACGUUUGAUGUCGCAUGAGAAAAUCAUUUCUCAUGGUUCUUCUAAUUGUUCAUUUGCUUUCUCGGAUGAUUCCGUUUAAACACAAAGACAACAAAGUAAUGGUGAAAAGCGUGAGUUGUCGUUUACAAAGUUGUGUGAAUAUUUUUCUGUUGUUGUAGCUUGAAUUUUUUUUUUGAAAAGUUUUUGUAUAAUCAACUUGAGAGUAACAACUAAAAGCUACUAUGAUUGCAGUAGGUUUGAAUAAAUGAUUUCUGUUUCUUGAUUUGCAAGUAAUGUAACCAGCAUAAAACAAGUUAAAAUGAAGAGUACACAUGUGUCGGAAAAGUGUCAUAAAAGUAAAAAACACUUGGUAGAAUCAAGAGUUCUCUUUUCUCUAUUUCCCCUCUCUAUAUUUUGUCUUUUUGUUAAGAACUAUGUUCUUCUUUUAUUAGUUACGUUACGUUUAUUUUCUAUUUCGUCCAAAUUUUGUCUCUUUUUGGAUAAGCAUUAAGCAAUAGUAUCUGUACACAGCGCAUAUAAGUAUAUUUUUGGAUCAAAUUAUCUUAUUAUAUGAAUGUCACUACAAGAAAGAUCGGCUUUUACGUCAGCAGAUAUCGACGUAAAUUCGACGUAAAAGAACAUUUACGUCGAAUUAACGACGAAUUAUAAUUCGUCGUAAAACGAUCGUCGUAAAACCCAAAUCGUCGUAAAAUCGUCGUAAAAUUACCAACUCCGGAAAAUCGUCGUAAAAUCGUCGGAAACAAUUCGUCGUAAAUGCGACGUAAAAUUUCCAACGGAUGUACAACGAAAUAACUCCAUCAUAAGAACGACGUAAAAUCGAUGUAAAAUUACAUCGAUUUAACAACGAUUAGGAGACGAAGAAUUUCAAUUAAGGGAAAAAUAAAUUUUUAAUUAUCGAUGUUAAAUCGUCGUAAAUUUUCGACGUAAAUCCGACGUAAAGAUAUUCGUCGUAAAUUCGUCGUUAAAUUUUUCGACGUUAGAACGACGUAAAUUUACGACGAAUUUACGUCGAUUAAUUCGAUUUAAUUCGAUUUUAAUAAAUUAAUUAUUUAAUUCGAUUUUAAUUUAAUUAAUGAAUUUUUUAAAUAAUAAAAAAAUUAAAAAUAGAAAAAAUUUGAAAUUUAAAUUCAAAAAUAAUUUAUAAAUAAAAAAAAAUUACUACAAAUUGUUUUUUACAAAAAACCUAAUCUAUACAAAGUCGUAAUCGUCGAGGUUGAGAUCGACGUCACGAGGAAGCUCUCCGUCUUGGCCGCCCGUCGCUGCUGGACCGACGUUUUCCGUCUGCACUACCGGAGCCGAAGACUGACCGCCCGUCACUACUGGGACCGGAGCCGAAGUCUGACCGCCCUGCGUCUGCGGGUCCGAGGGUCCAGUACCCGAAGUAGCUCCGGUCUCAAAAACCCUCCGUGCUCGCUGUUGCCUCGCUCGGAUUGCGGUGGCCAACUGCGGAACCGCUUCCGCAAUGAUGUCGAAGAGAUCAUGGAUCUCGGUGAGCUCCUGCUUCUGGGCCACUUGCUCAUGCCUGAGAGUGGUGAUCUCAGCAUUGGCCGUAGCAAGCUCCUGGCGAAGCUGCGGAUCCUGCGGGCGGUGGAAUCCGGAAGCCGUGGCGGCAGGACAGUCUCUAAUAGAGCCCAUCCCUAAUGUUCGGCCCUUCUUCUUCGGAGCGACCUACAAAUGGAAAAUAAAAACGUUAAUUAUUUAUUAAGUAAUUAUAAAUAUAAUAAAUUUUUAAAAAAUUGAAAUAGAUCAUACCUCUUCGAAAAUCUGGUCUUGCUCAGCGACGGUCAACGGUACGUGGAUAGUACCGUCAGGUGUGGCCUGGGUCUCCCGCUCGGCGAUCCGCUGCAUAGCGGCAUUGUAGAUCUCCUCGGACCGAGCGUCGACAAAGCUCCCGUCCUUCUUCCGGUGAGUGGUCUCGAAGAGCUUCGUCAUUGGAGGUAGUUCUCCUCCGUUCUCCUCGGCCUACCAAUUAAUAAACAUUAUUAGUCAAAAAUAUUUAAUAAAUUAUAGUAAUAAAUAAAAUUAAAAUAAUAAUGAAAUAAAUUAUAUUUAAUUACUUACCAUCAUGAGACGUCUUCCCGCAAAAGAUACUUGGCCAGAAGUGUGCGGGGUCACUAACUUCUCACCAGUCACCGGAUCGACCCGGUUUUGGACGGCCGAACACUUAGCAGCGGUGGUUUGGGCAUGCGGGUCCACCCAAUACGCCUUCAACCCGUUCCAACACCAAGUGGACAUGGAGCUCGGCUUUGCGUCGUCGCCGUCGGUCUCCCAUUUCCGCUUCCAAUCGGAAACGGUGUUGACUAGGCGUUUCUUCGCCUUUUCCACGAAAGCAUCGCGGACCGUCUCGUUGAUCCCGAUGUCCCAAUUCCACCGUUGCUGCAAAAGAAAACAAAAAAUUAGAUAAACAAUAUAAAAGUAAGAUUAAUUAAAUUUAAAACAAUUUAAAAUGAUAUAAAUAAUAUUUAAAAAUAUUACCGCGAAGCACUUGUAACAGGUGUCGCACGUCUCUUGCGACACCUUGCUCCAAUUGUAGUGCGGCUCCACGAAAUGACUCUUAAUGCAGUCGGAAACGCUCCGACCGACACAAUUAUCCAAAGUAAACCUAUGAAAAAAAAAAAAAAUUAUUACAUUAAUAUUUAAGUAAAUUAAAGCGUUAAUUUAAAAACUAUAAAAAACAAAAAAGUUUACUUACCAAAACGAGCCUGGUUCCGCUUUUCCGGGAACUAGACGUCGUAAAGCCCCCCGUCCCGGUAAGGCUAGUAAAUCCUCAACCGUAAACUGGGCAUACGGAUGAGGAGGGACGGGUACCGGUUCGGCAGCCGGGGCGGGUACCGGUUCGGCAGCCGGGGCGGGUACCGGUUCGGGAGCCGGUGGAGGAGGCGGUGGUGGAGGCGGUGGUGGAGACGGCUCCGCGGUAUUCGGAACCUGAGAGGCUCCGGAAGAUGAGGAAGGGACAUCGGUCCCGGUGUUUCCCGAGGCAGACGCCCGGGAAGAAUGUCCGUCCGCCAUGAAAUUGAUGUAAUGCGUCUUCCGUCGAGGCAUCGUCUGCAAAACGGAAAAAAAUUAUUUUUCAAAUUAAUUACAAUGUCGAUCCUAAAUCUAACAAAUUCCGAUCCUUAAUCUAACAAAUUCUGAUCCUAAAUCUAACAAAUUCCGAGCCUAAACUAAUUCCCGACCUAAACCGUUUGAAUUUCUAAACUAUUUAAAAUUAUUAUAAUUUGAAAUAAUUAAAAAAAUUAUUUACCUUUUUUUUUUGCGUCGAAAGGAGGAGGUGGGAAGGAGGAAGCAGAGACAGCGAGAGAGGAAGGAGAGAUGAGCGACGAAAUGAGGAAGGGGCUAAACCCUAUAUAUAGAAUUUAUAUUUGUCGUAAAUUCGACGUAAAUGUUACGUCGAAUUUACGACGAAUUCGUCGUAAAUUCGUCGCAAAGUUCCCACCGUACACAAAGCGAAUAAGACAAACACACGUGGGUGUAUCUGGACUUUGCGACGAAUUUACGACGAUCCGUGUUAUUCGUCGUAAAUUCGUCGUAACAUUACGACGAAUUUACGACGAAUCGUAUAAAUCAUUAAAAUUAGAACGGCUGUGUAUACACAUAUCGUCGUAAAUUCGUCGUAAUAUUACGACGAAUUAACGACAAACUAUACAAAACUGAUGAAAUUCAAAAAUUGAAACAUCCAUAAGGACAUACAAGCAUGUCUAUUCAUGAUAAAUGUGGUGUGUAUAACUUUCUAACAUGUUUACAUAACUUAAUGAAGGUUUUAGUAAGAUGUAAGAUAAAUCCAUACAUCUUGUGUAAAUGUAUAUAACACCUUAAGAUUACUUGAUAAACACAUAUAUGUCAAUUUUAGAAUUUUUUUUUUUUUUGUUUAGAAAGUUGUUUUACCUUAUGAGAUGGUAAGCCAUUUCAUUCUCUUCAUCAAAAUCCCCCCAGAACCCCAUAAAAGAUUGAUUUAAGAUUUAGGGGUUACAUUUCGUCGUAAUCUCGAUGGUAUAUUACGACGAAUUUACGACGAUUACUCCCAUUCGUCGUAAAUUCGUCGUAAUAAAAACCACAUUUCUACAAGUUCUUGAACCUUACAAUACAGACCCUUAUAUAAUACAUCAGUUUACUUAGGAAAAUGAACCUAAAAACCAUUUUGUAAGUUGGGAAAGCUAAACCCUAUAGGGUUUAGGGUUUGCAUGUUACGACGAAGUUACGACGAUUUCUUAAUAAUCGUCGUAAAUUCGUCGUAAAAGUCAACAUAUGUUCAAGUCAACACAUAAACAAAUUUUCAAUCUUCAUAUUAUAGAGGUAUGGUGGAUCACUUGAUAAAUUUUCUAACCGGGUCCCCAAGAAAUGAAAACAAGAAGCUUAUAUAAACAAAAAUUUAAAUUUGACAAAUGUUACAGUGAAACGUUCAAAUCAUGCAAUUAAUUAAUGUCAAUAUAUUUAAUUAGUCUUCAUCAACAUUUUCCUCGGUGUCCUCAUCAUCAUUGUCAUCAUCAUCACUGCUUGUCGUAAAUUCGUCAACACCUUCUUCAGUUUCGUCCCCAUGUAGAUCUUCAACUUGUCGAUUACGUGGAUCAAUUAAAAGAACAUUUUCUUCAACAUCCGGUUCUGUAAUGUCGACACAAUCAUCUUGUUGCAUUGGCGGGAGAUCUACACCAUCAAUUAUACCCCGUGGAGCAACUUUGACAACCGCCAGCCAUGAAAUUCCCGUAUUCCGAACUCGAGGAUAUGGAACAAAGGUGACUUGUUCUGCUUGAGAUGCAAGUAUAAAUGGCUCGAACUUAUUGUAUUGCCGAGAUGCGUUUACAUCUACCACUCCAAAUUUGUUCAUGCGCACUCCACGACCUUUCGUAGGAUCAAACCAAUCACAUUUGAAUAGAACAGUUUUCAUUCUGACUAAUCCGGGGUAUUCCACUUCAAUUAUCUCUUUGAUGAUCCCAUAAAAGUCUACUUCACCUCGUACACAAACUCCAUAGUUUGUAGUUGCCCGUUGAGUGCCAUGACUAUAAGUAUGAAAAACAUAGCCACGUGUGAAAUACAUAGCUGCAGUAGUUAUCUUCGAAAUAGGACCUAGGAGCAACUCAUGAAACCAUACUGCAUAUGUCAUGUCAUCAUGCUCAACUUGACCUUUUAACCACAAUGCAUAAUGUUGGUCUUUUCGCUUGUUAAUUUCAUCUUCUGAAACACCGUCAAUGCAUUCUCGGACUUGACUGACGAAAGUGCUGAAAUUUUAAUACAUUGUUAAUGACAUUUCGCAUGUUCAAUAUAUCAAAUUUUAAUCAUACAUGGUUAUAAUUAUGUACCUCUCGUAAGGUGCCAAUUCCUCGCAAUUCAGAAGUAUAUAUGUAUGUGCGCUGUGGUAGUCUUGUUCGUUUGACCAACGGGUUUCUUUCAGUUUCCCACUUAGACGUCCAAUUGGUGAGAAUAUAUCAGGCACACAUUCUACUGCGUAACUUUGUCCUACACCCCCAUCGUCGUAACGUCUUGGAGCCCGUUUGCGUGUACGAACCUUUGGAGCAAAGUAAUAAGACGUGAAAUGAGAAGUCUCUUCUGUCAGACUUCCCGCCACGAUAGACCCUUCAACUUUUGCUAAGUUUUUGGCCUUACCCUUCAAAUGCUUCAUAAAUCGUUCAAACGGAUACAUCCACCUAAACUGAACAGGUCCUCCCAACUCUGCUUCAUGAGGGAGGUGUACAGGUAAAUGUUCCAUAACAUCGAAGAAAGCAGGUGGGAAUAUUUUCUCUAAAUUGCACAACAAUAUUGGAAUAUUUGUAGACAGUUGUGCAACUACAUCUUCUGAUAAUGUCCUUGUACUUAGAUCACGGAAGAAAGCUCCAAUGCCUCCUAGUGCCUCAUGGACAUGUCCCGGUAGGAGUUCAGCAAACGCAAAAGGAAGUAACCGUUGCAUAAACACAUGACAAUCAUGACUUUUCAUCCCUGAAAACUUUUGUCCUUUAUCCACAGAUUUAGCCAGAUUAGAUACAUAUCCAUCAGGAAAUUUCACGGCUGAUGAUACCCAAUUAAACAAAGCUGUUUUUUGUUCAGCACCCAACCGAAAUACAGGAACAGGUGCUUUCCCAUUACUCACCAUAUGCAACUCAAUUCUGUUACAUAUAUCGGGUAAGUCCAUCCGUGAUUUAACGCUGUCUUUGGUUCUUCCUUAGACGUUCAAAACAGUAUGCAUGAUGUUAUCGAAAAAAUUCUUCUCAAUGUGCAUAACAUCAAGAUUAUGUCUAAGCAAAUGAUCUUUCCAGUAAGGCAGAUCCCAAAAUAUACUUUUCUUGUGCCAAUUAUGAUGAACCCCAUAUCCGUCAGGCAUAUUCGCAGGAGUGUGCCAAUUUCCUCCAAGGGGGACCGUUUCAAGUCCACCCCAAUGAUCUAUUUGCGCUUCAAGCUCUACUCCAGUUAGGUACACUGGUGGAGGGAGACGAACCAAUUUGUUCUUUAUAAACAAACGCCUAUUUCUUCUAUAUUGAUGGUUUGGUGGUAAAAACCGACGGUGGCAAUCAAACCAACAGGUUUUCCUACCAUGUUUAAGCUGAAAUGCAUCAGUCCUAUGAAGACAAUAAGGACAUGAUAACCUCCCAUGCGUUGUCCAACCUGAUAGCAUUCCGUAUGCCGGAAAAUCGCUUAUUGUCCGCAUAAGCACCGCUCGCAUCGUAAAAUUUUUACCACUCGAACAAUCAUAUGUUCGUACUCCAACAUGCCACAACUGGUUUAACUCAUGUAUGAGUGGUUGCAAAAACAUAUCAAGUGCCCGCUUCGGGUGAUUUGGACCAGGGACUAAUAUACUUAGAAACAAAAACUCUCUUUGCAUGCACAUAUCUGGAGGAAGGUUAUAUGGCGUAAGAAUCACAGGCCAUAAUGAAUAUUGCCUACCAGACAUACCAAAUGGACUAAACCCGUCAGUGCAAAGACCAAGAUAAACAUUUCGCUUAGACCUAGCAAAGUCUGGAUGUACGGUGUUAAAAUGUUUCCAAGAUUUCCCGUCAGACGGGUGAGUCAUUUUGCCAUCUGUUUGUGAAUGUUCUGCAUGCCAUCUCAUCGACGCAGCUGUCCGUUCGGAUUGAUAUAGUCUUUUUAACCUAUCAGUGAUAGGAAGAUACCACAUUCGUUGGUAAGGAAUCUUCUUACGCCCAGCAAUUUGUGGUCUAUAUCUUGGCUUUUGGCAGAAACGACAUUCUUCAAGCUUCUCAUCAUCUCUCCAAAAAAGCAUACAAUUAUCAACACAAACAUCAAUCAUCUCAGAAGGCAAUCCAAGACUAAAAACCAGCUUCUGAAUUUCAUAAUACGUUUCAGCAGCCAAAUUAUCAUCUGGCAAAUACUCUUUAAUAAGAUCUGCCCAAUCGUUCAUGCAAACUUCAGAUAGAUUGUGAUCUGUUUUUAUUGUCAUCAUCCGAGCUGCCAAUGAUAAUUUUGAUAAACCUUCCCUACAUCCCUCGUACAGAGGCUGCUUUGCUGCGUUUAACAUAUCAUAAAAGCGUUUCGCAUCUGCAUUGGGCUCCUCAACAGUAUCAGCAUGUGUUUCAUGAAAUGCAUCAGUAAUCAUUUCAUGCAUCCUAUCAUGAUCUUCACCCUGAACUUGACUACUUUGAUAAUCAUUGGACGCUACAAAAUCCACAUGUUCUUGAUGAUUACUAGUACUCCGUGCAGCCAUCUGACCACUACUUUGACCAUAUCCCUCUCCAUGCUGAUACCAAAUAAAGUAUUGGGGCAUGAACCCUCUAUUCAAUAAAUGCUGCCAGACAGUGUCAAUAAGAAUAUGUUUCCUAUUUUUGCAUUUCACACAAGGACAAUACAUUUUGCCGCUUUCAAUUACAGUUUCCAGAAGGCCGGCUUGGUACAUGAAUAUUUCCAAUCCGUUUUUGAAGUCUUCAGUCAACGACCCAUCACUAUUUUUGGGCGUAUACAUCCACUUUCGUAGAUCGUAUAUAGACAUUUCAAAAACAAAUAUUUGACUUUUUGUUUCUGAAAUUUGAUAGAAAUUUCAACUACUAAAAAUUUUACUUAAACAUUCAAAGACUCAAAAAAUUUGUGUCUUUAUAUGUUUUUUUGGGUUGAUGGAAUAAUGAGAGAAGAAGGGGUAUAUAUAGAAUUUUUUGUUUGGUUACCAACAUAUUACCAUUGCAUUUUUACAUGAAAUUUACGUCGAAAUAAAAUUUACAUCACAUUUACAUUGAUUUUACGUCAAUUACAAAAUAGAGGACAAUUCGUCGUAUUAUCGAUGUAAAUAUUACGACAAGAUUACGACGAAAUAAAAUUCGUCGUAAUCUUGUCGUAAUAUCGGUCGUAACAUUACGACGAUUUUACGAGGGUUAUUUUUUACGUCGAAUUUACGACGAAAUUUUUGAUCGUCGUAAAUACGACGUAAUGUCGUCGUAAAUUUACGACGACUACAAAUCGUCGUAAAUAAUUCGACGGAAAAGCCCCUCUUUCUUGUAGUGUGUGGAUGAAUAUAAAUAAGUAGCAUAGUUAUCAUCAAGGAAAUUAAAUCUUGAGUUUUUGGUCCACAAAUUUUUCAAUAUCUGACCAGCCAUUGACAAGUACAUGUGACAAUUCCAUUAUUCAAGUGUCAUUUUUCCUAUAUCAACAAUAAAUUAGUUAGAUCGGAAGUCGUUUGAGAAAUAAGUUGUGUAUCUUUCUAAUUAAAUACGACGUGGCUCUAAAAUUCGAUAAUAUGAAAUGAAACAUGUGAGUCCAAGAUAUUCAUGUGUAUAUAGACGCAUACUCUCUAGCUAGAUCUUCGGUAAAUAUUUAUUAGGAAGUUUGGGCUCAUUGAGGUUUAUCUUUUCUAAGACCUGCGAUGUUCCAUGUUGAUUGCAGCGAUUUGUGUGAUUCAAUCGCGGAUCUUUUGUUGAUGUUUUACUCACCCGGAUGACCCGUUGAGCUACCAAAUUAAAUUGUUUUUUUGGUAAAGCAUAUUAAUAUUAACAUUACAACUUUCUUUCAUUUAUGUAUUGGAGCUGUUCCAUGUUAAUUGCGGGGAUUAGGGAACAUUACGUAGAUGUUAACAUUUUUUUUAAUAUCUAUAUAUGUGUGUUGAGACUUAUAUUAACAUACAUAACUCAAUAAAAUAUAUACUUUAAUUUAAUCAAGGAAAUUUGAAAAAACGAAGAGCCAAGGAAAGAAUGAUAAAUUUGGUUUUACAUAAAAAUUAUUGAGAUUUGCGAAGGGAGUAUUUGGAGUUACAUACGAGAAAGAUUCGUAUUUCGUUUUGUUUUUGUCGUUGUUUGCUUGUUAAUUUUGAUAAUUUGUUAAAUUGCGAAGAAGAAUAAGAAGAAGAAGAAGAGAGGCUUAAGACAGAAGCGAUUGGAUCACGUGGACCCUUGCACCACCCUCAUCACAUGAGCAUGUGCUGUCUCGAUAACAAUUACUUUCCAGCCAAAAUAACACUAAUUUUAUGAAAAUUAAUGUUAAUAAUCGUACAAAACCAAAAAAUCAUCAAGGUUAACAAACAAACAACGUGAUCCACUCGCUUAUGUCUUACUCUACGUUCAACUAACAUUCUUAUGAGGGAUGACCCUAAUUUUAUAAAAUUAUGUUAUGGAAAAAAGUCAAAUAUUUAAUUUUAUAGAAUUUUCAACCAAACAAUUCUGUAGAAAAUUCUAAAAUUAUGUAUAAGAUCAUCUUUAACGGUAGUAUCUCAAUAUGAGUUUUUCAUUUUAAGUGUGAACAUAAUUUAUAAUGUGAACACAAAUUUAAUUGAAAAAUAUUUUGAGUGGACAAAUCAUAAAGAGACAAGUGUCAAAUAAGUCUCUCAUAAAAGUUUUAUAAUUUCUAAAACUAGAAUCGGUUUUCAGCCUUUCUCUUACUUUUUUAGUAUUUUCAUUAUUUUAUUAAUGAGAAACUCUCCUAAAUACCACCAUUGCAGAUGGUCUAAGUCUCUCAGGUAAAGCGAAUUAUUUGUGAAAACUCCCCGAGUAAAAAAAAAAAUUAAAAAACAAAAAGAAAACUCCCCGUGUAGGACCCACUUAGAGAUAUUACCGAACUUUUGAACAAACCGUUAUGUCAUGGCGCGAAAAUAUUUAAAGAAACCAUCACAAGAGGGCAUAGAGACACAGCUUAAUAACAUCACGCAGUUUGGUCAAACGCUAAACCAAAUCGAAAUACAUUUAAACAGUUAAAACGCCAACGAAACAUUUCAUAUAUACCCAAACCGCAUCAGAAUCAACUAGUACUUGUAUCCUUUGACAAACAAGCUCUCUGAGGCGUUUGAGUCAUCGGAAGCCCCGCCAGUGUAUUUCCCGAGGGUAGCGUCCGAGUUGGCCUUGCACCUUGUCAAGAACGUGGCCUGAGCUUUGGCUACGUUCUCGGUCUUCCCGGCCCAAGCCUUGAGUGUGCUUUGCUGGAGGGCUCGGCCAAAGGAGAAAGUGAGCGUCCAUGGCUUCAACACAUCGAGCUUGUUCAUCGCGUUCAGAUUCAGCGUCGCUUCCUCUUCGCUCUGUCCACCUGAGAGGAACACGAUUCCUGGCACCGCUGGUGGGACCGUGCGGCGGAGAGCUGUCACCGUGUGUUCCGCGAUCACUUCCGGUGUAACCUGUUAAAAGCCGGCUUUAGUGUAAUCGAAUCAAAUCAAACCAAACUGAACCUUAAACCAAACUGUAUUUGGUUUUCAGUUUCACUGAAACCAAAAAGUCGAGAACACUGAAGUAAAUAACCAAACCGGAUUCGCUACACUUAGUUUGGUUACCUUUGGGCUGUCGGAGCCGGGAGUGACCAUGUUGGGUUUAAGCAGAGUGCCUUCGAGGAGGACGUGGUGGUCGUUCAAGGCCUUGUACACAGCAGCAAGAACCGUCUCGGUCACCGCCGCACAUUUCUUGAUGUCGUGGCUCCCAUCAGUCAGCACCUCUGGCUCGACGAUCGGAACCAGUCCGUUCUCCUGGCAGAUGAUGGCAUAACGAGCCAGCCCCUUGGCGUUCUCUUGGAUGGAGAGCUCGCUUGGCUCGGUGUCCCCAAUCUUGAGGACAGCACGCCAUUUGGCAAACCGGGCUCCUGCUUUGUAAUACUCCUGGCAACGUGCACCAAGCGAGUCUAGACCCUGUGUAGUGGUCUCGCCAUUGGUCCCUGCUAGCUCAACCACACCCUUGUCCACUUUGAUUCCGGGGAUAACUCCGUUCUCCUGAUACAGAAAAAGAAUCAGAUUAAGUUUCAUUUGAGUCAUGUCAAGAGCUUCAACUAUGCAACUCUUGAACACAAUGAUUAAGACUAGAGCUGGAGUUUGGUUUCUCCGGGACGGACCAGGAGGAAGUCGACGAAGGGUUUGCCAUCAGUGGUUUUCUGGUAGAGGGUUUCUUCGAAGAGGAUAACACCGGAGAGGCAAGGUAGAGCGUCAGGGGAAGUGAAGAGGAGCUCACGGAGAGCUUGGCGGUUGGACUCAAUGUUCUCAACAUUGAUGCUGGAGAAUCGUUUCCCGAUGGUUCCUGUGCUCUCGUCUGCCGCCAAAAUACCUUUUCCCGGUGUUGCAAUGUACUUGGCCGUCUUGAUCAGCUCAUCUGAACUCAGAAAGCACGUAAGAGAGAAGCUGACGAGACUGAAACGCGAAGAGUUGUUAAGAGAGAAGAGUGCAUGUUAAGUGUAUGUACCUGCGUAUUUGCCGACAAAAGCAGACAUGGUUACUUUUUGGAGUGCAGGAGAGAUUUUGCUGAAGGACGAGGAGGCCAAGACAAAGCCUUAAGUACCUGCAAGUUUUGAUUAUAUAUAGGUAAUAUCUACGAGGAAUAUACUGUUCGAAUUCUGACAUACGUGUCAGAAGGAGAGCCCGAGGAAGAUUAUCAACCUCAGAUAAAGCAAAUGGGUGAUAGCUUCUACUACCAAAUGGCAGCCAAUGAUCCCAGCUUUAUCCCCAAAGUCUUGGAUAUGUGGAGAAGAGAAAGAGAUAGGUACAAAACAAAAUCAGAGUCUUUUGUAUAGUACCUCUCUCACACACUUUAACCACACGUGUGUCCAUCCAAACUUACAAACACAAACAAGAGAUAUUUUUGGACGUUGAAGCCAAGAGUUCCAAGGAUAUUUAUACAUGCCAUGGUACAUAGGAGUUGCAGAUGGAGUAGUUCCAAGGAUAAUUAUAUAUGGUUAUGAUACACAGGAGUUGCAGAGUACCCAGUCCCGAGUUCGAUCAACCCCUCACUUGGGAAUUCAUAAGUGAAUCAAAACUGUUCCCAAGAAGAACUUGAGGGGGAUUAAAUGGAAAUAAACAUAGUUAAAGGGAAUUCAUUCGAUAGUUUGUGUAGCGGUUGUAGCGGAUAGGAUGUUGAAUGCAUAGAUAAACUGCACUGCAGGCCAUGGAAGGGACAACUAAUGCUGUAGGACCACAGUGUCCUAGUCGUCGUCUGUGCCAAAAUAUCGGUCCCCAAACUCGCCCAUUCCAGGAAUAACACGAAACUCUUCGUUUAAUCCAUUUUCGAUUUCAGAUGUCACUAUCUUCAUUCUUGGAAAUCUUCUGCAGACCACAUGAACACCUUGAGGUGCCUGGUUAAACAAAGAGAAAACAAAAUAUCUCAAUCCAGCUCCAUUCUUUGGAUAAACAUGGAUAAGGAGUAACCACAAGGGGUAUAGAUGAUAUGCUAAGGGUAUGUGUUAGCUUACCGAGAUAAGGUUUAGAAAUACUAUGUUUCCCUCGGGUACACCCUUGCUUAUAAGGAGAUUGAUAGCUUGAACUGCGGAAUUUCCUGAAAAGAUGUUCAAUUUUAGUGUCAUCAGGUACUCAAAAGGUCUUGUACUGACAAACCGUGUGCAAUAGAGCGAGAAAAAUAAGGAAUUAAAGUGUUUUCAGUGAUGAAGAAAGACGGUUUAAUCACCUGUGCCGAGAAUAGGAUCCAACAAUAGGACGUGCCUCUCCGAGAUAUCAUUUGGCAGUUUCUCAUAGAUGAGCUGCAGAGUGACUUAGACAUCAAGUACCGGUGAAAGAAAACCCCUGAGAUGCAAUAGGAGUGACUCGUUUACCUGUUGACCAUUGUCGCCUUCUCUGUGAAUUAGGAUCUUCCCGAUCUUGAUACCUUUGCAACAUGCUCGCAGUGCAUUCUCCAUGCUCUCACCGCUAGCAUUAUUUCAAAACCGUCAAGGUGGUGAGAGAAUGAGAUAUGUAAGGAGCCAGAGUUUCUCUUCAAUUAAAAUUAGGAUAACGGAAAGUACCUCCUAAUCACAGAGACACCACACAACCGUUUACAGAAAUCCACACCAGAAUAUACACAUCCUGAAACAGGUGACGGGGAUAUCUAUGAUCAAGUAAUCAUUGUGUUUAACCACUACAUCUACACAUAAAGAAUCUUGUGAAUUCACUAACAACAUUGGACAACAGAAAGAUCAUUCCCAUAAGCGUACCGGUUGGAGUAGUCACUUGCUUUUCAGUAAAAGGAAGAUGUCCAAGACCAUGUUCUACGACCUGAUACAUGUAAAAAAACAAUCACACAACGGAAAAGACAUAGGACAGGGAAAUUUGUUCAACCAUUUGACAGAGCUUUAGUAAUCCAACCAGCCGAAUCAAUCGAUCAGAAUAAAAGACAAAAUCAUGUUUGGUUGUCUGAGAAUCACGUAUAAGGGUGUGCAUCCCUCUUAUCUGCAAGAGAAAGCAGUAUGUAGUGAAAGUUCUAUUUGGUGAUUAAGAGAAUACCAAAUGCUGUACUUGUAGUUCGAUGAGAAAGAUAUAUUAAUUACCUGAAAUGUUGACUGUAUAACAUAGAGAUUAGGAUAUAUUUUACAUAGAUCAUGUUGACCCAGCUUGGUGCAAAUAUGUUGCACAAUUAAGUCAAUAGCUACAUGGUUAUCCCCACCACGAGGGAUUAUAAUAUCUGCAUAUUUCUUCGUCGGAAGAAUGAAGUCAUCAAAAGCAGGCUUCACAAACUUUGAGUACUGCAUUAAAAUAUUGACAUCAAUAUAACAUAUCGGCAGAAAACAUAUGGAUUUCAAAACUUGAAACUAAUAUGGUUAUGAGAGCAACGGAAUAUUCAAAGUGCCAUACGCAAACCAUUUCUCAUUGUUCUUGAGGAUAAUAUAUGCAGUAACAAAACUAACAAAAGCUAACCUGGUCAAGUACUGUGCCGAUAUCUCUACCAUUCUCGACAGUAUCUCUUCUUAUCCUUCUUGCCAGACGAACGUCAGCAUCUGCACAUGAAUAAAAAUUGCAAUGUGAAAUAGCUGAAUUGCUAAUUUUAAAACAUAGAGCAUUUCUUAAGUUUAAGAAGUUGUUCCUUCAUGUGGAGCCUUUCUAGCAGAAAAAAACAAUUGAGGCUUUAAAAGGAAAUAGAAUGUAGUAUACACAAGAGAUUACAGUAAUUAUCAUGGGAAGAAGCAACAAAUGACCUGUACAGACAAAAAUCUUCAUGUUCAUCAAUUUUCGGACGCGUGGAUCAUGGAAUAAAAGUAUCCCUUCAAGAAUUAUUACAUCCGUAGGAUUUACCUGCAGAUUUACAUCUUUCAAAAUCAGAGCAUUGAUAAGAUAAAAUAUGUAAAUCCGCCUAGAUCCUUAACCAGAUAAAAAAGCCAGUGACGACAUCUAGGACAUUGCUAUUGUCACAGGAAGGGACAGCAAGAAAAUGAAAAAGGCAUCUCAAAUAUCCAUCACUAUCCUAAGAUCAUUGAUAUCAAUUAGUACAUAAUAUGAAUUAUGAGUGAUGCUGAGAAGGAGAUGGUACCCUUCUGAAAACACUGCUUUUGUAAGUUUUGAAAUCGUAUUUUGGAAUAUCUACAGCUUCCCCUUGCCUCAAUUUCUCCAUACAAGACAACAAAUGCUCUGUGUCAAAUGCGUCUACAGAAACAAUAAUAAAUCAUUAGAAUCAAGAUCAACACAAGUAUACGGAGGGUGACAAAGAGUACUACGUAAAUUUUUGCUCAUAAUUCCCACCAACCACCAACUAGUAAGGUAAUGUCAGGGAUGAAAUUCCUAUAAAAUCACGAGAUAUAUAAUAGAGAAUACACCAAUCACUGGAUGUCACUGAAGAAUAUGGGUGUUGGUUAUGCCUUAAUGAUCCCAAAGAAGACGGGAAAUACAGUAUCCUUUUGAGACUUUAUUAGUUGACAAGAGCAGAUUAUGGGAAAUAUAGCAGCCCCAUUCCAAAUAUAUUCUCACCCGGAUGGUCAAAGUUGUAUUCAUGAACUCUAGCAAGUUCUUCUUCAGUCAAACUAUGAUAGAAUGAGUCCUGCCAAAUUAUUUAUUAUUGGAUAUUUAGUGGAGAAAUUUGUAGUUUAUUUGAGAAUUGGAUACAAACACUGACACACAUAUCCAAACAAUAGUGACAAGGUUGAACCAUGUUAAACUUCAGCCAUAUACACUUUAUUAGCAGGUGAUAUUGUAAUUUUAGAUCUUUAAAUUGUGUGGAAUUCAAUUGACUUUAUAUACAUAAGAAACACGGAUCAGGCCGGUGAUUAUUACUUCACAUCAUGAAACUUCACCAACGGAACAAAUUUACCUGGUUAACAAGUACAACACGCUGAUCAUGCAGUUGCUGGAUAAUCAUAUCACAAACAGUAGUCUUUCCCGAUGCUGCGCCUCCAGCAACACCUAACCAUUAAAACUCAAGCCACAACAUCUCAAAUCAAGACAGUCCCGGCAAGCUUUCCUUUAUCCACAACAGUCUACUCAGCAAAAAAUACAGCCUUGUAAAAGCAGAACUGACCUAUUACGAAAGGCUGUCUUUGGAUCUCUUCUGAUGCAGAAGUGGUUUCCUUAACUGCUCUUGGUUCCAACCCAUUCACUUGCCCGUUCACAUGGAAACCAGAAAAAUGAACCCCUGAGGAGGCUUGUAUCAUGUCAACCACGGACUUAGAACCCAUCCCUAUGACAAUUCUGGACAUUGAACGUAGGAAAGCCAUAUAAAACAUAGGUAAGCCACAUAAAAUAUCUUACUAUCUGUCAUAAUCAUGCAUAGCAAACAAAAAAAACAGAGAAUCUUACACCAUCUUAUUAGGGAAAAAACCUGAUUUUUCAGAACCCUUCAACUAGAUUUCCAUGGCUCUCAAUUCACAAAGUUUUUAUAUCAUACAAUCAUUGUGAACAUAAGAGUUUUUACACGUAGCGAUCAAAGAUUCUCCUGCAAUUUACUUCUACAAUCCAAACUUACUAUUCUUAUUACAAUGUGAAUCGAACCCCACUUUAUCCAGCAAAACAGAGAAUAUAAGAGUGAAAAUUUAGCUGCAACCAAAACAUAUAAAGAAGCAUGACUAGCACUGUGAAAUCGAACUCAUUUCUUUGCAUAGAUGAAAAUAAUGCGAAAUCCAUCCAGCAAUCUAAAACCCGCUAGUUAUCACAUGUACUCCUAUCGGAAGAAAACCAAAGCCUGGACCAGAAUCACCAUUAUCGAACAUCUCAAGGUGAAAUCGUGUUAUGUACCAGAGACACAGAUCAUUUAAGAGAGAAACAAAAGCAAAGGGCUUAUCAGAAAUUGCAAUGAAGUCACAAAAUGAGAUUCAAAAUUACCCAGAUUCAGCUCCGCUCUAAAAGAUCUCAGGAAAACUCAAAUGAAAAUGGAGAUGCAGUUUCUAUGGAAGUUAAAACAAUAGAAUCUCGAAAGGGACAAAAUUUAAUCUUAUUAAUUAAACUAUACAUAAACUUUUAAUUGUUUGGACAAGAAAAAGCCGGAUUCGGACAUGAUUGAUUUAGUAUAAAAUAUUAGCGGAGCGUGGUGAGGUGACGACGACGAACGAAGAAGAAGGAAGGCGAAGCUAGAACGGAAAAUCUAAGAUAUCUUUUUCUUUCUUUUUUUUUUUUUUGCGAAAAGAGUCGUCUACUUUCUAAUGGUUCAGAUCACACCCCGCAACUGAUUUGGAUUUUUUUUUUUGUUUUCGGAGACUCUCAGCAAUUCCGGUAUAUUUCCCGGUUUAUCCUAAAAUUGGAACUUCCAUUGCUUACAUACUCAAUUGGCGAUUGUGGUUUGAUUUGGAAUAUUCAUUCAUUCAUUCGUCUCUCUCUCGAAGCUUCAAGUCGACUAUGGCAGCAGCGAUGUCUUCUUCUUGUUGCGUUUCUUCGCUUCGCUUAAUUCCGUUCAAACGAAAUUUGAUUUCUUCCGUUCAUUAUCCGGCGAAAUCCCUGAUUUUGCGGCCAAUUCCCUCAUUUCUUCGGACGAUCGUCACUUUCCAGAAAAUAUCAACCGGAAUCGUUCCUCCGCCAUCGGCUUCAUCAUCUCCGUCGAGUUCCGUAGACCUUCAACCCAUCGAAGAGCUUCCUCCGAAGCUACAAGAGAUCGUCAAGCUAUUCCAAUCGGUACAGGAGCCAAAGGCCAAGUACGAGCAGCUUCUCUUCUACGGGAAGAAUCUGAAACCGCUCGAUUCCCAAUUCAAGACGAGGGAGAACAAAGUGGAAGGAUGCGUUUCUCAGGUAUGGGUUAGGGCUUUCUUUGACGAGGAACGCAACGUCGUGUACGAAGCUGAUUCCGAUUCGGUUCUCACCAAAGGGCUAGCUGCUCUUCUCGUUCAGGGUUUAUCUGGAAGACCCGUGCCUGAGAUUUUGAGGAUAACGCCUGAUUUCGCGGUUCUUCUCGGCUUGCAGCAGAGCCUUACUCCUUCAAGAAACAAUGGAUUCCUUAACAUGCUCAAGUUGAUGCAGAAGAAGGCUCUUUUUCUGGAAGUCAAAGCUGAGGAGGGUACAAGCUCUGGAGAGGUUUCAGAAUCCAGCUUCGCAUCUACUCCUGAAACAAACGACGAAGCAAAUGUUACUGAGGCGGAUUCGGAGUCAAGACCUAGUGUAGUUGAGGAGGAUUUGGGAACAGAAAAGAUUGAAGAUUCCGAUAGUGGGUCAAAUAUCGUUGCUUUAGGCGAUAGAGGGAUGAGGAUUAGAGAGAAAUUGGAGAAGGAGCUAAGUCCUGUUGAGUUAGAAGUUGAAGAUGUGUCUUACCAGCACGCAGGACAUGCUGCUGUUCGAGGUAGUGCUGGUGCUGAUGGGGAAACACAUUUCAACCUGAGAAUCGUCUCGGAUGCUUUCCAAGGUAAAAGCUUGGUGAAGAGACAUAGGAUGAUAUAUGGCUUGUUGCAAGAGGAGUUGCAGAGCGGGUUACAUGCUCUCUCUAUUGUGGCUAAGACUGCGGCUGAGCUUUGAGGGCGUUGCAAUGGAAGAAGUCGAGAUCCACAUUAUUUUUCCAUUUGCUUUGGAUUUUGUUCUCUGGACCUUUUAAUAAUCUUGACGCUUACGAGCUAUAUAUCAGGAUCAUGUUUUAUAUGGAUUCUUGAAUUGAGAGAUAUGUAUUGCUUGUGCCAACGGAUCAGAUCUUUAUAGAGGAUAUAUAUAUAUAUAGUUUUCACUUCAUCUUAUCUCCGUUUUCAAUCUAGAAUCCCUUUUUUUUGCUAGCGUCAAGGUCUUGAUUGUUUUGCUAUGGUUUCUGGGUCCUAAGUUUUCAUGUCUGCUGUUCGAGAGAUGAAUAGGAUCAGAGAAUGAUCAAGGUUGUUCCCCAUAUGGCGACGUUUUGAAUCGCUAGGAUCACAGCAUCUAAGGAAAGUAAAAGGUGAAGUUUCUUGUUCAUUUAUUUUUUCGUCUAGAUAGUCAAAGUUGGUACUUUUUAAUCAAUUGAUGCAAGUUGGAUUGAGGGGUUACAGAGAUAGAAAGAGAUUUGGUUGCUUUAUUUCUUUCUUUCUGAUAAAAGAAUAAAAAAUGUGAAAGGGGUUUCAGUUGAUCCCUGUUUAAGUCUACCGUUAGACAUGUGAUGUUUCUUAAAGCCCCCAUUAGGUGAGACUUGUGUGGUUUUAUAUACAAACAACUUUACAUGACUGACUACUGAAACCAGUUGCGGUUUUAGCUAAUCAAUUUCUGCUGAACUUUUCGAUGUGAGACCAUUGUAUCUAAUUUUUGAAGUUUCUUGUACAAAGUAUUAGUCUUAGUUGAGAUUUUGAAUUUUAAAAUCCUCUAUCUUGGCUUAUGCUAGAAAAUCGGUUAGCUUACUUUUCUUUGUUUGUGCGUUUUUGAUUACUUUUAGCCCUAAAGGGGAACCAACAUAAGAAUCUAAUGUUUGAUACCUCUUUUGCUUUUGGUCUUAAAUCUUUUCUCUGGUGGUUCAGGUAUGUUCAACAGUACAAAAAUUCACCACUGUGCUUGGAACUGUGUCUACUGGUUUAAUUGUAAAUAUGUUGCCUAGAAAGAUAAGAUCUUUCCAAUUUCUUGAUCUUGGAAACAGUACAAACUUCGUUCUCUGUUCUAAGAUAGAGUUCACUUGGUCUUGUUCUUUUAAACAUUUUGUAGGUAAGCAAAACGAGAUCUAUAUAUACUUGACGAACAUGCCAAAGCUAGAGACUUUGAAGAUGACUCCGAGAACCGAUUCGUCUUCUUCAUCGUCUCUUUGUCGUGCAGUUACGAGAAACUAGGAUUCCAAUUGGCGGACCGGUCAUCUGAAGAUGGCACCUCGCGUGCAGCUGGUAAGAGUAAUGAAUCAUCCCAAAAUGAACUCUGACUUUGAAGGAACUUAUAAUCUCAUAUUCUAUUUUGUUGUUCUGCAUCUGUCUCUUGAGCUCCACCGCGUAGUUUAGAGGCAAGUAGACUAAGCUCGAGAUCAAACGGAUUGGUUCCAAUCUCGUCUCGCGUCUUCUCUGCGAGAAUGGCUGGACCCCUUGCAUCGCAAUCGAUCUGUUGAAGAAAAAAAGCUCUAUCUUGAGCUGUUCAAACUUCACUCCUAUCUUCUUAUUAGGGUUUGUAAAAUUCACCAGCAUCGACAAAUCGCCGUUGAAAUACACCAGUGAGUCAAAGUAGAUUGUGUGUAGGUUUGCGUUUGGGAUGUCAAAAACAGGGGCUCUUGGUCUAACCGCAAGAAACACAAUCAAAGUAGCGAUCCCAAAGAAGAUAAGCAAAAGGCUGAACACAAAACAUAAACCAGCGACACACCAUAUCAACAGAUUGGUCCUGCUUCUUCGUGGCUGCCUGAGAAUCACCGUAUCUUUCCUCGGCUCUGGAUCAAGACCGUUGAAUUUAACCGCCGGUGAUUUAGUUGAAACCAUUUGGUUAAGUGGUGUGGACUGCGUGCUCCGUGGUGUUCUCCAUGGCGUAGUUCUUGGAGUAUACCACAUAGACGACGGCGUGUCCCAUGGCGGCGUUUCCGGCGGGUGCGACUGCGGUGGAGGAGGUAGAGGAAGUAGAUUUGACAUGGGUUAUGUGAUCAAUGAUAAUGAAGGGAAAGUUAGAAAUGUGUAAUGGUUUUGGGUUAAAUAGGAAAAAUUAAAGUUUCGUUUUUGUUGUGUGUAAAAAGCGAAAGCGAGAGUUUGGGCAAAAGAAGGGAGCUUUUGCAUAAUGGGGUUUGGUUUUGUAAUGAGUGGGACCAUGCGUGUCGUUUUGAAGAACUAGCAAAGCAAAUCUCUUCGUGGCUUUAAAGUUUGAAAACUAAAUGGGUUUCGACUUUCGAGAAAAAUAAGAGUUCUUCUAUUUUUAUUUUCAAUUCUUAACAAGUGGCUUUUCCUAAUUACAAAUAUAAGAAGAUAAAAAAAUUUUGAUUGAUAAAGUUUUGAAUGAUUGUCAGGGGACAUAUAUACUUAUGAGUUAUUGAAAUAAAACCAAAUUUGUUUUUCAAAUUUGUUUCUCUAAAGUGUCCCAAAAUACUAGAGUCUCUAAUAGAUGUCCAACUCUAGAUAGACAUUGAUAUAUCAUGAUCAAGCAAAGUUUGGUUUGUCAACAUUCUACAGUAUGCAAAUUUAUAUUUAGAUGAUAAUGUAGUGAUUGUACUAGUCUACACUUCUAAAGUAACAUAUCAUGGUCAAUGAAAUAGAGUUUUUUUUUUUUUUUUUGAAUGAAAUAGAGAUUUCAUUUGACAUGUAAUAUAUCAGAAGCAAUAUUGGGUAACCAAGUUUUUUUUUUUUGAUUGAAAACCUCUAGUGUUUGAAAUUCUUUAGAAGUGACAUGAAUACAAAUUGAUUCUUUAAGUUGCUUUUAGUUUUAGUCUAAAGUUUGAUAAUUCAUCUUUCAACUUUCUUUAGUUGUAUGAAAAUAAUAAAAAUGAAUUUAUUCCUUGGUUAACUGUGUAUUUUCUUCUCUCAGUUUUGUUGGUAGUUGUGCUGAGGAUACACAAAACAAAACAAAACACAUCAACACUAAGAAAAAUCUUUUUUUUGUUCUUUCCAAUUAAAAGAUUAUAACUAGAAAUCCUUGAUAAUGAUAAUGUUUUUCAUUGUGAUUUGAUAAAAAAAAAUUUGGUCGAAUGAUAGUCUUUUGUUUAUUUCAUUAAAAUAACAUAAAUUUCACUUGUGAUUACUCUGUAAUUUAUGGUCAACCUUAUUUUUCUGAAUCUAAUUUUAAAACAGAUAACAUAUACCAAAAUGGGUAUUACAAAUAUUUGGUUCAAUCAUCUUUUGUUAAAAAUGUGUAGAUUAGAGAUGGAUUGAGAAGAACAUUUUUAUAACAUUUUCCAUAUGCGAAUGUACCAAAUUAGUACAAGAUUUAAUAUGGAAGUGGAAAAUUCAUGUGGUAUGGAAGUGGACGACCUUUGCUACUUGGUAUGCAUGAUGCUAAAUUGCUUUCUUUGAUUGAAUGACCGUAUCCAAUAUUUAUCUAGAAAAGGAUAACUCUUUUCAAAUCUGUUUGAUAAGGUUAUGGGUUAUCUAGGUUUAGUCUUCAUAGCCACAGAUCAUAAAAUCAUAGGAUAAUUAAUUAGAGUACAAAAACCAAUUUAUUAUAGUGGAAAAAAGACUAUUCAAUCAGUAAUAUCUUGAUCAAAUUAACGUCAUGUAAUGUUUUUGUAGAUUGGCGAUAACUCGUUUUAUUUAUUCCGAAUUGAAUGUUUCAAAUCACAUUUAGGAAUAAUCUAAUUAUAAGAAGGGAGAAAUGUGAUAAUGGUUUCAUUAAUACAAAAAAGGGUAUAUGGAAGGUUUAGUAACUUCGAAUCUAUACAAACUCGCAUAGAAGUCUAACAGGCAAAUUCAAAAUAAAAAUUAACAAUCAAUGAACCCAAAAUUAAAUGACAUUGACACAACCUCUACGUUGUGACUCUAUGACUGUGUAUAUAUUUUUGGAUUGUGAAAUUUUAGUCUUCAGAUGUAAAUGGAGGAUUCAGAAAAAAGGUUAAGACAUUAUAGUAGUAAACACGAAAUCCUUCUCGUUGGAGAAGGAGACUUCUCUUUCUCAUUAUGUCUAGCUUCAGCUUUUGGCUCGGCCACAAACAUCACAGCGACAUCUCUCGAUUCCGAAGGUACUAGUUAUAUAUGAACAUAUACUCAUCAUCUCACAAGUAUUAUUAUAAGAUCGAAUUGAAUCAUUAAAAUCUUACAUGAAUGUAGAUGAACUGUGCACAAAGUAUAUGGAUGCGAUGGAUAAUGUAAGCAUAUUGAAGAGAUACGGGUGCAAUGUUCAGCACGAGGUUGACGUUCACACGAUGAGCUUCGAUAACAAUCUUGGCCUGCGACGCUUUGACCGCAUUGUCUUCAAUUUUCCACACGCAGGGUCUCGUUUCUUCGGCCGUGAAUCUUCCGAAACAGCCAUCGAGUAAAUAUAUUCGUAUAUAAUACUCUUCAUUUUUUUGUGUUAAAACGAAUAUAGUUUUAAUGUAAUUGAUAUGGAUCUACGUAACGAUGAAACGCUGCGUUUUGGACACAGGAGUCACCGAGUGCUAGUUCAAGGGUUUCUUGAGAACGCUAAAGAGAUGUUGAAAGAGAAUGGGGAGAUUCAUAUCACACACAAGACAACGUAUCCGUUUAGUGAUUGGAGGAUUAAGACUCUGGCUAAAAAAGAGGGUUUGAAGCUGGUUCAGGAGUCCGAGUUCGAGCUGAGUCAUUAUCCUGGUUAUACCAACAAGAGAGGGAGUAGUGGACGAAGACGGAAGAGUGAUGAUUACUUCCCUCUUGGAGAAUGUUCUACUCUCAUGUUUAAAUAACAUUGACCCAAUUCCAAUCCCAUCUUCUCUGAAUUUGCCUUUAAUUUAUUACUUAUCGUUAGACGUUACUAAUAAAAUUAUUUUGGUUUCUAAUAAGUUUUCUUCAUUUGGCUCUACCAGUUCCAAUUUAUCAGAUGUUCUAACUAAAAUUAUUGAGAUAAAAUAUUAUUAAAAUUGUGUGUUUUCAUUUCGUAUACAUAAGAUUCUUGAUACCAUCUAAUACAUAGGUAAAAGUAUUUUUGGUACCCAUAAACAAAUAGUCACAAACUCAUAAAAUAUCCAAUAAAUUUCGACUUUUGCAUAAAAAGGUAUAUAUAUAUAUAUUCUCUUCCGCUAAAACAUUAAACGAAAAGCUAAAUUGGUUGAGAUUUAAACUUUAGUUUAUUGAUUGGUCCAAAUUAAGAAUAUUCUUUUAAAAAAUAUUAUAUCAGGGACAGGGGUUAAUCCCAAAAUAUUGUAAGAGAUGCAUGCAAGUUUGAAAUUAAUAAACUAAUAGAUGUAAUAGACGGUUAAAUAUUACUCCUAUCAUAAAAAAUGGAUUUCCAAAACGUCAUGGACACACGUUGAAAGAAUGGAACUGAGACUCUAAUCCAUCAUCCAUAUGACAUGGACACACGUUAAAAGAAUGUAACUCGUGAGCAUUAAGAACCAUCAUACAUUGUCUUCAGAAAACCAACCCAAACUUCACAUAUUCUCCUAAUGGCUUGCCAAAAGAUUCAAUUCGAGAAGCAAAUUAUCGACUUGUACGACCAAAUAUCCAAACUCAAGAGCCUUAAACCUUCCGAAAAUGUUGACAACUUGUUCGGACAGCUCAUGUCCACGUGCUUGCCCACGGAGACUAACAUCGACGUCGAAAGUUUGUGCCCAAAAAUCCAAGAUAUCAGAACCAAUCUCAUCAAGCUACGUAGUGAAGCCAUAGGAUAUUCUGAGCAACACUUAUCCACGGUCCUGGGAUCUCUCGAAGACAACCCACUUCAUCAUUUAGAUCUCUACCCUUACUACAACAACUACCUCAAACUAAGCAAGGUCGAGUUCGAUCUCCUCACGCAACACACGAGCCAUGUUCCAACCAAGAUUGCGUUCGUGGGCUCUGGUUCGAUGCCCUUCACAUCCAUCAUCUUGGCUAAGUUCCAUCUCCCAAACACGACGUUCCACAACUUCGAAAUCGACCCUCAAGCCAACUCCCUUGCCUCCCGACUUGUCUCACGAGAUCUCGACCUCUCCAGACGCAUGAUCUUUCACACAAUGGAUAUACUCAACGCCACAGAGAUUCUACGUGACUACGACGUCGUUUUCUUGGCAUCGUUUGUUGGGGUGGACAAAGAAGCAAAAGUCAAAGUCAUCGAACACUUGGAGAAACACAUGUCUCCUGGAGCUCUGCUCAUGCUUAGGAGUGCUAAAGGCCUUAGAGCUUUCCUAUAUAUAGACAUUGAUCCUUGUGGUCUAAAAGGUUUCGAGGUGUUGGCGACCUAUCACCCGUCGUUGUCAGAUGGAUUUGUGAACUCGGUGAUGGUCACACGCAAACUCAGCGAUUAAGCCACGAGUGGCGUAUUGGAACUUGGUGAUCGUUGCGGAAACUUUGUUGUUUUUGAUUAUAAAUGAUCCACGAAUUUUAUGAAAUACAUUCUCUAAAAUACCAUCAGUGUAAGAUCUUUUCAAAAAUACCACUGCUCUACCGUUAUAUUCUUAAUGAAAUUUGUCAUAAUUGUUUUUUUAAUAAGGUUUGAUAGAUGAAUAGAGCAUUUUUUUUUAACGUUUCUUGUAAAAAAUGGUUAAGAGUAAUUUAAACAGUUUGUAUCUUAUGGUCCAAAUGGUAGUCACUAUAGUCGAAUUACUAGUGGAUGAGUGGAAUAUAAUUGAGUGAAAUAAAUAAACUAACCCAUCCAAGUAAUUCCUCUAAUUCUCUCUAGUAAAACAGUAGAGGAAUGUUUUCCUCUGAAAUUUGUUUAUUCUUUCAAUUUUUGGAUAGAACAAAUAGAAUUUUCUUUAUGCUUAUUCUGCUAAUUUUGGUCAAAUUUACAAUCAUUUAUACUCUUAACUAGUGAAAAUUUUGAAAAUAGUGCUAUUUUUAGAGACUAUGCAUAUUUGUGAUUUUUGUAAAGUAAACGCGAAAGUCUAUGAACAAUUUCCGUUAUUUUAGAAAUUCUCUUGAUCAAAACAACAUUUUCAAGAUUCGCUUGAUGAAUCAAACAUUCUUAAAUCCCAUAUAAAUCAAAUUAUUAAAGUACAAGUAACAACAUCUUGACAAAACCACCAGAAACCAAAUUCACCUCUCUGUCUUGCUCCAACAACAGGAUCCAAGUUGGUAGAUCAUAGAUGAUUAUAUAUAACAUUCAUAUGAUUUCAAAUCCGUCCUAAUAGCAUAUUCAUUGGAGGUUUUAAGUGGUUACGUAGAUGGAUUAAUAAUUGUGAAGUAAUCAUUAAAUUUUAGCUAGAUCAAGUUUGGUCAAGAAGAGUUUUGGAUGGUGCUAGGGUCAAGGAAUUAGCCAUUACUUGUGUAACAAGUCAGAUGAUGUUUUACUUCAUGCGGCUCACUCUUCCUAGCUCCAAAUUGAGAAAUUUUCUGACCUAUACAUUCCUCUUUCUCUCCUGCGCUCUGUCUUCUGUAGUAAAUCUUUCUUUAUUAAUUGUUGUUUUUUUUCUUUCUCUGUGCGCUAAUUGCUGAGAUUAUGAUGUGAUGUCUCUGUACCGUACCCUAUUCUGGUUGACUAUUUUCAUAUACAAAUAUUUAAGAAUUUCAGUUAAAUAUAGGUAUUCGACACUAUCCAUAUUCCAUUGAAAAAAGAAAGAACAUAUACCCAUAAAAUUAAAAAAAAACAUCAAUGGUCGAAUGUACAUGACUAAAUUCGAAUUGUUUGGUUAAAACUUAAACAAUUUUGUGCCACUAAAAUUACUUGCCACCGAACAAGAUAUGAAAUAUAAAAAUCCUAAAUAAUUGGAAAAAGAAAAGCCGCUAAGCUGCUAAAGUAGCAAGUAAGCGUAUAUUACAUAGCAAUUGCGCUUAAUGCAACGGAUCGAGAUAUAAAUCAUAGUAAUUGCCGGUAACCAAGUGAAUGACAAUACCGAACCGGUUCCAGAGACGUGAAAGAAAUAGAAGCGGGCCCGGUCAAGUAGGUAGCCUCACAAAUCACAAUGAUUUAAGAGGUAUCCAGCUGGAUCCAGAGACUCUGAGUCAGUAAGAAGUUUCUUAGGAGGAGGACAAGAGCGGUAAGAAAAUCAAAUAAAAGACUUGUGUCCUCCUCCGUCUAAGGUAAAAACUAAAAAGCUAAAAUGAAACGAAACAUUUACAUAAUCAUUUCAAGAGAGUCCCACACAGCUAUAAAGGCCCAAACAAACCAAAAACAAAAAUAAAUUCAUCCACCGACGUGUGUGUGUGUGUUGUGUGCUGCAGCAAGAUUUAGAUUUUGAGGGCUAAAACUUGUGUGAGCCAGAUUCACUCCUCCUCCUUCCUCUUCUGAUCCGCCGCCGCAACCAUCCUCGAUCUCCUCCCAGCUUUGCUCUUAUCUCUUAAGUACUCACUUGUUUCUCCGGGAUUGGUCUCUCUCCAUAAGCAGCUGAGGAAGAACUACAAGAAGCCGUCUUGGUGAUGAUGAUGAUGACUUCACUCGGUGGUGGAGGCGGAGGAGGUGGUGCCAGUGGUGGUGGUGGUGGUGGUGGUAGAUUCUUGACGUAUCCGCCGCCUCUUUCUGUGCCUCCCUCGGCUCCUCAGUCACCUAACUUCUCUGGUGGUCUCCGAUCACAGCCUUCUUUCCUCGUUGAGCAGGAGAAGUAAUUUAAAUCUCUGUUUUUUUUUUCCUCUGUCUCUCUCUCCCCGUCUUGUAGUUGACUUGUUUUUCUCUGUUUUUACUGAUUGGAUCCUGAAGUUUUAGUUUUUAUUACAAAUCUGAUUUCUUUGUCUAUUUGUUUAUAUCGAAUUUUUCAUUUCUAGUUCUUGUUACUCGUGCCGAGAUCUAUGUUUUUCAUUUCUGUUGCUUCUGUCGAUUUUCGAUAUGUUUUUGAGUUGAGCUCCUACCUACUACCUCUGCAAAAUUAAGCUCUUUAUAGCUCAAUCUACUUCAGUUGUCCCCUGUAUUUUGGUAAAGUAAUAUACUUUCUUACUUGAAAAAAAAGUUCUGAAUCUUUAAACCCAGUAUGUCUCUCAUCGAUUGGGAAAUGGCUUUGUAAGUCUUCACCGCUGGAGAUUAACAAGAUCCUGUCUGCCUAGGUGCUGAUGUUUAGAGCUAGGAUUUGCUAAAGGAAUUGGUUACAUGAAUCUAGUUAAAAAGAUUUGACAUUUAAAUUCGCUUAUUGAACGUGAUUGUUGAGUGGAAAUGAGUGGAUCUGCUUGGUAUCUUGUGUGCUCUUAAGGUCAUACUGAUUUGGAUAAUCUGCAAUUUCUCUUUUGGCAGAUAUCUUUCCGAGUUACUUGCAGAGCGUCACAAGCUUACUCCAUUCUUGCCUGUGCUUCCACAUGUCUGCCGGCUGAUGAACCAAGGUUAGCCAUACAGUUAUGAUAAGACCAAACUUUAUGGUUUACUUUCCUCAUAAGAUUGUUUAUAUUUUUUGUUUCUUGCUUCAGAACUACAAUCUUUGUACUUUUGAUAAGCAUUUUAGUGGUGCUACUAAGAGAGAUCAUUUAGCUAGCUGUUAGAGAAGAAUAACAUAUGACAGAUUAAUUGCAUAGUCCCGUUAGUAAAAUAUCUUACAAUCCCAAGUCUUUCUUCCCUUACAAUGACAUAGAACCUACAGCGACAGUGCGGGGUAUUUCAGUUGAAUUGUGGUCUAAUAGAGUUUAGAAAUGACUUUCCACUGAUGUAGAUUUGAUUUUCAGGUCAUAUUACAAAAAAUUACUAAAAAUCUAAUUUCUUGGAAUUCUUAUUCAAAGUUAUUUCGUAGAGUUCCUCAUAAUCAAUCCUUGUGUGACCUUCGUAGAGAUCAUAGUACAGUUGUAUUAGUGUCUUUGAUUGCUCUGUUACAUUCUAUUUAACUAUAGUGUGAUAGUUAAUAUUCACUAACUUAGUUGAGACUAAGCUGUCUCUCCAUUCCACUAUCAUUGGUGAUGGAUUUGUUGACUAAUUCUAACUGGUGCGUCUUACUCUUGAAAAUUGACAUUUUUUGAAACAGAAAUUUUGCGUGUAACCACGCUGUUGGAGAAUGCCAUAAGUCAGAGUAGGUUUGAUCACCCUAGCCCUCUGGGUUCUGGAGGGAUAUUUCAGAAUGCAAGAGCUGACAUGAAUGGAUGGCCCUCACAGUUUCCAUCAGAAGUAUGACUACUAACCAUUAACAUAACUCUUUUCAUCUAAUUCAUACUAUAGCUUCUGUUGACUUGAGUUGUACUGACAUAACUUGCUUUGACUUACUUUUAAUCCUAGUUCAUCAUGACAGGUAGUUUGGGCAAACACUGAUAAUCAGUAUUGUUGUGCAAGGUUUUUGCCUUAGGUCAACACACUAACUAGAUAUAUUCCAUUACCUUCAAAUGCCAUAUAGAUGUUAGGUGCAGCUGUGAAGGAUCAAAUAUAACAUGGUCUGAUUAUUCUGUUAAUAUUAUGAAUUAGGAUAAGCAAUUGCAGGUUGCAAACUUGCAACAACGCGAUACAUUGCCUCUUUUCCGAUGGAAGAAACAUUUGAUAAGAAUUUAUUUAAUGUUCUUCUGGUUUUGAUUCUACAGUCAUGUCUGUAGCAUGUACGUAUGCUUUGAGGUUGACAUGGCUUCUAAGUUCUAACAGGUUUUUGGUUUGUCAUUUCAUUUGCAGAGAUCUGUUUCUUCAUCUCCAGCACCAAAUUGGCUAAACUCUCCUGGUAGCUCGUCUGGUCUCAUUGUCAAGCGAACAAUCAGGGUGGAUAUUCCAGUUGACAAAUACCCAAAUGUAUGAACCUCAAUUUCCUUGCUGAGAUCCUAAACUAUCUACAGCCAGUUUAUAACUUGUGAUUCGAUUAUCUGCAGUACAAUUUUGUUGGUCGCCUCUUGGGUCCUAGAGGUAACUCCCUCAAACGAGUUGAAGCUAGUACUGAUUGCCGCGUUCUGAUAAGGGGGAGAGGCAGCAUCAAAGAUCCGAUCAAGGUUAUUACAUUUUUCUCAUCUGUUGAGAUAUAAUAAUACCUAUCUGCAUAUAUCUGUAUAUUCAUUCUCUAGCAUUGUUGCAGGAGGAUAUGAUGAGAGGGAAACCAGGUUAUGAGCACCUGAAUGAACCACUCCACAUCUUAGUCGAGGCAGAACUGCCCAUUGAGAUAGUGGAUGCACGUCUCAUGCAAGCUCGUGAAAUACUUGAUGAUCUACUUACUCCCGUGGUUCGUACAUAGCUCUUCAACGAUCUUAAACCAUAUAUUGGCAUAGAAUUUGUCUCUGUAUAACAACGCUUAUUUUUGUUUAUGUAUUGCUUUAGGAGGAAACGCAUGAUUUCUACAAGAAACAACAGCUCCGUGAAUUGGCCCUUCUCAACGGUAGUCUUAGAGAAGAAGGGUCUCCAAUGUCUGGUUCCAUCUCUCCUUACAAUAGCCUCGGCAUGAAGAGAGCCAAGACAAGGGGCUAAUAAACACGUCUCAGGUCAUGUUAUCUGCUUAACUCUCUCACCUUUCCAAGAAGGUAUAUAUGCACCGUAACAGCUUCCUUCUUCGGACAAGAAGGCUUAUGAGAUUCUGUCUCCAUCCCAUCCUCCUACUCCUCCCUGGGCUACCGGUACUGUCUCUUAUCCCUGGAAUAAAAAAAAAACACCUGUUGUAUAUGAAUCUGUGUCUUAUUUAUAGUGUCCCGGAGAGAUUUCAGACGACAGAAGUACAGGCAGUGCGAAAGGGAUGAGUCCGUCUCUGUUCCUGUCUUGUCUGUCUCUGUCUCUGUCUCUGUCCGAGGUUAAUUUUGGCUUGCUUUUGCUCUUUUCGUUAUUUGUUUAAUUGUUUCAGUGGAGACCCACUACUAAUAAGGUUUGUUUAGUUAGAGCCAGUUUUUGGGAAAAACAUCAUGGUUUGUGUUUAAUAAUGAAUUAUUCUGUUUGCAUUACAUAAACAUCAACUAAUAUAUUUUGUUACUACUACAUUAUGCAAGCACACACACAAAAUAUAUAGACUUAGAAACCCACAAACAUCAAGCCUUGUCAAUUGUUGUCGUCGUCUUCUUCAUUCUCAUCUAUCCCGACCCACUGAGUAAAUGCGAACAAAAACUCUUUAAAGUUCACCAUUCCAUUUUUGUCCCAGUCCAUUUCCUCUGCAAACAACAAAAUGAAUCAUAGUCAAUAUUCUUGGUUCGGAGAGAGAAAGAGAGAGAGAGAGAGAGAGUUAAAGACUAGACCAAAUCUCUUCAUUGCAAUCCGCCCUGAGGAUCGUUCUCCAGAUUCAUCAAUGGCUCGGACCAUCUCCUCGCGGCUAACAUAUCCAUCCUUGUUCUCGUCCAGGAACACGAAUGUGUCCACUAGCGUCUCAAACGUCGGUUCCAGCUUAGGCAUCCCCAGUCUCCAUUUCUAUUCAUCGUUCGAAAAACUCUCAUUACCAAAACGAUCAAAUCUAAACCAAAAGUCAAAUCGAGAAGAAUGUGAUAGUAUAAUUAAAUUUUGCGUGUUACCUUUUGGAGAGUGGAGGAAUCGUCCUUAAGAAGAUAGACGAGGCAGAGAAGAACAAUGAACUCAGUAAAUGUGAUCCCCAUAUCCUCGUUAAUAUCACAAGCCUCGAACAAAUCAUUUAUCUCUUCUUCAUCGAACGAGAUCUCUAGCUUCCUGAAACAAUUCUUUAGCUCCGUGUGAUCAAUUGACCCAUUCGAAUCCUCAUCUGCACAAACCAACCAAGUUAAUAAAAUCCAUGGAGAAAAAAAAAGCCCGCUUUUUUAGAAUUUACGCGUGCGUGGACUCACCGAACUCUUGGAAAAUGGCUUUGCAGUUUCGAAGACCGUCAUCGAUCUUUGGGAACUUGAGAACAAUACUGUUGAAAGAUUUCGUUGUGGUGCCCCUCGAUGCCCUGCGUCGCACGGCUUCUAUGAUUUUGGCCUCUAGCUUUGUCUCUGGAACCCAUUCUUUUUGCUCAGUUUCAGAUUUCGUCACCGCGCCUCCCAUGUCUCUUGUUAAUGCUUCGAGAUCAGGUCGUAGAUUCAACACACAGACGAAUCUAGUUUCUUGGAAGACAAGGCAGCUUAACUUCUUGAUUUAUUACAGAAGAAUAACGCUGUUUGAUGAUUCCAAGAUCACAAAAAUCAGAUCUACUCGGACAUUCAAUAAAUAACUAGGGAGGAAAACUAAAUCGAGACAACAUUUAAAAGGACAAGUUUCACAUCAGACGAUGGAUGUCACAAGAAUCAGGACGAAACAAAAAAAAAAGAAAAAAAGUCAGAAAGAAGAGAAGAACCUGUAGUAAUUUCUUGUUUGUUUGUCACGAGAUCAAAACACAAUCACAGAUCUGUUUUGUUGUUAUUGUUUGACAGGAAAAAGUAAUAUUAGAUGUUUGAGAAGAAGAAUUGGACGAGUUUUUAUUAAUGGCGUGAAGAACGCUGUAGAUUCCACGUAAUUGCGCAUCUUAGUCAAACGCUUAUUCAUUUGUCAUCUAUUUAUUAAUUUAACAUUAAGUCUCCAUCUUCUCUGACUUUUCGCUUCUUAUUAUUUUUCUUUACUAAUUUACAAAAUGAGAUGGUAUUACAGUUACCACUAAUCUUUGACUAUCGAUCUAUGAUUUUUUUUUUGUUUGCCUAAAGUAAACGUACUGAUUAUUUAACUAAUUACUCGUCCAUUAUUCAGUUGAAAUGUCCUACCGUUUAAAUUUGCAAAAACAUUAAUUUCUCCUAUGUUCUCUGUCUCUCCCUCAGUUUUUCUGUCUCUCCCUCAGUUUUCCUAUAACUCCUUUCCUUUGAGUAUUAUUCUUUUAAAGUUUCAAGUUUUUGUAACAACAGUUUCAUGGAGCUAAAAUUAUUAUUUCUUCUGAUGGCACCAUUGAUAACUUUUUCCUCAUCAAGUUCCAUAUCGGGUACGUUUUUUGUGUUCUUUUUCCCUCUCAAAUUUGUUAAUUUUGUUCUCUAAAUUUCCAAUUCAAAUUAGAAUUUGAGUUUAUGGAGAUGAUGAUAUUUUUAUCUAUCGAUUCACUUUCUAUAGAUAGUGUGUUAGAAUCUCAGACUUCGGUUACAGUUGCUGGAAGAAGCCUACUUUCUGCCAAAAAAGGUAAGUAUGUUAAAAAAAAAAGGCCAAUUGAUAAACCAAAUACUGUAUUUGGUUAUUUGGUUAUGCUUUUUCUUUUAUGUAUGUCAAUGUAUGAACCAUGUACAUAUAUUUGUGAUGUAUCUAUACCAUAUAGAUUUAUAACAAAACCAAUUGAUAAAACAAAGUUUUGAGUAAUUAACAAAUAAAUACAAUUGAACCAAAUAAUUCAGUCUCAUCUUGAUUUCAAAACUAUAUAAUAAAUAGUUUAGUCCAAUCUUGAUAUCAAGAAGUUUUAUUUUUAAUCGUUGUCUGAAAUUUUUAAGGUAAACUUCAAAUUCUAUGUCCUAUUUAUUGAAGUUCUUUGUUUGGUCAUGUAUAGCUUGGCUUGUAUAGUAUAUCAAGACACAACUCUUGCUUUUGUGACAACAGAAUGUGAAGUGAACUUCGAGUAUAUGAACUAUACGACCAUGACAAAACGGUGCAAAAGUCCAGCGUUUCCAGCGAAAGAAUGUUGCUCCGCGUUUAAAGAGUUUGCAUGUCCCUACGCCAUUCAAAUAAAUGACAUGAAUAGUGACUGUGCAAAGACAAUGUUCAGCUACAUGAACAUUUACGGAAACUAUCCUACUGGUCUUUUUGCUAACGAGUGCAAAGAAACAAAAAAUGGACUUAUUUGCCCUCCUCCACCUCUCAGUUCACCAAGCCUAAACUCCUCAACCGCUGCUUCGACCGCUACUCGAUUCAUCAUGCUGUUGAUCUCUGCUACGACCGCUGUUUUGGCAUUUAUUGUGUUGGCUUGAUGCAACACUCUCAUAAAGUGAUGAUUUGUUUUCCCUUAAUCAGUAGAUAAAUACUUGUAAAAUGUAGCAAUCCAAGAAAAUAAAAGAAGAAGCGAGACUUGUAUUUGCUUUAUUCUAUCACCAGAGGCAAAACUUAUAGCCGAAAUGUUAACAAGAAAUGCGAAAAGCCAAGAAAACAAAAACUCAGUUUGCACACAAAAAAAAAAAAACAAAAAAAGGAUCAUGUGGGUACAACAAUAUCUGUGUCCGGCAAAAAUUGAGGCAUGAACAACAAAACUACUGUUAGUAGUAGCAAUACUAACUGUAUAAGAAAGCAUGAAGUGGUCUUACAUGCCUUCUUCUUGAUGGUUCCAGUGGUUUCUCCGCACUCCUUUUGUAGGUCUUGAGCUCUGUUUGUUAAAUUUUCUGCCUUCGUUUCUACUUCUUUGAGCUUGUUCAGUGUCUCAUGAGCUUGCUCUCCUGCCAAUGCCUCUUGUUCUUCGGUCAUCUUCAACUGACUGUUCAAGUUAUCAAUGGAUCUUGAAUAUAUCAGAUAUUCAAUCUCGGACUCAAUCCUUUGCCGGAAGAUGUCUUCGACAACCGCCUGAAUGUUUCCUGUUUCUCCCCAUGAGUGUUUGAUUUGGUUGGUACUUGAUUCAAGCUCACGAAUGUGUGAUUCUUUAACCUCAAUCAUGGAUCUUGUUUCUUCUAGCUUGAUCUCCAGCUGUUCUACAUUGUUCACAAGGGUUACAGUCUCCGAGCGAGGUGAAUUUACUUCACUGGCUCCUUCAUGAUGUUGUGGCAUCGGUUCCUUCCCAAUCUCCCGGAAUUGCUGAACCUCUGCAAAUGAAAUUGCAUAAAGAGUCGCAUUAGACUUAAUAGACACUUAUGUGAUAAUAUCAGUCGAUUCCAACAUGAGAAUACAGAGUCAGAACAAGAAAUGGCUAUCAAAACAAUCCAAGCUUAGUUACAAUCCGCUACUAAAAAAAUCAGAAUGUUUACCUUUUUCAAGAGCUUCUUGCAAGCUGAGGAAACCGUAGCUGGUAUCUACUAAUGGAUCCAGUUCCUCUGAAAAACGACUGUCUUCACCUUCUCCUCCCGCAUAAUCAUUUCUCUUUGAAGUUUCUCCAUUGAUAUCGGCUUCAUCGCCAUUUUUUCCAUUGUAGUCCAUUAUUCCACUUGGCUUUCUUGAAUCAGAUUCCAAGCUGGAAUGAGAGUUUUCCUUUUCGAUUUCGACACUAUCUCCUCUAUGCUUUUUACUAUUCUCUACCCGAAUUUUCCCUCUCUGACCUGAACUAAUCAUUGGCUUUUCAUACCUAAUAACCUUGGGGGCUCUUGCAGCAGUCGAGGACUUACUACUCCGAUCAUCAUCCUUUUCUAAAUCCAUACCAGCUGAAAAACCAACCCCAGCCAUAAACCUAGAAUCAUAACCAGUCCUAAGUAUCUCAAAACCAUCAACGACAUUUCUUAACAUGUUCACAGACCCAACAGAUCCUUGACUAUCUUGCUCGGCUUCCGGUGACUGAAACUGCAUUUGUUUACCAUGUGAAUGAGCAGAACCGGACAACCCUCUCUUCAGAACUUUACUAUUCUCCAUAUUCGCAGACGUGUCUUUAACAAGGUCUCUCCUAAGCCGCCUCCAUUUUCUCAAGCCACGACCUUUUGAUACCGGAGAGUAAGCACCACCUGGUGAAUCAAAAUUCACCGGUUUAGCGAGUUCGACAGAUGUUUCGUUCUCACUGGUUGUCGCUGUAGAAGCCGUAACCAGUUUCACACUCUCAUCUGAGAAAGACCCGUUAUCCAAACUCCUACCAUCAUCACCAGUGUUGAUGGAGCUUUGUUGGAUCAAACCAUUAUCGUCAACAGACUCAAGCGCAGAGCUUUCACUCUCCAAAUCCAUUGGACUCCACACAAUUGAAAAAAAACACGAUUUUCCAAAAUCACAUCGGAUCAAAAAUCAAAACGAAAAACCCAUCAUUUCCGGAAGUAACGGAAGCUCGAAUCAAUGAACCCAAAACCCAAAAUCAAUCAUACGCAAUCGAAAGUCAACUCACCAAGUUACAAUUCGCUUCUCGUCUCUACGAUUAAAUAUAAAUAACAAAAUUCCAAUAAUUUUCUACCCGAUCAAGAAGCAAUGAUUCUAAAGAAUCAAAAUUCAACAUAUAGAGAACGUAUAGAUAGCCACACAGGGAGAUGAAAAGGAGGGUGAAAAGCGAAAACCCUAAUCCGAUGAUCGGAGCAGAUCUAUAACCCGUUCAAUUGUGGAAAGUUUCGCUGCGGGAAAAAGGUUAUUCUUUUUUUUCCAUCACCGAUCAAUUUUCCAUUUUUAAAUUACGGUUAUUAAUUUAUAUAUAUUAUUUUACGAGAAAACAUGGACGUGUGUUUGGGUGGUUGGAAUAGAACACGUGGUUAAAUCCUUGCUCUCUCAGCAACAAGUUAGUCACUUGUUGCCGUCAGAUUCGGCAUCCUCAAUAUAUACCGUUAAUUGGUAUUUUCAAUAUAGUAUAGUGUCUCUUCGACCAAAAGAAAAAGUAUAGUGUCUCUUUUUUUUUUUGUAACAAAAUAGAGUGUGUAUUUUAACUUCUUACAAUUACCAAAAUUUCCCCAUCAAUUUAAUUUGGUAGAUUUCUAGAAAAGAAACAAUCACUUUAUAUAUAUAGAUUAGAAAAAAGCUAUAUAUUAUAGUCACCAAAUAAAAAGUUAUGUAACACGGAAAAUUUUUCUUAUUUAUCUGACUCUCUUGGUUAGAAAAAAAUAUUAUCUAUUUGAAGUACAACAAAAAUUAUUUAAGUGGGUGCAAUGCAGGGAAACAUAAUAAUAACAUUAAGUUAUAUUACAAGAGGUUAAACAAUAUUAAAAAUGUAAAGGGUGUCUGAGACAGAGAGGAUUAGCACAAACGAAAUGGCUACACACUCACUACACACAGUGACAUAAUAAUUAACACACAAAAAAAGGCGAAUCAGAAAGGCUUCUCGUAGCCUCGAGCCGGAGGUUGGUCCCAAGCUUGCAAGAAUGCUGCAAACACACAGAAAAUGAAUGAAGCAAGCUCUCAAGUAGCCAACAGAAAAGUGAAAGAGAAAAACUCAAAAAGUCAACUGAUGUGGCCUUACUCAAUGGUAUUUCUCCGAGCGACAUGAAUAUCGAAUCAUCGUCUGUAUUAUUUGGUACUUGGUCAUCUCCAAGAGCUCCCUGAGACGUUUUUAAGGGAAAGUUAGCACCAAAACCCAUUCUAUAUCACUAAAAACACUUGACAAGUAAAGUAAGUACCUCUCGGUCUUGAAGAGCAACGUCGUUAUUCUGUGGCACAGUACUGAUUCCCGGGUUUAUUGGAGGAAUGUUUCCAAAGGAAUCAAGAUACUCUACCAUCAUUAGCCCUUCAUUGUAGUCUGGAACGUCAUCGAUGCCCAUAUAUGGGGCAGCUUCUUGCCUGUUAAAUGUUUCAGUCAAGAACUCAUUAGCCAAAAAUAUAAAAGAUGUGUAUAUAUAUAUGAGUAGAGUGGGACUUAGCCGUACUUUCUCCUGGGAUCAUUGCUGGACUUGACCACUUCUGGGGAAUCAUCGUUGUCCAAAUCAAUCACUUCUAUCUCUUUACCAUUGCUCAUCCGAGUACUAGUACUGAACUCAAGAGACUUGCUAGAACCGUUGAUUGAGAGAUCAAAAUCAACAGCUUGACCGGAUUCCCUUUUGGCAUCCUUCACAUCCGAUGCUCCCCCUAGAUUUAGGUCACACAUCUUAAACGAAGCAGGAAACAGCUGAUGCUCUUCUGCAUACCCAGGACCUGAUUUUCCCUUGUGAAUACUAUUGCGUGUAGGGUUAUUAACCAAUUUUUCAUGGCUGGCCAUUUUUCCAACAGCACCAUCAACCAGUCUCCUGUUGAACGAGCUUUUCUUUUCUUCUUCUUCUUCAGGAUCGCAUUGAAGUUCGCUUGUUUUAGAUAUGUUGAAGCGUUCAUUGGCUUCAGAAACUGGCAAAGGCACCCAAGCUCUCUGCCUUUUUGCUCCCACCUCCAAGUCACAGCCUUCAGCACCACGCUUCUCGCCUCCUUUCCCCAUCAAAUGUGAUCUGUGCAGAUUAGACAACUCUAAUCCUGAAUCUUUCUCACUAUUGUCACUGAGAAUGCUACUGGGGAAAGACUUAGACCUAAGACAUUUACUGUUCUCAACAAAUUGAACAAGAGCCAAAUCUUCUACUUGGUCGUUCAAAUUUUCACCGCCAGUAUUAUCGGCCUUUCCAGAUGACUGGCCUCGAGUCUCGCAUCGAUUUCCGGUUUGACCUUCUUCUAUAAGUCCAGAAUUAUGAGAGGUUUCCUUCAUUUUCUGACUCAAAAAUAGCUUUGGGCCUUUCGCAGUCAGGGAAGAGCGCGUCCUCGUAGGCACCUUCUCAAAUUUACACAGCGUUGCCAAAUCAAUACCACUCUUGGUGAAUGAUUCAUCAGCAGCACAAUGUUGAUCGAUAGAUGCAUCUUCACAAUCUUGAUGGAUAGAUGCAUCUUCAAUAGCAGUCUGGUUCUCAUUCUCUCCACCAUUACCACCACUCCUACCUUUCAUCUCCCCUGAUCCAGCACUCAAGCUAGAAGAACCUUCAGAUACUUUUGAGAUUUCAAAAUCCUGCAUUAUUUCUUUCCCAGCACUCGAGGAACCUGUCUUAGACUGUGCCUCAUCCUGGAGAUUGUACUUGUCCAACAAAGACUCGGAAUCACCUGCUCCCUCACGCUUUCUCAUAAAUUCACCGGAGGCAGACCUCUGAACCGAGCUAGCAAUAUCUUCAGCAAGUGUUUGCUCUUCUCGAUGCCCAGACACAGAGUCAUCACCAGUCUCGGCCUCAAAACCUUUACUUCUCUCUGACCAAGAUCCGCUCCUCCCAAAUUCCGAGUCAUAACGAUGAGACCUCUUUCCUUUCAAACUAUUCCUGGAACCAGCUGAGCUAUAGCCAUCAACAUACCUCCUUUUAUCUGCAGCAGGAGCUGAAACAUCCGCACGAGCUGCUUCUUGUGACCUGGAACUCUGAAACUCACCACCCUGUUUCCUGAAGUUACCAUUUUGCCAUUUGCUGGAAAGCACAGUUUGUGGUAGAACACCCUGAGAAACCAAGUACUCUACUGCUAGACGACCUGCCUCCAUGAAAACGCCGCCGCUAUCGCCACCGCUUCUACGUUGCAUCGGUGGAGGAGGCAGAGGCGGAGGCAGAGGCGGAGGCAGCUGAUUAUGGUAUGAUUUAGAGCGUCCUCUGCCUCGUCCAUAUCCACGGUUAAACCCACGGUGCUGGUGGUCCGAACCAUAGAACCCAUGACCUCUCAUAGGACGGUCAGGGGAAAUUCUAGAGCCAGACAUCCCCAUUCCAAUCGAACCAGAUCUGUACCCAUUUCCAACAUUGCGUUGUCUACCAUGCAUCUUUGUCUCUAACUAUACAAAACCCUAAUAACAGCUCUUAUUCAAGGAAUCACAGUAGUAGUGAAACCAAUUGUCUCCAAACCCCAAAAACCUUGGACACAACUUUGAAGACCUCAAAUCAGUCUCAUCUUCACUGAAACCAAGAACACAGUAGCUUCGAGUUUAACUUGUACUCUUCGAACCAAUCCUUCUUCAAUCACAGCAAAACAACAACAAAAAUUCAGAAAAUCAAGCAAAAUGAUGGAUCUCGAGUUCCAGAUUCGGUAAAACUUUAACCUCCCUCUUACCGAUCAUUUGAUCUCCUUGUCCGAUUCCGUUGAAUCAAAUGAAAACAUCAUCUGAUUGGAGAUUAAAGGGUCAUUUCACUUCAGUUCUUCGACAGUAAGAACCCUAGAAUUCCCCAGGAACCCAAUGGAUUUUCCAGUCCAAAACUUAAUACAGCAAACAGAAAUCACGAUGUAAAUAAUUCGGAUCAAGGGUCUUCGAUGAUGAGGAACACGAAGCACUACUUUCAGUUCCCCAGAGUUCAGCGACGGAAAAUCAGGAGCGCCGAUUUGGAUUUUGGGGUUUUCGCAAUUUAUUUGCGUCUUGAAGUUUUUCUACGAUAUUAGCAAAAAGACGGGAAAAGCAUGAAUUUGCCACGUCAGAUUUUAUGGUAAACUGGCACUAAGUUCACAUCCACUUCACGCGUCCUACGUUGCGCGUGAGUUUCAGUCUCCUGCACACACUUUUCAUUUUCUAUCUAACUAGGUGUUUAGCCCGCGCAGCGGACCGUGAGUUUUCAGAACGUAGUCGUGGUAUUAAGACAUCUGAAUUUUUAGAAUUCAUUAAUUAGCGGGUAAAUAAUACGUAAGUUGAUAUAUAAGUUUUGAAGAAAAUGUAUAAGAAAUUCAUAACAACUAUUUGAAAUAUAAAAAAAAAAAACAUCAUUCAAAAUUAAAGAUUCAAAAUGCUUACUAAUGUAAAUAAAUGUAUGAAACUCAUAAACCAACUGAAUUAAAACAAAUAUCAGUUCUUCAUCUUCACAUAAUCGUUUUUCAUCUUCUUUUUCUUUUCUUUUAUUUUAUCUUUUGAUUUUUCUUCUUUAUUGCUAUGUUUUUAAAAACCGGACCAGAUCGGUGGUCCGAUCAGGUUAAACCGUGAAUUGAAAGUUUAGCCGGAUUAGAUUAGUACCAAAAUCCACAUAAGGUUAUACCGGUUAAAAAACCGGAUUGAACCGCCAAAAAAACCAGAAAACGACCGAACUGGCAAACCGUAUAAAACCUUGUUCAAUUAAAAAAUGCUCAAGUUGUUAUUUUUUCUCAUUCUAUAAUUCAAAAUUUUAAAACAUUUAAUUCUAUAAUUCAAAUUUUAAAAUAUUUCAUUAAUUUGUAUUUUGUUUUUAUGUUUGUACAAGGUGGUAAAGAUUUGGGCAAGGAAAAUUGAAUGUGCUACUCUAUUUUACUGUGGUGUUAUUUUUUAUUUAGACUGUUAAAGUUUUUUUUAGUUAUUAGUACUACUCCAUUUUAUUUCGGAGUUGUUUUGGAUAUAAAUUAUGAAAGUUUUCCCAAAUAAUCUAAUUAUUAAAUAAUUUUAUUUAAUAUUUAAUUAAUUACAGGUUGUAAAAUAUUAUCAAACAUGGUUGAAUAUAGUCGAACCAUAUUAACCCACGACCCAAGAAUUUUUCCGGUUUGGUCAUCGGUCUGGUUUUAAAAACACAAUAAUUUCUUGUCUUUUCCUUAUUUUGUUUCAUCGUUUUCUACAUUUAUCUCUCCUUCUCUCAUCAUCUUCUACAUUUUCUUUCUUUUUUUUUUGUUUUUUCUUCAUUCUCCUCUUUAUUAUUUAUGUUCUCUUACUUUUUUUUUGUUUAUGGUUUUUUUUUGUAACGUCAUCUUCUUCUUUGUGUUUCCACAUAUUUUAUUUAUCGUCCUUCUCUUCUACUUCUAAUUCUUCACUGCCUUCGUUUUCUUUGGUCUCUCCAACUUCACAGUUUUCUUAUUUUCUUUUGUCUUUAUAUCAAUCAAAUACAUGUAUCUGAUUUUUCUAUUUCUCUUUUCUCCCCUUUCUCUCAAAUACAGUCUUCCUAGUUGUUGAUGGUGUUUGUAUCAAACUCUCUUCAAGGAUCUUGUAUCUUUUUUUCCAUGCAUCUAAAAACUUAAAUUCACCAAUCCAAUCUUUAAGGAGCAUGCAUUUGUAGUAAAGCUAUACUAUGAAACUCAGAAGAGAAAUUUAAGACAGUUUGAAAUGUUAGAUUAUGGAAUAGUAAAUCUUAACUUAAAAUUGCCAGAGUUUUUUUUCUUUAUCUUUAGCUUUUUAAACUUUUUAUUCAUUUUUUUCUAUUUUUUUUCUUCAACUUCUAUAUUUUUUUAUCAUUAUUCUUCUUUAUUAUUUUGUGUUAUCCAUCUUUUUUUUCCUAAGUUUUGUAUGACAUUGUCUUUAUCUUCUUCUUCGUCUCUUUCGACAUCUUCGUCUAUCUUUUUAGAUUUUUUUCCCUCUUAGUCUUUGUCUCCUUCUACUUCUUAUUAUAUUUUUGAUACUUGCAUGGAUUAAUUUAUAAAUAAUCAAUUUCAUUAAAGAUAGUAUAAUUUUUUUUGUGAAAUAAGGAAAAAAGGAUGUGGACUAACAUAUUUUUUGGUAACUAUCCAAUUUUUGAUUCAAAUAUCUUUUUAAUAAAUAAUUUAAUUUUUUGACGUCCUUAAACCUAAUCUUUUACAUUUUAAAAAAGAUUGUGUAGUCUAAUAUUUUUUUAACGAAGGAUAUCAAAAGAAUUUUGACCAACAUAACCGGUAUCAUAUAAAAACAGCAUUAAGCAGUUUUCUCAUAUCUUACUUUGCAAAAACAACAAUUUCAAUCAUGAGAAUAGGGAGUACAAAAAAAUAAUCUAAAACAAACACACAAGAUUUAUAAUUCCAUAAAAUAAAUCACACUAUACCUUUAUCCACAUAUCAAUAGACAAAAACCAGAAAACAAAAUAUUUUAUCAAACUAAAGAAAAACAAAAAGUAAAACCAAGCAUAACCUAUCCAAUUACAAAAUCAAACCUAAUAAUAUCCCAAACACCAAAGAAACCGAAAAAGUGAUCUAAGCAAAAAAAAUCCAAAAGAUACAACAAAAAAAACCGAUCCUGUCAAGAACCACCAGCAUUAGAUCUUGAUCACCAGCAAAAGAUGAAACGAUUAAAAAUGCUGCCGGUUCUCAGCGUUAACAAAUUUUCAAUACUUAAUAUCAAAUCUUUUUUCCCCAAUCUUUUAUCAGGUUUUAGAAAACAGAGAAAGGAGCCACUCAUCGCCCAGUCAUAUAGUGUCUUCAUCUCACCUGGGUGAAGUAAAAUGGGGAUUGAUUUCUGACAUUACCUGUUCCGGACCAGGAUUUUAAACGUCCCUCACUAAUCUCCAAAAGCCAUUUAGUUACAUAAGUAAAAGCUAAAAGCAGAUUCCUUUAGUUAGAGAAAAGAAUAUUCAGAGGGAAUUAGGAACAAGAGGACAGUUGAGAAGUUUAACUUCCUUAUCAUCUCCUUGUCUGAAAUCGAAAGCACCUGGACCAUCAGUUGUUCCGGCAGCAAAACCAAACCCCAUUGCAGCUGGACAUGUUUUCACCGUCUCAGAGCUGUCUGCUUUAGGAACUGUGACUUCAAUAUUUGAGAAAUCUACAUCCGCAUGUUGGUAACCAAUUUUGCCUUGUAGCUUCUCUGUAGCUUUGUUAAAUGGUUCGACUGCCAUUUUGAAUUGCUUCUCUAGUGAUACGUGUGUAUCCUCAAAACACAAAAACUAUCAAUAAUUAAAACAUAUAAGAACAAACAAGCGAAACACAUCUUUGGUCAGCCCCAACUAAAAACGGAAAAGCAAAGUGCACCAAACCCCGGUUAACAUAUAAAAGAUAAGUGCUAAACGAAGACAAUCACAAAAUUAAAGACGACCCAAAAAGAAGAAGAAGGAACCCUAACCUUUCAACAUAGCCGCUAGCUAAACAAUCACCGAUCAAGUCAGUCUAGCUAAAAACAUCGCCACCUAAACAGCAAAUAAACAGCAAACAAACAGCAAACGGUAUAAAAAAUAAGAAGAAUAUAUACAUAUAUAUAUAUAUAUAAUUCAACUUUUAAUAAAUACCAGAAGCAAUUUUGAAUACCCGAGGGUCCUCAACUCGAGAUACUCACGAUUAGGGGUCAUCCAAGCGCCACACUAUCUGUAAACAAUAUCCUCGUUUAAGGAAGAUGAAACGGAAAAACGUGAACACGUUAACACAAAAAAGACCAAACGGGGAAAAAUUAUAAGAACCUACGAACUAACAGAAUGUACCCAACACCUAACAGAGAAACCAACAUAAGCAAGAUAUAAAAGUCAAUAUAGGUACAAGCAAGUUUACCUCUCACAACCAUUUUCAAAACACUUAAACAACUCUCACAGAAUCAAAACAUGAGAAAAGAAGAUUUGGUGGUAGAACAAUUAACCACCGCAUCAAAACGCUCAAAUGAGUUACAAAGGAAACUCAUACCUGAAGAGAAGAGAGUCGAAAUUUAAAUCCUUGAAAAAAUCGAAAACAGAAAAAAAGCAACCUACAAGAGCAACAUCCAAAAUAAAUUUAAAAACCGCCGAUCAGUUAGUACGUGAACAGAAAGAAUAAAUUUGGAGAAACCAUAAUCAAAACCCAUAACUUUUUUAAAAAAACUUUGAUAUACCUCGAAUGAUGUUGUUAGCUCCAGCGGUAACAACCUUCAAGAGGGGAAAACAACGAAACAGAUCAAUGCAAAACUAAACAAUUAGAUACAAAUGAUAACGAAAACACAUCAAAUAACAUUAAAAAUAUGUAGAAACCCAUAACCGAAAUUUUGAAGCCGAAAUUUUGAAGCCCUAAAAAAGUUGGGAUAUUUAGUCAUUAUCGACCUAAAAGCAAGUUAAAAGGCAAACAUCAAGAACCAUAACCCCUAAAAAAUUAUAGUAAUAACUCUAAAGACGGACGAAUCUAGUCAAACUCGAACUCAGAAUAACCUAGAUCGGCCUAAACGUAUUGUAUUUAUAGCCUCUAGGUCAAAGUAGGUUUGAGAUUAUCUAUAUUGGAAAAUCUAAUACAAAAUCACAAAUGAUAGAUAUUGAACGUUCCACAACCAAUCUAUUGUACGUAAAAAUUUAGUUAUGAAAAUUUUGUAAUUUAUUUAUUUUUACUUUGCUUUUAAUAUAUAUGAUAUGAUAAAUCAUUGUUUUUGGUUUUUUUUUUAAUAUACGAUAUGAUAAUGGUUUGUUAACUUAAUUUAAACCAUUAUUUUCGUUUUUUAAAUAUAUAUUUUUAUAAAAAUUAAUUUAAACUAAUUUAAGGAGAGGUAAAGGGUAACUAGCCACCCUGAAAUUAAAUGAGAGAGCUUUAAACGAAAUUUUUACUUCGCUUAUAAUAUAUAUGAUCGAGUCCCAACCCAUUACCCAAAUGUGUCAAACUUUUAUUUCUACCAAUCAGAGAAAAAUAUCUAUCUAUGGUGUUGAAUAUUACAUUGACUUGCUCUUGAACGUCAAUAAAUAAGAUUUUCUUUAAUUAAUUACAUUACUAAUUUUUAGCAAUUGAAUAGAAAGUUUUAUAGUUAGUCAACAAAGAAGCAUUGAAAUAAGAAACAUUGUAGUUCGUCAAAUCAUUUAUUUACCAUAUCAGAAAUGUUAACUUUAUUAUAUCCAGAAAAAAAAUUCAUGACAAAACUUUAAAAUAGAUUUCAUACAUGACACAUUCAAUAGAACAACAACAAACAACUUUCAUCAGUUCAUAUUAUAAAGUCCACGACUUGUUGGUCAGAACAACCAGUUGCAAAUAUAUAAUAUUUUUUUGUUGAGGACAUUUUUAAUAAAAUAUAUAUUUUUUUAUAAUUGGAGACAAUUUUCUAUAAAUUCAUUUAAAUAUAAUACUAAAUUAAUUUUUUUUAAGAUUUAUUUAAUAAAAAAACAAAAAAGAGUAGGGGGCAUGUGACCCAUAAUCUCCUUUCUGCCUCCACCCUGAGAACAACAACAACAAAAAGUUUACAGGACUUGAACUGAAACGAUAAAUUGUGAAGAUUUUACAAUCUUUCAGAAGAAUCAGAACUAUUAGAAAGUUUGAAACAGUAAUGAAAAGCUCAUAGACAAGUCUGUUUAACAAACUGGCGAGAAGCUCUAUAUAUGUAGAACAACUAAGCUAAAACAGUUCUUUUGCCAAAAAAAAUAAAUAAUAAUAACUAAGCUAAAACAGCAAAAAAAAGGUCUACCCAAAAGAAUAAAAUAUAAUUUUUAGUGGUUGGAACAUUUUCACAAUUAAUGUCCCUUAAACUUAAUCACUAAUAUACUAAAAAUAGUCAGGCAAGUUAUAUUUUCUACUCCAUGUUUUUCUAACGAUUUUAGUAAAAUUACUGCAUUACUAAAACUUUUUUUUUUCAAGCGGAGUUUAAGUAUUCCCAAUUACUAGAACCAGUAUAUACACAAUAGGCUAACUGUGAUAUAAUGUAACUUUUUAAUUUGGAAAAUUCUAAAUAUGCCAAUAAUAUCCGGCUUUUAGUGUAGAAAAAUGGAGGACCAUUCGUUUUUGAUCACAUGUGUAUUAUUGAUGAGUCUAUAUAGUUUACGAUCGAUUUACACAUGGCAUUGUAUGAAGAAAAUAGGAAUCGAUAUGUGGAGAACAGUAAUCGUCGUCAUAUACGAUCUCAAACAAAAUGUCCCUAAAUCACUAAUGCGCAAUCCUCUAUUUUCGUCUCGUUUCAGUUUAAAUUUAUAAUAGCCGAUAAGAUUUUAUUAAAAACCACAAACUGUUUAUAUAUUUUGGAAAUUAAACAUGCUCAUAUUUUGUUAGAUUCAUUUUAGUACUAAUAACUCAGCACUGAUUUUUACACCAUUGACUUGACGAACGUUUAUAGAAUUAGACACAUCAUAAACUAUAUACUAUGUUAGCCAAAAAGAAAACAAAAUUGUACCCCUUUUUUUGUCAACACUGUAUUUUGUUUUUGUUGCUAACAGAGUUAACCAUGUUUCCAGUUAUGCUAAUGUAUGUUAAGCUGGUGGUGUAAAAGACAAGCAUCAUGAUGAGUUUAGUUAUUUAAGUGAACUAAAUCUAAAUGUGUGUGUAUUUUAAAAAAAAAAUAAAUACACAGGGUAUAUUCUAAAAAUAGUUAAAUUGUUGGUGAAUUUUUAUGGAAUACAUUGUAGAAAAAAAAUUUGAACUUUUUUGUUUGGAUUGUGAGAAAGUUAAGGAGAAAAUUUAUCUAACCAAGCUGUAUUAUCUCUUGCAGUUUUUUGCCCAUAUACAUCUUCAUUGUGUUUAGGGGAAACGAUAAUCAAGAAAGAGAGAUUUUUACAGAAAAAUUCUUCUUUUCCUUAUGUUCACUUUCCGAAAUAACCCAUAAGAACAGAGACAGAGAUAGGAAGAAGCAAGAAAAAGAAAAAAAGAGCAGUCCCUUGUUUCGAUCUCUCUUACAGUACUAAACGGCCAAAAAUAUUUGAUCCGUUAAAAAAUCAGGUAAUGGUCGCCAUUCUUAUAUAAUCACUCUUUUAAUGUCCAUCGUUGUAACAUUAUUCUCAAGAGUUCUCAUGUUGUGUUUUUUGGGAUCAUAAUACGGUUAAUACCACGUUUUAUUGCUUUUUGAGGCAUAUCCUGUAUUUGUGUAUCUUCAUGCCGUUUAUAAAAUUUUCAGGUUGAAGCUGAAUCUUGGCUUUGAAAUGGCUGGUUUUGAUAGUAAGAUCGCUGUAAUGGGAGAAUGGUUAGACCGUAAUCCUCCUAACCACAAGAAGAGAUCGAAAGCGGAACGUGAUCACAGAGACGUUUCUUUAGAAGACAUUAAGAAUAAGGAUUUUCUACAAACCAGCUUUCAAGAGACACCAUGUUAUUCAUCACGAGGUGGUCUCAGUGAAAGGAUUGCUGCGAGAGCCGGGUUUAAUGUACCAAGGUUAAACACUGAGAGUAUUCUUCAGUCUCCAUGUUUAACCAUCUCUUCUCCUGGUGUUAGCCCUGCAACUCUGCUAGAGUCUCCGGUUUUCCUCUCAAACCCUUUGGUAACUUUUUCCUUUUCAACAUUUUUCAUUAUCGUCAUGUCCCUUUCACGGAUCCAUUUUCUGAAAUCUCUUAUCACUUGGAAGCCCAGCCAUCUCCGACAACAGGAAAGCUCUUAUCACAACCUUUUGGUAAAGCUAAAGAUGAGUUCUUUGACGACAUUGCCACAUCUUUAGCCUUCCAAUCCAUUUCAAGAAGGAGUCUUGAUCCUACAAACAUCGGUUUAGAACCUCAUGAUUCACAAGACUAUGAGCAAACACAGCUCGGUGGUUUAGGAGACUCGAUGCCAAGUGGUGCACCAGCAGAUGAUGGAUACAACUGGAGGAAAUACGGACAAAAGCUAGUUAAAGGAAGCGAGUAUCCACGUAGCUAUUACAAGUGCACACACCCGACUUGUGAAGUCACGAAGAAGGUUGAACGGUCCAGGGAAGGUCAUAUCACAGAGAUUAUAUACGCAAAAGCUCAUAAUCACCCUAAACCUCCACCUAAUCGCCGCUCAGGCAUUGGAUCAUCCGGAACAUGCCUUGACAUGCAAAUAGAUGGAACUGAGCAAGAAAGCUUUGGUGGAACCAAUGAGAACAUAGAAUGGACAUCACCUGUAUCUGCAGAGCUCGAUUACGGUAGCCAUUCUGGAUCAAUGCAGGUUCAAAACGGGACUCAGUUCGGGUAUGGUGAUGCAGUAGCUGAUGCUUUCUUUAAAGGUGAAGAUGAAGAAGAUGGCACGUCCCACAUGAGUGUUUCCCUAGGUUACGACGGAGAAGUAGAUGAAUCCGAGUCAAAGAGAAGGUUAGAAAAUUGUUGCUCAAGUAAACCAUUUAACAUACUCGGAAAGACUAGACCGUUCUGAAUUCUUUCUGAUGCUAUUAACGUAACAGGAAACUCGAAGCUUAUGCAACGGAAAUGAGUGGAUCAAGCCGAGCCACCCGUGAGCCAAAAGUCGUGGUGCAGACCACAAGUGACAUUGACAUCCUCGACGAUGGUUAUCGCUGGCGCAAGUACGGACAAAAAGUCGUCAAAGGAAACCCGAAUCCAAGGUUCUUGCUUGUAUUCAAAUGUUCUGUUCUGUUCUGCUCUCUCUGUUGCACCUUUUUGUCCAAGAAUUUCAUCACAAUCUGUUUUCUAUAUAAACAAUGCUUCAGGAGUUACUAUAAAUGCACAGCUAAUGGAUGUAUCGUAACGAAGCAUGUGGAAAGAGCUUCUGAUGACCUCACAUCCGUACUAACAACUUACAUAGGCAAGCACACUCAUGAAGUACCAGCAGCACGCAACAGCAGCAGCCAUGUCAGUCCAGGCAGCUCAGGGACCCUCCAAGGCAGUUUAGCGACUCAGACCCACAACCACCAUGUGCACUAUCCAGUGCCACAUAGUAGACCCGAAGGACUGGUCACAGCCAACUCAUCUUUAUUUGACUUCCAGCCACACCUUAGGCCUCCUUCGGGUUACUCGGUUUACAUAGGCCAAACUGAGCUUUCGGAUCUUUCAAUGCAUGGUUUAGCCAUCGGGCAAGAGAAGCUUCCCGGCCUGCCAGGGCCUGCCAUUGUUGAUUCAGCUGGGCUGAUGUUGCAGUUAGCAGCAGAGCCGAAGGUGGAACCAGUGUCGCAACAGGAACUUGGAUUGUCUACGAGCUCAUUGAUAUACAGAGAUAUAAUGAGUAGGUUACCACAUAUAUGAAACAAAUCUCUUUGUUCACUGAUUGUUCGUUUUUUUUGAAUAAAUGGUUCUGAAAAUUGAGGGAAUGUGAAAGCUAGUUUGUUUGUUAAGUCUUGUCGCAAGAUUUAGGAGCUACAAAACAAAAACAAAAAAAACAAAAAAAACUUGGCUUCUACCUAAACAAAGCCUUUAGCAAAUCGAAUUUCCUUCGCUGUCUGGUCCCGAAACUGAGUUCUAUAUUUCUCUAAGGAACCGCCAAAAAAAAGGAUUUUUACGCUGAAACUAAUCUUUACAGGAAUGUAUUCCUACCGCCUCUUCGACUGUUUCUCUCGUAUGCAGUGUUGAAUUUGUCAACCACCUCGUUCAUGUUGCUGCAUUUUGGUACAAAAGUGAGAAAUCAAAUAGAAGAAAAGAUUCUCCUAAGACAUACUUUGGUUGUAAUUGACAUCUGGAUUGAUCAAAGUAUUAACAUACGAUUGAUCAAAUAAAAGUUUAUAUUUCCUUUAGACACUAUAGGUUUUCACUAUUUUGAUUAUAACAAGGAUGGUUAAGCAAGGUCACUAUCUCCGGGUCAGCUAAAAGCAACUACUGGUGAUUUCAUCAGUCUAAGCAUCGUACAACAUAGCACUAUCAACCAAAAGACAAAAAAUUUCAUGCCUAUCCUUCAUUGUUAGCUAAAUGGAAUUUCCAUGUCGAGCACAUACCUGGUACAAUUUGUGAGCAUUGCUAGGUAAGACAUCAGCAAUUUGUCGUUGUACUCCUGCAAAUAAGAACGUCACAUAUAGAUCAUUCAGAAGAACAAGCUACAUUAAGAACUUAAGAGAAUAGAAUGCUAUUUUUCUUAACGAAGAUUGCUAGAAAACAGUAAGGCACUACUUACCAUCAAGAAAUCAUCUCGAAACUUUUCUGAUUGUGCGGCAGGCAAACUUCUAAGCAGACUAGAUACUUGCCUCAGAAGUGCGUUCUCGGAAGGAAUAUCACCUAGAUGCAGUAUUAAAUAAGUCAUUAGAACCAAAGGGACCCUUGGAACCUAAAGUACACAACUACAGAACUUUUGGUCAAUAUCAUCGUCUGACCCCUAUUUAUCCAUUUUUCAGUGUAGAAUAACACAAAUGCAUAUAGCUACGAUCAAGAAAUGGUCGAUGAACAAAAUGAAGUAGGACGCAAUAAUAGAAUAUACCUUUCUGCAUUGUGACAAGAUACUGAUAAAGAACUCUGAUUCUGCUAGUUAGCAUCUUGAUGGCACUGUGUAUGCCAGUAAGAUGAGCAGCCACUGCACAACAUCGAGGAAUCAGCCUAAAUUCCAUACAAGUGUGUAAGAGGAUUAUCAUAAAUAAGAAGUGUACAGUAAGGCUUACAUUGGGUCGCUGCUGAGCCUCCAUCGGAUGGCUUAAGGUGUGCAACAUGGUCGACCGAUAUUCUUUCAGCUUCCACUGUCUGCAUGUGUUACAUCUUUGCUAUGUUAUUAAAGCGCCACUCUCAUAUAUUAGAAAGAUUACAUAUAAAGCAGCCCAAGCGCAUACCUCAAUUGUGUAGCUUGUAUGCACGAAAAUUGGCUGAGGAAUUCCAUCAAUGACAUGAAAUUCUUGAAGUUUUGAAGACAAUCACACCACAUGAUAGGAAUAAAAAGGUUAGAAUCUUUAAAACAAUCACGACAAAAUUAGAGGUCGAAUAAGAUAAAAAGAAGAAACUAGUUAUAAUCAUGAGCCAAUAUACGAUCUGCGACUGUAUUUUUCAUACAAUAAAGCAAGAGGAUAUGGAAAACCAAAUUACCACUUUCAUAGAUAGUCACUGGAAGAUCCUUCUGUGCGUGAUUGAUAGCCGGAUUUAGAAGGACAUAAACAGGAGAUUCAUUAAUGUCCAUCAGCUGUAGAAAACAUGAUGCAAAACUCACACAAUCAGUACACUGAGACCUAAACCUCAACCAUACAAAUCAACAAUGAACCUGCACUUACAGAUUUGUGGAUAUGCAUAUCAGAUUCAUUAGCGUCGCUUCCCGUAGAGUACCAUCCCAAUAUGUAGAAGUCAGGAAACACCUUCUUGUCUAACGAAGCAAAAGAGAAAAAAAAAAAUCGAGUAACUCAAUACAUAGCAGCAACAAUCGAGAACAAAGUAGAGACGAAAACGAGCGAGAGUAUAAGCUUACAGAGCUCUUGCUUCUUCUCGAGGAAGGAUCUGUCGAGAGUAUCAGUAGAAGGAUCAAACAAGAGCUCGAAGCUGUUGAAGAUCUCAACCGUUCGACCUCUCUGGGCACCGAUCACGCAGCCAUAAACCCUAGGAUUCUGCAGUAACAUCGCGUCGCCGGUGCUGGGACCAUUCCCGGUCGCGCAGGAAGAGGCUGGAGGAUUAAGCUGAGUUUUAACCCUAGUGAAGUGGUCCGAUAUGUUAAGCAUCACCAGAGGAUGUAGCUUGAAGGUGAGGCCGCUCGACGAAGAAGGCGCCAUUGAUGUCUCUCUCGAUUUUUUCCCGGCGAUUGUCAUUGUCGCUUCGCUUGAUUCUUAAAAUCCUAAAAUCGGGGAUCUUAAAUAAAUGUCGUCAAUUCGGUCAUCAUACAGUCUUGGGCUGCCUUUCAAAGCCCAUCGCAUAAUUAAAAAUAAAUAGUUUUGGAAACAAUUAAACCUUUACGAAUCCUUAUCUAUAUUUAAAAUAUUAUAUUUAUUGUAUGUUGAAUAAUUUUGAUUCUUUAAAAAAUGAUUCUAUCAUUUAUAUUUUUUCAGUAAUAAGAAAUCAAACUUUUAAUUUAAUUUAAUUUAAUAUUAUACUGGAUAUUUUAAAAGAUAGUAUAUAUUUAAUGUGUUUUGAAAUCAUUUUCAUCAUUUUAUUGAAACGGAAUUGUUUUUUUUUUCAACAAUUGAAAUGGUUUUUUUCAAAAAUUGGAACGGCAUUGUUUUACUAUAUAGCAAUUCACUAAAAGGACGUCAUUGCUGGUGUGGCAUCCAUUCAUAAUCCAUUCUCGGUUUGACAAAAUCUGUUAGUCUGUUACAGUCAUAUAUGUAUAUGUUUAAGCUAAAAAUAUUAAGGUUAUGUAUGAAAUGGCACAGUUGUACAGAGUAUGUAUGUACUAUGAUCACGCCUCUAGAGUAGAUAACUACUCAAUCGUCUACUUGUUGAAAUAUAGUUGUCGAUCUUGAUGGAUAGUCAAUUAUUUUCUAGAUAUAGGCGUCUAAUUGUGAAAACAUUGUAUUUUGAUGAGUAGUAAGAGUAAUCAACUUUUCGACAGAGAAGCUCCUACCAUUUAUCUGAGCAUCUUCUCUUUCUCUCAUGCAGUCCUUUUCUCUCCCCUUAUACAGUUGUUUCUAACAGCUAGUACCUAGUUUAUCAUCUUUUCUUCUAUAUAUAUGUGCAGUGAGAUUUUAUAUUCUCUUUAUAUUCCUUUUCUGCAUCAUUUUCUAGACAUGUUCCUGAAUUCGACUUCCGAAAGUAGCAACAAACGAGUAAAGGAAGAACAUAAACCAAUAUUUUGUUGACAUUGGGUAAAUAAUACGAAGUAAGAAUCAGUGAAGUGACAUUAUACCGGAAGCUUGCUGGUUUUGUAAAGCAUCAAAGAAAUUAAAAUUCUUUCUUUGUUUGUCAAAGAAGAAGGAAUACAAAAUAAGAGUUUGUUUUUCUUUUUUAAAAAAUGCAAAAAAAAAGGAACAAAGUUAAUAGCGAAGAUGACAUUUUAAGGAUUGUAUUAAACAUGUCAUAUACACAUUGUUUGUUUGUCUUUACGUUUGUGUUUCCAUGUUAUACCAUUCUAAUCAUAUAAUACGAAACGAAAAUACUUCAAAACAAAAAAUUUCGUUUAAGUAUAAUUAGACACACAAAAAAUUGUUAAACGCGUGCUAUACAUAGCCUAUAGUAAAAUGUGAACGAACACGUUGAUUAUAUGAUUUGCUUAAGAAAAUGAAAAGUUAAAACCAUUCUCUCCAUUACCGAUAUCAGAAGUAGAAGUGUAAAUAGCGAAAUUGGUGAUCAGGAUGGUGAGAAAGAAAUAGCGAAACUUCAACUAGAAAAGUAGAUAUACGUAUACAAACUUCGGAAUAUUGUGUUACUUUAGUUAUAUGUGUAUAUCAAAAGAAGAAAAUAAUCUUUUAGGACAGACAUGAGACAACGACUUGUAUUACAAAUAAACAUCUACUCAUAUUAAAUUAUAGAUACCAAAGUGAGAACGCAACUGCUAAUCACUUUUUCUUUUCUAUAGUCAACCAACUACUAAUCUCUUUUAGACUCUAGAGAGCGACGUAUCUUCAUUACUUCACAGUAUGGAUACAAUUUAGUUCAAAUUGCGUGGAUAAUUAUAUCAUUGGAAACGUCUACUAACAGAAAGUUUUGUGAAUUUGAAAACUUUCUCUUAUUGCCAAUCUCGGAAUUUUUGUGUUCUCUAAUGCUUUGCUUUCUCCUUUUUCCUUAAGGUAAACAUUAUCUUUUACACGCUAUAACCUAUAUAUAUAUAUACACAUAUAUACAUAUAUAUAUACACAUAUAUACAUAUAAGUAUAUAUCCAUAUAUCAAAUUAACUAAUUAUUUCAUGGAUCGAGACUAAAUAUUAAUAAACGAACGGACCCCACAAUAUUGAAACUCUCAGCUCAGAAAUUUCAUUCGAUUAAUUUAUUCUCCAACUUGUUCCAAACUACCAGGCCUGCACAGUGCACACUACGAUGAAGACGUUUUCAGAAGGUUCUCUUACUUUUGUAGUAUAAAAGAAAAAGGCGCUCAAGAAAAAUGUCAUAAAAUACACACACCCCCCCCCCCCCCCCCAAAAAAAGGGUUAAUAAAAGUUUAGUAAAAGUUCUUGAAUCGUUUGGUAUCAAUCCUAAUCUUAAAGGAAUCAUUUGUAAACCUAAAAUUUGUUAUAUACUUAUACCUUUUAGGUUUGAUUGGUAAUUUUUAGAAUUGACCAUUGGGUACAUCAACAUUUCCAAGUUAUUUAAAAAUCGCGUGAGUAAAACGACGCCGUUAGAAACCUUGCAGUGCAUAAUGUGGCCGAAUAUAUAUAGAGACGUUUGUUUCCCAUGCAUCUUCAUUAAGACCAAAUAGAGAGUCUCCUUUAUAUCACUUAACUAACAAAUUAGAGGGACGUUCACAAAAAUUUCUUACACAUUUACGAUUUUAGAUAUGGAUUCCUCCCGGAGCCUCGAGCACGUGCUCUCCAUGCAAGGCGGCGAGGAUGACGUCAGCUACGCCAAAAACAGUUACGGUCCGGCCGCAGCGUUAGCCUCCAGCAAACCAAUCCUGACGUCAGCCACUCCAUGAAUUUCACUAAAGGAUGCUCAUCUCACCUAAAGAUAGCCGACUUAGGUUGCGCAGUCGGAGACAACACGUUUUCCACGGUUGACACGGUGGUUGAGGUGUUGGCGGAAGCUAGCCGUGGUUGAUGGCGUAGACGAGCCGGAGCCGGAGCUAGAGGUCUUCUUCUCCGACUUGCCUUCGAACGACUUCAACACGUUGUUUCGAUCGUUGGAAAAACAAGUUAAUGGCUCGAGCCAGAAUAAGUACUUCGCGGCUGGCGUUCCAGGCUCGUUCUAUAAGAGGCUGUUUCCGAAAGGAGAGCUCCAUGUCGUUGUGACCACGAGCGCCUUACAAUGGCUCUCUCUCAGGUAUAUGUAUCUUUUGAAUUAGUUUGAUUUCUUCACUUAUAUGUAAUUGGUUUAUAAUAGCUAAGAAAACGAAGAUUCAGCUUUCUUACUUCAAGUGGAAAUAAUAUUCAUGCAAAUUUAGUUGAAACUAUACAUAAAAUAAAAUUUCAAGAUUCUUCAAAUGUUAAUUAACAAUAUCUCAAAAACAACAGUCUAUAAAGUCCGAUUAUGAGAUAUUCAUAUGGAUAUGUCCGGAGCAACUUAAUUUUAUGUUAAUUAUUUUACUCUUUUUUUAUUAUUGUCUCUAUGGAUCGUCGAAAAGUGUUUUUUUUUUUUUCAUUUCAUUGUAUCGGAUUUGAUUUUUGGAUAUGAUAGAUACCGUAAAAGGUGAUGGAGAAAGGAUCGAAGACAUGGAACAAGGGAAGGGUGUGGAUUCAAGGAGCAGAGAAAGAAGUUGUGGAGGCAUACGCGGAGCAGUCAGACAAGGACUUAGUCGAGUUCUUGAAAUGUCGGAAAGAAGAAAUUGUUGUUGGAGGAGUGUUGUUUAUGUUGAUGGGUGGUCGACCUUCUGGCUUAGUGGGCCAAGUCAGUGACCAUGACUCACGUCUCAAGCACCUUUUCACAACUUUGAUGGAUCAAGCUUGGCAAGAUCUAGUAGAUGGGGUAUAUAAUAAGAUCCCAUGAUCAUGACGUCAUGUUUUUACUUUAUAAACUGUUUUUUUUUUUUAUGUUCUAUAUAUGUAUGGAAUUGACAAAACCUUUUUUUUUAAUUUCUCUGGUGAGUUUGUAAAGGGUUUAAUAAAGAAGGAGAUAAGAGAUGGUUUCAACAUUCCGGUGUAUAUGAGAAACACAGAGGAAAUAGCGGCUGCGAUUGAGCGUUGUGGUGGUUUCAAGAUAGAGAAGAUGGAGAUAUUAAAAAUAGAUGACCCUAUGAAUGCUAAACGGCAUGAGUUUAUGAAAGAUCCUGAUUCUUACGGUCGAGCCAUGGCUAACUUAAUUCAAGCCGGUCUAAAGCCAAUGUUUGAGGCCUAUCUCGGUACUGACCUGACACACAAGCUCUUCAAACGGUACGCAAAUCGAGCUGCUUCCAACAAAGAAUUUAUCAAGAAGAAUAGUUUCUAUUUUGUGAUCGCUGUGUCCGCGAUUCGGGUUUGAUGUUAUCUAUGUACAUAUAUCAUAUAUGCUUAGUAUAUAUAGCAUGUCAAAACAUCUACGAAAUCGUUUGACGCAUGCUGGAAUAAAUUAUUAUUAGACAGAAACCCUUGUGUUUCGGAUAUAUUAUAGGGUUAUCCUUCACUUUUAAAAUUUUACAAUCUUUCCCCUUUAUUUUGUCGCUUCAAUGAAUUGGAGAAAUGUUUGUCAUUUGAGAUAUGAUAAAUUAGAAAGCAUGGUUCGCAAAACUAAACAUUUAUAAUACGUGAACGAUGAGUAAAGAGAACCUCGUGACCACCAAUGACACUUUACUACGUGACACUCAUUAAUUAAAACAAGGGAAAAUAUUUAUACUUAUAUAGUUUUUACCCUAAAACUCAAAGAAACUAUCUCCCACCACCCCGAAUUCAUUCCUCUCACGCGACACACCACCGUGGCUUCUUCUCCUUCACCACCAAGGUUCAAAUCUUGAAGGCAAUAUCCCAACAACAACAACAAAAAAAAAAAAAACAAUGAAAGAUCUCUCUUUCUUCUUCCUCAAGAAAUCCUAUCUGGCCUCGAGAAUGCGAGGAAGAGGUCCACGUGGUGGCUUCGCGAGCUCUUGUGGUGGCGAUGGCUCGACUUCCACACUAAACCAACAUCAAAAGAACGAAGCGGGACUAUCUGUCACACCUGAAAACACUCCUUUCGGUGGAGGGUCGCCGAGAACGCUAGAGGAGAUGAUACUUCAGCUAGAGGUUGAAGAAGAUAUCGUUAGAAGAGCUAGACUUCGUGAAUCUUACUACGGUACUUAUGAUAAUUGCGACGAUGAUGAUGAUAAGUUAUAUCAGCCUGUUCGGAUGUCAUGCGUUAACAGUUCCGAUAUCUUGAGGUGCGUCAUGCUUCUGUUGUAUAUAUGUGCAUACAUACUAAACAUGAUUCAUAGUCAUGAGCUCAAAUGAAAUUAACAAAAAUAUUUGGUUUAUUGAUUUAUAUUUCGACUUACGAAAAAAUUGUUACCAACAAAAAAAAUUAAUAAUUAUGCGAUUGGAGACUAGAGAGUACGUUUUUUUCUUCUUGGAAUUUUUGUUUCUGUAUUGGUGAAACUUGUAGGUACAAGAAAAAGGUUUCUAUUGUGUAAUGAUAAGCUACAUAUUAUAAUGUCAUUCUGUUUCAUUUGCUUGCCGUUAAGGUCGGCAAGGAACGCGUUGAACCAGUACCCACGUUUCUCGCUGGACGGUAAGGACGCGAUGUACCGGUCAUCAUUCCGGUGCCAGCUCGGCGUCGGUGCUGAUGUGGCAAGACAAGGUGGACGGAGAUCAAACUGCGGGGACGAACGGAGAUCGAGCCAGAUGAGCUUAGAGACAAAACGCCUGCCUCGGAAGGUGGCUGGGGAGAGUGUGGUGUGGUGCGAGACAGGGGUGGUUGCGAAGCUGAUGGGCCUGGAGAUGAUACCGGUUCCGGUCAAGGGCAAAAGAGGAAAAGAUAAGUUAGGGACUCUGCUCAAAAGAGAGCGUCUAAGGAGGAGAGAUCGGACGCUGGACAUUAACGGUCGGAAUGGUCAGACCACCGAAGCUUCUUGCUCGUCUGGAGGUUUAAACUCGAUGAGACCAAUCCGAGCGGCUGGGUCACCUAGCCACGUGGGUGGAUGGCCCACGCUACGUUUCCCAUAAUAUUACGUUUCAACUUGGCCCUUUUAAAAACCUUCAUGUCAACCAUUACUGGUUGUAUCAGUGAACUUUUUAUAUGUUUCUUAUAAUUAACUAUUUCCUCUCCCAACUCAAACAAAUAAGCUAAAACUAAUGGUCUCAAAUAAUAUAAAGAAAGAACCAUAAGGUAUAUAUCUGUCUCAAGCUAAUGUGUUGGUUUCAGACAGCGUUAGAUGUUUAUUGACGAGAAAUAUGCUUGAAAUAACUUGAAAAAACUCAAGGCUUGGUGGGUUUUGUGCGGUAUAUCAGACGGGAACUCCUAGCUCAGACAUCCUCAUAAUUCUUUUGUUCAAUGCAAUCCUCUUUUGUCUUAAGAGCGAAGUCAUGGAAGCCACCUAAUGAUUGAAGACAAGAGAAUUUGAAUGGCCGUUCAUAGCAACGAAGCUUAACAAUGAGGAAGAUGAGAAAAAAAGUGGACUCACUUCGGCUCUAAGCUUGAUUGCUUCCCUCCCAGGAAUUUGCCGCAGGCCAUCCAUUAAAUCUGCAGAGAAUUCAAGUCUCUAUGUAAAUUGAGGUCUGAUGUAAUGACAAUAUUUAAGUAGAUUACAGAGCAUGGAUCUAAACUCAUUAACUGCAGUGACACGUGGAAUAAAUGACUAUUACCAAUGGAAGGUAAAAAGGAGUAAACUAUAAGAUAUGUAAAUUCUUCUUACCUGUAGCUUCGCAUUCAACCUUGUGGACGGAAUUAGCAAGACGAUGUAUAUUGUUUCCAGAAUCCCUACAGUACAGAUAUAUGACAGUAGUAGCCUUAAUAAAGCAAAUGAAGUCAAUUAAGUAAAAUAAGCGGGUCUGUCGACGUUGAGGCAUACAUGAGUUCAGAAAGACCGCGUUUCAUAUCCUUCUCUGCUAAAGCUGACCUUUCAAGCAGUUUCCUGCUCUCCUUUUUCAUUAGGUCUACAGACAUGUUCAACUCCUGGACAUGCUUCUCAGCUUUCAAGAACUGUGCCUGAAGAGAUAAAGAAGUGGAUGAAUAAACAAGAAAGAACACAAACCAGGGAAACUAAGUAUAACAGCGUUAAGAAAUAAAUUCGAAGUCAGUGGCACGCUAGAUACCUCUUCACUCUGAAAUCGGCCUAGUGUAUGACGGAACAAGAAUCUUCUUGGGCCUGUAAUUAUUAGAACCAUAGACAGCAGAAUUUAUACAAGACAUAUCUGAGAAAUAGAGAUGUGAUACUUUUAUGAUGCUCCUUAGCAAAGGAAUAUUGUAAGUUAUACCUCGCAUAAGAACGAGACCAGCAGCGAGACCAAUCCCAGCAGCAGCAGCCGGAUGCUCCUUUGCGUAUAUCAAUUCUUCUGAAAAGGGAAAAACAGCAGGGGAUACCGAGUCAGAUUUAUGAUUGAUUCGUCAUUACCAAACUAGUAAACCAAGCGAGGAUUCGUCAUCAGGACAGAUAAGCACACUAUUGGAUGCAGUACAAAUACGAGUGAAGGUUUAGGGAAAGUAUCUAUUAUACUCAAUGGUUUGUUUUGAUACUCGUAAGCCGUAACCAAGCUUUAAAGUAGUCUACAAGCAAAAAAAAAAAACAUGAAAUUUGGCGUCAAGUUACCUGUUACUUUACUGAAGAAAGCAUUUUCAUAAGUCUUAUACUGAGUCAAAGCAUGUGGAAUGAAAUCCUGCAAUUUCAGAAACAAAAGUAACUACCACAGGAAUUUAGUAGGAGACGCGAAGACAUAUACAUAUACAGCAACUGAAAUUGUGAUCUCAGGUAGAUAAAGAUCAAUUCCAUAGCAUAUCUUUAAGCAACAUGAAUAGCUGAUAUCUUGAGAAGACAUGGUGUCUUUGAAGAGAUUAAGAAAAGAAAACUCAAUGUUGGAAGAUAAUCAAUAAUCCCUCAGCGAUACAAUGCAGACUUCUAAACAAAAUACUCAGUUUGAGAAAAGGAAACAGAAUCAGAUCCCAAGAGAGACUGUGAUCACUGCCAAUAAAUUCAAACGCUAUGAUUCAACAAGAUUUCACCAUAUGAACAAUAACGGCUAAAUGGAGCAGAAUCUGUUUGAAUCGAGCUCAGUUCCAGAAAUAAUAGCUUAUGAAGGUAGAUUGAAUUCGAAUCAAUCCAGGAUUUGAAUCCUGAAAAUUGUUGCGAAAGAAUCUUCAUUCGAGAAACUUAUCGGUGCAAAAUAGAAAGAUAGAAUAACCUGUAUAGAGCGGAACUGAGAGGUAGAGUUUUCACGGAGGGAACGAGCAGAGCGAAUGGCGGAAUCCUUCGACUCCUUCACCGUCCGCUGGAAAUCAUCCACCCAUUUCUCUGCUCCUCCUAUGGCCUCCUCCACCGAAUCAACCACCGCGAUUGCUGUAUGCUCCGUCGCAUCAGCAGCGACUGCAGUCGCUGAAGCCGAUUCAUCGGUAACGCCGGUCGCUUCGGUUUCGCUCAUCGUCGGAGAUUACCUUUCUGGUACCGAGACUUGACCCUUCUCCUCUUUCAAUUUCAACUUUCACCGGUUCGUUUCGACUCGGUUCGGUUCGGCUCAAUUUCAUUCCAAUUUGGAAGUGGUUAAGGUCGGGUUAGCUCAGAUUGCGAUUAAUGGGCUUUAGAUUGGGUCUGCAUCAAAAUAAUUCUCUCUUUCGUCUUCUUUUCCUCAUUCAUUCCUCUUUUCUUCUUCUCCCACCAUUUCUGCUGCAAACCUCCAAAAAGAUGAAAAUAUAAAGGUUAGCUUCCUUAUUGUGGAGAUUUUUAAGAAGGAUCAGAUAACUAUUUCCUCUGGAUCUUCAAAAAGUAGGCACAUUUACAAGGUAUGGUUUUGUUUUAGUUUAUUUUAUUAUUUUGUUUUGACAAUUCUAUGUGCUUAAGAAUUGGGAGUUUUCUUUUCAUGGAUUUGCUCUGAUUUAUUUUUAGAGACAGUUUUGGGUCAUCAGUUUUUCUUCUUGGGGAUCAAUUGUUUAAUUAGUUUAUUCGUGUUUGUAUAAAUUAAGAAGCUUAAAUUAUUGCAAAUCACCUAAUAUUUUCCUGUCUGAAUCUUGGGCAAAUGAUCUUAAUGACGAUGAUUCUCCUCGUUUUAUUGUAACUUUUGGGAAUGCCAAUCUCUUUAAUUAGAUCUGCUGAAACUGAACUUAAACGGGUGGAAGAUGGGCAAAAUAAAGAUGGAAGCUUUAUUGGUUUUUCAUCCUGUAUCCUGUGUUCUUCUUACAGAAACGAGAGAUAUAGAGAGAUUUUGGUGGGGAAGGAGAGAACGAGGAAAAAGCAAUGGCGGCUAGGUAUUGGUGUCAUAUGUGUUCACAAAUGGUGAAUCCAAUUAUUGACGCCGAGAUCAAAUGCCCAUCUUGCCAAAGCGGGUUCGUCGAGGAGAUGAGCGGUGACAUUAAUGGCGGCAGCAGCAGCAGCUUAAGGGAGGUUCAAGACCAAGAGAUCGAUUUAAACCAUGCAUUGUCUCUACUGGGUCCAAACUUGCUUGGAAUGAUGAACAAUCCUCGGAGACGUAGAAGGUUUAGGAGGACAGAGUUUGGUGUGAGUAAUGAUGAGGUCAAUGGUGUUGCUAAUCUUGAUGGGAAUGACAGCAAUGUCGAUAAUCAUCAUCAUCAUCGUCGUCGUCAUCGCCACAGGCAACACGAUGGAGAGAUUGAUUCAGAUAGAGAGUUUGAGUCUAUCCUGAGGAGGAGACGGAGAAGUUCAGCUGCAAUAUUGCAGUUGCUUCAUGGCAUUCGUGCAGGGAUCAAUUCCGAGUAUGAGAGCUCGGAACGGAGCACGUUUAAUGAAUCAGGUGUUGUUCAGGGAUCGACGGGUUUGAAUCAUAACCGGAACAAUACUUCACUUUCUUCAAUAGGAGAUUACUUUGUUGGACCAGGGUUAGACCAAUUGCUUGAACAUCUAGCUGAUAACGAUCCAAUCAGGUACGGGACACUUCCAGCAAGAAAAGAAGCUGUGGAGAAUCUCCUAACGGUUAAGGUAUGUGAGCCAUUGCAAUGUUCGGUUUGUUUGGAUGAUUUUGACAAGGGAAGUGAAGCUAAAGAGAUGCCUUGUAAGCACAAGUUUCACGUCCGGUGUAUAUUACCGUGGCUUGAGCUUCACAGUUCGUGUCCCGUGUGCCGAUAUGAGCUCCCUCCUGAUGAUGAGAUAAAGGUUGAUUUGGUCAGACCGAGAACAAGAACUCUAGAGAUCAACUUAAGUGAUGAGAAUGUGGAAGAUGGUGCAAGGAAUGGUAAUGGGAGUGAGAGCAGAUUCUCUUUUCCCUGGCCGUUCAGCGGAUUAUUCUCUUCUUCCUCUUCGUCAUCUGCGUCGGCUUCAGGGUCUUCUCAGCCCAAUCAAAACUCAUAUUCAGGAUAAAAGAGAGAAUCGUAAACAAAUCCAUCUAUGCGUUUCUCUUGGAUCACUAUUCCUCAGCUUCAACCAAGUAUAUAAAUCUUGUUCACUCAGAUUGUUGAAAAUAAAUAAACGGUUUGGAGGAAUCGGAUCUUUUCUUUCUUUGUUUUUACAUCAUCUUGCUUGAUUCAUGUGCUGCGUAUACAUGUUAUCACUCUCAAGCUAUUUGCACUUGGCACAAAUGAAGAUGAUGAUCAUAUGGUUUAGUCCGAGUUAAUCGACAGUUGGCGUUUAAAACUUUACUUUGUAAACAAAAGAUGAAAAAGAUGGGCCCAAGUUGAGAAGAUUUGGUGGAAAUUAUGUUGACAAGGAAAGGCAUGUGAUUUUGUGGUUGUGCACUGCAUCUCACUAGCUCCAAAUAGGAGGAAUUCCAAUGUUGUAUAAUCAACUAAUAACCAAUUGAAUUUGUUGAAUAAAAGGAAAAAAAAAGUUAUAAGAAGUCAACAAUAGCGAAAUCUAAACUGACAAAACCCAAAAAUCUGAAACUAGUUCUUGAAUUAAUAAGUACAUUAAAAAGAAAACAUAGUUAAUACGAUAUCUAUCACUAGACUUGACGGUCGAGCGUUUUGCGUAACAUUUAAGAGAAACGAUCUUCGUAUUGAAGGUGACAUGAAUUAUAUAUGGUAAUACUUAACCGAAGUAACCCUCCAAUGCUCUUUCACAGAUUGCUGUGUUUUCUUGUGUUGCACCAUGUGAGAAAUUCCAAUGCAAAAUUGGAGAAGCAUGCAUAUAAUAUGCUUUUGCAAAAACAAAUUUUGAAUUAUUCGAAACUGCGAUAUAACUUAAUUAUCUAAUCCAUACUCUCAUGCCAUCAAAUCUCGGCACAAAAAAGUUAUAUAAAAAGAGGGGAAAAAAUCAGAUAAAUUGGAUGCUGCAUUUUGACGAAACUCUAGGGAUAGCCAUUAGAAUAGCUCGCAAGUAUUUACUGUUGAAGGUGCUUUCUUCAACGCCAACUUUCACAGUUUCAAGACAUUCCAAGUUCCCCAAGAAAUGCCUCAUUUGGUGUAACUCUCCAAGGCUUCCUCUGAACCCUGUAAUCUCUAGCACCUUCACUUGACAACUCGACAAACAGCAUACCAUCUCGUUUUGGAUGAUGCAAGGGCACGCAUUUCCACACCACUCUGUAACUCUGUGCACAAGACCCUUGAACCACAACAAACAGACCACACCAUUUGAUAGACAUGUAUAAACGGCAACAGAGAAGAGAAAUGUGUCUUAAAAGAUAAAAAAAAAAUUGAUACCUUAAUGACUAAAGUUUGUAGAUUUGGUGAGUUGCAGAGCAGGCGUGGGAUUACUUCCCAGCCUUUUUCCUCGUCACUUUCUAUAGAUAAAGUAAGUAGGUUGUUGAGCACAGGCAUGGAGUCGCAACAAAAGUGAAACACCUGAUAUAUAGACCAUUAUCAUUAAUGAUAGAUAUUACUAGCAUUAAAUUAACUCUCUUGUAUGAUGAAGAAGAAGAAGUAACAGAAAAACUGACCUGAAGAGAAUGAGCAGACAAGUGAAGGCUCUUAAUGUUUUUCAUCCCAUUAAUCAGAGUUGAAAUAUCGCCACGGAUUUCCUUGAACACUGGACGACCAUCAGCAUCUAAUCCAUAUAAUCGAAGAUCCAGUCUAGCUUCGACAAGAGAAUCCAAAGCAACAACAUCAUAUGUUGCAACAUAACUAGAGUAGUCAAGGUACAGCAGACUCUUUGUCUUAAGAGUAAGGCCACUGUAUUCAUAAUGGUCAGCAAAAUCACUAGUGAUAGUUAAUCGCUUGACGUAUGGAGUCGACAAGUAGCCCAUCCAAACAUAUAUAAAUAACUCCUCUAACGCAGGGCAGCCUCUGACGAAAUGCUUCUCCAUUUCAUGAGAUAGAAAGUAGACUGAAACAAGUGUAAGUGUUUUGAGCGCAGGGAAAAACACUCCUCCAAGAGGAAGACGACCUUUAAGACAAAAUUUAUCGGUAAUUGUGAGCUUAACCAGUGUGUUGCUUGUGAAAAACUCAGAAUCUAUAAAGUUUCUUAAAUUUGACUUUAAGUUUAGCUCUACGCAACCCCGUCCCAGAGCAGUGCGAAUCCAACUAUUGACACGAGAUAUGUCAUUCUCAUAAUUACAUCUUAGAGAGAAUUUCUUGAUGGUAGAAUUGCUUAACAGAUCAAGUGUUUUGUCCACGAAAUCAGAGAAGCGAGGUCGUCGUCGACGACGACUUUGACGACGACUUUCAAUACUUGUUGGUUCUUCUUCUCCGUCUUUUCUGUCGGAAUAAAGAAGCAUCAAUUCAUCAAAAUCAAGGCUGUCUACAAGAGGAAGCAAAUUCAACCACCUCUUGGACAGAACCGCGGUCGAAGCAGCAAGUUUGGUCGGAACUAAAGACAGGAUUUUGCCAAGAACAUCAUCUGGCAGAUUGCUGAUCCGAUCUGUAGCCAUUAGAGACAGAAUAUAACCCCUUUCUUAAUCCUGCAAAAAAACAUAUAAAAACCUUGAUGAGAAACAACAAUUCGAGGGUUAUACAAACUAUAAAGUUCUCAAAAUUAUAAAAUAGAUUCACAACGGAAAGAACACAAAAAAACUAAACUCUGCGAUAGAAAUCACAGAUUAAAUAACACCAACUUGGAUUUAUCAAUGGCUUCUAGUAAGAUCUAAAACAAGGUACCCCGAUUCUAAUUCCUGCCUCAAAAUAGCCAAUUUCGAUUAACACAAUAGAGAAAUAUACCUAGAGUUUACAAGAUAGGUUUAUCAAUGGCUUCUAGUAAGAUCUACAGAAAUCUCUAAGAAAUUGGAUAAAAGAAAGAAACCUGUCCUUCCUUUUUUUUAUGAUUUUUUCCUUUUUUUAAUCAUUUUUUAUUUUUAUAAAGAUGGAAAGUCAUGCGGAUAAAAAAAUGUAAAAUCGUCCUACCAAUAGAAAUUUAACGUGUGGAAUGUAUUGCUUACGUGGCUAAAAUAUUAAGGGUAAAAAGUUAUUUGUAUCUCAAAAUACUAGGUGCGCACUUAGGUUUAUGGUUUAGUUUCGGUUUGGUUUUUCGAUUUUUUUGUUUUAAGAAAUUCAAACUAUAUAAAAACUAUAUAUAUAUAUAUAUUCUGGUUUGGUAUGAUUUAAUUUUUAUGGUUUUCGGUUUAUCAGUUUUAUAAAAAAUAAAAUCAUAUAUAUAUAUAUAUAUCAAUUUUCAAUUUGGUUCAGUUUGAUUGCAAUUUUUAAUUUAUUUUAUACAAUAAAGAGGACAAACAAAGGUAUGAAAAACACAACUCUAUUCACCUGUUUGGAGAUUGAAAAUAUGAAGAUGGAUACCAGCUCUGGCUAGAUUCAAGUCCACACUGAUUUAGAUUAGAAAAGUUUCUUUAAAUUGUGUUUUUUCUUAAACUUGUAAACAUCUAGAUGUAAAACAGUUUUUUUUAUGAAUAAUUCUAGGGGUGAACUUCUUUAUUCAUCCCUAGGGGUAAAUUUCUUUAUUCACCUCUCUCUAUUAUAACAAAUCAAUAUAUGCCAUGUAAAAUUUAAAAUGAAUUAAAAAAUAAAAAAAAUAAAAUAAAAACGAAUUAAUAAUAAAAAAUCAAAAAUUUAUUUUUAAAUUAUAAACUCUAAUCCCUAAACUCUAAACCAUAAUAUAUAAAUUUUUUUUAAAAAAGAACUAAACUCUAACUCCUAAAUCCAAAUAUUAAUUUAAAAGAAAAUAAAAAUAUAAACUAAACCCUAAACCCUAAAUCUAAAUAUUAAAUUUAAAAAAAAAUAAAAAUAAAAAAUAAAUCCUAAACCCUAAUCCUUAAACCAAAUAUUUUAUUUGAAUAAUAUAAAGUUUUUAAUUUUUUGUGAUAAAAAAGUCAAUUUACUUUAAUUGUUUUAUAAAGAUAAUAUUCAUUAUUGUAAAUCUUAGAUGACAUGUUUUGAUUGUUUUAUAAAGAUAAUGACAUAGCUAGCUAAAGUACGUGUAUAUAUACUUCAUACUAUAAGAGCAUCUCCAACGGGUAUUACUUAGGGUUCAUAAGUGGGCCCGUUUUUAUUUUUUUGGUUUUAAAAUUAAUAAAAUAACUCAUACUCAGUAAUACGGUAUGAUUAGAGUGAUCUUGCUGAACCGGUAUGAGUGGAGUAUCACUGGACAGAUGUUAGCAUAUGAGAGGUUGUUGUGGGGAAGAAAAAAUUUCAUCGGGCUUUCUCUUUCUCGACCAUUUUUCUUCUCAUCUGUUUUUUCACCGACGAACUGGUGCAGGUUUGGGAUAAUCUGGUUCUUCGUUUGUGUCGUUUGAUUCUUCUUCCUUUAGCGGUUCCCUCUCUACAUCUCGCGUUGUAAGCUCUUCUCCUCCAAUUUUUCGUUGUGUAAUUGCUUAAUGGAUGUUGUUGCAAUGGGUAUUUUUUGUUUUUAUUGUUAUAAUCCAAACAAAUCUCGCCAAUCGAUUUAUGGGUUUAUGUGGAAAAAGUCUGCUUCGUUUAGCUACCUGUUUGCUUAUAACAAGCUUCUGCAAUUAAUCAAUUAAGAACUUUUACUCGGUGGGAGAAGCCUUUCUGGUUACUCGGUGGGAAUUUUAGGCCAAAUUAAUUGAGCAGAUAAGAGGCGUAGAUAAAUGUUUUAGAUAAAUGUUUUGACGUUAGUGCUCGUAUGGUCGGUUUCAUUUUCAUCUUAUCUUAGAUUCAUAUCUGCUUGUGGGUUUAGUCUCUGGCUCAGUAAUUUAGUCUCCAUUUUUUCUUCUUCUUUCAGAGCAAGCUCUUUGAUAAGACUGUCGAGGAAUGUGACCAGAAUCACCAGCACAGGCUUGAAAACAAUGAGAAUCUUUACAAAGCCUUUCAGCAUUUUGACAAAGACAGCAGCAGGUAAGCGACGACCUGGUUCAUCUUUUUCUUAACUGAUGAUGUAUUUAUAAGCAAAAAGAUGGUGAACCUUUUUUGUAAUCUAAACUGAAUGUAUGCUUCUUCUGUCUUGCCAUAUAUAUUUGCAGUGCCAUUUGCUAUGCAAAGAGUUCAUCGUAGAGACAUGGCAGAUAUAUAAUUUUCAGAGAACAUGUGAUCUGGCAACUUCUCUCUUGGAAAGAUCUUCACAAACUGGUGUGGGAAGGAUCGAUCCUGCAAACUGCUCUAAAAGGGUAUGAGAUCGAGCUUUCUUGGUCAGGUGAUGUUCUUCUUCGCAAUGGAGUCCCACUCAUCUAUCCAGACAUGUAAGCCAACGAAUGGGUUGCUGUUCAUGGAGUUAACCAAAUGAUCGCAACACAAGCAAUACAGCCUAAACUGGGAGAAUCUGUCUCAUUGCUGCAAGAAAUAAGGACAAGGAGAAGAAGUGUACUCUCACUGUUCGAUGCUUUUCUCUACCUAAAGUCACCACCAUAUAUGCCUUUUGCACCAUUGUUGUAAAACCUCUGUUUUUUUUGAGGUUUUUCUUUUCAGUGGAUGUGCCAGGCGUUUGUGGUGAUGCUGUUGACGUGCUUGCUAAUUAGAAUGAACUUUAGAUUCUAUGUUGAGGUUAAGAACGUGUAUGACUUGGUAUGUUAUGUAUCACUUGCACUUAAAAAUGAGAAUCAGUUACAGACCAGAGCAACUAGACGAACAUAGUUCAAAACUACAAGAUGCUAUGUAUCAUGUCCACUCACCCUUUGACGCUAUAGAUCUUCACAACCAUUGUAGUUAACCACACGCCUCACACUCUCCUAACAAUAUUUUCCCUAAAAAUUAUUAUUUUAUUCUGAUGAUACUCAAAAACAGGUUUAGGGUUGGAGGUGAUUUUUGGUUGGAGAUGACUACUAUUCAAAAAACAAAAAAAAAUAAUAAAAAAUGCCUAUAAACCCUUCCAAUAAGUAUCAUGGUUGGAGAUGCUCUAAUGUUUUUUGGGGAUUUUUUGAGAAUAAAGCAACGACGACGACUACUAUUUGGAGAGAAUGUCGAUCACUUUUAAAAAAGACUAUUUAUUUAUUGUAUUCUUAUUUAGUUACCUUAAAUUGAUUUUUUUCUACAAAUUUUGAGACUUGGUUGACAAGCCAUAUUUUAAAUGCGGCCAGAUCCUUUCCGUUCAAUUUUUUUUUUCCUGAGUUUGAUAUAUUUUAGGUUGCGGAACAGUUCCGUUACUUAAAAAGCUUUUCCUCAAAAUGUCACAGUUUUUUAAAACUUUAUUGUUGAAAAAUAGUAUUAUGUUUAAAACUUUUUGUUAAUGGUUAUCAAAAUUUCAUCAAACUUACAAUAACUGGUAUACCUUUGGGCAAAAUAAAUACAUUAGUCUAUUUUAACUAGAGAUGGGUUAUUUAAAUAUCCAAAUUUUAAAAGUCCCAAAAAUGCAUUUAACUCUAUCAUUAAAAUGGUUAGUCAUCAGACUAUUUAAAAUAGUGCCAAAAAAUUGAUAAUUAACACUGAUAGUUGAUUAAAAUCAAAUUAAAAAAAAAAAAACUGAAACCCUGACUAAACCUCUUGCAACUACACCCAAAGAGAAGUACCCACUAAUGAUGGAGUCUACCGUUGGAGCAGAAAAUCAUACGUCGAUAUCGUAUUUGGAGACCAGUUUGUCUUUGUGGAGAGGUGUUCUCUGGAGUGUGUUGAAAAAAAAUUUUACAAAUGAAAGAGAAGAUAACGUGUUCAGAUGGGGAUGCUAAAGUAUAAACACUCAGACUAAACAGAGAUUCAUGACAAUCUUUGGUUAUCAAACUGGAAAAAAAAAAUCAUAUGUCUGCCACACAUUCACACUGCUGUAGCUCAUUUCAGUUUGCUUUGAAAGUUUUUUUGGUUCAGGUUCAUAUUUGAGUUUGGUUAGGUUUUGAAUACUAAAAGUAUGAUCCAAAAAAAUACAUAAUUAAUUUGACAAUUUGUGUGAUAACUGAGAUCACGAAUUCAAAACCUCAAAAGCCUGAAUAUCGUUUUCAUAAGCGAAAUCAUCUAAUAAAUUGAUAUUAUAUUCAUGUACAAAUUUUGCAUUACAACAAUUUACUAUUGUUUUUAUAAUUUUUUUUAGUUAAAGUUGUUUAGUAUUUUAGAUCUUUCUCAUUUCUAACUAUAAACGUUUAUUCAGUUCAACAUGUCAAACACUUCAGUUUUGGAGUGAGUUAACAAGAAAUUGAUGAGAAGAUUUGGAGCUAACUGCUGAGUCAAAAUUGGGCAGAAUUACAAGAUAAUCAUAGAAAAGUGAAGGCUCUUAGUGUUGUUUAUCUCCUGAAUCAGACUCGUAACUUUCACUGACAAUGGACCAUCAUCAUUAUAAACAUUUGACUCAUAUAAUCGAAGAUCCAGUCUAGAUUCGAUAAGCAAAUCCGAAACAACAUUAUCAUCUCCUGCGGCAUAUACAGAUAGUCAAGGUACACAUGAGUAAGUGUUUUAAGCUUAACUUAGUUGAAGUCCACAAAGUUGAAAAUCAUCAUCAAAAUCACUAGUGAUGGUAUUCACUUGACAUAUGGACUCGACAAGUUAAUACAACUCUUGAACAGUAUAUCACUGCUAUUUAUAAACAUGUCAAUGGAUUUUUCUCUAUUUAUAUCCAAAGCUGUUAGAAAUAAAAUAAAUAAAAAAUAUUUUCCAAAGAAAACAUUUUCGUUUUACUCUUUUACCCAUAUUUUGUGUUCAUUCUGUGUACAUGCAUAUCCAAACUCCUUGUAGACCAUUAAAGAAAAGUUAAAAUCUCAGAUUUUGGUAUUAUGGUAAGUCAUAGUAUCUCUAAUAAGUAUUUAUUAAGUGGUUUUUCAAGUGGUAUCUCAACAUAAAAAUAAUAAUAAAUAAAAAAGAGAAGUGGAAUCUUUUCUUUAAUGAAAAUUUUUUUGAGAUAAAUAUGAAAAUUUCAUUUAACACUUGCUUCUUUUUCAUUGGUUUAUUUUUUUAUUUUUAAAUUAAAUUAAAUUACAUAAGUCAACUAUAUUUAAAUAUUAAUAUUUUUAUUGUUUGAAAUAUUCUUAGAAAUUCUCACCAAUGAAGAUGCUCCUAAGUCUUAAUUCAAUGGGGACAGAGAGACACAUUUGUUGGAACGUACAACCACAUGUCCGAAUGAAAAUCAUUUUCAAAUCUUAUUAGGGCUUUGAUUGAUAACUUUGCGGAAUGGCGGAAUUGCGGAAAAAAUCUUGCGGAAUAAAUUAAGCGCCUUAUAAGUCGCUUUUCUGCGGAAUGACUUUUCCUUUGUAUUUUUGUUAAGUUGUGUGUAUUUUUUCAUUACACGAAUUUUUGUUGAUUGGCAAAAAACUUACGGAAUUGUGUUUAAAAACGCAAUUCCACCAUUCCGCAAGUUACCAAUCAAAGCCUAGGUUUCGUAUUUUUCGUUACACGGAAGCACAGCUAGAAUGUGUCAUCUGCUGUUUCCCUUAAUUAAAGCCAGAAGAUGAAAAGAAAUCACCAAGCUUUUACGAGCUCUUGGCUGCAGUUGUAGUGAAUACACCACCAACUGCUCCUUCUGAUCCAUUCUCACCUGAGUUUUGCACCUUUAUAUCAUCCUGGUAUUUAUUUGGUUGCAGUUGCAAAAUCAUCUUGUUUUCAUCACCAAAAAAAAAAAAUACAAAGAUUAUUGACGUUUGCUGGUAUUUAUUUGAAUUAACAACAGCAUACACAAGGAUCCUCCAGCAAGAUCAUCCUCUCUUGACCUAUUGGUUCGUUAUAGUGAUAGAGCCACUUACAUUAAAUCAGAGUCAUUCGCCCCAAUAAAUUUUAAAAAGUUGGUGUAGUUUAUUAAAGCCUAACUAGAUUCUAACCUUGUGCGUCCGUACGGGAAUUGUUUUUCUUGUUUAACGAAUUUUGUAAUACAAUUUAUGUUUUUUGAAUUUAGAUAUAAAUAUUUUAUAGAUAUAUUUUUAUAAUAAGUGAAAUUUUUUUUUUUGUUUUUAGAUAUAAUUUUUUUUUUGUUAAUUUAAUUUUUUAUACUAUUAAAGAUAACUAUAAUUAUAAAAAUAUAAUUUUAACACGUCUGUUCAUAUUAAUCCAAAAAAAUAAUAAUUAUAAAAGCAUAAUUCUAACUUAUCUGUUCAUAUUAUCAUAUAAUAUAAAAAUUUAUUAAAAAUUUAAAAUGUAUGAAUGAUAUUUUAUUUAGCAUAGAAUAUCUUAUAUAGUUUUCUAAAUUUUAAUCUAAAAUAAGUGUAUGCAAUAAAUUUUAAUUAAUUAUUUCUGUUUUUUUGUAUGAAAAAAUAUAUUUUUGGGUAUACAUGUAUGAUUCAAAAUUAGUAAUUUUAGCUACCAAAAUAUUUUUAACCUGGUUUUUAUAUAUAUUUUCAGUUCUAUGGUUUAUUAAAAAUAUGUUUUAAUAUUUAAAUUAUACAUUUGAUUCUUAUCCAUUAUUUUAUCAUUAAUUUAUAUAUAAAUCAUAAUCGUAAAUGUUUUAUAUAAUCAACAUAAAUAUCAUAUCAUUUACAUCAUCAUAAAUAUUUUAUAUUUUAAAUAUGACCAUUAUUUUCUAUAUGUAAAUUAUAUUUUCAAAAAAGUAUUGGUAUUUUUGAUAAAGGUUUUUUAAUAAUAAAGAAAUUAUUUAAAUUAAAAUAUUUAAAUCAAAUCUAAAUUAAUAUCUGAUUUAUUAUUUUAAAUCAAAUCAAAUCAAAUCUAAAUUAUCUAUAUUUAAUGAAAUCUAAAAAAAAUUAAAAUUUUCAAUAAUUUCCAGAAUUAAAUAUAAAUCAUGUUUUAAAGUGUUUGGAUGCAAACACUAAAAGUGUUUCUGUUUUAAUAUAAUAGACUAGAUUUUAACCCCGUGCGUCCGCACGAGAAUGUUUUAUUUUUUAUUUCUAAUAUAAGUUGCAUUUAUCUUUUUUGUUUAGAUAUAAUUUAUUUUUGUUAUUUAUUUUUUAAAAUCAAAAAAUUGUUAUCAUAUUUUAAUUUUAAACAGUAAAAUUUGUAUAUUAGUAGAAUAAGAGUAUACGUUAAUUAAGUAUACAUUGAUCUAAUAUUAAUUAUAAACUUUGUUAUUAUGUGAAUUUAGAUUUACACAUAAACAAUCUAUAUAUCUAUGAAUUUGCUAAUUUAUCCGUUUAGUUGUCUUAAAUCUUUUUUAAUAUCUUACAUGUUUUGACGAACUAACCCGUAUAAGACUAUAUAUAAUUAUAAUUGUAUAACCCUAUAAAUAAUUACUAAUAUGGAAUAUUUGGACCAACUGAUUAUGAAAAAAUAUAAUAAGAUAUUUAUUUACUAUUUGUGCUAUUAAAAAAAUGUAUAUAUAUAUAUAUAUAUAUAUAUAUAAACGGGCUAACCUGUUAGUUUAAUUGUCUUAAAUCAUCUUAAUAUCUUACAUGUUUUAAUAAAUUAACUCAUGGACCUUAAAUAUAUAUAUAUAUAUAUAACUCUAAUCAGCUCGAUCAUAUUAUUGUAUAAUACAAAUAUUUAUUAAUCUCAAAUAUUUGAUAUUUUAGACCGAUUGUUUAUGAUAAAAUACGAUAAAAUAUUUAUUUACUAUGCAUUUUUAUAAAAAAUUUAUUUAAAUUUUAAAUUUUAAAUUAAAUCUUUUCUGUAUUUAAAAAAUUCUAAAGUAUUAAAAUUAUUAUCUAAAUUUUCGUAAUAAAAUUUAAUUAUAAUUUUUUUGAAUUUAAAUUAAAUUGAAUGCAAAUUUUUGUAACUAAAUUUAAUUAAAUUACUAAUAAUUUGAAAUUUAAAUUAAAGAUGACCUAGAUUUUAGGAAAUCUAAAAAUAUCUAAAUUAAUAACUAAUUUUCGGAAAUUAAAUAUAAAAAUAAAAUAAAAUAUUAUAAAAAAAAUUUUGGGAGUGUUUGGAUGCAAAUACUAAAUGUGCUUCUGUUUUAAUAAAGUAGAUAGUAAUACCUUCACUCAUGAAAUAAUAUGUAUCUUUAAUAAUUUAUUUAUGCCCCUCAAUGAAAAAAAAUUUCUGGUUCUGCCACUGGAUUCAUAGAUCUUUAUUACUCGAUUGCUUCAAAAUAAUUUCUUUAAAGAACUAUAUUUGUUUAUCUUUGAUGGAACAUUCUUUGAUCUGUAUUUAAUUCAUCAAGAAGUUCGAUCAGGACAAGGAAAUUAAUCUUUUUUUUUAUUAACAAGGAAAUUAAUCUUGAGAUGCAUGCUUAAGGAGAAGUUCCAUUUCUUGCUUCUGGUUAAUAUAAUAUAUUUUUUUUCCCACUGUUAAUAUAAUAUAUAAACAAAGGGAUGAUAAUAAGGAUAGCUCUUAAAUCAUACACAAAAGGAAGGUAUUCUUAUUAUAGGAAACACAAAUGAUCUUUAACAAAAAAAAAAAAAUUUAUAGGAAACACAAAUGAAACAACACAUGACAUUACUCAGAAUAUUUAAGGAAAUCCCAUUUCUUGCUUCUGGCAUAUAUUAUAUCUCUAUCUUAUUAUUUAACUAGACAUUUUUUUUAAAAUGAACCUUAAUUUAUAAGAUAUUACAAAAUAUUUUGCAUAAAUAAAUAUUUAUUAAUAAAAUAUUACUUAAAUAAAUUUUUACUUAUAAGAUAUUACAUAACUAAACUUUACAAAUAUAGAAAGUUUAAUUAAAUAUUCCUUUGUAAAAAAUAGAAAAAUAUAGAAGUCACACAUUUAUUUUGAAUAUAUAUGGAAAUAAAUCAAAAAUGUAUUUAGUUUCUUUACUUUUUAAAAUAUUAAUAUAUAAUAUAUUAUUUAAAUAAUAAUCAAUCCAUAUUAUAUUAAUUUUUUUUUAACUUUUGCAAUAUUUUUUAUUUGUAUUUUCAUAAUUUAUUAGUAUUAUUUUUGAAAAUCUAUUCAAUUAUUUUUGUAAAAAAACUGAAAUCUUAGUUUUCAAAUUUUAAAAUUGUAUUUUUUACAGGUUGCUCGAAAAAAAUAUUUUACUAAAUUACCAAAAUAUAUUAAGUAGACGGAUUUUUAUUUUGACAAUCUUAUAAAUAAUUAUUAUUAAACACAUAUUAUAAAAUUUAUUAACUAAAAGUGAUAGUUUGAUCUCUAAUAAAAUAUUUACAAUUAAAUUUGUAUUUAAUAAAUAAAUUUUUAUAUAUAUAUAUAUUUAGAUUCUAAUCUAUGAUAUGUAUAUAAGUGUAUAUAUAUAUAUUAAUAUCAUAGUAUAUAUAUAUAUUAAUAUCAUAAUAUAUAUACAUUAAUAUCAUAUCACUUUCAUAUUUAAAAACUACUAAUAACUAAAUCGCAUAACAAAAUUAGCUGAAAAUCUUGUUUGAUGAAUAUAGAUAUAAGUAAAUAUAUGUUGAAUAAUAUUUAUAUAUGUAUUGUUAUAUAACUGUCAUCAAUUUUAUUUAUUUUUAUUUUUGUUAAAUAAUUAUUGUCAUCAAUUCUUAUUUAACCAAAAAAAAUUUUAAAACAUAACCCUGCACAAAUAUGCAGGUUAAUUCCCUAGUAGAAAGUAUAAACAUAUAGCUAGGGUUGAUAAUAAGGAUAGCUCUUAAAUCAUAAAUCAAAGGAAGGUACUCUUAUUAUAGGAAACACAAAUGAAACAACAACACAUGACAUUACUUAGAAUAUUAAAACAUGAACCUUAAAGGAACAAGCUACUUAUUAUUACAACAAUGGAUUCUAAAACAUAACUCACCUUACAUCAAAGAAACAAGCUAAUUAUUUAUUACAAAAAUGCAUUCCAAAACAUAACUCAGAACUUCAAACCGGAAUCUUUGAGUCUCUCCUCCAUGAUCAUGUCGAUUUUGUUCCCCAUUUCCGGAGUUAGAUGAUUCUUCCAAUCACCAACUAUCCCUUUGCGGAAAUGGUUUUUGUAAUCCAUGCCAUUGAUCGAUGUUCCGGUCUUGUUAACCUCCAAACUGAUCAGGUUAGGCAGCGAACACAUCUCCAAGAUCUUUUCAACAGAUCCAUUCUUUUCUUCUUCCCCGGAGAAGGGACAACCCAAGAACUCCGCAAUUUUCAUGAGCUGACCGGUAGGAUCUGUCUUCAUUUCAUCGUACCUCAUAAAAAGCACAUGUUUUGGAUUUUCCAGACUAACUUUCCAAUAACUCAGUAUAUGAUCCCAGAACGGACCAAAGAAGCCAACUCCGCUCCAUAAGGACUCAAACAUAGAUUCAAGAAUGCUUCUGUCCUCUUCUUUAUUCUGAUCUCACAAUAUUAAAUAGAAACAUCGAAUGUCGGGAAUGCACACCUGACAAUCUGAGUAGAAUGUGGUGUAGCGGUCAGAUAAAUCGUAGAGGUACUCGCACAGCACGCUCGGCAACAAGUUGGAGCAAGCUUCCACCACCGUCUGCAAAUCGUUCACACAUGUGUUUUGCAAUUGAUCAUCUUCUUACCACGAAAAACAAGUCAAAUGAGAUAGUAGUAUCUGAUGAGCAUGCGUUACCUCCGCAAAUCACCUCCGCAAAUCGAAGCAAGUGAAGCCCCAGUGCUCGCUCUUCUGCAUGAUUCAAUGCUAGCUUUCCUGUCUGCAACAAAACAGGUGUUGAAACGUAAGAACUUUCUCUUUAUCAUACUGUUUAUGGUAAACUUAUAACAGUCUUUGUUCUAUCUUAUUUAUGAAAAUGUGAAAUUAGAUAGAACAAACCCAAGGAAGAAAAAUUAAGACAAAAGGGCUUAGGGUGUGCAAAAAAUUAAAUCUUAAGACUUCCAAGAACUAAAUGAUUAAUGUAGACACUGGCAUGGAGUUGGCAGUUAAAAAAACUACUGACAAUUGUGAUUGCUUUCAAAGCAACUAGAUUUUAAAUAGCAAUUCCUUUAAUAUCCAAGUUGGAGGCAAUUGGAAAGUUCAGGUGCAGCCAAGAGGAAGAACAGAAAACCAAAAAGUAAUUAAGCCAUCGGUGUUCAUGCGGCUAAAAUACCUUUUUCAGCUCAUCUAUGUCUUUGCCAGACUUAGUGAUGAUUGAAUAGAUCCGAGCAUGGGCGUAAAGAAGGUACACGGCUGUAUUUCCCUGCUCAUGACAUGUGACCAAUGAGCAUGUGUAGGUUGAGCAUAAAUGCAAUAUGCACACUAGGUGGCAAAUUCCAGUACCUUGCCACUAAGCAUUUGAUCGAAGCUGAAAAUAUAAUUUGUCGUUCUGUUGUUCUUCAGGUCAGCAUACCUAAGAAAGAAAUUAAACAAAACCGCAAGUUAGCAGUAGCAUGAAAUUACUAAAACCACUAUCAAAACAUCUGGUAGAACACUCAUCACAUUUGUGCAGGCUUGAUUACAAACAUCACCAAAACGAGGAGGAUAAAGACAUUACUUACUUCACCGCACCAUAUCCAACUGCCUCAGCUGUUUGGUCCAGCUCCUCAGGAGUCCAUUCUUUGUCCUUGCCUAAACAGAGAACAAGGCAAGAUAAGACCACAUAAUAACUGAACAAGUGAGCGGUUCAACAGUUCAAAACGUAAAGAGUGCUGACACAAAGUUAGAUACCGCGCUCAAUAAGGGCAAUUUUACUGCGAGUCUUGGCCUCGUCUAGCAAAUCAACUAGGCGGACUACUUCUGCACACCGAGUUCUAAAUCGCUUGUUAUCUUCCCCGAGGACGAGACCAAAACCAACAUGGUCAACUCUAGGGUAAGUUUUAUCACUGUCUGUAAGCCAACCAGCUUUCCUGGCAGCCUGAUUCAUAGUAACAGGAUAACCACAGCACUGUUACGACUGAGAGUUAUAAGCAAGACACGUAAAAAAAAACAAUAAAAAUUCAUCAACCCUACUUUGAAGAACAUAUUAAAGUGCUGCUGCUGGCCAACAUCGGUCACAUAUAUGAUCCACUCAGCUUUCUCUUCACUAAGCCGAUACCUGGGCCAGGCAGAUUUAGCAUCAGCAGACAAUUCAUUAAAACAUUACGCAAGUUCAGGUCAAGCCACACACUUCAGCAAAUACAGACAAAAAGUCAUAAUAUAUGAAAUAUAUAUCCAAAGAGUGCUACUAGAAUACAGAACCUAAAGAAGAACUAACUGAAAGAUAACCCACCAAAGAGCAGUCAGAUCUGUUGAGGCCUAGUUAAAACCACCGUCACUCUUAACAACUAUGAGUGGGAUGUUGAAGCCUUCGAGGAAAAUCAUACGAGCACCUUCACUUUCUUCAACCAACCCCUUGCUAUUUAAUUCCUCCCUGUAAUGUAUCAAUGUAUAUUUCAUUACCCAUCCAUGUUCCUCUUUUCCAUUAUGUCUCAAAUCAUAUAGUAUCGGUCAAUCUAUUCCUUUACUUUUUCUUCAAGCUCAACUCGAAGGCGUUGAUAAACCAUGGAAAACUCGGUUCGGCUGAUUUCACAAAUCUUAGCCCAAGCCUUUCGUGUUACCCAAUCUGUACCUUCCAAAGCAAUCAUGAAUACUUUCUACCAAUGACUCCAAGCUUUGAGACGCAAUGGCUCCCACCUGAACCAGAGUUAAUGUUUUUUACUUCUCUUUUUCAAAAACAAGUUUAAUCACUGAACCUACUGGCAUUGAUUUACCAGAAGUAAAGAGAGAGAUUUAAAAAAACCAAAAUUUCACCGGAUCUCGUUUAACCAAGAAAAAAACAAUAAACUGCAGCAACACCAAGAAUAAAAGUUGUCGGAUUAAGACUAAACCUCAAGCAGUGAGUUCAGGUGAUGAAAUGGAUAUCCUUAUGUAAUCUAGAGAACAUCUUUCCAAGAAAGCUGCAACAUACAAUUGAGCCCCCCAAAUAUGAAGACACAGACCUAUUGACUAAAGCUUCCAACAUGUUGACUAAUGCCUUUGUUCUCAAGACUGGCAUUAAGUUCAAAAAUCAAGCUAUUCGUCCAUUUACCACAGCAAGCAUCGAGCGCAUUGACGAAGAGACUAAGGGUUACACGCAAACCUGAGGAAGCCUUAGCUAAGAAACUGGAAUUGCUCAACAGCUUGCAGAUUCUAGGGCAAAGCUUUUGGAAAGAAGAUUUAGGAGGACUGGCCACCAGACUGUACCACUUUGUUCUGCUCUCCCAUUGCCUCGAACAAUGGCAUUAACGAAAAGACCCACCGCCGAUGAGGCUGCACCGGUAUUGCUCCCUUCUUCUUUUCCCUUGAGAUAAAUCCCAGACAAAGCACCAAAAGUCAAGCAUCCAUAGCUCCGGAAUCGGAAUCCUUCAACCGUUCAACUACCUGAGCGCAGCCGUGGAACCGAAACGUAUACUACAAACGUAGGAGAGGAGGUGGAGGCACUCUUUUUUCACGGCGGGUUUGGGAUCGGAGCACGAAUCAGUUGAGAACCAUGGGUAGGGUUUCGGGAGAGAUAGACUGGUAUGUGUCCCGAUCGGCGAGCUUAAAAGAUAGAGGUGAGGAUCUUCUACUUCAGCUCCGCCAUGGCUUGGAUAGAAGUGAGGGAGCCGGAAUUGGAGGAUGACCUAGCUGCCGCGCUCGACGACCUUGCUUGUUUAGUCGGCUCCGCCGCCGAACCGGACGUGGUGGGUGUGCUCAUUCCGGAAUCGCCGACGAGAGAAGUGGUGAAUCGUCAAAGAAGAGAGACGAUUUGAAGAAGAGAGACGAGAUUUGUCUGUCACUGUAAUGAGUAAACGGUUAAGACUGGGGAAAUCAGAAAUGAGUAGACAUUUUCAUUGUUUUUCAUAAGAGAGACAGAAGAAUAAUAGUGUGACGUGAGAUUGGGAAGAAAUUAAAAGGAUGAUUAGUUUUAAUAACAUAAAAAGGCCAGUUUCACUUUUUUCUAAUUGGUUUUUAACUCGGAGCAUCAACGGUCUUUCCCCCUUUCUAAAACCCUUCUCUAUCUUCCUUUUACCAAAUCCACCAUUAUCACCAUAGAAGGAGAGAUACAGAGAGAAACUCAGAGCUCGAGUCCUCCUUCUGAUAUAAAAACCCUAGAUUACUUCUCUAAAACCCUCUACGAUUCCCACUCAGAGACGAAAAUUCUCCAACCUUUCUAUUCCGCUCUUUUCUCGAGGAUUCUCGGGACUUUCUUGGCUUUAAAGAACGUUGUGGGGGUGGAAAAAUAAAGAAAGAAUCAACGAACAUCAAUUGUUUUUUUCUUCUCAUUGCUUGCUAUGGAAUCUGGUAAAUCUCGAUUGAACUCCUGCAAUUGAUUUUCUCCCUCUAGAUUUUCCUAUUAUUCUUUAGCGGGAAGUGAUUAUCCAGACGCCAUAGCCAUGAAUUUCGAUUGUAUUCUAAUUUCUUUAUCGCAGGGCUGGAUCGGAGAGGUUGUUGUUUGUUCCAUUGAUACUGCUCCGAAGGACCUGAACAAAUGUCGGGCAAGAUGGCAUCCGGCGGUGCUGGCCCGUGCAUAGUCGACGGAUUUGAAAAAACGGACGAGAAGUUAUGUUCAGCUCUACUGAACAGAACCCUGGACGGGAUUCCCACCCUUAGUCCUGACAUAUUCAGUGUCCAGCCAUGGAGUCUCUCUGAAGAAUUUCUUCCUACUGUCGAGAGAAGUUUUUUGUUCUUAGUGAAAAACCCUCCAGAAAAUGACUACCCAUUGAUGACUGAGCAGGUCUAUACUUGGAGGACAAAACAGUGCAAAAGAGAAGCCUCGUAAGAAGGCAAAGAACAGUGCUGAUUUGAGCAACCCAGACACAUCUGUUUGUGUCUUGAAGAGAAGGCCAUCUGCUCCGGAUGGUCUAUGCUUAAGUAUUCACACGGACCAAAUUUCUUGUUUUGCGUAACCAGGAAAGCCUCUGCUGAUUUGAGCAACCCAGACACAUCUGUUUGUGUCUUGAACCAACAGGUUCGCUCUCCUCCUGAGCAGGUAGAAUUUGCUCCUCACCGUGCAAAAGAGAAGCCUCGUAAGAAGGCAAAGAACAGUGCUGAUUUGAGCAACCCAGACACAUCUGUUUGUGUCUUGAACCAACAGGUUCGCUCUCCUCCUGAGCAGGUAGAAUUUGCUCCUCACCGUGCAAAAGAGAAGCCUCGUAAGAAGGCAAAGAACAGUGCUUCUGAGCAUGCCUACAAGGAUAUUUUGACAAGUCUUCCUAAGCCUGGUGGUGGAGAGUAUGGAAAGUACUACUCCUUACCAGCUUUGAACGAUCCAAGAAUUGGUAUGGUUCCUCGAAAACUGCUUUGCUGUAUAUAAUUCCCUCCAUCAGUUCCGUUGUAAUGGAUUUCUAAUGAAGGUACGUAACACUUUGUUUUGAAUAUUGUAGAUAGAUUGCCAUACUCUAUAAGGAUACUAUUGGAGUCGGCAAUUCGUAAUUGUGACAACUAUCAAGUCACAAAGGAUGACGUUGAGAAGAUCAUUGACUGGGAGAAUACAUCUACUAAGCAAGUCGAAACCGCCUUCAAGCCAGCCCGUGUUAUUUUACAGGUGUCUAGUUUAGCAUUUCACUUUAGUCUAAAUGCUAACUUGUAUUCUUGCUCUAAAUGCUAACUUGUAUUCUUGCUUUACCUACUUGACAGUGUCUUUGGGUUUUCUUUCCCAGGGCGUUACUGGAGUACCAGCUCUAGUUGAUCUUGCUUCUAUGAGGGACGCAAUGAAGAAUCUUGGUAGUGAUCCUAACAAGAUUAAUCCAUUGGUUAGUCAAUUCUCUUAUCGCUUUCGGUUUUGACGUGUUGAAGUAGCUGUUGGUCGUAUGUUCUCUUAUGAAAAAGAACAGUUUGGUCAGUUGCUAACUGGUCUCACAAUUUCCUGUACAUAUCUGUAUACAGGUUCCUGUUGAUCUUGUCAUUGAUCACUCAGUCCAAGUUGACGCAGCGGGAACAGAUAAGGCCCGGCUGAUAAUUGAGGAGUAUGAAUUCAAGAGGAACAAAGAAAGAUUUGCCUUCCUUAAGUGGGGUUCAUCAGCCUUCCACAACAUGCUGGUGGUUCCUCCUGGAUCUGGAAUUGUACAUCAGGUACAAUAUGCUACUGUAAUUCUAAUUUGGGAAUAUAUAUCGUGUGAUGGUCCGUUUUCCUUGUUGCAAAUAUCAACAGUUUUUUAACUGGAACGUAAGUGUGACUAAAGAGUAUUAGCCUGUUGAACUACUGUCUCUCUGGUGAUGUUUCCUUUUUAUACUCCUGCCUCAAGGUCAACUUGGAAUACCUUGGGCGUGUUGUUUUCAACUCCGGUGGAUUCCUCUACCCUGAUAGCGUUGUUGGCACCGAUUCCCACACCACCAUGAUUGAUGGACUAGGAGUCGCUGGGUGGGGUGUUGGAGGAAUCGAGGCAGAGGCAGCAAUGCUUGGUCAGGUGAGCUCCAUUUGCUCUGUAUCUGUACAUUCACAGUUUGUUAUUGGCGUGUCUUGUUUUGGUCACAUGCAUAUGGCAAAUUUUCUCUGCCGUUGAUUUGGUACUUCAAAAAUUUUAUAGCCCAUGAGCAUGGUAUUACCUGGUGUGGUUGGAUUUAAGUUGGAUGGAAAGUUGAGAGAAGGGGUUACUACCACUGACUUGGUUCUCACGGUGACUCAAAUCUUAAGGAAGCAUGGCGUUGUCAGCAAGUUUGUUGAAUUUUAUGGUGAGAUUCAUGGAUGCCUGACUAUGACUUUCAGUUGUGGAUAAUUCCUUGUUCAGAUAACUAAUGCUAUCGUCGUUGUCUCCAUAUGAAGGUGAGGGAAUGAGUAAACUGUCACUGGCUGAUAGAGCCACGAUUGCAAAUAUGUCUCCCGAGUAUGGAGCAACUAUGGGUUUCUUCCCAGUGGACCAUGUUACCUUGGAGUACCUGAAGUUGACAGGAAGAAGCGAUGAAACUGUGAGGGUUCUCAAUUUUUUUUUUUUUUUUUGUGGUAAAAUUGAAUCAUCAUGAAGAAAAUGUGAUUUUAGUUUCAAGAUCUGUUUUCCUGUGGUUUGUGUGCUGAUGCUUUCCCUGAUUGCAAUACUCUAAUUUCCUAAACAGUCUAACAAAAUGUUUUUAGUAGCUCCCUUUUACUCAAAUUGGUUUUAUUAUUCAGCAUGCUUUAUUUGUUAUUUUAUGGUGUGUGAGGCUCACUUGAUUAACAAGUUGGUGGUUAUUUAGGUGGCAAUGAUAGAAUCUUACUUGCGUGCUAACAAUAUGUUUGUGGACUACAGUGAGGUAUGGACAUUCUUGGCUCAGUUUAUGGUAGUAUUUUUUUUAAUUUCUAUUAUGAAAUAAAUUCUAAAACCCAAAUGGUUUACUUUUCAGCCCCAGCAAGAAAGAGCAUAUACAUCUUAUCUGCAGUUGGAUCUGGGACAUGUUGAACCGUGUAUUUCUGGGCCUAAAAGGUUACCUUCACUUCUAUAAAUCAUCAUUUUUUUUUGGAAAAACAUGGUUUCCCUUUCCCAUUUCUUAUACUUUCUGUAAAACAGGCCUCACGACCGAGUGCUUCUGAAAGAUAUGAAAGCUGACUGGCAUGCAUGCCUUGACAAUCCUGUUGGAUUCAAGGUGAGAUACAACUUGUGGUUUGAAAAUUCAACCUUUAAGGACCUAGGAACUUUAUUUUUUAAGUUGGAUGCCUGUAAGACGUUGUAUCUUUUUCCUAAAGGGUUUUGCAAUACCAAAGGAAAAACAAGAGGAUACUGUUAAGUUCUUGUUCGAAGAAAAAUUACCUGCUGAGCUCAAACAUGGUAGUGUUGUGAUUGCGGCAAUUACGAGCUGUACAAACACAUCAAACCCUAGUGUCAUGCUUGGGGCUGCACUUGUUGCUAAAAAAGCUUAUGAUCUUGGUCUGAUGGUGAGUUUCCAUCUUUCUUUACCUAGUUUAGCCCUGAGGCAACCUGCUGUAUAAAUCCUAUAAUGACUGUCACCGACAUUUUAAUUCAGGUAAAGCCAUGGGUUAAGACAAGUCUUGCUCCAGGUUCUGGGGUUGUCACCAAAUAUUUGGAUCAAAGGUCGGUUGGAGUCCAUUAUAUUUCCCUUCUAGAUACUUCAUCCGAUCUUAACUCAACUUUUGCCUUCUCUGCAGUGGGCUUCAAGAGUACCUGGACAAGCAAGGAUUUCAAAUUUUCGGCUAUGGUUGCACUACAUUCAUCGGGAACUCUGGCAACCUUAAAAAGUCGGUUGAAUCUGCUAUUAAAAAUAAUGGUAACAGUGUUAUUUUGUUUAUGAACUUUCAUUGAAAUUGCAAGCAGCAUUUUAUUUAAGAGUUUGCACUGUAUUCCCUCGUCUCUGGAAUCUCCUUGAUCCAUAUUUCACUUUUAGUCACCAGUAACCUCAACAAAUUGUGUUUUCCCAGAGAUCAAUAAGUGCGCUUUGAAACUCACCUUUGCUUGCUUUUUUCCCUGCUUCCUGUCACAGAUGUUGUAGUUGCUUCUGUGCUUUCUGGGAACCAAAACUUUGAAGGACGUGUUCAUCCACUAACAAGAGCAAACUAUCUUGCAUCACCGCCAUUAGUUGUUGCUUAUGCUCUUGCUGGAACGGUUAGUACUUUUUGAUCUUUUCAAUCAUUGACUCCGGGGAUCUCUGUUGUGUAGAUGUUUGUGUUUAUGUGUUUUGGAUAUCCUUAAUUAGGGUGGUAUGGAUCAUAUCACUACAUUGACAACAUAUAUACUUGAGUGAUAUAGAUUCUCUUACUAGCCUCACUGAAUGCUAUCUGCCUUCUUUAGUUUUCAUGUGGUUGUUUCUUAACAUCAAACUUUUUUAAAUACAGGUUGACAUUGACUUUGAGAAAGAACCGAUAGGAACCGGAAGAGAUGACAAAAGUGUGUACUUGAGGGACAUAUGGCCAACCAAUGAGGAAAUUGCUCAGGUACAUUGACCACAUGCUAGGAGGAUGAGUCAUUUACAGUUAUGUCUCUGACACUUUAAACGUUCCUUGUCAAUUUUCCUGAUACUUUGUGCAUUAGGUUGUUCAAAGUAACGUAUUAUCAGACAUGUUCAAGAGCACGUACAAGACAAUAACAGAGGGAAAUCCCCUGUGGAAUGAACUUCCUGCAACGAGUUCGACGUUAUAUUCUUGGGAUUCAAACUCUACGUAUAUCCAUGAAACUUCAAGAAUAUGACCGCAAAUCCACCUGGUCCACGUGAAGUGAAAGAUGCUUACUGCUUACUGAACUUUGGAGAUAGCAUAACAACAGACCACAUCUCUCCAGCGGGGGAUAUUCAAAAAGAUAGUCCUGCUGCAAAGUUUCUCAUAGACAAUGGUGUGAGCCAAGAGGACUUCAACUCAUAUGGAAGUCGAAGGGGCAACGAUGAGGUGAUGGCUCGUGGUACCUUUGCAAGCAUCCGUAUAGUUAACAAGCUCGCGGACGGAGAAGUUGGUCCCAAGACUGUUCACAUUCCGACUGGGGAGAAACUUACUGUUUUUGAUGCAGCAAGUGUAAGUAGAAUCGUCACACAGCGUCAUUAAAUGUUCAACUAUACCCUUACCUAAGUGCUUAACUGUUCACCAAAGGCUUUACUUUCAGAGAUACAAGACCGCUGGACAGGAUACGGUCAUCCUGGCUGGUGCUGAAUAUGGAAGUGGUAGCUCUCGGGAUUGGGCUGCAAAGGGUCCCUUGCUUUUGGUAAGUUCACUUUAAUUACAACGGUUAUCAGAUUAUGAUUAUAUCAUGUGUAUCGUAACUGAGGUAACCACAAAUUAGGGAGUGAAAGCUGUAACUGCCAAGAGCUUUGAGAGAAUCCACCGCAGUAACUUGGCUGGAAUGGGGAUCAUUCCCCUGUGUUUCAAGGCCGGGGAGGACGCAGAUACCCUUGGACUUACUGGUCAUGAACGCUAUACAGUCCACCUUCCUACCAAAGUCAGUGACAUUAGACCCGGUCAAGACGUCACUGUAACCACUGACACUGGCAAAUCCUUUGUUUGCACUCUACGGUUUGAUACAGAGGUAAACUAUGUAGCUAACAAAAUUAUAAUCUCGAUCUCUGAAAUCAAAUUUCAAUUUGUCUGAGACUUGGUUUAAAUGGAAAAUGUGCGCAGGUGGAACUGGCAUAUUAUGACCACGGCGGCAUUCUUCCCUACGUCAUUCGGAGUUUGAGCACCAAGUGAUCAAUUUGUUUCUCGCUUUUUGUCUUCUUCGUCCUUUAAAGGGUUGAAAUAGUUACAAAUAAAACAAGUUUUGUGAGCAUCUUUAUCCUUUCAGGUUACACUGAACCUUUUUCAGCAAGAGUUGUUAAUCAGGAAAUGCCAAGAGACGCAGCUCAUUUUUCUAUAUCAUCAAUUCGUUUUGUACCACUUUAAUUGUAGCACUAACAAAACAUCUGCAAAUUAGAGUCAAGAAACAGAUACAAAGCAGCCACUCUCUCUAUUCGCUUUUUUUGCUUCCCACAAAACGAUGUGAAAUGAAUUUACAUAAUAACAGUAGGAAAGAGGCAUGCAUGCUUGGAAUAUCCACUGAUCUUGUGCAAAGAAUUCUCAUUCCUCAGUAAAUGAUUUAACAUAACCACAGUAGAGAAAUGCAUGCUUGGAACAUCCACUGAUCUUGUGCAAAGAUUCCUCAUUCCUUAGAAAACUAACUCUUGUGCAAAGAUCUGGUGGCCUUUGAUGCAAAAACUAUUGCUUUGGCUUCGUCACUGGACAUCAUCCAAUUUCUCUCAGCACGACGUUGAUGUUGCCUUGCAUUCUUUGCUCGUUUAGGAGCCAAUCGUGCAUCUCUCUCCACAAACGCUAGUCUGAACUUCUCUGCUAUUGGCAGCUCAUUGGAGUUCAAGGAUAAUGCGGCGGAUGUGGGAUUCUGCACAAAUCCUCUAACAACCCACGUCUCAGGAUCAAUAUAUUUCACAAAUGGCUCAUCCAAUGCAAGUGAGACUGUAAGUGAGAAGUGAGGGCUUGGGAUUUACCACUAUUCUUGGGCACUCCGUGUUAGCAUCUCCAAUGAACCCUUAUUAAUUCGUGGCUACAACAACAGUAAAUUAAAUCUAGAAAGUGAGAAGAAACUCUUGCACCAAAGAAAACAAACACUGAAUGGCUAGAGAAGCAGAUUGAAAAAGAAUUGAUCAAGACUCGAAAGUAAAUUUUUCCUAUUCACAGGUAACUUAUUAGUCAGAGGGACAAUACGUACCUAAACAAGCCAACGCAAUGAUUGACCACCAUGACCAAUCUCUGUAGUGUCUAGUUCUUCCCAUGUUUCUCCUUCAACAUUACUCAGGUUUGGCUUAAACAUACUCAAAGAUCUGCGUGCCUUGGACUCACUACUUCGGCAUCCUCUGCAAUAUUAAUGUUAUCCUCAUUGCCUGUUUCAAAAAGUUUGUUAGCCCUAGUCAAACCCACAUACUAUGGGUUCAUUUCUAUCUCACUUUACCCAUAAAUCACUUAAUGAAUGAAUAAACAAACAAGCCACCCCAACAAAAACACAUUAGACGCCACUUUUCUGCACUUUGCUGGAUGGAAAAAUUAAAAUUUUACCCGCAUCUAAGAGUCUCCAACGAUCGACAGUGUUGUACAAGCUCUGAGACGCCCAUAUAUGUGAUUUUGUUGCACCGGCUGCAUAACAAAUCAAAGCAACCAUAUGAUACUGCAGUGCAAACAAACACACACUUAUCCAACAUGCAAAAGCUCCUAGCUAAAGAACCAGCAAGACCAUACGAAAAUCCACUGAAACUCAACACAAUCAGGAUUGGGUUUGGUAUAUUUGUUCUUCCCAUCUCAAAGGAACCAAAUUGUACAGAAAAUUCGGUCAAAGGACAGAUAUCAGAGCCUAAAACAAUUAAGAAAGCAUGACAUGAGGUACGAGCACAGAGAUCAGGACACAGACACAUAGGUCAACUUAUUUCUUAGUAUAAAAUAAUACCUAAUGUCCACAGCUCGGAGGGAUUUGCAAAUUUCCGCCGCUUUAGCCAAGCCGGAAUUCGAAACAUCUGAACCGCUAACGUCUAGAAUUUCCCAAGAACUGUCAGCCAAAGAGAUAAUCAAAUCAUCAUCCAGUAGCUUUCUUCUUUUAGCAAUGGCUGCAAUAGACAUCUGUGGCACAUGAAUACGCCUUCGAUUUAGCAAGUGUAUACAUUACCAAACCAACUAAAAAGACUUGGACAUAGCCAAUAAAGCUUGAAGGAAGAAAACACUAACUAAGCUUGAUCGCGGCAGGAAAUAUGACAGAGAUAUCAGCUAAACAAGGAAUGAUUUCCUCCAAAUGCCUCCCAACAUCCCAAGACAUAAGCUGACGAGAGAUGGUGGUCCUGGUUUUAAUGCAGAAAUUCCUGUCGUUGAAGCAGAACCAGCAGAAACAUGUCAGAAUCAAACUCCUAAACCUCACCGAGCAUACAACCAUGGUUGUAAACACUUUCUCCAACCGACGUUAUUGAUUGAUAGCAAUUUUUCAACCGCCCCAUAAAUGCUACCAAUCAGAUCCAAUCUUAGAAAGUUCUCUCGAGUCUCUUCGAAAACUCUUAUCCGUUGUUGCUGUUAUAUAUUUUCGGAUGAAUAACUUCCGUUUAUCGGAUUUGUAACUCCAACUUGUUCGGUUCUAGUUUUUUUUAAAGUUUUUUUAGACUUCUCCUUUUGCAUGUUUUGAUCGACUCUUCGAUUGAUUUUGAAGUAGUCAAAUUCCGAGAGAUCUGUCGAGCUCUUGUCUCACCAGCGCUUGUUAUCUCUUUCACGAAGUGUAAAUCCCUGCUCUCUCUAGAUGGUUAAAUCGAGCGGUGGUUAUUUCAGGGAGGUUUUAACAAGAUGAUUCGGUCAAAUUUGGAGAGGAGUAUGAAGAUCUAGAGUUCUCGCCGUGUUCUGGUGGCUCUCUGGAGAAUAUUCCGGCUUCGGUUCACUGAAGUUUCUUUCCGGUGGAUCAAGCCUUUGCUCUUCUUGAUCUCUUCUGGCGAAUCUGCAAAAGGAAUCCCAGUGCAUCAUAGCAUAACUUGAGGAGUCUUGGCGGAGAUGACAAAGUUCUUUGUCUUGCUUAAUCGGUGGUGGAAGCUCACGGUGGUGAUGACCACGUGGGAUUUCUUGUCUCUGUUUAGCUACACGUGUCUUGUAAUUUAUGCUUAUCUUUAUAAUUACGUGUAAUUCCGUUGGGCUUAAUGUUGGGCCAAGAAUGUACCAUUUGCCCUUUGGGUUUUAAUGACACGAAAGUAUGUCGACAAAAAAAUAAUGUUUAUAAUUUGACCCGUCUUAAUUGAGUCUCGUUACAUUAUUAGCAAAGUAAAAUUUGGCAACACAUCAUUGCCUUUCAGCAAGUCUUGUUACAUUAUUGAGAUCACUGAUGACCAAUAUGGAUCUAUCAUCUAUAAUAACUUUUCCAACUUAUGUAUAAUGUUUUCACAUUCUACAAUAGUUUCUCCACAAUUUAAUUCGAUAAACCAAUGAAUCGAAAACCAAUAGAAUGCCAAAACCGAACAAAAAACCCAAAAUCGAAAGGAAAAAUGAAAGUGAACUAAACCAGAACGCCUUUUUAUAAAAACCCUUAUUAGAUUUUAGACGCAAAGAGUAAAGGUAUGAACAAAAAACAAGGACUAUUAGCUCAGUUGUGCCACCUUAUUAAAGAAUUCUCACAAAACUCUCGUCAAGAGUUGAAGAGCAAUCUUAGAGCACGUCCAUCGGGGGAUUAACCCAGGAUUAUGGCUCAAAAUCAUAUGCACAAUCCAUUUAAAAAAAAAGAAAAAUGAGCAUUUUUUCGUGAUACCGUCUCUUCUGGACGAUGCUGAAGAUACGGUAUCACAGCCACGUGUUGGGCUGUGAUUCGUCAAGAAUGUGGGGACAAAUUUUUUUGUUUGCUCUUCGUUUAUUUCAUUUUCUUUCAAUCCACACUCUUUUCUCCUCGUUUGCGAAGUCUACUCCGACGCCUUAUCAGGUUCCACCGCCGGUAUCGGCUGCGUCGGAGAGAUCGUGAAGCACGAGCGGCUCAUCAACGAUCGCUUCUUCAUAAUCUGUAAAGGCCAGGAGCAAUUCUGCAUCACGGAUCUCGUUCGUACGAAGCCCUACCUCGUCGCGAAGGUGACGUGGCUGGAGGAUCGACCGUCCGGUGAGGAGAAUCUGGACGAAUUGGCCAACGAGAUUGAGGUUCUGAUGAAGGAAGUGAUCCGAUUUUCGAACAGAUUGAAUGGGAAACUAGAGAAAGAGGCGCAGGAUCUGAGGAAAAAUCAGUUUCCGACUCCGUUCUCGUUCUUCGUCGGAAGCACGUUGGAAGGAGCUCCAAUGGAGCAGCAAGCGCUGAUGGAGCUUGAGGACACGGAGGCUAGGUUAAAGAGAGAGAGGGAGACGCUGAGGAAUACACUCAAUUACUUGACCGCAGCUUCUGCAGUGAAAGAUGUCUUCUCAUCUCCGUAGUAAUAUUGGUACCUGGCUUCUGCAGGGAGGUAUAUAUCAAUUAAAAGAUUCCAUGGGAAGGAGGAGAGUUCCAAGUUGAUCCAUCAAUGGAUUAUAUGUGUUUGUAGAACUUGAUGCUGCUUUAUUUGAAAGUAAAUUGGAUUGUAGGAACAUAUUUUCUGAUGAUGGAAUAACAACACUUGAUGAAACGGAUUUAACAAAAGGCAUGACUUUACUCUCUCUACCUCUCUCACAAACACACACAUACGCAUACAUACAAAUUUAGGCUCUGUGUAUCAAACUGUUUUGAGAUACAUUGCUUUUGUGUGUGUUCAGGAAAUGGCCAGGUAUGUCCGGGGAGAAGUUGGUUCUCUUUCUUUAACAUGUGCAUUACUAACCUCCCAUUAUCUUAUAAUGCUUUAUUAGCUGCAACAUACAAAUAAUUUUGCUUGUAUAGUUUUGCAGUUCAAAUAGAUAUGCAUUUCCUAUAAUGUUCUGUUUUGUGAUGCACGGAUAAAGAGCCCAUAUUCUCUGGAAAUUUCUCCUUCACUCCAUUGGAGAACAAUGCCCUUGUGACUUGAGUGAAAUAGAGGAAGCUGUGGCGCUUUGCGAAUCAAUCUUUCAUUUGUUUUUUUCUUUGUUUCAGUUUUCUAAUAUCUACACAAGGGAAUAUGCUAGUUGUUAGCAUAUAGAUGAUCACGAACACAUGGUGAAAGUUAAUAAGAUACUGAAGUUAGAUCAUUUGCUGUUAUUGAUACAUUAAUUUGUAAACCGCAGAAUGUCAGAAAUAUGCUACGUUAGUAUUGUCUUCUUCUCACGGCUUAUAGAGUCUCCAUUUAAGACUUAUAGUGAAAAAUAAAAUUGAUGAUGAUAUGUGGUAGAUAGAAACCAAUUUACAGUCGAUAUAUGACACUGUAGUACUCCAAUAACAAAACAUGAAGGAUCAUAAUAGCAAAUGUUUCAAAGAAAGAACAAAGAUGAAGAUUAACAACACACAUUUAUGUUAUGAUUACACAUCACAUUACAAACACAAAUGUUGAGACAAAACAAAAAAUAAAUAUGUGUUUAAAUUUAUAAUCAAAAUUAAAAAAUUUGAAUUUAAAAAUAAUUUUUUUUUUUGAUGAAUUCCAUUUUGAGGUUCACUAAUAGAACCAACAAAUUAAGACAGGUUCUUCCAAAAACUCAAAACCAAAAAAUAAUAAUAUUCACUAAUGUAUAUACUCUUACCAAUCGUUUUUAUUGAUAUUGUCCCGUACCAAUUUUAACGUAUCGGCCUAUUAGCUCAGAUGACCAAUUUUAACGCGAAGGUCACAGGUUCGAUCUCUGUAUAGGCCACUUUUUUUAUUUGUUUGGCUUUUUAGAGCGUCAAAGUUCUAAAAACGUCGUUGUACGUUUCUGCUUCUUGCAUUUCUUUCUUUUAUCCCUUUCUCCGAUAGUUUUUUGGUUUUCUUUCUUUUCCGGUUUUUAUUUUUUAAUUUUACGGAUAUCGUUAUCUGCUUCUCUACUAAACACGAAGAAGCAGGAGAGCUCGAAACAAAAAUGGAGGGAAGCAUCUCGCCGCUUUGCCUACGUUCUUCCUCGAGUCUCUGUUACUUCUCCAGUAAUGUUUCUCCUGAUUCUCACCGUUCUCUAGGAUUUACACUGGUGGAUUCGCUCCGGCCGACGAACUUGGUAUCACUUCGAACGGGAAAUAGCCGUUCGUCGUCACUACGACUGAUUCUAUCUCCGACGAGAGGCGCUCUACGUACGCCGACAAUUUCCGCGGAGGAAGUGAAAGAUGUCCCGAUGCCGAAGAUAGAUAAGAGCGGCCGAUUAAGCAGCCCUCGAGCCGCCCGCGAGCUCGCUCUGUAUGAUUUUAUACUCUCUCUUUGGUUCCUUCCAUGCUCGUUUCUAAAAUCGUAUUCGCUUCGUUGAUUUAUAUGGAACUGGAAAUUUAGCUGGAAAUGAGAAUUCGCCUUUACUUGAAAUUGGAACAAUCCGGUCAUCUUUGCGGCUUGGUGGGACACGAAUUAGGCUCAGAUUAGAGAAUUGCAUGUGUGUCGUGCUCAAACCUGAAAUGAUAUUUCCUCAAGUCUAUAAAAAUCAAGUCUUUUUACUUCAUUUCGAAUUUUCAGCUAAAGAUGAACAACUAUAUGGUUCUUUGCUAUUCGUAUGAGUGUUGAGUCUGCCCUCUCUGAUAUAUAUGUGCUGGAUGAUCUUGACAGAGUAAUACUUUAUGCCGCAUGCUUAGAAGGCUCAGACCCAAUUCGUCUCUUUGAGAAGAGGAUAAAUGCAAGAAGAGGUAAGUAUCCAGGACCUACUAAACAUGUUUUGAUCUUGUUUUGUUUCCUGCUGCAAUAAAGUCACGAAUGUAGGAAUCUCAUUGUAAUUUAUGUGGUUUUGUCGAUACUAUUUCCUGAUUCUGAUUAGUCUACUCUGUGGAUCAGUUGCUUGACUCUUCAUUCAAAAUGUUUGUGACAUAACUUCAGUGUAUAAUGAUUGGUUUAUUCAGAGCCUGGAUACGAGUUUGACAAGACGUCUUUGUUGGAAUAUAACCACAUGAGUUUUGGAGGACCCCCAGUUAAAACAGAAACAAGUGAAGAAGAAGAUGAGCUUGUGCGCUAUUAUGAAAACGAAUCGAAAAUCGGUAAGUUUUACCCUGAAGAUAUGUUUCCCUGUUUUGUUUUACUUAUAUCGCAAAGAGACUCUUGUUUGUGGCUCAUGGAAAUUUCCUAUCUUUUAACCUGCUGUUUAUCCUCUCUUUCUGCAGAAGCAGAAGUGCUUUCAGCUCCCCCUAAGCUGGUGUACAGCAAACUUGUUUUACGGUAAUCUAUAAAAAAAUUUGAAUGGAUUGUAAUUGCUGCUUACUCGGAAAUAAAUUCUGAAUAUUUUAUUCCCACUACGUGCUUUUCCAAAGGUUUGCAAAGAAACUAUUGGCUGCAGUGGUUGAUAAAUGGGAUAGUCAUGUCGCCAUCAUCGAGAAAAUUUCCCCGCCAGAUUGGAAGGUAAAAAAAACUUGAACUUCCAACUCAGGUCAAGUACUGAUUAAUUGAAACCUAAGGGACCACAAAACUCAAAGCUUCAUUCCUGAUAAUCCAUUGCCCCUAUGUUGUGAUAGCUCUCUCUCUCAUAAUUACAAGCUGUUUGCACCCUGAGCUCAACUUUUGCUUUUGAAUUAGCUUGAGAAACUAGAAGCAGCAACUUAUUUUGGUGUGUGAUUGUAUAUAUAUAUUCAUCUCCUACUACCAAUAAAUACCUUAUGAAUGUGCUGCACCUAUUCAUAAGCCAAACCUGAGUAAUGUUGAAGGAGAAACAUGGGAAGAACUAGACACUACAGAGAUCGGUCAUGGUGGUCAAUCAUUACCUUGGCUUGUUUGGGUACGUAUUGUCCCUCUGACUAAUAAGCUACCAGUCAAUCAGAAGAAUUUACUUUCUAAUCUUGAUCAAUUCUUUUCUGUAGCCAUUCAGUGUUCGUGUGCUUUGGUGCAAGAGUUUCUUCACACUUUGUAGAUUUAAUUUGCUGUUGUUGCAGCCACGAAUCGAUAAGGAUUCAUUGGAGAUGCUAUCCAUGGAGUGCCCAAGAAUAGUGGUAAAUCCCAAGCCCUCAUUUCUCACUUACAGUCUACACGAGGCUCCUCGAGAAGCAUUACCAGAUGUUGCAUUGGAUGAUGCAUUUGUGAAAGAUAUUGAUCCUGCGACAUGGCUUGUUAGAGGAGUUUUGCAGAAUCCGGCAUCCGCCUCAUUAUCCUUGAACUCCAAUGAGCUGCCAAUAGCAGAGAAGUUCAGACUAGCGUUUGCAGAGAGCGAUGCACGAUUGGCCCCUAAACGGCGAACUUUCAAUAUCGCUGCAAUUUUAUCAGCUAAAUUUUCAACAAAUGAUUAUGCGGAUGAUGAGAUAAUCGAACAUCCUUCGGGAGUGCACUCUGGUUGGGCGGCCUUGGCAACGAGAGGUGUCCACAAAAUGGUCAUGAGCAUUGGUUGGAAUCCUUAUUUCAACAACACCGUCAAAACUAUUGUGAGUUGAUAAAAACUUAAUAAACUUUUUCACUCUUGCAAUGGUUGUUUUCUUUAUCUUAGCUUUUGUUAGAGAGGAGCAAUGGUUGUGUCACGAUUUCACUGUAAGGCUUCUACGGAGAAGAGCUACGUCUUAUUAUCGUUGGCUAUAUACGUCCUGAGGUAGUUUUAUUUUACUUUGUUAUCAUCCAUUCGUCAUUUGAGCCUGUGAUCUUCUUCUCUCUGCAGGCUAAUUUCCCUUCAGUGGAGAAUCUCGUUGCAAAGAGAGCUCUUGAUCUUCCAUCUUAUGCGAAGUUCAAGGAUGAGCCAUGUCUGACGAAAAUGGUUAAAUCAGUUAUGUAAUGAAUCGAAACUAUUGUUUUCUCACAUUCUUAAUUAUGAAUUUAAUAAAAUAAUCAAACUCUCUGAUUGUUUUCGAAACUCAAAUAAGACUUGUACUGUUCCUUUACUGUCAGGUUUAGUAAAUGGGGUUCUAUGUGGUGUUGAUGAUAAUAAAGAGCACCAGAGAAAGUUUGAGCAAUGGCGAUAAGAAAAAAAUUAGGUAUUUUGCUUCUAAGAAAAAGCAUCUAUACCAAAUUAAUCGGCUUUUGAUUGAUUAAAAACAAUAUAUAAAUAAUAAACAAAAGAGGGGAUAUACAUAUUUUCGAUUUCAUGGUCCCUUUAUGAACAUUGCCCAUCUCUACACGACCAGGGUGACAAAUGCGAUCUCCAAACCUGACUCAUCUCCUCCAUCGCACCCCUCUCUUCUCCGGCAAUAAAAAGUAGAUGAAGCAUGUGACAAAGCAUCAGCAGAAACACUUGUGCGAUUGUGAUUACAUACGUGAAAUUCUGUUCAUCGACUCCGCUGAGCCGCCGAUCGGAUUUCGAGAAGGAAAACCUCCAACGGUACUAGCCAUCCAAGUGGACCCCACGACCAAGCGAACGCUGCCAUGUGGAUGCAUAUGAACAAGACCACACUGAUUGUUAAAGCGACUAAACCGGUACAUAAUAACCGGAUUGAUUGUUGACUAAAACCAGAAAGAUGAAGAAAUUGAAUAAACCUGAGAAAUUAGCAAUUUGGAGAAUCCUCUCCUUCAGGGAAGAGAAGUCGUCUACUCGUCUUCCCCAUUUAUCAACGCCGAAUAUCAAGACCAUGGUAGCUCCGAGGUUAACCAAACCGGUUACUACCGCGGACAUCUGAGCGGCCUCGCUACCGAAUCCGAUCGUUUGGAACAGAACCGGCGCGUAGAACAUUAUGACACUGAUUCCGGUGAGCUACUGGUAAGACGAGAUCAGAAUCGCCAUCGUUAUAUGGAUGCUCCACGAGCUUCGAAGCUUCGCUGUCGCCGAUCAAGUCGUUCAUCUCGUCGUCGACGCCUCGGAUCUUACGGUUAAGGAGUUUCGUUCCGGUUAGCUCGAGUUGAUUUCGCUCGAUCAUGCAGUUGGGUGUGCCCGGGAGGAUAAGAAGAACCGACGGUGAUGAUGAGAGCAGAAACGACGGCACCGCCGAGGCUGAGCCUCCAACCCCUCCCGUCGCUAAUCUUGGAGAAGAAGAAGUUCAAUACGUUGGCAACAAGGAUACCAAUGGUGAUUUAGAGUUGAAUCCGAUAUUCAGAGCUCCUCUGAAUUUAUAUUGUCAAUUUGAAAAGAAAAGGAAAGAAAAGAAACGUAUUGAGACCAUUUUAUAAUUUAGUUUAACUUAAGAGUAACAUGGAGGAGGGAACAGGGGCGGAUAUACAGCAUAGAGGGUGGGGCAAGUGCCCCAUACUGAGGCUAUUGUUAUACGCUUUGACUUUUUAAGUGUAGAGUUCGAUGCCUCUUGUCUCUCUUGUUCUUUUAUCUGUUUGUAUAUAUUUAUUUGUUUUCUUUCUCUUAUCAUUUCUUGAAUAUCCCAUAUUCCCUUUUUUGAGUUGUUUCUCUCUUCCUCCAUUUUUUUACCUUUCUUUUUAAUUGGCUGACUUUUUUCCUUUCUUUCAUAUAUUUAUUAAAAUUUAUUUCCUUCUUAUUUUCUUUUCCAAUUAUACUUUUUUAACAAAUUAAGUAAACUCAUUAAAGUAAUCAUCCAUCUAUGUUCUAAUAGAUUAAUAAAAAUAUUUUGUAAAUCUGUAUAAUGAUUAUGAUUUUGUUUAGCUUAUAAUUUAUAAAAUAUUGUAAAACUUAUAUAAACGUAUAAUUUAUGAAAUAUCAGUUAUUUAUAUUUUCUUAAAAAUUUAGAGAGAUUUUAAACUCAAUGAAAAUGAGUUUAAACUUUUUAUUUGUGCCCCAUAAAAAAAAAAAAAAAAAAAGUCUCUGGGAGGGAAAAAAGCACCCUUCUCAUCUCAGUUCACAAGAUACAUACUUUAAGAGUAACGUUGAGAGCGUGUUGCGCAGUUUUAAAUUAAUGUGUGCCUUAUUACCAAGUGUUGAGCGGAUUUCUGUAUUCUUCUUUUUCUUCUCUUAUUUUGUUCAGAAAGAUGCAGCCAAGACUAGAGAGCGUUUGGACCUUCUCCACACCUCCGAUGAACACCCUCAUCCGAUCCGCUGAUCUACAAAUCCCACUGCAGCUCCAAUCGAACGAGGCAACACAGAUGUUCCCCGCCUGCGCCUUCCACUCACAACCUGCUGUUCAUUGGAAUUGGUAAAAGUUCCCUUAUCAUUGGAAAUAGAUAAGGGAACUUGGUUUUUUCUACCUGUUGUACCACAACAUAGCCUACGGUCAUCCAUUCUCAGAAACCAUGGAAAAAAAGAGACAUCCUCAUUCACGUACUAGUGAAGUACGUUUCUGCAUACACAAUUUGAGAUAAGCACGAGUGUUUAGUAUCACCUAAUCUUACAUGCACAUCAUCAUCGGCUUUCACGUACAAGUAUGCAUCCCACAAUGCAGCUUUAGUUCUUUGCUGAAAGCUGUAGAUAACCUUCAACAUCCUCCUUCUCAAACUAACUUAAGAAAAAUAAAAAAAACAGAAACCGGGAUGUUGACUGGAGCUUUAAUUCAUCAGAAACGGGUGAACCAUUCAUGAUGGAUUGUUGAGCGGCCGCCUAUUCCAUUUCCAGAGUCGAAAUCAUUUUGUCGAGCGUUUUGCGUAACACCUUAAGAGAAUCGAUCUUCUUGUUGAAUGUGAGAUGAAUUAUAUGGUAAUACUUAACCCAAGUAACCCUCCAUCCUCUUGUAAAUGCUCUUUCACAGAUUGCUGUAUAUUCUUGUGUUGCAACACGUGAGAAAUUCCAAUGCAAAAUUAGAGAAGCAUGCAUAUAAUAUGCUUUUGCAAAAACAAAUUUUAUAAAUUCGAAACUGCCAUAUAACUUAUUAUAUAAUCCAUACUCUCAUGCCAUCAAAUCUCAGCACAAAAAGUUAUAAAAAAGAGAAAAAAAUCAGAUAAAUUGGAUGAUGCAUUUUGAUGAAACUCUGGGGAUAGCCAUUAGAAUAGCUCGCAUGUAUUUAUUGUUGAAGGUGCUUUCUUCAAAGCCAACUUUCACAGUUUCAAGACAUUCCAACUUCCCAAAGAAAUGUCUCAUUUGUUGUAACUCUCCAAGGCUUCCUUCACUUGACACCUCGACAAACAGCAUACCAUUUCCGAGUUUUGGAUGCAAGGGCACGCAUUUCCACACCACUCUGUGACUCUGUGCACAAGACCCUGGAACCACAACAAACAGACCACACCAUUUGAUAGACAUGUAUAAAUGGCAACAGAGAAAAGCAAUGUGUCUUAAAAGAUCAAAAAAAUUGAUACCUUAAUGACUAAAGUUUGUAGAUUUGGGGAGUUAUGGAGCAGGCGUGGGAUUACUUCCCAGCCUUUUUCCUCGUCACUUUCGAUAGAUAAAGUAAGUAGGUUGUUGAGCACGGGCAUGGAGUCACAACAAAAGUGAAACACCUGAUACAUAAACCAUUAUCACCAUGUGAUAGAUACUACAAGAAGAAGUAGUAGCAGCAAAACUGACCUCUAGAGAAUCAGCAGACAAUUGAAGGCUCUUAAUGUUUUUCAUACCUUCAAUCAGAGUUGAAAUAUCGCCACAGAUUUCAUUGAAAUCUGGACAACCAUCAUCAUCUAACCCAUAUAAUCGAAGAUCUAGUCUAGCUUCGACAAGCGAAUCCAAAUCAACAAAAUAAUGUGCCGCAACGUAACUAGAGUAGUCAAGGUACACCAAACUCUUUGUCUUAAGAGUAAGGCCACGGAGUUCGAAAUCGUCAUCAAAAUCACUAGUGAUAGUUAAUCGCUUGACGUAUGGAGUCGACAAGUAGCCCGUCCAAACACAUAUGAAUAAAUCUUCUAAGGCAGGGCAGCCCUCGAUGAAGAGCUGAUGCAUUUUAGGAGAUAUAAAGGCAACUGAAACAAGUGUAAGUGUUUUGAGCGCAGGGAAAAACACUCCUCCAAGAGGAAGACGACGACCUUCAAGACAAAAUUUAUCGGUUAUUGUGAGCUUAACCAGUGUGUUGCUUGUGAAAAACUCAGAAUCUAUACCGAUACUGAAAUUUGACUUUAAGUUUAGCUCUACGCUGCCCCGUCCCAGAGCAGUGCGAAUCCAACAAUUGACACGAGAUUCGUCAUCCUCAUAAUCACAUAUUAGAGAGAAUUUCUUGAUGGUAGAAUUGCUUAACAGAUCAAGUGUUUUGUCCACGAAAUCAGAGAAGCGAUGUCGUCGUCGACGACGACUUUCAAUACUUGUUGGUUCUUCUUCUCCGUCUUUUCUGUCGGGAUAUAGAAGCAUCGAUUCAUCAAAAUCAAGGCUGUCUACAAGAGGAAGCAAAUUCAUCCACCUCUUGGACAGAACCGCGGUCGAAGCAGCAAGUUUGGUCGGAAUUAAAGACAGGAUUUUGCCGAGAAUUUCAUCUGGCAGAUUGCUGAUCCGAUCUGUAGCCAUCAGAGUCAGAGUAUAAUCCCUUUCUUAAUCCUGCAAAAAAAAUAUAAUUCAAAACUUGAUGAGAAACAACAAUUCGAGGGUUAUAGAAACUAUAAAAUUCUCAAAAUUAUAAACAGAUUCACAACGGAAAGAACACAAAAAAACUAAACUUUGCGAUGGAAAUCACAGAGUUUAUCAAAAUCUAAAACAAGGUACCCCGAGUCUAAUUCAUGCCUCAAAAUAGCCAAUUUCGAUUAACAAUAGAGAAAUUUACCUAGACUUUACAAGUUGGAUUUAUCAAUGGCUUCUAGUACUAAAGAUCUACGGAAAUCUCUCUCCAAGAAUGGGAUAGAAGAAAGAAACCUGUCCUUCCUUUUUUUUCUAAUUCUUUUUUCCUUUUUUUUUAAUUAUUUUUCCUUUUUAUAAAGAUGCAAAGUCAUGCCGAAAGGACAUUUUAUUCGGUGUAUAUGGAAUAACCGAAACCAACCAUAAUGUUUUAGUUUGGUUAGGUUGGGAUCGGUCGGUUCGGUCAGCAGAUUGAACACCCCUCUGUUAAACCUUUUAGCAAAAAAACCAUUGUUUUAAUUUGUUUGUUCUGUGUUUCUCGAAUCCGGCUGCUUUUUGGAACAUAUAUUAUCAGAAGUCGUUGACAAAAAAAAAAAUAUUAUCAGAAGUCAGUAGCAAAAUCUAAACUGAACAAAACCCAAAAAUCUGAAACUUUUGAACACUUGAAACUUAAUUUAUAAGUCUAAGUACAUUCAUUUAAAUUAUAUAUAAAUUUACUGUAUAAUGAUCACUACAUCAGCAUGCAAUCAUGACAAUAUAGAAAGUGCGGAAGAUGAAAGAAACCUGCCUCGUGUCGUCACUCCUCAUCAGUCCUGUCCUCAUAUUCACAAAACUCCCCUGUAGAGCAAUCUUACCAAUCUUUUCAAUUGAUAUUGGUUAUUGGUUCCAUUGGUGAUUCAGUUUAAAUGUUUGAAAAUUUUAAACGAUUAUAUCAGAAAUGGUUAAAAAAUAGGCGAUUAGAAAUAACAGUUGGAAAAUAUUUAUAACAGAAAACGGUUGAAAAUUUAGCUUGAUUGAUAGUAUUACAGCGGUUAAAUAGUGUAAAUAUAUAAAAUUAUUAGUACAAAAUUUUUAGAUAAUUAUUUAUAAAAUGAUACAAUAAUAAUAUAAUACAUAGUUUAACUUUAUUAUAUGAAAAUUGAGUAAACAAAAAUUACAAUAAUUAUUUCUGAAAUAGUUUUAAACAAUUCAAAAUAAUUCUUUUUUAAAUGAUUUGAAUUGAAUGUAAUAACAAAAAAAAAUUAACACAUAUAUAUAUAUAUACAAAAAACAAAUAACUUUACUAGUUUAUUAUUAGAAAUCGAUAUUAAAUCAUAUAUUUUAUUACUAAAAAAAAUUCUGGUUACAACUUAUCGUUUACUUUAAAUGCUCAUUUUUUAAUAGUUUAUAACCGUUUAAAAAUUAAUUUCUAACCGUUUAAAUCAUCUUUCAACCAUUCGUUUCAAACGCUGAUUACAACCAACGUUUUAAACGCUUUCUCCAACCAAUCUUACUGAUUAUAGUAUUUUUUUAAUCAUCUGUCUCAACGGAGCAGUUGAUGCCACCAAUCAAACUCAUUAUCACGUACUAAUAUUUAACGUAUUGGCCUAUUAGCUCAGUUGGUUAGAGCGUCGUGCUAUUUAUGCGAAGGUCAUAGGUUCGAUCGAUUUAGUUGGUCAAAGUUCUGAAAACGUCGUCGUACGUUUCUUCUUCUUGCAUUUCUUUUAUCCCUUUCUCCGAUAGAUUUUUUUCUUUUCCGGUUUUAAAUUUUUAAUUUUUACGGAUAUCGUUAUCUGCUUCUCACUAAACACGAAGAAGCAGGAGAGCUCGAAACAAAAAUGGAGGGAAGCAUUUCGCCGCUUUGCCUACGUUCUUCCUCGAGUCUCUGUUACUUCUCCAGUAAUGUUUCUCCUGAUUCUCAUCGUUCUCUAGGAUUUACACUUGUGGAUUCGCUCCGGCCGACGAACUUGGUAUCCCUGCGAACGGCAAAUAGCCGUUCGUCGUCACUACGGCUGAUUCUAUCUCCGGCGAGAGGCGCUCUACGUACGCCGACAAUUUCCGCGGAGGAAGUGAAAGAUGUCCCGAUGCCGAAGAUAGAUAAGAGCGGCCGAUUAAGCAGCCCUCGAGCCGCCCGCGAGCUCGCUCUGUAUGCUUUUAUUUUCUCUCUUUGGUUCCUUCCAUGCUCGUUUCUGAAAUUUUAUUCGCUUCGUUGAUUUUUAUGGAACUGGAAAUUUAGCUGGAAAUGAGAGAAUUCGCCUUUACUUGAAAUUGGAACAAUCCGUCAUCUUUGCGGCUUGGUGGGACACGAAUUAGGCUCAGAUUAGAGAAUUGCAUGUGUGUCGUGCUCAAACCUGAAAUGAUAUUUCCUCAAGUCUAUAAAAAUCAAGUCUUUUUACUUCAUUUCAAAGUUUCAGCUAAAGAUGAACUACUGUAUGGUUUUUUUGCUAUUUAUAUGAAUGAUGAAUCUGCCUUCUCUGAUAUAUGUUUCUGGAUGAUUUUAACAGGGUAAUACUUUAUGCCGCAUGCUUAGAAGGUUCAGACCCAAUUCGGCUCUUUGAGAAGAGGAUAAAUGCAAGAAGAGGUAAGUAUCCAGUACCUACUAAACAUGUUUUGAUCUUGUUUUGUUUCCUGCGGCAAUAAAGUCACGAAUGUAGGAAUCUCAUUGUAAUUUAUGUGGUUUUGUGGAUACUAUAUCCUGGUUCUGAUUAGUCCACUCUGUAAAAAUCAGUUGCUUGAUUCUUCAUUUAUAUGCUUGUGACAUAACUUCAGUGAAUAAUAAUGAUUGGUUUGUACAGAGCCUGGAUACGAGUUUGACAAGACGUCUCUGUUGGAGUAUAAUCACAUGAGUUUUGGAGGACCCCCAGUUAAAACAGAAACAAGUGAAGAGGAAGAUGAGCUUGUGCGCCGUGAUGAAAACGAAUCGAAAAUCGGUAAGUUUUAUCCUGAAGAUAUGUUUCCGUGUUUUGUUUUACUUAUAUCGCAAAGAGACUCUUGUUUGUGGCUCAUGGAAAUUUCCUAUCUUUUAACCUGCUGUUUAUCCUCUCUUUCUGCAGAAGCAGAAGUGCUUUCAGCUCCCCCUAAGCUGGUGUACAGCAAACUUGUUUUACGGUAAUCUAUAAAUUGUUUCAGUGGUUUGUAAUUGCUGCUUACUCUGAAAUAAAAUCUGAAUGCUUUAUUCCCACUACGUGCUUUUCCAAAGGUUUGCAAAGAAACUAUUGGCUGCAGUGGUUGAUAAAUGGGAUAGUCAUGUCGUCAUCAUCGAAAAAAUUUCCCCGCCAGAUUGGAAGGUAAAAAAAUGACCACUUGAACUUCCAACUCGUGGCAAGUACUGAAUAAUUGAAAUCUAAGGGAUCACCAAACUCAAAGCUUCAUUUCUGAUCAUUGCCCCUAUGUUGUGAUAGCUCUCAUUAUUACAAGCUGUUUGCACCCUGAGAUCAACUUUUGCUUUUGAAUUAGCUUGAGAAACUAGAAGCAGCAACUUAUUUUGGUGUGUGAUUGUAUAUAUAUGUAUAUAUAUAUUCAUCUCCUACUACCAAUAAAAUACCUUAUGAAUGUUGCUGCACCUAUUCGCAGAGUGCACCAGCUGGAAGAAUACUAGAGUUUUCGAUUCUUCACUUAGCAAUGUCUGAAGUGGCAGUCCUUGAAACUCGACACCCAAUCGUCAUUAACGAGGUAUCUCUCUCUCUCUCUCUAUAUAUAUCUCCCUGUUCAGUUAGCUUUGCAAUGCAAUAACCUUGAUCUUGUUGUGAACUAACACUGUUACAAAAAUGAUGCGAGAAAGGCUGUUGAUCUUGCAAAACGGUUCUGUGAUGGAGCAGCGCCACGCAUAAUCAACGGGUGCCUUAGGACAUUUGUCAAGGAUAGAGCAGCAACACCAACACCAACACCUCAAGCUUUAGAAUUGAAGCAAGAAGUAUCGGUUUAAGUUAGAACACACCCGCAUCUUCUUCGUUUGGAGGCAGGCAACCUCAGGUUUUGGUCUUCGGAAAUAGUUCGUUGGCAAAGUGUUGAUCCGAUGAUCUUAUAUAUAGAGCGAGACACAGUCUCAGGAGAGAUUCUGUCCUCACAGGCAGCUUCUGGUCCGAAGCUUUCGUACUUGAGACUGAAUCUAUCGUUCCAUUGCAGCUCAACAUGAUUAUUGCUAAGAACACAAUAUGCUCUCAAGUCUGUAUUAUAUAUUGCUCUAAAAUAUAUAUUAACAAUUAGUAAUAGCUAAGUUUUCAUGUUUUUGUGUGUUUGUAUUCUCCUUCACUUUUGUCCCAUAUUAAGUAACAAAGCUGGUAUAAUCAGGUUUUUCGUGUAAUUAUGUUUGCCAAGAUAAAUUGUUUUGCUUUAGUCCCAUUGAAAGAACUUUAAUUUAUUCAGAAAGUUAAAAUACCAAUUAUACGCCCACCCACGAAAAGAUCCGACCCAUAAGCCCUCAUGUAAUACGACAGCGUCUCGUCAAAGAAGAGAGAUUAGGGCUCCUUUUCGUAGUCAACCUCUUCGUCGCCGUAUAUAUACAACUUCUCUCCUGCUUGUAUUCAUUAUCUCGCGUCAAUGUUCUUAAAUCUCUUUUUUUCUUUCUCUGUCGGGUUUUGAUGAUUCAUGAGAAAUUAUCGUUAGGAAUGUUGUUCUCUUAGUCCUAGAUUCGAAUGUUCUGUGUUAUAUAGCUUUCGAAAUCUUGAGGGGUUUGAUGGUAAGGAUGAUGAAACAAAUCAUUCGGAUUCCCAUUGAUUUCCUACGGGAAAGAUGUGAUCAUAAACCAGCUACUUUUGACUCAUCAUCAUACUCCUCUUUUUUCUUUCUCUUUGCUCUCUGAUUCGUAUUAUUUUCUUGGUGAAUUAGAUCUUCACUUUUGAUUGAGGUCUUUAUAAAUACUUAAAUCUGUAGAUGGUGUUGAGAUGACGAAAGAAAUCAUUCGGAUUCCCAUUGAUUUCCUUCGGGAAAGAUGUGAUCAUAAACCAGCUACUUCUGAUUCAUCAUCAUUUAUAAAGAAAAUCACAAAUUGCUCAUCUUAUUUGUUUUUUUUUUUCCCAAUUUGCUAUUUCAAUUUUUGUUUUUUAAUGUUUUCUCAGUAUAUUUUGAGUAGGCCAGUGAUGCAAGAAAAAUAUUUGCUACUCUUGAUGAAGAAUAUUCAGUUGAUGAUCGGUUAACCACCAAGAUCUCUGAGGCCUUGUUUUGUUACUCUUACACUAAAGUUGAUUUUCACUUAAUUUACCUAUCAUUUGCUUUAAACACACCAUUUGUCCAUGUUCAGACAUUUCUUUUUCCUGAUGACCUUCCUCAUCAAUCCAUGUAAUUCAAUUUAAUAAAAUUCAUUCACUAUGGCAUACAAUGAUUAGUAAUCCUCUUGAAGUAAUAUUUUCCACGAAAUAUCAAAUUGCGUGUGAUUCCUUGAUGUAUAAUGAUCCGUAGUGAUUGAAACCUGACAUAAAUCCAACACAGUUGAAUACAGAAACAAAUUAUGGGCAGACGAAAUAAAACACUCAAAACAAACAAAGGCGAUAACAGAACAUGAAAAUGCCCUAGAAUCUUGAUUUGUUUGAGAUACCAAAACUACUCGACUUUAUGGUUCGAAAUAUAGAAGAGAAAAAUUGGUUGUAUCGAAGAAUUAAACCGGAUUGGCUUCCAGAACACAGCUCAGCCCGUCAGGUCCCAUUAUAAAUCUAAUCCUCAUUAUUCUGCUUACUAAUAAACUACGGCAAAAUAUGCAGAGGAACUACAUCAGAAGCUACAAUAAGCGCUUCUGAUAAAAGAUUGUAACCUUCAGACCAAAUCCACUUAAUAGUUCCAACCAAAAACUAAAAACAGCCAUAAGAAAAGAUACCAAGAGAACUAAAUGUAUGAUAAUUGUUCAGUCGAAAAGAAGCUGAGACGAUAUUGAAGCUGUAGGUACAGAUGCCAACUCCUUGAGCAUCUGAUACUUGUCUCCCACAUUAGUAGAUUCUGGAGAGAAAGUAGCUGUCUUCAGACAAGCAGCAUUCUUUAAGACAUAUGUUGCCAGCUCUCUAUCACCUUGUCUCCCUUUGUACCCGAUCCACACAAAAGCCUCGAGACUAAACAAAAAACACUUGGGAACAGAGUUCGACGGCUUCCAACCAAUUGGGGGUUCUUUGGCAGAACAACCAGAAUCAUGUUUCUAAAACACAACAUCAUCGUUAUUAUCAGUCAAUCAUAUUGGGAAACUAAACUAGAUUAAACAAGAUUAUACAGAACUCGUACAUCGAUAAGUUUGAGAGCUUGUAGCCUGGGGGAAUCUUGGAGCAUGUGAGUAGAUCCCACCAACCUUUAGUAAUUGUAUACAAGUCCAGAUGAACAAGCUGAUUGAAACUCAUACCAGAAGGAUGCAUAACCUGAUUUAAAAACAACAACAUAAAUGAAAAAAAAUUGAGAGGAAUCAUAAUCUACAAUCACAAGAUUCAAUAUUCCAAGAUUUGUUUAUUACCUCUGAAAGUGAUAAACAUAGAGAAAGGCGUCUGACAGAAGUAAGAGCACUCAGAAACUUCUGAGUAGCUCCAUGAGUAAUCUCAACAUGUGCCUCAGCCAACUCAGGCGUAUUCUCAAUUUGACGAAAGUUGUAAAGCACACAAUCUUUAAUGUUAAGAUACUUCAAACAAGGAGCAUCUAUCACAAACCGACCAGCUGUUCCAGAAUUUUGGUCCAACAUAGUUAAUCUUUGUAAAGAAGGGAUCACAACAGUGACAUCCGUUGUUGUGUCUCCAUCAUAUCGUUCCACAAGCAACCCUUCAAGUCUUGAACAACCGGAUAAAAGACGUGGUAGAGCCGUGUCGUCUAUGUAAUCAACAAGCCUAAGGCUCAGAGUUUUGAGAGCCGGGAGACGAACGUGAACAGGAACAUCCAAAAGAACGCAACUGAUGAGUCUCAGGGUCUCAAGCGUUUCGGAGGAAUAUAGGCUACUCGGCAAACUAACACUAACAGAGCCUUUCACGGAUGAAGAAAUAGAAAUUUCCAACUCACGCACACGGCGACUAACUGCAAUAUCGAUCCAUAAUCCAAUAUCUAUAACAGGACAGUCAGCGCCAAGAUUCAGAUGCAAAGAUUCUAGAACGGGUGCCUUAUUUGAUAGCAAGGACCUGUAAACAAACUGCGAGAAGGACUUGUAGUCACCAAUGUGAGUGCUAUCAUCGUAUUCAAGAUUCGGGAUUAACAUCCAAAGGGACCGCCAUCUUUUGGACAAAAGACUUGUGGCCGCAACACCUUUUGUCCGAACACAUGACAAUAUUCGCAAGAGCAAAUCAUCCGAAAGUUGACUGAUAAUGUCCAUGUUCAAACACUAUCUCCCCUGAAUUCUCAAGCUUACAGCUAGUAGUGGCCAAAGGACAAAAAUUGUCUACGAUCGUUGCCUGUAUAUUAUAAAUCCUAAAGGGGUUCAUACUUCCGAGUAGAUGAACAAUAAAAAAAUAAAAAUAAAAACUUAACAGUUUGAUUGUUUGUAGAUUACCCUCGUAGUUCCUUAGUGCUUCUUGGAUCUUUCUAAAAUGACAAGAUGAGACCAAGAAGAUUCCAGAGCUGGGUCAUUGAUAUAUUAAUCAGAGGAGUUUGAUCAAGUUGUGGUUGGCCUAAACCCUAAUACGCAAACAAUUGAUACGGCGCCGUUAGGAUUAGUAGCAAUCAUUUACAGUAUUUCGAUCGGGGAAAGCGGCCCAUGCCUUAACCGCAAGAACUGGUAUCAUUUUAUGUCUAUACUUUGAUACUGUGCUUAUACGUACUUGAACUCUUUAAAAUGAACCGCAAGAACUAGUAUCAUUUUAUGCCUAUACUUUAAUAUUGUGCUUAUACGUACCUGAACUCUUUAAAAUGUGUAAAUUCAUUCCCAAACUAGAAUUUUUAUAGCCAAAUCAUGCAUUGACUUUUUAUACUGGGCUGACUAACUUGCCACGUUGGAAUCUCAGAGAUAUGAUGCUACGUCGUUUGUAUAUUUCUGAGAAAAUUUUUUUUGCAAGCUCAAAGAUUCAAACCCUGCACCAUACCCACUUAUCCGAGCCCGAAGACCAGUAGACCAGAUGAAGUAAUUGAUAACCUAUCGCACACUUAAACAAUAUAAACUACCCAUGGCCAUUAUUAAAAAAAAAUACGACAUCGUAUUGGUUUGGUUAUUCAUCUUUUUUUAAUGAAGAAUCUAUCUUCUUCUUCGUCGAGGCCUGUGUUCAAAUUUGGGGAAAAACUCAGCAAACGGAUCGAAAUCGUCAUUGUCGUCACCAUUAACCGAUUUCUACUCUUAAUUCUUCUUCUGCUGCUUCUCCUUCUUCCUCAUGUCUCCUCGUGAUUCCUCCCGUUAACCCUGCGGCCGAUUUGGUUUUAUUUCACCAGAUCUAAAACAACAAUCGUUUGAUGAAUUCGAUUCAUAGGAGUAUUGAGAAUCGAAAAAAAAACCAGCAAAGUUUAAUUCAAUUGUUUAAAGUUAAAAGCAACAAACAUCUUAUUAGAUUUAAUAAAAGGAAGACCCUUUCGAGCUUUGGUGAAACUCACAAAUGUCGUGACUUUCAACGACUUUAGAUUUUUCAUUUUUCUAAUGAUUGUAGGAAUAGUAAAAAUAUUUAAUGGUGCGACUUACAACUAAUAAUUGCAUUUGGUCUAGUGGCAUCAAGGGAUGUUUUAUAGAGGAUGUCUAUGGUUUGAAUAGUUAGAUGUUCAAAAAAUUUGUACUUUUUUUUUUCUCGACUUAAAACGACGUCGUUUAGUAUUAUCGUUCCAACACAGAUUCCACCAUGGCAGCUAACUCAUAUCUGUUAACAAUUUGACAGAGUUGACUAACAAAAAAUAAGUCAAUGCAUGUUUUGGCCAAAAAAUUUGAGUUUAGGUAUGAAUAUUCAAAUUUUCAAUAGUUAAGGCAUGUUUGAGCACAGCAUAAUUGUACAAGUACUAAUCGGUACCAUUCCACUCGGUUGAGGCAUGAAUUAGCCGCUUUCUCGUACUUCGAUCUCAUGAUAUGCUGCCAACUCGGCAAAUCUCGGACCCACCUUAUGAAAACCAAAUUUUAAACCGAAAUUCACUUAGCUGAAUAUUAUUAUAUGGAAUUAAACAACCGGAUUAGGCACUAACUUAUGUGAAAUGAGUAACGAUGAUGAUGAAACAUUGAAGUCAACGUGGCAAAAUCACGAAGGUUGAAGAUCUGGAAAAAAACCCAGACCAUUAGACAAAUCCGACGGAAAUCGCGGAAUCAUCAUCACCCUCUUCAACUCUUCAAGAAAGAGAGAAAAACAAAAAAAUAUAACAGUUACGUUCUGUAAUUUAGUAUUGUACUGAUAUAUGGUGUUCAACGGCGGGACUGUGAUGUCGGUAGCCCAUCUAUCGGCGGAGAUUUGGCAGAGAUUACGGCGGAUCCCACCGUCCGAUCGUAUAAGCAGCCGCGAGAUGCUUGAGCUCGUCUGCUUCUUCCCGCUCCAGCAAAUGGGUCGGCUCGCUUUAUGGUUCUUGACUAUCCUCUGUCUUCCUCCGCCAGGUUUGCUCUAUCCUGAAGCUGACGAAGAAGACGAUCGUGAUGUUCACGCUUUUGCUUCUGGCUCAGCUUCAGCUUCCGUCGCUACAUAUCAGAACCACUUUCAUCUGCAUUUUGAGUGAUCAGUUUCAAACUGGAUUCUUUGUAAAGUUCUCAUUUUGUUUUUUUUUUUGUCGCAGUCACUCUGUUUUCUCAAUCUCUCUGUUUUUUUUUUUAAAUGUCUUGCGAUUUGGAGAAAUCGGAUCUUGUUUCCUGAUCUUAGCUGAAGAAUCAGGAUCCUGGUUACAGUUUGAAUCCUUGUGAAUAUCAUAUUCAGAAUAUGUCUAGAAUUGAGGUCAUUCAAUUUUUCACUCCUUGAUGAUUAGACCAUCAUCAAUUCGUGUUUAAUCUGCACUUCACCGUUGACUCGGUUUGAUCUCGGAGUACUGAGACUAGUGGAGCAGUCUUUGAUUUUCUUUUUGUAUCUUCGGUGGUAAAAUUGAACAGAGAUCAAGAGGAUUUUGAGUAGCUGAUUCGGUUUUAGUGUUGGAAAUUUCUGUAAUCUGAUCCUCGGAAACUUGUGUCUACUUAUUUGGGAGACAGAUUUUGUCUGAUCGUCAAUUCCGGCGAGCUUUCUUCAUGUUUUUGUCACAUUGAUACUCUUCUUGCCUUCUUGAUCUCUCGCUGAUCAUCGCAGUUUGUCUUCAACGGGUACAUUUCGUUGGUAUAAUCUUUUUUUUUUCCAUUUGAUUGCAAGUCUCGACCUUUAUUGCUCUGUGUCUGAUGUAAUUGGCAAUUUCUAAGUUCAAGAAAGGUAUGUUUCUACCAAACCAUCUUUCUUGGGAGUUGGGUCUCUUGGUUUUGUGAGUUUUUGGUUUCUUGACUUCCAAGAAAGAAGCUUGUUUAUACUUUGUAAGUUUGAAAUAGCUUCAUGAUUCUUAUAUCUUUAGUUUGAAUUUGAAUCAAAUUCUUGUGUGGUAGAGUAGCCUAAUUCAAUAGGCAUAACAUGAGCUUGAACUCGCUAAUUAAACCACCCCGCAACAUUCAUGAAACAAUAAAGAAAUGAAUCUGGGGUUCGAAAUGUCUUUAUAAAUUAAUGAGAAUAAGAUGCAACAAUUUUUUUUUUUUGUGAACCGGGAAGUUCCACACCUAGACCCAUACAUCUAUCAGAGCCGAGAUCAGUCUUUACUAAAUCAUCAAAAGAAUUUAGUACAAACUACCAGACCGCAUAUCCCGAUCAUAUUAGUUUGAAAUAUAUACCCCGACCAAUUGCCCAUGUAAUAAUUCUGUUAGCAUGAUUGAUCUAUUUUGAUUAAUUGGUUUUGAGAUUUAAAACUUUAAAAAUAAUAUCAAAUCUUUAUAUACUGUAAACCCCGUUGUCAAUUUACAAAGAAUAGCAGUCAUAUAAACUACAGUUCUUUAUUAUUUUUAUUGUUAUAUAAUAAAAUGAAAAAUUACAUUUUAUAAAUUCUUCUUUCAUCGAAUAGUGAGCAAUAAUUGGGGAGAAAUGGAUAUGGACUCAGCCAAUUAUACAUAACUAGGAGCACAUGGAGUCAUCAAUCAAAUUCCAUAUUCUUAACCUAUAAAGAAACAGCCAAACAGCUCAUUACUCUCUCAUUUUCUGUUCAUUUCACGACUGUCACAGAAAAAAACAACAUUUUCCUAGAUCUUUUACUCAUAGUCUUUAUAAAUAAAACGUUUUUAUUAUGAACUGUAUCAUUUGAAAGCUAACACCUUAUGAACUGUAUAAUCUUUGAAGCAAACUAUUAUAUUCUUCUAGAAAAAAAACUGGAUAACAACUAAAGUCGGCGGCACGGUUCUUUCCAGCUGUUUUAAAUAUCUUAGUUGAUAAACCAAAUACCCUUAAUUAAUUGGUUUUAUCUGCUCUACCAUUUUUUUAGUUUAAAACGUUAACUAUUUAGACUAAUGCUUUACUAAUUUAACCGUAAGAUAAAAAUAAACUUUAAAAAUGAGGUUCAUCAACAUCGAUCUGCAUUGUGUAACUGAUUUAUUUAGUUCUUAAACCACGAAAAGUAGUAUAUUCGUUUUAAAUUAUAGAUUUGAUUAAGUAAGAAAUUUAAGAAUUUUUGUAGGUCUUAGAGAUAAUACAACUACACAAAUUUAUUCAUAAUCAACUUUUAUCUAGAAUCCAGUGAAAGAUUAUGACUCGAAGACAAAUCAAUUUAUCUUAAACAAAAACAAAGAAUUAAAACAAUUAAAAGUUGAUUAAAUGGGUUGGUGUUAGUUAAACUGUAAAGUGAUACAUACACAGUUGGCCUAACACGCACCCAUGUGUAUAUAUAACCCACAAGUCACAACACAUAACAACACACCACAAAACACACAAACUUCUAAACUCUUCUCUCGUUUGCUUUCUCAAGAUUAUUCACCAAUGGAGGCACUGAAGAUGAAACUCUUUGUGGCUGUUUUGGUGGCGAUGAUAGCUUUCUCUGCCGUGCAACAGGCUGCCGCCGUGGAGGCUCCGGCUCCGAGCCCCACCUCUGACGCUUCCUUGUCGAUCCCCGCUUUGUUCGCUACCGUAGUCACUCUGGCCUUUGGGUUUCUCUUCUAAGCAAAUUUGUUUUUUUUGGCUCUUUAGUUUAUCUAAGAAAUCAUUUUCUUGAUUUCAUUUUUAUAUCCCUCUAUUAUGUAUUGUCCUAAGAUUUGCCAUAUCCGAAUAUCAAUAAAAAUAUCUCGAUAACCUUUUUAUUCAGAGUCGGUUUGACAAACUCUUUAACAAAAAAAUGUGGUUUUAUUGAAAAAUCAUAACUUUGGUGAAAAAUGGAAUAUUAGUUGAAUCUUAGUCUGAAAGCAUUUUAAUUAAGAUUAGGGAAACAUUUUAGCGGGAGGAGACAACUUGAUAGCUUUACAAUCAUGACAUCCUCUAAGUAUUAUUGAUUUAGUUUGUACUAACAUGGAAAGCAAUUGGAAAAAGAUUAACUAUAUUUUAAUUUAAUCCAGUUUAAUUUACAGUUUGGUCGGUUUGGGUCGAUCAAUAUGUCUACUAAUAACCCCAAAAAAUGAUUUGUAAAAUGAUUUGGGUGAAAUAAUAUAUACGGAUUACUUCAUGUAUUCGAUUGCAAUUUUUGAAAAAUAUAAUAACAAGAAUUUAAGAAAAUGUGGAAAUGAAUAAAUAGUCAAAGGAUGACGUAAAAAAAAAAUUAGUCAAAGGACCCUCAAAAACUCAAAAGUGUUCCUGAAUCAUUCCGCACUUCUCAGAUUUUCCAGCACAUAAGAAAAACCCUAACGACACAGCUCUCGCCGCUGGCUCUACUACGUUCGUCUGCCGCCGUGUUCGGCCGAUCGUCUGAGUUUAUACACCGUGGUAUGAUUCCACCUCCCUUCUUAUAUGUUCGCCUUCCUCGUCGACUGACUAUAACUUUCCCGCUGGUUUGUGUGCAAUUCGCCGAUUGUGCAGCGAAUCUGCCGAUCGCAGACGCUAAAAUGUUUAAAACGCCAAACCACGUUUUCGUAAACAUAUUUUGCAUACUGGGCCUAGUAUUUUUUUUGGCCCAACACCUAAAUUGUUUUAAAAUUAAAUUAAAAAUUUAGUUUCCUUUUGGAAAAAAAAUAAAAAAAAGAAAAAAAAAAGAAGGAAAGAAGUUGCUAUGGCAAUACUAAGCCUAACCCUUUUUCCGGUAUCAGCUACACCGCCGUCUUCUCUCUUCUCCUUCAAUCGUUUUUCUCGUUACCAUCAGUUCGCUUAUUUGUCUUCUUACUCGUCUCAGACUGGUAAAAUCCUCUCUCCGAGCUCUAAUCUUCCCGUUUCUCUCUCCUUAUCUCUACUUGUGAUUUCUGUUCUCGCCUACAUUUCUCCAAUUGCUUCUCGAGCUUUAGGCCAUGGAGUAACAUUUCUACUGCCGUAUUAGUUGAGAUGAGAGUUUUGUUAUUAGCAGAGGGAGCCGAUUUUCCUUAGUUUCUGUGCUGCUAGCUAAUUCUGAUAUUGUUUUCCAGUGGUGUUUUUUUUUUGGGGAUUUUGAUUGGAAUUUCGAGAAAUAAUAUUGCGUUUGCUUGUUUUCUUAACAAGCCUUCGUGGUUUCCUUGUGUUUGAAGUACUGAAAACAUCUAAAUGUUGAAGAAGAUAAGCUUUUUUUGUUUUGUUUAUAAUUCAACAUGGUCUGUAGCAGUGCUUUAAUGAAACUUUCUUCCUUGGUAAGAAUUCUAGAUGAAACUCCAAUAGAAGAGGAGAAUAUUGCAAUCCAGUUUUCAUUUUUUUUUUUCUUGCUUUUUUGAGGGUUUGCUAUUGCUUGUACUGAUCUUGCUAUGUGGUUUUGUAACCUAGACAGGCAUAUUGAGAGCAACGAGUAGGAGAUUUGCUUUCGCAAUCAAAUCAAAGUCAGUGGCAACCAUGGCAGCUGUAUGUCAGAGUUUUUGGCUUUUUGUUUUAAUCCAGGAGACUGUCUAAGUAUAAUACUCUUCUUUCCCCGUUUGAUGACUGAUUUUUGAGUGCUGUGACAGAAUGAAGAAUUCACGGGAAAUCCAAAACGUCAACUUGAGAAGCUCUUUGAUGUGUCGCUGAAAUUAACUGUUCCUAAUGAACCUGGUGUUGCGCCCUUGGUUGCUGCCUCUCAACCUGGAAAAUUUGGAGAUUACCAAUGGUGCUCCCUCUUUCACUUUAUUCAAAUGAAACUAAAGUUCCUUUCUGUUUGUUAAUUUAGAUAUUCAUCAUAUUGUCGUCUGCAGUAACAAUGCAAUGGGCCUAUGGUCCAUUAUCAAAGGAAAGGGUACUCAGUUUAAGGGACCUCCAGCUGUUGGACAGGUUUGUGGUUUGAUUGGCCUUUUACAGUUCCGUGGCUUUUGUAUGCUCUGUGUCUUGUAGCAGAUUCUUAUGGGAUUUUAUAUUUCCUUUAACUCUUAUUUUGUUCCCUUUUUCACAUAGGCCCUUAUGAAGAGUCUACCUACUUCUGAGAUGGUGGAAUCAUGCUCUGUAGCUGGACCUGGAUUUAUUAAUGUUGUACUAUCAGCUAAGUGGAUGGCCAAGGUGCUCCUGUUGUAUUGCUCACUUGCAUAAUCAUUUUCUAGUCCUCAUAAAUAAGUUAUGUUUAGCAUAAUUGUUUUGUCAUCUAUCCGCAGAGUAUUGAAAAUAUGCUAAUCGAUGGAAUCGACACAUGGGCGCCUACACUUCCGGUUAAGAGAGCUGUAGUUGAUUUUUCCUCUCCCAACAUUGCCAAAGAAAUGCAUGUUGGUCAUCUUAGAUCAACUAUCAUUGGUGAUACGCUAGCUCGCAUGCUCGAGUACUCAAAGGUUGAAGUUCUACGCAGAAACCAUGUUGGUGACUGGGGAACACAGGUAGCUACUUUCUGCUUUCAAACAAAUUUCUUAACCUUCAGACCGAGUGCUUUAUUGUUGUAUUCUAAUAUUUAUCAAAGAAAUAAAAGCAGUGUUUAUUCUGCAGUUUGGCAUGCUAAUUGAGUACCUCUUUGAGAAAUUUCCUGAUACUGAUAGUGUGACAGAGACAGCAAUUGGAGAUCUUCAGGUCAGCUGCCUUAUGGCCUCUUGAGCUUUACAGUCCUUCCUAUGUACCAAUAUUGGCAUAAUAUACUUUAUGUGAAGAACCAAAGCAAUUUAGUUUCUAAUAUUACAUGUCAUCUGACAGGCAUUUUACAAAGAAUCAAAAAGUAAAUUUGAUCUGGAUCCGGUCUUCAAGGAAAAAGCGCAACAGGCUGUGGUCCGUCUACAGGUAAGUAAAAAUUCUCCUAACCUGAAUUACUGGUGCUUUCUUCUGUUUGGCAGUGUUUCAAUAUGCAGCUGUCUUAGCUACCUAAAUUACUCACUUGUCUAUUUUUUUUUCGUUUCUUCGGUGCAGGGUGGAGAUCCUAUUUACCGCAAGGCUUGGGCUAAGAUUUGUGAAAUCAGCCGAACCGAGUUUUCCAAGGUUUAUCAACGCCUUCGAGUUGAGCUUGAAGAAAAGGUAAAGGAAUAGAUUGAACGAUAAUAUAUUAUUUGAGACAUAAUGGAAAAGAGGAACAUGGAUGGGUGAUGAAAUAUACAUUGAUACAUUACAGGGAGAAAGCUUUUACAACCCCUAUAUCGCUAACGUAAUUGAGGAAUUAAAUAGCAAGGGGUUGGUUGAAGAAAGUGAAGGUGCUCGUGUGAUUUUCCUCGAAGGCUUCAACAUCCCACUCAUAGUUGUUAAGAGUGACGGUGGUUUUAAUUAUGCCUCAACAGAUCUGACUGCUCUUUGGUGGGUUAUCUUUCAGUUAGUUCUUCUAUAAGUUCUGUAUUUUUGUAGCACUCUUUGGAUAUAUAUCUCAUAGAUUAUGACUUUUUGUGUCUGUAUUUGCUGAAGUGUGUGGCUUGAUCUGAACUUGCAUAUUGUUUAAUGAAUUGUCUGCUGAUGCUAAAUCUGCCUGGCCCAGGUAUCGGCUUAAUGAAGAGAAAGCUGAGUGGAUCAUAUAUGUUACCGAUGUUGGCCAGCAGCAGCAUUUUAAUAUGUUCUUCAAAGUAGGGUUGAUGAUUUUUUUUUUUUUUUUAGUGUCUUGCUUAAAACUGUCAGUCGUAACAGUGCUGUGGUUAUCCUGUUACUAUGAAUCAGGCUGCCAGGAAAGCUGGUUGGCUUCCAGACAGUGAUAAAACUUACCCUAGAGUUGACCAUGUUGGUUUUGGUCUCGUCCUCGGGGAAGAUAACAAGCGAUUUAGAACUCGGUCUUCAGAAGUAGUUCGCCUAGUUGAUUUGCUAGACGAGGCCAAGACUCGCAGUAAAACUGCCCUUAUUGAGCGCGGUAUCUAACUUUGUGUCAGCACUCUUUACGUUUUGAACUGUUGAACCGCUCACUUGUUCAGUUAUUUUGUGGUCUUAUUCGUCCCUUGUUUCUCUGUUUAGGUAAGGACAAAGAAUGGACUCCCGAGGAGCUGGACCAAACAGCUGAGGCAGUUGGAUAUGGUGCGGUGAAGUAAGUAUUGUCUCCAUCCUCCUCGUUUUUGUGAUUUUUGUAACUGCACAAAUAUGAUGAGUGUUCUAUCAGAUGUUUUUAUAGUGGUUUUAGUAAUUUCAUGCUACUGCUAACUUGCGGUUUUGUUUAAUUUCUUUCUUAGGUAUGCUGACCUGAAGAACAACAGAACGACAAAUUAUAUUUUCAGCUUCGAUCAAAUGCUUAGUGACAAGGUACUGGAAUUUUCCACCUAGUUUGCAUUUUGCAUUUAUGCAGUCAACCUACACAUGCUUAUUAGUCACAUGUCAUGAGCAGGGAAAUACAGCCGUUUACCUUCUUUACGCCCAUGCUCGGAUCUCUUCAAUCAUCGCUAAGUCUGGCAAAGACAUAGAUGAGCUGAAAAAGGUAUUUUAGCCGCAUGAACACAGAUCGCUUAACUACUUUUUGGUUUCUAUUCUUCCUUUUGGCUGCACCUGAACUUUCCAACUGCCUCCAUCUUUGAUAUUAACGGAAAUGCUAUUUAAAAUCUAUUUGUUUUGAAGGCAUUAACAAUUGUCAGUAGUUUUUUUAACUGCCAACUCCAUGCCAGUGUCUACAUUGAGCAUUUAAAUCUUGGAAGUCUUAAGAUUCAAUUUUAUUGCACACCCUAAGCCCUUUAUUGGGGAUUCUUGUCUUAAUUUUUUUUCCUUGGGUUUGUUCUAUCUAAUUUCACAUUUUCAUAAAUAAUGGAUCCUCAAACACUUACGAAGACUGUUAUAAGUUUACCAUAAGCAGUAUGAUAAAGAGAAACUCAUACGUUUCAACAUUUGCUUUACUGCAGACAGGAAAGCUAGCAUUGGAUCAUGCAGAAGAGCGAGCACUGGGGCUUCACUUGCUUCGAUUUGCGGAGGUAACACUGUUCAUUAGAUACUACGAUCGUAUUUGACUUCUUUUUCUUGGUAAGGAAAUGAUCAGUUGCAAAACCCAUGUGUGAACGAUUUGCAGACGGUGGAGGAAGCUUGCUCCAACUUGUUGCCGAGCGUGCUGUGCGAGUACCUCUACGAUUUAUCGGACCGCUACACCACAUUCUACUCUAAUUGUCAGGUGUGCAUACCCGACAUUCGAUGUUUCUAUUUAAUAUUGUGAGAUCAGACUGCAUAGCUGCAUCAUCAAUUCCAUUGAAUUUGAUUUCACUUAAAACAUUUAAUUUUUUACAGGUCAUUGGUUCUCCAGAGGAGACAAGCCGUCUCUUACUUUGUGAAGCAACAGCUGUUGUCAUGCGAAAAUGCUUCCACCUUCUUGGAAUUACCCCUGUUUACAAGAUUUGAUGCAUCCCAUCAUACUAUUAAACGACCCAAAAGACAAAAAGGGGUUUUAUCUGUUUUGAAAAUUCUUCUGCACAAUUAGUGAAAAAGGCGUUCUUUAGCUCUAAGUUUUCUCGUCUCAUUUAGGUUGGGGAACCUUGUAUACAAUUGAAUACAAUGUUAAACUGAACGCGGAAGGUCGUUUUAUCAUAUCAUUGAACUGAUUUUGGUGAAUCAUGAAAGGGGUUUAAGGUUAAUCUUGAAUCAUUUCUUAGAGAUGUGAAUGACUGAGAUUUGCCCUUGUAAUACUUUGUUAGUCUAUUCUUGACGUGGCUGUUUAAAAAAUUCGAUAUGAAAACCAUCUGUUAACAAUCUCUAUGUUUAUAGAAAUAAGAUCAAUCAAAGAGAAGAAGCAAAGUGAGAUGCGAGCAGAAAGAUCCUCAAAUGUCACUAUUACAUAUAGAUCAAAAGGACUUGAAGAUAGCACUGUGACUUGAGUGUUUUACUAUUUGUCUGAUCAUCGUUGUGGAUUUAAGCUUAAGUUAAGCUUAAGACACCUAUUCCUGUGUAGUGUUUAGCUUAAGUUAAACACGGAAAGGAUCUGCCCGCAUUUAGACCUCUUAUUCUUGCCUUGCAAAAAAAAUUGAACGUAAAAUGGCUUGUCAACCAAGUCCCAAAAUUUGUAGAAAAAAAUCAAUUUAAGGUUACUAAAUAAGAAACAUUAAAUAAAUAGUAUUUUCUAGAAAAUACGACCUUCUCUCCAAGUACUUAGUAGUCGUCGUCGUUGCUGUCUUUUGUCAAAGAGAUCCCAAAAACAUUGUACAUUAUGAAGUACAUAAAUACAUUAUUUACUUAUAUAAUUACACUCGCAUAUACUCUUAGCUAUUUUCCCAACGUUAUUGCGGCAAAAUCCGUCUAAGCCCGCCACAUGUUUGAUGAAAUUAACCUUUUUUAGCAAAACCAUCUCUUUAGCCUCAGUGGUCCCUCUCUCUCUCACUUUCUUUGGCUUUUCAUUUGCUUACCGACUCCAUGGUCAAACACUCUUUGAUCCUAUUAAAAUGGGUCGCCUUGUCUUUGAUCUACGGAUUUGAUUCCAUUUCACUAAUUAUUUCUUUCCCCUUCUUCGUUUCAGAGAUCGAGUUUCUUCUACUUUCGUAUUCAAUUUUUCGUUGACGAGUUUCCAAGUUUCCCUACAAGAAAAAAAGGAAUUCCUUUUUCUAAAAAAAAAAUAAUUAAGUUUGCCACCGAAGAGAGUUAUUUCCUUGUUCUUGCUUCGUUAUGAGUACUGUGGAAAGUAGCAAGCCGAAGAUCAUCAAUGGUUCUUGCGGUUAUGUUCUGGAAGACGUUCCUCAUCUCAGCGAUUACCUUCCGGGUCUUCCUGUAUGUUCCUCUCCAUCUCUGAUUCGGCUCUUUUUUCUUUUUCAAACUCUUGCUUUGAUCUAUACAGUUGCAAAAAGACGAAACUUGAUCUAGAUAGAUAGAUAUUUGUUCAUGUGUGUGUAUCUUAGCUGUUUAGUUUUUUUUUGGGAACUUGUGAUAGAUGAAAUGAAUUCCUCAGAUUUUGAACAACUAAGAGUAAUAUAAGAUUUCCCAAGGAUAAAAGAGGGAUUUUUUUUUGUAUUUGGAUCCCAAUGAUCAUCAAUCCGACUCACACCUGUUUAUUUUUGGUUUUAUGUUAUUGCAGACUUAUCCUAAUCCCCUGCAAGACAAUCCAGCAUACUCAGUGGUCAAGUGAGUCUUUUUUUCACGGGUAUUUAGGCAAAUAAGGUUCUUAGUUAUGUUCUAUGGUGAUUUAAUUAAUCAUUUGCUUGCAGUUGUUACAUUUUUUGUUUUGUGGAAAUUUUUCAGGCAAUACUUUGUUGAUGCUGAUGACAGUGUUCCUCAGAAGGUAUAUUUGGUUUGGAGAUUUCUAUUAAAUCCAUUGCAGCCUAAGAAUUUAGAGCUCAUGUGUCUCUUAUUGGCUCUUCUCCUUUUUUUUUAGAUCGUUGUUCACAAGGACGGUCCAAGAGGAAUUCAUUUUAGACGAGCCGGGCCACGUCAAAAGGUUUUGACUUUUGCUGAAUGUGAUCCUUUUUCUCAUUUGAAUAUGAUUUUCUGUUGACUUAGCUCUUUGCAGGUCUACUUUGAAUCUGAUGAAGUGCAUGCAUGCAUAGUUACCUGUGGCGGUCUUUGUCCUGGCCUUAAUACCGUGAUUAGGGAAAUAGUGAGCAGUCUAUCUUAUAUGUAUGGAGUGAAGAGAAUACUGGGAAUAGAUGUAAGUUUUCAUGAUUGUAACAACGUGCUUCCCGACUCGUUCAAGCUCUUGUUUGUUUCAUUUUCUCAUGCCUGAAUCUUUUUUCAGGGUGGAUAUAGAGGCUUCUAUGCUAAGAAUACUGUCUCCUUAGACUCUAAAGCUGUAAAUGAUAUCCAUAAGCGUGGAGGGACUAUCCUCGGGACCUCACGAGGUGGCCACGAUACCGUAAAGAUAGUUGAUAGCAUUCAAGAUCGAGGAAUUAAUCAGGUUUGAUGAUAACCCCCACCUUACACUGUAUUUUACUCUAAGAGUUAUAAAAAAUUAGUUCUUGAUGUUUUUGUGGUUGUUUUGUCAUCGUUCAGGUUUACAUUAUAGGAGGAGAUGGAACACAGAGAGGAGCAUCGGUUAUAUUUGAGGUAAAUCCCAAUUCUACCUUGCAAGUUUAUACCAUUUCAGAACUUACGGAUCUUUUGAUUGUAACCAUGUAGGAAAUUAGAAGACGUGGCCUGAAAGUUGCAGUUGUUGGAAUCCCGAAAACAAUCGAUAAUGACAUACCUGUAUGUAUCCCUCUCUACUCUGCUUCACCUCUAUAGAAAUAGCUAUGUUUUUUAUGUGAAGAGAUUGAGAACUUCACAUUUUUCUUUUGGCUAGGUGAUAGACAAAUCUUUUGGGUUUGACACAGCUGUAGAAGAGGCUCAGCGAGCUAUAAACGCAGCGCAUGUGGAAGCCGAGAGUAUGGAGAACGGUAUCGGCGUUGUCAAGCUUAUGGGUCGCUACAGUGGUGAGUAAUAUACUCCUCUGCUGCUUCUUUUCUCGCCUGAUCAAGCUCUUUUGUUAGAUUUAUCUCACAAGUGCGUGCAAUGCUUUAACAGGGUUCAUAGCCAUGUACGCUACUCUAGCAAGCAGAGAUGUGGACUGCUGCUUGAUUCCGGAGUCACCAUUUUAUCUGGAAGGAGAAGGCGGACUGUUUGAGUACAUAGAAAAACGGCUCAAGGAGAGUGGUCACAUGGUGCUUGUGAUUGCAGAAGGUGCAGGACAAGAUCUAAUGUCGAAGAGCAUGGAAUCUAUGACUCUCAAGGAUGCAUCUGGUAACAAACUUCUCAAAGAUGUUGGUCUUUGGCUGUCACAAAGCAUCAAGGUAUAUCAUAAAUUACAGAGAAACUAUCAAACAUUGAUGGAUAUUAUAUUAUAGUCAGACUAAACUCAACAAGUGUAAAUUUUCCUUUUUAACUUGGUCGUAGGAUUAUUUUAAUCAGAAGAAGAUGGUGAUGAACCUCAAGUACAUUGGUACGUUUCAUAUCACUUGCUGCACUCUCUCCAUUAUGAGCUUCUUGAUUUUUUUGGACUCUUAGCGCAUUUCCCUUUAAUUUUCAGAUCCAACAUACAUGAUUCGGGCUGUUCCAAGCAAUGCGUCAGACAAUGUUUAUUGUACACUUCUGGCUCAGAGCGCAGUGCAUGGUGCAAUGGCUGGAUACACUGGCUACGUCAGUGGUCUAGUCAACGGAAGACAAACCUACAUUCCCUUCUACGUAAGUUACAAAACAGAUUUGAAUGGUUUUUGGAUGGAUCAAAUUGCUAGAUUAAUGAUUAAACGGAUCAUCUAUCAUGUCAUGUCAUCAUCAUCAUUUUGUGGAUUGGUUGUGAUGUUGUAGAGAAUAACGGAGAAACAGAACCAUGUGGUGAUUACGGACAGGAUGUGGGCGAGGCUAUUGUCUUCGACGAACCAACCUAGUUUCUUGAGCCCCAAAGAUGUCUCUGAUGAUAAAGAGCAGCCAAUGUCGGCUCUCCUGGACGAUGGCAACUGCAACGGUUCGGUCGAUGUUCCUCCAGUCACCAAAGAGAUCACCAAGUAACACCGAACCUAAAUAUAUGAUGAUGAUAUGUCUUUAUGUUUAGCCUUUAGGUAGUAAAGCAAAUAAUUGGGCUUAUCGGUUUGACCCUUCCCCCAUGGCAUAAGAAAACAUUGUUUUGUUUAGAUGCCUCCUCAUGUUGUAAUUUUCCAUAAUCUACGUUCCAUUUUUACUGAUUCCACUUCUUUCAAUUUAUAUCGAACUAGUAAAGCAAUAUCAUAUAAUAGUUUUUUGUUCAUACUUGCACCAAAAUUUCUUAAGUUGAUUAAAAACUAGCUUUCGAGCUGAUCAUUAUAUAAAUAGAUCAAGUUGUGUAAAAUGUGAUGGAGUUAAGUAAACCGUUUAUGAUCAUGAACUGAUAUCCAAUUAACACAUAUGAAAACAGCUAUACAUGGAUUCGAACCAUUGAUCUGAUGUCCAGUGAAUUUUAUCACACCACUGAAUUACAAGCUGAUUAAAAACCAAUUCCAAGCUUCUCACUAUGUAUACUAUGAUGGAGUCAACCUUUGAAAACCAGAACUGAUCUCCAAUUAAUGCUUGGGAAAACAGAAAUGCUUUUGGCCCAUCAACAUACAUAAAUGUUUAAAGAUAUGAAAAAAUACAUGGAUUUGAAUUAUUGCUAUGUGCGAAUUUGAUCAUACCACUGCAAUACAAGUGUGUUUUCACAGCUCUACUUGGCACCUAAAUAUUAUAUAUGUUUCAUGGAAUUCAGCUCAGGGUCAGCCUCGGCACUGUUUAGAACUGAAUACGCUGUUUAUAUUUACUAUUAUAGAUUUAGGUUUCUAAUUAAUUUAGAUGUUAGUUAGUAGUCAGGGUUGAAAUCUAUAUAAUAUAUAGAUUAUUACUAUUGAGUAUUGACACAGUUGAAAUAAAAGAAAAGGGUAAAUCGAAAAAAAAAUAUAAGCAAAACAUAUACAAAGUAUGAUAAAUAAAAAGGAAAAAUAACAAAAAAGCAUGUCAUGUUUCCCUAAUGUUUUGCUAAUUUAUAUAUAUAUAUAUAUAUAGUAUUUUUUGGCCAAAUUAUAUAAUAUGAUCUCUUUUUAAGUGGCCUUUUUAAAAUUAGAGAUCCCAUAUAAUUGUCAUAACAAUGUCUUCAGAAUCGACUAUGUUCAUUGCUACUUUUUUUCCUCCACAUUUCACCACUUCAAGCUCUCCGGAAAAUACUGUAAAUUUUGAAAAUUAGAAUAGAGAAAAGUAAGCAAAUCAUUUAAGAAAUAUACAUCUGCAUUACAAUAAUUAUUAAUGUACAAUUACUUUCUUAUGAAAAGAACAUGCAAUAUAUACUCACUUUUUUUAUAAGAGACAUAUAGUAGGGCUUGACCUUCUCCACAUCAACGUGAACUUUGCUCUUACUGUACAAGUCGUACUGGCUGUAAGAUCAAUUAUAUACAGGAAUUUAGAGGUUGUAGUUAUUAGGAAUUUAGGAUUAAGACUCAAUCAGUUAAUCAUGUUUAAGAAAUGUAAUUACUUGAAAACGUGUAGCCACUUCAGGUUCCUUUUGUCUUCCUCAUUCAUAAGAUGGGUGUAUUCUCCAGCCGUGUGCAAUGCUGUAGAUAUGUAAUUAACAUUAAAUAUUAAUUUAAAAUGUUAUUUAUAAUCAUAUUUUGUUGUUUUAAUACUGAAGUGCUUACGGUAAAAGGAAUGGUAUCGUAUGAUGAACUGUCCUGCAGACGGUAAGGUGCUUCUGUUCUCUUUAACCACCUGAGAAUAUAUUAUUUAACCAUCAAUUAUUACUCACUUUACAUUAUUCAAAACAGAUUAAUUAAAUUUUACUACAUUUAAUUAGCAAUGAAAGUAAAUAACUAAUUAAUUACCAUGUACAUGUAGUCGUCAUGGCCCCAUGACAUCAUGACAUUGUUUAAUCCACAUCCUUCAGUGUAUAUCCCAUUUUUAGUGUUGUAGGCUUGGUUAUGAAAAUCUGGAUUUUCCAGAAAAUACUGCAAAAGAAAAGGUAUAUAUAAUUAAUGUGAGACAGUAAAUUAAUCGUUUUUUUGGUAUAACUUUUAAGAACAAGUAUUAUAUCAUCAGUCUAAGACUAAUUUCUUAAAUUCAUAAAUUUAUAUUAACAAUUUAAUAGAUUGAGUCUUUUCUACCUUGUGGUGUACGUUAGAUUCAUCAAAGGCACACCCAACAGGGAAUGUGUCACCUGCAAGUUUUUGUAAGAAACAAAAAAAUUAAUAUCAUAUAUAGUUGGGAAUAAUUUAAAUAUUGAUCACAAAAUUUAGUUUAAAUUACCGACAGUGGCCCAUUGAGGAAGUCCUCCGAAUUGUGGAAGAGUAAUAACCUUCCCAAGAUCUGAUCAUCCAUUAAAUAAUUCAAGUGAUGAUUAAUUAUGAUACACAGCGACAUGGAUUGUAUCCAAUUCACGGUACAAAGCUAAAUCGAAACCAUUACGGAGAAAAACAUAGAUAAAAAGCUGGAUAAAAAAAUAGAUCAGUUUGGUAUUAAAUUUGAAGUAAUUGUGUACCUACCUAUCUAAAAUAAAAGAUUAGAUAGAUAAAUCAUAAAACCAAUCAUAUAAAGAAUAAAAUUGCAACAAAAAAAAAAAGUUGACAACCUGAAGUCUGAAGAUUUGAUUUCAAUUCGCUUUCUACAUAUCCGAUUCUCAUUUUAUAUAUUUUUUGGAACAAAAAUAAUGAUUCUCAUUUUAUUUCAUAAUUCAGAAGAUCUAAACAAAAAACCAAAUUAUAUAUACUCUUAUAGUUAAAACAAAUUACCAUGAAUAAGAGCGGUUAGAUGAAGCCAGUCUUCAUUAGGAUAAUCUUUGCGGAUAGCUUCGGCAGAUUGAAGCAAAUGCUGAAUCUGAGGCUCGUCAAGAUCUGGAUCACUUUCGUCCACCACCUCGUUAAGGAGCUCACAACAUUCCCAAAUGCUCAUCACCUUUUUAUCUAAUUUUCCAUAUUCAGCCCUCAUCUUUUUCACCUAUAAAAUACAUUUUCAUAUAUUUCCAAAUAAGUAAAUAUCAAUAGAAAACACAUGUAUAUAUAUAUAUAAAGAUAGCUUUUCUCUCUUCUGGUGCUGCCACCUCAGCAGCCACCUUAGCAGCCAUUUGUGCAAUUAUUUUUUUAAAAAAACUUUUGCUUUGUCCGAUUUCUCUAAUUACGGCAAAUAAUGAAACACUUUAAAUAAAUCAAAUAUCACACUACCAUAAACUAAAAUUAAACAAAUCAUAUGAACGACAACAAUCACGAAAUCACCAUCAAAAGGGAAUUGCAUAAACAGAUUUUUCGACGAAAGUGAUAUUUUCCAGAAAAAAAAAACUCAACUCAGCUCAGCUUAACCAUAAACGCUGGACUUUCUACCAAUCCCAAAAAGGAUCCAUGAAAUCCACGCCAAAUUGGAGUCACCAAUGACACACCCAAAAAACCAAUUCCAAAGUUGAGAAACCGAUCAGCUCCCCAAUAUGAUGACAAAUAGAGGUAUAUCUAAGAAAUUAUGGAGAGGGGUUAGACCGGCACCGAUUCUGGAAAAAAAACACCGCAAGAGUGGAGGAUACCGUCACUGAAUCAUCCAAGGAAGAAAGAGAAGGAAGAUGAAAAAAUGACUCAAUUAGAGACCAAAGUAAUGGAUAUGAACAAAAGGUUGGUCCGACCAAAAUUUCAAUCACCCUCUUUCAAAGGAAGCACCCUCUAUCAUUAAACCAAAAUUCCAACAAUAAAAGGGUUUUGCCAACAUUUGAGAGAGCUACACGACUUUGUAUAAUCAAAAUGGGAUUUCAUAAACAUCGAACGAACAAAGAAAUAUAGCAGAAAAAUGAGCCAAUAUAAAAUAAUACAAAAAAUUAAAGACUAAAAAAAAAACUUUCACAUUAACCAUUCAAACCCGAUUUCAAUAUAGACAUAUUGUACUUCUACUGACUCAAGGCCUUAUACAAAAUAUACUAACGGAGAAAGUGUUUUCACAAUUACAAAUUAAAAAAACAAAGAAACAAAUACUUCAGAAACAAAAAUAAAUUAACAAGAAUAAACAUAACACUUCCAUAACAUAAACAAAAAAAUUAUAAAAAAAACAACCCCGAAUAAUACCUUCUAUAAGAGACAUAAAUCCCCGAGAUAUAAAACUAUAAAAAAAGGAAAAAACACGUGUAUAAUAUAAUAGAGAAGAAUUAUAACAUAAAAACAAUGGAAAAACGCCUGCGCGUAGCACGGGUCUAGUAUUCUAUGUAGAUCACAUAGAUUUAAUUCAAAUGAAUACAUAAAGCGUAUUUGCACCCGAAAAACAUAUAAACCGUAAUCAGUUUUAGGAAUCUUACAAAGUCGACAGUUUGGUUAAUAUGUUGUAAACUGUAAAACUCUUCAACACUUUUCUGCCUUUCACUCUUAGCAUCGUAGUCCCUGCGACCAUAACACCAGUGUAUGCAUAUUAUGAUCAAGUCAAGGGCUAUAUCUGAAUUCUGACCAAAAAUAAAUCUAAAACUCGGUUUUUGUGUUUCUGGAUUAGUUAGAUUUAUUAUAGAUGGUAGAAUAAAAACCUGAAUUGACGGCCGAAUGCAUUCAUUUCAGGUGCCAAGAGCGCUACUUCUUCUUCAGUAGCUAUGUUUGGCAUCGAAAAUCUUCCAUCUGAUCUUAACUCUCCGGUUUUGUCUUCGUUCUUGUCUGUGACUUGGAACGAAUAUUAAAAUAUACAUCAGAAAACUUCGUUGAAUAAUAUUGGGAUUUGGGGAAAAAAGAUUCAUUAUUUUUUUUUUUCCAAAAAAUUGUAUUGCGUUUUCCCCGAACUUCAUUGCUUUUACUAGAAAAUUCAAGUUUGUUACAGUGAAAAAAAUCCUAUAAAUCGUUGUACACAUAAAAUUAUAUUUGCUCAAAGCCUUUUUUUUUAGUCAUUCUCUUUCCGCCUGAUUUUUUUUUUUAAACAUCUUCUUUCCGCCUGAUAAUCAGUGCAUUGCUUGGAAAAGUUGGAAAAAUUAAGAAAUUGGGAGAAUAUUUACUCACCAAAUAUCGGCUUCUCAAUAGAGAUCGUCAUAGUCGAAGAACGGUUUUAAAGAGAGGAAACGUAAACGAAAGAGACGAUGGGAGAUAGAAAAUAUACUUUUGCGAUGAAGACUUGACGAGUUUAAAUUGGACUUUAGCGUAUUUAUAGUGUGGUGGUGGAUUAGUAUCAAGAUUGUCCUUGAUAUUUGGCGAAAAUCUUAAGUCCUUGUCAGCAAUUAUGUAUUUCUAAAAACAGUUUGUUUUUUAUAUUUAUCCAAACCAGAAACGACUUUCUGUUUUUUUUUUCUUUUUUUUUUUGGUAUUGUCUAAAGUUAUUUAUCAUCCAAAGUUUACGAUAAGAAAAUUUAUGCUAAUUUUAAACUGUGUUUCUUUUUUAAUUAUUAUUUUGACCGUGAUUUUAAUUAUUUUAGAUAGGAAUCGAUAAUUUCCUUUCUGCUAUAUUGAUUGUAUUUUCCUUUUGAUUUAUGGAUGUAAUUAACUAGAAAACGUUUGUCAGAAUUACUUUCUUUGAAAAGUUUUCAAUUCAGAUACUGUUGGUAAGGACAUUUAAACUUCCUAAUAAAAGGAACCUUAAACCAAAACAGAGAGUUUUGUCCUUAACCCUUACAUAUGCAUGAGUUCUGUCCUCAAAACUCAAAAGUAUACACCAUAAAAAAAAAAAACUCAAAAUGUAUGAACAAAGUGUUAGCUUGAUUGUAGCUGGUAAUACAAGUCAAGGCGUCCCUAAAAUAAAGCUGCCAUUGACUCAGCAUUACGUGGCCAAUACUUAUAUAGGUUAUCUCAAUCCUACCUAUUUGCAUUUCCACACAUGCAUGACGAAAUAUAUAUCUACUCAUCAUAUUCAACAUGUAAUUCACGUACUUUUAACUUUUGCUUUAAUUUUCCUUUUAAAACGGGAACUAGAAUAAAACAUGGGAGGGAAUGGAUUUUCCAUCCCAAAAAUGGACAGGCCUACGUUUGAGUAUAGCAAAAGAUGGUUUACUUAAGCCGGUCUCGUUUAUUACGGUUUUAGAAGAUACGAUGGUUUACGGGUUAUCGUAGGGAUCGUCUUAUUAUAACGUACACUGGGCUCUAAAUGGGCCCUGACUGAAAAGUGUUUUUUUCGGCUGGAGAAACUUUCGUUGAAACUUGAAUGCUCCGUAGACAAUAAUCUCCAGGCCGUUGAAGAUUUCCUAAUUCCUGUCGAUCUAAAUUCUGCGUUUCUCUGAGUUUUGCAAUCUAAUUACGUUUCCUCGUGAAGAAAAAUCGAUGAAGAAGCUAGCGAGAACAUGGCGGAGAACUCGUCGCGGCGACGAAGAUGAUAAGUUCGUCCUUCCUACUUCAGACGACAUCGAUUCUCGGCCGAUUGAUACGCAAGGUUUUUUUCUGUCGUCCUGUGAAUUGAUAGGCAGAUUCGUAAAGCAAGUUCGUAACACUUUCUAGCUACAUUCGCUGUUAUACAGAGCAAGAGGAGUACGUUCGGUCACUCGAGGAAGCUCACGCUCAGCAAAGUCGGCAAUGGAGGGUAUGAUCGAAGAACAGUAUCCAAAUAUGAGAGUUCUGUUUCUAAUUAAGAAGUCUAUAUUCCUAUUUUUGUGUAGAGCGUGUUCGCGGUUCUUCUGUUAUGCUAUGGAGCUUUCCUCUUCUACUCCAUUUUUCAGCAGUUCAUGUCACCAUGGGAACUGGUAUGAUAAUCUCUCCCUAAAUGUGUCCUUGCUCGUCUUUGUAGCACUUCGAUUUUGAUCGAUUAGUUUUCUUUCUUAAGAUAGAUAUGAAGCCUCUUGUUCAUAUCAAAUUGAGUCCAUAGUUGAUGUUCCGAUCAGAUCCCUUGUCUUCAUUUGAAGUGAGAUCUUUGAUUUCAAUAGACGAACUUGAAAUUAAAACGUAAGAACUUAAUCUGACUAUGGACAGCUAAUAUUUUACUGAAGUGAUUUCACUUAUUACCUUUGUAUGAUCCCGCCAGUGUAUAGAGUUAUGUGCACUUAUUUUGCUUUAGACGUACAUAUACAAAUGUCUCUUUGAUUUAAGGUAUGUAUAUUGUACAGUCUGUAUUUUUAUGAGUUCUUAGGUGAUGCCUUUUUUUUCCGAGCAGCGUUAUCAUGCCUACUUCAUGGAAGAUCUCAACUCAUGGAUGGUCAUUUCAGCUGGUUUGUCUUUCAUCUUUGUGUUUUUACUUUGUAGUCACAGUCUAUAACAUCUGUCCUGUCAUUCAAUAUGGUGGUACAUCCAAUACUGAGCUUGUGUGGAAGUUUCUGUGUAAUCUCUUGUGUCAAUAUGGGAAAGAAACAGAUAUGUUAGAUGCAUGUUACUCAAAUGCACACUUUCAUAUGGUCAAUUUCUGGCUGUAAUUCCUGAGUAUCACUUUCAUAAGAGAUGAAGUAAGGAAUAGUGUAGAAUGAGAACUAGUGAUUGCUUUUUCAGUGUUUUGGACCUUAGGUAAGUAAACUGCUUCCCUCCUAGUAUAGUUACUAGAACCAAUUUAUGGCCAUACUGAAACCUCAUUUCUAUGAGAAGACUUUGAUGUGCUUGGUUUCCUAUUCAUUUUUUUCUAAGUUUUCACAUGUUAUUUGAUUCUUAUAGCAAUAAGAAAACUUUUAUGACCGUAUUUGUGUAUCAGAGUGGAUCGCUAUCAUGGCUUGCUGCCUCUCAAUCGUCGGGCUACUAAAUAAGAAGAAUGAUCAUAGACGGUGGUUCUGGUACUCAUGUGUUCCUGGAUCUGCGUUGACCAUCUUUUGGCUAUAUUACUUGCUGAGGUACAGUUGAGAGUAUAUAUUUCAUCACUUCCGAUACCAUAUUACAUCUUCGACGGAAAAAAAAAAGAUACCAUUUUACAUUUGAUAGACCUUCAGAAGUACUACUACUAUUAGAGUGAAGAGAAUAUAAGAGUGCACUUAAUCUUAAUAUAGAGCUCCAGAGAUGCUGGUUCAUGGAUUAUAAUGCAGAUUUUAGUACCAGUAAUCCUUGUGCUAAUAAUCCGUGCUCUGUAGAUUUGUGCUAAUAAUCUGUCUCACACGUGUUUUAGGCUUCCGAAGUUCCGGUGGGAUGCUAUAUGGAUGCCAUUUGGGCCGCUUUGGUAUGUGCAUCUAUCUGGUACAUAUAAUUAUAUAUAUCCUGUGUGUGUUAACACUAAUGUUUAUAUAAACUUUACUGUAUUUUAAAAUUGAAGCUUAGCUGGAACUUGUCUAUAUGUGGACCAUCUACUGGAGGAGUCUUCUGAAGAAGUGAAAAAACUAAGGAACUAUAUGUAUGCAUAUAAAGCAAGGUAGAGAUAUAAAGACAUCCCAAUACUCUUCAGAGUAUAUUUGUAAUAGCAAGAGUGCAAGUUUUGACUCUACCAUAACUAAAGAACCAUUCAUCUUUUGCUAAACACUCAGGUUCUAUAUUGUGUAAAUACCCAUGAUCGAGUCAAAAGUCAAAACUAGAUUCAAGGUUAUAAAGGCAAAUCAUGAGGAUAUUGCAGUUUACGCAGGUAAAAAAUGCGAUUAGUUCCCUUUGUGUACAAAAUUAUUGAUUCAUCAUACAAUUCACUUAAAAUUUAGUACAUAAAUAAACUCAUAGCUGCAGAUACGAUCAUGAAUAAGCUAAGUUGUCGUAUUGAUCGACUCCAUCACAAGACACACAGAUUCUGUCUUGCUCGCAAUCCAUGGAGUGAAAAAAUUUCAAGAAGAUUAAUCUCUCUAAUAACUGCAUCCACUGAUUCAAAGUCACUACAUAGCAAAAAAUCAAAACUAAAAAAAAUCUGGUAAGAGGUUACAAGUUUGACUAAUCCUCUUCUUCGAUGACUUUAGUGCCAAGGCCACCAAGUCCUUCAGCAGGGAUUUCAGCAACAGUGACAAGGGAGAAGAACUCUUCCUUAGCGUCUUCGUCAUCGUUUCUCUUACGAGCAAUUCGGACUCUGAUCCUCCUAGGUGGACCUCUGAUACCUCUGCUCCAAAUCUGCUUGUUCAGCUUCACAUCCACUCUCACAUCCUUUGUCCCCAUCGCCUUCUCUGCAAACUUCCUUAUCUCCUUUAUCGCCUUUGGAGCCUUCUUCUUAAAGGUACUGUUUUACACACAAAUUCCAACUUUUUAACAUCAAGCUUUCAAAAAGGUCACAUUCAUAGCUUGAGUGCACAACUCGAAUUACAACAUUGGCUUAGAGCUUGAUAGUGAGAUUUCUACUUAAUAACACGCAAUUUCCAACUGCUAACGAAUUUGACGAAACCAUCAAACAGCUAAAAUUUUGAACUACCUGAAGGGCAAAUCGAAGCAAAAUUGUGUUUAUUUGGGAACUUACCAGCUAUGAAGGCGUCUGUGAAGGUUGAUGGUGUACUCUCUGGUCACCACCUCCUCUUUCCUUCCCUUCGUCUUCUCCGACAUUGUAGCUCCCUGUUUCUCUGUUCAUCCAAAAUCAAAUUGGUUACAAUACGAUAGAUUCUCUAUCUGUUCUUUAAGCCGAUCAGCUUAUUGUUUGCUCAGUGCGUCAUUUGAUUGCCCAAUAAAAUGAAGGAAUAUGAAGAAUACUAAGACUGAAUAGAGAGAGAGAGAGAGAGGGGGGAGAGAGUACCUUCGUUACUCCAGGAACGCCGAAAGACAGACGGCGGAUGCGGAGGAGGAGUGGCUUAUAUGCGGCGCUUCGUAGGAAGAAGAACUAACCCUAGUCGAUUCAAUGGGCUUUCUAAUUUUCUAUGUGUAUCUCUUUAUGGCCCAAUUCAGUCAGAGUUUCUGAGCUCACCUUUUUCAUUUACAUAAGUAACAUUCACGGCUUAACGAUUUUUAAUUUAGAAAAGUAACAUUCACGGCUUAAGCAAUGUGGGCGUUUGGUCUAGUGGUAUGAUUCUCGCUUUGGGUGCGAGAGGUCCCGAGUUCGAUUAUCGGAACGCCCCAUUUUUAAUUUUUUGAACGCAACUUUCAGAAUUCGAGUUUUGCCAAAAUCCCCUAAAGCUAGCUAUCACGACCCACUCAUUAAACGAGUUGAGUGUUGCUUCGUAACUUUUUAAAAUCUACAAAUUUGCAGAAAUUUCCAAACUUAAUAAGAGAUCAAGAGAGAACAUACAACGAGUUUAGUGUGUUUCUUGGUUUGUUCCUCUUUAUUGAAUAUAUUAGUCUCCUCUCAUUCACAGAAGAUCAAGAACAAUGAACAACAACGCUUUGGCAACACAUCAUAGCUCAAUAUAAUCUCCUGCAAAUAGUGAUCCCAUCGCCAAGCGCAGCUUGCGAGAUCUGCACACGCUGAUCAGCCGAGAGUUUCUGGUUCAGCUCGAGGGUUGCUUUCUUGCCUUCUUUCCUCCACUCGGGAAUGGAAGAGUGCUGUUCAGCAACCAAUCCUCCCCAGAGAGUGUUGUCAUACACUAUAAUCCCACCAACCUUGAUGAGUCUCAUAAGCCUCUCAUGGUAGUUCCAAUGAUUCACCUUGUCUGCAUCCACAAAUGCAAAAUCGAAUCCACCUUCGUUCGCUUUCUGCAUCAGAAACAUCAAUACACAAAGACCAUCUCAGGAUAAAUAUCGAUUGUUUCUACCGCUAAAGUUGAUCCUCUUGGUGAAAAAGAAACUAGAAAUGAUCAAAUGUGGUUUCGACGAAGUGGGUAACAAUAAAGGUACACACUUUGAGCAAUAUAUAGACGCUGUGAAAGUGGCAAAUAAAGAAGUAUGAAGCUAUACAUCGUUUAAAAGCUCGUCAAGGACUGGAAGAGCUUUAGACUCUCUGAAAUCGAUUUUGUGUUCAACACCAGCUUUCUUUAUAACAGGCAAUCCUAUUUCAUACGAUUCUCUGUUCACAUCAAUGGCGAUAACCUGCAGAUCUCGUGUACUAAAUCAGUAGCAGAAACGAUACAGAAGCAGAACAAUGGAAAAGCUUCAGUCUUUUUCUUGGUCAUAUGUACACAUACCUUGCCAUCUUCUGGUAAUGCAAGCGCAGUGAGGAGAAGAGAGUAUCCAGUGAAAACCCCAACUUCGAUCGUCUUCCUUGCAUUUACCAGAUUCAACAGCAUCCCCAUCAACUGGCCAGCGUCAGGUGCAGUAGCCAUCAAAGCUCGAGGGUGGUUAUGAGUAAUGUUCCUAAGCUCCUUGAGAGCCUCCGGCUCGCGUGGGUACACACUGGUCUCCAAUAUAUACUGCAACAUUUUACAAAGAAAGGGUAUCAGAGAAAUGGAGAGUCUAAAAGAAGAAAUCGGAAAUGUGAGAAAACCGUAGAGAAAGUGGAGCACACUUUAUAGAGCUCUUCACUCUGCAGCAGUCCCUUGGAAAAAUCUGAUGCCUUGGCUUCAUCCUUCGCCAUUGUAAUCACAGUCGUCUUCCCCAAUCACAGACACUCAAGUAGCUGGCCAAGGAAUAGGGCAUAAGUUAUAAUGACCAUGACAUAAAUCAAGACAUUAUGUAAAGGAUAAGGGUUCUUUUGAUUUUGGGCUAGUGAAAUUUACAAUCUUUCUUCUGAAAUUGACGAUCUUUUUUAGUUUUCAAGGAAAAUCUUGUAAAAUGAAAUAGAGGUACAGCAUAUGAGUCUGUUCAUAAUAUAUAAGUAAUAUAACAUCGGUAAAUAGCAAAAUUGAUCACAGAUUAUAGCCGGACAAUCCUAAACACAGGUUCGAUACGAGGUUUUCCUAUCAGAAACAGGUUUCUAAAGUCUGAACCCUUAGAUCAGCCCAGCCCUUCAAAGUUGGACGUCAACAUUCUCUACCGUUGAUCAAAGCACACUUAAUUUUUUUUUAAAAAAAAAAGCACACUUAGUUACUUCGUAGACUAUCAAAUGUUAUGGUCAAACACUCAGACAGAAAGGGACAACUACAACGACUCACGAUCUAAAACUGUUUACGCGAUUGACGAAAACUUACUACAGAGAGAAUAAGAUUUAUAAUGAAGAACGAUCGGGAGAGAGGGAGAGUACUCGAGGGCUGAAAGUCUCAGUUUCCGAUCUUCUACUACAAUUCUGACUGAUGCUUCUACACUGAUCAGGUUUGACUUUAUGCGAAAUUGCGAAAGACAAUGACAGAGAAAACGUUUUAAAAAACACCUAACAAUUGUCAAAAUGGGAUUUUCUUCCCUUUUUUAUAAAAAAGAAACUACAAUGAAAGGCAUGCAAAAUGGCAUUUUUUCACCCUUCUCGGGUAAGGAAUGAGACAUCUUACCCACCCUUCUCUGGUAAGGAAUGAGAACGGUCCAAACCUCAUUUGAAAUAAAUAACGAUGGUGAUACACCACCAGAAAGAUGUUUCAAAGAACUAUGCUUUUUUUCAAUUUAAAGAAAAAGGUGCCAUGCUUGUGAAAAUGGGUCAUUCACACAAUGAACCUAAAAAGGCAAACCAAAACCAAACAUGUUGUCGACUGAUAUUAUUAGAGCUAGCAUGAGCGAUGAUGCCUCAGCUUCUCAAAACUGUGUGUAUUAAUUAUCCAGAGACAGAAAAGAAAAUAACUUUUUGCUUCUAAUGUCAGCCGUGAGAUCGAUAAUAAUCCGCCAGUUUAUGAUAUAAAAAGCUUUUCAGAGUUCAAUAGUUUAAAGGCAUCUUUUCUUGCUUAUGGGGUUGCUUUGGUUUCUUCAAGGGUAGUAGCCGGUGAAAGUGAAGCCUCUUCCAACAAUCUCACCUGCACAGUACCAAGCAAAGCACUCAAGACCAAAAAGUGCUGCAAUUCCAGCAUCUUCAACCUUCAAAUCAGCCCGAUUCUUCCACAAGCCCUUCACGUGAUCAACUUCCUUCCAGAACGACUCAGAACGUCCAGGAAUGCUGCCAAUCCACAUAAACAAGUCAGCCACAGGAACAAAUAACAAAUAAGAAGUACACUUCUUAAAUAACAUAUCUACAAACACUGAAAAAUAACAACUAAACCUACACCAAAACCUCUCUAUAAGCAUUGAAAUGUUGGCAUCUAGCUCAGAUGCAGCAAAGAAGAGACCGUAAUUAGGCAUGUGGUGAAUUCAUAGCUCAGAACGAUCAAACCUAGAAUGUAGAGUUCAAGUAUUCUUUCAUUACGGAGCGAACCAUCCCUAAACCUAAUAGAUAACGAGCCAAGGCUAUCUGCAUCAUUUAAGAUCCCUACCAAACCAACCAUGGAAUAGAAACAGAAACCAAGCCGCUAUUUACACUUUAGACAAUAAUAACAACAGGCAAAAACAGAGAAGCUUUAAUCUUUACUACAAGAAGAAAGCUAUCAAACAGCAGUGCUUAGACACAAUAUUGUAACAAAGUCUACCCUGCAAGAAAUCCUGCUACCACGCAAUUUCUUAUCUAACAAACACAUCGUCCAGGAUCACAUAAGAGAGAUAAAGGAAAGAUUAAACCAACCUAGCAAGACGAGUGUAAAGAAGCUGCUUAGACAACUCAUUGCAUUUCUCUACAGUGGCUGGCUCCUGGAUAUACUGCUUGUUGUUCUCCAUCAACUGUUUGUAGUAAGUUGUGCCGUGCUUGGACACAAACUUGGAUGCUUCACAGGCCUUGGAUUUCAGCUGUAGCAACUUGGAUGCCAUCUCUCAAACCUCUUUUCUAAGCCACAAGACAAAUUGGAUUCACAAAUUAAAAUAGGAGCUAGUGGAUGCAGCCACUAUGGGACAUGAUAUAGGAUCUAUCUAAGGGAUAACAAGGUACUAAAAGUAAAUUCCAAUUCCAAUAUCAAAAGAAUUAAGCUUCAAAAAUUAUAACAGACACGACAAAACAAAAGCAUUUGUACGUGACGAAUUCAGAAAGAUCAAAAUAGCUCGACCUAAAAUAAAUGUCGACCAAAACAAACCCUUAUCAUCGAUCAAUUCCAAAUAUUGAACAAUCACAUUGUCGCUAUUAAGCACACACUCAAUCAAAACGCGCAUCAAAGUAAGCGACCCGAAACCACAGAUCUAUCAGUCAAAUUCCCAAAAGGGAAAAAGUGGAAAAGAAGAGAUGAAACUUCAAAACAAAUAGAAAAAAGGUAUUGAAGGUCUCAAACCUUGCUGAUUUCGCCGGCGGAGGAGAUUGAACUGGUGUGUCACCGUUACCGGAGAACGAGAGCGCCUCUAGACUUGGGAGUUUUUGGGGUUUUGUUACCACUUCUUCCUGAGGUUUCUCCGAUAAUAACAGGAUGCAGAAGAAACAAAAAAAAAACAAACAAGGCGGGCCUUAUAUGGGCCUUCAGUAAUGUCUUAAUAGCCCAAUAUAGCAAAUAACUUUAUUUAUUUAUUCUAUGUGUAUAUGUUAGAAUUUUUUUUUUUGACAUACAACUUUUAAUGGGACAUCAUUUUGAGAUUACAAGGUGAUGAACAAGUUGAAAACGCUUCUAGCGAGCAAUUUUUCUUUAAAAAAAAUCCCAUGUUUUAUUAAUAUCAUCUUUAUCCACUUCAAAAUGAGAGGUAAAAGGUUUGUUAUUUUUUUCUUACACCAAAUAUAUAUGAAAAAAGCAAUGACACUAAUAUCGGGUUUCAAUUGAUGUGAGGUCUCAAAACACUUACAAUAUUCACCAUUAUUAGCCUACACAAUUUGUGACUAUUAAGUUUUAAUUUAUGUGUAUUUCAAAAAGUAUUUUCUAAAUUUGUAUCUCUUAUCACAUAAUAUUUUAUCCGCAUUAUUUACUAAUCCGCAAAAAUCCAUAAUAUUUAUUGUAUCAAUAUGUAUCAUUAUCUUGAUGUAGAAACAAUAAUGAUUUAUUUUGAUCAACCAAAAGACCAAGAAAACUUCCUCUACUUUCUCUUUUUAAAUCGUUAAAAAUUUUUUUAUCUUUUUAACAAAAUAGGACAACUUUUGUCAUUCCAAUUGCAUUCCAAAACUUACCAAUCAGACAUCAUCCGCAAUUUCAAUAAAUUUAAGAAAAACAAAAUACUGUGUACAAACUACUGAGCGAGCGAGGAACACAUGCAGUGUCCCACCAAAUUUUUUUUGAAACAAAAGGAUAGAAGAGAAUCAAAAACAAUGUAGCGUUCUUAUUAUUGAUUAUAAAAAUAAAAAUAAAAGACGUACAAAUGCACGGAGAUGGUAGAGGGUGUCAUUGACACAUCAGUCUAAUUAACAAACACAAGACCAAUUACACAAUCUCAAAAAACAUUAUGAAAAAAAACUUAAAGCGGUUGCUACGUAUAAUUUUGAUAAAACUAUAUAUAUAGCUAAACCUUUCUGAAGAAAAAAAAGUGAUUUAAGAAGGCCUCCACAUUGCAAGUUUGGUUAUGCGGCGCAGGGGGCAAGGUUCGUAAGACCAUCACCACCAGUUUCCUUGGAAGCUAAGGCUCCAAUGAUCGGGUUGGGGUUUAACUUUGAUUCAGUCUCGACAAAGUUCUUGUAGUCCAAACUCGAAUCUUCGUAAAUCUCCCACCAUUUCUUCACCAACAUUUUUACGUCUUCUCGAUCCAUAUGUUCAUCAGCUUCAUUGUAUUUCCAAGGCUUAGAACCCUAUAAAAUUUAUUGAAAGUACAAAAAAUUAGUAAUAAGAAUAUAUACGACAUACUGUAUAUGGCCACAACAAAAAAAAAAAUUUAAAAGAAAUAAACAAAAUAAAACGUACAUUAGCACAGUAAUGAACAACGCUGAUCUGAUCAAGAUCAAAUCUUUCAGGAUGACGCCAAAGCAUGGCUAUUAUGAGAUUGGCUUGUAAAUGUCUCUAAAGUACACAUUAAGAAAAUCCUACCAAAAGUAAACAAUAAUAUUAGAAUUACAAAUUAAAGAAAACUCAAAUCAUAUAAUUAAAAAAAAAAAGACCUGCUCGGCGAAACAGGUCGGCGUAGUGACUUGAACAACACGAAUGAGAUCCUCGUAAGUGGCAAGAUUUGGUUCAAAAACCAACAUACCAGCGUUGAAAUACAACGGUGGAGGAGAACCAUGGGUUUCCACUGGCCACGUCACCUUUUCCGGCGACUGUUGACAAUAACCGAUCUUGUACUGAGGAGUUGUACACCAUGAUAUCUCGCAGAAGCAAUCUAUGACCGCGUACAGGCUCCGCCCAAGUGGAUAGGGCAGAGAGGCGAUGGCCCAUGGGUCUAAUCUCAUUUUCAAAAUUUUUUUUUAUAAAAAAAACUAUUUUAAAAAAAAAUUAAUAUAAAUUCAGCCCAAAAAAUACAAUAUUUAGUACAAUUUAAGGUUUUUACGAAAAAAAAUUUAUGCAAAGGCCCAAACAGUUUAAGUUUUAUAUAAAUUAGACCUAAAUUAUUAAUUUUUUUGUAUAUAAAUUAAUUAAGGGGCCCAAAAUUUUUUUUUUGCCCUAGGGGUUAAAAACUGGACCGGGGCUGACCGCGUACAAGUAGCCACAAGGAGCAUCGAAAAGAUGAUCGAUGUUACUAAACACUUGUAUGUCUCCAUCUAGAUAUAUCACCUUCUCAUACUCCACGAACUGCGUCCAAAUUUGUGAAAUGUAAUCAGUUGUCAAAUCUACAUGCAUGGGCCGGCUAUGACGUAUGCGAUAUAUACAUUAUCUUUAAUUAUUAUAUAGUAACUUUCGACAUACAUAAUAGUUCAUUUACGUCAUCAUGUAAGUAAGAUUUGUACCUCCCAAAUACGAAGCUAAGAGUAGUUGAGAACGAAAUAGGCCAUGGAAUAACCGGCUGGGUUUUCCGGCGGAUGAACCGGUUCGAUCUCACGGAUGAUGCAUCCUUGAGCCACAAGGAUCUGACGAUGUUCCUCUGGCACGUCUGGGAGAAUCGCCACCACAAGAGGAUAAGCCGAUUUUACCUUACGAAGUCCUUUGGCUAGACCAACCACACCCAUCCAAUAGUCUUUAUUUCCGGCGAGGAAAGUGACGUAAGCCAUUUUCCCACUGUUAGGGCUCACUACCACAUCAGCUUCUGGACGGUCAUUGUCAUUUGGGCCAUCUCAAACGAUUUGAAAAGAUUAGAAGAUUUGAAAGAUAUGAACUUUUUUGAACUUGUUAUUUUGAGGUAUAAGUGAAUGGAAGAUAAAAGAAAUUAUCUCAUUAUAUAAGGGGGCGAGAGAGAAGAGUAAUUAAAUGAGAUGGAUAAUUAAUUAUAGAGGAUUUCAUUGUUUAGAAACGUUCCUUGUUGACAAAGAUUUAAAUCGGAGAGGAUUAAGAAAAUUGACUCUAAAAUUGUAAUAUAUAUGGAAGUGGGAUUGAUUCUGCCUAUAUAUUUGCGCAUUAAUUUAGAUAAAAUCGGUUUACUGAAUCUUUGAUGUAUAUAGUAUGUUUCCAUGUCCAUUUUUAUUACAAAUUUACAAUACACCAACUUUUGUUGAUUAACGUUUUUGAAGAGGAUAAAUCGGAGGAUUCUGGAGUGAUUCGGUUCUUAUCUACCAAGGUUUAAAUCCGAGUAGAUAAAGAAAAUUGAUACUCAAAUUGUAAUACAUAUGGAAACUUAGGAGAAGAACUGUUAAUUUAUCCCAAAAAAUAAAUCCAUAUAGAAAUGGGAAUAAUUCAUCAUAUAUACUGAUAUACAUAUGGAUUAGAUCGGUCUAUUUAAUUUUUAUUUUAUUUGAACAUCACUCUUGAGUUUUUUUUAUGAAUAGAAACGUGGGCUUCUAAAGUUGGGCUUAUGUUGAACUGAAAGCAUAUUUUCGGCCUAUAGAGAGAGGAUGAUUAAGUCUUUAACACAAUCAAGCCAGAGAUAAAAACCGAAUCAGUCAAGAAAAAUGCCAAAACCCCUCAAGAAGUGCUACAAAGUCUUACAAGAUCACUUUUCUACAUACUGUUUCGAGCUCUUCUUGUACUUAGAUUAGCUCGUCUUCAACACAUUUGUUUAUUCUCGGUGUACUCUCCCCAAUCUGUCUUCCUCAUGUCCUAAACGAUCAGCUUCUGUUUCUCUUUCUUUUUUUUACUUUCACAAGAACCGCAUCAACCGCUGAAUCGCUUUAUUUCGAAUUCUUAACUCGCAAAGUCUUUAACCUCGGUUAUGUGGAAAUGGCCGUUGAGAACAUAUAUGCAUCAUCAAACGAAUUAAUGCUCACGUACAAUUGCAAUUUACAGGUCACAAAAGUUCAGUCGAGUUAGAAUUUAACUAUUGAGAGAGAUUCUUGUCCUACAAAAUCUCUCUUUUUAGUGCCAAACAGCUGAUAAGAUCUUAGAUUUUAACAAUAAAACAGAAAUUCAAGCAAAAAGCAAGCUUUGUUUACCGAUCGCAAUGGUUCAAUCACAUUAGAUAUGAUUUUAACUUGACAAAGGUUUAGUCCUCUACAAGGCAGCUCCCUUAGUCAAAUAUACAUUAUUAGUCAUUGGAUCGCAUUUUUUGCUUAAUGAUUAGCUGCGUAUCAUGUACUUGAACAAACCCCAAAACUAUAAUCUGACUAGAUUGUCAUAAAAUAAUACUCUGGACCACACUGGCAUGUGAUGUCACAUUUUAUCAUUUAUAAAAAACAUUUAUCAUUCUUUCCUCCCAUUCAAAUCACAUAAAGAGGAAAACGCAUGCAUAAUACAGAUACCAAAAUAGUUUGAAUUAACAAAUAAUACAAUACAUCUUUAUACACUUCAAUCACGUACACUUGCAGCUUUAUAGUUAGGGUUGUUUGUGAUAUGACGACACUACUAGUUAAUUAGUACAGACUAGUAGACAUGUUUCCAUUCGGAAUUUUUAUCUAUAUAUAUCAUUUGAAUUAGAUGAAAAUUUACCUAAUUAAACCUUUACAAAUUGCCAUAAUAUAAGGGUUAUAAUCCAAUAAAAUCUUUGCUGUUAGAAAAAAAUUUGGAUGAUGUCAACUUAUCAAGUAUCGAAGUAGCAGUUCAAACAAACAAAAAAUGAAAGAAGGGCUGCCAAUCUAAAUCUGGUAACUAAAACGGAUGAUACAAACACUUUCAAUCAACUUUUAAGUUUGAACGUAACCACAUUUGGGUCCAUAUGUGUAUACAUAAAAGUACGCGUGUAAUGUGUAUUCCUUUUUGCAUUAAAGAUUUAUAUAGGUUUCGGGUUGUUGUGAACUUGUGAUUAAAGAUAGAUAAGUCCUUGAAUACAAUUGCGAAGCAGUUCGUAAUUAUACGACACGAAGACGAGACCAACGUAGCCAAAUUAAUGACGACGUUGAUGAUUAGUUCACACGUGGGAUUUGGCCAAUGAUUUUAGGCGCCAGCCUGUAAGCAUGAUCCGCGUGUGAGGUGGGGACUGAUCUGACGGCUAAGAUUCUCCCAGCUGUUCAGUUGACCCCCCAAAAAGUAUCUUUGAGUUGGAAAAUCCUAACGACCGCGAUCACACGUGUGUGUGUAUGCAAGUUCUUAUUCUUUAAUCUUUACAUUUUGAUUUUGAAAAGUAAGAUCGGUUUUUUGAAAUGUAUAUAAUCAUAAUACAUUUAGUUAUAUCAAACUUUUUGGUUUUCUAAUUCUAGUUAAGAGUCCCUAUAAAGAGACCAAACGAGAAAUGACCACUUAAUUCUUAAAAGAGGUCAGGUGUAAGACUUUCUUGUAUUUCUGGUCAUCGUCGUGUGUUAGAUUAGAUUCAGCAUUAGUGUAUGGAAAACCAGAUAUCUCAUACGUCUAUCACUGCACUUGUCAGAAAAGUAAAAAAUACACAUAAUCUUUACGUAGUAAGACUUUAAAGUCACAUGAACAUAGUUAAAGUCAAAAGUCUUUACGUAGUAAGACUUUAAAAGCGUGUAAACAAGAGGAACCAAAAUUCGUUAUGCGUUUAUCAAACAAUUUGAGGACGCCGUCUGCGCCUAGCACGUGGCCUGUUUUGAAAUGUUUCAUAAAAUAUCUAAGAAUAACCUGAUAAUUAUUCGUACAGUCGGCUAACUAAUUGGUCACAUAUCUAUCUAACCAGAAAACCGAGUAAUUAAUGAGAUUAAUGACCAAUUCACUUUGAAUACACAUGAUCAAGUAGUAUAAAAUUUUGCAAGAAGGAAAGGUAGUAAUGAACCCCGAAAAUCCGAAUUUAAGAAUUGUAUUUAAUUAAAGACAUGCGCAUGUAUAAAAGUCAAAAGUAUUAAAGUAGAAAGACUUGAAACAUGCAGAUAGAAGAGACGAAGUGUCGAAUCGGUGAUUAGUUUAAAAAGGAUUUUGCAUGCAAAGUCCACUAAUCAUAUUUUCUUAAUACUUCUUUGACGCUUUCGAACCCCAUUCUAAUGAACUUAAUUAAUGGGGUUUCCUUUUGGACGGAGUAGUCAAAUCAAAUAAUUCUCUUAGUUAGCUGUAAGUGGAAGCAUUAUUUACGUCUAUAGUACUAUAAUAUAUAGUUUUUUUUUAAUAUAUAAAAGGCAUUCGAUAUAUAAUAUAUAGAUAGUUCUAUAAGUCAAAAUAUAAACACAAUAGUUUGUUAAUAGUGCAUGAGAUAACGAAAGUUUUUUUUUUUUGAGAGAUAACGAAAGUUAUAUAUCCAUAUAGUACAAUACAAAAAGCUAUAUAAUACAAUAUAAGUCAAUCGUAUAGCUGACAAACAUUUCAAAGUCUAAUUGUAAAUUUAUAUGUCCCGAUUUCGAUUUCACUUAUGUAUAUAUACAGUACUGUACAUAUAUAUAUGUAUAUGUAUAUAUUAUGGAAUUAUUCAGUCCUAAUUUCACUCUAGUUUAGUUUGGCGUUACGACGUACAUAUAUACUGUAACUAAUUUGAUUGUUUUACUUAUAGGUGCAUGAUGUAAAAAAUGCUUCGCCGGAACGCAAAAAUAAAAGAGAAAAAAAUGUCUCUAUUUCCGUUGCAUGCAACCUGUAGACUAUAGCUACCAUUCCAUAUUUCCAUGUCUUUAAAUGUAUAUAUAGGUAUAGAAAAACUCGAUCGUUCAAAUAUAAAAUACUUAUAACAACAAUUUGCAUUAUUCGUAUUACUUUAAUAAAGACCAUUGUCUUUGCUUUGAAUAUCUUUGUUUUUAUUCAUCAAGUUGCAUACGACCUCGGCUUCGCCAAGAAAACGAAAUAACUUGUAGAGCACUCUAGCUAGGAAUGAACUAACUGAUUAAAAAAAUGUAUUAGGAAAAACAAUUUACUAGUGGUCCAAUUUUUAACUUUAAAAUCAUUGUAUGUAACAAAAAAAUGGUCCUUUAACAAGUCACAUUACUCAGCUCAGAUAUGCAUUCAUAUUUCAUGCUAAUUAAUUGAUGGCCUAUCUGGAUUAGUUGAGCGAUAUAAUUUUAAUAACAUAAUUAUGCUUUUCGAGCUGAAUCAGCUGAUGAUUUGUUUGUAUUUUAGUUUUUCUUUUUAAGGGUGGUCCAGUGAUAGAUUUGGAGUAGUGAUGAUUUAUUAUAUGUGGCUUUAGGUCUGAAAUUUUUAUUUAUAAAAUUUUCACUACUAAUUUUACUGACUAAUUUUUGGAGUAGCGUUGUGGAAGUUUUGAAGGUUAUUUUGAAUUUGGCAUGAAAAUUUCCCAGUUAUAAAAAAUAAUAAAAUAGUCUGUUGUUAGCCUAGCAUAUAUAUAUGUAUACAUAUCGUUGCAUUAAAACUAGUAAAUCCUUUCGCAGAAAAAAAAAAAAAAGAGUAAUGCAUCGUCAUAUCUACCUCACUUGUUAGCCACAUAAAAAUUAAUUCAUUCUCACCGAAACCGUGUCUUCAUAGAAAUACACAUAUACAAUUAAUAAGAAGAAAAAAUGGAACACCUUGCUUGUUAGAGUUAUACAGUGACCAAGUCAAAAAGACCCGACCACAUAAACAACACUAACCUCUUUAGAAAUUACAUCAACAAUGACAUAACCUCAUUAAAAUAAUUUAAUAUAAUUUAAACCCAUUUGCUGAUGACAUUAAAUAUCAACUUCGAAUAAAUAUAUAAAGUCAACAAAUAGUACAUAUUAAUGGCCUUGAACAAAAUAUGAAAAUUUGUAUCUACUGCCUAUGAUAUAUAUUUGAGGCACAUCAUUAUCUUACCAACAUAAACAGAACUGAAACAAUCUAUUUUUCUUUGACGCAAACAAUUUGUUUUUAAUCAGCUGGACAAAACAUGUUAAAGUUAUUUGAGUUGAAAAAUAGAGAUAUUUGUAAUAUAUUAUUUGAUAAGCGAAGGACUGAUUCAAUUUUCGUUUAUAACAGUAAAUAUUAUAAAUCAACCUUAAUGAGUACGUGAAAUUAACUUGCUUCAUCUAAAGCAAGAAAACAAACAAUAGUAUCUGGAAAAGAGAAAUAAAUCGAAAUCCACUUUCCAUCAAUGGAUUUCAAUUAAUCAUCUUCUCUUUACCAGAAAAAUAAUUUUCCCUUACCCCAUGUAUUAACCACCAAAAACAAAAAAAAUUCCCGGACUUAUAAUUUACUUUUUUUGUCAAUUCAAAACCUCCUUCGUCCGUCCAUGAACUCAUGUAUUCUCUUUAACGCAAUCUCCAAAGUCUUCUCACUCAUAUUAGCGAAACAAACCCUAAACCAUCCAAACUCCGAGCAAUGACACGAAGAUCCUGGCGAAAUAUUCAGCUUCAGUUCCUUCAAGAUCACAUCCCAAAGCUCGAGCUCGCCAUCUUUCGUUUUCUUGUCCAGCAAGAAACCUAAAUUCAUCCAACAGAACAGCCCUGCGUUGCCCUUCAAACACUCUAUCCCUGCCUUCUUAAGCCCUUCCACAAUUGUCUCGUACCGUCUCCUAAGCCUUUCCCGGUUUAUCCUAAUGUACUUCUCCGUAAACUCCUUAUCCGACAACAUAGAAGCCAACAUGUGUUGUGUCUGAGACGAGACAAGCGUAAAACUCGACAUCCUUCUCGCUGUCCGCACAACAUGAUCAUUGUACGAGUAGAUAGUACCUACUCGAAAACCGGGAAGACCAAGAUCCUUGGAGAGGCUGUACACGAUAUGGACACGUUCUCUGACUGUCACAUCAUCGAUGUUCUCUACGAUCUCGGCUACGCUGGUGAACUCGGAGCCGUGGAAGACCGAGCCGGAGUAGAUCUCGUCUGAUACCAAGUGAAUGUUCUUGCGUACGCAGAAGUCAAGGAGAUCUUCAAGAACCUUCUUUUGGACCGUCGCGCCUAAUGGGUUCGAUGGGUUGGUUAUGAGCACUCCUCGGACUCUAAUGUUUGCGUCACGAGCCGUUUGGUAUGCUUCCUCGAGUGCCUCUGUGGUUAUCUGGAAAUGGUUCGAGCUGUCGCAAUGGAUCGGUACAAUUUUCACUCCGGUUCUCCAUCUCAAAUCUCUAUCGAAUCUGUAAUGAAAAAUAAAAUAAACGUUUCGGUAAAUAUAAGAUAUGCUAGAUUAUUAUUUUCUUGUUAAGUGGUGUUAGUUAGUUGCAGCUAUAUUUUUUUUCUCCUUUUAAUAUAAAAUCUCUAUACGAAUGAGCAUAUAUUAUAAUUUAAAUGUGUAAAGUGUGACGUACCCUGGAUAAUACGGUGUGGGAACGAGAAGGGCGUCGUUGGGAUCGGCGAGGAUGAAAGUUAAGAGCUCGUUAGCGGCGGUGGCUCCGGCGGUGAGGACGAUACGGUCAGGAUCGAAACUAGCUAAACCUCCACGAAUCUGUUCCAUGAAGCUAGCCAUGGCUUGUCUGAAAGAUUUGAGACCGUGGUAAUCUUGGAACAGUGCGUUUUCUCUGAAGCCAGGUGCUCCUUUUGAUCCCCACAUCGAACCUUCAGGAUUCUUCUUCUCUAAGUAACUUUCUAAAAGAUCAAAUGAGACCUGUAGAAAAUAUGAUCGAGAGAGGGAUAUUUAAUACAUUAUCGCAAUAAAUAAUUUAUAAAAUUUGAUUAUAUUAAUUAAAAAGGUAUAAUUACCUGAUUCUCGGCGAGACCCAUUUGUAUGACACCGGAAGGGUUAUGUGAUUCGUCGUAAGGAUUCUCGUCGUAAGCUUUCCAGCCGGCAAAGUAAGGUGAGUCUUCACCAUGUGUGUCUGAAACAGCAACUCGAGAAAGCUCGACGACGUUAUUGUUGUUGUUGUUUGAUUUUCUCUCCAUCAUCAAAGGAAGACCCAUUUCUCUUGCAGCUUCGAACUUGACACGUGAGACGUGACAGCUCUGAAACUCAAUCGGAGAGAUGGAGAGAGAGCUAGAGAGAGAGGGAGAGAGAUAAGUGUGUUGGAGUUAAACAUUUGUGUGAAUGAGGGACAAGUAUAUAUAGCAGACGUGACAGAGAGGAAAGUCUUUGACGAAUUUUUAUUUUCCUCCUUUUUCUUUUUAAUAUAGUUUACUUACAGAGAAGAAGUUUGUGUAAAGAAUAAGGAAGAUUCGAUUGUGGAAAAAUACGUUGUCAUUGACUUGCAAUUGGAUGUAUAGAUAAGAGUUUCGGCUAUUUUAUUUUGUUUUUAUUCUGAAAGUUCUCGGUGGUUCGUCUAUUGGAGAUGCCAUUUCUUAAAACGUUAAUUAACAAAUUUUAAACGUAAUGUUGUUUAGAAUUUAUUCCGGUAAAAUUAGUAUAGUUUCCUAUAAAUGAAUGAAGACACUGUUUCUGAAUGUGACUACAGUUUUCGGGAACGUUUCAAAUUUUUUUUUGAUUAGUGCUCUGCACCGAUUUACACCAAAAAGGGACCUAUUCCAUUUAGAUAUUCAAUGUAAUUUUAAAAUUAAUGGGCAACGAUAAUUUUCUUUCAUUUGGAGUAAUAAAGAGUCCUUCGCAUAUACAACAGUGUUACGAUAUAAGAAAAUUAUCGUUUGCUACUACCUAACUUUUUCCAUAUUUGAUUUUUUUUUAUAUAUAAAAUGCUCGCUAAAAAACGGUAUAAGUACUUAAACUUUUUUUUUAGAAUAAUAAAAAGUUAAAAAAUGGAAAUACAAAUUUACGUAACAAAAACUAGUAUAUAAACAAAAGGUCAUCAGUAUUAUAAUUUUAAAUUAUAGUUUAUCGAUAAAACUACAUACAGUACGUCUCUUUUACAUUAUCUGUUUAUAUAUAUAUAUAGAGAGAGAGUAUUAGAUAGCUGAAAUUAGAACCUUAUGAAAUUUAUUGGGGAUUAAUAAUAUAUUAAACUCCACAAAUGAAAGAAAUCGGGAAACAACUAAAUUAAAUGUUCUGAUUCGACGUUGUAAGCAAAAUCAAAGAUCACCUUUUGCCAAAAUCGGUUUCGGACAACUGUUAGCUUGUGUCUUCUUCUUCCUCGUCUAAUUGUCAAUAUUUCUUUUUCUUUCUUUUUCAAAUUUAUUUAUUUAUUUAUUUAUUCAAAACUUUAGUUAUGAGAAAUUGAGAUCUAUAACCCAAAUACGGUUGUUGAAAUUCCGAUUAUACGAGAGGAGUGGGUGGGUGGCUAUCCAUAAAUUUAUAAAGUUUUGCUGUUUUGCUAGUUACCAUGAGAAUAAUUCGCCUUUAAAUAUCACAUUACAGUUUUUUAUUUACGGCAUAUAACAAUUUUUACAAACUAGCAUCACUUUUCCUUUUUUGUCGCCAUUAAAGUAUUUCUUAAUCAGUUAAUAUAAUUAUAUUUGGAUUUAAUGCAUUUUAAAACCUACCUGAAAUCGAACAUAAUUAUUUAAGAACUGGAUUGUUGAGCUAACCGGGGAGAUCGUAAAUUUAAAUUAAUAUUGUUAUUUGAAAGUAAAUAAAAUCGAAGUUAAUUUAUAUUUAAAAAUCAUUUUAUCUUUUUUACUCGUUGUUAAAAUUGUUUUUUUUUUAUAUCCAUAAGUAUUUUAAUGAUAUUAUUUGGUAAGUAUUCUUGAAUUAGAGUUUUGUCGAGGCGCGAGUAGAUGUGCCAUAAGACGGAGUCGGUCGGAUUAGAUAUAUUGUUGGAGAUCAUGUAAAUUAGUUUUGCUGAUCUAAACUAAAACUAUCACAAUUUAUUAGAUUCUUAUAACCUAAGAAGGAAUUUAUGUAGUUUUUCAGGUAGCAGGAUUAAUUUUUUUUUUUGAAAGAUGGUAGCAGGAUUUAUUAAAAAUGAAUUUGUGUAUAUUAGUUUUAAUUUAAUCCUGUGGCACAUAUAUAGUCGGAUAAACGUAUUUAUAACUUAAUUUUUCCCAAGUGGUUAAACGUCAAAGUAUGCUCCCUAAUGGGUGAUAAUAAUAAUUCUCACUAUUAACGACGGUACGGACGGCUAAUCAAAACCUUAAACUUGUUUAACUAGCUUUUAGUCUCGCACUUAUGAACCUAACAACACACAUGCAAACAUUAUAAUUCUAUACAUAUACACAAUUAAAAUUUACACAUGAAGACAAUUAUUAUUCAAAAAAUAAUAAUUAUCAUUGAUACUAGUCAUGUGACUCAUGUCUAUAAGUUAUAAAACUAAUUUAUGCAAUAUAACUUUCUACACAAUACAAGAUUUUAUACAUUCAUGGUUUCUCCAUUUUAAUAGUUGCCUUUUUGAUGUUUCAACGUAUUGGCGUGGACCGCGUGGUAUAUUUUUUCUCAAAAUACCAUGCUACUAUUUUACUUAUACAAUAUAUAUAUAUAUAUAUAUAGCUUUAGUGAUUUUUUUUUUUCAAAAAAAAAAAGGGGAAACGCUAGCAACGGCGUAUAAUGCUGUAUCAUAUAUAUGUAAGCGAAAAGAUCAGAAGGAUAUUUAGGAGAUCUAAGAGUGGUUAAAAGUCGAACUACGUGACACAUAUAUUGUACAUACAAUCAUAACAUAAGAUUAUGAUUCCAAAUUUUGAACAAUAUAUGUUCAUCAAGAAUAUAGGUUCUUGGAGGAUCUUAGGUGACCCCACAUAUAUCACAAUUAAAGAGUUAUUAAAUUAAAAUGUUUUUAUUAGGUACUCAACUCUAUUGAUUUUUUUUUUGUCGAAAAUUAAUCAAAGAUUAAAAUUAGCACGAGUUUCUCAAAUCCAUAUAGUUUAUAGAGUGAUGUCGAUUCCACUUUGUGCUGGUUGGUUACAAUUUCUAGAGCUGGUUACUAAUUAGGAGAUAUUUUUGGUUUUCCAAACUAAAAGCUAACUCAGUAUUUGCUAACUCAUUUUGCUUUCCUGAUUUUUAAUUUUUUUUUCAAGGAACCAAUUGUAAAUAGGUCAAAAUCUUGUAACACCUAGUCUUCAUUUUAAUGAUAUUUACAUUUUAGCCAAAAAUACCCAGUGUUUUCUCAAAACAAGCUAAAUACACUAAUCAACCCGAAAAAUGAAAUUACAAAUUUUUAAGAUUUAAUUAUAGGGGUUUUCUUUAAAUCAGAGUUAUGGUUGGGUAUAUGUGUUACAUUAUAAUCGUUAAUAAUAGAUAAGAGUAAAGGUAUGAUUUAUAAUUUGUAUGGUUGCUAUUUUGCCCGCACACCAAGAUUAAGAUUUUGUGUAAAGAUAUUGCUGUUUGUUUGGACUUAGAACAGCUGACUAGAGGGUAUUAACCGGCAUAACAAUGUGAUGAAUUAAAUUAAUUUAGGUAGAAGAUAACGAAAAGAAAGUAAACUUACAAAUGCAUUUCUAUAGGGGGGGGGGGAUAUAUACCCAGUUAUAUACACGUGCUCUUACAUAUGGGUGUAUAUUUGCAUUUACGUAAUACUAAUAAUUUGCGCAUGUGAUCGAACCCACCAGCGUAAAAUUCGGAAAUUAAACUAUAGACUGAAUCUCAAUACAUGACCAACUCAAAAACAAAAAGGCAAUGCUGAUAGUCAUAAAAAAAGAAGAUAAUGCUGAUUUUAUAUAUGUUCUUAUAUAUAAUAAGAACAAAGACGUAAGUAGUCUUAUGAUAUCUGCUCUGUAAAACUUUUUAAUCAAAGAAAAGUAAAAUGCUUCAUGAGAAAAAGAAAAGAAGUCUGGUGGCAUCCUUUGUGCCUUUCAGAAAAGGAUGCGUUCUAAAGGACUGUUAUAUUUUGUUAGUUUCCGAAAACACAUACAUGUUAGAUGCAAAAAUUUGGGAAAUAAUGACAUAUGGUUGAUUUCUUCUAGUUUAAUGUCAUAGAUUCGCUUCAAAUCAUGCUGGAUUAUGUCUUCCACAAAAGUGACAAACCAAUGGAUUGUUUACAUAUCGUGUGUAAUUUAUAGGAACCUAGAAUCAAAUUUAGUCUCCAAUUAAUUGAUCGAUUCCCAUAAGUGCCUAAUAAAUUGUAAUCAAUUACUAAUUCUAACACGAAAUCUUCGAGCUGAAGUUCAUGAUAUCUUACGGACCAAUCAUUGAAGUAUAUGUACUAAUUUAAAUACUAAUUAAUAACUCGAUUAAUAUAUUAUAAAUCAAAAAUAAACAAUGAUGCAAGUUGUAAUAGAACGUGAAAGAGAAAUGGAGUUUGGCGACUGUUUGUGCGGCUAAUAUGGAGAGCAUCUUCAUGUAAAUAUACGAGACAUGCAUCAAACGAUAUUGCGAUCUAUAAUCUUUGGUAUUAAUGAUGUCAUCUGCUUAUAUAGUUUUGACCUUAUUCUGUUAGUGUAAACUUUUUCUCGUUAAUAUGUGGAUGUCAUUGAAACGUUACAUUUGUAAAGUUUUUAUUUGGUCAACUAUUCAAAUAUAAAAAUAUACCCAAACUCAACAUUUCAUAGUAGUCUUAGCGAUUGAAUAAUCUUCCUAUAAGCCUGAGCCCUAACUAAAGUCCUUUCCACCGCAAUGUAAAUCAUAAUUGACCAUUAAUCAGAAUCAACUAUUAAUUUUAGUAAACCGAAAAUGUUAGAAAAAAUAGACUAAUUUGUCUAUUUCAAUUAAAGAUGGAUUAUUUUGUAGACAUAAUUGUUCCUGGUUUUCCUAAACCCGUAAAUUCACGCUUGGCUAGCUGAGGUUCAGAGCCGAUCCUGCCAUUUUUAAUGUUUUAGUUUUUUUUGCACAUUUUAGUUAUCACAAAAUAUGAGGUAUAUUAAAUUAAUAAAUCGGAUAUGAAUUAAAUAUGAGCUUUCAAUUAAGUAUACCAAUAAAUCGGAUAUGAGUUAAAUAUGAACUUUCCUUUAAGUUUACCAUUAAGUGAAGUGUAUUGAUUGUUGCUGCUUCAUAUAUUUAAUUAUAAGAAAUUAAUCUAUUAAGUUUAAUUAAGUUUGGCACAAUUUACUUGUAAACACUUACACUGCGAGUAUACAAUAAAUAUGAAUUGAUUUCACAUUGUUUACAUUAGUUCAAGUAUAUUAUUUAUAAUAUAAUUACCCUAAAUCAAAAUUAAAAACGUAUAUGUAUCUCAUUGUCUAUACUAAUCAAUCUAAAAAAUCAUAACAUAGAAAAGAGGAUAUGUUGAAUAAUUUGUGUUCAACUAGGUUUUUUUUAGUGGUUGUCCAUUGCUCGUUCAAUCAAAUGCAUUCAUGAAUCAUAACCAGUAGAAUGAAAUAAAAAGAGUAGAAGACAAAACCAUGAGAUAAUUGUAACAACUAGCAACUAAUUGAAUGUUAAAAAAAAAAAAAAAACUAGCAACUAAAUUGAAUCGGAUGAUGAUAUCCUAAUACCUAAUGAUUUGCUGUCAGCAAGUAUUAUUUAAUAAACGAUAUAGUGAAAGUCGUAUCUUCCGUAGAAUCAUGUGACCAAUUAGAAGAGGCCACGAGAAUAUAUGUUUCAUUCUUCUUGUCACUUGUCAGAUAUGGAUUAACUCAACAUCUUGAGUUGGUAAGUCGUAUCCAAUUUUCCCUUAUAUCUUUAUCAAUAAUACGACUCCUUUUGUCCUUUUUUUUAAUAGUUAGAGUCACUAGUACCGAGCUCUCUUUCUUUUUUAACAAUUAAAACGCACUAUUUAAAAUGCUUACAAUAGUAAAUAAUACGAUCUACACUCUAAUUUGGUUUUACGUUAAUCAUAUUAGAACAUGUACUUUUUUGAUAAAGGAAAAAGUACAUGUCUUUUAAGGUUUCGACACUUUGGUUACCAAUGAGUACGAGUAUCUAUUUAUUUUUAAAAUAAAAUGUUAAAUUAUUAAAAGGUACUUUUUGGAUAGUAAAGUUUUUUUUUUUUAAUCAUUUUCCCUUUUAAAUAUAAAACAAUCAAAAAAAAAUAUUUGCAAAUUUCUCAACUCCUUCUCUCAGUGUGCUGAAUCUGUUCCUUAUGGUGCGAUCGAUCGACUUAAUUAAAACAUCGCUUGGAUUUGGAUCAUCGUUAUGUCUUUUGCUGUUUCUCUCGCCAACGUACCAGUAUUUAUGUUCUUUAUCUAUAUAUAUAUAUAUAUAUGAACUUAUAUACACGAAAAAAUAAUUUGUCGAUUUUUUCAUAUUCCAAUUUUUGUUCUUUUUUUUUCUUUUAAUUUAUAGUUGUGUAAAAUGGAUGAUAAACAGCUAUAAUAUGUAACGGAAUAACACAAAGUAAGUAUUUGAUUUCAAUUAUAUCUGUACAUAUAUACUCAAAUUCAAUCGACCAAAUAAUAGAAUCCUUAUAACACCAUAAGAACCCAAAAAAAAUCAUCAGAAAUUGACUAGUAUUUUUUGUUUUUUUUUUCAUAUUUGCUAUUAUUCAUGCAUUUAAAAGUCAUGUCCUUUCCCUUGGAAAGAAAUUUAUUGAUUACAUUUGUUUGUUUUUUUGUUAAAUGAAUUUCUAUUUUUUUAAAAAAAAUUAGUGUGGAGUCCCAAUACACAAGGAAGUUUCAAUUGAGUGAUCACGUCAUAAGAAAAACAUUAAAAGUAAACGAGGAACCAAGUAUAAAUCAAUACUCAAAGCUAAAAAAAAGAUACAUAUUAAGCUAGUUAGUGUAUUACAUUUUCGCAUUUCAAAAGUGCUGAUUUGUGAAAUUAAUGAGACAAAUACAUUAGUAUAAUUUUAAAAAUGCGUUAUGACAUGGAAGUAUAUUCCAAAUGUGUUCGUACGAACACGUUGUCGUACUGUGCAACACAAGUUCUCUACUGCCAGUGUUACGUUAUCUUUUCAAGUAUUAAUUUUGUUUUCUUCUUAGAUUUUUUUUUUUAUUAUAAGAAAAAAACUAAAAACAUAAGCUCUGAAAAUAAUUAUACAACUUGAGGUAUAUCUAAUCAUGAAACUUUUUUUUUGUUGUUGUAUUCAUUCUGACCAUGAGUUUAAAAUUUUUAAAACAAAAACCAUGCCGUUCUUCCAUUAAUUGAUAACUUAACAAAUGGGAAAUUAAUAAUAAUAUCUCUAUACUGAUUAUAUUAAAAAAAAAGUUCUUACGUUUGAAGAUAAAUGUAAUUAUAGAAUAAUUUAGGUUAGUAGCGAAAAGUAUCUUUGGCUACCGAUGACUUCGAUAAAUCUAAAACAGAAUUUCCAAAAGAAAUAGAAGAAUUGUGGAACAAAAAUAUAGAAGAGGAAUUUCACAGGAGUUUGUAAGAAAAUUCAUUAGACUCUUCACAAGAAACAGAACAUAUAUAAAUUUCUUACUAAUUUUUACAGUAUUUCACAGGAGAUAAUAGGAAAAUAUGACUUUUCUAAUUUUCUAUGCUAUAUGGUAAUAUCAGGAACUAAAAUUAAAUAACCCAUGACUCCAUGAGUAUUUAAUCAUAUUAGAUAUUAUAUUAUUUUAAAUGCAUGUGAAGCCAAAACUUACCUUUUCGUUGAAAAUUUAGGCACAUUAUUGUACCGACAUAAUAUAUUAUUGCUUUUAUUUUCUAAGUAUGAACAAUUAAGGACAAAUUCAAUAACCUCUUUCAAUAAAUACAUUUAGAUGAAUUAAAUGUUUUUAUCCGGCCAACGUUAUGCGAAUACACGGUCAUCACGCUAUAAGGAUAACGUCCACUUCAUGAUUAUAUGAUCCAAACACAUGCUUUGUACAAUAUUUUUGGUAGCCGAAUAUUAGUCACCCAAUUAUAAACUAGUUUUGAGAUACACAGUUGUAUAUUGGCUAAAAAGGCACUUAGAGGUAAGUCUUCCACUUUACAAAAAUCAAAUAAAACUAGAUUGCAACUAAAUUUGAAUGAUUCAUAUUACACUGGAAAGUCUAUAUGACUUUUAUCGUCAUUUUGAUGAUCCAAAUUUAGAGAUAUAAAUUUCUUUAAUUAGAUGCUACUUUGGUUUCCAACAUAAAAUUUCAUGAUUUAAACUUGCAUUAUCAGUCCAAAGAUUGGAGCAAUCGACGAGAAUUAUUUCACUCAUACAGUCUCGGAACUUGUGAAAGAAUGGAUUUGUACAUAUGGGGACGUCAUGAAUUUUUCAACAGACAUGGGUGUAUAUAUAUAAUACUUGUCAGUUGAGAGAUUAGUUGUAAGUAUGAUCAAUAUGAUCAAGAACACAAAAUUGCCUCGAGAAUUAAAAACACAGAUGGAGUAUGUCAAGUUGUAAAUUUGUAAUAAUAUCUUAUAAAUUUAUUAUGAUCUUCAAUCAUUAUUGAAUAAUGCAUGAAUGGGUCUCAAUUUAUAUAUAUAUAUAACUAGCUUUACUUCUGCGCCUAUAUAAUAUGAAUUAUCAACCAACAUAGCUAAUAGUUCCACUUGGACACUGAUUCUCAUGCCCAAAAUAUAAAUAUAAUACAAAAGAAAACAAUAAACACUUACAUAAACAAAUGUUAAAAGGGAAAAUACGACAGUCUGUCCGCGUCAUAAAUGUAAAAUGUAAAAUCUACUCAUUUGAAUUACCAGUUUUCAUUUUAGCGGUUAUUUAUGAUAUGAUGCUUAACAAAAUGAAAACACUAACCAACAGAGCAUCGUAGUAAUAUAUAUAGAUAGUAAAAUUAUUAGCUUAAUGUUUUACUCAGAUAAGCAUAAAAAAUUUUAAAAAUUUUAAUCUACGUAUAUACAUGGUUUUACCGAUUCAUCUUCAGUGUGAGUUCCAGUUUAUUGUAUUAACGGAUCGAAGUUCGUGAAGAACACCUACAUUAACAUUCCAGCCAAUUGUGUCUUGUUUCUUUCAACCGAGUAACUCCAAUUACCCAAUUAGGUUCAAAUGAACAUAUGUAUAACACACGCAGAUAAAGCAUGUGAUAGAUUAAAAUUGUUGCUGCCCGUGCAACUUACUUUUUAAUGUUCAAGUUGCUUUACAGAUCUAUUGACAGAUAACUUCAGAUAUCGAGUUAGACAAAUACUCAUACUACUCCCUAUGAUGCUUUAAUAAAUAUGUGUGUUUGGAGCAUUCCCUUACACACAAGGGUGCAGACUUGCAGGUUAUGGUUCUUAACUUUCUUCAUAUGUACUGAAGACUCGGAAACAUAAACUAUAAAUAAAAACAUUUAAAAAAAAACAUAACCGUUAUAAAAAUUGGGCUGGUUUAACAGGUUAGAAAAGGCUGAUCUGGGGUUCAAGACUGCGUACGUUCAGGGGUCUCGCUCUUAGUCAAAUAUACAGCACAGUUUCGAUAGGUCAUCAAAGAGGUGCAAGAAGCAUAAAUCCAAAACUUCUUGAACAUAUUUUAGUAUUGUGUAUGCUUUUCUCUUUGAUAAAAGAAUACAUUCUAUUUGUAUGAACUGACCGCGGAUCAUGAACAUUAAUAUGACUUUUAUAACUUUGAUGAUCAAUUCGCUAACUAUGUUUGAAAUUUAUUGAUUUCAUGGACAGAAUAAACCUAGAAAGACGUUGGUCUCGUUUUGACACCAUUUCUUGCAUCAAUUCCACUUACCAAAAUGGCAUUUAUAACUAAUAAGCGAAGUCCAAAUUGUCUGUUUCUAAUUGGGCUGACAAUACGGGCCUAGUCUCUUGUUUCUAAACGUCUUAUUCACUCGACUAUUAAAUUAGUACUUAAUUGUAAAUUAUACAGUAUUAUUAUACUAGAAGAUGUUUACCGUUCUAAACAUGAGAAUAGUAUACAGAGCAAAAGCAAAAGGAGGCUCUUCCCAAAAUUAUUGAGAGCCAUAUUGAACAAAUUAAAAAGGCAGACUCUUCCCAAAAUGGCAAAAUUUAGUGACCUUUCAAAUUACAGGAAAACAGGCAAUACUGUUUUUCCUAUAAAAAAGAAUAUUGACGUCAACAUACCUUUUUCUCUUUGUCAACGACAUCAAACAUAUUGACGUGAAAAACUGAAAAUUCGACUCUUCGAGACAUUUUAUUGAACAAUAAAAAGGAAAAAAAAAACAAAAAACUUAGCGAAAGUAGAAACGAAUAUUAAAACCAUACUUAAUAAUUUCCACCAAUUGUCGGAGAAUAAGAUCUGCUUAACUUGCAGAAGAAGGUGAGAAUCAUAAAGAACAGUUCUUUUUUGUUUUGUUUUCUCAACUCUCUUUCUUCUUCUUCUUCUUCCUUCGACUUUAACUGGGGAAGAAGAAGUAGAAGAUCCAUUUAACCGUAUCUAUCUUUUCUCUCUCCACCGCGUUUCGAUGGCGGGAGGCGAAGAGAAGAACGGGAUUAUUGAUUCAAUGCCCUUGUUCGCUAAGGAGCUUAUUGCCGGCGGAGUCACCGGCGGCAUAGCUAAGACCGCCGUAGCUCCACUCGAGCGGAUUAAGAUUCUAUUCCAGGUACGAAUGAUUCUGGGUUUGUUGAUUGUAUCAAAACUUCUAGUAUUGAUUCGUCCCCUGACUCAAUUAGGCUUAUCUGAGUCAAGAAGUCGGAUGGAAUCAUCAAUCUCUCGCUUAGCCAUGGUUUCUUUAAUUUGAAAACCGAGAACUUUUAGUGUUGUAUUGUAUUCACAAUCGGAAUCUGUUUAUAGAGAUAGAAAGGCACGUGAAAUUCUUGGUACACAGUCUCUGACUCUCUGGAUUAUAGAAGCUAAUCAUAGAAUUUAUCUUUUCUCAGACUAGAAGGGACGAGUUUAAACGCAUAGGGCUCAUAGGAUCCAUCAACAAGAUUGGCAAAACUGAAGGUUUGAUGGGUUUCUACCGGUACGUUGUCUCGAGUUUCAAAAGCUUUUGGGGCUUAUUAUACAUUCAUAAGAUUCUUAAACCUUGUUUUCGACAGUGGGAAUGGUGCAAGUGUUGCCCGGAUAGUUCCCUAUGCAGCUCUUCAUUACAUGGCUUAUGAGGAAUACCGGAGAUGGAUCAUCUUUGGUUUCCCAGACACUACUCGAGGCCCAUUGCUUGAUCUUGUAGCUGGAUCUUUUGCUGGCGGUACUGCAGUUCUCUUCACUUAUCCUCUUGACCUGGUCCGGACAAAACUGGCUUAUCAGGUAAUCCGGCUUUAGAUGUUGUGUCUUGAUUGUCUCAUCUUGAGUUAAAACGUAAGUAAGGCUCAUAGAGAAUUCAGCAGUGCAGGUUGUUGGUUCAACAAAAUCUCAAGCAAAAUCUAUUAUUCACCUGGAACAAAUUGUGUACAGAGGAAUUACCGAUUGUUUCUCGAGGACAUACAGAGAAUCUGGAUUCCGAGGCCUAUAUCGUGGUGUAGGUACAUACUAACUAUGUCUUUGGUGUUUACGAGAUCUUCUCUUUUCUCUAAGACGCAAAAAGAUUUGAUCUUUCUUUUGGUUUCGUGUUAUCAGCUCCUUCUAUGUAUGGAAUCUUCCCUUACGCUGGAUUAAAGUUCUACUUCUACGAGGAGAUGAAACGCCAUGUCCCUGCGGAACAUAAGAAAGACAUUUCCCUGAAACUUGUUUGUGGAUCAGUCGCUGGAUUGCUUGGUCAGACCUUAACGUACCCUCUUGAUGUUGUCAGGAGACAAAUGCAGGUGCGAUUUGGUUCUGCUUCUAUCGAAUACAUCUUGAAACCUUCAUAAAAUGAUCUUGAGUAGUAUUAUAAUCGAAACUCCCUGCAGGUUGAGAGACUAUAUGCUGCCGUUAAAGAAGAAACAAGAAGAAGAGGAACAAUGCAAACGCUUUUCAAGAUUGCUAGAGAAGAAGGUUGGAAGCAACUCUUCUCGGGGCUUAGCAUCAAUUACCUUAAGGUCUGAGAGUAGUUUCAUCGAUCUGUCUUUGUUUUCGGACAAUGGACGGCUAACUCACAAACUAUUUAUCUUUUGGGUUUCUCUAGGUUGUACCAUCCGUGGCAAUCGGAUUCACAGUAUAUGAUGUUAUGAAGCUGCACUUAAGAGUCCCAUCGCGAGAGGAAACAGAGGCAGAAGAUUUGACGACACGGAAAAGGAAUGCUUUGAGCUAAUUCUAAGGUCAUCCCAUGAUCUGAUUCUUUGUGGUGUAUAAAGCCACAGAACAUGAUUUGAGAGUGUACAUUGCAUUUUUUCGUAGAGGAAAUUGAAACUAACUUCCUCCAAAUAAACAGUGUUAGAAUCCCAAUCGAAAACAAUAGGACUUAUAUGUAAAUGUCAAAUUGCUUGUAGUUUUUUGUUCAUUCAGGAAUUUGGUUAGCACCAUCCCGUGGUUAUUUCUUUUCGAAACCACGAGAGACUCGAUGUAAUAUGUAACAUUCCGAUAUGAAGGAUAUCAUUGAGUGUUUGGUUGCAGUAGAUUCUACGUAUUGGCCGAAAGGAACAAAGUAUAUAACAGAGACAUUGAUGAAGAACAAUGAAGCCGGUUCCAUUUAACUUGUACCUACUUAGUUAUGUAACUCAUACAACCUAAGCUAUUUAUAGUUAGAAAAUAUGAUACGGUAAGACAACAGAUUUUACUAAUUCUAGUCUGGCUCGGUACAUAACAUUUCUGUUAGGUACUAACAUUACUCUUAUGCUUUCUUAUUCAAGAUGCGACUCUCAUUCCCUUGUGUUCCUCACAUCUCUUCCGUCCUUUAACUGGAGAUUUCUCGCAUACCAAUCCAUUGUACAGCUUAACGCCACAAAUUACUUGACUUACGGUUGCUGACUGCACAGUUUCGGAUGAUCUUCUGUCCAAAGUUUUAUCUUUGUGCUGCCAACAUCUUCUGCUUCCCAUAGGAGCACUUCUUAUACAAGGCAAACCACUCUUUGUUGUAGCUUCACAGAUAAGACUUGGACCACCCGAAUCCUUUUUGUUCAUGCCUGUACACGUCUCGGGUUUGGAUUUUUCCUCCUUGAGAGCUAUAUCGCGUUCGGUUGGAUUCAGCAGAAAGAAGAAGGCAUUGACUCUCAUUCCCUUGUGAUCCUCACAUCGUUUUCUCCUUGCAACAGGUUGGUUUCUGCAACGUACCAUGUCAGGUAAAAUCACUCCACAUAUAUUCUCAGUUUCUUCACAUUCUCUUUCAGGAGAAACUUCACAAGGUAUUUUUUUCCCCGGGAGAACACAUGAAAUUCUCUGCCCUCUAUGCACUGUGCAUCUCUUUCUUCCUUGCAUUGGAGAUGUUGUGCAGGUAGUACCAUCUUCUAGUAAGACUCCACAAAUAGAAGCAGAAUCAGAAUCAUCAACAAUGUCAUCAUGUCUGUCUGAAACCGGUUGAGGUCUGGACCGACUGAGUCUAACUAUUGGUGCAAGAAAAUCACUCUUCUCCCCAGCUGCAUCAGAGCUGAUCGCUCUCUCUUCUGCAAGAUCAUCUUUCUUAUCUUUGGUUCUGUUGCCAAUUAUCUUCUGAGUAACAGGAAGAAUCGUUUGAGGUAAACCCGGUUUUCUCUGGUUCACAAUCUCGUUGUUGCCGAGUUUCUGGAGCAAGUCAUGACGAGCAAUACCAUAAGACCGGAGCCGAGAUCUAAUGCUUUCGUUUUGACCAAGAGAAGCUACAAAAACGUCAUCUACGUCAACUUUUAGGCUCUGAUCAUGAUUGGUGACAGCCACACCGAGACCUGGGAAGGAUCCUUGGACUCUGUAUCUACCUAACAAAUCUUUUCCCUUUCUGAAUUCUUCCUUAUCGUUGGCUCCUAUCAGAAUCUGUGUCCAGUAUAAAUUUGACAUUAAAAAAAAAUUGUGUGUUUCCAGUUUAAUUACUUGAGAGAAAGAGCUUAGCUUGGUGAUAACUGAUACAUAUGAGACUAAAGCCACAUAGUUAGCUAAUAUCCAACUAAAAAUACAAGUUGCAAUGUGAUGAAGGAGACAGAAUGUGACCUUUGGAGCUAAAUCCCGAGAAAUGGAGGUGUAAUCCGGUAAAGUCCUCCGUAUUUCUGGAGCAUCUGAAAUGGGCUUACGCAGAAGCAUGGAUCGGGUAAAACCCUGGAACAAAACCCAGAAACACAAAUGAAAAAUGGGAUCUUUAAAUGGUUAGGCCGUUAAAAAUGGGAUCUUUAAAUCGGAUUCCAUGAAUUUUCAGGAGAAAUGAAUCAAACUCAACCGAAAUUCUGGUGAAGUCCAGAAAUGAAAGAUCCAUAAACUCCGAAGCAGUGAGUUUCCUAAAACCCGAGAGAGAGAGAGAACAAAAGAGAGGAAGUACCUGCCACUUGGAGAAGACGGCGUCGGGUUUAGUUCGACUGUAAUCGUCCCUGUUGAACAUGGUGAACACGACGGCGAAAAAACGCCGUCUCCGAGAUUCAGUCUCUCUUACCUCCUUUCUGAUCAGACUCGAUGGUUUUUCCGUUAACUGAUCGGAAAGUGAUGGAGAAUUUGCAGAAAAUUAGUUUUUUUUUUUUGUUUUCUUUUUCAAAUUUGAAUUCGUCACUCGCCGCCACUGGUGAAAGAAUAGUUGAAGAUAGUUGAAUCUACAACAGUAAUUGAUUGCAAUCCUUUUUUUCGAAGAUAAUAACAAGAAUUAUUAUAGAAAAUCAAAAUUAAUUGAAAUUAUAGAAAUAAUAAUGAGUUAAUAUUUUUUGGGUGAUGUUGCUUAUCAGUUAAUUAUAAAAGACGUAUGAUUUCUUUUUGUAACAUGUAUAUAUAUAUAUAUCUUAUAUUAAAAAUAAGAUAUCCCUCUAUUUCUUAUUGAUAAACUUUCUAGGUUUUUUUUUGUUUCUUAAUGAUAGAGUUUUUAUAAGUUUUCAAUGCAUUUUUUACUAAUUAAUUAUACCAAUUUUAAAAUUUGUUGAAAAUAAUUAAAUUUCUUGAAUCAUGAUUCGUUUAGACUCAUGGGAAAUUGUUUAUCAAUUAGAGAUUUUAAAUGGUCUAAUAUUUGUCACUUAACUAUGAUUAGUUGCUAAUGCAUUGGAAAGAGCAACAUUGUUGGAGUAGAGGAUUUCGAAAAGUUGUGUUUGAAGGGGAUAACAAAAUGGAUUUCGAAAAGUUGUGUUUGAAGGGGAUAACAAAAUGGUAAUGGAACUAAUAGAAGGCAAGAUGCAUAACUUAAAGGUUUAAACUGGAUUCUCGAAGCUAGACAUUGGUAAAGAAGAUUCGAGGAAGUAAAAUUUACAUGGUUGAAAAGGUGCCACAACAUACCAGCGGACAUUCUUGCAAAACAUCAACUUCCUCAAAAUACAGUUUUUUUCUUUUCAAUAUUAUGUUCUAAAAUGUUAUUUAUAUGUCUUUGCAUAAGGACUAUGUAUCGCUCACUCAAAUUUAAUAAAUUAGACGUCACAAAUAAAAAACUACGUCCGAAACACAGAAUAUUUUAUCGUUUCUAUGUUAUUGGUUUAUAUGGACAUUUAAUUUAUCCAAUAAAAUUUUAUUCCCGUUGUAUAAGCAUAUGAUUUAUAUUAUUAUUUAGUGUAAGUAUAUAUCUUUCUUAACAAGAGUACUAAACAUAUAUAUUUUUAAAACGUAUGUUCAAUCAAUUAUCAUAAAAUCAAAACUAAUUAGAAAAUUUACACUAAUUAAUUCAUGCUUUAAUACCCCUGGACCUCGAGAAAGAUACCCAUUCUAAGUUUUUAACCAGAGUAGUGCUUAGAUAAAUAGUGGUCAAAGGCGAUUGACAAUGAAAUAGUUUUUUAAUCUUGAAUGUUAGUGUUCUCAAUCUAUUCUAGUGAUGAAAAUUUGUUGGAUUAUACAAAUUUUGCAUCAUAUUAAAAAACCUAUCAAUAAAAAAAAUGUUCCAAAUAGAUCAAAUAUAUAAAUGUCUACAACAAUGGAUAUCAAGAAACAAAAAUGUGUUUUUAAAAAUUAAUAUUUUUAUUUAAAAUAAAUAAAAAAAUACAAACAAAAACUUAGUUUUAAAACCUAAUAUGUUUUAGUUUCUUAUGUUGUUUGGUGGCACCUAUAAUUUUAAACAUAAUUUUAUAAUAUUUGUGGUUGUAAUUUAGAACACAAUUUUAAUAGAAAUGAUUAAAAAUGAAACAAAAUCAAGCAAAAGACAAAAAAUACAAAUAUCAAAAUUUAAUGAAUUUCGUGAAUGUUAAAAAAUAAAAACUAUAACAAAAAUAAGUUUCUUAAAUAAACUCAAGAAACUGUUUAUCUUAAUCUUAUAAUGUUUUAUUUUGUUUUCUUUACUAUUUUUUCAAUUAUCUCCGGGGAGAUUUUCUUUAUUCUUAUUUUCGACGCUAACCAAUAAUAUUGAUCAUAUUAAAAAUAAAUUAAAAAACUAAAAAAAAUUAUGUAUGUGUAAAUCUUGCAAAAAAAGUUUCCUAAGUUUUUCUCAAAAAAUUGAGACCCUAGGUUUAUGUUUCUUAUAUUAUAACGUUGAGCAGGACUCUGUUUCUAACCAACCCAAAAAAAAAAAAACUAGAGAAAACUAGGGUUUCUUUCGAGUCUUAUCUUAUAACGACAAUGCACCCAAAGUAAGUUUCUUUCCGAUAAUUCUACUUGCGUUCUAGGUUUCCUUAGCCUCCAAACACCGACCAAAUACUUCAGAUAAUAUAUCUUCGACUUUGGAGUUUGGAUCGUCCUAAUUGAUGUUUUCAUAGCAGAAUUGUUGGUGGAACCUUCAAGAAGAAACGAAGCGUUAACAUGACAACAGAUAAGAUUAGUGAAUUGCCUGAUGCUUUGCUGCUUCAUAUAUUGUCCUUAAUUCCGACAAUAGAUGUCGUAGGGACAUGUGUUUUAUCGAAACGGUGGAGAUCUCUUUGGAAAUAUGUGCCUAGACUUGACUAUGAUUACCGGAAUGAUAGAAGACUGUCGCACCAAUUUGUUCACAGGUUCUUGAUAUUACAUAAGUCGCAGCAAUUUGUUCACGGGCUUCUAGAGAGUAUGCGACUUAUAGUUGCGUCGGAUUGUGAGGCUUUCGAUAUCGAAAUUUGGAUCGGGUAUGGGGUUGAACAUGGUUUGCGUGAGCUAGAACUCGAUUAUUUCUCGGAGAAAGAAAAUAUCCGAUUGCCUAGUAACAUCUACGCUUGUAAAACACUCGAGGUCUUGAAACUUAAGAACUGUGUUCGCGUAGAUGUUCCUGAUUCACAAGUUUGUUUCAAGUCCCUUAAGAUCCUAAACCUUCAACUUGUGUACUUCAAGGACGAUGAUUCAGUUCGUAAGCUUUUCUCAAGUUGUCCUAAACUUGAAGAAUUGGUUGUUAAACGAUAUAUGGACGAUGUCAUAAACUUCACUAUUGAAGUACCAUCUCUAAAGAGCUUAUCAAUACAUGAUUGUAGCGAUGGAGAUGGUCGAAGAGGGUAUGUGAUAAAUACUCCUUUGAACCACUUGUCCAUUAAAGGACUCAAAGAUUUUGAGUUUUCACUUGAGAAUAUGCCGGAGCUAAGAGAGGCAAAGAUUAUUGAUAUUUUUGAUAUAAAUACUCAUAAGCUUCUCCUACCUCUCGCCUCAUCAGUCAAGCGUCUCUCCUUGUCUCUAUCGCCUUUAGAGGUAAACAUGUACCUUUUUGAUUUCACAUCCUUUCAGUUCUUUUGUAAUCCAACUCUUUCACUUUUGAAAACCAAGACGAAUUAAAAUUGAUCUCUAAUUUUGGAGUUAGACUUUUUAUUUUUAUUUUGUGGACAUUAUACGGUUGAACAUAUUUUUUCGUUUGCUUGCACCGCAGACUAGGUACGCUGAUAGUAUUGUCUUUCAUCAGCUUGUAUAUUUGGAGCUAAGUACUAGUAAAACCGAGUGGUGCAAUCUACUAGUGAUUUUGCUAUCUAAUUCUCCUAAUUUAAAAGUUCUCAAGCUCAUGAGAGAUGUAAGAAACUCCUUCAACUUUCCUUACUUCUCUAGGUUAACUUUUUCACUUUGAUGAGUCUAAAACAUUGUGUUUUUAAUCGGUUUUGGUCACAGGAGUCAGGGAAAGAUAAUAAGGAGCGCGUGCCUAACCCACAAUUUUGUAGACCGAUUAAAGUUCCUCCUUGUUUGUUAUUGUACCUACAAAGAUUCGAGUGGGAAAGAUACAAUGGAAUACGUGAAGAAGAGAGACAAGUUGCGAAGUACAUACUAAGAAAUGCGAAACAUUUGAAGGAAGCAAAUUUCUCGACGAAAAACUCUAAUUCGAAUGAGAAAUUUGAGAUGUUAAAGGAGUUAGUUCGUAAGCCUAAGGCUUCACCUUCGUGUCAUUUUUUAUUUGAGUGAAAAAAACAAAAGUUGUUUUAGAUGAGAUGCAACUGAUGCGCAAUUUCGUCCAAGUAUAAUAAGCUUUUGAAUACUUUUUUUUUAACGCUAGUUUAGACUAUUGAGAUUUACAUUGGUUUUCUGGUAAAACUGGAUUUGUAAGAUGAAGACGUGAACAUGUUAACGAUUCUUGUUAAUCAAAGAACAGAAAAACUAGUGUAUACUACUAGGGCAUCCUCAUAUAUUCCACAAUUCUGUUGGCAAUUAAACUCAUAUUCUAUAUGUCUUUUCCAAAUCUUACAAGUCGAAGCUAUAUGGUUGAUUUGAGGAAUAAAGUAUGGUCUAGGGCUUCUAGGCUUCUUGAGGAAUGAAAUAUUGUCUAAUAGCUUCAGAGAAUUGUUGUGGUGUUCAAAUUGGGGAAUUGUGAAUGAAACUUUGUAAUCAUCCGUGAACCAUUCCGUAUGAUAGAGCCAUCAAUAAAAUGGCAGCCUCCUUCUCAUCUUGAGGGAAAACUUGCUGAUAAGCUGAGCUUUUGCUUAAGAUUAUGGCUAGAUCAUCAAAAUCAAACUUGUUUGAAGAAGAACACGUCGAAGAAGAAAACGACAUAUUCUCGGAUCUGCCUUGAGUCUCCAAGUCCCCGGCUGUUGUGGCCUUUAUCACCGGUACCGCCUCAGAUGUGAUCAUCCUCUUACAAUUCUUUACCUUUGGAGCCAAAGGAGAAACGAGAUUAUAAACUUCACUUGAUCUCUUGUUCUUGUUUUGCAUCUUCUUCUUCAUGAGCAGUGGUGACACGUCAAAGGUUCCCGUUGCGGCUGCAGCAGCCCGCCUCGCCUUCCUUUGCCUUAUCCCACACGCGUUACAUAGAGACUGUAAUAACAAAUGGAAAAUGAUAGCUAGUGAAUUUUCUUGUAAGAUUGAUUUUUAGGAGAACUUAUUUAGGAAAUUUUCUGAACAAGAAUGAUUAAGAAUAUAUAGUACCUAAAAUUGAUUUUUACCAAUUAGUUUUUUGUUAGCGAUUAUGUAGAUUUGUGUUUCUUGCGCUGUUAAUUAGUCCUAGAAAUCGAGAGCUUCUAAUGAUGAUAUACAAUAUGAAAUUAAUCUUUAGGAAUGUGUUGAAAUAAUAUAUGUGUGGUUUAUUACCUUGGGACCUCUCGGCCCACUUCUCCAAAGAGGAGUCUUGGUCGUGUUACAAUCGGAGCAAAUCCUAACCACGCAACUGCUGCUUCCGUUAUAACCAUUCUCCUUGACAAUACUAUUGUACUGAUUUUUCAAUGUUUUCUUGAGAUGAUCAUGAUGAGCUUCUUCGAGAUUUCUUUGGCUCAUGGAUUGGUCCUGAUUAACGUGUUGUUUGUCGUUGUAGGUGGUGGUGAGAAUCGUCUUCUUCUUCAUCAAUCUCACCUUCGAAGAAACCCACUUGAGCGAAUUAGUUUCUGUCUCGUCUUUUGUCGGACAUCGAGGAAGAUCAGUUUGGUCUUGAAAAUUAUCUCUCUUCCUUAUCGUCAAUUUUAAUCGUGACUCCUGCUUUGGCACCAUUUGAUCGCUUGAUGAUGAUCCAUCAUUAGAUACAAACUUCUUGGUCUGAAAUUAUUUAAUUUGAAUACUAUAAAUUUUAGCAGGAUAUUCAAAGACUAUUGUAUAUAUGAGAUUUACUUUAAAAAAAGUUAUACCUCGAGGGAUUGAGAGAGUUGGGGAUCAAGAAAACGUUGGAAAGUGAUGUUGUUGUACCCAACAUAUACUUGAUCUUGGUGAGAGUUGAUCAAGAAAGGGAGGUAGGAAUGAGAUGGUGAAGUCAAAGAAGAUGACGAAGAGGAGAUAUUAAAAGGAGCUUGAUGUUGUUGUUGUUGAUGAUGAUGAUUAUGAUGAAUAGAGGAUCCAAGAGGAGUGAAAAAAGGUUGGUGGUUUUGAUCUUCAUUGAGAUCUAUAGUGUAAUGAAAAUUCGAACCCAUGAUCGAUAGAGAUGAUCAGUGAAACACAAAAGAUAAGGAAGAGGAGAGAUUGGGAGAGAUCAGGGACAGUCAGAGAAGGAUCCAAGCUAUACUGUGUUUGACCCUUUUUAAAGGCAAGAGACCACGAGCCAAAAACAAAUUAAUUAGAGAAUAUAUGCAUCAACUUACACUAGUAGAAUAUAGAAGAAUUCAGAAGAUAUGGAUAAACAUUUAUUUAUAAAUAAUUUGUGGUUUGAUUUAAGAUCAAAUUAAUUUAGUACAUGCAUAAAAAGGAAAUAAAUUAUCUAACAAAGAAAAAACAAAAUCAGAACAUUCCUAUCAUUUUCACCAGUGUUGGCUAACAUUUUUGAAACUCAAUAACAUGAAAAGAACAAAUUGAUGAUUCUAUAUUGAAAAGAAUUAGCUUUUCUUCGUCAGAACAAAAAAAAUAGUUGGCAACAAUAUUACAUAAAACAUACAAAGUAAACUGAAUUACACUCCUACAUUAGAAAGAAGUUACUGUGCAAUAUAAUAUAGACAUAUAUCGAAUGUAGCAUGUUGAUAUUUUGCCCUCAGUAGAUAAACGAUUGAGCUACCAUCACUGGUUGAGUUUGAUUAAUUCGAACUAAUCCAAAUGGUUUGAGAUAUUAGUUAUCACAAACCAAAAACAAUAAAUCAAAGGGUACACGUGAGUCUAGGAUAGCCAUCCGAAUACAAAAGACAUGAGACCAUAUGUAUAGGAAUGGUAGUACUGGACGACCCCAUGCACAAGUAAUCCUACAAAAGAGAGAAAAGCAACCCUAAUUCAGAAUAUGUCAUGUCUCAUGAUAAUGAUCAAGUUAUGCGUCGAAUGGUAAAGAAAGAAAACAUCCCCACCUUAAGUAUUUGCCAAACUCCUUCAAUUCCCCCCGAUCAAAUUUACAGGUCAGUCAGGACCCCCACACAUAUUUUUUUCUAAUAUAAAAAUUAAUUUUAUUUCAUCAUUUAUAUACUUUCAUUUUCAUAAGUCUAGCAAUUAACUACAUGUGUUAUGAAGUUUUAUAAUUACUAAUCUGACUAUGAAAAUUUAUUUUAUGCUGCAUGCAGAUGAAACUGAUUAUCAUUUAGGGUUCACCGUAAUAUAUAUGUAUGUUAUACUAUAUCCAAAUCUCAUAAUCGAAAACUGCAUAAUGAGCUUUAAGAUUCUUGUAAAAUUCGUUGAGGAUGAGGAUUACGGAGAUUUGAACCAAAGGAGAAUAACGUCUAAAUAUUGAAAGUUUGAUAGAUGAUCUUGAUAUAUACUUUUAUUUAAUAUUUAUUGUUCUAAAAUGUGAAAUAUGAUCAUUUCAAAUAUUAGUAGGGACAAAGAUCUAAACAUCAAAACCGGAUCACAAACAAACAAAAGAAAAUAUAAAAGCGACGACCUUUCACCUUUCAAAGUUCCCUAGCUACAACUUGCUUUAGGCACAUAUAUCCAAUUGCAGCAGCUAUUACGUAGCCACAUCACAUGCAUGUCCAUUUUAAAAUUUUUUAAAAGAAAAACUUUUGAGUUUUACCGAAAAAUCGGCCAAAACCUAUCUCAACUUCACCAAAUGGUGCGAAAACAUACUUGAGAAAUUAGAGUGCCCGAAUACCUGAACUCAUUAAAACCGGCCUUUUCAUACCUGCAUUAAUAAAGUUUUGGCAAAUCCAUACAUUAACUAGUUUUCCGUUAGUCAACUGUCUUAUUCCGUUAACGGAAAAAAAUCCCGUCGCAACGUCACCAGAACGGAAAACGACAUCGUUUUACUUUUUUUUUUGUUCGUCUUUUUUUUUUUGUUCAUCCUUAUCAAAACGACGUCGUUUUGAUUAAUUUUUUUCUGUUCGUCAUGAUCAAAACGACGUCGUUUUGGUAAUUGUGAACAAAAAAAAAAUUUUGUACAUUAACCGAUGUAAAAAAUUUAGUAAAAAAUUUAGUAAAUUCAGUAAUAAAUUUAGUAAAAAAUAACAGAAUUUUUUAAAAAAAUUUACUAAAAAAUUAAGUAAAAACUUUUACUAAAAAAAGACACCAAUACCAUUAACAACAAGAUAACAGAAACAUUGUUUUAAACAUCCAGGGUUAAUGUUAUUUUUUACUAAAUUUUUUAGGAUAAUACAUCCAUUGGUUAAUGUUAUUUUUUACUAAUUUUUUUACUAAUUCUGUUAUUUUUUACUGUUAUUUUGUAUUUUGUUAUUUUUUACUUAAUUUUUUACUAAUUUUUUUUAAAAAAUUCUGUUAUUUUUUACUAAAUUUAUUACUGAAUUUACUAAAUUUUUUACUAAAUUUUUUACAUCGGUUAAUGUACAAAUUUUUUUUUUUGUUCGUCAUACUCAAAACGACGUUGUUUUGAGUAUUUUUUUUUUGUUCACAGUUACCAAAACGACGUCGUUUUGAUCAUGACGAAUAAAAAAAAAUUUAAUUAAGGACGAACAAAAAAAAAUAAUCAAAACGACGUCGUUUUGAUUUUGACGAACAAAAAAAAAGUAAAACAAUGUCGUUUUCCGUUUCGAUGACGUUGCGACGGGAUUUUUUCCGUUAACGGAAUAAGACCGUUGACUAACAGGAAACUAGUCAAUGUAUGAAUUUGCCAAAACUUUAUUAGUGCAGGUAUGAAAAUGCCGGUUUUAAUGAGUUCAGGUAUGUAUUCGGACACUCAAAUUUCUCAGGUAUGUUUUCGCACCAUUUGGUGAAGUUGAGGUAGGUUUUGGCCGAUUUUCCGAGUUUUACCUUUGGGUAACUAGAUGGUAAAAAUAAACAUUAAAAAGGGAAAAUUGCUCUUUCUUUUAACUGACUUUGUUGCUUUUAUCAGUCGUGUAUAGUACUUUUCAGGGUUCAAAUGUGGUUAAAAACUCUUCAUACCAACUCUGGCCGGUCCUUUUUUUUAGGUUGAGUAAUUAUUAUGCAAUUGUACUUUUUUCCAAAUAAAUUGCAAAUAGGCUGUGAAUGGUGAUGUGCAUGCAAUUUCCCAUCGUACAUCAAAAUGCCUUUAUCAUUAUUAGUAUACAUUAACUCUAUUUUAUUAUUCACUGUUUAGAACAUCAUGAAUUUCUUAAACAAUAUAUAAUUCUCUUUUGGAUGAUGUCUCAUUUGGACAACGGUCAAGGACAAGUGUCAACCCUUCAUUUUCGCGCGGUCAAAAUGCCAUCUUUUUAUAAAUGUAUUUCUGGUUCUAACUACUAAACUUAGUUAAAAUAUAGUGGUUUUUCUACUGUUACUCUUUUUUUUUCUACUGUUACUCUUACGUAGUAUUGAAAAGAAAAUAAAUAUUAAUUACAGAUGUGUCACGGUGACACGGUGAGAGCUAGUAAUUUUACUAUAAAAGACAAAAAAACCGUUUCUUUGAAAUAGUUGUAACUCUAUAUAUAAACUUUCAACCAUUCAAUAUAUAGUUCAUAAUUCCAUAUCAAAAUUCUGUUGUGACAACUGACAACCCAAGGGAUCAUGCGAAUUACUUUAGUUACCUUUCCUUUCAAUCUUUCAUAAUCGAAAAAAAAGUAGCUAGUUUAUUGUGGGAUUAAAGAUAUAUAUGUCCGUUCUUGGACCAAUUAAAAGAUGAUUAACGUAUGUAUCCAAUCCUAUCAGGAAAAAAACCUUGAUUUUCUAGUUGAACUCAUUGCAACACAGCUAAGGGCGAUAGUGAAACUUACAUAACGACUAGAAUCGGAAUCACAAUAAAUGAAGUGAGAAUCAGAUAGAUAUGGAUUUCCGAAAAAAAACCUAAAUAAUUAGCUAAUUAAUUUAACUCUCAGUCUAGUUGCACCCAUUGAAACACAGCUAAGCACAAUAGGGAAACUUACAUAAAGACUAAGAUCUGAAUCACAAUAAAUAAAGUAAGAAUCAGAUAGAUAUGGAUUUAGGAAAAAAACAGAAGUGGCAUGAGAUAAAUAAACGAUAGAGAGAUGGGAUACGUAUGCCGCAUAGGGAUCACAAAAUUCCCCAAAAUUCAUCAAGUGACAUUUUGACAGUAACAAGACACAUAUUUAGACAUACAUAUGACACAUUAUGUAUAUGUAUUAUGUAUAUAUGUGAAUGUCAGUACAAUUGGUUUGUGUCCAACAUUUUGGUGCUUUUCAUGACUUGUCUCCUUUUUUUGGUUUCUUCUAUAUUAAAGAUUUCCCAGAAGGGACCAUUACCUCUCUGAUCUUCACCACCGUAUCAUCUGUCUUGUGACAUUUCUCUUUCUCUUCGAUAUUAUCAUCUAAUCUUGACCUCAUUAUCACAUAGUUUUUCAUUUAUUAAAUAAUAUUUUCUAAUAUUUUCUUACCUAUACAGACUAAUUAUAGACCUAAAACAAAUGUAAUUAUAUAUGCGGUGUUCGAAUAUAUACGUCAAAGGAUCUGAGUUCGGAUUCUGUGUGGGACUUCGUCUUUUGACGCAAGAGUAUACGGUAACAGAGACUAUAAUUUUCAAUAGAUACCCAAAUGUAGUUAUCGUAUAUUAAAUAGAGAGCUAAUUUGAACCAAAAUAAUAUAAUGUUUAUAUUAGAUUUUCGUCUUAAUAUAAAAAUUUUGUAUGCUUUAUUCAAGAUUAACCAAUAACAUUACUAAUUUUGGUCAAGAUUUUUAUGUGAUACUGGAUCCUGAGACUCUUAAGUGAAUAUGCCAUAUUUUGUACCAAAAUUAAGAAAAUAGACCAUAUUUUUGAAAAUCAAUAAAAUUAGUCUAAAACUAAAUCUUAAACCCAAAAAUUAAAGCCUAAAUUUUUUAAAAAAUAAACUUAAACCCUAGAAGCUAAAUCCAAAUCCAAAACUAUACGACCCAAAAAAAUAAAUUCUAAACCCUAAAUGGUCUUAAUGGCUAAACCCAAAAAAUGGCGCAUUCUUCUUUACUUUAGAAGAAGCAAACUAGUUUUUUAGUUUCAACAUUUUUAGCCACUGUCCAUUAAUAAUAAAGUUUUAAUUCGAAUUAUAAUCGCACAAAGCCGAAUUUCAAAUUAACUUCUCCAAUUUUGUAUGUCAGCGUACAAUGCGGAUCAAACAUCUAAUUGUCAAACACAUGUGAACGUUUAUAUCCACAAAGCCUAAUUAAUAAGAUCUAUAGAUAUAUUUUGUUCUUCUACAACAUUGCAUUAGAAUCCACCACUUGUAAAAAAUGUCAGAUAGCAAUGUUACUACUUACAGGGGGGAAUUUGAACUGGAAAUAUCUUUGAAAGAAUUAGGAUAUUUCUACGUGGUUGAAACAAAUUGCUACUGGACAUGGAUACACGGGCUUAUUAAUUAAUAGCAAAGAGUUGAUACUAACGGGCCUGAGAAGAACAGUGGGCCUAUCUGGACUUCAAAUUUGGAACGAAAAAGUACAAUUUCCGUAUAAAAAAUGAAGUGAUGUUAAAAAAAAUGGAAUAAAUUUUUAUCCUUAAAAAUUACUUUUACCGUGUAAAAAAACAAAGUUUAAGAGAUCAUCUAACCAAGUUGAAUUUACAAAAAAAUAGAUGUAUAUCGGGGAACCCAAAUUAAACAAUUUGAAUGCUCAAAUGUGGGCCAGAUCAUCUCACUACAAAAAAAGUAUGGUCUUUCCGGUCCCGUGGUUGGUUUAUAUGACUCAACUUCCCCUUUAAUCUAGUUUUUGAAUAACACAUGUAUAAGUUUGUAUAAACAAAGAGUAACGGUAUAUAUCUCUGUCACAAUGAUUAUAGUUGGUGAAUGGUGAAUGUUGGGGGGGGGGGGGUUUGGAUAGGGUGUUGUUGUUAGUAAGGAUUUGGUUAAUUAGAGCCACGUGGCAGUCUGUGGAUGGUUUAGUCGGGCGUGGAAGGUAAAGCUUUGUAGUCAGCGAAGUUAAGUCAUGAGAUGCGGCAACUUGACUUUCUCAACGAACCACAAUUGUCAACUAAACCUCAUUGCAUAACUUCAAUUAUUGCAUAUAAUUAAUGGAGUAUACAAUAUCGGAAUACCAAAAGCCACCUUUUUAAAAAAAAAUUGUAGCUAACCUCACAUUAUGGUUCGGGUAGGCUUUCCCUAGACUACUGAUUUACUAUUUGUUACACUUAGACGAAGUUCAUGCUAUACAUAAUUUAUCUAUGCUAGGUUCUUACUUCUAAUUAAUCUGUUAAUCGGCUAUAAUUGACUAUAGAUAACAAUGUUAUACAAGCUAAUUAACGCAACGCUCCACAUAAGAUCAAAUGGGAAAGAUUUAAAUGGAAAAGGUUUAAAAUAGAUCAAUGGAUAAUAUUAAAGUUAAAUUUUAAAACUGAGAAAAUAGAUCGUAAAGAAAUGGAAACAUUGUAAACUACUCAACUGGUAACUGACAAGCUACUAUGGGUUCAUUCAACUAACUUCAACUUCAAAGUCACCCGCCCAAAGCAAGAAGAUUUGGGUCCCGACUACUUUCCAUUAUUUUUCAUUUAUUAAAAGUCAAAAAUGUACUUGCUCUGUUUCAUAAUAUUUGAUUUUCAAAUUUUUUUCUUCUUUCACAAUAUUUGAUUUUCUAUGUGUAAUUAAUGCUUGUAUAUUCUUUGAUUUCAUUCUCUAUUGGUAGAAAAGAAAAAGUAAUACUAAUAAAAAUAAUAAAUCAAUUGUAAAAAUAAACUAUUUAAAUAAAUAAAACAGCAAAUAAUUGAGCAUUAAUUGCUUCUUAAUCUAUGUGCAAUAUUCAGAAAAUCAACUAUUAUCAAAACACAGUGGAGAUUUUUAUUUCAUUUGAAUGUAACAAAUAAAUGUGAAAUUUCAAGUCAAAUAAUAAAAUCAAAGACAAAUUUUAAAAUGGAGAUCUCAUUUCAUUUAAAUGUAACAAAUAAAAUGUGAAAUUAAUAUUGUAGUGUUAAAUUCUAUUGAAUUGCAUCUAACUUUAUACAACCCCCUAAUAAAAUAAGAUGGCAUGUAUGUCAACCUUAAUAUAUAAAUAGCUCUAAGAACCUCAUUAGUUCCGAAUCCACGACUACCCCAAUAACCAAAUUUCCGGUGGAAUCUUCUUUACAAGUUUCUCAAAACAAAAAACAUCCAAAGGUUUGAUUUUGCAAAGGGAAGACAUGGGGUUGAACUUUAGGGAUAAAGCUUGGAUUUUUCUGGGGAUUCUUUGUUGUUCAUCUUUGAUUUGUUCAGUAAAAGCAAUGGUCAGUUAUGAUCAUAAAGCUGUGAUAAUCAAUGGUCAGAGAAGGAUCCUUGUAUCUGGCUCCAUUCACUACCCAAGAAGCACACCUGAGGUAUUCUUCGAAACUUUUAGUUAGAUAGAAAUAUACAAUCAUUUAUCAAUACAUACAUGUAUGCUUAGGCAGAUUCUGAAUAUUAUUUUUCUUCUCUUCUUUUCUCUGUUUUAUUUUCUGUGUUCUGAUAAAAUCUUUGUUCCCAAAGUGUUUCUGCACAUUUUUUUUUUUGUUUCUGAGUUUUGCUUAUAGUUUACACUAUUUCAUUACAAAAUUGUUUUCCUUUUGUAUAAGAAAAUAAAUAGAUAAAAAUCUUGUGAAUGCUCUGUCCUACGUAGAUGUGGCCUGAUCUUAUACAGAAGGCCAAAGAAGGAGGCUUGGAUGUAAUACAAACUUAUGUUUUCUGGAAUGGGCAUGAACCUUCUCCUGGACAAGUAAAUUUACAAAAUUAAACACAAAUUUUUUGAUUUAACUCAUAAACCAAAAUUAUUACCCUGACUGAUGCUUUCUCAUUUUUGUUUUGGUUUUAGUAUUAUUUUGAGGACAGAUAUGAUCUGGUUAAGUUCAUCAAGCUGGUACAACAAGCCGGUCUCUACGUUCAUCUCAGAAUUGGUCCUUACGUUUGCGCUGAAUGGAAUUUUGGGUAAAAUUAUGUUUAAUAUAAAAUAAAAUUUGUAAAAUUGUUUCUUUUUUUCAAUUUAACUGAUCUAAAGAUGUUUCAUGGAUUCCAGAGGGUUUCCUAUUUGGCUCAAAUAUGUUCCCGGUAUGGCUUUUAGGACCGACAAUGAACCUUUCAAGGUCUAAAACUCUCGAAAGAAAAGCUCUCAUUUUCCUCUUAUAAAUGUUAGAAAAUUAUCCAUUUUUGGGCGUAUUUUAUUAACCAAAAAACAUUGUUGUGAUAAUGAAAAGGCUGCAAUGCAAACAUUCACUGAGAAGAUUGUGGGAAUGAUGAAAGAAGAAAAAUUGUUUGAGACUCAAGGAGGACCUAUCAUUCUGUCACAGGUUUGUGUGUUUUCUUAUAGUUACUUAACCAAAAAUGAUUCGUUAAUGUCAAAAUUGAGCUGUAUGAAAAAAAUGGGGCACAGAUAGAGAAUGAGUAUGGACCAGUAGAGUGGACGAUAGGAGCACCAGGGAAGGCAUACACAAAAUGGGCAGCUCAAAUGGCAGAAGGACUCUCCACAGGUGUCCCAUGGAUAAUGUGCAAGCAAGAUGAUGCUCCUACCUCUAUUGUAUGUUCUUCUUCUUUUUCUCACAUUAAUUAUAACAUAUUUGCUUUUUUUAGUUUUCCCUGGUUAUAUAUUCUUUAAGCAAAAGAAGACAUAUGUUUAUUAUUUGUUUCGUUUUUGUGUAUUCUAUGUUAUUGUAUUCUCUUAAAGCUUUUCUAUUAAUAGUAUAUAUAUACCUAAUUAUUAUUCUAUUGUUUUUAGCAAAAGAAAGAGUUUGUAUAACAUUUUUGUUUGUCUAUUAUAUAUACUUUGUGAAAAGAAUAAGUUUUGUUUUCAUACUUUUUCUUCCAUAUCUUUUAAAAAUAUUUUUUUGUAUUGUUUUAUUUUUUCUCUUAAUAAUACAUAUACCUAAUAAUUAAUAUUAUACUUGUUUUCUUUUAAGAAAAAAGAAGAAGUUUAAUUAUUUAUAUUUUUGAAUUAUAGAAUCUCUUUGUGUUUGUGUUAUAUAGCUUCAAUCACCUUUCCUUAUUUAUUUUCUUGAAGGUUGAUAUUUGUUAUUCUUAAUUUUGACAUCUCAUGGUAGGUUACUAACUAUACUCUCUGUCCUCUUUUUGAUGUACCAUUCUCUUCAUUCUUCUGUUUUUGGUUAGAUAUUGUCGUUUAUAUCAGGUUAUGUGACGUGGUAAAUAACGUUUUCAGUCAUAUGAUUUCCUUUCUCUCAUAUUUUUUUUUCGUUUAAACUACAUGAGUUUUAUUUUUUGCUAUGAAUUAAAACUACAUGAUUUAAACUACAUGAUUCAUGCCUUUUCCACAAUUUAUCAUCCUUUUAAUUAAAAUUAUUGGAAUGGUAAUAAAAACUAUUGUCAAAAUAUAUUCACCACUAAUUCGUUUUUUAAACAAACUUGUACAAUAGAUAAACACAUGCAAUGGGUUUUAUUGUGAGAAUUUCAAACCAAACUCGGACAAUAAGCCGAAGAUGUGGACAGAGAACUGGACUGGUUGGUAAGUCACACAACACGACUGUCCUCACAAAACAAAAAAAUAUUAAUAACUCAAUUUUAUAAAUAUCUAAACCGAAAAUCAAUUUUUAUACCUUUUUAAAAUUAAAAAUAUACAACUGUAAGUGAAUGUGCAAAUAAUAAACCAGGUUCACCGAGUUUGGAGGUGCGGUACCAUACAGACCAGCCGAAGACAUUGCCUUCUCUGUGGCUCGCUUCAUACAUAACGGUGGCUCCUUCAUCAAUUACUAUAUGGUAACUUCAUAUUUCUCUAUUGUUGAAAUAAGAAACAAUAAAUUUGAUUAUUAGAAACAUAAUGAGAGUGAGCAAAUGUUGUUAAACAGUACCAUGGAGGAACAAACUUCGACAGAACAGCAGGUGAAUUCAUUGCUACUAGCUAUGACUACGACGCUCCGCUUGAUGAAUACGGUAAUUUUAACUCCUAUCACCUGAAAAUCAUAACGAUAUUGAACAUAUUCUAACGGGUUUUGGGUUUUGUGUUCAAAAGGGUUACCGAGAGAACCAAAGUAUAGUCACUUGAAGAGAUUGCAUAAGGUCAUCAAGCUCUGUGAGCCAGCAUUGGUCUCUGCUGAUGCUACAGUCACAUCGCUCGGCGAUAAUCAAGAAGUAAUGGAUCCAAUGCAACACAAAGCAAUAUACAUGAGAAGAGAAGAAAAAGCUUCAAAGAUUACUUAUUUACCUUUUUGUUGGCUUGUUCUGUUUUUUUUUCAGGCUCAUGUGUUCAAGUCCAAGUCAUCUUGCGCUGCUUUUCUCUCAAACUACAACGCUAGUUCUACUGCAAGAGUCUUGUUUGGCGGCUCAACAUAUGAUCUGCCUCCAUGGUCUAUCAGUAUUCUACCUAACUGCAAAACCGAGUACUACAACACCGCAAAGGUAAAUCAACGUUAAAGCUUUAUCGAACACGUUACCUUGUUGUUCUGCAAGCUUAGGAGUGGUGGUAUCACUGAGAUUGACCUAUGUGUUACUACAAGGUACAGGUCAAUGCACCAAGCAUACACAUGAAGAUGGUUCCCACAAACACACAAUUCUCUUGGGGAUCAUACAACGAAGAGAUUCCUUCUCCAAAUGACAAUGGUACGUUUGCCCAAGAUGGGCUUGCGGAACAGAUUAGCAUCACCAGAGACAAGACGGACUAUUUCUGGUAUCUGACAGAGUGAGUAAUACUUGAAAACUCUUUAACUUGCUGAAAUCUCACUAUCUAUCAUACAGACUCUACGGGAGAGAACUCACGGUUUGGUUCUGUUUGUGGAUAUAAUCAGCAUUACGAUCGGUACUGAUGAGAAGUUCUUGAAGACUGGUGAAGACCCUCUUCUUACUGUUGGGUCAGCUGGGCAUGCUCUUCAUGUAUUCGUUAAUGGUCAGCUUGCAGGUAAAACUAAGAUAGGCCAAUUACUCAUCCUCAUGGUACCUUGUCUUUGUCUUCUGUUAAAAAACCUUUCUUUGUUUCAGGAACUGCUUACGGAUCGCUGGAGAAGCCAAAGCUAACAUUUAGUCAGAAGAUCAAGUUACAUGCAGGAGUCAACAAACUUGCUCUGUUGAGUAUUGCAGCAGGUCUCCCGGUUAGUUCUCUUGAUGAAUCAUCUAGUUCCUCUCUGCGCUUUUUACCCAUGAGAACGAUUACAUCCUGAGCUUUGUGGUCUCUUAUUGCUUACAGAACGUUGGUGUGCAUUACGAGACAUGGAAUACUGGGGUUCUUGGCCCUAUCACACUGAAUGGAGUUAACUCCGGAACAUGGGACAUGUCUAAAUGGAAAUGGUCCUACAAGGUCGUCCUGAAAUUCAAGAGCAAAUAACUUGACUUUGUUGUUACUGCAUCUUUCCAACCAUCUAACAAUGAACCAAACAUUUUUUUUUUUUUUAAAUCAGAUUGGUACAAAGGGUGAGGCUUUAAGCCUUCAUACCGUAACGGGGAGUUCCUCUGUGGAAUGGAAAGAAGGAUCAUUGGUGGCAAAGAAGCAACCCUUGACCUGGUACAAGGUACGAGAAACAGAAGGAUCAUGCCUACCAACAAACAAAGUUAGAUCAAUAUAUAAUGAAAACUGAAAGACAUUCUUACAAUCUCUUUUUGCAGUCUACUUUUGACACACCAGCAGGCAAUGAACCAUUGGCUUUGGACAUGAACACAAUGGGAAAAGGCCAAGUCUGGAUAAAUGGCCAGAACAUCGGACGCCACUGGCCUGCAUAUACAGCUCGUGGGAAAUGCGACCGCUGCAGCUAUGCUGGAACUUACAGCGAGAAGAAAUGCUUGAGUAACUGUGGAGAAGCUUCUCAAAGAUGGUGAGUGAGGAAAACUACCUAAUCUUCUUCUUCUUCUUCUUAAGGCCAAAUCUGAUUCAAAGGGUUGAUUUUUUUUCUUCUUGGUUUCAGGUACCAUGUGCCUCGUUCGUGGGUGAAGCCGUCAGCGAACCUUAUAGUUGUACUUGAGGAGUGGGGAGGUGACCCCAAUGGGAUCUCUCUUGUAAAAAGAACAGCCAAAAAAACAGCUCUUGACUCCAUUUUUGCAGGAUAAAAGCUGUAAUUUUUGUGUGACCCUCCUCUGCAAAACAAAGGCAGAGUUGUAAUACAGAUUGUAUGUACAUAUUUGGAUAUUAUACUGGCUCAUAUGGAUGAAAAUUUCAUCCUUUUCCUGCCUAAUUAUAGACAACUAUAUAAAAGAAUAUCUAAUCUGCUUAGAGAAUUUCCAAUUUUCAUUUUCUUCUCUAUCUUCACCGAGCUCACUCUUGUUUAUGCUCAAGAAGAUAAGAUCAAACCCGCCGGUUUGAUUGAAUUCAAUCAAUUUUGGAGAAUACUGAGGUAGAAUCGAGCUCCCGAAACUGUAAAUUACAAUUGAUUGAUGAUGAUCUUAAGACGCAACAAAAAUUUUCACAACAAGAAAAAAUACACAGAAUUAGUACUGACGGAUCUGAGUUACCGUGAAGCAGAUAGGAAAGAUCGUUGGUACCAAAAGCUUAAAUACAGAAUUAUAGCCGAUGUCCAGAGUCAGAGAACGUUUAAGCUCCGAGAUGGCUAGUCCCAUAAACGAAGAAGAAGACUCUUCUUGACUAUCGAAAUCGAUUUCAUUUAGGAGUGUUGUUGGGCCUCCAAUAACAAAGCCCAUGUAAAGGGAAACCUAACAUUUGAGGGGAGACUUGGGACUUACGACAUCUUCGAUCGUUUAUGAUUAACAUCUCUCUAAUGAGUAAUGAUAAUUAUUCUUGGUCACUUUCAUAUCUCUCUUCAUUUCAAACUUAUUUAGCUACUUUAAGACUCAAACGAUUUAUGCAUGCAGCAUGGUAUUGUCUAAUCGUUCGACCACCCGAACAAGUACUUAUGCCUCAAGUUGCUUGUAUGUGUGGUUUGCCACUCGCUUGCUUUAAUCCCAAUCUUGAUUUUCUGGAAAGAUGAGAAAUUUGAAGAUCAUAUCUUCCACUUGCUGCAUCGUUGCGUAGAAAGACAAAGAAACAGUCUUUCCUUUUCUUUUCUUUUCUUUGUAACACAUGAGUUUUCUGUUUCUUAUCCUUUUUUUUUUCAUCACCUUUUUUUGCCUGUCUUUCCCUCUUUUUGUGUCUUUUUUUCUUUCUUCCUUCCUUAUUUUUCCCCGACUCUUUAUAUAUAUUGAAACAAUGGAAAGACGAUGAUUCUUAAAAAUUUUAAUUGAAGAUAUAUAUCAGUCACUUAAACAUAGCUUCUAACUCCUAGUAUCGAGACAUACUUUUACGGAUAUUUCUAAAUUUGUAUAAGAAAAGAUGUAACAUAUGUUGUAGAACUAACAAUAUGGACUAAAACGUUGGUAUCGACGAACAUGGCAGAUCUAUCAGUAUAAUUUAUUAGCAUGCGAUGUAGAUAAACUGUAAUUAUUAUUUAUCAUUUCGUCACUAUAGUUGUUUUAAUUUUCAAAAGCAAGUAUAAAAGGUGUAAUUUUUUAAAGAAAAAGUUUCAGCAAAGAAAAGAACGUACAUUAUGAAAAAGGGAAAAAUGUAAAGGAUGAUGGUAAAGGUAAGCAUUUUUUUUUAAAUGUGUUGGAAAAAGAAAGAAACAAAUUAGGAUAAAAAUAAGAAACAUAUAAGAUUGUCAAAAGGAAAUGUGAGCUUGAGUAAACGAAAGAUUCUGAGCAAUGCGAACGUAAAAUGAUCGUUUGUCUAUUGUGUAACAAGUUUAGACAAUUUUGUUUUUUCACCUAACUCUUACGUGACAUAUGGAUUUUUUCUAUAACAUACGAUUUUCUUAGGUGAUGGACCAGUUCAUUAAAUAGAAAUUAGUGUUUGAGAUACGUUUUAAUAUAUAACUAGAUUUUAAUCCCGUGCGUUCGUACGGAAAUUUUUUCAUUUUUUAUUUCUAAUAUAAUUUUUUAAUAAAAUUUAUUUUUGUUAUUUUUUUAAUUCAAGAAUUUUGUUAUCAUGUUUUAACUUUGAAUAGUAUAUAUAUAUAUAUAUAUUAGUAGAAUAAGAAUAAGAGUUAAUUAAGUAUAUAUUGAUUUAUAAUGUUAAUUAUCAACUUUAUUAUUAUGUAAAUUUAGAUUUACACAUAAAUAGACUAUACAUCUAUGAAUUAACUAACCCGUCUAUUUAGUUAUCUCAAAUCAUUUUUUAAUAUCUUAUAUGUUUUCAUAAACUAAUCCGUAUUAAAUUGCUAUUAUAAAUGUAUAACUUUAACAUGCUCUAUCAUAUUAUUGUAAAAUAUAAAUAUUUAUUAAUAUUAAAUAUUUGAUGCUUUAGACGGAUUGAUUAUGAUAAAUAAUACAAUAAUAUAUUUGUUUACUAUUUGUGCUAUUAUAAAAAUAUUAUUUAAAUUCAAAAUUUUAAAUUAAAUCUAAUUUGUAUUUAAAGAAUUCUAAAAUAAUUAAAAUUAUUAUCUAAUUUUUGUAAUAAAAUUAAUUAAUAAUUUUUUUGAAUUUGAAAUCAAAUUGAAUCUAAAUUUUCGUAAUUAAAUUUAAUUAAUAAAAAAUUUGAAUAAUUUAAAAUUUAAAUUAAAUAUAACCUAUAUUUAAGAAAAUCUAAUAAUAUCUAAAUUAGUAACCAAUUUUUGAAAUUAAUUAUAAUAUAAAAUAAAAGGUUAUAAAUAAAAUUUAGAUGCGUUUGGAAACAUGUAUUAAAAGUACUUCUGUUUUAAUAGAAUAGAUUUAUAAUGCAUCACAUGAUAAAGCGGACGGUCACAUAUUUUACUCUACAAAUUUGCAUUUUCUGAAACAGAAAAAAUAUAUGAUAGAUUACAGUAAAACUGCCAUAAUUUGAUAAUCUGCGUACUCCAGUCUGUUAUAAAGAUGGCAACAGACAUUGUACAAAGUUUUGUUGUUGUUUGUGAUGGGAAUGCGACCAAUUGUACUAUAGUAGAGACGAAAUAUUAAUUGAAAGGAGAAUAUUUGUAUCACAGAAUCCAUGUGUGGCUCAUGUGAACGCAUUAUUUAUUUUUGUCAAACUAGAUUUCGCUCAUUGUAGUCCAAGGUGGUACCACUAAUUAAAAAACAUAAGUAUGUUCUCAACUUUUUAGUUUUUACUAGGACAUCUACUGCAAAUCCCCCAGAGAAAAAAUAAAAGCGAAUCUAGCUAUUUAAUAUAGUUAUUAUAAAAUAUAUCAAACUGAAUAUAAUAUUAAUAGCUACGACUAUUGAGUAUUGACAAACAACAAAGUAUUUGUUUUGUUUAUCUGUUAUGUCAUCGUAAAGAAGUUACAAAUAAUGGUCAAUUGUUCAUAACAAAUAUAUUUAACUAUUUAAAAUGGAUGCCAAAUUGUCUAUAACAGAUGGAUCUAAGUCUAACUAGAAUAAAUUGCAAAUAAUGACAAAUGGAUGAUCUUUUCUCUACACUGAAACAAAACAAAACUGCAAUAUGAGAUUUAACUGAUAUUAAGUCAGGACUUCAAAAGUCUUGAAUUCAAUUGCAUUGUGAAGUUACGCAAAGUUUCAAGAUUUGCAACAACAACAACAAAAAUCUGUUAAAUAUCUGACUUUCUUAAAAUAGAAUAACCAAGAUAAAAAAGACAAAUUAAAUUAAACCAUGUCAAAAAAUGACCCAUACCCAAAAAGUCAAAGAAAAAUGGGGAAAAAAAAAUCUUACGCAGAGCUCAUUAAUGUAAUGAUUAAACCCCCAAAAAAUCUAAUAUAAAUAUUAUCCAUUUUGUUCAUUCUUCACUCUGCGACACACAACAAUGGAGCUCGUCACAAACUUGGCCAGCUGGUUUACGCCGACGACUCUCUUCCUCCUCCUCAAUCUCACCAUCGGCACCCUCUUCUUCACCAACCGGUUCGGUUCCGGUUCCAAGAAAUACCACCCGCAUCAAGAUGGUUUCGGGUCGGGUCAUACCCAUGCUCCGGCGCCGUUAGCCAGAGCUCCCUCCCUCAUAGACAGAGUCCGUUCCAUCAACUUCAAUCUCUACAAUUCUCCCACCCCAGAAUCCGAGAUCCACUUCUCCGGGUCGGAUUCUAACCCGAAUCCGCCUCCUUCUCUCCUUGAACGGGUAAAAUCCAUCAACAUGCCCUACUUCAAGUUCCCACAACACAAUUCCGAGGAAGAUUACGCUGCUUACGCGCUCAUGACCCGACCCGAUGAGACGAACCGGGUCGACAAAAUCUCGGAAGAUGACGUGCCGACCCAACCUAGAUUCGGAGCUCCGUCUCUCUUGCAGCGGGUAAAAUCCAUCAAGCUCCCUUCUUUGUAUAGAUCCGAGCCAGAUCUGAAUUCCGAGCAAACUCCGGCGAGGACGAAGUCGGAGUCGAGUAAGCCGGCGAUGAAGAACAAGAAGAAGAAGGCGGCGAAGAAGAAGUUGACGAAAUCGGCUAGCGAGAGAUCCGGGAUGGGAUACAACGGCAAGGAGGAGGAGACGGUGGAGGCCGUGGAAAAGAGACGGCCGGAGACGACGAGGGUUGAGAGAACGACGUCGAUCGGCGAAGGAGAAGAAGGCGUCGACGAUAAAGCCUCCGAUUUCAUCAACAAGUUUAAGCAGCAGCUUAAGCUACAGAGGCUAGAUUCGUUUCUACGGUACAGGGACAUGCUCAAGAACGAGUGAGUUGAAAUUACGCUUUUGCCCUUUGUCGGAAUCUGAGUUUUCCCGGCUUUUCCAGUCGGGGGCUUUGUGGUUAAAAAAAGGGAAAUACGUCUUAAUCUGAAGGGCUUUUAGGUCAUUUCCUUACGUAUCUUAUUUGUCUGUGGAUUUGGUGAUGACUGAUGAUGACAGACUUGUUGAGUCGUGGGCGUAAUUUUCUGGAUCUGGAUGCCUUGUGAGUCCUAGUGUCCUACUACUGCACUUUUCACUUUCUACUUUUUACUUUUUACUUUUUUCUUCUCCACAGUAUAAAGGAGUUUAUGGUAUCGAAAUUUAUUAAAUAUACACAUAAAAUGAGUAGAAUUUUAAAACUUACAAAGAUAUUAUAGACAAAGAGUAAAAAAAAAAGUAACUUGAGAAGUAUAAAUUUGGGGAAACAAAUGAAGUAUAAGCAAAAAACAAAAUUAGUUGCAUUAUAAAAUUGUUAGAUACAGUAAUAAGACAAAAAGAAAACAUUAAAAAAAGAAAGGUGGGAAUUGGAAUCUAAUGAACCGAACCGACUCCGGUUUACUGGGACACGAGCAAAUUUUUUCUAAUAGGAUAAGAAUUAAUGGAUUACUAAUUUACUACAACUAUAAACGGAGGAGAUACAUGUAACAGUGUGCAUGGGGCAAUACCGUAUACGCUUCAAGGUAGAUCCGCCCCUGUUCAUCGUCAUGGAUAUCUAACGUAAUCAAAAUGUUUUAUAACAUCCUAAUUUUAUUUAUUAAAAACAAUUUUUGUUACUGUCAAAUGGAUUUAUAGCUCUAUAUGUUACUCUAUAUCUAAUUAUCAUCUGCGUUGGUUGCUUCGUAAUUUUCUAAAUUAGGGUGCGUAGUUGUUGUCAGAUUUACUAUUUAUUGAACCACUAAUGACAACGAUGGGGUCACUCUUUGACAACAUGCUUGUAUCAACAAAACAUUUAUGAAGCCAUGAUUAAUCAUCCGACAAAAUAUCUAGUGACUGGAUAAUUACAACGGAACACGUUGAUCAAUUCGUCUGUUAUAUAGUGACAAAAGAAAAACAGAUAAGUCUUCAGUUAUAUCAUGAAGUUUGUAAAAAGCAAGAAACUGAUUAUAGGGACAUUUGAGAUAUGACUAAAGAGAUGAUCACGGGUCAAGGUCGAAGAUAUUUUUCGUAGAGAUAUUUUACAAGCGUAUGGGCAAACAUAAAAAUAUCUCAAAUGAGAAAAGGUAUGAUGUGAUUAUAAUUUCUUACGAGGCAAUGAUUCCAGUUGACAUGCCUCUUUAAUUAUCCCAUUCUCGUUUCCCAAAUGAUGAUGUGCAUCUAAUCUACAUACUCAAAUGUCUAGUUUAUAAUGGUGUGUAUUUUGUUUUUUCUUGGUGAAUAGUGCAUUUUGUUAUAAGAAUAUGAACGCAUUUUAUUCAGAUCAUUUUUUUUAAUAUGUAGCUAGGCGCUAGCACCUAGUCCAAUUUUUUUUGGGGGGGCAAAAUUCAGUUCUCUUUUACCGAAAUGAUUAAAGACUUUUUUUUGGGACAGACUAUGAAUUUUUUUAUGGACUAUCUUCUUAUACGAAAUAAAAAUGAGACCAGAAUUUAAAAUUAUUUAUCCUAAAGACCUGAACAUGUUAAAUUUGUAUUGUACAUUUGUACGUAAAUUAGUGUGUCAUUCAUUCAGCGAAUCAGAGUACAGAGAUAAACUAAUCAUAGCUUUUCACGAGAAUACUAUCCCAUUCCCAUUCACGAUAUUUGUAUGUACGUGAAUUUAAAAUAGACCGGGAAAUUCGGUUUACAGUUUGGUUUCAGUUUAGUUUUUUUAUUCUUUGGUUCUACUGGUUUCAUGGAAACAUAAUCCAUAUAUAUAAAACGAUGCAUUAACCAUUUAUGAUUCGUUUUGCGUGAUAUAUUCAAGUUUGAUUUGGUUAAAUUUUCCGUUUGGAUUCAGUUCAUGAUCAGUUGAAUAAUAACUUCAAAAUAGAUUAGGAAAUAAGUGGAUACCCCCACACAUCACCGUGUCUCUAAGAGACUGGUCACGUUGGACAAUGAUAGAACACACGAGCCAAGAGUAGGCAGAAACAAAUGGGGACCCACGAACAUAGGACAACUGAUCUGUUGUUACAAAGUCGUGUCAAAUUUAAACACUUACGAUAGUGAAAGGUAGUGAAGUCACAAUAAAGAUAGCAAUUUUGAUUCGUGACAAAGACAUUAUGAAAUUUGACACGUUAGGUGUAUUUUGUUAAAAUGAUAUACCACAUUGUUCUCCUGGACUUAAUAUAAAGGGUUCUUCCAUAUAAAUUGCUUAAAUUUCAUAUAUCAGCGAAAACAUUAAUAUAUAAUCUAUACAUAUCUAUAUCACUGGUUAAAAAUUACAACAUCUAUUUGAAAUACAUCUGCAGCUAGUAUACACAGGAUGCAAAGUGAAGGUCAAAACUUACGAAGGCAGCUAGUAUACACAGGAUGUAUAGUUUGAAUAUACAACUUAACUUACCCGAAGAGUCUCACAGGGGACCAUAAGGGUGGGCAAAAAUCUCGUCGACGCAUAAGAGACAUCAUUUUAGUUUCCGCAAGGUCUUUUCUCGAAAUCCCGUUUGUCUACCACCCUUAGGCGCCGAUGAGAGAGUUUACCAUUAGACCUCAUUGAUCUCGAAGUGGGAGACUUUACACAUUCCUCCUUGUCCUCACUAAAGGUCUUCAUCAGAGUCUCUUGUAGUUCCAUGUACCUUUGCUUCUUCUGUAGCCGUUUCUCAGGAGUGUCUUCUUCUACGCAAGCCAGAUGAUUCAAGUCCUCCGUGUCCAUAAAGUGAUCUAGCGAACACCGUGGGAAGUAGCGUUUCCCAAGUGAAACUGAUGACAACAAAUUAGGACCAAAAAAAAAAAAAAACAUCACUUAUCUUUUCUUCUUUUUCCGUAAGAAACAAGUAAGAAACAAUCCAUACCUGUUUUCAUAAGCGCUCUUAGUCUACACAAAUGCUCCUCUCGGAUUACAAAAGGUGCCAUGUUUAGGUCCAGCGAUGUCCUCUUUGCACAAGUGAGAUGAUCAGGCUCGAGGCUAGAAGCUGUAAACUCGCGAGUUUCCUCCAGUUUGACGAUAUCCAUUAUCACUUGUGCUUCCGCUGGAAAUAGAAUUCGAGCUAGUGCAACUAAAACAAGUAGAUACAGAGUAUAGUUAUCUCAUAAAUUAGAUCACACAACGGAACUCAAUAUAAAGAAAGAAAACAAACCUCUGUUUUCAAGAUAGAGCAACCUCAUCCUCAGUUCAUCAGGAGUCACUGGAAGAGAAGGUGAAUCUUCUCUAGGAAACCGACCUAGCUUGCUCGCAUGCUCUAGCACCUCUAUGCAUAAACCACCUUUCAUAGAGACUUUCCCUUGCUCCGUACUAGUAUUAUAAUCAGCUGCUUUAGUGAGUCGUUUCGCAAUCACCAAAGCGGUUCUACCAUCAAACGUUGUUUCCGAUGCAUUUGCACCUUUCGUCAACAGAUACACAAUAAGCUUUGGCUCGUUACGCAACGCAGCGACGUGAAGCGCCGUGUAUCCCCUCGGGUUUCUAACGUUGACAUCCGCGAGCUCAAGAUCUAUGAGGUCAAACCCGGUCUUGACAUCGCAGUGCGCGACAGCGAAAUGAAGAGCGUACGCUUCGUCUAGAUUGGUGUGUCCUUCUUUCAAAAGCAUCUUGACAAGCUCAACGUCGUCUGAGUCAAGUGCCUUGUAUAUAUUCGUGACGUGUUUGUCUAGCUUCCGUGGCUCUAGACCGAGCUCUUUGCGUAUGGUUACGAUUUGUUUGACAAUGUGUUGGGGCAAAGACUUGUCAAGAGUAACGAUUUCUACAUCAGUCUUGGCGAGAAUCUCUACGCAUGUGUCGAAAAGCUUCUUGUAUGUUUUACCACAGAUAUUAGCAAGCUUGAAUAUCACCAAGAGGUCUUCUAUGAGAAUUUUGUCUACAAUAUCAAGGAAUUGCCUCUGAAAAUGCAAACAGAGUUUAAACUCAAAAGAUGAAAAUUGCUCUGUUUUUGAUCUUAUGACUAUGUGUAUUAGUUUUUUUACCUCAUAGAGAGUAACUAAUUCGGGAAUCUGGAAAACGAAAGCCAAGUAGAGAAGCUCCACCAUGAAAUCCACCGCCGGCCGGCAAGCCACGUGGCGACAGUCCUCGUCGACGCAAUCGGAAGCUCCCUUCGGCGACGGCCUUACUCUGCCGCUGUAGACGUAAGCAAAAACAGUCACCACCGAGUCGAAACCGACUUCGUAGUCCCUCGCGAUCUCCUUAAGCUCGAGCUUCACGGCGGUGGAUUUUCUGUCCUUCGCGGCGGCGGCUAACGCGGUCUUGAAAACCGGGAUCCUCGCCGAGAGAACGCAGCGGUGGAAGGAUAUCUCCUUGCCGUCGGCGAGAACUAGCUUGGCGUCGCUGUAGAAAGUUUCCGGCGAAUCGAAGACGGAUUCGAGGCAGUUGGAGAGCAGUUGCAGCGGUUUAACCUCCGUUGCUGUGUGAAAAUCCGCCGCCGUGUAAUCGAAAGAUGACUCGGCGAAGAAGCUAUUGGCGGUUGUUGUGUUGCUGAUUACUGACGAGCCGGAGAAUCUAGCGGUGGAGGCCAUCGACCGUAUGAUGAGUUCACAAAUUCGAGAUCAGCUUGAGGAAACAAACAUAGCAGUAAAACUUGAAUAAAGUAGUGACCAAAUCACUCAUAUUAUUAAACAAUACAGAACGGUCUCUUUGGAGCAUCUGGUAAAUUUCCUGGAAGACAAUAAAAGUUAUAAAAUAAGAAAUACUUUGAAUGAAGCGGGUUUUUGGUUCCUGAUCGUGGGUCCCCUUUUGUAUGUCUCCACAGACCCAACAGUGCAGUGUGUUUUUAAAUUAAGAAGAACCAAAAAAACGGAUCACAUUGGUUUUGUACUGACGUUCCGUUUUUGGAAAAAAGAGGUUUUUUUUAUGUCAAUGGAGAAAUUAAGUGAGUUGAUUUUUUUGACAGAUUUAGACUUUGACUGAAUGGUCAACGUGGAAGGAAAACCAAAAGGAUGAUGUAAAUGGUAAACAAAAGAAGGUAUCAAUUGUUGACAAUACAUAACAAUAAUGGUUUUCUUUGACCAAAAAAAAGAGAGCUUUCUAAUCCUCCCAAAAUUUAUUUUCUCGCAUGCCUUUUUGUUCGGUGAUUAUUGUUGCUUGCAUUCGGGUGGCCUCUCGCCUUGUUGACCGUCACCAACAAUCUGAGAUCUCCCUCCCUUCUGCAGUACAAGUGAACCAAAAAGGAAGAUGAUGAUUAUCACAUUUACACAAUUCUAAGACACUGAUACAUACUACAUGAAUUAAAUGAGUAAAGUGAUUCGUGAGAAUGAAUCUACGUAUGAUCUAGUAAGCCCAUCUCUGAUUCAGCAGCUUGUAUAGCCUCUAUGCAUCAUCAUUUUACGUACCAUACCAUUCUCUCAAUCUUAUGCCGUAACAAUUUAGUCACAGCAACCUGUAUGAUCAGUGGGUCCGUAGAGCAUGUAUAUCCUAAUUUAUUUUAGGGUCUUAUGACCACGCUCAACCUAAGACUUCUGAUGUUUCUUGAUAGUACAUGACUCUCUGGGAUUGCUAUAAUGUCUUACUAUUCCGCAGGAAUUUUGGGGUUAACACUCGGAUAAAUUUGAACAAGUGACAAAUGAUGGUUACAUACCUUGUGUCCAGUUGAUGGCUGCAUAAACAAUUAAACGUAUUUUAAAAGGAUUAGUAAGCACUGCAGGGCAGUAACAAUUGAAAAAAGCAUACAAGGAGCACUUCAUACCUUCUUUUUGGUCUUGCUCUCUUCUUCAUCUUCAUCAUCCUCCUCGUCAUCCUCGUCAUCUUCCUCAUCCUCAUCUUCGUCCUCCUCAAUAUCAUCUUCCUCAUCAUCAUCUAUUUCAAACUCCUCUCCUUCCAUAGCCUCACCAGUAAACCAUGAGACAGCACGAGGGAUAAUCUUGUCCCGGAUAGUAGAUCUGCAGGAAGCAAGAAGGAUACCACUAGUUAGCAACUCAUACGCAGAUCAAUGGUUCCAUAACCCAACAGAACAAGUAUUUUCAGGAAAAGACGCACCCAAUGUCAUAGUCUUGUUCCAUCAGAUUUUGAAGUUCCUCAGCCUGCAUAAAAGAAUGGGAGACAUCACUAAAUACGCUACCUAAAUGAUGACAAGCUUUUACAACAGUUGAUAUCAUACUCUGUCCUCGUCGAUAUCUUCAUCUUCAUCCGGGACUUCUGGAGGACUAAAGAAGUUGAAGAAGCUUUCACAAUCUUCCGUUUUGGUGAUCGGUUUGGCGUUCUUUGAAUCCUUCUUAGGCUUCUUCUUAAGAAUCUUCUGAGUUAGACAUUUUCCAGGAUACCAAUCAAUUUCUGUCCUGAAGUAAGGCAAAUAAUAUAAGUGAAGACGUUAUUCUACAGCUUAAUGCAAUCAGCUACGCACAGACUAGACAUAAAGUAUACAACAUUUGUAGGAGAGCAUAAGCGGUUACCCCAUAGCCUUCUCAAGCAGUGGCUCAUCUUCAUCAAUCAUAUGAUAAGACUUUGUCAAGACAGUGUUUUUAAAAUAGGGAUUCGAGUCAAAGAAAAACUCAAGUUUGAAUCCUUUUGGUUCUUCAAUCUUGCACCACUUGAUAUCCUUAAGAUAUUUGAGAGCCUCUUCAUCACGCUCUGUGACCUGACAUGAAGAACAUUAAGCUAUGGUCAUUUUCCAUGUUUAUGACUGGAGUGCGUCUAAAAUGAAUACCAAAACUGCAUAUAGGAUACCUCCUCGGAAAGAACAUCAUUAUUUUUCAAAGCCGUCAGCCAGAAACUUGGAACUCCUUUCUCUUCUGAGAGGCAACACAUUAAAACAUGUUUACUUCUUUUUAUCUUUUUAAAAUGUUUAGUAAAGAUAACAAAAAAAGAAGAAGAAGAAGACAUUGUGUUCCUGAAGUUACCUUCUGCAGUUUUUUCCUCUCCUUGGUCCAUCUUUGUAUCCUCUGGAGUAAGUUCGACUUCAGUAGUUCCAUUCACAAUCUCAUAACGCUGUGCAGUAUAAGAUGCCAAGUAGAAUUCAUGAGAAAUUUUGAGAUAUACAUAUAUAUAACUACCACUGCUGCAGAUAAGUAGACAUUAGCAAAAAGAGUAUACACAGAUUUCAAUCGAUUUUCAUUGCUUUGAUUAAAUGAUUUUGAUAACAGAUGAACUAACCAAAUCUCACAGCAAAAUCUGACUUUCUCACUAACAAUUACCUUGGUAUACAAAGGCUGAUACAACUUUUGAUACUUGGCUUCAAGAACAGCUCUCUCCUCACGGAAUUUAGCCUCUAGUUCAUCGUGUUGGCCCUGAGUGGAAAGAAAUCACUGGUAAUCAAAAGGCAACAUCUUACUUUGAAACUUGACACUCUAAUAUGGAAGGAGAUUACACUCACACACAGACAAAAAAAGGGAUGCACAAACCCAAUAUCAAAUUACAAGGUACCAGACACACUCAAUUGAAUACUACAAGUCCAGAAAAUAUAAGGAAAUCUCCCUAACCUGUAUAUCUCUCAAGGCAUCGACACGCCUUCUCACGUUAGGAGUCAGAUUCUCGAGCACAUCAGAGCGCUGUCCAGCCAGAUUCUGCAGCUUGUCCUGUAGAAGUAACAUAUAUAACAACUGAAAAAUAAUCUCCAAGGAAACCAUAAACUAUAAUUCUGCUAAAACAAACAAGGAAUGGCAUUUAAAAUCCUAAAACACCAAACCAAGGCACGCGUUACAGUAUCUAAUCAACAAGACACAGACGCUAAUAGAAACGCCGAGAAAAGUAACUCAAAAUCCUCCAUAUCCUUCAAUAGCAAUGCUAACGGAACGUUUUUUCAGAAGAAAACAGCUCACCUUAAGAGCGUUCACAAGCCCAGUUCGAUCCUCAUCCUUAAGAGCUGGAAAAAAAAAAAAAAACGAGAGAGCAAUGGUCAUCAACCACGAAGAAAUUAGGGUUUAAGAAGCACUCGCUUAAGAAGCGCAGAAAGAGAGACAGAGUAAUCGGAGGGGAAACUUACCAGCAGUAAGAUCGGCGAGGCUGAAGUUGUCCUUGUCGUUGCUCAUUUUUCUGAGGAUUUUGGAGAAGAAAGGUUUGAAAGUGAGAUAGGAAAGAGAUUUGUACAGUAGCAGAAGCAGAAGAGAGGAGGGUUUGUUUUGGGAGGCGAUUAUAAAUAGAAAACGUGGCUUCCCUUAAAUCCUCUCCCUCCCUCUCACAGCAAAAUUUAUAAACCUAGCAAUUAACUGCCAUUUAAAUUUCCUAAGGUUAUAAAUAAGAUUAUUCUCUCUUUUUUCUUUCAAGUUCUGAAACUUUGAGUUAUCUAUGUUACUAAAAUAGUAUAGACUUGUGUGUUCCAUGUCAUUUUUUAAUGUGUUAAUUUAUUUCAAUGUCAGCCAAAAAUUUCAAUGGCUAUGCAAAAUUGAUUACUUUUUUACCAAAAAAAAUACUCUAACAAGAACUUUAGUUAUCAUCACAUAGUUAAAAACAAGAUGUUGUGAAAUCUAUUAUCUAGUUUAAUUUUUUUUCAAUAUUUUAAGAAAUUAAAAUAAACAAGUAAGCAAAAGAUGAAUUUGUUUCGGAGACGUUUAUCCAAUAAGUUUCAUUAUGGGAAUAUUCCAUAGUAGUGGCCAAAGGGCCAAUAACCAACCGGCCAAGAUGUUGAUUUUCUUGGCUUGCUGUCUCAAAAAGGAACGAGAAACAAAGGUUGCGGAAUAAAUCACUCACUCUUGUCCUCGUUCCUCUGCUUCUUUAGAUUGGUAAACAAAAUCUUUCAUAAUCCUUAAACAGAAAACCGAAAACUUACUACCGCUUAGCAAAUUAUCAACUGCUUGCUAAUGCAACAGAGGCUUUGACAUUUCCCAACCAAAAAGUGUAUUUCAAGAGAGACGAAAUGGUUAGGUAAGCAGCUCCAUUGAUAGAUCAAAGAAAUUGCUCAGAAAUAAAGAAGCGGUUCCGGGAGAAACUAUUGAACCUUCUUGAGAUACUGGAUGGUUGCAUCAUUAGAGGAUAAUGCCAAAAGAAGCACUUGACUUGAUCCUGCACCAAAUUCUGGAUAAAAGCCUAGCAGUGCUGCUGAACUUCAAGGAGAUCAAAAAGAAGAUAUCUGAAACUCUUAUUAGUACCAGUCUCUGAAAAAACAGAGACAUCAUGGGCUUGUGUGCUUCAACCCAUUACUAGCUGAUGUAGCCCCCUGUCCUAAGAACUUUAGACUCGGGUUUCUGUGUUCAUUUCUUGAUCUCCCUGCACCAACAAGCGUUGCAAAGGGAAUACCCAGUAGAUGAACCAUUUGUCAUUUUUUCGCACUUUGAUUCUUGGCAACUCUGUAAAACCGUCAUGGUUUAUUAUUCAUGUACACACAUAUAUACAUAUAUAUCACAGUUCAGAAAAUCGCUGAUUCAAAAAGUUCCAGCAUUUCGUUGAAACACACCUGCAGCUGGAAUACACAUGAUGCAAAGUGAAGAACAAAACUAUAUAGAGCCAACGAUAGACAGAGACAAUAAGAAGCAUGAAAAUUGAAAUAUAUAUGGUACAACAAAUAUUUACCCCAACAAUAGUUUCACCGACGCCGGUGUGAGAGUUUACCAUUAGACCCCUUUGUAGCAGUUGAUUUCGAUGUGGAAGAAGACGAAGCUGAGGGAGACGACUUUCCCAAUUCCUCCUUGUCCUUACUAAAGGCGUUUUGCAGAUUCUUCUGUAUUUCCAUGUACCUUUGCCUCUUUUGCAGUCGUUGCUCAGGAGUGUCUUCCUCUAUGCAAGCCAAUAUACUCAAGUCCUCAGAGUCCAUAAUCUCAUCGAGCUCUGCCGAACAGCGUGGGAAGAAGCGUUUCCCGAAUUCCACUGAUGAUACAAAAUUUUAAGGAAACAAGCUCAGGCAGGGUUCAUUUCAGUUAUAUAUUACAAGUGACAUAUCCAUGUUUAAAGAUCAUUUAGUUUUCUCCUUUGUUGAUAACAAGUAGAUGAAACGGGUGAGAAAUAAUACCGGUUUUAGAAAGCGCUCUUAGUCUACUCCGAUGCGUUUCUAGGAUUUCGAAAGGUGCCAUGUAUUGGUCUGGUGAUGCCCUCUUUCCACCAAUGAGACAGUCAUCGAGGCUAGUCACUACAAACUCGCAUGUUCCAUUCAUUUGGGCGAUGUCCAUUGCAACUUGUGCUUCCAUUGGAAAGAGACAUCGAGCCAUUUGAACUAAAUAGCAGAUAGGAAGUAUAGUUAUCAUUAGUUCACUCGAUCUCCUAACAGAGCACACAUAAUCUUAUUCAUAUAAGCGCUGAAGAACCUAAUCUUACGUUUUGACCUUAAUGUAAGAAAUCAAGGAAUAAAAGUUAAUAGAUACCUCUGUUUUCAAGAUCAAUCAACCGUAUCUUCAACACAUCAGCAGCCUCUGCAAGAGAGGGAGAAACGUCUGCAGGAAAUGGAUCUCGUUUGUCUGGUUGCUCUAGUAUCUCUACGCAUAGUCGGCCUUUGGAGGAAGGCUUGCCUUGCUCCGGAAUAUAAUUAUACUCAGCCGCCUUAGUGACUUGUUUUGCGAUCAAGAGAGCGGUUCUACCGUCAAAAGAUAUUUCUGAUGCAUUUGCCCCUUUUGUCAAUAGCAAUGCUAUCAGGUUUGGCUCCUUGCGCAUUGCAGCAACGUGAAGCACCGUGUAUCCCCUCGCAUUUCUAUGGUUGACAUCCGCAAGCUCCAGUUUCAGGAGAUCCGUCGCGGUUUUCACAUCGCAAUACGCAACAGCAAAAUGAAGAGCGUACGCGUCGUCUAGAUUCGUGUGGCCUUCGUUCAAAAGCAUAACGACAAGCGCAACAUCAUCUGACUCGAGUGCCUUGUGUAUAUUCGAGACAUGUUUCUCUGGUUCAGGUGCCUCAAAACCAAGCUCUUUACGGAUGUCAACUAUUUGCUUGACAAUGUGCUGCGGCAAUGACUUCUUAAGACUAACUAUAUCUACAUUAGACUUGACAAUGAUCUCUCUACAUUUUUCCAAUAGCUUCAUGCAUGUUUUACCACAAAUGUUAGCUAGCUUGAGUAUGAACAAAGUGUCCUCUACGAUAACUUUGUCUACAACAUCCAGUAAAUGCCUCUGCAAUGCAAAUAGAGCCGAGUUAGAAACCACUGCGAUAGCAAUUUUAGCAGAUCGUGUUUUACCUGAUAGAGCGUAAUCAGUUCCGGAAUCUCGAAGACGAAAGCCAAAUAUAGAACCUCCACCAUGAAAUCCACCGCCGGCCGGCAGGCCACGUGGCAGCAAUUAUCGUCUGCGCAUUCAGAAACUCCCUUCGGCGGCGGCCUCACUCUGCCGCAAUAUACGUACGCCAAAACAGCCACCACGGAAUCGAAUCCGACGUCGUAAUCCGUCGCGAUUUUCUUCAGCUCGAGCUUCGCGACUGUGGAUUUUUGCUCCUUCUCGGCGGCUGCUAACGCGCUCUUGAAGAAGGGGCUUCUCGCGGAGAGAACGCAUCGAUGGAAAGAUACCUCCCGACCAUCGGCGAGAACCAGAUAGGCGUCGCUGUAGAACGCUUCCGGCGAGUCAAACACGGACUCGAAGCUGUUGGAGAGCAAUCGAUACGCAGAUACCUCCGGUCCGGCGAGAACUUCCGACGGAUAAACAAUAGAUGACUCGGUCUUUUCCGUAGGUGCUGGUGUGGCGAAGAAGCUAGUGCUGCUUGUGUUGCUGAUUUCAUAUGAAUCGGAGAAUCCCGCAAUGUUAUCCAUCAACCGCCCGAUGAAUUCAGAAAUUCGAGAUCACAAGCAGAGAGAUGGUGAAACUUCUCCAAUCAACGAAUAAACCUUAUCAAUCGAACCGCUUAAGAUCGCAGAGAGAGGUUCGGGAGAGAAGAUAAACCAUUGACGAGCACACUAAGCUAGCGAGUGCCAAGUCAAUGAGAGAUAUAGAGAGUGGUGGUGAGAGAUGAAGGAGGCAUCGACGGUCGGUAAAUUUCCUGAAAUGGCGAAAAUGUAAAGGGAGAAUUUUGGUACAUUUGGAGAGCCAAAUUUGCUUAACCGAUUAAGAACCGAAGGUACAGUAUGUCCAGCUUUCAAAACCAAACCGAACGGAACCGGAAUAUAUGCAGAGGUGAAAAUGAAUUAAAAAACAAAUUUACCUUACCCGCAAGAAAAGAGGCAACUUUCAGAAAAAAACAUCCUCAUCGUUUUCUGUCCAUCAAAGCUCUUUUUUAUCUUCGUUUUCAAUUCUUGAGAGAGGAGAGAGAGGAGCAUCCCAGAAAACGACAUUCCGUUUAAAUGGAUUCUUUUCUCCAGAUCGAGAUGAGGAGGAUGAAGAUAAUCAUGGGGUUUUGAUUUCUCAGGCCUAGUCGGCGAAAAAAAAUCCGCGGAAAUCUCCAUUUUUCAUUCCGUAAUCUCAUUGUUCGUGAUCUCUGGGUUGUUCUGUUCUUUUCUGCGGAACUUCUGGAUUGCUGGUGCGGCUGAUUCCGGUUGGAACGGUUGUUUCGGGUUCCUCCUCUCCCAUUUGAAUCUGCGUUUGGGUUGAGAUUUGUAAUUAGGGUUUCGUUGCUAUUGAUGGAAUCACGCGUGGGAAAUAAGUUUCGGCUUGGCCGGAAGAUCGGUAGCGGUUCGUUUGGGGAGAUCUAUCUCGGUUCGUCACUCUCUCCGUUUUCUUUUUUUCUGUAUUCUCGAAAUCGCCGUCUGAGUUUUGACAUGUGUGCAUUGUUGUUAACCUUGUGAUUUUCAGGUACUAACAUUCAAACGAAUGAAGAAGUGGCGAUCAAGCUUGUGAGUAUUGUUGCUUGAGUUUGAUCAAUGUUGAAAGUAAUUUGGCAUUGUAAAAAAUCUGGAGUUUUAGGGAUUAGUAGCAACAUUGUCACCACAUGUUUUAGUUUGAUCAUGUUCAGUAUGUUGAAAUUUGAGAUUGAAUCUCCAUGUUUUUGUUUUCCCAGGAAAAUGUGAAGACAAAACAUCCACAGCUGCUCUAUGAAUCGAAGUUAUAUAGGAUUCUACAAGGAGGAAGUAAUGAUCCAUAUCUUCUGAAAUAUCUGUUCCCGAUAAUGAGCUCUUGAUUCUUUGUUUUCCAUUUCUGUUUCUUAUGACCUCUGUUUUUGCCUUUGAAUUUGCUAGCUGGUGUUCCAAAUGUCAAAUGGUUCGGUGUUGAAGGGGACUACAAUGUUUUGGUGAUGGAUUUGCUAGGACCGAGUCUUGAAGAUCUGUUCAAUUUCUGUAGCAGGAAACUUUCCUUAAAGUCGGUCCUCAUGCUUGCAGAUCAAAUGGUAAACCCCUUUGUCUUCAUGUGAUGCUUUUCUUUCAUUUUGUUUGUCUAUAUUUUGCCGUUUUAGUAAAAAAUAUAUUUGAUUUUCUGUUUAAGAUAAACCGUGUUGAGUUCUUCCAUUCAAAAUCCUUCCUUCACCGAGAUCUAAAGCCAGACAAUUUCCUGAUGGGCCUUGGAAGGCGAGCCAACCAGGUUUAUCAUCUUUUGUCCGAACAAUCUAUACUUUCGCUCUUAUUUUACUUUUGAAGAAACCAUUAGAUUGACUAAGUUUAUUUCUUCCCUAAGGUAUACAUUAUCGACUUUGGUCUUGCUAAAAAGUACAGGGAUAGUACAACACAUCAGCACAUUCCCUACAGGUGAGGCAAUAUCAUUAUAUCAGUUCUUGAAUGUUCUUACUUCAAGCAUGAUGUGUCGUUAUGUGAUGACUGAAUACACUUGUGAUUCCCAUUCGCAGAGAAAAUAAGAACCUGACAGGAACUGCACGAUAUGCUAGUAUGAACACCCACUUGGGAAUUGGUAAGCUCAACAAGACCUGUUUCACGUUUAUGUGUUCCAGUGUCUCUCCUUAUAUGUUUAAGUAUCAAAAUUUGACACACUCUGCUGUUAUUUGUUUUCUGCUAUUGUGAACCUCAAGAACAAAGCCGAAGGGAUGAUCUCGAGUCUCUUGGUUACAUCCUUAUGUAUUUCCUCAAAGGAAGGUGAGUUUAUGCUACAUGCCUCACAUCACUUCGUUUCUUGUAAUGUUUCAUUGUGAUGACAUGUGGAAUAUCUUGGUCUCAGUCUUCCCUGGCAAGGACUGAAAGCUGGAACCAAAAAACAAAAGUAUGAGAGAAUUAGCGAAAAGAAAGUUUCUACAUCCAUUGAGGUACAUAAGUCCAUUUCACAAGUAUGCUGCUUUCUGACUCCGAUUUAUGUCCCCCUAUCUGAUUUUAUAUGAUCGCCUUGUAGGCCUUAUGCCGUGGUUACCCAUCCGAAUUUGCAUCUUAUUUCCACUACUGUCGGUCGCUUCGUUUUGAUGAUAAACCAGAUUACGCUUAUCUCAAAAGGAUAUUUCGAGAUCUCUUUAUCCGUGAAGGUUUUGAAAAAAUUUCUUCUCUCUGAACGAGCUAGUCCACAAAGAUCAUUUUCUAAAAGGAUUUCAUUACUCUGUUGCAGGGUUUCAAUUUGAUUACGUGUUUGACUGGACUAUCUUGAAGUAUCAACAAUCAAAACUAACUGCUCCCCCAUCUCGUUCCCUUGUAAGUAUGAUUUGAGUUCUCGGUUAAUCUCUCUCUUCUUGCUGGAAAUAAUCUGAUCGAGUCUCUUUCUGCUGCAGAAUCCUGCGGUUGGAACUAGCGCAGCGUUGCCUCCGGGCAUUUCCAACAUCGAUAGAUACACUGGUAGAUUUCCCUGAUGAGUAAUUAUUUCUCUAAAAAUAUAAUUCUCAUUCCUAUGCACAAAACUUGGCAUUGACAUUGUUUGUUGUUCCUUUGUUGCACCAAAGGCGAGGAAGAAGGGAGACCGGUUGGUUUCUCACAUACAGAAUCAUCUCGACGGAGAGUUUCAGGCGCUCUUGACAACUCCGGGAAUCUUUCGAACCAACAGACAUCCUCAAUUACUAGAGACUCCAUGGUAUGAAUAUGAAUUCCUCUACUCUUGUUCUCUCCCAAUCAAACCUUUUGCAGGUUUAGAAUUAGAUACAAGUUACGUAUUCAAUACUAUUUUUUUUGGGUGUAGCAGAUCCCGAGCUCUUCAUUGUUUGCACAAUCAGCAGGAUCAUCGAGGAGAGUAACGGCAGUGAGUAGCAGCCGAGACAAUUACGUUGGCGGCGAGGAGUUGCAGAGAAGCCGUACAGGUGAUGUUAGCCGCGGAGGCAUGAUCCCAAGGAACUCUCCGGUGGAGGCGGCGAAGAGGUCUUCUUCCUCCACAAGAAGACAAUACGAAUCAGCCAUUAAAGGCAUCGAUACUCUUCAAGUCUCCGACGACAAAACUCAUCACCACCACUAAUACAAUAAUUGUGUACUUGCCCGUAUUGGUCAACGACCUCACAAGUUUCUUGUAUGUUUUUUUGUCUUCUAAAAAGAAGUUAACAACACUACCAAAAUUUAAGUACAGUUGAGUUGAGUUGACUUGAUUGUCUCUUAACUAACGAUGUCGUAUCAUUAGUGAAAGUAAUAGUAAAUAUCCGGAAUUCUGGGGCGCAAUUCAAUAACUACAAAUAAAAAGGAUGCACAAAUUUAAUAAAUUUUAAAGUCAAAGCAGAACUCUUCGACUCUUCCAUUUGGUUCGACCAUUUUCCCUCGAUGAGCUCACUCGCUGGAGCCCUAAUCUGAGAAUUGUUCCAGAGAUCUGAUAACUGUUUGCGAGGAUAUUCGGUGAGUUUUAGGCUUCCGUCGUCAUCUUCAUCUUUUCGUUUUAUAUUUAUUUGGUGUCAUCACUCAUGAGAUCUGGUUGAUCACAGUCAGUUCCUGAAUUCUCUUUCACUGUAUUUCAUCUGCACAAAACGAUUAACAGCUAAAAUGCGUAAACAUAUGAUUGGGUCUAGCUUACUAUGCAAUGAUGAUUUUUUUGGAACAUUUUUCUUGUAAUCAUGGUUUCAUUGGAGUUUGUUAUUAAUUACUGUAAUGGUAGGAAUGGGCGACGACAACCCACCUCCUGGCAAAGAAAAAGCAGAACAAAAUGUUGAAGUAAACACAUUAGUUGGGGACGAUGCUGCAAUGGAAUCUAUAGCUCGAAGAUUCCAGGACUCUAUCUCAGUGGAAAAACCACACAAGUUCUGGGAAACUCAACCUGUUGGGCAGUUCAAAGACAUCGGGGACACGAGUCUACCUGAAGGCCCAAUCGAGGCUGCAACACCGUUGUCUGAGGUCAAGCAGGAGCCUUACAACCUUCCUGCUGCUUACGAAUGGACCACAUGUGACAUGAAGUCUGAUUACGUAUGCUCAGAAGUUUACAACCUUCUAAGGAACAACUAUGUCGAGGAUGAUGAGAACAUGUUCAGGUUCAAUUAUUCAAAGGAGUUUCUUACUUGGGCUCUGCGUCCACCUGGCUACUACCCUAGCUGGCAUAUAGGAGUUCGUGCCAAGACUUCGAAGAAGCUUGUUGCUUUCAUCAGCGGCGUGCCGGCUAGAAUCAGGGUGCGUGACGAUGUUGUGAAAAUGGCUGAGAUCAAUUUCUUAUGCGUUCACAAGAAGCUCAGGUCUAAGAGGCUUGCACCUGUCAUGAUCAAGGAGGUUACGAGGAGGGUUCACUUGGAGAAUAUUUGGCAAGCGGCCUAUACUGCAGGUGUUGUGCUUCCGACACCAGUUGCGACCUGCCAAUAUUGGCACAGGACCUUGAACCCGAAGAAGCUCAUUGAUGUCGGAUUUUCAAGGCUUGGUGCAAGAAUGACAAUGAGCAGAACCAUUAAACUCUACAAGUUACAAGAUGCACCAGUUACUCCUGGAUUCAGGAAAAUGGAACCGUGUGAUGUCCCUGCUGUAACACGGUUGCUCAGGAGUUAUCUUAGUCAGUUUCUCGUUGCGACAGACUUUGAUGAGAAUGACGUUGAGCACUGGCUUCUCCCAAGGGAAGAUGUUGUGGACAGUUAUCUUGUAGAAAGCCCGGAGACCCAUGAUGUUACUGACUUCUGCAGCUUCUACACUCUUCCUUCAACAAUCCUCGGCAACCCCAAUUAUACAACACUGAAAGCUGCUUAUUCAUACUACAAUGUGGCCACCAAGACUACUUUUCUCCAGCUGAUGAAUGAUGCUCUAAUAGUCGCCAAACAAAAGGGUUUUGAUGUGUUCAACGCAUUGGAUGUCAUGCACAAUGAGAGUUUCCUAAAAGAGUUGAAGUUUGGUCCAGGAGAUGGGCAGCUCCACUAUUAUCUCUACAAUUAUCGUUUAAGAAGCGCCUUAAAGCCAUCAGAACUUGGGCUGGUGCUCUUAUGAGCUCAUGUAUCAUCUUCAUAGUCAAUUGGAAUCAGCAAGCUGGAGUUUCGGGUUUUUUUUUUCAUAUUUGUUCUCAAAACUUGUUUGCCUAUUUUCUUUCGUAUGAACCUCUUCUCCAACCUCCCUUGGGAUACUGAUGUGAAUUUAAUUUAUUGUCAAUGGGAAUUUGACGUUUCUGCAAUUUUGAUCGAUACAGUUGUCACGGUUUUUAGUUAUGCUUAUGCCGUUUCAUCUAUUCCCAUUUUUUAUGGCUUUGUUUAAUUGUUCUUGCAUUCUCCAUGACCUCUUUUUUAACUAUAUUCUGCACUUCACAAUGUUGCUGUGCUCAUAAUCUGUUAAGAAUCGGCAUCUGUGGCUGCUCUGUUUUGUUCACUUCGGGUUAUAAAGUGACAUGUUACAGGCAGCAAUGAAACGGCCAUGCAGCUAACAUAUUGGUAAAGUCUACUCAAAACUCUUCAUAUUUCUCUAGCAACAUUGUUAACAUUCAUUGGUUUUCAUGUACAUAAUUGACAGAUGUUGAUUUGUACAGAGUGAUCCUAACUCUCAUAUCAAUUUGGAACAAAGUGCGGUAAGCAACAAAGCACUUUGUUUGGCUGAUUCUUUUCCAAUGCAUCCCACCAUUUCUCAUCACAGUAAACUGUUGGCAAGUUCGUCAGGACCCUUUCCUGAAAUGGGAGUUUCUUCACUUUGGGACAGUUAGUGAUAACUAAAGUUUCUAGUUUUUGGAAAGAGAAUCGAGAUGGAAGGAUGCUGCUUAGUUCUGGUAAGUCCCUGAUUGACAAAGUCUUCAGGCUUGGGAACAAUGCUGUAUCUUCAACGGAUGGGCUCUCCCGUUCACUAAUCAGUUCCUCUAGCUCUCUGCAGUCGAACAGGUCAAUCACCUCUAGCUUUGGGAGUUGCGGAACCCAUGAGACGUUCUUCAGCUUGUGGCAGUGUGAAAUGUUAAUGCAACGGAUAUUCCGCAGACAUUCUUGGCUUACAGAAUUUCCCCACACUCUGCUUAAUUUAUGGAGGCUGUGUAAUGUCAAAACCUCUAGACUUGGAAGCCAGUCAUUUUCAACUUCUGUUGGUGGGAUCAGGUACUCCAAGUCAUGGCAGCUUUUGAUGCUGAGUCUUCUCAGGCUCCUACCAUGGUUACUGAGUGAUGGGAGAUCGAAAUAGAGAAGACCAUUGCACUCUUCUACGUGCAGAUUCUGUAUACGUUUGUGUAAGGCGCCAAACUCGUAGAGAGUUUUUAGUGUCUCCAGUGAGAGAAUAGUGAUGCCGAGUGUGGUGAGGUUUUCCAAGUGUUCCAAGUCGCCAAACCCGAGUUCUUCUAUUUCAUCUUCUCUAAAGCUCUGCAGUUCCCAACCAGCGUAACUGUAGUACAGGUUCAGAACCUCGAGUUUGCUCAGCCAACAUAUGGCAUCUCGCGGGAUCGUCUGGAGAAACUGAGUUCUUUGCAGGUCCAGAUGCUUCAGCUUUCUAAGAUUCCCAAGCUCUUGGGGCAAUACACUUAUCUUUGUUCCUGACAUAGCUAGAUGAUACAACUCUACCAAAUACUUAAUAGACAAUGGAAUCUCAGUGAUACUUAUGAAGGACAAGUCAAGAACCCUUAGAAAAGGCAUAUGCGUGAAAAACCCUGUUGGAAUCUUCUUCAAAGAGCCGUUCUGUUGGAGCAUCAAUGUUUUCAGAUUCAGACAUACCGGUUUUUCAGGCAAGGUCUGGAUUCUGUUAUCUAGCAAUGAAAUCACCAACGCUUGUCGCCAGUUUUCUGCUUUAGGUGCUUCAGUAAGUCCCAUGUUAGGCUCUACUAGGAUCAGCUCCUUAUAAGUCCCCUGUUCAGAAGCCAUCCAUAGUGCAAAGCUUCUUACCACAUUAUGCAUCUUCACCUGUGUUUUCUCAUCUCCUGAUUCCAACAAACACGCCGCUUUCAGAUCUCCAAUCAGAAAAUAUCCCUUGUAUAUAGUGUUGACGCCAUGGGAGCUGGUGAGAAACCCUUCUCCGACCCAGUACUCAACAAGCUGUUCAAUCUCAAUAGAAUGUUCUUCCGGGAACAAAGCGCAGUACAAGAAACAAGUUCGAAGCAGAUCACUCUCGAGAUUGUCAUAGCUGAAUUUCAAAAGUGCAAACACAUAGUCCAUACCCUUCAUCUCUGCUGGAAACCUGUUCAGAACUUCACUCGCGUGAAUCCACUCUUCUUCUGUCUCUCUAUGAGCCAUGGCCCCUCCUAAUGUGAUCAACGCCAGAGGCAAUCCACCGCAUUUACUCACAAUAACCUCAGCGAGCCGGCGAAUCGAAGGUGACUCCAAGAGAUCGUUUCUUCCAACUUUAUCACAGAAGAGCUCCCACGCGUAUUGCUUCUCAAGAAACUCCACUCUCAACUUGAACUCCGCACCCAUGUUGCUGCAUAACGCCAUGGAUCGUGUCGUGAACAUAACCUUGCAUUUGUUUUCCCUGUCAGGUCGAGGAACUCCAGCUUUCUCCAAGUCUAUCUCUUCCCAGACAUCAUCAAGCAGCAACAAGAACCGUUUCUGUUUCAAAGCUCUGUAUAUCUUCAAAGCUCUAUGUUCCCCUGUCUCCUUCUCGUCCCAAGAUAAACCCAAACUCGCUCCAACAGCUUGCUGAAUUGUACACUCGCCGAAUUCUCUGGACAUUGUAACCCAUAUAAGUACAUCAUAGUGAUGACCUUUUGUGAUCAGCUCGUUAUUAAUGCUCUGCAUCAGCGUCGUCUUCCCAACCCCACCAGGUCCAUAAACCCCAAUGAUUCCUCUUUCUUCUUCUUCUUCACUUAGAAACUUCCAAACCUUUUCAAUCAUUGCAGUAAUCCCAACCACAGACUUGAUCGGUAUCUCUCUACUAGUCACCUGAAUCGACCCGCCAUAUGUUUUUAUAUCUUUAGACCGUUCUCUCAGCUCAGUGAUGUUCUUCAAUGUCGUCAAGACUUUCUUGCUCAGUUUGUGGUCGGCACAACCGAAGCAACCGAGGCAUCUCCUCCGAAUUCUUGUCCUCUGUUGGCGAUGCAUAAACCUUGCUAUAAUCGAUUCUGCUUUAACCUCGGCUGCUUUCACCGCACUGAGCCACUCUCUGGCAUGGUUUGUGCUUCUUCGUCCCUCUAGUUCGUGUUGCUGGAUCCGUAGAUUCAGGUCGUCACGUAUGGCUUUCAGUUCACCGGUGGCUGUUUCGAGAUCACUGAUGGCUUGCUUAAGAUCAGUCUUGUGUCCUCGUCUCCCUGCCAUAUUCAUAGAUUCACACAACACCUGAGCUAAGCCCACGAGUAGAGAUGAGAUGAAAUCCAUCUUGACGGUUUCUCGCUCUUUCUUUACUUGUCUGAGCAAACUAACUAUUAGUUAAUUAUUCGCUUCCCAUGGUCGAUCUGAUCAUAGAGAUAAGGUGAAAGUUGACUCAUAAAGUCAAGUCAAUGAUAAUAGGCAUUUUGUGACUUGGUCCAAGAAACGAGUAUAUUUGGAAAAGGAAAACUAAGAUAUAGAGUAAAUUAAUACUACUAGUACUAACAAUAUUUCGAACCUUUAUUCAUGCUUCUUGUUAAUGUUCCACUCGCCGAGUUAAGACCCACAAUAACAAACCGGCCCAUUAAGAGUCUUUCGAUUCCAAUAUGUGUAAGACAUUGAAAUUUUGAAUCGCCUUCUAUACAGUGUCUCCUGCAUUGUCAAAUCAAGACCUCCAUUGCUGACUUGCUAAAAAAGUCCUCAUGUUAAGAUUAGACUUUCUAGGAAAUCGAAUUGAGAAGACAUAUCAAGAGAUGAUGAGUUUUAAUAUAUGAAAUAAGAUAUAACCUGACCCUAUACUAUCCCUUUAAGCUCUCGAAAUUUCUAAAUGGUGAUCGAUUGCAUGCUGAUGCAGGAAUGGCUAAAGUAGCAUUGUUACAUACUGAUUCUUAGUUAGUACAUUGAUCAUUAUACGUAAUUAUUCUUAUAGGAAACAUAUCAUAAUUGAUAUGAAUUGAUGAUGCUCAUAGACACACUACUCAGGAUGUGGUCCAUUUACUUUACGAUGGUGUCAUAAGUUUGUGGGAUCAUAAAUAAAUAAAAAACGCUUAAGAGUUGAAAAUAAAAGUAAGUUUUCUCUUUUGUUAAUGGAAACAGCAUAUCAAAAGACUCGAAUAGCCUGUUUCACCGAAAAUGGGAGGCAUAUAUGAUGUGAAUGGAUGUAAUGAUAUACUACUUUGUCCCAUAUUUAAUUAAAAACAUAUCUGUAUAUAUAAAAUUAACUAAUGGUAUAUAGGACCGUUCUUUUUAUUUAGUUCGGUUUUGAUUACGAGUUGAACAACCCUACUACCUCCAUUAACCGCUUUGCCCGCAAGGUAAGAUAAAAGAUUAACAUAAAUAAGUAAACAUAAAUAGAAAUAUCCACUAUCCAUGUUUUCUUGGCCAUCUUCUCAUUUUCUCUACUAUUGAUUUAAAAAGUUUUUUUCUAUCUUUUUAUUAUAUUUAGAUGAUUGGUUCAUUGAACUUGAGGUGUCUUGGGUAUUUUGUCUGAUGCCCAUCAUCCAAAAGGACCAAAACCAAAUUUCAAAUUUCCAUUUACAAAAGCAAAUCAGUACACCAUUGUCCAGUGAAUACAGCACAAGUGGCACAAAACAUAUGGAACAUGAUAAAUAUUUUUGUUUAUGAAGUUCUGUUGACAACCAAAUAUAAAUUAUUAAUUGAGAUAUUUUAGGAGGGAGAAAAAUAAAAAAAAGAGAGUUUAAAGACAAGAUAUUUACGGAAAUUAAAGAGGCUGUCUUUGUCAGUGCAAUGAACCUCUUUUUCUCUCAUCUCUCCCGCCAUCCUCAACUAACACAUCUCCGACCGUACACGUCACCCUCUCUCGUUCACCAAAAUCGGACUUUUUCCUCGUCAACGUGUCGCUCAUCCAUCGGUUUUCCGGUAACGUGGGACCCAUUAUUAUUCACAUUUACUUUCUUUUACUAUAUUUUUUUUGGACGGAUUCUCUUUCGUUCGUUGCUCAAUUAUGUCCAUGAGUCUAUCCAUAAAAUGCAAUCGGAAUCAUGUUUUAUUUUAUAUCGCGACAACGAUGAAAUACAAGUUAUCCGUAUAUACUAUAUGUUUCCUACUAGUAUUAGUUUUGUUUUCUGGUCAAUACAAAGACUUAUAAUGGUCGAAAUUAAUGGACUUCUUUUUCUCUGUAAGACAAAAUGAUUUCACGUACAUUUUAACGUGUUUUUAACUUUUUAUAAUUCCACGACCGAUCUCUUUUCUUAAUUUGUUUAAGAAAAUACAAAGACCAAUUUCUUUCAGCUGUGCAUAACCAUUUUAUGGUUAUAUGGAUCUCUUUUUAAGAAUCAGGAUUCAAAAUUCUAGUUUAUUUUAUUAUAAUUUGAUAAUUGAUAUAUACAUGAAUAAAUGAAGCGAAUCUAAGUAUGUUCUUCCGCUAACAGAACUAACAAUGCUUUUAGUUUUAAGUUUGACCAAAAAUGGUUUUCAAGAUUUAUAAUACUCCCUCCGUUUCACAAAGAGUGUCAUUCUGACAUUUUUCACAUAAAUUAAGAAAUAAGAUAAAAGGUCUUUUCUACCCUUAUUAAUUUGCAGAAAAUGAUUCUUUGAAUUAUAUUUAUAAUUAAUUUUCUGAAUUUAUUGAGGUUAAAAAUAGUAUUUUAUGUUAAAAAUUACAUUAAAAUUCUAAAACGACAUUCUUUUUGAAACAAAAAAAAAGUGUCAGAAAUUUAUUAGACGAAUAAUGAAACGAUUCCCCUUAAAAUUAUCAUUAUUUAGAUAUUUAACCGGUAGUUUUCCAUUUUUCCAGAAUAUCAAAACAUCCAAUUCUUUUCUUAUCUUGUUUAUAUGGAUAAAAAUAUUGUUCUUAUACUGAAAAUGACAGAAGUUUUAAUUAUUACUUUUAAUAUCUAAAUGAUAUAUGAUGUUUGGUUUUUUUGGUCCAAUGGUUAGAAGUUACGAAUAAAGUUUCUAUAUUUCGGAUUAAAACUGUGUUUACGACAAAUAAUUACUUAUAUUGUAAGCUACAAGACUUAAAUCCGAAUAUGACACGUUAUUAGUGAACGUCAUCUGAUAAAAAUAUAUAAAAUUCAUUAAACCGAUGACCUAACUAAAGUUAAAAGCUAAACAUAUUUCGUUUGACAAAAAGAAAGAAUUAGGAUAUUUGGUUUCAGAAAAGUGAUUCAACAUUUGUAUAAUGUUAACAGUGGCCAAUAAAGACAAGCAAUAAAAAAAAAAUACUACAAAAUUUUGUUGCAUACAAAAAUUGGAAGCAAGUGUCUUUUUAUGAUUUUUUUAAAUUUUCAAGAACGAAACAUCUCCCCUUAUUACAAAGAAAACAAACUAACUUUUUAUUGUAAUAAAUAAAGAUAAAUAUUUCUAGUAUUUAAGCGAUUGCUGCCUUUGCAAACCCAUUUCCUCUUUUGUUCUUUCUUUCUCGUUAUAUCUGUGAAGAAGCCACAAGAAGUUCUUUAGAAGAAGAAAGGAGAGUCUUCUUUCAACUUUUAGGUAGUUGAAUCCAGAAAUGGUUUUAGUUAGAAAUUAAUUGAAGAGAGAUAUUACAGAAUCUUUAAGGGGUCGUAACGAAUUACCCACAAUCCAGGAAACCCUGAAUUGAAAUUCAAUUCAUUAAUUUCUUUUCUUUUGCUCUGUGGUGAUUCUCCCGGGAAAAAUUUGGGUAUCUCUAUCUGAUUCUUGCGGUAGCCAAGGUUCCUUUUUUUGGGGGCAGUCAUGGGUUUCUUGUCUGCAUCGCUUCUAAUAAAGUAGUUCUCUUAAAUUUCUGUAGAAAUCUGUCGAAUUUUCAUUUUUCUUCCAUUAGAGCUCGUUUUAUAGAUCAACCAUCUUUACAACAAAAAAAAAGCUCAAAGCUUUGCAAAUUUCCGAGAAGUCAAGAGUUGAGAUUCCAUCAAUGGAGGAAAUAUCUCCGGCGGUUGCUAUACCUUUCAUGCCUUUCCCCGAAACCCAGAUGGAGUUCGCAGGGAUCAUGUUGGGUAAAGGUUAUUGCAACGGCCAAUACUCAACCCAAGAUUCCGAGAACGGCGAUUCAAGGGUUUCGUUACCGGAGACUUCGUGCUCUGUUUCUGGGUCUCAUGGAGCUGAAUCUAGGAAAGUUUUGUCCUCUCGGAUCAAUUCCCCUAACUUCAACAUGAAGAAGAAAUCAUCGUCGUCAUCGUCAGAUAUAGUCGCUGAUAUCGCCGCCGGAGGGGAGAUCAACGGAUCAGAUGAGAGAUCGACGGUUCAGAGCGAGAAGAAGAUGAUCAGCAGAACAGAGAGCAGGAGUCUGUUCGAAUUCAAGAGUGUGCCUUUAUACGGAGUGACUUCGAUCUGUGGAAGAAGACCGGAGAUGGAAGAUGCUGUCUCCACGAUACCUAGAUUCCUUCAAUCUCCGACUAAUUCUCUGUUAGAUGGUCGUUUCAAUCCCCAAACAACCGCUCAUUUCUUCGGUGUCUACGACGGCCAUGGCGGUUCUCAGGUAAAUUCAAUCGACUUCCUCUGUUAAAAUCCCGAUUCGAUCUCACACGUUGCUGCAAAAAACUGGGUUUUUGAUUGAUUGGGUCUUUUGGGUUUUGUAGGUAGCGAACUAUUGCAGAGAGAGGAUGCAUCUGGCUUUAGCGGAGGAGAUAGCCAAGGAGAAACCAAUGCUCUGCGACGGAGACACGUGGCAGGAGAAGUGGAAGAGGGCUUUGUUCAACUCGUUCCUCCGAGUUGACUCGGAGCUCGAGUCAGUCGCACCCGAAACGGUUGGGUCAACUUCGGUGGUCGCCGUCGUCUUCUCGACUCAUAUCUUCGUCGCUAACUGUGGCGACUCCAGAGCCGUUCUUUGCCGCGGCAAAACCGCGCUUCCUUUAUCCACUGACCACAAAGUAAGCUUUUUUCCCGGCAAAAACAGCUUGGGUCUAUAGUUUGUGAUAGCUUCUUGAUCCCCAAUUCUGUGUUCAAGAUUUUGAAUUUAGAGUUUCUUGUAUAUCCAUUUCUGAUGUAUGUUUCUGCUAUGUGUGUAGCCGGACAGAGAAGAUGAAGCGGCGAGGAUUGAGGCAGCCGGAGGAAAAGUGAUCCAGUGGAACGGAGCUCGUGUUUUCGGUGUUCUCGCCAUGUCAAGAUCCAUUGGUAAGCUUUGUUAGAGAUUCAUUGGUUCUUGAAAUUAAAAACCUUUUUCUUACAAAACACAUACAUUACGACAGGCGAUAGAUACUUGAAACCGUCGAUCAUUCCCGAUCCGGAAGUGACGGCUGUGAGGAGAGUCAAAGAAGAUGACUGUCUGAUACUGGCCAGUGACGGAGUUUGGGAUGUAAUGACGGAUGAGGAAGCGUGUGAGAUGGCGCGGAAGCGGAUUCUGUUGUGGCACAAGAAGAACGCGGUGGCUGGAGAGGCGUCGUUGCUCACCGAUGAACGGAGAAAAGAAGGGAAAGAUCCGGCAGCGAUGUCUGCGGCUGAGUACUUGUCGAAGCUGGCGUUGCAGAGAGGAAGCAAAGACAACAUAAGUGUGGUGGUGGUUGAUUUGAAGCCUCAGAGGAAAUUCAAGAGCAAACCCUUGAGCUGAGGCAGAGGAUCCCUUUUUCUUUAUUAUUUUAAAAUUAUUAUGGGGUCUCUCAAGAAGUUAAUUUGUGCUUAUUUUUUUUAACUAACUUGCUACAUGAGAUAAUGUAGCGUAAAGUGUUAAGCUCUUUGUCUUAACUCUUUAACAAUAUAAAAGCCCCUUGUAUUUUUCCUCCCGGGCUUAUUGUAAUAUGGGUUACAAUAUACAUUUGUUUUUUGUCAACUUUACAAUAUACAUACAUUAAGAUCUCUUGUUAUUGAUAAACUGUUUUAGUUUAGAUAUGUAGUGAUAUGAAACAAUUAUUAUUUAGCUGAGUUGAAUUAAGUAUAUCAAUUAGCACUGCAGAGAGAACAAAAUAUAGAUAUAGUGAUGUGAAAGUACACAGGAAAAUAAGAUUUUGUGGAAUUGUCUCUCAUAAGUCUUAACAUCUCGUUAAUUCGGCUUUCGUAACAUCUUUUCUAUUGGAUAUAAUAAGAUAUGAUGGUAGAAGGAUUGUUCAAACUCGGUUCUAGCUAUUAGCAAGAGGGGGAGUCAAAGAUCCUGCGUCGGUGAAGUAAGAAGAGAGACUCGCAUCCAAAUCUUCAAACAUGUUCACGAACUUGUGUUCCUAAUCACCAGGAAUAGCAACAAACAAACAAACAAACAAAAAGGUCGUUAAAAAGUGGUACGAGACAACACAAGAAGAAAAGACACAAAGAGUCUUGUAUGAUUACGCACCAAAAGCUCCUGUGCUGAUUUUCUGUCUUUUGGAUCUUUCUGUACACUACACAAGUAAAACAUCAGUUAAUAACAUGAAAGCGUUUCCAAAAUCUGUUUUUAAGUAUUCUCACCAUUGAGAAAUGAAGGAGCAAAACUCUGGAGAAAACAGGUGGGAAGGUGCACAAGGAGGUGGGUUUUCGACAAUGGUGUUCACUAUCUCAUACACGCUACUCCAUCCCUUCAUGUCUUCUGGAGGAUUAUAAGGGAAUUUACCCGUUGCACAUUCGAGCAAAACUAGUCCCAAGCUCCAAAUAUCGCUCUUGUUACUAUACAUACUUCCGCUGAUUCUCUCUGGCUGCAAAAUAUGAUAAAUAAUACUGGUCAUUCAUAUAAACCCUUUAUAACUUUCAAAACUGAGUUAAUGCAGGUGAAUGGAGGAGACUCACAGACAUAUAGUGGUAUGUACCCACAAAGGAAUUAGCAAGACUGGUCGUGCUAGACAAGAUCUUGCUGACACCAAAGUCUGUGAUUUUCACUUGACCUCUAUGAUUGAUUAGCAAGUUCGAAGGCUUUAAGUCCCGAUGAAUGAUUCGCCUCUCAUGGUGAAGAUAGCACAAACCUCGAAGCACCUACGCUUAGUCGAAGAAAGAGCUUAAGUCAUAUGUUCUCUAAGAGAAGAUAAGUAGAAACCGGUAAAGAGUAGAUGUUUUAAAGAUUUUUGCGUAGAGUACUCGCUUGCAGAUGGCAGAGAGCAUGUUUUCAGGAACUUUCUCGACUUUCUUUAACAAGUCCGCAAGGGAUCCACCGUCCAUGAACUCCAAGAUGAUUGAAACAAGACCGUUAUGGUAAAAAGACUGAUAACAUGAGACGAGAUAUGGACAUUGCGAUGACAAGUUUAUUCUCAGUUCCUGAGAAAUCGCUCGACAUGUUGAUUCUUCUGUGUUCAAUUGAAUGACCUGAAAAUAAAACAAUGCAUCUUUCUUUAUUUCAGCUAAAAGAAGAAAACACUCGAGAAAGAAGCAACAUACAUUACAUAAGAGUUAAAAAAGAACACAAAAGAGAAUCACGACCUUAAGAGCGAAAAACUGUUGAGUCAGUUUGUGUUUCACCAACUGAACAUUACCACCGUUUCCUUUGCCAAUGACUUUGAUCACUUCCAGAUCUGCCAAACUCAAUUGGUUGUCCAAUGGCACAAUAGGAGGUGGCUGCAAAAACCAAAAACAUCCAAUUUACUCAUAGAAAAUAAAUAAGUAAGAGAAGAGAGUGAGAUCUCAAUUUCAAGAAGCAUGAAUUCAAAAAAAACAAACUUACAGCUCCAGGUUCGGACUGAGACACGGUCUGGAUUCCAUCGCUGUUCACUCGAAGGUCUCCAUCCGUGAACGUUCCGCUCUCUGUUCUAUCCAUUUUUUUUUUUCAAUGUUAGAAGACUCACUGACACAAAUCUAUUGGUUACAAUGACCAUAGUGACAUAAUCCAAUCCAAUGAUUUAGACAAGAAAACAUUGUAGAAUCACUUGUGGUAUGAAAACGAAUCCUAAAAAUUGAGAACAGUGAACUCUGAUUCCUCAAAUCCUAAAUUGGAAGGGCAUGAUCUGAAGAAUAAACAAAGUAAUUCACCAGAAGCAUUUGCAGGUAAUGCCAUAAAAUUGACAUGUACGAAGAAUCCAAAGAUAGAGAGAAAGAGAGUUACAGAAAUUUGGAGAUGGAUUCCUCAGGAGGAGGGAGACAGAUGGGAUUAAAGCUCAAGCUGCCUCUUUUCAUGUCUGAUUGGAGAUCAAAUCUACCAAACACAGUAACAGAUAAGCACACAACAAAACAGGUCAUAGAUCAGAAGGAUCGAGAUUAGAGGAAUGACGAACACUCGACGUCGUGUAGCUCAUGACUAUGAAGAAGAAGACGAAGACGAAAAAUGGUCGUUGACUUCCCCUUGACUCAUAUUUCCUUUGAAUUUUCUUCCUUUUUUUUAUUUUUUUAUUUUUUUGUUUGGUCAUCAGAUUUUUUUCUUGCCAAAAUCAUUACAUUUUAACCUCCCACUUCUCAAUAUUCCCAUUAACACUAAGAGGAGGUUAAUGAUGAUUAUUAUUUUAUCACAUAUUAGUCUUAUGAUUAAUUUUCUUCGACGACCGGUCUUCUGAUUGUGAAAUCCUUUUUUAUUUGCAUUAUUUAACAGCUUGUUGAUUUUAAUUAUUAGUGCUAAAAAUAAACAAGCUACUAUCUAUUUAGAUUGUAAUUAUUAGCAAUUUUGAAAUAGUCUAAUUAUCUUUUGGAGACAGAUUCAACUAAUUUAAAUGGGACUAUCCGGUCCUGCAGUUAAAAAAGGACUAUCCGAUUCCAAUAUGAGAUCAUGAUGGAGAAUUCAACAACAUGAUAUAACGUGUAAAAGAAAUAUUGAAUUAAUGAAAACACCGUCGUAAAAAAAACAUUUGGAAAAUAAAAGUUUCUUUUGGUGAAAGGUAAAUGAAGUAAUGAACUUCCAAAAGUAAUUGAUUUAAACAAGAGAAGCUAUAAUUGGAAAAUAAUCACGACUGCAAAAUACGAGUGAUAAAUACAUAAACCAACAACUAAACCAGAAUGGUAAUUGCUUAUGAAACUCUUAAAAUAAUUUAGCAAAAUAGAAAAGAGACAAUUUGCUUUAGGCAAACGAAAAGGACUCUCCCUGAGACAGACUUGAGACUUUAAUUUUUCUUCUUCCGCUCUCUCCGCAUCGUUUAACGCUUACGAAGUUGAAGUUGAAGCAGUAGAAGACGACGACGACGACGACGACUUGCUCCUUUUAGAUUCCUUGAUUUGAGAUUCAUCUCCCUCUUCUAUUGCAAUCAAUCUAUCCUCGAAUUUCUGCUCGAGAAAUUAUCUGGUGAGCUAUCUCCGUCGUUUUCCCUUUUACUUCACCUUGGAUCGUUCAACUGAUGGAUUUCAAGUGCUAUUUCGUAGAUUUCUAGUUUUAAACUCUUUUCAAUUUGAGAGAAAUCAUCUGAUCCGGACUCUGGCUUUUCCAUGCUUCUAUUUCGUUGAUUUCAAUUUUCUCGUGGGUUUGGUCUCUGCUAGUGUUUCGCUCGAAGCUUCUGUGUUUUGUAGCCUUUGUUCGAUUGGAUUCACCACUCAUGGUUUCUUUCUGAAAUUUACACUGUUUUUGUGGUUUUGCUGCAGGCAAAUUUGAAGAUCUUGUGCGUCACAAAACUCAUAAACGCUCCGAUUAGUAAAAAACGCAUGGCGGAAAGUAAUCAUCUUCUUUCCUCUAUGUCUUGUGAUCAAAUUAGUCAUCUUACGUUAUGCACUUUGGUAGUUCCUGUUAGCAGAACAGAGGAUCACCGAAUUAUCAGCCAAAUCUAGGAACAAAGUAGUUUACUAGCUGUGAGUGAUUGCUCACGAACAGUCUAAGAUCAUGAAAUUCUGAUUUCUACAUUCAAAAUAUGAUUUUUCGAACACUAGACAUGGUUUUGAGAAGUGCCCCUUCUCAUCUCCAAGUGAUUUCCAAGAAGAAUCUAACAAUAUAGUUUUAUGAGUUUUCCACCUCUUUGGUUUACUCUAUCUAUUGAAUUUUUCUAUUUCCAGGUGUUAAGGAGCGUGGAGAUGGAAGUGCCGAAUUGGUAAAAUCCAUGGAUGAUAAGCAUCCCAGUCUCAUGAGACCAGCUGCUAGAUAUUACUCUGCAAUUAAAGGUAACUCUUUUAAGAUGUAACCUUUAAGUCUGUUCAUUUGUGGAACUCAUGCACUGACACUGGCUCUGUAUGAUAGAUGCUAUGGUUUUUGGGAAAGGAAGAUAUACGCUUGUUAAAGACGUGGAUGAUGUGGAAAAUGGAGCGUAUGACAAACCUCUUCCAUGCUUUGGUUGCGGAAUCGGAUGGUUCUCGUGAGUAGAAAUUUUUGUUUUUCGUGGAGUUAAGUCCCACUUUAGCUUCGCUGUAUCCAAUAAUGAUGUACAUGCUAUCUCUCCUUCUACAGCUUUCUCCUUGGUUUUAUGUUCCCUUUCUUGUGGUACUAUGCGACAUUUCUCUAUUUCGGAAACUACUACCGCAAGGAUCCUAGAGAAAGAGCCGGCCUUGCUGCUUCCGCAAUCACUGUAACGACCAUAUCUCUCUUUCUCUUCACUUGUGUAUAAGCUUUCCUGUAUGUAUGAGCUUCAGGUAGGUGAAAUGAUGUUGAAAUCUGGUGAUGUUGCAGGCGAUGGGAUUCUCGCUCUUGCUACUGGUGAUUAUAGUUUUCAGGUGGUUUUAAUGGGUUCUCACGUAUACACCAUAUAUACAUGUAUAAUCAUGAACCUGUUCUUGUCAAAGGAUUAAGGAAGAGGGACUUAGAUAUUUGACUGUACAUUCAAUAUAAACCCGAAAUACAGAUACUAUCUAAAGCUCUGUAUCAUAUAUACUUCUCACAAUCGUACAAAGUAACAGAAAAUAAAAAGAAUUGAAUAAAUUGUCGUUUCUUUAUUGAGCAUCUGAUAUGAAUGUUUAUUUAUUUAUUUUUAUUUUUUUGGUCUUGCCCUGGUAAGUGGUAAGUGUUAACUUUGGUAGAGCACAAAAGAAACUCGAAUACAUUUAAUAAGGAGUAUUAAACACAUUUUAGCGCAAUUUUUAUUUAUUUAUUUAUUUAAAAAGCAUGAAUAAAUCUGAUUAGAACAAAACAUGUGAAGGGUUCGCGUCACGACUGUUGUUAACUUAUUCCUGAUUGGCCCAAAGCGUAAAGAGCUUCGUUUAUAUUACGGAAAGUGUACGGUCGUAGUCGCUCGAAGAAGAGACAAAAAAAGAUGAACAAAAAAUUUGGAGGGAAGAUGCCGACGGGAACUCCGUCUCUAGCGUUAUCCACCGUCGUCGUGGUAGCCUCUCUGCUCGCCGGAGCCUCCGUCGUCCACAAUUUAUACAAGCCAGAUCUCGUAAGUUUUCUUCUUUUAAAACGCAUCUAAAGUGUUCGAUGAAAUGUCUAGCUAAACCAAAAUUUGUUUCUUUUAUAACUUCUCAGCAAUAUGAUUAUAAAUCCGUGGAGAGAUGAUCUGAUAUCCAUUUCUCUUUCUUUUUUUAACCUUCGUAUGCAGACAUUACCUCAGAUCGAAAGUGAUGAAACAGACAAGAAGGAUUAAUCUGGAAACAAAGAUUAAACAUUUUUUUCUUUUCUGUUUUGUUGUCUUUUCUGUUUAAUGAAACUUCUUGUUUGUGAUUCCUCAAACUCCUCCAGGCUCCAGGGUUUGGUUUAUGUCCUAAAACGAAUAAACGUAUGCGUUAUGUAUGGAUAAGUCCUCUCACUGUCAGUACUUUUGUGAUCUAUCCAAGUAUGUGAUUGCAUAUUUGCAAUUUACAUGGCUAAUUGGCUAUUCCCCAACACUGUCUAGCUAUUACAGAUUUAUACACUAUAUAGAUUGAUCUUAAUUAGACCUAGAUAGAGAAAGGAUUAUACUAAUUAGGUACUGUGAAUACUGAAUAGUACAACUGAUACUUUCAAAAUACGAUCUUACAUUACAUAUGUACAUGAACCAAACUGUAAGUCUAUGCAAUAAUUUACAAAUGGGUUCAACAAAAAUUGAAUUCAAUCACAAAAGUCUAUAUGAUACAGAGAAAAGAACGCUAUGUGCGGGAAAAAAGAAAAAAAAAAAACAUACAGUACAAGGGAAUAACGCUGCAUGCAAAAAAAAAAAAAAAAUGUGAAUGACGAUAAACAAAAAAAACAGAAGUAACCUAACUAAUACUACCUUGGAGGAGAGAAAUACGCGGAGAAUGGAGACAAGAGGCGUCGCGGGUUGAAGAGAGACACGUGUCGAGGGGAGGCGAUUCCGUCGAUCUGGCGGUAAUCGGAGACGUUGAUGAAGCCUUCCCUCUCGUCUCCACGGCGGUUACCGCCGGGACUCCUCGCCGGAGAUGAGCUCAGGCCGUUAAAGGUCUUGUAUUUGACGAUCUUACCAAUGCCCCACAACUUUUUCUUCAUCGGAGUCUUCUUAUAAGACUCUGUCAUCUUCUCGCUCAUGUACCGCUUCACUGCUUCCAAACCCUGUUCCACCUGUUGUAAGAGAUCAUCAAAACAUAAACUACUACAGAACAAAUUCUUAUUAAAAAAAAAAAAUUAUAAGAGAAGGUUUUUUUUAUUGAUCUAUUCACGUCUCUCAAAUUUCUUGUAUAGUUGUAUAUAUCAUGUUUAUAAAAGGAUGGUCUUAGCAUUAACAUAUACAAAACUGAACAGAUAUUUUCAAAUAAAUAUCAUACUUGCGUUGCUUAGUUAACACACUAUCGAUCAUAAUGCUUGCGAAACAAGUUAUGAUCCGUAUUGUAUUAUUUUCUGUUGAAUGUAAUUUAUUUACUAAACAAGAAUUUUAAAUAGGUUAUGUUACGAGACUAUGACAUGCAUGUAGCGUAUAGUGGUUUGUAUAAUAGUAAAUAAGAUUAAUAAUCAAAUUGUACAUACCACUUCAAAAGGAGGGGAGACGAGGGGAUUGCCCUCGACGGAGAGCUUCUGAAUCCGGC